GGAUUUGGCCAUUGAAGAGCUCGGCUGAAGGGAACCAAGGAGGAUAAGGAAUCGGCACUACCCCUGCCAGGUCGUUUCUAUUCCGAUCGACCUUUAGAGUCGAUUAGGUGUUCAGAAUCUCCUCAUCGCUCUGCUCCAUCGUUCGGGAUCUGUGUCCAUCCACCUUCGAACCGAGAUAUAGGAGAGUGAAGUUGUCUGAAGCGGGCUCGUGAGUUUCGUUUCAGUCGAAGGGAGAAUCCUCGGGAUUUUAUUGAUCUCGAUUGGUUGAAGUUAAAAAAUGGGUCUCGCCGAGAGUCCUUCGCGACCUGUUUGAUGUUUUGUCUAGAUGUCUUCAACGUUGAUUUGUUCCUGCCUGUUACUGGUCAAUCCGUCAGCAUUUUAGUAUGAGUAUGGGGUUAUUAUUAUGUUCAGAAGCCCUUUUGCCUUGUCGUCAGGCUUCUCCCCAAAGGAAAAUGGACUAUUUUCCGAUAAAAAAAGAAGAAGAAAAGCAUGCGCAUAGCAAUAAUCAAUGUUGGAAACUAAUGCGAUUGGUGAACUUUUGGGCUUCAAAUGGAAGCUUUGCAUAAGAUAUAAUUUGAUUCAUCGAGAUGGAAGUGUCGGUUUUUUUUUUUUUUUUUUGCCCCACCGUGAGAAACUGCCAAAAAAGCAAUGAAUAUGUGAAGAUAAAUAGUGGGAAUUGCACCUUAAAUUGAUGUUGCAGAUAAAGUCAUAAAUUAAGUACAUGUGUAUAUUCUGACAAAAAAAAAAAGUACACGUGUCUAUUAAAAUUUCAAAAUAAUCUGAAAUUGAUUCCGAAAAUAUCCCACUACGAUGUUUCUGUUUUGUAUAUAUAUCUAUAAACUUCAAAUUGCGCAAUAGAUUAAUGUUAAUACUGACUACAAAAGCUGUGGCAUGUUGAAAUUUUUUAUAAUUAUCUGGAGAAAUUUUUUGACAUCAUUUUUAAUCUCCUUGGUCAUUUAUGCAAAAAUGAAAAAUUCAAACCAUUAACUGCUCUAGUAGUUUAUGAAUGAGAUAUAUUAGAUUUUAUGCAUGAAAUAUGUAUUGGUUCAAAAUUUUUACAUUUAAUGACGAGAACACGAGCAAAAGUAAAAUACGAUUUAAGGGGCAUUCGUGUGUUUCAAUUCUAACUUGAUUAAUUUAUUGCAGGUUAUAUCUUCAACACUCAAAAAUAAAAUACAACUAAAUUUAAAUAGGACACAUUCCAUAUUGUAUUUUGAACUAUUUUGCUAUAUUUAAAUAAUGGUUAAUAUAUUAAAAAAACCCCAAAUCGGUACACUUAUGACAGAUCUACCCACCGUUAGUUUGGGUAGAUUUUGCCAUUAACUUUGAUGACGUGGUUGCUCACGUGGCAAGCCAUGUGGAAAUAACUUAAUUUUUUUCAAAAUAAAAUAAUAAUAACUUUGUAACAGUGAAGGAAAAACAAAAAGAUAUCUUAAAAAGCCCUAAUAAAUUCUCAUUUCUCACGCCUUCUUCAGGUACCUCAUGUUCUCUCUUCUCUCUUCGUUAUAACAUAUAAAAAAAGAAAAAAACCCUAACAACAAAUUAAGUUCAGUUCAUGACAAACGCUCUUCUUUCCUGAGGUGAUUUAUAGGGCGUGGUUCCGGUCGAAGUUCAAUGAGUUCGUUCGGUCACUCAUCGGGGUCGUGGUGUCAGCGCAGGCCAAGGAGACUCAAAGUGAGUGAAUUGCUCCCGGGCGUGGAAAGUUUGAGUUUUUAAGUAGGAGUGCCUUUGGUUUAUCCUGUGAUUGGUGAGUGGAAUUGUGGUGUUAUGUCAUUUGAGGACCAAUGUGCCGGAUUUGCACUUGAGUGGUUUCAUGUUAUCAAGGUAGGAAAACAAGAGCUCUCUAUUCCACGUCGUGUUCGAGCUCUAUGUUUCUAAUGACCUCCUCUCUUUCAUUUUUGUUGGAUCUUUAAGUCAUAUUCUUCUAAUCGUGGUUGCUUCGCUUGUUUUUUGUUUGUGACAAACUUGGCUUUAUGUUUAUAUGUCUCAACCCCACAUGGUUUACUGCUUGUCCGCAAUCUGUUUGUAUGAUUACAUAUUACUCUUGCUUUGUUGGUCAUUUGUGUUAGUUCAUGUCCUUAUUAGUAUUACAUAGUCUUUCAUACCUUGAAUCAUAAGUGUGUCAAAAUUUUGACAUGAAACUUGUAUGUGAAUGGUACGAUUGACUCAUACAUCACAUGCUCGUUGAAAUGCCAGAACCAAAAUCAUUUAUGUUUGUCACUGAUUUCAGGUGUACUUUGAGUGUGAUUCUACAUGUCUUAUGAGAUUUCAUAAAUAUGCUUAGUCCCUAAAGAGCACAUACAUUUGAAUAUUAUAAUAUUAUGCUGCUUUAGUACAUGGAUAAUAUACAUAUCUACAUGGAUAAUUUUGAUUAAGGUUUCAAGGUUCGAUUUUGCAGCAGAAACAAGUUAUAUUCUGUAUCUCAAUCAUUACUUUGAAUAGAAUACAAGGCAGCUUUUCUCUGGUCCUCCUAGUCCAGGGCGACUCGCACAGCCAAGCUUUGCCCUGUACAUGAACCGGGUUAUCCCUUAGGAUCAUUACAAUCAAUUAAUUGAUAUUAAAGAAGCUGAUAUGAUAGUCACGGUACAAUGACAAGCUUUUUUCCUUUUGUGAACUCUUUUGGUCAUUGAAAUUAUACAAGGACACACACUUAUGUGUACCCAUAUAUUAUUUUGAAUAGUGACUUGAGCUCAGUUAACCCCACUUAACGAGAUUGAAAUUCUUGUUUGCUUAAUAAAUAAGGUGGGAUAGAUGUCAAUUGGCAAUUCGUAAAGCUGAUGUUUGCUUGUGAAACAUAAAAUGAUUACCUUCUUAGUAUCUUUUGCCACUUAUUAUGCAAUUUGUUACAUAACCUAGAGUAUCUAACUAGUACUGUAGAUAUGUGUCAAUCUGAGUGCCUAAUGUAAGCAAGUAGUUGGCAGGUGUGAUUGUCCAAUUUCUUGUUCCUUUAAUAUCAAGAUUUCCAGAGUUUUAUCAGCAUAGUUUGGUUAACCUUGUUGCAGGUUUUUGCUAUGACUGAAAUAACUUUGGGUCUCUUUCUAGACGUAGGUGCCUCAUAUUUCCUAUCAAGGCUUCCAAGCAUCUUGUUUGGCGAACUCGAUUUUGUCAUUUCAUGUCAAACUUGAUCAUCCCAUCUUUGCUAGUUAUUUGUGAGAGGUUUUUAUAAACUAAUUGGUUUGCUUGUUGUUCCCUUGCAGAUGUUUAACGAAUUUACUAUUGGACUUCACCUAGGUGGAGUUAUGGAGUUUGGAGACAUCACAAAGUACAUAGGCUACCAUGUAGAAUAUCUCCAUCGUUGUAAGUCGAUGGUGGUGAACUAUAAUGCAAUUGUUAAGGCUAUUCUUGAUCUAGGAUACUCAGUUAAAAAGUUGUGGUAUGCAACUCCUGGGGAUUCCUUGAGAAGUGGUCUUGUGCAGAUUGUUGGUGAUGAACAAGUGUUAGAAUUGGUGGGUCUAGGAUCAAGUUUUGGUGUUAUUGAAGUAUAUAUUGAAGGAGCUGCUCUUGGUGAUGAUAGUGGUUCUUCUACUAGUGGUCAUAAUAGAGAGAGUGAUAGUUAUAGAGAUAGUGAACUAGAGCAAGAUCUUGAUACAUUAUCUUUAAGUGAUGAUGACUACAUUCUCGGUGGUGGUAACGAGGAUUUCUUUCUUGCUAGGCAAAUAAGAAGAGAGGCUGAUGCUGCUGCUAUUACUAAUACAGUUGCCGUUAACAUUCCUAAAAAUGAGGAUGGGGGUGAAAAUGAUGGAGACACUGAUCUAGAAGAAGGAGAUGAGAAUUUGAGCCCUCCUAACUCUGAUGGAGAUGAAGAAGUCUGUGACCAAAGAAGAUCAAAAACCAUUAGAUAUGACCCCAAAUCUGAUCAUAAAGACAUACAAUUUAAAGUAGGAAUGAGAUUUGUCUCACGUGCUCAAUUAAAGAAAGCUGUGCAACUUUAUGCAAUCAUAAACAGAUUUAACAUUGGAUGGAAGAAGAGUGAAGCGAAAAAAAAAGAAGGAAGGAUGGUAGGUGUGAGAGUGGCUUUGAAUGGAGAGUUUAUGCUAGUUGGACGCAGAGUGAGAAGACCUCAAAGAAUGCANNNNNNNNNNNNNNNNNNNNNNNNNNNNNNNNNNNNNNNNNNNNNNNNNNNNNNNNNNNNNNNNNNNNNNNNNNNNNNNNNNNNNNNNNNNNNNNNNNNNUCACAAACCUCCGAGCUUCUGGCUCUCCACGCUCCGGGCAUCUCGAAACUCCCGAGGACCCUCCAGCAUUCAGCCAUUUAAGGCCACUAGGCAUCCGGCAUUUACACUCCCUAGCCAGGCAUCCCGACACUCCCGGGGCAUCGUCAGCUUACACCCCCAAUGGCCUUCUCACUUAUCUUAGUUCACAUUUUCAAUUAUAGCUUAAUCUCAACAUGGCAUAUGAUGUGAUGGUAAACAAGAUCAUUUUCAUCUUUUGAUUCUUAUAUGCAUUUUCAAUCAUCAUCAUACAUGCAGCAAGAUACAGCCACUUAUGAAAUACAAUCCAUGGGGUCCAUACAACUUAGAAUAAUCCAUAUAUCAUGUCUUUUUUUUUUUUGAAAUUUACCAAAUUCCAGCUUUCACAAUUUCGGAAAACAUAUAAAUUAAAUAUCCAUAUGAUCUUCAAAAAUCAUACAAUCAGAGCAUGUAAUAGACAAGGCAUAAAGGUAGCAAUUUCAUGAAAGAAACAUGCCCAAAAGAGUUUCACACAAGAAGAUAUAGCUCGCACAAUACAUCAUGCAAAAUUCGGAUAAAAUCAGAUUGCGCAGUUCUUGAAAUAUUUCAAUUAAAAUACCCGAAUCACCUCAAAAAAUUAUGAACUUUUACCAAGUUAUAGUCAAGACCCUAAGGUAUAUUUUUCAUACAGACAUCUAAGCCAUAUUCACUCUAGAUAAUUAACUAUAGACGGUCGAAGCUCCUGUUCCUAGUACCGAACAGUCCAGUUUAGCUGUUUCCAAAAAAUCGAGGUUUCGCCUACUUAUCUUUCUUCAUUUCCUCUGAAAUUUUAAUAUUUUUUUGCCUCAAGAGGUCCCCUACAACUUUAAUUAAGGGAUCUCGGUGAGAUUCUCAAAGGAUAGUCACCAUAUAGUCCACGAAGUCUCGGGAGUCCAGUACCGUACUUCCAGAUCUGCCGUCUUCAAAAGAAAAUCGUUUCACUAGGCUACACUUGCUCGUUUUACCUCAAAUUUGAUUAUGUUAAUCGUCAGGAUGUUCUCUACAACGUUUUUGAAGAAAUAAAAGUGAGAUUCGCGGUAAAAAGUGACAUGCAACACACAAAACCACCAAGAGGUCAACAAAACAGUUUCAGAUCUAGCGUUUUCGUAGAGGAAGGGUUUCACCCCUUAAAACGCAGCCAUUUUGUCUCAAAUUUUAUUAUGUUAUACUUUGAGAUGUUGCCUACAACUUUAGUGAAGAAGUCGAAGCCAAAAUCUGACUCAAACCACGUAUGCAAGCCUUUACAACGUUCGGGGUCAGGCGACACACUCGAAAACAGCAUGCUAUUUCAAAAACAACACACCCUAGCUUCGGUUUCUCAUACCCUAAACAUCCGAGAUUUACCACCACUCAACACACAUGCAAGAGACAACAUGCAAGAGCAGAAUAUGGAUCCCAACUUGCCUUCAAAUCGAGUAACAACGGCACACGGACGGCGAUGGACGAGCGGAUGGACGGGCAACAAACGAGCGGACCUCCCGUUCGCGCGGCUUCUCCCUUUCUCUCUUGGGUUCCUCACUCUCUUGUAAACCUCUCUCUCUCUCACUUGGGCUUAGCGGACAGCCCCUAAACCGGGCCACUCUCUCCCUUUUUAUUCCCCCUUAUCACAAUCAUUAGUCAUCAUGAGAUGCCUCCCACAAUGGCCAAUGGAUGGAGUCCCCUUUUUGCCACUUGGCAAGACCCAUGCAUAAUGGGCUUGGAAGUGGGCUGGCCACUCCCCCUCUCCUUGGUCGAUGGCAGCCCUCUCCAUGGGCUUCAUGGGCCGGCCUUUUGGCCCAUCAAAGGUCUACACUCUUGGGCCUAAGACCCAAGCCUAAUUAAAUCAAAUUUCAACCCCUUUUUAAAUACUAAUUAAAUCCUUAUUGAACCAAAGUACUAUAGUGUAUAAAUUAAAUAACUAUACACUUGAAAUCACAAAUCCAUAGAUUCUAACCGACAAUACAUAUGGCCAAAUAUAGAUCAUUCUUUUCCAAAAUUUAUCCAUUAAAUUUGGCCAUAGUCCUUAAUACAAGACAUUAAUUUGAGCACCCCUAAUGACCGGUAAGGAAUUCUAGGAUGCCACAAUAUAAUACGUUCAAAAGAUUCUAUGUGUGCUUCAAAGAAUUGAAAGAGGGUUUUCUAGCAGGUUGUAGAUGAGUAAUUGGAUUGGAUGGAUGCUUUACGAAGACUUUAGUUAGGGGGAUGUUACUUUGUGCUAUUGGUAGAGAUGGAAACAACCAAAUGUUUCCAAUUGCAUGGACUGUUAUUGAAGCUGAGACUGAAGAAUCUUGGACUUGGUUCCUUGAGCUACUAGUGAAAGACUUGAAUGUGGGACAAGGUCUUGGCUGGACCUUUAUGAGCGAUCAACAGAAGGUAAGAUUGCACACAAGCUUUGCUAAUAAAAGUAUUUGUUGUUUGUAAACUAACUUAUUUUCAUGUCAAAUAACGUGUUACAGGGCCUACUCAAUGCAAUUUCUAAACUCUCUCCACGAGCAAAGCAUAGAAAUUGUGCUCAGCACAUUUAUGCCAACUGGAAAAAAUUAUACAAGGGAGAAACAUUUAGGAAUUGCUUUUGGAGAGCUGCAUAUUCUACAUACAAGGCCGAUUUCAAUAUGGCAGUAAAAGAUAUGAAGAAAGAGUCUGUUCAUGCAUAUGAAGACUUCAGGAGACAGGGUCCAUAACACUUUUGCAGCGCAUUCAUCAAGUGUGGACAAAAUUGCAAUGCUAUCGAGAACAGUUUGAGCGAGACGUUCAACACAUAUAUAUAUGCAGAGAAAGGGAAUUUCUCAUUGUUGAUAUGUUAGAGGGCAUAAGAAAAUUACUUAUGGUAAGAAUGUAUGAGAAAAGCCAAUUGAUGGUUGGUUUAAGAGAUGAGAUUUGUCCAAGAAUCGUAUUGAAGAUUGAGGAGGAAAAGAUGAAGUCUAGGUUUUGCAUUCCAAAGCCAUCUACAGCUUCCAGAUUUGAAGUUAAAGUGAAUAAUGAUACUUUUAUGGUUGAUCUUAAUAAGAAGACAUAUACUUGCAGACAGUGGGAUAAAUAGGGGAUACCGUGCAACCAUGCUAUCUUGUGCAUCAACUUCAUGAAGUGUAACUUAAAUGAUUAUGUAGCUGAUUGUUUCAAGAAAGUUGUGUACGAGCGUUGCUAUCGAUUUGCAUUACCCACCUUGAAUGGAAAGAAAAUGUGGCUAGCGACUAAUGACGAGCCUUUAUUGCCUCCGCCAUUCAAAAAGCUUCUAGGGAGGCCCAAGAAAGAUAGGAAGAGGCCCAAUGGUGAGAAGAAAAAGGAUGAGAAAAGCAAAAGAGUGAGGAAGCCAAGGGUCACCAACACUAAUCCUACUAAAAUAUCAAAAUCUUGUAUUACCAUGAAAUGCUCCAAUAGUCAUGGUACUAGACACAACAAGACAACAUGCCCCCAACCUCCAGCACCUAUCCAGAUUAAACUACCUGUAAGGAAAUUUAAACAUAAAUGUGAAACAUUUUCCCUUAGAAUACCUUAUAUAUGUCUAUUAUACAGGGCAAAAGAGGUAGGCCAAGGAAGCAUCCAAGCAACUAACCAUUAAAGGAGAGGCAUUGAACAAACAAAGUGAAAGUACCUCAGCUAAAUCUAUAACAGGACAAUCAAAUAUUGUCAAUUCUAAGAAGAGAAUGGUGAGGAGUCUACAAGUAGAUUUCAUAUGGUUUUUGAUAAUACCAAAGUAAAAUGUUAAUAUGGUUUGUCUUCUUAUAGGUUUUACAAGGAUAUGGAUUUUACAUAUUUGAAGCCACUAGAAACUCAUAUUUGAGCGUGAAGAUUUUAUUUUGUUAAGCAUUUUUUAAUCCACUAUGAUUAGCAUAAUAAGAUUAUGUUUUCCCCUCAAUUUUCAGAUGCUUGGGAGUAACAUAGUUCAAGAAAUUCGUCAAGGUGGUGCAAAUCAUACGAUGGAUCUUUCAAGCCAAGUUUCUGGACCUCCUCAAAUUGAACAAUCUCAAAGUGAAGUAGGGCAAUGAACCUGUAGGAGAGUUGGAUUUUGGGUGUAAACUUUGUCAUGUAAAGCUUGUUUUGUAAAGCUUGCCCUGUAAAGCUUGAUUUGUAAAGCUUUGUUUUUUUUUUUUUUGAUAGUAUUUGAUAUAGAACAUGCUUUUGGACAUCUAUCGUCUGGUGUGGAUUUGCCUUUUGGCUAGUUGGUUGGUUGGUGUUUGGGGUAAAGGCUACUUUGUAAAGCUUGUUCAAGUUUAGUAUGAAGGCUCUUUUAUAAAGCUAUUUCAAAGAUAUAUUGAUAUGUGGCUUUAGUUUCGUUCUCUCCAUUUUGUGUAGUUGAUGUUAUUUGCAUUUUGAUGAUGAAUUUGGUUGAUUGCAUAUGGCUUGUAUGCUGGAAGGCUCUCUCUCUCUCUCUCUCUCUCUCUCUCUCUCUCUCUCUCUCUCUCUCUCUCUCUAUGCCUAUUCUGAUUAAAAGUAUAUUGCUUCUAGCUCAUUAUGAAUAGCACUUCUUAUGUAUAUGUGCACAAGUAAUCUGUCCAUCUUUUAGUUAAUGGGCAUCCUCUCGGCACAAGAAUGAAGUGCACAUUUGGUAGUCUUUGAAUGGUUUUAUAAUAAUGAUUCCAAUAAAAAGAAAAAAAAAAUCAAGUAUUAAUGAUAUGGAGGCAAUGUUAGAGUAAUCCGGAAAAUAAAAUUGAUUGGACAUCACAACUCGGUCAAAUUUGGGAAAAUUGAAAGAGGGUAAAUGUGCCGUACGUGUACCAAUUUUGGUUUUCUAUGAUCGGAAAAAUUAAUUUAGAGUAAAUUUAUCAUAAAUAUACCAGUUUGGGGUAAAAUUGUCAUAAAUAUACUAGUUUAUGGUUUUUAAUGGUAUUAAACUUAUGAAUUUCCACAUGGCUUGCCACGUUAGCAAAGUUAACAACAAAAUCGAAUGGAAGCUAACGGAGGGUAGAUUUGUCACAUGUAUAUCAAUUNNNNNNNNNNNNNNNNNNNNNNNNNNNNNNNNNNNNNNNNNNNNNNNNNNNNNNNNNNNNNNNNNNNNNNNNNNNNNNNNNNNNNNNNNNNNNNNNNNNNNNNNNNNNNNNNNNNNNNNNNNNNNNNNNNNNNNNNNNNNNNNNNNNNNNNNNNNNNNNNNNNNNNNNNNNNNNNNNNNNNNNNNNNNNNNNNNNNNNNNNNNNNNNNNNNNNNNNNNNNNNNNNNNNNNNNNNNNNNNNNNNNNNNNNNNNNNNNNNNNNNNNNNNNNNNNNNNNNNNNNNNNNNNNNNNNNNNNNNNNNNNNNNNNNNNNNNNNNNNNNNNNNNNNNNNNNNNNNNNNNNNNNNNNNNNNNNNNNNNNNNNNNNNNNNNNNNNNNNNNNNNNNNNNNNNNNNNNNNNNNNNNNNNNNNNNNNNNNNNNNNNNNNNNNNNNNNNNNNNNNNNNNNNNNNNNNNNNNNNNNNNNNNNNNNNNNNNNNNNNNNNNNNNNNNNNNNNNNNNNNNNNNNNNNNNNNNNNNNNNNNNNNNNNNNNNNNNNNNNNNNNNNNNNNNNNNNNNNNNNNNNNNNNNNNNNNNNNNNNNNNNNNNNNNNNNNNNNNNNNNNNNNNNNNNNNNNNNNNNNNNNNNNNNNNNNNNNNNNNNNNNNNNNNNNNNNNNNNNNNNNNNNNNNNNNNNNNNNNNNNNNNNNNNNNNNNNNNNNNNNNNNNNNNNNNNNNNNNNNNNNNNNNNNNNNNNNNNNNNNNNNNNNNNNNNNNNNNNNNNNNNNNNNNNNNNNNNNNNNNNNNNNNNNNNNNNNNNNNNNNNNNNNNNNNNNNNNNNNNNNNNNNNNNNNNNNNNNNNNNNNNNNNNNNNNNNNNNNNNNNNNNNNNNNNNNNNNNNNNNNNNNNNNNNNNNNNNNNNNNNNNNNNNNNNNNNNNNNNNNNNNNNNNNNNNNNNNNNNNNNNNNNNNNNNNNNNNNNNNNNNNNNNNNNNNNNNNNNNNNNNNNNNNNNNNNNNNNNNNNNNNNNNNNNNNNNNNNNNNNNNNNNNNNNNNNNNNNNNNNNNNNNNNNNNNNNNNNNNNNNNNNNNNNNNNNNNNNNNNNNNNNNNNNNNNNNNNNNNNNNNNNNNNNNNNNNNNNNNNNNNNNNNNNNNNNNNNNNNNNNNNNNNNNNNNNNNNNNNNNNNNNNNNNNNNNNNNNNNNNNNNNNNNNNNNNNNNNNNNNNNNNNNNNNNNNNNNNNNNNNNNNNNNNNNNNNNNNNNNNNNNNNNNNNNNNNNNNNNNNNNNNNNNNNNNNNNNNNNNNNNNNNNNNNNNNNNNNNNNNNNNNNNNNNNNNNNNNNNNNNNNNNNNNNNNNNNNNNNNNNNNNNNNNNNNNNNNNNNNNNNNNNNNNNNNNNNNNNNNNNNNNNNNNNNNNNNNNNNNNNNNNNNNNNNNNNNNNNNNNNNNNNNNNNNNNNNNNNNNNNNNNNNNNNNNNNNNNNNNNNNNNNNNNNNNNNNNNNNNNNNNNNNNNNNNNNNNNNNNNNNNNNNNNNNNNNNNNNNNNNNNNNNNNNNNNNNNNNNNNNNNNNNNNNNNNNNNNNNNNNNNNNNNNNNNNNNNNNNNNNNNNNNNNNNNNNNNNNNNNNNNNNNNNNNNNNNNNNNNNNNNNNNNNNNNNNNNNNNNNNNNNNNNNNNNNNNNNNNNNNNNNNNNNNNNNNNNNNNNNNNNNNNNNNNNNNNNNNNNNNNNNNNNNNNNNNNNNNNNNNNNNNNNNNNNNNNNNNNNNNNNNNNNNNNNNNNNNNNNNNNNNNNNNNNNNNNNNNNNNNNNNNNNNNNNNNNNNNNNNNNNNNNNNNNNNNNNNNNNNNNNNNNNNNNNNNNNNNNNNNNNNNNNNNNNNNNNNNNNNNNNNNNNNNNNNNNNNNNNNNNNNNNNNNNNNNNNNNNNNNNNNNNNNNNNNNNNNNNNNNNNNNNNNNNNNNNNNNNNNNNNNNNNNNNNNNNNNNNNNNNNNNNNNNNNNNNNNNNNNNNNNNNNNNNNNNNNNNNNNNNNNNNNNNNNNNNNNNNNNNNNNNNNNNNNNNNNNNNNNNNNNNNNNNNNNNNNNNNNNNNNNNNNNNNNNNNNNNNNNNNNNNNNNNNNNNNNNNNNNNNNNNNNNNNNNNNNNNNNNNNNNNNNNNNNNNNNNNNNNNNNNNNNNNNNNNNNNNNNNNNNNNNNNNNNNNNNNNNNNNNNNNNNNNNNNNNNNNNNNNNNNNNNNNNNNNNNNNNNNNNNNNNNNNNNNNNNNNNNNNNNNNNNNNNNNNNNNNNNNNNNNNNNNNNNNNNNNNNNNNNNNNNNNNNNNNNNNNNNNNNNNNNNNNNNNNNNNNNNNNNNNNNNNNNNNNNNNNNNNNNNNNNNNNNNNNNNNNNNNNNNNNNNNNNNNNNNNNNNNNNNNNNNNNNNNNNNNNNNNNNNNNNNNNNNNNNNNNNNNNNNNNNNNNNNNNNNNNNNNNNNNNNNNNNNNNNNNNNNNNNNNNNNNNNNNNNNNNNNNNNNNNNNNNNNNNNNNNNNNNNNNNNNNNNNNNNNNNNNNNNNNNNNNNNNNNNNNNNNNNNNNNNNNNNNNNNNNNNNNNNNNNNNNNNNNNNNNNNNNNNNNNNNNNNNNNNNNNNNNNNNNNNNNNNNNNNNNNNNNNNNNNNNNNNNNNNNNNNNNNNNNNNNNNNNNNNNNNNNNNNNNNNNNNNNNNNNNNNNNNNNNNNNNNNNNNNNNNNNNNNNNNNNNNNNNNNNNNNNNNNNNNNNNNNNNNNNNNNNNNNNNNNNNNNNNNNNNNNNNNNNNNNNNNNNNNNNNNNNNNNNNNNNNNNNNNNNNNNNNNNNNNNNNNNNNNNNNNNNNNNNNNNNNNNNNNNNNNNNNNNNNNNNNNNNNNNNNNNNNNNNNNNNNNNNNNNNNNNNNNNNNNNNNNNNNNNNNNNNNNNNNNNNNNNNNNNNNNNNNNNNNNNNNNNNNNNNNNNNNNNNNNNNNNNNNNNNNNNNNNNNNNNNNNNNNNNNNNNNNNNNNNNNNNNNNNNNNNNNNNNNNNNNNNNNNNNNNNNNNNNNNNNNNNNNNNNNNNNNNNNNNNNNNNNNNNNNNNNNNNNNNNNNNNNNNNNNNNNNNNNNNNNNNNNNNNNNNNNNNNNNNNNNNNNNNNNNNNNNNNNNNNNNNNNNNNNNNNNNNNNNNNNNNNNNNNNNNNNNNNNNNNNNNNNNNNNNNNNNNNNNNNNUAUUUAUGUUUAGUAAAUGGGUUUAGACCUAACUCUAUGGAUCAUAAAUGGGUUUAAUGUGGGUGUUAAAUGGGUUCUCAACUUAUUUAGACUAAACUUACUCCUAUGACUCUCUUUUCACUCUCUCUUACCUUCACUUGAUCUCACGUUCAUUUAUUCUAUGCUUUCACUUUAGUUUGGGUAUGAAUUUUCCCAAUUUGAGUUAAAUAUAUAAGUAUUUUAACAUUAUGGGUUGUGUAUGGAUCACUAUAUUUGUGUUGUAUGAAAAUGAGCUAAAAAGGUUAAAUUGAUCAAUUUACGUAGGACCAUUUUUUACUCAGCUUGAACCAAAUCCGACUCGACCUAACCUAAUCCACCCAUUUGACAAAUUUAGUUAGUGAUUGCUUUCUGCCCAAAAGUGGGCCUCCAUUGGGAAAAAAAACUUCACAAAUUCUCUAUAAACUAGAGCUCCCUUCUCUCAUUUUCAGCAUUCAUCACUCUCUCCCAAAUUCUCAUUCUUUUACAAAUUUGUAAUUUCUCGCAAAUUUGCACUUCCUAUAUAUGAAUUACUUCAUUCAAUCUUGUAAUGGAUCCCAACCGCUUCUCAAAUGGCGAUUAAGGAUCUCCGAGCUUGAGGUGGCACUUCGAUUCCUACACUAAUCCCGAGAUGCAACGCACUCCCUAUGUGCCUGGUUCACCCAAGAAACAGCAACAAAUGCAGGACACUGACGGCAUGAUAGAAAGACUGGAUGAUUCAAAAUUCAUGUCGCGCAAACCCCUACCUCAACCUCAAAGAUCAACAAACUACAAUCAAUGUCGCGCAACCUUCGAGGUGAAGAUCAUCCAUUCUUUGGUGGACAUUAAAAAUCGAUAGGGUAAUGAUAAGUGUUGGGAAAACUUCCUAUGAUAUUUUGAUGAUUUCAAAACUAUCAUUGGUUUAAUAUCUACCACAUGAUUGUAGAUGUUCAUCAUGAUCAAUUGAUGAUAAUUUUAUGAUGAACUGAUCAUAUCAAUGGUGUAAAGCUUAGUGAUGGACAUGCACAAAGAUGUAGGCCUUGACAAAAGGAGAACAAGUUAGAUAUCACAAGCGGUUCAUAAGGACUUGGAGGGACCAAGAUAAGGUGAUCAUCACCCUAAAGCCUUUGGAUACUGGUAUGCUCAGGAAGACCAUUGGAUAAUGAAAUGCAAGUUGUUCCGCGAAGAAUACAAUUGAUAUCAUCAACAGAAUAUUAACAAGGGCAUGUGCUAAUAACAAGUGAUGACCAGCAAUUGAUGAUACAAUGUCAAUUCCUAGAAGGCGUUGUUCAAUAAUCCAUCCUAGGUUGACCGUUGAAUUGGAAGAAAAUAGUUGUUAACAAAGUCGGGAAUUCGUGGCGAGAGGACUAAAAGCAAGUGAGGACAUCUUUGGCACUUUUGGUCAGUGUGUUAGACUAUAUAUUUGAUGGAUCAGUAUAACAAACUUCAUUUCAGAAACUUUUCUUUUGCCGGCAGGAGCAAACUGUAUGGGCAGCUGAACGCUGACAUUUGCUACAACCAACUCCCAACGCCUCUUCAACUCUUCAGAAGCAUCUUCAACGGUUGGAUUAGAGGGGGAACGCCUAUAUAAAGAGGAUCAAAACAGCUAGAAGUGGUGGCUACCGAACCUUGAAUGCCGGUGAAGAAUGCCUAAGGAUGGAGGAGCCACCGUUUGGACACCAAGAGGAGAGGACACCGCUGAGCAAGGCCAAUACGAGCCUAGAGAGGUUCACAAUUUGAGAGCUCCUGAAUGAGUUGUGUUUCCAUUAUGGCUGGCCAUAGAAGGUUUAUGAAGCCUCCACAGGUCCUAAUUGAGUUAGCAUUAGGACUGGACGGGAUGGAGCUUACAAUCGGUUAAACAACGAGACUAAGAUGACUUCAAAAUGGACGACGUAGAUGGGGUGAGGAGAGAUGAAGAGGGGUGGUUGGCAGUUGGAUUAAGGGUAAGCGUUUGAUGCGAUAACAGCUAUUGAAACAAAAUGCUAUGUUAUCCACUCGAUCUAACUUUGGAUGAUUUCUCACAAUUUGGAAUCAUGGCUGAUUUCUCAAAACUUUGGGAUUAUCGCUUAACUCACUGUUUGGACCCUAAAAUUUCAACAAUCUUGGAGAGCAUGUUCCAUGGCUCAUUGAACUAAACUUGACCUUGUGGCCGUUAGCAAUUUGAUUCUAGGCCCACAUUGCCUCUCAAACUCGGGAUUGAGCACUAAAAAGGUUGGAAAUUUACGUUCUAGCUUAAUUUCUAUGCUUGAGCUCCAAAAAUCUUGCGAAUGUCAAUUUAAGCACGUUUCUUCACCAUGAUUGCCCAUUUAAGCUCACUUCUCUCAUGGCAAGUUGGAUUUUGAAGUUCUAUCUCAUGCCAAGUCACUUCUUGAGGUCGCCUCUAGUUCCCUGUAUAUGUGUCAGUACUGAAGUGUAAAUUAUGCAACAUUGAUAUAUUUGUUUAAAGUGCGAUUUGAUCCCUAAUUUCUGAUUUAAUGAAUGACUAAUCCAUUAGCCAAAAUUAGGUGUCAAUGAUUGGGAAUGGAUCGGAUGCCCAUUGUUCAGACUAUGGGCAUCCAGCCCACUUUUGGUCUAUUUGAGACUCUCCAGGUCGGUCCUCCAUGGUCCCUUUGCUCUGUGUUCACUCUAGGAUUGUCGAGGCAUGCUUUAGGUCCCCUUUUUAAGCUUGGGGAUUGUAGCAUCCCGAACCCUUCGUCGAUCGCUACAAGCUCUGGUGUUACACUUUAUUACCUUUCUUUCUUUCGAACAAGCGUCCUAAUUUGCAGACACAUUUUUUUUUUUAAACGAUCGGUCCCAAUGCGACUCAUAGCGGAAGCAAAUUAAACAUCACCAUCUAUCCCCCUACCAAUCCAUGAUACAAAUACACACCAGCUAAACAUCAGGAUUUUAUAAACAAACAUCGACACAUUAUUUACAUAUUCUUUUAGGAUGGGACUUCCUUUUUCUCGGGUCGAUACAAAACAAGAAAAGCUAGGACUCUGCCAUGUCUUGCCUAAAAUCUCAAAAAGAAACACCCUUGACCCUCAACAUCAUACGAGCGCAAACCCCCAUCGAAAGUGUCGAUUAUCUACAUCAAAAAGAGAUCCAGCUCCUACUCAUCGCGCGCAGGUCUCACACCCAACCCGGUGCAUCAGGUGGUGGCGGCGGCAGCAUCCCUCGCAUAGCUCCAUCCCAUCGAACGUGCACAGAAAUGAACUCUUGUAUGAUAGGGCCCUCAACCAGGCCGAUAUCAUACAUCACUAGACAUCGCACUCGGAUAAAAGUUAGUCCGGGAACAGAGGGACAAUCUAUCUCCGCACACUCAACCUCUACAUCAGACGGUAGACCAUAGAAUACCCCCCGCGAGACGGCAGGAAGCGGCAUACUGCUAAUCUGAAAUGUUAUCCCCAAAAGGGGUGAGUACAACCACUCAGCAGAUAGGGAAAUCCAAUAACAACUCAAUGCAUCAUGCAAAUUACACAUGCAUAGCAGGCACUACUUACCUUGAAGCCAGGCACACACUAUCAUGCAUCAUCACAUCACAUCACAUAUCAUCAUCAUCAUCAUCAUCAUGCAUAUCAUCAUGCAUAUCAUAUCAUAUCAUGGGGUGAUCAUCAUAUCACAUCACAUAUUAUCAUCAUCAUCAUCAUCAAUCUCAUCAUCAACCCUUCGGGCAGAAACCUCCGACAGGGCUCCCGGCAAACUCAGCCAUCCCAUGGCCACCGGGCUUCCGGCCCCCCACAUUCCGGGCAUCUCGCAUCUCAACUAGCAUCACGAGGCAUUCCCUUCGGGCCGAAACCUCCGACAGGGCUUCCGGCCUUUACCCUUCUAGCCAGGCAUCCCGCACCCAAAUCCUGGCAUCGCGAGGAACCUCCGGGCAUGUAUCCAAGAUACAACCGGACAUCCGGCCCUCCCACAUUCCGGGCAUCCUGAAUCUCCCAGGGAAUUCCGGCAAUGUAUCUAUACAUUCCGGCCAUCAUCCUCCACCACAACCACUUCCUCAUUUACCAUCAUCCACAUAUACCAUUUCUUUAUCUCAAUUUAACAUGGCAAUUGGCAUGGUAUCAAACAAAUCACACUUGACAUGGAAUUCACACUUGCAUCUCAAUUCAUAUGUCAUACACAUGCCAAAACUUUAUCCCAUACACAUCUCAAUUCAAUACAUGUACAAGGACCAUGUCAUACGCAUACCAAGACUUUAUCACAUAUACAUCUCAAUCCAAUACAUGUGCAAAGACCUCAUCACACAUAUGCCACACAAAUAGAAUUGAAUCCAUGGCCAAAUAAAAAUCCAUUUUAUUUUAUUAUUUUAUUAUUUUAUUAUUAUAUUAUUAUAUUAUUAUAUAUAUUUAUUUUCAUAAAUAAGUAUUAAAUUUAAUAUCUAUGAUUUUCCCAAAAUCAUAAUAUUCAAAAUAUCACUAAACAAAUCAAUAUGAUCACAAUUUCAUACAAAAUUCAUCGCCAAAUUGAAUUUCUCAUAACUUCACAAUUUCCACAAAAUAGCACAUGAUAUUCGGAUAAUGACCAGAAUUGCACAGUUUCCAAAUAAAUUCGAUUAAAAUACUCAUAUGGCCUUCAAAAAUUACAAAAUUUUACAGGGUGAUAGCCAACACAUUUUCGUGCACUUUUCGUGAAGAACUCUAAGCCAAAUUCUUUUUAGAUUAGUUUAUAUAACCCCACGAAACCUCUGGAACCACUACCGCGUCGUCCAGAAUACACUUCUUCGAAAUUUUUAGAUUUCACCCAUCUAUUCUCUUUCGUUUCCUCUGAAAUUUGAGUAUGUUAUGUAUCAAGUUGUCCUUUACAAGUUUCAUGAAGAGAUCUAGGUCAAAUAACCAAAGUAUGGUCACCAUUUAAGUCCAUGAAGUCUUGGGUGUCUCGGAACACAUCACCAGAAUCAUCAUCUCCAAGAUCUAGCCGAUUUACUAGGCUAUACUUGUUCAUUUCUCUUAAAAUUUGAGAAUGUUGUAGUUUAAGGUGUUACCUACAACUUUCAUGAAGACAUCAAAGUCAGAUUUUCAUCACAAACCAACAUGCAACCAAGAAUCCAACAAGAAGUCAGUGAAAACAUCACAGAUCUGGGGUCUCCGUAUAACAAGGCUUUAACCCCUCAAAUCUUCAUCAUUUUUCACGAAAUUUCUGUAUGUUAUACUAAAAGAUGUUAGCUACAACUUUCAUGAAGACAUCAAAGCCAAAAUCUGACUCCAAACACACAUGGAAGCUCUAACAAGCUACUGACUUCCACAAACCGAACAAGAACAGUCACACGGUUUGAAAACAACCAACCCUACCUCUGUUUCUCGCACAAAUCACACCUAAAAUCGAACAUGCAACCACCAAAACAAACAUGCAAGAGAAGUUACUGACUCCACUUGCCUCUAGGAUGAACAACGACGGCGUACGGACGGCGGGACACGGCGAUUGGAUGGUGAACGAACGGCGGCUCCCUCGGCUCCGCCUCCUUCCCCUCUCGGUUUCUCCCUUUCUCUCGAACUCUCUCUCCCUCUCGCACUCUCUCUCGGCCAAAUGAAGAAAGAACCGGCCACUCUCCCUUCUCUCUCCCUUUUUAUAUCACCAUCUUCUCAUGAUUAGCAAUCAUGAGAUUGCCUACAAACCACCCAAUGCAUGCUCUUGCCCCUUGCCACUUGUCAUUUUUAUUUUUGAAUUUGAUUGGGCUUGGGCUUUUGGAGUUGGGCCAUACGGCCACUCCCCUUGGGCUGGUUGAGCUCCCUCUUGGGCCGACUAGCUUGGCCCACCAAGCUUUAGGCUAAUGGGCCCAAGGCCCAUUCCAAGAAUUAACCUCUUUUUCCCUUCUUUUUUCUUUGAAAUUCUCCUAUAAAUAUUUCUAAAUUUCAAUUUUCAAUCUUGGCCAAAGUCUUAGGAUAUUUUUUUGCUCAUUGAAAUUUAAAUCACACAGCCAAGCAUAGAUUAUUAAUCUAUUAAAUUUAAAUUUCCACAAUCAUAAGCACAAAUCAUCAAAUUAAAAGACUAAUGGCUAAAACAUAAGCCAUGGAAAUUGUGCCACCUAAUUAAAGACUUUAACACACCUUAAGGCUUGGCUUUGAAUUUCUGGGAUGCCACAGGGAUAGGCCGAAUGUGUGUUUUUCGUAGACAGAUGAAAAUGGAGAUGUCGAAUAGUCAUCAGUCUCGCCAAUGCCAUCUUCCGACUCAGAGUUUAGAUGACGUCUCUUUCUUAUUAUAGUCGAGCAUUUAAAUUUAGUUUUAUUUUUUUUCUCAUAUAUAGAUAAUCUCUUCGUAUUAAUAUACAUACACAUAUAUAAAGUAUAAAAGAAGCAUUUUUAAUGCGUGUCGGCUUUUUCGCAGUACAAUAUAGGAUGAGAUUAAUUUUGACUAUUGUUAGUAGCAUCAUAAUGCAUUUAGGAUUAAUCUCUCAUUACAAAGAUUAAAAAAUUUUCAUUUAUUAAACUUGUGCAUGUCUCUUCUUAUGAAUAGCUCAAGUCCUGUUUUAGGAGUUUAUAGCAAAGCGUUGAACUAAUUUUGUUUGAUACGGCUGAAAUUGCUUUUAUUCUUUUCCAGUCUUUAUAUUUAUCAUUGAUUGAGUAUCUAUAGAUUUACAUGUUUAAGAAAUAAAAAAUGAAAAUAUAUUGGAAGAAAUAAUUUUUAUUAAAAGAAAAAAGUUACUAGUGAUAGGUGCUAGGCAAAACUACCUUAACCAAGUUCUUGCAUCUAAAACCUAUGGUUCACCAAAGUGGGGCAAGCGCCUAUGCCUUACUUGGCUCACAACUGCCCUAUAAUAGGUUAGUGGCAACUGUUAUUAAAAUUCGACCAUUUAAUAAAAAAGAAAUCAAGUUGUGGUUGGCGGGGUUUGGAAGAACUGUACAUUGCAUAAGCACCACGUUGUAAGAGAGUUAUAUGUCUCCGCCUAACAAUUCAUUAAAUUCUUUCAAAGUUCAUAUUGGCAAGAUAGUGAUAAUGUACAUAUUGAUGUAGUUCAAAUGUAAUUUUCAUUCAUAAUGCAUAGACAUGUAAUUAUAAAAUUUCAUAUUGCAGAACAACAUUCGAAAAAGUUACGUUUUUUACAGUAUCAUAUACGGAGCAUAAGUUCAUGAACUAACGACAUUCGAGGACUCUACUUGUCCGCCAUUACCCUUAGCUGCCCAAUUGGUGCGAAUCUCAAUUAGUCUUUUGAAUUUAUGAAGGAAGGCUGCAGGUGACUUCCAGGCAAAUGGAACAUAACAACAGAGUAAUGGCAAGUGGAACAUGUAUUAACUUGUCCAAUACGUCCAACAUAGAUCUAACUAACAUGUAAUAUAAUAUAUUAAGUUCUCCAAUAAGUCCAACAUCUAAUUGACAUACAAUGCUUAAUCUCUUCCAACUAGCACAGAUAUCCAUCACUGAAAUCCUCUCGUCAUGUAGAGCUUUGUCUACCUUUUAUGGGUAGUUUUCUUCUGGCUUCUUCCCUUUAACCCUAAUUGUCAUCCAUAAUCUCCUUCUUCCUGUCCAUCUACCCUUCAUCGCUCCAUCCCUUUGCCUUUAUCGGAUGAUUUUGUUCUUCAUUAUCUUCAAUGUCGUCCAUCCAACAAGAUAUCAACCAUCAGUUCCUGCUGGUCUAAGGGCUUGCAUGUCAUCCUACUCUUUUGCACAAAGUACAUGCUGUUUCUAUGGCUUUAAAAGGUUGGAGUUGCUCAAAAUUUCAACUUGAAGACUUGCAGGUUAAUGCCUUACACCAACAGCUUGAAGAGAUCACCAAUCGACCAUAUAUCAACAGCCAUGAUAAAGAAGCAGCUUCUCUUAUCCGGGAUGAAAUUUGUAGAAUAUGGCAGCAAGAAGAACAAUUUUGGGCCUGCGGUCCAGAAUCAAUUGGUUGCGAUAGGGAGAUAAGAAUACUAAAUUUUUUCACGCAACCACCAUCCAAAGACGCCAACGGAAUAGGAUAACUAUGAUACAGGAUGUUAAUCAGGAAUGGGUGCGGGAUCCUCAAACACUAAAGGAGAUGACGACUGCUUUCUUUUCCAAUUUAUAUACAUCAGAGGGGUAUAGAGACUACAACCCUAUUUUGAAUCAAUGCCCCACAGUUGUCACUCCAAAAAUGAAUAACCAAUUAACUGCUUUUGUCAAUCUUGAAGAGGUGCGCUGGUCAGCUUUCCAGUUGGGGGUCUCUAAAGUUCCAAGCUCGGACGAUUUGAGUGGUCUUUUUUAUUAGACGAAUUGGGAUAUUAUUAAGGAUGAUCUUCUGAGGACAGUGCAAGAUUUCUUUAAUUCAGAAGUGCUGCCCUACAAUCUAAAUAGAACCAUUAUUGCUUUGGUUCCCAAAACCAAUCACCUUGAAUGAAUGGAUCAGUACAGGUCCAUUAGUCUAUGCAACUACGCAUACAAAAUCAUCUCUAAAGUUAUUGUUAAUCGCCUAAAACCAUGGGUUCCUGAUCUAAUCUUUAAGGAACAGGAUGCCUUUGUGAGUGGACGGCAGAUCCAAGACAAUAUUUUGAUCGUUUAGGAAGUUCUGCAUCAAUUCAAGACAAGGAAGUGGAAGCGAAAGUACAAGGUACUAAUUAAGACAGACAUGCAAAAGGCAUAUGAUAGAGUUGAGUGGGAUUUCCUCAAAGACUAUUUGAUAAAAUUGGGUUUUCAUCAACGAUGGGUUUUAUGGGUGAUGCAAUGCAUAACUACCCCAUCCUUCAGUGUACGUUUUAACGGCGAACUACUACCUUAUUUUCAGCCAUCGAGGGGACUCCGUCAAGGUGACCCACUAUCCCCUUACAUUUUCAUAUUAGUGGUGAACGUUCUUUCCACUUUAAUUUCCCAAGCAAUUGAAGGAGGCCAUCUUAAAGGGAUCAAGCUAGCCAGGUCAUGUCUGACUCUCUCACACUUAUUUUUCGCAGAUGACUCAGUCUUUUUUUCUAGAUGGUACACUCACUGAAUGCCAGAACCUUGCUAAUAUCUUGAAUCAGUAUUGCCUUGCCACAGGAAAGAUCAUCAACAUAAAUAAAUAUGGAAUGUUUUGCAGUAAAUAUUGUCCUUUGAGAUUGCAGGAAAAUUUAGCAAGGGAAUUUCAAAUUCCGGUGUUGCAAAGAUAUGGCAAAUACUUGGGUAUACCUUCGGACUGGGGACGAUCAAAAUGAGAGAUGUUUUCUUGGAUCUUAGCAAGAGUAAAUGCAAAACUGGAAGGUUGGAAAGAACGACUAUUAUCUAAAGGGGGUAAAUAAAUCCUACUUAAAUCUGUUGUGCAAGCUAUUCCACAAUAUGCAAUGUCUAUCUUCAAGCUUCCUCUAUCUCUUUGUAAAGGGUUUGAACAAUGAAUUUCCAGCUUUUGGUGGAGGAACAAUAAGAGUAGAACAGGGGUGCAUUGGUAGAAAUGGGAUGAACUAAAAAUCAGCAAACUCAAUGGGGGUCUUGGCUUUCGAGACCUAAUAGCUUUUAAUAAGGCAAUGCUUGGUAAGCAAGCAUGGCAAUUAAUUCAUCAACCUCUCUCUUUAUGGAGUCAGAUCUUUAAGGGGCUUUAUUUUCCUACACAAGACUUCCUAAUAGCAGAUAAAGGGUAUUGCCCGUCCUGGGGCUAGCAGAGCCUUCUUAUUGGUAGAGAGGCAAUUACACCUAAUAUGAGAUGGUCUGUUGGUGAUGGCCAAAAAAUCAAAAUACGAGAGGAUCGAUGGUUAUCUAUUGGAACUAUAGCAAGACCAGCUGCACGAGAGGUGUCAUGCCUCGAACCUCGAGACACGUGAAACAACCCGCCAUGGUCAUGUAAAUGCGACAUUCCCAGGUAGUGUCGCCGACCCCAAUAUUAAAUUAUUAAAUUAUUAUGCGCAUACAGAACGUGUUAAGAAAUCCCCUGACAAAAGCAUAUGGGAUAGGACAACAGGAAAAAUAAAUUCAAAAUCAAACACACUUUCAUACAUCAUCAUCAAUCCAGGGUUUACAUACACCAACAGGAUCCAGAGACUAUAUGCACCAAAAAUGGGUCAGAGUUUAUGUGCAUCAAAAAGGGUCAGGAGCGCUCUCGGUCGUCUGGUCCAUCUCCGUCGGCAUGCCAUUCAUCUCCAGGGUACCGCCAUCUACGGUCCUAUAAUAUUUUUCCCCAAACCGGGAUGAGACUUUGUCUCAACAAGUUCACCCCUCCUAAACCCCUAUUAGAAAGCAAAUACACCCCAAAGUGGUCUAGCCACACAGCACAGAAGACUUACCUCACCUUCUUGCCUUCCUGCAGGUUAGUACAAUUCAUAUCACUCAAACACCAGUAAUGAUAAGAAUGUAAGCCAUCUGAACACAAUCAAUUUCACUUAAUUUCACAAUCACAGCAAGCAUUCCAUGUCAUCAUUAUCCAUUGCCACACAAGGGCACAGUCUACUCGCAGGUCGGCUAACUACUAACAUUACAGCAUUUCUAGAAUAAUAAAGGUCCAGUUGGUCUCGCCACUACUGCAACCAAGCCAUGUCAUUCUAUCGACGGCAUUUCUAGAAGAAUAAAGGUCCAGUCGGUCUCGCCACUACUGCGACCAAGCCACGUCAUUCUAUCGACGGCAUUUCUAGAAGAAUAAUGGUCCAGUCGGUCUUGCCACUACUGCGACCAAGCCACGUCAUUCUAUCGAUGGCAUUUCUAGAAGAAUAAAGGUCCAGUCGGUCUCGCCACUACUGCGACCAAGCCACGUCAUUCUAUCGACGGCAUUUCUAGAAGAAUAAUGGUCCAGUCGGUCUCGCCACUACUGCGACCAAGCCACGUCAUUCUAUUGACGGCAUUUCUAGAAGAAUAAAGGUCCAGUCGGUCUCGCCACUAUUGCAACCAAGCCACGUCAUUCUAUCGACGGCAUUUCUAGAAGAAUAAUGGUCCAGUCGGUCUCGCCACUACUGCGACCAAGCUUUUCAACCAACACACAACAAUUCAAAAUCGACCCCUAUACACUUUACAUGGGAAUUUCUAAAUAUUAACCCUUCAAAAUUCGAUUUCGGUGUCAAACCCGACACGUGGGAAUUUCUGAAUAAAAUUCCUAGUUUUCACAAUCAACAUUCAAUUUGCAAUAUUCACUCAUCAAAUUCAGAUUCUAAACACACAGCAGCGAUCGGCACGAAAUUCUGAGCAAUUAGGAUCAAAAAUAAUUUUUCGAGUUUUUUUUAAUAUUUUAAUGAAUUUCGGAAUAUGAAAUAUUAUUAAAUAAACCAACAAUUUCGAAGCAUUUAUUUAAAUCAUAAAUAAAUUCCUUUAAGUCACAUCAAGGUUUAUUUUAAAAUAAACCCAUUUAACCUUUAAACUAAACACACUUUACUUUAAUUAAUCACCUCAAAUUAAUCCACAACUAAAUAAACUAAUCUAGCCACCUAAUCUCUCCCAACUUAAGCUAAACACACUUAAGGCAUCAUUAACUCGCUAAUCACAGUUUAGUGAGGUAAACUCACCGGAAUCGCUUUCCGAUGAGUCUCCGGCGAAGAGCACAACGACGCCGAUGACAAACUGAGCUUUGAAGGGUGACGGAACGGCGGCUGAACGGGCGGAGGAAGACCGGCGGAGGCGGCUAGGUCUUGGGACGGCAGCUCACAGCAAUGGACGGCGGUGAAGGAGGCUCCAGCGACUAUGAACAGCUGCUACCUUGGAGAGAUGACAACUCGGGAUGCUUGGCGGACGGAAACGAGGCAGCUCGGCGCGGAACGAGAUGGCGACGCUGCGGGCUCAGGCGAACGGCGAGCAACGGGCACGUGGGCGAGAUGGUGGCCGGCCGAGCGAGAAGUCGAGCGGCGAGGAUGGGCGGUCGAAGGGGGGUGGUUCCGCUGGUUUUUCCUUCCUCUCUCUCUCUCCUCCAAAUUCCAAAAGGAAGAAGAUGAUGGGGACAAGGGGGAAGUGACAUCCCACCUUUCCAAGAUCUCAUCCCCACCUUCCACUUGUCACAACCCUAGCCCAUCUUGCUCCAUCCAUGACAUCACAUGUGAUGUCAUCAUCCACUAACUCCAACCUCCACAACUUUAGUCCAAUAGGUUCAAUUUCAUUUUCCGCCGGGGUCCAAGUUAUUGUACAUUCAAUUUCUUCAAUUUCCAUCAAUUCUCUUGCAAUUGAGUCCAAAUUAAAGUCCGUGAAUUAAUCCAAUGUCCCUAAUAAGCUUUGCGACACCCCAUGACUUCCAAUUUCAGAAUUCGAUUUCAAUUUCACGGUUAAUUUCACUCUGGUGCGAUUUCAGCGCGCCUAAUCCAUUGAGUAGCUUUUAGGGAAGUUUUCUUAAAUCCGACCUGAGGGUGAUCAGUCCCCAAGUCUGACGUGGUAAAAUUCCUUAAUUACUUCACUCAAUAGACUAGUUCUCUCGUGAGUAGCCAACUCUGAGAGACGAACUACAUGCACAGAUGAAUUGCCCGACUCAAUUGACUGAAAAUAAAAUUGAGAAAAUCGAGAUGUCACGACUCCUCCCCUCUUAUAAAAAUUUCGUCCUCGAAAUUUAAAUCAUUACAUAUUUGAAGCAAGAAGGUAAGGGUACAAUUCUCUCAUCGAAUCCUCGGUUUCCCAAGUUGCUCCUUCAAUGCCGUGGUGUUGCCAGACCACUUUGACCAUUGGGAUGGUCUUGGUGCGCAGAACUUGCUUCUUCCGAUCCACAAUCUAAACUGGGCUUUCAACGUACAACCCCUUGUCGUCCACAUCUAAUUCCUCGAAAUUUAAAAUGUGAGUCGGGCCAGGUUCAUACCUCCUCAACAUUGACACGUGAAAGACAUUGUGCACCUGUGACAACUUUGGUGGCAAUGCAAGACGAUGCGCUAGUGUCCCUAUUCUUUCCAAAAUCUCGAAGGGACCUACGUACCUCGGACUUAGUUUCCCCUUUUUGCCAAAGCGGGAAGUACCUCUUACCGGUGACACCUUCAAGAAGACGUGCUCACCAACUUGGAAUUCCAAUAGCCUCCGACGCUUAUCGGUAUAACUUUUCUGUUGACUUUGAGCGGUCUUUAGUCUGUCUCUAAUAACUGCGACUGCCUCCACCAACUGCUGAACUAACUCUGGACCGGUGAUCUUUCUUUCUCCGACCUCCUCCCAACACACUGGUGUCCUGCACGCUCUGCCAUACAACGCUUCGAAAGGAGCCAUCUGAAUACUCUGCUGAUAACUGUUGUUGUAGGCAAACUCGACCAGAUGAAGCUGUUCCUCCCAACUUCCUUUGAAGUCCAAGACACAAGCUCGCAGCAUGUCCUCAAGAGUCUGAAUUGUCCUCUCAGACUGGCCAUCAGUCUGCGGGUGAUAGGCCGUACUGUACUGCAGCUUCGUUCCUAAAGCAGAUUGCAAGCUCUUCCAAAAAGCGGCGGUGAACCUCAGGUCUCUGUCUGAAGUAAUUGUAACCAGCACUCCAUGCAUACGAACUAUCUGACAUACAUACAAAUCUGCGAGUCUAUCCAAACUCAAGUCCCUUCGAACUGCAAUGAAGUGUGCCGAUUUUGUCAGUCUGUUAACUACUACCCAAAUCAAAUCAUUUCCUCUCUGGCUCCUCGGUAAUCCCGUCACGAAGUCCAUCGUGAUAUGCUCCCAUUUCCACUCUAGGAUCUCAAGGGGUUGCAGAAGUCCUCCCGGUUUGCAAUGCUGAGCUUUCACUUGCUGACACGUCAAACACUUGGCAACAUGCUUGGUGAUAUCCACCUUCAUGCCACACCACCAGUAGUGUUGAUGCAGAUUCUGAUACAUCUUAGUACUACCAGGAUGGAUGCUGUAACUGCUACGAUGCGCUUCUGAUAAAAUCUCCUCCCUAAGCUCCACAUCGUCAGGCACAACCAACCGUCCUUGGAACCUCAGCGUUCCAUCUUCAGAAAUCUGGAAGUCAGCUUUUCCUCUUCUCUGAAUCCUCUUGUACGAUUUUCUGAAUAUCCGGAUCUGUUUGCUGAAGCGUCCUAAUUCUGACCUGUACUUUUGGCUCAAUUCUGAGGGUGGCCAUAAGGUUCGAAAGGUGGCCUACUUCAAACUUGAAACCCAAAUCUUGUGCUCCCUCAAGUAGACUCCAUUCCUUGAGUACCAUUUGUGCAACAGAAGACUUCCUACUCAAUGCAUCGGUGACCUUGUUCGCCCUUCCAGGAUGAUACAAAAUCUCACAGUCAUAGUCCUUUAAGAGCUCCAUCCAUCGACGUUGUCUCAUAUUCAACUCCCUUCUGAGAAAAAUAAGUACUUGAGACUCUGAUGGUCAAUGAAGAUCUAGAAUCUUUCUCCACACAAAUAAUGCCUCCAAAUAUUUAGGGCAAAGAUGAUCGCUGCAAGCUCCAAGUCAUGCGUCGGAUAAUUCAACUCGUGAGGUCUCAAUUGACAAGACGCAUAUGCAACAACCCUACCAUGCUGCAUCAACACGCAACCCAAUCCUUUAAACGACGCAUCACUGUAGACCUCAAACCCUCCCGGACCAGAUGGAAUAGUAAGCACAGGUGCAAUAGUUAGCUUAUGCUUAAGCUCUUGGAAACUACUCUCGCACUUAUCCGUCCACAUGAAUUUUUCUUCCUUCUUCAACAGUCUCAUCAUCGGCGAUGCUAACCUUGAAAACCCUUCCACAAACCAUCUGUAAUACCCUGCUAAACCCAGAAAACUUCUUAUCUCUAUCACUGUAGUCGGUCUCGACCAGUUGAUCACUGCUUCAAUCUUGGCUGGGUCCACUGAGAUUCCUUCUCCAGAGAUAACAUGACCUAGGAACCCCACACGAGUUAGCCAAAACUCGCACUUACUGAACUUAGUAUACAACUCAUGAUCUCUCAAAGUUUGAAGCACUAUUCUUAAGUGUCUCUCAUGCUCCUCAAUACUCCUUGAGUACACCAGGAUGUCGUCGAUGAAGACAAUUACGAACUAAUCUAAAUACUCUCUGAACACCCGGUUCAUCAGGUCCAUGAAAGCAGCUGGGGCAUUCGUCAACCCAAACGGCAUCACAGUAAACUCGUAAUGGCCGUAUCGAGUGCAAAACGCCGACUUUGGUAUAUCUUCCUUCUUGAUUCUUAGUUGAUGAUCCCCCGUCCUCAAGUCGAUCUUAGAAAAUAUCGACGCUCCUUGAAGCUUAUCAAACAAAUCAUCAAUCCUUGGCAACGGAUACUUGUUCUUAAUUGUCACUCGGUUGAGUUGUCGGUAGUCGAUGCACAAGCCGUAACAAACCAUCCUUCUUCUUCACAAACAACACCGGUGCUCCCCAAGGUGAUGCACUUGGACGUAUAAAUCCUUUAUCCAACAACUCUUGCAUUUGCACCUUUAGUUCCUUAAGCUUUGACAAGGCCAUCCGGUAAGGAGCUUUGGAGAUAGGCUCGGUCCCUAGAGCUAACUCAAUUACAAACUCUACCUCUCUUUCCGACGGCAAACCCGGUAAUUCUUUCGGGAACACAUCUGGGAAUUCUUGCACCACUGGAAUGUCUUCUAUCUUCGACUCCUCUACUGUCAUGUCCAUGACAGUCGCCAGGUAACCUUGGCAACCCUUGUCUAGUAAGCGAGUUGCCUUGAGCGAUGAGAUUAAAGAAAUUGAGGGUCCUCCCCAACUCCCUACGAAUUCGAAACUCUCACCCUCUAAUGGGUUAAACUGAAUCGCCUUGCAAUAACAGUCCAUCUUGGCUCUUGCUUGGUAAGCCAAUCCAUGCCAAUUAUCAUAUCAAAAUCAUACAUAGCUAAGACUAUCAAGUCUAUCCUCCCCUCUCGCUCACAAAUCAUUAACUUGCAACCAAGGCAACCUACUGUAGCUAACACUUUAUCUUUCAACAAAGUAGAUAUACUAACCACAGACUCCAACAAUUCAGGAAUUAAUUCUACCAAUUUAACAAAUCUUUCAGUUAUAAACGAAUGCGAAGCUCCAGGAUCAAAUAAAGCAUAAGCAGGAUGGUCGUUCAGCAAGACCAUACCUGUGACCACAUUAGGCGCAUCCUCCGCCUGUCCUCUGGUGAGCGCAUAAGUCCUUCCCUGAGCUGGAGGUCGGUUCAAUCCACCCUGCGGCAUGAUAUACGACGCAACUCCUCUGUUCUGACCCCCUGGUGGCGGCGGUGGCAACUAAUGCUGCCCCAUCUGAUUCCUGGGGAAAUAUCGGGCUAUAUGACCCUGCUGGCCACACUUAUAACAGGCGCCCGUCCUAGGAGGACACGGGGCUGGACCAUGUCGUCUUCCACAUAGACGAGACACACCAUUCAAUCUCAGCGCCGGCUUUCCUAUCCCACCCUUCUUGCUGGGUGGAACAGGGUACCUUCCUCCAGGCAUCGACCUCUUCCCAAACCGAUUAUCGCCUCUGUUUGAAUUAAACCGCGACCCAGAUGUGGCAGCUCUCUCAUUCUAGUCUUUCUUGAUCAGCUAUGCCCACCUAUAGAGGUCAUUGUACUCCUUCAGGUCUAGGGGUACCAACAAACUCCUCACCUCCGGUCGGAAUCCAUCUCUAAACCUUCGAGCUCGGUCUAACGGUCACUGGACCAACUCAGGGGCAUACUGCGAUAGUUCAGCGAACUUCGCUUCAUAUUGGUCAACUGACAUGGUACCUUCACGAAGGCGCUGAAACUCCGCCAUCUUCACCUCUCUGGCACAAUCAGAAAAGUAUUUCUCAUUGAAGGCUUCAAGAAAAGCAUUCCACUCCAGAACCACACCUUCAGGGAAUACUAUCCUUUUGUUAGUCUUCCACCAGGUAGCUGUGGUCCCCCUCAACUGAUAGGCUGCCAGGACGACCUUUUCUGCUUCAGUGCACAACAGUAACUCAAAUGCGUUCUCUAACUCCAAGAUCCAUAGUGCUGCUGCUUCGGGAUCUUCUACUCCCGUGAAUGUUGGUGGAUUCAACCUCAGAAAGUGCUGUACAAACUUCUGCCUAGGCCUCUCAGCGGCCACAUUCUCAGGUGGAAUUUCCUCAAGUUCCUCUUUUGGUUUGACAACCGGUGCGGCGGAAGUUGCAGCGGCAGUAGCAGUGGUAUUGGCAGCAUUGGCGAUGUUCAAUGCGGUGGCGAUAGUAGCGGCUUACUGAUCCCAUCCUGUCUCCCCAUUGCCCUCGAGCAUCUGCAUGAUCCCCAAUAAAUCUCGGAUCCCUCUGGGGCUGCUGCACCAUCUGGCGGCAAAAGCCUGUACCACUUGCACUGGUCUCGGCCUACGCUCCUCUCAGGGCCCCACGGGCACCACCCCCUCAAGGAAGACCCCCCACAAAACACGGGGCCUGCUGCUCUCUUCCUAGCAGCCCUCGGCUCUCGGUCACUCAUGCUACAGGCUCAAUAUAGAUGCCUAUUGGCAAAUUCCAAUACCAAAUUAGAAUUUGAGUAACCUUUCCAACCAAGCUAACAAACAACUAACAAUCACACGCAUUAGGAUAUGGAAAGUUCUUCCUACUAACUAUCCCAUGACUCAUCGCCCCUUAUCACUCCAUACACAACCAUGCUCUAAUACCACUUAAACCGGGUUGUCACGCCCCGAACCCCGAGACACGUGAAACAACCCGCCAUGGUCAUGUAAAUGCGACAUUCCCAGGUAGUGUCGCCAACCCCAAUAUUAAAUUAUUAAAUUAUUAUGCGCAUACGGAACGUGUUAAGAAAUCCCCUGACAAAAGCAUACAGGAUAGGACAACAGGAAAAAUAAAUUCAAAAUCAAACACACUUUCAUACAUCAUCAUCAAUCCAGGGUUUACAUACACCAACAGGAUCCAGAGACUAUAUGCACCAAAAAUGGGUCAGAGUUUAUGUGCAUCAAAAGGGUCAGGAGCACUCUCGGUCAUCUGGUCCAUCUACGUCGGCAUGCCAUUCAUCUCCGGGGUACUGCCAUCUACGGUCCUGUAAUAUUUUUCCCCAAACCGGGAUGAGACUUUGUCUCAGCAAGUUCACCCCUCCUAAACCCCUAUUAGAAAGCAAAUACACCCCAAAGUGGUGUCGAGCCACACAGCACAGAAGACUUACCUCACCUUCUUGCCUUCCUGCAGGUUAGUACAAUUCAUAUCACUCAAGCACCAGUAAUGAUAAGAAUGUAAGCCAUCGGAACACAAUCAAUUUCACUUAAUUUCACAAUCACAGCAAGCAUUCCAUGUCAUCAUUAUCCACUGCCACACAAGGGCACAGUCUACUCGCAGGUCGGCUAACUACUAACAUUAUAGCAUUUCUAGAAUAAUAAAGGUCCAGUCGGUCUCGCCACUACUGCGACCAAGCCACGUCAUUCUAUCGACAGCAUUUCUAGAAGAAUAAAGGUCCACUCGGUCUCGCCACUACUGCGACCAAGCCACGUCAUUCUAUCGACGGCAUUUCUAGAAGAAUAAUGGUCCAGUCGGUCUCGCCCCUACUGUGACCAAGCCACGUCAUUCUAUCGACAGCAUUUCUAGAAGAAUAAAGGUCUAGUCGAUCUCGCCACUACUGCGACCAAGCCACGUCAUUCUAUCGACGGCAUUUCUAGAAGAAUAAAAGUCCAGUCGGUCUCACCACUACUGCGACCAAGCCAUGUCAUUUUAUCGACGGCAUUUCUAGAAGAAUAAAGGUCCAGUUGGUCUCGCCACUACUGCGACCAAGCCACGUCAUUCUAUCGACGGCAUUUCUAAAAGAAUAAUGGUCCAGUCGGUCUCGCCACUACUGCGACCAAGCUUUUCAACCAACACACGACAAUUCAAAAUCGACCCCUAUACACUUUACAUGGGAAUUUCUGAAUAUUAACCCUUCAAAAUUCGAUUUCGGUGUUAAACCCGACAUGUGGGAAUUUCUGAAUAAAAUUCCUAUUUUUCACAAUCAACAUUCAAUUUGCAAUAUUCACUCAUCAAAUUCAAAUUCUAAACACACAGCAGCGAUCGGCACGAAAUUCUGAGCAAUUAGGAUCAAAAAUAAAUUUUCGAGUUUUUUUUUUAAUAUUUUAAUGAAUUUCGGAAUAUGAAAUAUUAUUAAAUAAACCAACAAUUUCGAAGCAUUUAUUUAAAUCAUAAAUAAAUUCCUUUAAGUCACAUCAAGGUUUAUUUUAAAAUAAACCCAUUUAACCUUUAAACUAAACACACUUUACUUUAAUUAAUCACCUCAAAUUAAUCCACAACUAAAUAAACUAAUCUAGCCACCUAAUCUCUCCCAACUUAAGCUAAACACACUUAAGGCAUCAUUAACUCGCUAAUCACAGUUUAGUGAGGUAAACUCACCGGAAUCGCUUUCCGAUGAGUCUCCGGCGAAGAGCACAACGACGCCGAUGACAAACUGAGCUUUGAAGGGUGACGGAACGGCGGCUGAACGGGCGGAGGAAGACCGGCGGAGGCGGCUAGGUCUUGGGACGGCAGCUCACAGCAAUGGACGGCGGUGAAGGAGGCUCCAGCGACUAUGAACAGCUGCUACCUUGGAGAGAUGACAACUCGGGAUGCUUGGUGGACGGAAACGAGGCAGCUCGGCGCGGAACGGGACGGUGACGUUGCGGGCUCAUGCGAACGGCCAGCAACGAGCACGUGGGCGAGACGGUGGCCGGCCGAGUGAGAAGUCGAGCGGCGAGGAUGGGCGGUCGAAGGGGGGCGGUUUCGCUGGUUUUUCCUUCCUCUCUCUCUCUCCUCCAAAUUCCAAAAGGAAGAAGAUGAUGGGGACAAGGGGGAAGUGACAUCCCACCUUUCCAAGAUCUCAUCCCCACCUUCCACUUGUCACAACCCUAGCCCAUCUUGCUCCAUCCAUGACAUCACAUGUGAUGUCAUCAUCCACUAACUCCAACCUGCCACAACUUUAGUCCAAUAGGUUCAAUUUCAUUUUCCGCCGGGGUCCAAGUUCUUGUGCAUUCAAUUUCUUCAAUUUCCAUCAAUUCUCUUCCAAUUGAGUCCAAAUUAAAGUCCAUGAAUUAAUCCAAUGUCCCUAAUAAGCUUUGUGACACCCCAUGAUUUCCAAUUUUAGAAUUCGAUUUCAAUUUCACGGUUAAUUUCACUCUGGUGCAAUUUCUGCGCGCCUAAUCCACUGAGUAGCUUUUAGGGAAGUUUUGUUGCAUUCGACCUGAGGGUGAUCAGUCCACAAGUCUGACGCGGUAAAAUUCCUUAAUUACUUCACUCAAUAGACUAGUUCUCUCGUGAGUGGCCAACUCUGAGAGAUGAACUACAUGCACAGAUGAAUUACCCGACUCAAUUGACUAAAAAUAAAAUUGAGAAAAUCGGGAUGUCACAAGAGGAGCCACAGUUAGUGGUUGAUCUUAUUGACCCUUACCACCAAUCCUGGAACCUCGCUCUUCUCAAGCAGUUUUAUGAUGAUCUAGUCAUCAAUGAAAUACUUUGAAUACCUCUAAGACCACAUUCUGCUUCUGACCAGUUAGUUUGGACAACCAUAAGGAAUGGUAUUCAUAUGGUGACAAGUAAUUACCAUCCUAUCAUCAACACAGCAAUCAACAGCAGAAAUAAUGAAGCCUCUACAUCAUUCUAGCCUCCUAGAAUACUCUGGCGACAUAUAUGGACUAUGCAAACAGCACCAAAAAUCCGCUUAUUCUUAUGGUCAGUAUGCCAAAACUCACUUGCAACAAAAGCAAAUUUGUUUCAUAGACACAUCACUCCUGAUCCUAUUUGUCAUCUCUGCAAUCAACAUGAAAAAGAAACCCUAGAACAUUUAUUUUUCUAUUGUUCAUGGACUAGGGAAGUCUAGAGCCAUCCUAAUAUAAAUGUUAUGAUCACACCUCAUUCCAUUCAUUGCCUCGACGCAUGGAUCACAACAAGGGUUGCAGCUUAGAAUACAUUACCUGGACUAGAGAAUAUUGCGCAUGUUUUAUGGCAGAUCUGGCAUGGCCGCAAUAACUUUAUCUUCAGACAUCAGCAACCAGAUCCCAACAUCGCUGUUGAAGACACCAUUACACAAACCCAGAUCUACAAAGUUUCCGCCCCUAGGCGUCAGCAAACAGAGCUUUCUGCUCUCAACACCAAACACUUAUGGAGACCCCUUGAUCGUGGCACCCUGAAAUGUAAUAUAGAUGGGGCUUACAAGCCAAGCAGUCACACAUGAUCUAUGGCAUGCAUCAUUCGAGAUUACAAGGGCAUACUUACUGAUGUUUUUACCGAAGAAUUUCCAGCAAGCUCUGUGCUUCAAUCGGAGGUACAGGCGCUCAGCUUUAUGCUCCGCCAUCUGCUGCAUGAGGGCCUCAACAACAAACUUCUAAAUCGGACUACCUACUCUUGAUCGAAAUGGUGAAUGAGAGAAGAACGCCGCUGUGGGAAGCACACGUGCUGUUCGCUGAGGUAAACGAUUUGCUAUCCUCUUACCCUAAUUUGCAGCUUCAAUACUGUAGACAGGAGGCCAAUGCAGUGGUGGAUUGGGCUACUAAGGUCCAUGGUAGAUCGGAUAUGGCCCGUAACUGGAAUAUUUCCCCCCUUUCUUUCUACUGGACCUAGUAUACGCCGAUGCAGUAUCUUCUGGUUGUAAUCUUUCGAUGUUUUAAUAUAUCGUAUCUUUCGACCCAAAAAAAACAACUGACAUAUAAUAAUAUAAUGCAACAGUCCAAAAUGUCCAACAUCUGACCAACAUGCAGUAAUAAAAUAUUCCUAGACGAACUCCUGCUCUUUGAAGACUUUUGUCAAUUAUUUCCUCAAUGUAGCCUCCCAUUUGAUGCGAGUCUGAAUGUUUUUUUAAGUUUAUUUUUUAACUUAUGAAGGAAAGCCUCAGGCUCCUUCCAGGCAAAUGGAAGAUGAUAACAAAGUAAUGGAAAGUGGAACAGAUGUUAGGUUGUCCAAUACGUCCAACAUCUAAAGAAUAUGCAAUCAUAUGAUAUAUUUCCGAAACGACCUCCUCGUCUUCGAAGACUUUCGCCAUUUAUUUCCUCAACGUAGCCUCCUCUUUGGUGCUCAGUCUGAUUUGCUUUUUUUCCCCUAUGAAGUAAGGCCCCGGGGAACUUCCAAGCAAGUGGAAGACUAUAAGAAAGUAAUGGCAGGUGGAAAAUAUAAAAAGCUGUCCAAUACGUCAAACAUCUAAUUAACAUGCAAUAAUCUAAUAUAUCUUCGAGACCACCUCGUGGUCUUCAAAAACUUUCGCCAAUUAUUUCCUCAACUUAGCCUCCUCUUUCGCGCUUAGUCUGAAUGGUAUUUAUUUAUUGAUGAAAAAGGCCCCUAGUAGCUUCUAGGCAAGAACAUGAUAACAAAAUAAUGACUAGUGGAAAAUAUAUUAAGUUGUCCAAUACGUCUAACAUCUAACUAAACAAAAUAAUAGAAAUUUGAUGGCAGAAAAACAACCCAAGUGCCAUAACUUGGCACGAGAGGACACUUAAGUGCCAUAACUUCAAAAUGAUAUACUUAAGUGCCAGUUUCAAACUUAAAUGGAACACUUACGUGCCACUCCGGAGAAAAUCCGGCCAAAUGGCUGACACGGCAAUUUUCCGGCGAGUUUGGUCCAAAACGGCGUCGUUUUGCAAGCUGACGUGGCGAGAAAAUGCAAAAAAGACGUCAUUUCAUGUUUGAUGUGUAAAUAAUAAUAUAAAAAUUAAUUAAAUUAAAUUAAAACAAUUUUAUUUAAAAUAUUCUAAAAAUUUAAAAACUAAAAAUUUUAAAAAAUAAAAUAAAAUAAGGGGGGGAGGCUGAAGGGAGCGGCUGAGGGCUGAGCCCUCGCUGGAUUUAGGCAAGGGCCGCGACCCUUGCCCCAGAUCUAGGCGAGGGCUCGCGGCCCUCGCCACUGGUCGGCCGGGGGCCGGCGACCCCGAUCGACCCUCCCCCCUCUGUCGCCGACCCUUCCUGGCAACGGCGGCGAGGGCUUAGCUCUCAGCCGCCCCCUUUGACCUUCCCCCCCUUUUUAUUUUAUAAUUUUUAAAUUUUUUUUAGUUUUCGUUUUAAAAUGUUUGGAAUAUUUUUAAAAAAAUUGUUGAAAUUUAAUUUAAUUAAUUUUUAUAUUAUUAUUUACACAUCAGACAUGAAACGGCGUCGUUUUUGCAUUUUCUCAUCAUGUUAGAGUGCAAAACGACGCCGUUUUGGACCAAACUCAUCGGAAAAUUGCCACGUCAGCCAUUUAGCCAGAUUUUCGCCGAAGUGGCACCUAUGUGUUCCAUUUAAGUUCGAAACUGGCACUUAAGUGUACCAUUUUGAAGUUAUAGCACUUAAGUGUCCUCCCGUGCCAAAUUAUGGCACUCCAAGUAUCCCAAACUCGAAAUUUGAUUAAUAUCGUGAGUCUCUCAAGCAGAGUAUUAGUGAGCUUAAUUUUAAUCUUGAUUUAGAUAUGAAUAAAAUUCUAAUUGAGAGAUUUUAGAUUAUGCUAACACCAAGCACAAACAAUUGGCUUUUUACCGGUACAUCAUGCGUGGUAAGUGGAAUAAAGGCAAGAAUCAACUGAUCAUGCCAAUUUGCUUGAUUCCAGACUGAAAGUAAGAAGAUUCACUUUGUUUGGCUUAGCAAAAUGGAAGUUUGGCUCCGCUGAGAAAAGCUAAUCAUUUUUUAAUUUAAUUAGUAGAAUGAAAGCAACUCUUCUUUUUCUAGCCUAGAAAUAAAGGAAGAGAUUUCUCAUCCCAAAAACAAAACAGACAAAAAGAUCAAAGGGGAUCAUCCAUUAUGCUUCCUUUGUGAUCACGCCAAAUUUGAGUGGACCUACCGCACCAAUUGAAAUUAUCUCUUUUAAGAAGGGUUAAUACCGCGAAAAACUCUAAACUAGUACAUCUGUAACAAAUUUACCCAAAACUAAUUUUUUGACCAUGAAAAACCCCAAACUGGUACACAUGUGACAAAUUUACCCCGAUUGACCGUAAAAAAUCAUAAACUGAUACAUUUAUGACAAAUUUACUCCAAACUAAUUUAUUCGACAGCAAAAAAUUCCAAAUUGAUAAAUUUGGAACAAAUAUACCCUAUGCUAAAUUGGAUUAAUACCACAAAAAAAUCACAAAAAUUGUAAACUGUGACAAGCGGAGCGUAAAAUCCCAAAUUGGUAUACCAAUCAACUGUCAUGUGUCAUUUAACUUAAUAAUUUGACAGUAAAAUUUAACGAAAACCAACAAAGGGUAAAUUUGUCACAAAUGUACCAGUUUGGGAUAAAUUUGUUAAAGGUAUACUGGUUUGGGGUUUUUAGUGGUCGAAAAAAUAAUUUGGGGUAAAUUUGUCAUAGGUAUACCAGUUUGGGGUUUUUCAAGAUGUUAACCCUUUUAAGAAUCAUGCUACAUAAUCAUUUUAUAUUAUUAUAAUCUUAUGAAUGUCUAACUGGAAAUGCACUAAGAAAAGCAUCUUAAUUAGCAUCCCAUGAUUCACGCCAUGAUUGAAUUGAAUAGUUUCAAUUAGAAAUAAAUCCGUGACCUUUCUUCUUUGCUUAGAACACACGCAAGUCCAUCGUCAAGUCUUUGUCCGACCCUCUUGUGAAGGCAAAGAAAAAGCACUAAAGUACAUUUGUCUAGUCAAUCAGUUUGGUAUGUGUUGAUCUGCAUAUACUGUUCUAAGUUAGGAAUAAGAAUGAAUUCUUGAUACUGGUUUUCUUAGGGUAUACCUAAUAUCUUGGGCCGUUGAAAAGGAAAAUUUAUGUUUGAUUUCAACAAAAUGCUAGAAGACUCCAUGUAAAAGAAAAGAGGAAAUUAUACUUCUAGACAUGCACCAAUUACAAAGCAAACCCAGUCACAAAAAUUGGAGAGAAAAAGUUGCAUCAUGGCAUUUCAACUUGAGAUGGUAAGGUCACAAACCUAAGGAGGGUGGAUGAUAGGAGAUGAAAGGGGCCUAGUUGUUCUAGUAAAUUGGAAAUGCUGAUAAGAUGAAUUUUGCUGAUAUCGAGAAAAAAAUCAACAGUCUUGUAAAGAAGGCAAAUGAACACUUCUCGAGAAUUGGUACAUAAGCUCGAGAGCCGGGUCCUGAUGGUUUUAGUGGUCUCUUUUAUCAACAUCACUGGGAUUUCUUUGAAGAUCAGGUAUUUCUACAGUGCAGCUAUUUUUUCAAUCUGGUACCUGUCUCCGGAGCUAAACCGCACCAAUCUAACACUAGCGACCAGUACCAUCCUAUCAGUCUUUGCAACUAUGCGUACAAGAUAAUAUCCAAGGUGCUAGCCAACAGACUGAAACCUUUUCUUCCUAAUCUCGUCUCAAAAGAACAAAGUGCUUUUGUAAGCAGACGUCAAAUACAGGACAAUAUUUUAAUUGUACAGGAAGUACUUCAUCAACUCAAGACGAAAAAACGAAAGUGAAAAUUUCAAGCUAUUGUCAAAAUGGACAUGAAAAAGGCCUAUGAUCGUGUUGAAUGGGACUUUCUCAGAGAUUAUCUACUUAGGAUAGGCUUUCACUCCACAUGGGUACAAUGGGUUAUGCAGUGCAUCACUACGGCAUCCAUCAGCAUCAAAUUUAAUGGGGAACAACUGAACUACUUCCAUCCGACGCGUGGCCUUCGACAGGGAGAUCCUCUUUCCCCUUAUCUGUUUAUUCUAUUGGCAAAUGUGUUGACUACCCUUAUUCACCAAGCUGUUCAGAUGGGAAACUUAAAAGGUAUACAGCUUAACAGGUGGUGUCCCACUCCGACUCAUUUGUUUUUUGCUGACGACGCUAUUUUCUUCCUAGAUGGGUCAGUAUUGGAAUGCCAAGAACUAGCCAAUAUCCUCAAUCAGUAUUAUCUUGCAACGAGACAAGCAAUUAAUAGAAAUAAGUCUAGUAUCUUUUUCAGCAAACCUUGCCCAGAUGUUCUUAAAAUUAGAUUGGCAUAGGAACUCAAAAUCCCCGUGCUGGACAAGACUGGUAAAUACCUAGGUAUCCCGUCGGAUUGGGGAAGAUCUAAACGUGAUAUGUUUGCGUGGAUUCUAGGGAAAGUCAAUGCUAAGCUUGAUGGAUGGAAAUAAAAUCUUAUGUCGAAAGAUGGAAAGGAGAUUCUGAUCAAAAGUGUUGUACAGGCGAUCCCCCAAUAUGCUAUGUCAAUUUUUAAAAUCCCUGUUUCACUUUGCAAAAGUAUUGAAAGAAAGAUUGCGCGCUUUUGGUGGCAAAAUGAUAGUAAAAGAGCAGGAAUACACUGGAAGAGUUGGGAGGCACUGAAGAUUAGGAAGGAAUUGGGAGGACUUGGGUUUAGAGACCUUGUCGACUUUAAUAAAGCUAUGUUGGGUAAACUGGCCUGGUGACUACUUCAACAACCUACUUCAUUAUGGGCUACUUUAUUUAAAGGCUUGUAUUACCCUGACUAGGAUUUCUUAAAGGCCUUAUCGAGUUCUAAGCCUUCUUGGGGUUGGCGGAGUCUCCUGGCAGGGCGGGACAAUAUAUCAUCAAAAAUCCAAUGGUCGAUAGGAGAUGGCACUAAACUAAAGAUUCGAGAAGACUAUUGGCUUCCGACAGGUAAGUUAAGAGGAAAUGCAACUGUAGACGAACCUGAGAGAGUUGCUGAUCUGAUUGUUCCAGAAUCAAAUCAAUGGAAUAGGCCGUUACUAGAUCAUCUCUUUGAUGUUGAGACCAUUGCUGAAAUUCUGAAGAUUCCUAUCAGACCUCAGUAUAUGACUGAUCAUAUCACUUGGCCGUGCACAGCUAGUGGUAAGUAUAUUGUUAAAAGUGCUUAUAGUUUUCUUCGAUAGGAUCAAAAUACUUCUAUGCAAAACAGAGCUUCCUCAUCCUAUCAACCACCACCGAGCCUCUGGAAAAACUCUGGAAACUUCAGAUCCCCCCCCCCCCAAACUUAAAUUUUUCCUUUGGUCCUUACACCAAAAUGCACUGCCCACUAAAGACAAUCUAUUCCGCAAAAAAAUUUGUGCUAAUCCUAUCUUCUCCCUCUAUUCAACUUAACAACCAGAAAUCCUAGAACACUUAUUUUUACUAUGUCCAUGGACAUCACAAAUGUGGUCUCAUCCCCAAAUCAAUAUACCAAUUCUUCCCACCGAAAUUCACCGAAUAGAUGAAUGGCUAGCAAGUCAUAUGAAUGCAGGGCAGAGUGUACCUGGCAUGGAGUUUCUUGCCAAUCUAGUAUGGCAAAUAUGGAAAUCGCGCAAAAGAUUCAUCUUUUGCCAGCAGACUCCUAAUCCUCUUCAAAUUGUCACAAUCGCAACUGAACAAGCUCGACUGGCCCACGAUGUUUUGUCUCAUGUUCCAAUGGAUGGCUUAAGUUGCAGAGAUCUCCAUUCUCGCAUAGACAGCUCGAUACGAUCAGCAGCACAGUUGCCUACCGUGGUAUCGACCAACGGAGAUUCGGCUGCCUCAACGCGACGAGAACCUGAUCCAGGUUCAGCUUGGAGAGGCCCCCGGAUCCAGGUGCCCUAAUCCAACAAGUGGGCUAGGGUACAGUGGAAGGUGGGCUAGGGUACAGUGCAAGGCCCUCGAAUCCAACAAGUUCAGCCCAGCUCACGUGGAGUCAAGCCCACGCUAGUGAGACCAACCUGUUUGCGACCCAUCUCCAGCAAAUUCAGCCCAGCAUUUUCAGUUUCUCGAGCCCAGCAAAGCCCAAAAGUCCAGCAGUUUAGCCCAUUAGAAGAAGGCCCAAUCGCAGCCAAGCCCAAGUCAAAGAAUGAGCCCAGUCCAGUGCAAGAACAAAUCUUAGUUGGGAUGAGAUUUGUUGGACUCAAGUUUAAGGCUCGGUCAAAGCCCGCCGGUGUUGUCGAAAGUCCGAUUUCAACCGCUGUCGCGUCGUCGUCACCGUGUCCCGGUCCCCACUUUUAAUCAAGUGAGUAAUCUCACUAAUCCUUGCUUAGUAGACUAAUGAUGCUUAUAAUUAAGUGCAAUUAGGUGGUUAGAUUAGAGUAGAUUAGUGAUUAUUAGAUAAUUGUGAUGCAUGUUAGGCAAUUGAAUUGUGCAAUUAGCAAGUAAAGACGUACUACUAUUUAUUGAAUGCAUCUCGGGAUUUUACCCAACCCUUCGUGGGCUUCAAUUAGGCAUUACGGGCCUAAAUUGGAUUUUUAGUAUUUAUUUAUUAAUUUUCGAAAGUAAUUUUAUUUAUUUUUUGGAAAUUAGGCUGGGAUAAUCGACAAUCGAAAUUUCGUGCUGAUUGUUGUGGUGCAGUCCAUUUAUUUAUUUGAGCUCUACGUUGUGCUGAAUUGAAUUAAUUGUGUAAUUUGAUUGAUUGAAAUUGAGUGAAAUUGAAUAUUUGAUUGGUAGUUGGCUGAGUAUGGGUAUAUAGUACCAGUUACAUUGAUGGGCUAUAUAGUAAAGAGGAUGGUGAGAGCUAAUUGAGAAUAUUAUUGGUUGAGACCAAUCAGGUAUGAUAUUAUUGGAUACACGUGGUUCGGUGAUUAGAAGUAUCACUGGCGAAAAUGGCGCCUUAAAGAACGCACAUGAAUGACUUAUAGACAAAUGUGGUUCAGUGAUUAAGGAAAUAUCACUGGUGAAAACGAUGCCUUAAAGAACUCACGAUGUUGUCUAUAGCCGAUGUCACCUUGGCAAAAAUGGCGCCCUAGAAAGGACACGUGGUUCGGUGAUCGAGGCUAUCACUGGUGAAAACGGCACCUUAAAGAACGCACGGUGUCGGUGAUCGGUAUGUCAUUGGCGAAAACGACGCCCGAGAAACACAUGUGAUUUGGUGAAUGAGUACACCACUGGGAAAUCGUGGUAUGAGUGGGAAUGACCUAGAAAUGGUCUGGCUGACAUGUAAUUGACUUAGUCGAUUGACCAGUGCUUGAUCGGAUGUCGUGAAUUGUUUGAAUAUCUAUGUUUAAUCUUAAUUUGUAGGUGGAAUCUGAGGCCAAGGUAAGUCCUCUAACCCGUGCGUAUAUAGGCAGCCCAGUUAGCGUAUUGGUUUCCUAAUUGAGUCUUAGUGAGGUAGAACUCGCUGAGACAUAGUCUCAUCCCGGUUGUGGGACAACAUUUCUGGCCAUAGAUGAGCCUGUGGAGGAAGAACCAGAAGAGGACGAUGAGCCAGUAAAAGAUGAAGAACUUGAAGGAUGUGAGCUUAGUGAAGAAGAGUCAUAAGAGGAUCAAGAUGAUCCUAAGUACGACCCGAAUGAUGACUGAGAUCCCAUCCUCUUUUGUGAAUUUUGUCUAAAUGUGAAUAGUGUGAAACCAGAAUGUUAUGAAUAGUCUUGUGAAUAGACUUUAAGUUAUGCCAUGUAUAAAAGUUUAGUUGUGGAUUUCAAUAUGAAAAAUAUGACCCUGCUUUUCUAUCCCAUUGUUUAAUUGUCUGGGAAUUUAUAACUGCUUCUGCAUGUGCAAACAGUUAAAUGAAAGGGUCGGCGAUACAUAGUCUUGGGAUAUCGCAUUCUAAAAUCGACCAAUAAAGAAGGAUGAGUGCGUUCCCAAGGAUCGGGGCGUGACAAGAAUUCUCCCAUAACCAAUGAAGAGCCAAGUUAAAACGGUUCUUGAGUUUUCUCACGCAUGAAUGAGAGAAUCCUCUAUGAAGAUUAAGAGAAAGAUUAAGAUGUAAGAUAUUUGAAGUUUUCCUCUACUAGAAAUUUGAAAUUUGUGGUCAAAUGUCUACUGGAUCAUCUGUUCUACACAUUGAUAGCAUUGAUUUUGUGAACAAACUAGAGAAAUUUUGAAUAUUUGAGAGUAAUGGCAAUUUUAAAAUUACAAGUCUGGAUAUAUUCUCAGAGGCAGCAACUAUAGCAUAUUGCCUUCUCUUUUUUCAUGAAUUUGAUUCCAUUGUGCCGAAGAGGGGGCAUGAUAAUAUGGGGGUCACUGACCAUGUCAUCAAUCAGUUAGUUUCUUGCAUUCAAUGACACUUAUAAAGUGGUCAUGUGAAAUAUAGUUGAUGGCAUGACUUACUAAUAGUAUGUCAUUCAUUGGUGCAGUUUUUUUACUGAAUCAGGUGGUGUUGAAGUUUUAAGUGGUGUGUUUGUGUCAGCAAGGACAAGGUAAUAAUUUCAUCUUACAUGGUAACAAAAAGUACUCUGUUUACAUAGCACACUAACUAUAAACUACUGUUGGAAAUUGCAUGGCCAUUAUGAAUGCUUUGCUAAAAAAAUUUCUAUAAAGCAUUUAAUAUGGAGACUACGUAAUAACCUUCAAGGCAAACUAUUAAAUGCUAGACAUGACUUUUCCUUGAUUUAGAAUUGUUUAACUUCGAAUACACAGUAUUGGAUAAACUACAUAUGUAUCAAAGAAGGUAACAAACGACAGGAUUGCUUGAAUUACUUUUCAGUUGUUGAAGUAGCUUACAAGAAGUGUAUUAAAUUGGACUUGAGCCUCUUCAACAGCAUCAACGGUUGUUGAUCAUUUCAAUUUUAAGUGUGCCAAAAUCUUGUGAACUCAUCAUCAUUGACUGCCUGAAGCUCAAUAGAGAUGGAUAAGGUAUGUAUCAUUUGAUUGGCAAAGAUAGUCGAUGAUGGCAAGUCCAUAGAACUAGAGUUCAUUUUUUGUUGCAUCCUGUUUUGUGAGUUUUCUUUCAACUAAGCUUUCAUCUUAGUUCUAGAACCACCGCUUGCAUUUGUUCAUCCUCUUAUCUCUGAGCAAAAUUCCUUUUUUGCAUGUCAUGAACAUGCGGUACUUUCACUUGCCUCCACUGUGGUGAUGGUUUGCUGGUUUAUGUUGCACAUCAGCAUAAUGUUGGGGUUGACAUGCUUCGGAGAAUGUAACUUGCUUAGAUAGUAAUCACACUGAAGAUGCUAACAAAUGCUAGGUUUUUUUGAAAGGUAGAGGUGGUUGAGAGUACUAGUCAUACCUUAUGUGGAGUUUUUUCAAUUUCACUAUAGAACAAUCAUGAUUUGUGAGGAAUGAAAUAAAGGAAUUAACUCCUCGUUAGUGAAAGUGUGAAUUGUUGAUACCUUUUAUGAUGUAUGAGUUAUUUAGUUACUUCCUUCAUGAAGAAUUGGAGGUGCUUUUGUAGUUACUUUUGAACUUACAUUUUGUUUGUCUGUCUCGUUGUUAUUCGUUCAUUCCCUUCCAUCUUAAAUUACCAAACACAGUUGGGGAAGAUGUUGCAAUUCACCAAAUAAGGCAUUUACAUUCUUGAAUUCUUUUUGAUGUGCCGAUGGCAUGUCUUUUUCUGAAUCCUUUGCUGUUUUGAGCUGGGUAUGGGAAUUGGAUGACUCCUACUCAUCGAUGAAUUCAAUGAGGCAAAUGCAAUAACUCGUGUUUCUCACUUUUUAAUCAUCUUUGUUUCCUACAGUUCUAGAGAUUGAGCAAGGAUUAUCUGAUGUUGCACAAUCAAAGAUUAUUGUAAGCUUUACUCCACAUUCGAUGCCCAUGAUUAUAGUUGCAAUUUUGUAGUAUUCCCAUUCUUAAAGUUAAAAUUAUGCUUCCCUAGCAAUAGCUGUAAGGUUUCUUCAUCUAUUUCUGCAUAGUCUUAAAAAUGCAAUAAACUACUCAUGCUAAAAUGUCUCCAGUUGUAAUGGCUGGGGAUCUAUAUGAAGUUGCUAACUAGGCAAACUUUUUCUAACUAAUAGUCCUAUUUUGCUUAGGCAUUCGAUGGCUUAAUGUGCUAAGUAUUAACCUCAGCUUUCGUUUACUGAAGUACUUAUUUUUAGUACUCAUGAUUAGCUUAAUCAAAGUACAUCAUUUAUUUCAUAGAUCUUGAUUAAGUCAGUCAAGUAGUAGACGUGUUUGGGAAUUGAAACUUGAAAGAUCUGCAACUUCCUUUCAUAUUCUUGAGUGUGCUUCCCACAUACUUCAUGCUGUCUGAUCAUUUAAUUCACUUUAUCUUGCUGGAUGAGGGAUUUGUUAUGUUGUUAAAAAAUGGAGGUUUUCCUCAUACUCAAAAUGUGCAAGGAUCCUAUUAUUAUUCUAUGAGUGUCUUUCUUGAACAAGUAUCCGGACAAGCAAUACUUAUCUAUGCAGUCUAUUCCCAAGUGUAUGUUCUCCAUUAAGUGCUUUACUUUUCAUGUAACAUCAAAGUCAUCUUUUUAUGAUAAGCUAUCUAAACCUUCUUUUGCAGAUUGACAAUCAAGUGAAGGGAGCUGUUGGUCAUGUUCAGUAGAAUCUUCAAUGAGAUGAUGGGUUUACUUGAGAUUGUGGGGCUUAACUACCUAUUAUUGUUUCCCUAAUGCAUUCUGCAUUCUUCUGAGUGAGGUAGAUUAUGCAUGGAUUUUGUUCAAUAAAGCUUGUAUAAUUGCAUUGGUUGUGCCCGAGCUAUAGCUAUUGUCUAUUCUUUCGGGUGACUCAUAACACCUUUCCUCAUCUUGCUCUCCUUCUAUCUCUCUCUAAAAUGUGGUUAUUGUUAACUUGUUAAAUAAACCUAUUUCUUCUCCGCGUCUAUUGUGGCAUCCUGAAAUUCCUUGCUAGCCAUUAGGGGUGCUCCAGUUAACAUCUUGUAUUGAAAUCUAUGGCCGAGUUAAAAUGGAUAGAUGUUGGAAGAGGAUGGCUUAUCCCUGGCCAUGUGCAUCAUGAAUUAGAAUCCAUAGAAUUGUAAUUCUAAGUGUUUAGUUAUUAAAUUUUACCCUAUGGUAUUUUAGUUUAAUAGGAUUUAAUUAGUACUUAAAAGGGAGAUUAAGAUUCAAUUGAAUUAGGUUGGGCCUUAGGCCCAAUGGCUUAAGCUUUUGGAGGGCCGAAUGGUCGGCCCAUUGGAGCCAAGGAGGGGUUGUAGACCGGCCCAUUUGCUGGCCCAAAGCCCAGCCGAGAAUGAGGCCCAUCCUUGCAUGGAGAAGGCCAUGUGUCUCCCUUAAAUUGCCAAGUGUAAAUCAUGCUUUGGCUUGUGGAGAGGCAAGUGAUGAUUGCUAAUGAUGAGGAUUUGGGGAACUAAAAGGGAGAGGAAGAGAGAGAGUGGCCGGUUGAGAGCCACCGUCCAAGUGAGAAAGAGAGAGAGAGUGAAUUGCGAGAGAGAGUGAGGUCGAGAGGGAGAAGGAGUUCACCCAUCGUCGCGCGCACGCCGUCCGUCCGUCGCCGGUGUGCCGUCCCUUUUGCUGUCAUCCGUUUGGUCUUUGAGCCAAGUUGGGACUGAUUUCCACUCUUGCAUGUGUGUCUUGCAUGUGUGAUUUGUUGGUGGUAGGUUUCGGAUCAUAGGAUAGGCAAAACCGAACCUAGAAUGUGACUUGUUCAUGAGUUUGCAUGCUGUUUUCGUAUGAACCGCCUGAACCAGAAUCUUGUGAGAGCUUACAUGCAUGUUUCGAGUUGGAUUUUGACUUUGAUUCCUUCAUGAAAGUUGUAUCCAACAUUCUAAACUACAACAUACUAAAAUUUGGGACAAAAUAGUGGAGAUUUAAGGGGUCAAACCCUCAUCCUACGAAGACACUAGAUCUGGAACUGCUUUGCUGACCUUUUGAUAGUUUUGUGGGUUGCAUGUCGAUUUUUACUAAGAAUCUCUCUUCGACUUCUUCAUGAAACUUGUAGAGAACAUCCUAAAAUUUUAAAAUACUCAAAUUUGAAGUAAAAUGAGCAAGUUUAGCCUAGUGAAUCGACUUACUCUUCAAGACGGUAAAUCUGGAGAUGUGGUACAGGACACCCGAGAAUUCAUGGACCCAUAUGAUGACUAUAAUUUGGCAAUUUGACUUAGAUCCCUUAAUAAAAGUUGUAGGGGAACCUUUGAAGUAAAACAUAUCCAAAUUUCAGAGUAAACGAAGAAGAAUAAAGGGGUGAAAACUCGAUAUUUCGAAGAUACAUACACUGGACGUUUCGGUGCGAGAACCAGAAGCUUCGUACGACUAUAGAAAAUGAUCUAAAACGAAUCUGGCCUAGAGUCUUCACGAAAAACCUACUUUAGUGUCUUAACUAUAACUGGGAAAAAUUUAUAAUUUUCGGAGGUCGUUCGGAUAUUUUAAUCGAAUUAUUUCGGAAACUGUACAUUCGGUUUCUAUCCGAAAUUGCAUGCUGUAUUUGUGUGAAUUGUAUCUUCUUGUGUGGAACUCUAUUGGGCAUGUGCUUUUCAUGAAAUUGUUAUCUUAUUGUCUUGUCUAUCACAUGCCUUGAUUUCAUGAUUUUUGAGAAGCAUAUGGAUAUUUAAUUUAAAUAUUUUCUAAAAAUGGUACAUGCUGGAAUGUUGUAAAAGGCAUGAAAUAUGGACCAUUUUAAAUUGCAUGGACUCCAUGAAUUGUAUUGAUUGGAUGAUAGUGUCUUGUUGUAUGCAUGAUAAUGAAUUGAGAUGCAUGUAUGAAUUCAAUGAUGAAUAUGAUCUUGAUUGCCAUCACAUCACAUGCCAUGUUAAAAAUUGAACUAUAAUUGAAGAUGAGAAUUGAGAUAAAUGAGAAGGUCGUCAGAGGUGUGAGCCGACGAUGCCCCGGGAGUGUCGGGAUGCUUGGCUAGAAGGGUACGGCCGGUUGCCCGGUGGUCAUGAAUGGCCAGAUACCGGAGGGCCUCGGGAGUACCGAGAGGUGUCGAGAUGCCCGGAGAGUGGAGGAGCCGGAAGCUCGGCAUGGUAAUUAUGCCGAGGGAUACCUCGCGAUGCCGAUUUGGGUGCGAGAUGCCUGGCUAGAAGGGUACGGCCGGUUGCCCGGUGGCCUUAAAUGGCUGAAAACUAGAGACUCCUUGUGAUGCCAGUUGGAGUACAAGAUGCUCGGAGAGUGGGGGAGCCGGAUGGUCUGAAUUUUAUCUUGGAUACAUGUGGGAUGCAAACAUUGGUCCUGGGAAAGACAAAUGUGGCGGUCCAAGAUUAAAUUGAGAUUGAAUUAUGCAUGAGGAUAUAUGCAUGAUAUGAUGCAUGAUGAUAUAUGCAUGACAUGAUAAUGAUGUUGAAUGCAUGGAUGCAUGGUAAUGAUGAUGGUACAUGUGAUAUGGUGAUGAUGUUACAUGCAUUGAUGCAUGGUAAUGACGAUGGUACAUGUGAUAUGAUGAUGAUAUUACAUGCACGGAUGCAUGGUAAUGAUGAUGGUACAUGUGAUAUGAUGAUGAUGUUACAUGCAUGGAUGCAUGGCAAUGAUGAUGGUACAUGUGAUAUGACGAUGAUGUUAUGUGCAUGGAUGCAUGGUAAGGAUGAUACCAUAUGUGAUAUGAUGAUGAUGGUAUAUGACGUAUGAUGACAUGUGCAUGAUGCCAUGGUAUGUUUUGUAUGGAUGCCUGUAUGACAUGUGAUGCUAUGAUUGUGAUGAUUGCGUGGCUUGAUGCAUUGUGUGGUUUAUUGGUCAUUUACCUGCGGAGUGAUUGUACUCACCCCUUUGGGGACCAACAUUUCAAAUUAGCACCAUGCCGCUCCCUGCUAUCACGCGGGGCAUAUUUUAUGGCCUACCUUCGGAUGUAGAGGUUGAGUGUGAGGAGUUUGAUUGUCCCACCAUUCCUGGUCUUACGUAUAUUCGAGUGCGCGCCUUAAUGAUGUACGACGUGGGCCUGGCUGGGGGCCCUGUCAUUCAGGAGUUUAUAUCUGUCCAUGUUUGUCGAGACGCAGUGAUGCGUGGGAUGUUGCCACCGCCACUGCCUGAUGCACUAGGAUUGGUGUGAGGGCCCGUGCGUGUCAAGUAGGAGUUGAAACUUUUUGGGAUGGUUAGCCGACACUAGUGAUGGGGGAUCUUUCACAUUAGUCGUAGUGGGUCGAGAGUUUCUUUUUGGGGUUUAGGCCGAGUGUCGCUUCAUGUCCUGGCCUUUCCUUUGAUGUACCGACCCAAGGAGACCCAUCUUGGAAAAUAUGUAAAUAAAGUGUCAUGGCUUUGUGGAUAGAAAUAUGAUGUUUAGUGGUGUGCAAUUGAAUCAUGGUUGAUGGAGGGGGAGAUAGCGAUAUUAUAUUUUGCUUCCACUAAAUGAGUCGCGCUGGGACCAUUUUAAAAAAAAUGUCUAUGAUUGACGACACUUCUUCUAAGACAUGUAAUUAGGUGUAACGUUUGGUGCCUAUGGCGACCUAAGGGGGGUUCGGGGUGCCACAGUGCCCCUUUUUUGGUAUCAGAGCGAAUGGGUAUAGGUGUAGUGAUAAUGAGCCUCAUUUGGNNNNNNNNNNNNNNNNNNNNNNNNNNNNNNNNNNNNNNNNNNNNNNNNNNNNNNNNNNNNNNNNNNNNNNNNNNNNNNNNNNNNNNNNNNNNNNNNNNNNCAUGUAUAUGUUACUUAUGUAGUAGUAGUUGCUUUGAAUGGAGGUAGUGAGUCUCAGAUUAUUCCCAAGGCAAUGCUCGGAAAUUGCAGGAAAGUCAUGGUGCGAGCUAGAAGUGCUCAUCCAUCGAGGGCUGAAGCCUCUGUUGCAAGGGCUGAACCCCGAAUGGAAGACAUCCUACAGGCAUUGGCCAAUAUUGGAAAUCUGAUGGAAAGGCAGGUGCAGCAGCAACCUGGAGCAAAACGCCGUACUCAAGGACUGGUGGAACAGUUUUUGAAGCUAAAGCCACUUAAGUUCGGUGGAAUGGGAAGUCCUGAGGAGGCGGAGCAUUGGAUUGAUGGAAUGCAACAAAUUUUCAGGUUGUUGGACUGCACUGCUGCUGAGAAAAUAACUUUGGCAGAGUACCAACUGGAGGGAAAUGCAAAGUUUUGGUGGAGAGCAUCAAGGGACACAAUCUUCCCACCAGGUACUGAGGUUAAUUGGGAAGAGUUUGUGAGAGCUUUUAAUAUGAAGCAUUUUUCUGACUGUGCUAAGGAUAGGAAAAUUUAUGAGUUUGUUCAAUUAGAACAAAUGGAGCUGACGGUAGACCAGUAUGAGGCUAGAUUUUCUGAACUGUCUAGAUAUGCUCCUAGGCUAGUUGAGGAUCAAGAAGAGAAGGCUAAGAGAUUUCUGAAAGGGUUGAGGACUGAUGUCAGGAAACAACUAGUGCCUCUGAACAUAAGGGAUUAUAAUGAGAUCUAUGAAAGGGCACAGUUGGUGGAGCAGGAGUUAGUGAGGGAACAUUCAGAGAAUAAGAAACCAUUGUCCUUUGGUGAUGUGAGAAGGGGUAAGAGACCCUAUACAGGUCAAGGUCAGACCUGGGGAUCUAAGAAGAAGGGCAAUUUUGGGAACUUUGGAAGAGGCAAGGGUAGCCUGAAUUUGGGAAGGACACCUUAUCAGGAUGCGAAGUGUCGAAUGUGUAGUAGGCGACAUGGCCCAGGACCCUGCAUUGGGCAACCAAAGUGCUAUGGUUGUGGAAAGAUAGGCCAUAUUAAGAGAAACUGCCCUCAGGAGAGAUCGCACGCGAGUAUGGGCUCGGUGCAAUAGCCGCAGCAGAAUGCUGUUAGACCAAACUUACCAAGGAAUCCCUAGAGGCCACCAGCACAAGGAAGAGUGUAUGCGAUCACCCAAGAGGAAGCGGAAGCUUCCCAAAAUGUUAUCUCAGGUACGAUCCUUAUAAAUGAUAAAAAAAAAAAAAAAAGGCAUAUGCAUUGUUUGAUACGGGUGCUACGCAUUCAUUUGUCUCUGAAAGAUAUAGACAGUUGAGUAAGAUAGAAACUAUGCCUCUUGAGAUGCCUCUUUGUCUUUCUACACCUCUAAAGGUUAUGUUGUUGUCUACGCUAGUGUGUGGAAAUUGUAAGAUAGCAAUGGGGGGGAAAGGAUAUGGAAAUAGACUUAGUUGUAAUUGCCAUGUAUGAUUUUGAUGUUAUCAUAGGAAUGGACUGGUUUCGUAAGAAUCGUGCCCAAAUGGAUUGUUAUAGGAAAGUAAUCCAAUUUACCUUACCUGAUCGGUCUAGUUGUGAAUUUUUGGGAGGUCAGACCCACCUACCUAUAGCGCUUAUUUCAGCAAUAGAAGCCCGUGCGUUACUUGACAAAGGAUGUCAAGGGUACUUGGCCAUGGUUAGAGAUUAUACUAAGGAAGAGCCUAAGAUUGAUGAAAUUUGGGUAGUUAACGAAUUUCAAGAUGUAUUCCCUGAGGAAUUGCCUGGAUUGCUGCCAGAGCGAGAGAUUGAGUUUGAAAUUGAAUUAAUGCCUGGAAUAGGACCUAUAUCAAAAGCCCCAUAUAGGAUGGCCUUAGUCGAAUUGAAUGAAUUGAAAGUGCAACUACAGGAGUUGCUUGACAAAGGAUUCAUUAGACCAAGUGCUUCACCUUGGGGUGCACCGGUCUUGUUUAUGAAAAAGAAAGAUGGAUCGAUGCACUUGUGUAUUGAUUAUAGGAAGCUAAACCAGGUGACCAUUAAGAGUAAGUAUCCUUUGCCUAUAAUUGAUGACUUGUUUGACCAACUCCAGGGAAGUUCGGUCUUCUCUAAGAUUGACUUAAGGUCGGGAUACCAUCAGUUAAGAAUCAAGAAGGAGGACAUUCCUAAGACUGCGUUCAGGACUCGUUAUGGACACUACAAGUUCCUUGUUAUGCCAUUUGGAUUGACUAACGCGUCGGCUGCAUUUAUGGAUCGAAUGAAUAGGGUAUUUAAGCCUUAUCUAGACCAGUUUGUGAUCGUUUUUAUUGAUGAUAUUCUGGUAUUUUCAAAAGGGCCUAAAGAGCAUGAGCAACAUUUGAGGAUAGUUUUGCAGACCCUGAGAGAGCAUAAGUUUGUAUGCUAAGUUUAAUAAAGUGUGAGUUUUGGCUAGACCAGAUAAUAUUUUUUAGGACAUGUGGGUGUCAGGAGAAGGAAUUGCAGUAGACCCGGGCAAAAGUUGAAAUGGUAGUGAAUUGGCCGAGACCGACGACACCUACUGAAAUACAGAGUUUUCUUAGGACUGGCUGGUUAUUAUAGAAGGUUUAUUGAAGGGAUUUUCAUGACUGGGCAGGACCUUUUAACCUAAGUUGACCCGAAAGAAUGUGAAAUUUGAAUGGAAUGGGGAAUGUGAAAGGAGUUUCCAAGAGCUUAAAAGGAAAUUGACCUCGGCUCCAAUCCUGACUAUACCUACUGGACCUGAUGGUUUUACAGUGUAUAGUGAUGCAUCUCACAAAGGACUGGGAUGUGUUUUGAUGCAGCAUGGCAAGGCCGUAGCCUAUGCAUCUAGACAAUUAAAACCCCAUGAGCUGAACUACCCAACGCAUGAUUUAGAGCUAGCAACUAUAGUGUUUGCCUUGAAGAUAUGGAGACACUAUUUGUAUGUGGAGAAAUUUGAGAUUUAUAUGGACCAUAAGAGUUUGAAAUAUUUGUUCUCACAAAAGGAGUUGAACAUGAGACAAAUGAGAUGGAUGGAGUUGUUAAAGGAUUACGAUAGUGAGAUAAAAUACCAUCCAGGGAAGGCGAAUAAGGUAGCGGAUGCUUUUAGUCAUAAGUCAGCUAUGGAGAUGGCCAGUUUAAGAAUGUCAUAAUGGAGCUUGUUAAAGUCUGUUACAGACUCAGAAUUUAAAUUGAAAGUAGAUCAUCUUACUGGUAUGCUUAGUGCAUUAAGGAUUGAAUCGGAGAUUAUUUAGAAAGUUAAAAUCCUGCAAGAGUCUAACCUGAAGAUUUUGAAAAUGAAAGACACUGUGUCUUAAGGAAAAAGACUAGAAUUUCAAGUCUCUGAUGAAGGAAUAGUAAGAUGCCAAGGACGACUUUGUGUUCCAGACAAUGAAGAAUUAAAGAAGGAAAUUCUAUCGGAGGCACAUAAGAGUAAUUAUAGUAUCCAUCCAGGUAGUACAAAGAUGUACAGGAAUUUAUGCCAGCAGUUUUGGUUGAAUGGUAUGAAGGCAGAUGCAGCUAAGUACGUUUCUCAAUGUUUGAUGUGCCAACAAGUAAAAGCGGAACAUCGUAAACCCGCAGGACUCUUGAGACCAUUAGACAUACCAGAAUGGAAAUGGGAGCAUAUAACAAUGGACUUUAUACAAGGAUUACCAAGGACGUCAAGCAGUCAUGACUCUAUUUGGGUUAUAGUGGACCGUUUGACUAAAUCAGCUCAUUUCCUAGCCAUUCGCAUGGACUACCCAAUGGACAAGUAUGCGGAUCUAUAUGUAAAUCAAGUGGUACGCUUACAUGGUGUUCCGAUAACUAUUACCUCAGAUUGGGAUUCGAGAUUUACUUCGAACUUUUGGCGAAGUCUUCAAAUUACAUUAGGAACUAAACUUCAGUUUAGCACUACUUUUCAUCCCUAGACAGAUGGACAAACAGAAAGAGUAAUCCAGACAUUAGAGUAUAUGUUAAGGACUUGUGUAAUUGAUUUCAAAGGAAAUUGGGAUGAAAGAUUGCAUUUGGUAGAGUUUGCCUAUAAUAAUAGUUUUCAGAAAAGUAUAGGCAUGGCUCCUUAUGAAACAUUAUACGGAAGGAGAUGUAGGACUCCUGUCUGUUGGAAUGAAGUAGGUGAAGGGAAAUCGACAGGACCUGAUGUCACGCCCCGAUCCUCAGGCACGCACACAUUCCUUACCUUUGGUCGAUUUUAAAUUGCGAUAUCCCAGGACUAUGUAUCGCCGACCCUUUCAUUUAUAUAUGCACAUGCGGAAGCAGUUAUAAAUCCCCAAACAAUAAAAUAAUGGGAUAGAUUAGGACUAGAAAAUUUAACCUGAAAGUCAACACCCUUAUGUACAUUAGUAAUGACUCGGUCAUACAUGUACAUACACAAACCAUACUAAAAGGUUGGUUUCUACUCAUUUAGAUUCUACAGCAACAGACAUCAAGAUCCUACUUUGGAUCAUCCUCGAGGUUCUCCUUCAGAUACUCCUCUUCGAGUUCUUUCUCCUCAGGGUUUUCCUCGUCAGGUUCCUCCUCCUUAAUCUCCUCAUCCGGGUCCUGAAAUGGUUAUUCAAUAACCACUAAGACAACGUCUUAGCAAGUUCUACCCCCUAAGACUCAAUUAGUAAACUAAUACACCUUAGGGCUGCCUAUGCACAACAUGAUGCAUGAUGAUAUAUGCAUGACAUGAUGAUGAUGCUGCAUGCAUGGAUGCAUGAUAAUGAUGAUGGUACAUGUGCUAUGGUGAUGAUGUUACAUGCAUGGAUGCAUGGUAAUGAUGAUGGUACAUGUGAUGUGAUGAUGAUAUUACAUGCACGGAUGCAUGAUAAUGAUGAUGGUACAUGUGAUAUGAUGAUGAUGUUACAUGCAUGGAUGCAUGGUAAUGAUGAUGGUACAUGUGAUAUGAUAAUGAUGUUACAUACAUUGAUGCACGGCAAUGAUGAUGGUAUAUGUGAUAUGAUGAUGAUGUUAUGUGCAUGGAUGCAUGGUAAGGAUGAUGCCAUAUGUGAUAUGAUGAUGAUGGUAUAUGACGUAUGAUGACAUGUGCAUGAUGCCAUGGUAUGUUGUGUAUGGAUGCCUGUAUGACAUGUGAUGCUAUGAUUGUGAUGAUUGCGUGGCAUGAUGCAUUGUGUGGUUUAUUGUUCCUUUACCUGUUGAGUGGUUGUACUUACCUCUUCGGGGACCAACAUUUCAGAUUAACACCAUACCGCUCCCUGCUAUCACGCGGGGCAUAUUUUACGGCCUACCUUCGAAUGUAGAGGUUGAGUGCGAGGAGUUUGAUUGUCCCACCAUUCCUGGUCUUACGUAUAUUCGAGUGCACGCCUUAGUGAUGUACGACGUGGGCCUGGCUGGGGGCCUGUCAUUUAGCAGUUUAUAUCCGUCCAUGUUCGUCGAGACGGAGUGAUGCAUGGGAUGUUGCUGCCGCCACCGCCUGAUGCACCGGGAUGGGUGUGAGGGCCCGUGCGUGUCAAGUAGGAGUUGAAACUUUUGGGGAUGGUUAGCCGACACUAGUGAUGGGGGAUCUUUCACAUGAGUCGUAGUGGGUCGAGAGUUUCUUUUUGGGGUUUAGGCCGAUUGUGGCUUCAUGUCCUAGCCUUUCUUUUGAUGUACCGACACAAGGAGACCCAUCUUGGAAAAUAUGUAAAUAAAGUGUCCUGGCUUUGUCUUUUAUUAUGAUGUUCGGUGGUGUGCAAUUGUAUCAUGGUUGAUGGAGGGGGAGAUGGCGAUAUUAUAUUUUCCUUCCGCUAAAUGAGUCGUGCUGGGACCGUUAAAAAAAAAUGUUUAUGAUUUACGACACUUCUUCUAAGAGAUGCAAUUAGGUGUAACAUUUGGUGCCUGUGGCGACCUAAGGGGGGUUCGGGGUGCCACAUCUAUCAUACUUACAUUUGCUAAAGUAAAAUGUUUUUGUGCCAAUCUCCUAUAAGGAAUGGUCAAAUGUUCAUUUACAUGGAUGACUGGGUUUUGGCAAGACACACAUUGUUGGUUCUGUAAUAACAACUUGUUCUCUUCAAUCCAUAUAAGUGAAAGUGCUGAGACGUUCAAUAAGUACACUAGUACUUUUGAGCAAGUUGUAAGAGGCUUCUUUUCCACUUCACCAAUGUUGAUUGAAUUCCAUUGUGCAAUCUUGUAUUAAACUUUGUUAUUGCAAACAUUUCACAAUUUUGUGCUUUCUUUUGUUGCUUUUGUAUGCAUUUAACAAAGGUCCCUUCAUGUAUGCUAGCAAUCAAAAUCAGAUAACUAGCAUUAGCAAUAAGGAUGCUCUUGCUGCAACCAAGGUGUUCUAACUAAAUUGUUGUCAACAACAGCUCCCAUAACCAUUGAAGUGGCCAAAUUAAAAUGGUUGAUGAGUUUCCUUAUGCAUGAAUGAGAGGAUCCUCCAUGACCAUUUGGUUAAGAGAUAGAUUAUGAUGUAAAUUAUUUGAAGCUUCUCUCUAUUUGAAAUUGGUGAUCAAGUGUCUACUAGAUUUUCAAUUAUGUACAUUGAGGGCAUUGAUUUUGUUAGCAAAAUGGAAAGAUUAUGAAUAUUUGAGAGUAAUAGCAAUUAGAAAAAUGCAGUUUGGAUAUAUUCUCAAAUGCAGCAGCUACAAUAGCUUGCCUUCUCUUUUUCGAUGAAUUUGAUUCCAUUGUUAUGAAGAGGAGGCAUGAUAAUAUGGGGUCAGUAACCAUGUCGUCAAUCAAGUUAGUUUAUUACAUUCUAUAGCGCUUAGAAGGUGGUCAUAUGAAAUCUAUUUAAUUGUUUGACUCACUACCGAUAUGUUAUUAAUUGGUGCAGUUUGUUACCGAAUAAGGUGGUGUUGCAGUUUUAACCAGUGUGUUUGUGUUUGCCGAAACAAGGCAAUAAGUUCUUAUUAAAUGAUAACAAAAAGUACUCUCUUCCAAUAGCACACUAAGUGUCAACUGCUAUUGGAAAUUGCAUGGCUACUGUGAAUGGUUCAACGAACAUUUUCUACGAAGCAUUUAGUAUGGAUACUAUGUAAUAACCUUCAAGGUAGACCAAAAAAUGCUAGACGUGACUUUGCCUUGAUUUAGAACUGUUUUGCUUUAGAUACACAAUAUUGGAUAAACUACACAUGUAUCAAAAGAUGGGAUUGCAUGAAUUACUUUUCAGUUACUGAAGUAGCUUACAAGAAGUGUGUUUUGCUAGUCAUGAGCCUCUACAAUGGCAUCAACUGUCAUGCCCGAUCCUCCAAGUGCAUGCCCAUCCCUCAGUGGUCGAUUAAAUUGCGACAACCUAGGACACAUCGCCAACCCAUUCAUUUUAAUGUACAUGCGGAAGCAAAUAAUAAAUCCUCAGACAAUAGAAAGAUGGGAUAGAAAAGCAGGGCCACAAUUUUUCAAACCACAACACGCUUAUAUACAUAUCAAACUAAGUCAUAUAUAGUAUUAGCUAAUAUAUACAAGUCUACAAAAAUGGAUAGAGGGCUACAGAUCCUCUAAGCAUUCGAGUUUUCAACUAAAUACUCUGAGGACUCUGGAUCCGAAAGACUCGGGCCUACCACUAAACCACCUAGAGGGCCAGUCGUGUCCUUGCCAAAAGCGAUCUCUAGCACCGACCUAGGAAUCUCAGACUCUAAAAGGGGGCCUUCUCUAGGUCCAUCUCGCCCAUAACGAUUCCACGAUAUGAAUUGAUGGGGUACCUUUCGGUAUAGACCCUCAUCAAUUCAGACAAUGGAUCUUACAAGCUCUUAAACCCAGGCUCUUUGACUCCUAAGGAGAGGAAUCUGACAGUACUGUUCGGUAACCUUCUUCGGUUAGCCAAAACGCUCGGGAGGUACGACCAUCUAAGGACUUGUAAAUGCUAUCUCACAAUGGGGUGAGACGACAUCUCAGCAAGUUCACCCCCUAAACUCUGACUAGGAAUGAAAUACGCCUAAAGGCUACCUAUGCACACAAGAGAUAGGUUACUUACCUUUGCCUCAGUUCCUUCCUGCAAGUCAGUAUGAUUCAUAUAUUCAACGAAUCACUUCAAUUCGAAUCAAAUCAUCAAAUCAAAUCGAGUCAUCGAUCAAUCGAUCCAAUCGAUUCCAUACCAUCAACACUAUCUCUUAGUCAACCCAUUCAAUACUAUCUAUAAAGUCCGAUCACAUCAAGGACUACUCACCCUAAGCUAAAGAUAGUAUAGCUCACCAAAAGCUGAUAAUAGAUAUAGCUCACCAAAAGCUGCUGAUAGAGUAUAUAGCUCACCUUAAGUUGAUAUAUCAAGGCCCGCAGGCUAAUAUAGUAUACUAAUAAUGCUCACCAAAGCUGCGUGAUACUCAAUAUACUCACCAAAGUUGUGCGAUACUUAAUAUCUAUUGUACCCAAUAAAAUAAUCGUGUGUAGAUACACGGUCGGCCUUAGCCAAAAUACAACAAUUUCCCUUUUAUAAAAUCCCAUUAAAUAUAAUAGCUCGCAAACACAUUUUUGGCACUGUAAACCGAUGCCCAGUACUGUCUAAUUAAAUACCGAAAUUACCCUGUGGCAUCCCAAAAAUAGCUCAUGGCCAUGUGUUUUAUAAGUAUGAGUUUAUUGAUUUAUGAUUUCAAGAUUUAUGGCCAAGUGAAUAAGAAUGAUCUGGUAUUUAUAUAAAUGGAUAAUUAUUUUGUUGGAAACGCAUCCUAUGUCCAUGUGAGACCAAGGAUUUCAUUUGAUGAGGAAAUUAUGUUUUUGGCCAUGAAUUUUAUAAGUUGGAUUUUAUUAAACUAUAUUACAAAGCAUUAUGGCCAUUUAAAUUUGUAAUUUGGUACCCUGUAUAAGUGGGACUAAGAUGGAUUAUCAAAAAUAAGUAUGGGCCAUUUAAGCUUGGACUUUAGGCCCAAGUGUGUUGGGCCUAAAGUGGGCCAAGAGGCCCGGCCCAUAGAGCCCAUGGGGUUGUCAGCGCAUCGAGGGGGGAGGGGAGGAGCCGAAUGGGCUCCUCCAAGUGUCUUCGGCAAGGGAGACACUUGUCUCCUUCUUGGGAACAAGUGUCCCCCAUGCAAAAUGUGGAUGCAUGCAAGCUUUCUUUUCAACCAAAAAGGAAAAGGGGGAAGGGGGUGAUCGGUCUAGGUGCCGAGAGAGAGGAGAGAAAGAGAGGAAGAGAGAAAGGAAGGAGGAGGUUCGUCGCCGCCGUGCCCUGUCGUCGAGCCACCGUGUCCUGCCGUUCAGCUGCCAGUUGUUUGCUGGAAUUAGAGGCAAGUGAGAUCCUUGAUCUACUCUUGCAUGUUGUGCCUAGUGUGUGUGAUUGAAUGGUGACAAAUUUCGGAUGUCUAGGAUGUGAAAAAUUGAAGUUUUACGAGUGGUAUCCUAGGCUAGUAUACUGUUCUUGAGAAAACAGCUCAACCUUGGAUGUUCUAGUGACUUGCAUGUGAUGUUCAAGUUGGAUUUUGGCUUUGACGUAUAAACGAAAGUUGUUAAGGACUUCUUGGAGUAUAACAUACUCAAAUUUGGGACAAAAAAAAACAAGUAUAAGUGGGUGAAAUCGUUAUUCUUUGGAAAGACUGGAUCUGGAGAUUUUGGUACCCACCUUUGAUGAAUGCAUGGACUAUUAGACAAUCUUUUUGUUGAAAUUUCACUUCGAUUUCUUUAAAAAAAAAUAUGUAAAGGACAUCCUGAUGUUUAACAUAUCAAAAAUUUAGAGAAAACCAACAAAAAUAGGUAGGUAAAAUCGUGAUCUUUCGGAGGUAGUUAGAUCUGGAAAUUUCGGUACUAGGAACGGAAGUUUUAAUCGCCUAUAUUUAAUUACCUAGGACAAAUUGGACUUUGAUUUCUUCAUAAAAUAUCUACCUUAUGGUCUUGACUACCAUAUAGUCAAAUUGCAUAAUUUGUGAAGGUCAUAUGUGUAUUUAGUCGGAAAUGUUUCUAAAACUGUGCAAUCUGAUGUGUUCGGACUUGGUAAUGUUGCAAUGCGUGGUCUAUACCGUUUUGUAUGAAAUUCUUUCGGAAAAGUGUUCUGCAUGAAAUACAUUUAUUUAUGUCUUGCCUACAACAUAUUCAAAUUUCGUAAUUUUGAAGUUCAGUUGCCUAUCUAACCAAAAAUGUUUCAAAAACUAUGCAAGUGGAACGAACAGAAUUAGUAGUGCUCUCAUGCGUGGUUUGUAUUGAACUAUAUGGGGGUCUUUUGGUGUAGUGUUCAUUGUGAAAUAUCUGCCUCUAUUUCUUGACUAUCCCAUGUUCGAAUUUAAUAAUUUUUGAAGGUCAUUUGGGUACUUAACUAAAAAAAUUUCUAAAACUGUGCAAGCUGGAUUGUGCGAAUUUCAAAAGCUGUAAUGCAUGGACUAUUCUGCUUUGUAUGAAAUUCUGGUGGUGGUGUGUUCUUCAUGAGAUAAAUGCCUCUAGAGCUUGUCUAUGAUGUAUUAAAUUCUUAGAAAUUAUUAGGGCCAAUCACUAAAUUUUAAGAAGUAUAAAUUAAAAGAACGCAUUCUGUUUCUAAAAUAAUAGCAAUAAUCCAUGAGUUUGCCCCAUGAAUUUAUAUUGUUUUUAAGUGAUUGAAUCUUGCUGCACAUAUGAUGAUAUUUGGCAUUACAUAUAAAAAUCAAAAGCUGAAAUUGACCUUGUUGCCAUAACAUCAUAUGCCAUGUUGAUAAUGAGCCACAAAUGUGAAAAUAAAGUAUGAAAAUGAGGAUACCGUGGGUGGUGUGAGCCAAUGAUGCCCCGGGAGUGUCGAGAUGCCCUGAAUGUGGGGGUGCAGGAUGCCCAGUUGUAUUACGAUACAUGCCCGGAUGUCCUUGGGAGUUUCGAGAUGCCUGGUGGUAUACGGUACGUAAUUCCAGGGAGAAUGCCUGGUGGUAUGUUAGUACGUAAUCCCCGAAGCCCUGGAGGUGUGUGCCAGGGGGAUUCCUCGUGAUGCCAGUUGGGAUGCGAGAUGCCCGGAAUGUGGGGGUGUCGAAAGCCUCAUAGGUGUGUGCCGAGGGGAUACCUCGUGAUGUCAGUUGGGAUACGAGAUAAUCAGAAUGUAGGGGUGUCGGAUGCCCGGAGGUGUGUGCCGGAGGUUCCUCGUGAUGUCAGGUUGGACACAAGCGAUAAAUUGUGAGAUGCAAACAUUGGUCCCUGGGAAGAAAAAUUGAUGAGAUCAUUGUGAAAGAUAAGAAUUGAAAGUGAAUCAUGUGCAUGGGUGUAUGUAUAUGGCAUAAUGCAUGAUCUGCUUAUGAAAGUAAAUUGAUGCUAUUUGAUAUUGAAAAUACGAUCAUGAAAGCAUAAAUGGAUCUCAUGGUGAUGUAUGCUUGAUAGCAUGGAUAAUAUGAAUCAUGGUGAUAUAUGCACAAUGGCAUGGCGAGAUAUGCAUGACUACAUGGUGAUAUAUGCAUGAAUGCUUGAUGAUAAGUGCAUGGUGAUAUAUGCACAUAUGGCAUGGUGACAUGUGCAUGAAUGCUUGAUGAUAAGUGCAUGGUGAUAUAUACACAUAUGGCAUGGUGAUAUAUGCAUGGCUGCAAGGUAAGGUAUGCUUGAAUGCAUGAAUGAUAUGUGCUUUGUUCAUGAUACCUUGAUUGUUCUGUUUGACGCAUUUAGUAGUUUGGUGGAUCUUUACUGCUGAGUGGUUGUACUCACCCCGUUUGGGGAAUAACAUUUCAAACUAGAUAAGAUACCUAUGCUACCACUACCACCGGUAGAUGGAUUAAGUGGUUGGAUGUGACCACGAGGAGGAGGAUAGCAAAGAAAGGAACUUUUGGACGCCGACACUGAUCGAUGGACUUUAAGUAUAUGACUGUUGGAGGAGAUGUCGGUCAUCUUUUGAAGUAUAGCCGAGUAUAGAAGAUUACGGCAUUUUGAUGUACCGAUGAAUGAUGUCCAUAUGGUUUAAGUAAAUAAAAGUGUUCGGCUUUUACCUAUAAAUGUUUAGUUGGUGUGCAUCGUUUUCUAAAUAUAAAGAAAGGAGUUGUUAGAUGUGCCUCCGUAUAUGAACUGCGCAAGGGACCGAUCUAAAAGAUGUGAACCCCCAUGGUUGUAUGGAUCCACUGCAAAUUGAAAUGAUAUCAAAGUGACAUGUUAUUAGGGAAAGUGAAAGAUAAGCGAAUUGUGGCGACCCUAACGAAUUGAGAGCCGUCGAGCGGUGCCACAUACCCAAUUUUGGAAUAAAUCUCCAAAAUUACAAAUAUCACUCGAAUAGCAUAAAUUAGCAUCCAGAUAAAUAAACCAAACAUACCAUUGCAACAAGCAUGGGGGAGGCUCGGGAACGGCUUGGACUCAUGGCUGGGGAUGCUGGACCGUGGGACAAGCGGCUAGGCGCGGCUGGCGAUCGCGGGAUGCGAAGACGAUGCGGCAGAGCUCCGGCUACUCAGCGAACCUUGUGACAGGCUAGGGAGGGGUGUGCUGCUUGGUUCUUUGAAAUUUUAAAGCUUCAAGGUGUCUCUAAUGGGGAAAGCAAGGCUGAGGGAGGAAGAAAGGGGACAACUCUAGCUUGGAGAGGGCCACUUCUCAUCCAUUCUACCCUCUGUCUCCUUGAUGAGGUCCCACAUGGAUGGGCUGUCUUCCUCAGCAAUUUUUCAGCCACAAAACUCCCUUUAGAAGCCAUUAUAGUGGUCCAAAGGUUGAGGGACCAAGGGGCUACGAAUUUUGCACUUUUACACAUCAAUUCCAUUCAAUUCUCCUUCAAUUCACAUCCAAUUGAGCUCAAUUUGUUGUCCAAAAAUCCAACCAAGGUGUCCAUGAUCAAAUUGAUAUUUUUCCUCACCAAUAGAACCAACUUGCAUCCCAAAAACACGAUAAAAAAUGGUCCCCUAAAUUUUCCGAACGAAAAUGGCCCUAUUUUGAAAUUCCGCCAAAAAUCUUGAUUUGCAAAAAAAUCUUUAGAAGAUGAGUCGACAUUCCUAAAAUGACUCGUGACAUGAUAGAACUUUCAAUUUCUGAAAUCGGAUUCAAAUUCGCGGUUAAUUUCGAUCUGGUGUGAUUUUAGCGUGAUCAAGCCUACUAAGUAGCUUUUAGAAAUUUUUGGUGCAAUUAACUCAUGAUCGAAUUUAUUCCGAGUCACAAUGUACAUCUUUGACGCAUUGACGACUCUCAGUAGUCGUGAAAAUCUUGAGGUUUUAAAUGCGGAUACAGGGUACCAAAACGAUAGAAAAAUCGGCCUAGUGCCGAUCAACGAGAAUUUUCCAAUCUAGUGGAAUCACCCACACUUUGAUCACCUAUCUGAGUUAAAAUGACCUAUUUGAUCUCUUAUUAAUUUUUAAUUAUACCGUAAUGAUCUCUGCAGAUGAGCACGGUUGAGUAGUCAAUUCUUGAUCGAAUUCUCAAGUCUAUUGCAUUAAAAUUCCUUAAUGGCUUCCCUCGAUAAUCUAGUUAUCACAAAAUUCCUUAAUGGCUUCCCUCUAUAAUCUAGUUAUCUCAUGAGUGAUCAACUCAGAUAAUAGAACUAUAGGCACGUCGAUAAAAUGCCCAAUUUCUUUAAUUGAAAACAGGACUGAAAUUUCAGGAUGUCACAACUUUCCCCUCUUAUAAAAAUUUCGUAUUUGAGAUUUAAACCACUACAAUACUUUAAGUAAAAAGGUGGGGGUACAAUCGUCUCACUGAAUCCUCACUUUCCCAAGUUGCUCCUUCAGUGCGAUGGUGUUAGCAGACCACUUUAACCAACGGGAUUAUCUUGGUACACAAAUCUGUUCUUUCCAAUCCACAAUCGGAUCCGAGCUUUCAACGUACGACACUCUAUCGUCCACGUCUAAUUCCUCAAAAUUAAGCACGUGGGUCGGGUCAGGCUCAUACUUCCUCAACAUCGACAUGUGAAAGACGUCGUGCACUUACGCCAACCUUAGCGGCAAUGCAAGAUGAUACGCUAGGAUCCCGAUUCUUUCUAGAAUCUCAAAGGGACCUACGUACCUCGGACUCAGUUUUCCCUUCUUGUCGAAGUGUGAAAAACCCCUCAUUGGCGAUACCUUCAGAAAAACAUGAUCACUAACUUGGAAUUCUAAAGGUCUCUGGCGCUUAUCCGCGUAACUUUUCUAACGGCUCUGAGCGGUCUUUAGUCUGCAUCUGAUGACUGCAACUGUAUCCACCGACUGCUGAACCAACUCUAGACCUAUAAUCUUUCUUUCCCCGACUUCAUCCCAACACACUGGUAUUCUGCACGCUUUGCCAUACAACACUUCGAAAGGAGCCAUCUGAAUGCUCCGCUUGUAGUUGUUGUUGUAGGCAAACUCGACAAUAUGAAGUUGUUCCUCCCAACUUCCUUUGAAAUCCAGCACAGAAGCUCACAGCAUGUCUUUGAGGGUUUGAAUCAUCCUCUCAAACUAGCCAUCCGUCUAAGGAUGAUAUGUUGCAUUGUACUACAGCUUUGUUCCUAAGGCAAUUUGCAAACUCUUCCAAAAAGCAAUUGUGAAUCUCAGGUUUCGGUCUGAUGUUAUCGUCACUAGCACUCCAUGCAAUCGCACAAUUUGACGUACGUACAACUCUGUGUGCCUAUCCAAAUCCAGAUCCUUCUUUACAGUGAUAAAGUGGGUCAACUUCGUCAAUCUGUCGACCACUACCCAAAUGGAAUCAUUACCCCUCAGACUCCUUGGUAAGCUUGUCACCAAGUCCAUCGUGAUGUGCUCCCAUUUCCACUUGGGAAUCUCAAGAAGUUGUAGAAGUCCUCCUAGCUUACAAUGCUAUGCCUUCACUUGCUGACACGUCAGACACUUGGCGACAUGCUUGGCGAUGUCCGCCUUCAUACCAGACCACCAGUAGUAUUGAGGCAGGUUCUGAUACAUUUUCGUACUACUAGAAUGAAUGUUGUAACUACUAUGAUGAGCUUAUGAUAAUAUCUCCUCCCUAAGUUUUGCAUCUGUUGGAGAAAUCUUUCCAGAUAUUUUGAAGCUAACAAAACGUUUCUAUCAGUCUAGUCUGGAUAAAUACAGACCUUCUAUUUAGAGUCUGAAGAUUUUCAGAUCACCAGACUCAACGCUCAGGACUCAACACUCAAGACUAUUCUCAUUGACAGUUUUUUUUCUAAUCCAGUGACGAAGGCAAUCCAGAGCCGAAGUAUUUGGUUGAGGAUUUAGUCCUAUCCUCUGGAGAAGAUCUCUUGGCUGGAUAAAAAUAACGGAUUCUUUUAUUCGUAAUCAAGAUCGUUUAAAGAUCUGAUGGUCGACGAAAUAUUCUUGGAAGGUUCUAUUCUUGGAAACCAAGAUCUUGAUUGUAUGGGCGAACAGGAUUGAUGGGCUAUCAUCAGGUUCCUUUAAUAGCUCAAAUGAUCUUCUUGAUUGAUUCCAUCCAACGGGUAGAUUGGAGGAAUUCCUUUGGUAAGUGCCAACGGGUAUGAUGGCAUAAAGGAGUAUAAAAGGAAGACAUUCUAGUUGCUUUAGUGCAUGAUCGAUAGAGAAAUUCCAGAGUCUGAAGCACCUUGAUUAUUAGUUGAUACAUUUUGAGCGAAAUUGUAUACACAAAUAGUGUCUAUACUUAGUGAUACCUUGAGCGAGUGUGGUAGAUCAUCUACACCGAGAAAUCAAGGGAGAACAACGCUGUAACAUCUCUUUGUUCAUAGUGGAAUCCAGCCAAUAGGCUGUCAGUGCAGAAGAGUGGACGUAGGCUUGAAAUAAGCCGAACCACUAUAAACCGCGUGUUCAAUUUUCUCUUCUCUCAGUCUUACUUUGAUUAUUGUUUGUCUCAAAUCUAUCAAUUGUUUAGUAUUGUGCAAUUAUCGAGAAAACUCCUUUAUAUACCUAUUCACCCCCUCUAGGUACUUAUACUAGCUAUAUCAAUUGGUAUCAGAGCUCGUGUACUCACUUUGUUUUACUUCAGAGUAAAAGAUCCAUGGCUAGUAUGCUAGCACCAGGGCUGAUGGAAGGGCAAAGCAAUACCAGACCACCCUACUUUGAUGGAAAGGAUUACAACAUCUGGAAGAACAAGAUGAAAGCUUUCCUACGAUCAAAGGAUCCUUUGGAAUGGGACGUUGUAGAAAAAGGAAUUACUCCUACAGCUGCAUCAGUCUCUGAAAGAGGGAAAGAAACUGUUGAGACCAGCGGAAUGACUCAGGAAGAGAUAAUCAAGAGACAAGCACUCGAUGCAAAAGCAAUUUACUCUUUAUAUUGUGCUUUGUCACCAACUGAAUAUAACAGAAUAUCUUCUUGUGUUACAACAAAAGAAGUUUGGGACAGAUUACAUAUCACCUAUGAAGGAACAGAUCGAGUGAAGGAAACCAGAAUUAACAUUCUCCUCGGUCAAUAUGAAGCCUUCAAAAUGAAACCAGGAGAAUCUAUAAUUGACAUGUUUAGCCGUUUUACAGAUAUUGUCAAUGGUCUUGAGAAUCAAGGAUAAACAAUUUCUGAUCCCAUGAAGGUAAACAAGCUACUGCGUGGACUCUCUAAGGAUUGGAAUCAUAUAAAGACUUCAAUAAGAGAGACGCAAAGAAUUAUGCCACUAUCUGUCGACGAGCUGAUUGGAACUCUUCAGUCUUAUGAAGUGGAACGAAUUAAUGAAGAUGAAGAUCCAAAAGGUAAGAAAUCCACUGCAUUAAAAUCAAAUGAUGAUUCUAAUGAUACAGAUUCUGAAGAUGAUAUGGAUGAUGAGGAGCUUGCUCUCAUGAUAAGAAGAUUCAGAAAACUGAAUAGAAAAGGAAGAAGGUUCAACUCAAAGAAACAAAGUUUUCAAAGACAGCAGACCAAGUCCGUUGAUGAUGAGGAACCAAACAAAGAUGUAGUUUGCUUUGAAUGUAAGAAAAAGGGACACAUCAGACCCAACUGUCCUCUUUUGAAGAAGAAGAGAGGAAAAGCUGAAAAGUUUCGAAAAGCUCUCAAAGCCGAAACCUGGAGUGAUACAGGCUGCGUUUGGUUCAGCAUUUGCAAUGGGCUUUGAGUCCAAUGCAAAUGCUGAAAGCUCAAAGCUACUUGGGAAAAAUGCAAUAGUGUUUGGUAAAAAAAUUUUGCAAAUGAACUUUGUGUUGAAUGUGUGUUUGGUAAGAAUAACAUUUGCAAGGAGCUUUUGAUGGGUAUAAUGUGUAUAUAUAUAUUUUCUUUUCUUUUCUUUUCUUUUCUUUUUUUUUUUUUGAAAAAUCAGCUAAACCCUUCGCCAGCCGGCGAAGGGCUGCGGCCGCCGGCGAGCCAAAUCUAGCGCCGACGGCCGUCGACUGAGGUCGCUCGAGGUCGGGCGACCUCCGGCGAGGGUCGCGCGACCCAGCCGAGGGCCGCCGGAGGUCACCCGAACUCGGGCGACCAGGGUCGCGGUCGCGCGACCCAGGCAACCGCCGCCUAGGUCUCGUGGCCGCAGGCGAGGGUCGCGCGACCCAGGCGACCGCCACCUGGGUCGUGCGACCCUCGCCUGUGGUAGGGAAAUCCCUUAUGAUGUUUUGAAGAUGACAAAAUAAAUCAAAGGCUACUAACAUGUUUGAUGGUUGAGUAAUAGACCAUGCAGAUGUUAGAACAUGUAGAGGAUAUUAUCUAAGUCAGAAGACGGCCAGAAGACUGAACGUAACAUAUGCCUAGAGUAUAUUUUGAAGAUUUCCAGACUUCUGUGUCAAAGUCUGAAGACUGCCAGACUCAAGACUCAAAGCCUGAAGACUGCCAGACUCAAGACUCAAAGUCUGAAGGCCGCCAGACUUUAGUGUCAAAGUCUGUUCUACCUCAGAAGUCUGUCAACUCUGACUAAUUCCAGACUGAACGUGAAUGAUGAACCAGAAGACAGACUCUAUGCUCAAGCUGAACUGGGUACAGACCUUAAAGCUAAAUCUGUUCAGAAGCAGAUAUGUUCAGACCCAGAUUGUAAAGUCUACAGACCCAGAUUAUAAAGUCUACAGACUCAGAUUGUAAAGUCCACAGACCCAGAUUUUAAAGUCUACAGACUCAGAUUGUAAAGUCUAUGGCUAUCAGACUUUACAUCCAGAUUUGACAGAACGUAACUCAAGCCCAAUCAUACAACGGCUAGUGAUCUGGUUUGGAUUCCACAUCAAGAUUGAUUUGAUUGAUUCAAUCUAAUUGAUUGACAAUUGGAUGUUGAAGACAAGAACUUUCUAUACGAAGAAGCUUUACUUAUGGAAACCAAGAUUUCGUUUGUAUGGGCGAUCGGAAUCAAUUUGGGAUUUUACCUUUGUCACUCAACGGCUACCAAAUCUUCUAGAUACAGAGCUGUCCAAUGGGUAUAUUGGAAGACGAUUCUCUGGGAUGCUGUCCAACGGCUAGUUUAGAAGUGGAGGAGUAUUUAAGGAGAUUAUGGACCGAUGAGCAAGUAAGAGAUGGAGCGUAGAAUUUAUAAUUCCAAAGUCUGAGCGACCUUCGAUCAUAUACUUGUCUCUUGAGAGCUUAAACGUUUGUAAUCGUGAGAGAAAUACCAAGAGAGUGACUUAGUGAGAUAGUGUGAUCUACUACUAAGUGUUUGCACUCGAAGUUGUAAUCUCUUGUUGAUUGCAUAGUGGAAUCCAGCCAAGAAGGCUGUUAUCGUGGGAGAGUGGACGUAGGCUUGGAUUAAGCCGAACCACUAUAAAUCUUGUGUUCUUAUUCUCUUCCCUAACUCCUUUAUUUUUUUCAUACUAGCACUCUCAGCUUGCGGCCGCGAGACCCAGGCGGCGAUCGCCUGGGUCACGCAGCCCCUGGGUCGAGCGACCCUCGCCAAGGGUCGCCCGAGGUCGGGCGACCUCCGGCGGCCCUCGGCUGGGUCACGCGACCCUCGUCGAGGGUAGCCCGAGGUCAGGCGACCUCCGACGGCCCUCGGCUGGGUCGCGCGACCCUCGUCGGAGGUCGCCCGAGGUUAGGCGACCUCAGCCGACGGCCACCGGCGGCAGAUCUAGCUCGCCGGCGGCCAUCGCCCUUCGCUAGUCCGGCGAAGGCUGCUCCCUUUUCAUUUAAAAAAAAUAUAAAUACAAGGACAAUAAUGGAAAUAUGAAAAAUCAAUGAGGGUAGUUUAGGAAAGAACAAAAAAUUUUCAGCAUUUCCAAGGACUCUACUUUCAUUUGAAAGUUCCUUGGGGGGGUUGCCAAACACCCUCUCCUUGGCUAAAGGGGCUUUGGGGGCUGGAUGGGCUUUCUAAAUGCCCAUCCAAACGCACCCACAGAGUGUGAAGAAAGUGAUAAUGAAUAUGCCAACCUAUGUCUGAUGGCACAAUCAGACUCAGACUCAGAUUCUAGAUCAGACUCAGACAGUGAAUUUGAGGCAAGUAAUUUUAAAAUUCCUGUCAAAGUUUCUAAAUACAUUGAUGAACUGUGUUUUAGUCUUAAGACUUCUCUCAAAAGAAUUUCCGAACUUAAAAAGGAAAACUCGGCUCUAAAACAAAAGGAAAACGUUUUAGAAGAAAGAGUUAAAAGUUUAGACUUGAUUGUUUCCACUCUUAAAGAAAAUGAAGACAAUCUUUUGAAAGAAAAUGCCCUUUUAAAAACUGACUUAUCAAAUAUUUCAAAGAAAUUUUCAAUAGUGUCCGAAAAACUUGAAAAAAUUCUUUCAGCUCAAAGACCUUACUUCAAUAAGUCCGGUCUAGGUAUGACAGCAGAAACAAUUCCCUUGAUUGAUUUUCCUAAAGUAAAAGAAAGAAUUAAGGAAAGACCCUCGAGAGAGGCUUACAAAAAUCAUUUCAAGAAAGUUUUUGUAAAGUCUGUAGGUCGAAAUGCCCUCAGAUGUUCAAAGUGCAACAGUCCGAAUCACUUUGAAAAAGAGUCUCCUAUGGUUUGGAAACCUGUUAAGAAAGUAUGGGCUAAUACUGCUUAUCUUACUAACACCAAAGGACCCAAGAAAAUUUGGGUACUAAAGAAAGCUUGAGACUCUAUUUUAAAUGCAGGUCUCCGUCAAGAAAAAGGUAAAGUGGUAUCUUGACAGUGGAUGCUCAAGACACAUGACAGGAAACUCAAAUUGCUUCAUAAAGCUUGUUCAAGUAAAUGGUGGAAAAGUUUCAUUUGGAGGAAACAGCAAAGGAAGUAUUGUGGGAUUUGGAACAGUGAAAAUUGGAAAUCUCACAAUAAGUAAUGUUUCCCUAGUAGAAGGACUCAAUUACAAUCUUCUCAGCAUUAGCCAAUUGUAUGAUACUGGUUUUAAGAUCUUCUUUCAAGAAGGAACAUGUUCUGGAAUCAGUAAAGACUUUACUCAAUCUUUCAUGGGUCAAAGCCAUGGAAAUAUCUAUCUUCUGGAUGUGAAACCAAAUGAAUCGCAAUGCCUAAUCUCAAUUCAAGACGAAGCAAGCUUAUGGCAUAGAAAGCUUGGUCAUGUCAAUAUGAAGCAAUUAGCCAAAAUCUCAUCAAAGCAACUUGUUCGAGGUCUACCCAAAUUACCAUACCAAAAGACUGAUCCAUGCACUCCAUGUAUUCUGGGAAAGCAGGUAAGAAAUUCAUUCAAGCCAAUAAAUCAUGUCUCUACUAAUCAUGUACUAUAGUUGCUGCAUAUGGAUAUCUUCGGACCAACCAGAACCCAGAGCAUUGGAGGUAAGAAAUAUUGCCUAGUAAUUGUGGACGAUUACUCCCGCUUUACUUGGGUAUAUUUCCUUGCAAGUAAGUCCGAAACCUUCUCGUAUUUUGAAAAAUUUGCUAAAAAUUUUCAAAAUGAAAAAGGAUAUGUUAUCUCAAGUAUAAGAACAGAUCAUGGAGGUGAAUUUGAAAAUCAAGAUUUUACAAAAUUUUGCGAUAAAUUUGGCUUUCAGCAUGUGUUCUCCUCUCCAUAUACUCCUCAGCAAAAUGGAGUUGUGGAAAGAAAGAAUAGAUCUCUUCAAGAAAUGGCUAGAACUCUUUUAAUUGAAAGUAAGAUUUCUUCACGAUUUUGGGCUGAAGCUGUUUCAACAGUAUGCUAUAUCAUCAAUAGAGUUUUCUUAAGACCUAUUCUAGAGAAAACCCCUUAUGAGUUAUUCAAAGAUAAGAAGCCUAUUGUUUCAUACUUUCAUGUAUUCGAUUGCAAAUGCUUUAUAUUGAAAAAUGCAAAAGAUCAAGUUGGUAAGUUUGAAGAAAGAUCAGAUGAAGGUAUCUUCCUAGGAUAUUCUACAUCAAGCAAAGCCUACAGAGUCUAUAACAAGAAGAGUCAGUCUAUGGAGGAGUCAAUGAAUGUCAAAUUUCAAGACUCUACGCAAGAUGAAUCCAGUCAGACUCAUCAUGAAGAGUCUGAACCUGCUCCAGACCCUCCAAAGCUUACAACUCAAGAAGCAUCUUAGACUCUGGAAGACCAGCAUCAAGCUAUUCGUGAAGAUUCAAAUAAAGAAAGAGAUCAUCAACCAGACAAAUCAACCAGUAACUGGAAGCAUAAGUCCAGUCAUCCCAAAGAUCUCAUUAUCGGCGAAAUUAAUGAAGGAAUUCGCACCAGAUCCAAAAGGAGUGAAGAGUCUAGUGCUGUGGCUCUCAUUUCUGAAAUUGAACCAAAGAGCAUAGAAGAAGUUUUAUCUGAUGAAAGCUGGAUUAAAGUUAUGCAAGAAGAGCUCAGACAAUUCAACAUUAAUGAUGUCUGGGAAUUGACAUCUAAACCAAAAGGUAAAACUGUUAUUGGAGCUAAAUGGGUGUUCAGGAACAAAAUGAAUGAGAAAGGAAGAGUCGUACGAAACAAGCAAGACUCGUGGCCAAGGGAUAUACGCAAGAAGAAGGAAUAGACUAUGAUGAGACUUAUGCACCAAUAGCAAGGUUAGAAGCUAUUCGACUAUUACUUGCAUUUGCUUGUUAUAAAAAUUUCAGGUUAUUCCAAAUGGACGCCAAAAGUGCCUUCCUAAAUGGAUUUAUCCAUGAGGAAGUUUAUGUGGAACAACCACCAGGGUUUGAAGACCCAAAGAAGCCAGACUCAGUCUUCAGACUGAAAAAGGCCUUGUAUGGUUUAAAGCAAGCACCUCAAGCUUGGUACGACAGACUAAACUCAACAUUUUGAAGCUUGAGGAAGUUAAAGUCUAGAGAGUCUCCAACCCUCAGACUCCGACAUUCAUGGCUAUAGACUGUAAGUUGUUAUUAUAUUCAAUCUCGAAAAGGUACGAUCAUUAGUUCAGUUAAUUUAUAAUUUCCGUGAAAAACUGAAUCUUGUCUUUUCAAAAAGAUUAACUUCUAUUUGGCAGUUAUUGAUUUUAAAAGAGAUGUCUGUUCCUUUUCCUUUGUGCCGAUUGGUUUUUCCUUUUUAAACUGAGUUAUAUAUAUAUAUAUAUAUAUAUAUAUAUAUAUAUAUAUAUAUAUAUAUACAGUUUUUCCUCGCUUAAACUUCAAAACCCUAAAAAGGCAUUCUCUUCCCAAUUCUGUCUCUACUUCGUGUUUAGCUUCGAGAAAGUUGUCAUCUUUUCUUGGAAAAGCGAGUAAAGGAAUCUUUCAACGACAAGAAAGGAUGUCUUCCUCGAGAAAGUCUUCACGAAUCGCAAACAGGGGACCACAGAGAAUGAGGGAGGGGCUUACCCAUUUCGAUCUCACCGAAGAGGAAGAUUUACCGAGUCAGCAACAGAGCCCGAUUCACUCUCCACCACGUCACUCUUCAUCAUCUACCCCACAAGGUGCGGGUCAACAACCGGAGGAUGAAACAAUCGAGGACUCAGACCCUGUAAGAGUCCAAAAACCCUCUUUUAUUUACAAGCUCUAUCGUGCGUUGAAGAGCAUUGGGACUCCGCUAAACUAUAUAGAUGAUUUCCUUAAAGAUAAGAAUUAUGGGAAUGAGCAUAUAUUUUUGCGAUGAAUGGAGGAUUUGGGAAUUGCUCCCAAAGGAAAGGCUGAGGAAGCACUUGCAAACAUUCCAAGUGACCCUCGUGUAUCGGGACUGAAUCCGACUGACGGGAACGAUGAUGAUAAAAUGUUCAGUGAAUUUCAACCUAGAAUGGGUGUUGCUGCGAAGGUGAAGGGAAAAAGGAUGGAUUUGUUUAAAUCGAAGGAACAGGAGAAUAUGUUCUUCAGACUGUUGAAACGAGGGGUGAUAAACCCUAGGAGUGUUGAUUUCGAUUUCUUGGAUGCCAUUAAUGUGAACUUAAGGGAGAAGUUCAAUCUGCUUCAACUAGAGCAAUUUUGCUCCGAUACCACAGACGGUUAUGCGCAAUUGACAGCAUACUUCUAUUCGAAUCUUAGCUGUUUAGAUGCGAAUAGAAUAUCCUUCAGUGUUCGAGACCAAGUCUAUGAGGUAGAUGUGGACAUGUUGGCAGACAUAAUUGGAGUUGAAAGAGGACGAUAUAAACCAAUCAAGGUUUCAAUCGCUCGUACCACACUGGAACUUGUCAAAGACAGGAGUACAGAAGGAAGAGUUACCUACUCAAGAAUGCAUGCCAUCAACAUCUUGCUUCACAAAAUUGUGAUCAACUGUAUCAGGCCAAAGUCUACAUCCAAGACUGACGUGUCUAACUCCGAGGCAAAAUUGAUGUACGUGAUCAAUUCAGGGAAAAAGUUCUCUCUCCCUCACACCAUUCUCUUUCACAUGUACAGAGCAAUGGUGAAGGACAAGGGCCAAUUGCCUUAUCCAGGUCUUGUGACCAAGAUCUUCAGACACUUAAACAUUGAACCUCCACAUACUCUUUGUGUUCGACCAUGUGAUAAAAUGGUGGUGGGUUUGAAAAUGCUGACAAAAAUGCGUUUGAAAGAGCUUAAUAAGGCAAUGGAGAAGUUCAAAGUGAAGACUCCAGUAUCUUCUGCAUCAAAGAGAAAAGGGAAGGAGCCCAUGGGUGCUCCAUCCAAAAAGAUGAGAACUCUUAUCUUAAAGGAUGAAGAUGAGGAGGAAGAUCUCACUAUCUCUGCAUUGAAAAGGACCAGACGUUUUGUACCUGAAUCAACAGAACGACAGAAGAUAGGAAAAGAAGCAGAAGAAAAAGAACAGAGAGAAGAAGAGGGACAAGCAAAGAACAGAGAAGCAGAGGAGCAACAAGAGAAAGAGAAAGAAGACGAAGAGAAAGAAGCUGAAGAAGAAGGAGAAGCAGUAAAAGAAAAGUCUGCAGAUGAAGCCGCAGAGAAAGGGAAUCAAGAUGCUAAAGAGCAUGACCAUCACUCUUUACCAAUUGAGGUCCUAGAGACAGGGGGAGAUGGCGAGCAAGGAAGGACUACAUCACAUGCUGUCAACAGUGAAGGUGUGAAUCGCUCACCAGCAAAUCCAGAAGAUUUUCAGGCUUCUCAAAUGCCUGAGGAAGGACAUGAUACGUCAACACCAAAUCUGCUCGAUUACACCGAAGUUCCAUCGUCUGCCUUCACUCCAUCCAAAAGAGCAAAUGCGGGCACUCAGACGGACAAUACCGCAGAUUUUCGUCGUAUCCUUGAUGUUCUUCUGGAAAUGCAGGGUCAAAUCUAUGCUCUGGAAUGUGAACUUCAAGUCAUGAAGAAUGCUGGACAAGCAUCUUCUGUUACCCUGGCAGAUCAAAUGAAAGACCUCGCUCUUCAAAUUCAAGCCAAUGCUAAAGGAGAAGAGGUGGCUCAUCUACGGGAAGACUUGAAGAGGCUGGAAGGCAUCGUCCAGUCGAUGGGAGAUUUCCAGAUUGUGCGCGUUCCCAAGCAGACUUGACUCUUUUCUCACCUUUUUAAUGAUGACAAAAAGGGGGAGAAUUGCAAUUUGAACUCUUUUGAACUCUUUAAACUCUUUAAACUUUGACAUGUUUGAAUAUUUGAGUAUGACUUGGGUGUGAACUUGAAUUUGACUGACUUGUGUGUAGAUUUUGAUGUUUGACUAUUUGCAUUUAUAUCAAGUGUUGUUGUAUGGUUUUACUCAUGAAAGACUAACCAAUUUUCUGUGGAUGCAGAGUCUGGUUGAUUUAUUAAUCUUUAUGAGAUAGCCAUAUUGCUUGAGUAAUGUUUUGUAGGUCAAAGUUGUUCAAAUCUACAGUCAAAGUUGUUCAAAUCUACAGGAAAGUUUUGUCACCAUAAAAAAGGGGGAGAUUGUUGGAGAAAUCUUUCCAGAAUAUUUUGAAGCUGACAAAACAUUUCUAUCAGUCUAGUCUGGAUAAAUACAGACCUUCUGUUUAGAGUCUGAAGACUUUCAGAUCACCAGACUCAGCACUAAAGACUCAAGACUCAAGACUAUCCUCAUUGACAAUUUUUUUUCUAAUCUAGUGACGAAGGCAAUCCAAAUCCGAAGUAUUUGGUUGAGGAUUUAGUCCUAUCCUCUGGAGAAGAUCUCUUGGCUGGAUAAAAAUAACGGAUUCUUUUAUUCGUAAUCAAGAUCGUUUGAAGAUCUGAUGGUCGACGAAAUAUUCUUGGAAGGUUCUAUUCUUGGAAACCAAGAUCCUGAUUGUAUGGGCGAACAUGAUUGAUGGGCUAUCGUCAGGUUCCUUUAAUAGCUCGAAUGAUCUUCUUGAUUGAUUCCGUCCAACGGGUAGAUUAAAGGAACUCUUUUGGUAAGUGCCAACGGGUAUGAUGGCAUAAAGGAGUAUAAAAGGAAGACAUUCUAGUUGCUUUAGUGCAUGAUCGAUAAAGAAAUUCCAGAGUCUGAAGCACCUUGAUUAUUAGUCGAUACAUUUUGAGCGAAAUUGUAUAUACAAAGAGUGUCUAUACUUAGUGAUACCUUGAGCGAGUGUGGUAGAUCAUCUACACUGAGAAAUCAAGGGAGAACAACGCUGUAACAUCUCUUUGUUCAUAGUGGAAUCUAGCCAAUAGGCUGUCAGUGUAGAAGAGUGGACGUAGGCUUGAAAUAAGCCGAACCACUAUAAAACCGCGUGUUCAAUUUUCUAUUCUCUCAAUCUUACUUUGAUUAUUGUUUGUCUCAAAUCUAUCAAUUGUUUAGUAUUGUGCAAUUAUCGAGAAAAAUCCUUUAUAUACCUAUUCACCCCCAUCUAGGUACUUAUACUAGCUAUAUCAGCAUCGUCAGGUACACACAAUCAUCCUCGGAACCUCAGUGUUCCAUCCUCAGAAAUCUGAAAAUCAGCCUUUCUCUUAUUGGUAUUCUCUUGUAAAAUUUUUUGAACAUCUGGGUCUGUUGAUUGAAGUAUCUUGAUCCUGAUCUGCAUAUCCGGUUCAAUUCUGAGGAUGGCAAUAAGAUUCGAAAAGUGGCCUUCCUCAACUUUGAAAGCCGAAUCUUGAGCUCUCUCGAGUAAAACCCAUUCCUUAACCAUCAUCUGUGUGACUGAAUACUUCCGACUCAAAGCGUAGGCAACCUUAUUUGCCUUCCCAGGGUGAUACAAAAUAUCACAAUUGUAGUCCUUUAGAAGUUCCAUCCAACAACGCUGUCUCAUAUUCAACUCAUUCUGAGAUAAUAGAUACUUGAGACUUUGAUGAUUAGUGAAGAUGUGGAAUCUUUCUCCACACAAAUAAUGCCUCCAAAUCUUCAAAGUGAAAGUGAUUGCUACGAGUUCCAAGUCGUGCGUCAAGUAAUUUAGCUCAUGAGGCCUCAACUGGCGGGAAGGCUAGGCAACAACCUUAUCAUGUUGCAUUAGCACGCAACCCAAUCCUUUGAACGACGCAUCACAAUAAAUCUCGUAUCCUCCAAGACCAGAUGGAAUGGUCAGCAUAUGUGCAGUAGUUAGCUUCUGCUUAAGCUCUUGGAAACUAUGCUUGCACUUGUCUAUCCACACAAACUUCUCUUCUUUCUUCAAGAGUCGAGUCAACGACGACGCCAACACUGAAAAUCCUUCCACAAACCUUCUGUGGUAGCCUACUAAACCCAAAAAACUUUUGAUCUCUGACACUGUCAACAGUCUUGGCCAGUUAAUCACUACUUCAAUCUUGGACGGGUCCACGAAGAUUCCUUCACCUGAAAUCACGUGACCUAGGAUCGCAGCACAAGUCAAUCAAAACUCGCUCUUGCUAAACUUAGCGUACAAUCCAUGAAUCCUUAGGGUCUGAAGUACCAUUCUCAAAUGACUCUCAUGCUGCUCAGCACUUCUCGAAUAUACCAGAAUAUCGUCGAUGAACAUGAUCACAAACUGAUCUAGAUACUCUUUAAAUACUCGGUUCAUCAAAUGCAUAAAACCAGCUGGAGCAUUUGUCAAACCAAAUGGCAUUAUAGUGAACUCAUAAUGGCCGUAUCGAGUACAGAACACUGACUUCAGUAUAUCCUCAUUUCUGAUCCUCAGUUGAUGAUACCCCGUUCUCAAGUCGAUCUUUGAAAAUAUUGACGCUCCUUAUAACUGAUCAAACAAGUUGUCGAUCCUCCAAAGUAGAUACUUGUUCUUGAUCGUCACCUGAUUGAGUUAAUGAUAGUCGAUGCACAAGCACAACGAACCAUCUUUCUUCUUUACGAAUAAAACCAGUGCUCCCCAAAGUGAUGCACUAAGAUGUAUGAAUCCCUUAUCCAACAAUUCUUGCAUUUGCACCUUUAGUUCUUUCAACUUAGAUACGACAUCUGGUAAGGAGCCUUAGAGAUUGGCUCUAUCACGGGUGCUAACUCAAUCACAAACUUGGUCUCUCUCUCUAGCGGUAGGCUUGGCAAUUNNNNNNNNNNNNNNNNNNNNNNNNNNNNNNNNNNNNNNNNNNNNNNNNNNNNNNNNNNNNNNNNNNNNNNNNNNNNNNNNNNNNNNNNNNNNNNNNNNNNNNNNNNNNNNNNNNNNNNNNNNNNNNNNNNNNNNNNNNNNNNNNNNNNNNNNNNNNNNNNNNNNNNNNNNNNNNNNNNNNNNNNNNNNNNNNNNNNNNNNNNNNNNNNNNNNNNNNNNNNNNNNNNNNNNNNNNNNNNNNNNNNNNNNNNNNNNNNNNNNNNNNNNNNNNNNNNNNNNNNNNNNNNNNNNNNNNNNNNNNNNNNNNNNNNNNNNNNNNNNNNNNNNNNNNNNNNNNNNNNNNNNNNNNNNNNNNNNNNNNNNNNNNNNNNNNNNNNNNNNNNNNNNNNNNNNNNNNNNNNNNNNNNNNNNNNNNNNNNNNNNNNNNNNNNNNNNNNNNNNNNNNNNNNNNNNNNNNNNNNNNNNNNNNNNNNNNNNNNNNNNNNNNNNNNNNNNNNNNNNNNNNNNNNNNNNNNNNNNNNNNNNNNNNNNNNNNNNNNNNNNNNNNNNNNNNNNNNNNNNNNNNNNNNNNNNNNNNNNNNNNNNNNNNNNNNNNNNNNNNNNNNNNNNNNNNNNNNNNNNNNNNNNNNNNNNNNNNNNNNNNNNNNNNNNNNNNNNNNNNNNNNNNNNNNNNNNNNNNNNNNNNNNNNNNNNNNNNNNNNNNNNNNNNNNNNNNNNNNNNNNNNNNNNNNNNNNNNNNNNNNNNNNNNNNNNNNNNNNNNNNNNNNNNNNNNNNNNNNNNNNNNNNNNNNNNNNNNNNNNNNNNNNNNNNNNNNNNNNNNNNNNNNNNNNNNNNNNNNNNNNNNNNNNNNNNNNNNNNNNNNNNNNNNNNNNNNNNNNNNNNNNNNNNNNNNNNNNNNNNNNNNNNNNNNNNNNNNNNNNNNNNNNNNNNNNNNNNNNNNNNNNNNNNNNNNNNNNNNNNNNNNNNNNNNNNNNNNNNNNNNNNNNNNNNNNNNNNNNNNNNNNNNNNNNNNNNNNNNNNNNNNNNNNNNNNNNNNNNNNNNNNNNNNNNNNNNNNNNNNNNNNNNNNNNNNNNNNNNNNNNNNNNNNNNNNNNNNNNNNNNNNNNNNNNNNNNNNNNNNNNNNNNNNNNNNNNNNNNNNNNNNNNNNNNNNNNNNNNNNNNNNNNNNNNNNNNNNNNNNNNNNNNNNNNNNNNNNNNNNNNNNNNNNNNNNNNNNNNNNNNNNNNNNNNNNNNNNNNNNNNNNNNNNNNNNNNNNNNNNNNNNNNNNNNNNNNNNNNNNNNNNNNNNNNNNNNNNNNNNNNNNNNNNNNNNNNNNNNNNNNNNNNNNNNNNNNNNNNNNNNNNNNNNNNNNNNNNNNNNNNNNNNNNNNNNNNNNNNNNNNNNNNNNNNNNNNNNNNNNNNNNNNNNNNNNNNNNNNNNNNNNNNNNNNNNNNNNNNNNNNNNNNNNNNNNNNNNNNNNNNNNNNNNNNNNNNNNNNNNNNNNNNNNNNNNNNNNNNNNNNNNNNNNNNNNNNNNNNNNNNNNNNNNNNNNNNNNNNNNNNNNNNNNNNNNNNNNNNNNNNNNNNNNNNNNNNNNNNNNNNNNNNNNNNNNNNNNNNNNNNNNNNNNNNNNNNNNNNNNNNNNNNNNNNNNNNNNNNNNNNNNNNNNNNNNNNNNNNNNNNNNNNNNNNNNNNNNNNNNNNNNNNNNNNNNNNNNNNNNNNNNNNNNNNNNNNNNNNNNNNNNNNNNNNNNNNNNNNNNNNNNNNNNNNNNNNNNNNNNNNNNNNNNNNNNNNNNNNNNNNNNNNNNNNNNNNNNNNNNNNNNNNNNNNNNNNNNNNNNNNNNNNNNNNNNNNNNNNNNNNNNNNNNNNNNNNNNNNNNNNNNNNNNNNNNNNNNNNNNNNNNNNNNNNNNNNNNNNNNNNNNNNNNNNNNNNNNNNNNNNNNNNNNNNNNNNNNNNNNNNNNNNNNNNNNNNNNNNNNNNNNNNNNNNNNNNNNNNNNNNNNNNNNNNNNNNNNNNNNNNNNNNNNNNNNNNNNNNNNNNNNNNNNNNNNNNNNNNNNNNNNNNNNNNNNNNNNNNNNNNNNNNNNNNNNNNNNNNNNNNNNNNNNNNNNNNNNNNNNNNNNNNNNNNNNNNNNNNNNNNNNNNNNNNNNNNNNNNNNNNNNNNNNNNNNNNNNNNNNNNNNNNNNNNNNNNNNNNNNNNNNNNNNNNNNNNNNNNNNNNNNNNNNNNNNNNNNNNNNNNNNNNNNNNNNNNNNNNNNNNNNNNNNNNNNNNNNNNNNNNNNNNNNNNNNNNNNNNNNNNNNNNNNNNNNNNNNNNNNNNNNNNNNNNNNNNNNNNNNNNNNNNNNNNNNNNNNNNNNNNNNNNNNNNNNNNNNNNNNNNNNGUAUCCACAACAAUUGCCAGGUAACCCUGACAAUCCCCGUCUAACAAACAAGUUGCCUCAAGCAACGAGAUUAAAGUAAUCGAGAGUCCUCUUCGAUCCCCAACAAACUCGAAAUUUUCACCCUAUAACGGGUCAAACUGAAUCACUUUACGAUAGUAGUCCAUCUUAGCUCGUUGCUUGGUGAGUCAAUCCAUGCCAAUUAUCAAAUCAAAGUUAUACAUGGCUAGGACUAACAAGUUUAUCUUCCCCUCUCGCUCGCCAAUCACUAAAUUGCAACCACUGACCCCAACAACUCAGGACUUAAUCCUAUCAGCUUAACAUAUUGCUCAGCAACAAAAGAACGAGUCACUCCAGGGUCAAACAAAGCAUAAGCAGCAUGGUCGUUCAGCAAAACCGUACCUAUAAUCACAUCAGGCACGUCCUCUACUUGACCUCUGGUGAUGGCAUCAUACACUAUCCCUUGAGCUGGGGGUAUGUUCUGUCCACCCUACGGUGCAAACUACGGUGCUACACCCCUUAUCUAAUCUAUCAGUGGCAGCGGCAGUAACUACUGUUGUCCCCUCAAUCUUCUGGGACGAUCUCUGACCUGGUAACCCCGUUGGCCACAUUUAAAACAAGCACCCAUUCUCUGAGGGCAUGAGGUCGUAUAAUGUCGCCUUCCAUAUAAGCGACAUACAUCAUUCUGAUUUGGAACUAACUUUCCAAUUCCACCCUUCCGAUUAGGCAGAACAUGGAACCUUCCUCCGGUCAUGGGCCUCUUCCAUACCGGUUCCCAUCUCUAUUCGAAUUAAACCUCGAUCUAGACGAGACGGCUUGUUCAUUCAAACUUUUCUUUGUCAGUUGGGCUCGGUUGUAAACCUCAUGAUAGUCUUUUAGAUCGAACGGCACCAGCGGGUUUGUCAACUCUAGUCGAAGGUCAUUCCUAAACCUUCGGGCUUAGUAUUCUGGAUCCUCUAUCAAUCUCGGAGUAUAUUGAGAAAGCUCCGUAAACUUGACCUCAUAUUGGUCAACAGUCAUCAUCCCUUGGCGGAGGCGUUGAAAUUCCUUCAUCUUCUGUUCUUGGGUGCUACCCGAAAAGUAAUUGUCGUUGAAGGCUUUGAGGAAAGUGUUCCACACCGAGACUACACCUUCUAGAAAUAUUGUACCUCUGGCGGCCCUCCAUUAGGUAUUCGCAUUACUGUGCAGUUGAUAUACUACCAGGACAACUUUUUCUGCCUCAGUGUAUAUCAGAAGUGCAAAGGCCUUCUUCAGAUCUUGAAUCUAAAGUGAUGUCGUCUCUGGAUCUUCGGCAGGUUCAACUUUAGGAACUGCUCUACUAACUUAUGGAUUAGUCUCUCCCUCUCCACAACUAUGUUCCCAGCUGGAACUUCAGCGGGUGCGGCAACGGUGGCGACUUCAGCAAUGGUGGCAAUGGCAACAGCUUGAUUCUGGGCUUACUGCCCCAUCAGAUUUCUCAUCGAUUCAAGUGCUUGCAUGAUCCCUUUGAACCUAGGGUCACCAAGGGCUGUUACCCUAGCACCAACAGGAGGCGGUGCUACUCCACUAGCGCUAGCCUGAGCUAGCACUCGACCACGACCUCCUCGGAUACCGACCCUCGUCGGAGUCCUACCUCGAGUAAUAAGCCCGAUGAUCCUCUUUCUAGGAGUCCUCUGCUCCUGAUCACUCAUCUCACAGGGUCUUUAAAGAAAUUUGCUUUCCAAUUCUACACAUAAUUAGAAGCUGAGCAAUCACAAACAAACAAUCUACCAACCAACUAACACAGACAUGCACCAGCAUGAAAUAAAUGCCAUUCCUACUAACUAUUCCAUAACUUAUCGUACCUUAUCACUCCAACUAUUGACCAGCUCUGAUACCACUCUAGGCGAGGAUGUGACGUCCCGAUCCUCUGAGUGCGUGCCCAUCCCUCAGUGGUCGAUUAAAUUGACGUCCCAGGACGUGUCACGACCCAUUCAUUUUAAUGCACAUGCGAAAGCAAAUAAUAAAUCCCUAGACAGCAGAAAGAUAGGUUAAAAAAACAUGCCCACAAAUUUUUAAACCACAACACACUUAUAUACAUAUCAGACUAAGUCAUAUAUAAUAUUAGCCGAUAUAUACAAUUCUACAAAAAAGGGUAGAGGGCUAUAGAUCCUCUAAGCAUUCGAGUCUUCAACUGAAUACUCUAGGGACUAUGGAUCUGAAAUACUCGAGUCUACCAUUGAACCAUGUGGAAGGUCAGUCAUGUCCUUGCCAAAAGCAAUCUCCAGCACCGACCUAGGAAUCUCAUACUCUAAAAGGAGGCCUUCUCUAGGUCCAUCUCGCCCGUAACGAUACCAUGAUCUAAAUUGAUGGGAUACCUUCUAGGAUAGACCCUUAUAAACUCAGACAAUGGAUCUUACGAGUUCGUAGACCCAGGCUCCUUGACUCCUAAAGAAGGGAAUCUGAGAGUGCUGUUCGGUGACCUUCUUCGGUUGGCCAAAAUACUGGGGAGGUACGGCCAUCUAAGGACCUGUAAAUAUUAUCCCAUAACGGGGUGAGACGACAUCUUAGUAAGUUCACCCCCUAAACUCUUAUUAGGAAUGAAAUAUGCCUAAAGGCUACCUAUGCACACAAGAGAUAGGCUACUUACAUUUUCCUCAGUUGCUUCUUGCAAGUUAGUAUGAUUCAUAUAUUCAACGAAUCAUUUCAAUUCGAAUCAAAUCAUCAAAUCAAAUCGAGUCAUCGAUCAAUUGAUCCAAUCGAUUCCAUACCAUCAACACCAUCUCUUAGUUAACCCAUUAAAUACUAUCUAUAAAGUCCGAUCACAUCAAGGACUGCUCACCCUAAGCUGAAGAUAGAUAGUAUUGCUUAUCAAAAGCUGAUAAUAGAAUAUACUACUCACCUUAAGUUGAUACAUCAAGGGUCGCAGGCUAAUAUAGUAUACUAAUAAUGCUUACCAAAGCUGUGUGAUACUUAAUAUGCUCACCAAAGCUGUGCAUUACUUAAUAUUUAUUGUACCCGAUAAAAUAAUCGUGUGUGGGUACACAGUCGGCCUUAGCCAAUAUACAAUAAUUUCUCUUUUACAAAAUCCCACUAAAUAUAAUAGCUCACACACACAUUUUUGGCACUGUAAACCGAUGCCCGGUAUUUUCUAAUUAAAUACUGAAAUUACCCAAUUUGGAAAAAUUUCCAAAAUUACAAAUAUCACUCAAAUAGCACAAAUUAGCAUCCAGAUAAAUAAAUCAAACACACCAUUAUAAUCGACACAAAAUUCCUGUCACCGGCUAUUCCGGUAUAAUUUCUGGAAAAUAAUAAAUAAUUGAAUAAUUACCAAAAUUAAUUAAAUAAAUAACAAUAAAUACCAAAAAUACAAGCUUAGGCCGGAAUAGCCUAUUAAAUACCAAAAUGGGCCCGGAAAAUUUCCAAACCUAUCUAGAUAAAUAAUACGACAUAUCUACUUGCUAAUUACACUACUCUAACCACCUAACAUACAUAAAUGAAUAAUUAAAUUGUUAAUCCAUUCUAACUAACCACAUAAUCUCUAAUUAGCCUAAAUUAAUCAACCCUUUAAGCAUCAUUAACCCCCUAAGUAGAGUUAGCGAGUAAAAUCACUGGUUUUGAAUCCCGAUAAGUUCACAACGACGGGGAUGUGAUGGCAGGCCACAAACUCCGAAGCAAGGGCACCCUACGAGACCGGGAAGGGCUUGGAAAUGGGCCUCGAAGCCCACGGCUUCUUGCUGGACUUGGGUUCUGGUUGGUGGGCCGAGAGGUUGAGCUAGGUGGCGAAACGGCGAAGACGGGUUGGUGAGUGACUACAGCUACUAGGCAGAGGCGAAUGGCGGCCGAACGGUGGCUCAAGUGGCUAGACGGCGACUCGACAGGCACGAGGGAGGCUCAAUAAUAGCCUAGACUUGCGGCUAGGGACGCUGGAUUCCAAGAUAAGUGGCUAGGCGCCGGUCGGCGAUCAUGGGGCACGACAGCGACGCGGCAGAGCUCCGGCUGCUCGGCAAAGCUUUUGAUGGGCUAGGGAGGGGUGUGCUGCUCGGUUCUUUGAAAUUUCAGAGCUUCAAAGUGUCUUUAAUGGGGAAAGCAAGGCUGAGGGAGGAAGAAAGGGGACAACUCUAGCUUGGAAGGGGCCACUCCUCAUCCAUUCUACCCCUUUGUCUCCUUGAUGAGGUCCCACAUGGAUGGGCUGUCUUCCUCAGCAAUUUUCCAGCCACAAAACUUCAUUUAGAAGCCAUUGAAGUGGUCCAAAGGUGAGGGACCAAGGGGCUACAAAUUUUGCACUUUUACACAUCAAUUCCAUUCAAUUCUCCUUCAAUUCACAUCCAAUUGAGCUCAAUUUGUUGUCAAAAAAUCCAACCAAGGUGUACACGAUCAAAUUAACAUUUUUCAUCGCUAAUAAAACCAACUUGCAUCCCAAAAACACAAUGAAAAAUGGUCCCCUGGAUUUUCCAGACGAAAACGGCCCUAUUUUGAAAUUCCGCCAAAAAUCUCGCUUUGCAGAAAAAUGUUAAAAAAAAGAGUUGACGUUCCUAAAAUAACUUGUGACAUGAUGGAACUUUCAAUUUCUGAAAUUGGAUUCAAAUUUGCGGUUAAUUUUGAUCUAGCGCAAUUUUAGCGUUACCUAGCCUACCAGGUAGCUUUAGAAAUUUUUGAUGCAUUUGACCCAUGAUCAAUUUAUUUCGAGUCGCAAUGUACAUCUUUGACACAUUGGCGACUCUUGGUGGUAGUGAAAAUCUCGAGAUUUCAAAUGCGGACACAGGGUACCAAAAUGGCAAAAAAAUUGGCCUAGUGCCAAUUGACGAAAUUUUGCAAUCUAGUGAAAUCACCCACACUUUAAUCAUCCAUCUCAGUUGAAACAACCUAUCUCUGAUCUCUAAUCGAUUUUUAACUGUGCCAUAAUUAUCUCUGCAGAUGAGUAUGGUCGAGUAGUCAAUUCCUGGUCGAAUUCUCAAGUCUAUUGCAUUAAAAUUCUUUAAUGGCUUCCCCUAAUAAUCUAGUUAUCUCGUGAGUGAUCAGCUUAGAGAAUAGCACUAUAGGCGCGUCGAUGAAAGGCCUAAUUUAUUUAAUUGAAAACAAGAUUGAAAUUUUAGGAGGUCACAUCAACUAAUGUUGAUCGUUUGAGUCUUGUGACAUCGAGCAUAUGCUAUUUCUCAGUUAUCAUGAUAUCUUUGCCAUGUGAGGUGCUCUUUUGUUUUGCUCAAGUUUCAUGCAUCUACUAAUAAUUCUAUUCAACUUUUCUUUCUAAGGAUGCUUUUUCUUUUUAUCAUUGUCUAUUCAUGUGCUAUGAGUGCUACUUGAGUUACAUUUGAUGUGAAGCAGUAGACCGCGCUUACUUGACGCCGCACUUUUGAGACCUGGCUGGCUCAACUUAUGUUGUGCGAUUUUCCUUAUAUACAGGAGAGGCUGGAUAUUCUUACACUUCUAUCUAGGAAGGGAGAAAGUUAGCUUCCAUCCAUCUGCCAAUGCUUUUGCUUUGAGCAUUUUAUCUUUGACGUGGUCUAGAACAGGUUGUACAUAUUGAAAUUUAUGUGAUUACUUGUUAAAGAACUAUACAACCGCAAUCCUACUUUUUCCAGAAAGAUGCAUCUGAAAGAUUACAUAUGAACAAAGAAUUGCUUAAAAACAAACAAAAAGAGUUAGAAGCAGAGUCAAUUUGAGGUGCUAAAGAUCCUGUUUUGAACUUACGUCACCUGAAAGAGUGCAUUUGGUGAUUCUCAAUCCUUGCACCCCGAAUCACCCUAUGAACAUUGUAAAUUACAAGAGAACAUUGCACAAGAUGUUGCGGGGGUGGAUCUGCAACACGCUCAGGUGAGGCUCAGUUAAGUUUUGAUGUCCAAUAGUAAAUCACUUUUAACCUUGGAUUUAACAUCUACUGAUGUUGCUCAGAAAGAAAAAUGAGAAAGGCCUUUACAGUUGAUUCCAUGAAACGAGGCUAAGACUUGCCUUUGGUUAUCAUUUAGUAUAACCUUUCUAAGACAUCCUCAUCAUCUCCUUUUUCUUUCUUUUCACUAAUUAGGAAGAUGUUGGGUGGAUUCAAUUAAUUAUAUUAAUCCGAUUCUGUAUAAUUAGUCAGUAAAAGUGGCAACCAUUGGGCAACGUUGAAGUUUUGCUGAGUGUAUGCUUUAAUGCCCUUGUGCAACUUUCUUUGGCCAGUGAUGUGGACUUAGAUGCUAUAACCCAUAUGACAGAGGGAUUUAGCAGAGUGGAUCUUCAAGCUUCGCUUUCAGAUGCACAGCCUCAAGCUAUUCAUGAUCUUCUCGACAGUAGGGAGGGCGAUCAACAUAGGAGAAAGCCAAUUAUAUCCUCUGAAGUCCGUUGCUUCAAAGGCAAGGCUGUCAGUCUCAGAUGUUGAGAAGAGAAGAUUCCGUAGAAAUUUUUUUAUUCAUUGAAUUCUAUUAUUUAUCCAUGCAACAAGAAUUGUGCAUCUCCAAUCAGAGUUUCAACUCCAGAUUCUAAUAGUGGCUUAUUAUGCAUAUGUUGUAGUUAAUCCCUACAAUAAUCUCUUUUUCGUAUGGGAACACGACAUCUAUGGAACAAUUCAUCAAGUGAAUUUGCAACUUCCAGUCACAAAUUUCAAGCAGUUGCGACAUUUUGGUAGGAGCUACUAUUUUCACAGCUUCUUUGGCUUAGAGCACCGCACGAGACAAAUCAUGGGCUCAAGAUUUCGCUAUGAAGGACAAUGGAAAAUUAUGAGCCCGAGUAAUUCAAAUGAAAUCAUUUGCACUAUGUUCACGUUAUUUGUUGUCAUUGUAUAAAAGGGUUUGAUGAACUGUGCUAUGAUAUUUCAUGGCGCAAUUCAUCAGUUUAGUUAUAGUGACUUUUGUUUGUGAAUAUGCUUUUUUCUUUUGCUCUUGGCUUGAAAGAAUCUCUUUGGAACUAUUGUCAAAUCGGUGUAAAUCAAAUAAAUCAUGAAUACAUCAAGGCACGAGAUUGUAGAUGAUCGGCUUAACAAUGAGGAAAAGUGACAUGGAGAGACCACUUACAAGCUCCCUUAUCGCAAGUGAAUCUUUUUUCCUCAAAUAAAUGACAUUUACCAUGUAGAAGAUAUUUAUUCCAAAGAUAAGAUCGUUUUACUACAAGAGUGAGUAACCUAUAUAUCAAGUGAAAAAGUUAGACAGUUGAGAUUACAUUUCUACAUUUCUUUACGUAUGAUGGUGAGAGAUCUAAUAUUAUGAUGAGGUGACUUCGCUAGAAAAAGCCAUUUCAGAUAUGUUAGGUGAUAUUUCGUUUAUGGGAUAUAAUAAGAUAGGAAUGGAAUGGUUAUUCCAUAAAAUUGGAAGAGAGUGGGAUUGGGAAUGGAACAGCUAUUUUGUAAUUUGGUUUGUAGAAUGGAUUCAAAACUACUCUCUUGUUUGUUUUACCAUGAUAUGAGGGAGAAUAAGUUAAGAAUAGUAGAGAAUACCCAUAAUACCCUUUGACGAUAUAUAAUCAAAGUCUAAUUUCUUUUAUUAUCAUAUUUUCAUAGGACAUAAAUGAAAACCUGCUAUAAUUUCAAAAUACUCGCAAUGUUUUAAUUUCUACUGUAAGUAACCAUUAUUUUAUUAAUCAAUAAUAAUUAAACCAUAAUAUAAUUACUUAAUGAACUAAUUAUUAAACAAUAGUAUAAUUACUAAAUAGAUAACUUUUAUUUUUAUAUAAUAACUACCAUUCAAGUCAAGCCAAUAAAUAAGGCCAAGCUCAAGCUCAACUCCUAUUAGAUAUUCAAUGCUCGGGGUUCCUUUCUAGCUAUGGAGUAUUAAAUAUCCAGCUUUAGCUUCACUUGAAAAAAAAAAAUCUAAAUAUUCAAGCUCAAGUCGACUCGAUACAGUCUAGUCAUAAUGAGCUCGAGCUCGAGCUCAAUAGUUACAAAUAUUGUUCUCUGCUUCAUUAGAAAUGGUAUCUUUUAGACAUUGAACUCCAUGUACUGUAAGCACUUCCUUAGUUGGAAAGUGUGAUAUCCUGAUUUUUCGGGUUCUGUUUUUUAUUGAAUAAGCUGGGCUUUUCAUCAAAGCACCUAUCGUUCUAUUCUCUGAGCUAAUCACUCACGAGAUAACUAAUCUAUAUGGUGAAGCCGUUAGCGGAUUUUAAUGCAAUAGACUUGAUAAUUCGACCAAGAAUCGACUGCUCGACCGUGUUUAUCUGCAAAGGUCAAUACGGCACUGUCAAAAUUGAUCGGAGAUCGGAGAGAGGUCGGUUCGACUGAGAUAUGUGAUUAGAGUAUGGGUGAUUCCACCUAAUUGCAAAAUUCUCGUCGAGCGGCACUAAACCGAUUUUUCUGUCACUUUUGUACCAUGUGUCCAUAUUUGAAACCUCGAGAUUUUCACGACAAUCGAGAGGCGUCAAUGAGUUGAAGAUGCACAAUAUGGCUUCAAAAUAAUCGACUAUAGGUCAAUUGCAUCAAAAAUUCCUAAAAGCUACCCGGUAAGCUAAGUUACGCUAAAAUUGCGCUAGAUUGAAAUUAACCGCGAAUUUAAACUAAAUUUCAAAAUUGAAAGUUCUGUUAUGUCACGAUUCAUUUUAGGAACAUCGACUCAUCCUUCAAAGAUUUUUCUGCAAACCCAAGAUUUCGGCAAAAUUUCAAAGUGGGCCGUUUUGGACUGAGAAAAUUGGAGGACCGUUUUUUAGAGCACUGUUGGCCAUCAAGUUGGUUCAAUUGAUGAGAAAAAAUCCUAAGAGGGACGAUGGCAUCUUAGUUAAAUUUAUAGGGACUGAGUUGAGUCCAAUUGAGGGAGAAUAGAAGAAGAAUUGAAGUGGAUUUGGGGGAAAUGUGAUCAAAAUUCGUAGGCCAUGGUCCCCUCAACCUUUGGACCACUUCAAUGGCUUGCUAAGGAAGCUUUGGUGGCUGCAAAAUGGCUGAGGAAGACAACCAAAGUGGUGGGCCAAGUGCUUGAGCACAAAUUAGAUAGAAAGGAAGACUUUUGAUGCAAGUGGUCCCCCUCCAAUCUUCGGCAGCCCCUUCUUCCUCCUUGCCGCUCACUUUAUCCAUUGUUGAAGCUUUGGAAAGCUUGACAGAACUAGAGAAACCAGCCCUCACAUCUCUCUCUCUCUCCCCUCUUCAACCCCAAAGAAUUCGUAAUCUUUUCUCCCCUAUCUUCCUUCUCUACCUGUUUCUACUCUAGCUGACCUUCGUGUGAAAAAUCGACUUAAAAGUUGUCUUCCCGUAAGAAUCAACCUUCGUGCCACCCACCAUCGCACUCAGAAGGCCCAAACUAUUCAGGAGGACCCGGCCACUCGCCGAACAGAGCCACCGGCCCGGAAGAAACCGCUUGCCGGUCCAUCAGUCUGCCUGGCAACCUGCACUACUCUGCCUAUUUCACCUGUUUCAGCCAUUUUUCUUCCAUUUUGACCCUACCUCUGCCCAUCCCAACCACCAGCAGGUCCCCCUCGACCCCCAGGUGCUACCAGUCACUGGCCAACCCCUCGUCGAAACUCCGUCCAAGCCCGUUCAGCUUUGUUUCUCUUCCGGCAGUCCAAUUUUCAGUGUUUCAUUCGGAGUCCGGGUUUGUUGUUGCUAUUCCAGGCUCGGGACCACCUUGGAUCAUUGUGAUAGAGGUUCCUGAGCAUAGCCUCCGUCGUUGCCGUUGCAUUCAUGUCUCUGGCCUGUUUAACGGGUGAGUUUAGUUCCUAAUCCUUUUAUUAGUACCUAAACUUGCUUAGGAGGUUAAUUAUGCUUAAGAAUUUAUUAGAUUAGCUUAAUUAUGGAUUAUUGAUCACCUAGAAUGGUUAUAUUGGCCUUAAAAUAGAUUAUUGUUAAUCUAAUUAGUGAGAUUAGCACAUUUGAGGAUGGAUUAGUCCAAAUUAGUAGACUUUCUGCAGUUCUGAUUUAUAGACCCUCGCCGCUUGCCAUUUUUGUAGAUCGAAAUGGGUUGCGAAUUUGAAGUUGAUUCCUUCUUGAGAAAUGUUUUAGACAUCUUGAUCUACAACAUGUAUGUUUCUCAAAAUUUUUAGAGAUUUAAAAGUAUGAGAUUUAAGCUCCAUCAUUUGCAAACAGAAUCUCAGACUGUGUUGGAAUUUGUGACCUUUUGGGAUUCUAGGAGUUUUUAUCAACUCUUAGAGUUCGAAUUUCAAAAUGAUCUCUUCACAAAAGUUGUUUGUCACCUCUUGCAGUUUAACAUAGUCAAAUUUCAUAUUAAAUGGACAAGUUGUGGAUUUCUAACAAAACUGAUUUCGGAAAAUAAACUUUCUGGAAAAGGAACCAGUUUUUAUAUUGGAUUGAACGAUUUACUAGGUUUAAUGUAGAAGGAUCUAAAUUAAGGUAUCUUCAUGAACAAUGUCCAUUUAUGUGUCUUUUACAACAUAUUCAAAUUUGAGAAUUUUCUAAAUUCGGUUUAUUAGAUUUCUGGAUUUAAACUUAGAGACGUGUGAGUGGACUGUUUCUGCCGGUUAGGGCCAAUAGAAGUUUGUGAUUAUUCUUGGUGCUUUGCUUGCUUUAAUUAGUGUUUUUAAUGAAUUUUGGAUUUUAUUUAUUAGUUAUUAAAUUCUAGAAAUUUACUGUUUACGAGUUACUAUUCAUGAAACACUGUUCACGUGCACUGUUAACCCGAGAAUGAAAAGUUGUCUAAAUUCAUGUAUUUUAAUCCUAUGAAGUAAAUGAGUGUAUAAAUGCAUGGGCAUCCGCAUGAAUUGAGCGAUUUUCACAAAAGGGAAAAUAUGCCUAGUCCGAGGGACAUUGGAAAUGGACCGCCUUUAAGGGAAAAUGAUUUGAAAUUGUAUUUGCAAGCAUCAUACAUGGAUUAAAUGCUCAAAGAUAAGAAGGGAGUUUUAGUGGUGUGCUUGCAUGAUUAAGAAGUGGAAUCUGUCACCCAACGGAAGUUUGGGGGCGAUACCUGACAGGAGUCAGAAGUCGGUCGCAGUAGAUUCUAGACUGAUGUCCCUCUUUAGGAUACUAUCUGAACGGAAGUUCUAGACGAAGCCGUGCCUGACAGGGCGAGACGAAGCCUGAUCUUUUUAUCGGUAGCUCGGUGGAAGUCGGAUGAUCGAGGGCUAGGAGGUCAUUAAUAACUAGAGCACGCAUGAAUGUUAAGGUGGAUGAGCACUAAUUGGAAAGUUAGCUAUGGUCGAUAGGUCAUUAAUAACCGGAACACGCGUGAGGGUUGAGUUGGUUCGGCCUUAUUAUGGGGUAAAAUUGUGUGACGCGGUAUGAGAUGUGUAAUAACGAUUUUACCUUAUAAUCGAGACCCGUGUGAUCAAUUAAUGCAUGAUAGGUGGUGCACUAAAGUGCAAGAACAUAUGUUAAUCAUUGCAUCAUUGAUUUUGGAAAUGCAUGGGUUAAGUACAUUGUUUAUGGGAUGUACGCAUGAAAUGAUAACGUGCAAGGUAUGGCAUACCAAGUAAGGUUGCAUGUAAAUCGAUUUGUUGACUGUUGGUUGUUAGUUAUGGUAUGUUUGUGGGGUGGUUCUGGAGAGAUACCCCGAGUUGAGUUGGUGUCAUAAUCAGGGGCUUAAGGGAGGACUUGCUGAGAUUUUAAUCUCACUGGUUAUUGUAAAACCAUUUUCAGGUCCCUAAUAUGAAGAACCCAGAGCUUGAGGCGGAAAUGUCAUGAGCAUGGAUGGCUCAGUAGUUCUUCUUGGAGAUAGAUCUCUUGUACAUAGACCUUAGAGUUGGCCUCUGUGUAUAAACUAGUUUGUUUAUAAAAAGUGUUUUGGUAAAAAUGGUAUCUUGCUUUUCUAUCACAUAUUUGUGUUGUCUGAGGAUUUUAUUAUACACUUCCGAAUGUGCAAUUAAAAUGAAGGGUCGGCGAUGAGUCCUGAGACAUCGCUUUUCUAUUGACCAAGGAAGGGGUUGUUGCGUGCCUAGGGUUUGGGGCAUGACAGAAGGUUACAUACAUUUCCCCAAUGAGUGAUCACCUAGCUCAAUGGGUCGUGUAGAGUGUGAUAGUGCCUCUUCGAAAGAAUGCAUUUAUCUAGAGAAGGUGGAUGAGAAAAGUACAUGAUCAAACCUUACCGAAUUGAAGUUGCAGCGAGGUAAAAAUGUUUUUUUUUUCAUUUAGAAUAAUUCUUACUUAUUAAGCAUGCUAAUUACUCCCUACAAUCAUAAAUAUACCAAGACAAUAAAAUGUAGAGACCAUCAGUAGAUUUUAAAAUUUCCAUGGGUUUGUAAAAGCCAUUGCCUUUUAAUGGCACAUCACGCAUUACGUUUGACCAACAACUCUUAGGUGUGGAAGGUGACCUUAUGCUGAUUUCACAUUUUAUAGUUUUGCCAUGAUGAAAGAAAACGAGUGGAAAGUGGAGUAUAGGCAAAAAUCAAUUGAUCAGGCCAUGAAUUUGGAUUAAAUGUAAGAAGAUUUGCUUUGUUUGGCUUAGCAAAGCAGAAAAAUGGAAGUCUGGCCCCAAUUGAGAAAAGCUAAUCUUUUUUAUAUGAAUAGCAUAACAAAAGUCUUGCGACCUUACCACCAGCCGUGGUGGCUCCGCUGGGUAGGCUUCAGUGAUCCUUUGCGAGAGAGGGGAGAUGUUCGAAGCCCUUGCAACACAAGGAGGCUGGUGGAGUUACUUGGUGACUUACCCGGUGGCAUGGGGUGGUGGUUUCCCCAUGUUGCCCCCAGGUUCUACCCACCGGCUGUCGGCUUUCGAGGUUUCUUAGGUCGCUAAAAAAAAAAAAAGUGUUGCGACCUUCCCUUGGUAGGUAGUUGGUGGAUUACUAAGUUCAAAAACUUAGCGCAGACUCUAUCACAAGGAGGUUAAUCAUUUUAACAUGCAAAAUCUUAUUUAUUUAGGAGUAGUUGCUAAUGAGUUAUUAGUAGGCUAAUUAAAAAAAAAUCCUUUUCAAUAUGAUGAGCAAAAAAAGCAUUUAAUAUGUGAUAUUUCUAGCCUAAAGAUAAAGGAAGAGAUUUCUCACAAAACAAACAAAACAAACAAAAAGAUGAAAGGGGAUCCAUUAUUCUUUGGUCACGCCGGAUGUUGGGCAAUUUCUAUGAGAUAUUGCACUGAACUUUGAUCUAUAUGUAAAAGAACAUAGAGGAGUUGAAUGCUUUCCCUAGAAUCAUACACGGAGAUUCUGGAUUCUUUGAAAAAUAUAUAUUUAAGUUGGAAUGCAUGACAAAAUUUGAAAGCACCAACCGUGAAACUUUUCGUGUCAUGAAAAUGCCCAAAGAUAAGAUCAUUUAUGUUUUGACAUAAUUUUAGGAUGCUACUCUAAAUAAGAUUUUUAUUGCAUAUAUACGCUCUCCUAAUUCUAGGAGGGUAGCAUAUAUAUUAGAAAGCGUAAUGAACUUAGUAUAAUUAAAUUUAACAAAAUAUCACCUAAAUACAUGACAAAAGUGGAAAAGACGAGAUUAAAAAGGAAAAAUUGCAUAUAAAUUGUCAGUGGGCCGAAUUAGAUCCACAGUACGAGCAACCAAGCCUACUCUCUCUCUCUCUCUCUCAUUUUAAUUUCAAGCAUAGAAAAAUUAGGGUCUAGAUUUGUUGUUCUGCUGACAUGGUAAAUAGAGUCGCAUCGAAAAUUUCCAUAUAGGCUUAGUCUUUCAGUGCCUUUCAGCAUGUUCACUCUUUCUUUCAUUUUUUUCUUCCCUUUACAAGAGACAUGGAAUUUGAUUCAUACCUUCCAAUCAGAGAUUAUUAGGCUAGUUAUUAAGUGAGCUCCAUAAUGGAAUUGAUCCAUUUCAAGGAAUAGCUACCUCAUGAUUCAUACAUGGCGUAUUAGAGUAAUUAAAUAUUAAACUACACAUUCAUUUAAAAGCUUAAGCUUUUAGAAUAGUUGGUUGUAGUCCAACAAAAUCUCAUAUGGUAUUGGAGCUUGAGGUCCUAAGUUCGAAUUUUUUCAAACCCCAUUUGCUUCCGCAAUUAAAUUUCCACGUCUAAUACUAGGCAAAAAACCAGAUUAAGCAUAAAGGAGAGUGUUAGUAAUUAAAUAUUAAACCACUCUUUCAUCUAAAAGCUUAAACUUUUAAAAGAAGCAGUUGGCAGUGGUCACAAAAUUUCAUAGGACGUCAUAAAAAUAGAACCUUCGUCUUCGGCAUGAGUAUAUAAACUCAUUUUACCGUGGUUGGCAAUAGUUCCACAAAAUAUUACAGGACGUCAUAAAAAUAGGACCAACAUCUUCAGCAUGAGUAUAUAGACUCAUUUUACCGCUUCUAAAUGAAGGGAAUCGCUUUGCAAAAUUAGUACGAGAAAUGUGAAUUUUUGUAGUGCAAGCCUCUUCAAAGAGCACAAAUAGGCCAAGUAAUUAGAAAGUUUGUCCCAUCUAUGCAUUUUUACCGAAAAAGCCUAUAAUUGUUUCCACAAGGUUGGGAAACCCAAUUGAAAUCGGGUCCACUUGGGCUUUUACCAUAGAAAUUCGUAUUUAUAAGUGAAAACGCACUAGAAAAGCAUCUUGAUUGGAUCCCGGGAUUCCCGCAAUGAUUGAAUUCCAUAUNNNNNNNNNNNNNNNNNNNNNNNNNNNNNNNNNNNNNNNNNNNNNNNNNNNNNNNNNNNNNNNNNNNNNNNNNNNNNNNNNNNNNNNNNNNNNNNNNNNNUUGUUCUUGAGCGGAGCGGAAACACAAUGUUCCACGCGCAAGUCCUUCUCCUCUAUUGCCCUCUGUAUCACUGGCUCAAUGAGGCGGCCCCCUCAUGUGUAGCAUUAGGUAAACGCCCCUUAGGUGAGAAUAUAUGUGAGAAUUAGGGUUAGAAUAGAGACUAGAGCACUAUUUAUAGAGUUUCCAGCCAGUCCCUCUCAUUACGGGCCAGGCUCAACUCGGCCCACACUAGCUAGACCAUAUUAGACUAAUUAUGAAACAUUCUAUCUCACCUUAGACCAAACCCCGUAAAACGGUAAACGUUAAACGGUAAAUUACAAUAUCAAUUAAUAUAGUCCAUAAUUAGAAAAACUCUUACAUUCUCCCACUUGGACCAUAUUAAUUGAAAUCGUACUGUAUGUGCGCACAUUGGUCCAGAGAUAAUUCUUAAUAGUCAAUCCUAUCCCAUAAAGUCUUAAACACCGAAUCAUGGCGGUAACUGCAUGUAUACACAUAGAGCCUUCCAUGGUCACAAGUGCUCUCAACUUUAUUGAUAUGGAUUCAAUAUGAUAGUGUGGCAAAUGGAUAACAUCUCUCAUAGAGAGAUCUCAUUUGCCAGUCACCAUUCUCUUAACUUUAGGUGUCACAAAAACUUGUGCCACUAGAGAAUGCUUUAUGGUUCCAAUGAACCCACAUAUGUCUUGUCCUUACGGUUAACCUUUCUUUAUGUAUCACAAGACAUAUGCACAAGGCUAAUAACCGGAUGCUCGGAUGCCCCUAGCCUUCACUCAAGGUUUAAGUAAUACCUUGAGACUUUUAACAAUAUAUAUAUUCAACAUAAUAACAAUCCAUUCAAAAUAUUUUAUUAAAUGCAAAAGUUGACAUAUAUAUAUCAAAGUGUUACUAAAUUGUAAAAAAACAGAUGUAGACUUUAUUCAAAGAAAAAUAAAAACACAGCUCCCACUAAAUAACAGUAUCCCAAGAUGCUCCUAGGCCCAUACUAAUGACAUGUCGAUCAAAAACACACGGGCGUAGGCCUUUAGUUAGUGGGUCUACAACCAUAUCAUCUGUAUGAAUAUAAUCUACUGCAACGUCACCAUUCUGAACUGAUUCUUUUAUAGUCAAAAACUUGACCUCCAUGUGUUUAGACCCCUUUAAAAUUCUAUUGUUAUUAAUAAAUAACACUGCAGAGUUAUUAUCACAAUAUAAUUGUAUGGGUCUAUCCACAAAACCAUAAACUGAUAACUCUCUAAUGAGGUUCCGGAGCCAAAUAGCUUGAGUAGCAGCUGAAAAACAUGCUACAAACUCCGCUUGCAUGGUUAAAGAAGAUAGGGAUUUCUGUUUCUCGCUCUUCCAUGAUACUGCACCUCCUUAAAACCUUCUUGGCAGCAACCCAGUGAUCGCGUCCUGGAUUAGACUGAUAUCUGCCUAGAAGCCCUGUUGCAAAAGCAAUAUCUGGCCUAGUGCAAACUUGAGCAUACAUGAUGCUUCCAAGCACACUAACAUAAGGCAAAUCCUUCAUUUGAGCUUUCUCAAAAUCUGAAUUAGGGCAUUCUGAAAGACUCAAUUUAUCACCCUUAACAACAGGAGCAAUUCCUGAUUUGCAAUCCUGCAUAUUGAAUCUUUCUAAAAUGCGAUCAAUAUAUGCCCUCUGAGAUAAACCCAAUGAACGGCUUGAGCGAUCCCUAUGGAUCUCAAUGCCAAGAACAAAAGACGCCUCACCAAGGUCUUUCAUGUCAAAAUUUUUCGAUAACAUCCGUUUUGUCUCAUGCAGUAAACCAAUGUCACUACUAGCAAGCAAGAUAUCAUCUACAUAAAGUAUGAGAAAAAUAUAUUUCCUCCCACUGACCUUGGUGUAUAUGCACUGAUCUACGUUGUUCUCAAUAAAUCCAAAUGAAGUCACAACACUAUGAAACUUGAAAUACCACUGUCUAGAAGCUCGCUUAAGGUCAUAAAUAGACUUUUUCAAUCUACAAACAAGCUGACCUAAGUCAUCUGCUACAAAACCUUCAGGCUGCACCAUAUAAACCUCCUCAUCAAGGUCUCCAUUUAGAAAAGCAGUCUUAACAUCCAUCUGGUGUAACUCCAUAUCGUAAUAAGCUACCAAUGCUAAGAUCACUCUAAAGGAAUCUUUAGAAGAAACUGGAGAAAAUGUUGCUUCAUAAUCUAUUCCUUCUCUUUGAGUGAAACCCUUAGCUACCAGUCUGGCUUUAAACUUUUCAAUUUUUCCUUUGGAAUCCCUUUUAGUCUUGAAUACCCAUUUGCAGCCAAUAGGUUUACAACCUUCGGGCAAUUCAACAAGCUCCCAAACAACAUUGUGUUUCAUAGAUUGCAUCUCAUCUUUCAUCGCAUCUAACCACAAAUCUGAUUGAGGACAUGAGAUGGCUUCAGUAUAAGUCACGGGAUCAACAACACAGCCUAUGUCAUAAUCAUGCUCUCCCAGGUAGACUAGAUAGUCUGGUGGUAUAGCUGAACGUCUUUCUCUAGUUGAUCUUCUGAGUGGAGCUACUUUAACCUCAUUCUGAAUUUGAGGAGCUUGAGGAAUUUCAUCAGGAACUGUCUCAACAAUAGGAUCAUGAGCCACAUGAGACUCCAUAAUUGUCUGCACAGGAUGAGACAUAGAUCCAGUAAUCCCCACCAUACUAUCAUCUUCGAUAACUUGUGAGCAGCUACCCAUUUCAGCUACAUCAAAUUCUAGAAAUUUUGCAGUCUGAGAUUCCACAAUUCUUGUACCUCCAUUAGGGUUAUAAAAGCGAUACCCCUUUGAAUGGUCUGGGUAAGACACGAAGUAACAUCGAGUAGUUUUGGAAUCCAGUCCGAUCCUCUGGGUAAGACNNNNNNNNNNNNNNNNNNNNNNNNNNNNNNNNNNNNNNNNNNNNNNNNNNNNNNNNNNNNNNNNNNNNNNNNNNNNNNNNNNNNNNNNNNNNNNNNNNNNACGUAAACUGACAAUUCGUGGAUACUCGUACUCAUCAUGAGGAAUAAUAAUGAAUUCGUGGUACUGGUUUUCUCAGGGUAUACCUAAUAUCACGGGCUGUUAUACUUCUAGACAUGCACCGAUUACAGAGCAAACCCAGUCACAAAAAUUGGAGAGAAAAAGUUGCAUCACGGCAUUUCAACUUGAAAUGGUAAGGUCGCAAACCUGAGGAGGGUGGAUGAUACGAGAUGGAACCAUCAUUCAUUUGCCUUCUUUACAAGAUUAUUGAUUUCUUUCUCGAUAUCAGCAAAAUUCAUCUUAUCAGCAUUUUGAAUUUACUGGAACAACCAGUCCCCGUGUGAAAGAAAACGAAUUAACUCAAGCCACAAUUUCUCAUCAGAAUCUAUGUACCUGAUGAUCAAAAGACAAAUCCCUAAUGCCUCACUUAGAGAAAAAUAUCAUGGAAAGGACGAGGAAUUUCUAUAGCCAUUCAGUCAUUUUCUGGAGAUGAAGGGCUACACCAGUAGUUGUUUUAGGUGGGAAAAAGGGCUGCUGAUGCUAGAAGAUCGCAAGAUCAACUCAUCACUUCUCGUGUUUAAUGUCCUUGGAUGAUGGAGGCAUCCAAAAUCGAAGAACGAGAAUCGUCACUCUAAAUCCUUGAUCUCAUCCGGGUGAUUUUCUACAACUUAAGAACAACGCCGGCGGAAAUCAUAAUAUGCUUAAGAAACAUUUAUUAGAGUGCGUAAGACAGGUUUGAACCAGGAGCUUGAGCUCCAUAAAAGUCGGUGCUAAGCAAAUGAAAAGAAAAAAAAAACAAAAGAAAAAAACCUCUUUCAUCUUGGUGAGAGCAAAGGUGAAUCAAUACCUGUCAAAGUAUGAAGGUCUAUAUUCUUUAGCCCAUGUAGAGAAGAAAUAAUAAAUAAAAGAGUAAAAAAAAAAUCACAAAAAACUCCAAGCUUUGCUCAUGUGAUAUAUUUACCUCGAACUUAAUCCCAAACUUAUAUCCCUAUAAAAUAUUCAUUCCAAACUUUUUUCUAUAACACCAAAAACCCCAUACUUUUUUUCAAAAGGUGAAUGUGUCACAUAAAUAUAAAUUAAGAAUUUUUGGUAUCACAAGAAGAAGUUUGCGAUAAAUGUGCUCCACUAUUUAAAUUCAAGAUGAAUGUAUCGCAUAAAUACAAGUUUGAGAUUCUUGGUGUCAUAGAAAAAAGUUUAGGAUAAAUGAGUUACAGUGGACAUAAUUUAAGAUUUUUGGUGACAUUUAUCCAUUUCUUCUUCUCUUUGUUUUUUAAUAACAAAACAAGCACUUAAUAGCGGGCACCAGAUGCAACAUGAUUACAAGCAUGGAAUAGAGACUCGAUGCUAGAUACGUUUUAGCCUUGAGGAUCAACCGUCCUAAAUUGACUAUUCUAGUUAGUUUUUCUUUAAAUCUUGGAUGUCACAUAGGAAUUUUUAUACAAGGAACAAGCUAGGACGGUAUCAAGAUUUAAGUUAGCCAUCAAGGUUAAAUUAAAUCGUCGUUUGGAGAUAUGAUUGAAAAAAGAAAUCUGCAUAUUCUAAAAUGAAAAUAGAAUCCAAUUUAUAUAGAAAGUAGUAAGAUUCAAUUUUAUUUUAUUUUUAAAUUCUUAUCAUGCUUUUGUUAAAACUAAAAUUUGACUUCAAAUUUCAUGUGUAUUUUUCAUGUUUGAUUUGACAAAUGAUUUUACUUGGUAAUUUUAUACCUAAUGGAUAAUGAACAGAGUGUUAUACACAAUCCAAAAUUAUUGACAUUAAUAAAAAUAAAAAUGAAAAUAAACAUACUUAAAGUACAUUUAUUAACAUAUGUCCGCGUAAAGUUUGGGCAAAGUAACUAGUUUUAGUUUUAAUCCUUUCUUAUCGCAAAGCACUCCAAACACGCGACUCCGGUAAAUUUGUUCGCCCGCCGUGAGUACAUAGUGCGGUUAUCCUCCUAAAUGACCCAACUGCCCUCACUUUUUUGACGAAUUUCCUUAAAAAAAUAUCCGGGACUACGAAAAAUCCCCUACUCUUCCCUCCGCCAAUCCGUCACCGCAAGCCUCCGCCACCUCGCCGUCGCCGUCGCCGUCGCCGUCGACGUCGUAACCCCUUCCCGUGCCGUCACCCCUCGUCGUCGAGCCGCCCCCGGCCAUCGCUUGCGCUGAUCGUUUCGCGUCCCGUCUAGGCCAAGCCAUCAUCUCUCUCUCUCUCUCUCUCCUCGUGUUUCCUCUUGGAAGCAAUUAUUUUGUCAAUCUGAACGGCUUUUUCACUUAUGAAGGAAGGCCGCGGGUAACUUCUAGGCAAACGCAGCGAAAGUGAGAGAGAUCUCUCUCCGUUGCUUUAUCAGUUUGCUACGAGGAUCAGACUCGGACUUCCCCAAGUCACCGGGCAGACCCAAUUCGGAGAUCCAUCUCUGCGUCGUCCUUCCAGAAUGGAGAGAAAGAGGGAGGCAGAAGAGACGGCGACGGCAGCUGGGACAGGCAGCAGCCGUGAUGGCGGAUCGGGGAGGGGUUACGAGGUGUUCCUGAGUUUAGGGCUUUUGCUUCCGCUAGGCUGAAGGUGCUGGUGAAGGAGAUGUUUGUUGAAAUUUUGGAUUUUUUUUUUUUUUUUGUGGUCUUAAGAGUAGUAGUGGUGAUUGGUGGGAUGAUGCUUGCAGGCUGCAGCAAUACAAGCUGGUCGAGAUGAAACUCCUGGCUCAACAAAGGGAUCUUCAGGUGUGAUGUUGUAUUCUGUCCUGUCAGUUUGGCGUAAUCGCUGGCUUUCUCUAAUUCGUAUUUUUGCUGGCAAAGGUUUCCUGACUUUAUCGAUGCUAGUUUUGGGAUUUCUUAUUAUCGACAUCCCUAUAGAUGUUUGUGUAUAAUUUCUCAUUGACUGAUUCUUUUGUAUCGUUAUAUCUGCUAUUGAAUUCGCUGUUGAGUUACAUUCCGUUGUUCAUUUUCUUCGUGUGAUCACAAACAAAGACCCGGAUUCAAAUGUUCUGCUGAAUACCAUAGACAUUAUCCCUCCUGUCGGCCCUGUUCCAGCACCGGACCUUGUUUAUUUCUCUUCUUUUUCUUUGGUUUUUUUGUUAUAGUAAUGCAGUGUUGAAAUGUUGCGCAAUGGUUAACACAGAGGUGGGCGUAUGUGCAUGUGGGUAAAGAACUUUGAAGCAUUUAAGUGUGCAACCUUUUUUUUCUUUUGAUUCUUAGGAGGUGUAAAUACAUGCUAGACAUAUUGAUACCAAAGGCUUAAUCACAAUGAAUAUUUAGUUUCAGGAAAAAGAAAUGUACUAGGUUGAGACAGGCAAGUAACACAACAAGAAGCUUGUCGGUUCUGAGUUCUGUCUUCAUAGUGCAUUGUUUAUUUAGUAUCUUACUUUUUUCAUUAAUGGAAUGGGCAUGUCCUCAAUUAUGAAGGUUGCUACACUCUCUUGCAGUUUUCUUUCUCCUUAUUUCUUUUAUCUAGUUUCUGUUUUUCUAGUUCAACUUAAACCUCUUCUCAAAUUCAAGUGAGCUUUACUUUUCCUCUAAAAAAGGAUGAGAAAUUGGCUUACUGUUGCAGUUAUUGUGAUCUAAUCUAAAAUAAAAAGUUUAAACAAAUCCAGAUGGUCAGCACCUCUUGAUGUCUCACAAUGAAUUUCUCUUUACAUUGACCUGAUAGAUCCGAGUGCACGUGGUUCUUUGUUCCCACAGAACUUGAUCACUUUGUUAGUAUGUUAUUGUUACUCUGUCAGCCUGAUUGUGAGAAGAGGUUUAAGUUGUUAAUUCAAUGCUUAUAUUAAAUGCCAGGCAAAAAAUUCCUGAUAUUGAGAAGUUUUUAAACAUAGUCGCCACUCUACAGGCCAAGAAGGGUUCUGGUGAGGUUCGUUGUCUCACGCAACUCAUACUACUGACUACGUGAACAAGAUUUUGGGGAAUUUCCAUUUAUUUCCACAAGUUGAUAGGGAAGUGGUGGUUAUUUGCUUUUUAACAAGAAGCUGUGGAUUUUGGUAAUCUAGUUGAUGGUUGUCCAAUUCACAGGUAAUUAGAAUGAGAAAGAGACUUUACUUCUUAAACGCUUGCUUGGCCCAUUUAUGGAAAUGAAAAAUGUCGAUGCACAUCACUAAAUAAUAACCCUUGUUUAUGCUCUCCACGUUAGGAAAUUUUCUCAUUUAAAUGUACGGGGAACAUGCUGAUUGGGGGUUGCAUCUUGCAUGUUAUACAUUAUAAAUCUUCCUUAUACUUUAUUGCAUCAAUGGUUUGUCAUUGAAAAACGUCCGUAUUAUCUCCCAUGUUUAGCAGUCGUGCGUUAGAGGCUUUCAAUUGCUUAUCUUAAAAUGAGUAGGAAUUAUCUGCAUUUAAAAACGGAAUCACUUCAGCAGAUCUUUCUCGUCCUUUCAGAAAGCGCAAGAUUAUAGGAAGAGAUAUUGUUUUGCGUUUUAUUCUAGUUCAGAGCCUGGUUAAUGGUAUUGUGAAAACUGACAAAAGAAAGGUGGAGAUGUAUCUAAUUCUGGAGUUCUUUUCUUUUCAUUUUUUUUAAAACCGUUUCACAUUGGUUGUUAUUCUCUUUUUGCUGAACCCUUAAUGAACUCAGAACUGGUAUUAGUGUCGUAUAUAGAACAAAAUAAACAAUUCAUUUGUUUUAUGUGUCCCUUCCAUUUAAUUAGGAGAAUGCUUUCUCGCUGAUUGAAUAUCCUUCAGAAAGCAAUGGUUAUCAGGCAAACAUCUUAGUAGAGUUAUUUACAUGAAUCUAACAAACUUGUGGUAAGAAGUUAGUCUUAGAAAUUAUUAACCACAUGUGAAGUCUCAAGCCGUCCUUUCCCUUAAUUCAAGAUUUAAAGGCUCUCUUAUUUCUAUCUCUUGACUAAGAAAAAGGCUAAGAUUUGGAUUGGGUAUGAUUCAAUUCCAUGGUCACCACGUCUUAUCUGCAUCUUUUCCAGCAUAUCCAUGUCCGAAGGAGAUCCAGUCUGAGGGCAACAUAUCAGUAGGUGAUCUGAGGAUUCUCAUUGACUUUGCCAUAGCUAGUAUCUGUUCAUAUGCACCCUCCUUCUUGUUUUUGUUCUUCUAAAAGGUCGACCCCAUGUCAGUCAUCUUCUUUUGUAUCUGGUGUGAUUGGUAGGAGCCUUUCACUGUUGCUGGAGUCCUUAAUAUUGGAAUGAUAGUCUCCAUUACUGUAACAUAUUCAUGUGGUGAUAGUAUAGCCACAAGGUGGGCUGCUGCAAGAGAUUUUUGUUGCAAGAAUGACUCAUUUGAUGAUUUGGCUAAUUUUGUUCACGAUCUUGUGGUGAUUUGGGUGUUUCGGUUGUUUAACCGAUUCCUAACUGAUUCUUCAGAAGUUUGUAUCUUCAAAGAGCACGGAUAUUAAGUUUAUCCCCACUCCCGCAAUCUGUGCAUUCUUACCAUAAAAAGCCUGCAUUAAUUUCCCGGAAUUACGCUCAUCUUCUUGAUGAGUGAUGACCAAACCUCACCUGGCCCACGGCAAAAAGUUGAUGGAGAAAUCCAUCCCCUAUAAAAUUCACCCAAUCUUCACUAAAAGGACAGAAUUGCUCCAAAUCAUUCUAUUGCAAUUUAAUUGGUAGCCCCAAAUUAAUUUCAAUGGAUGACUUAGUUACCAUAAUUAAGAAUUUCAAAUGUUCAGUUUUUCGUAAUUGUAGGUAUUUCAAAUAUAUUAUUAAAAACACCAUUUCUUUAUUCAUUGUUAGAUUUUUCUUCCAUAAAAAUUAGUUUUGUGUAAAAAAGAAAUUUCCAAGAUAUCUAGUUUGUUGAGCAAAUUUAAGGAUAAAUUUUCAAGUAGAAUCUACAAAAAAAAAUGAUUAUAUAAAUAAUUUUUUAACACAAUUACUCGUUUACAAAUUUUCAAUUUCAUUGUGCAUAUCAUUAUCAAAUUCCUUAUCGUUCAAUCAAAUAAAAUUCCAUCCCAUUGGUUCUCUUCUAUAUAUAUGAAGGACUAGCAAAGAUUUUGAACUUAUUUCAAAAUAAAGAUUCAGGUGUUAGAUCAAAAUCUUGAAUUUAUCUGAUAAAUUUAGAUAAAUUAUCAAAGGGGGUCUUUUUGUUAUCAAUCAAGAAGGACUAGCAAAGAUUUUAAUAGUGUAUUACAUUUUAAUACGAUACUUAUCACAAAUAUAAUUAUUCUUCUGUCUGAUCAAGGAUUAAUUGAUCAUGCCAUUUGGUGUGACAUUGGACUAAAUAUAAGGAGAUCAGCUUUGUUGGGCUUAGCAAAAGCAAAAUGGAAUUCCACUCCAGCUGAUGAAAGCUAAUCCGUCUGAAUUUAAUGAGCAAAGCAAAAGCAAUUGUGUACAGUAAAAGUAAGUAAUAAUUUUGUUGAAUGAUAUGAAGUGAACAAUAUCUUAUUUGCCAAUACCGGAUUCCACCAGCACAGUGAAAGUAAGCAAUAAUUUUGCUUAAGCAAUAAUUCUGCUGCAGUGAUUGGACGGUAACCAGUAUUGCACAUGUCGCUACAGUUUCAGGCGACUAUCUUCCCUUGGUGAUUUUGUUCUUAUUCUAACAAGUUGACCCCUUGGCAGUCAUCUUCUUGUGUAUCUCCUCAACGGUGUGAUUGUUAGGGGCUAGCUUUUCACUGUUGGUGGACUCCUUAAUUUCGAAAAUGAUUUUUUCCAUUACUGCAAUAUAUUCAUAUGGUGAUUGUCCAGCCGCAAGGUGGCUUGCUGCAAGAGAUUUCUGUUGUAAGAAUAAUGCAUUUGAUGAUCCAACUAAUUUGUUUGUGAUCUUGUGAUGAUUUGGGCAUUUUGGUUGUUUAACCAAUUUCUAACCGAUUCUUCGAAAGUUUGCAUCUUCAAAGUUUAUUCCCCCUCCCGUAAUUUAUGCAUUCUUACCAUAAAAGCAUGCAUAUAUUUCCUGGAUUACACACAUUUUCUUGAUGUGUGAUGACCAAGCCUCGCUCGAUGGCAAAAAGUUGAUGGAGAAAUCCAUUCAUUGGAUAACUAAAUUCGCCCAAUUUUCACUUAAAAGAUAACAUUGUACCAAAUAUUCAAUUGCAAUUUAAUUGGUACCCCCAAAUUCAUAAACUUUUUUUUUCCUUUUAGUUUUUCUAUUUCAAUGUAAGAUUCAGUUGCCAUAAUUAAGAAUUUCAUAUGUCUAGUUUUUCUUUAUUGUAGGCAUUUCAAAUAUAUUAAAAACACCAUUUCUUUUAUUAACUAUUAGAUUUUUUUUUUCUAUAAAGCUUAGUUUUGUUGAAAAAAGAAAUUUCCAAGAAUCCUAGUUCUUUUACAUGUUGUCGAGGAAAAUUGAGGAUAAAUUGUCGAGUAGAAUCUAGAAAAAAUUAUUAUAUAGAUUUUUUUAACACAAUCGCUUGUUUACAAAUUUUCAAUUUUGUUUUGCACAUCAUCAUCAAACACNNNNNNNNNNNNNNNNNNNNNNNNNNNNNNNNNNNNNNNNNNNNNNNNNNNNNNNNNNNNNNNNNNNNNNNNNNNNNNNNNNNNNNNNNNNNNNNNNNNNCCAGCCCAGCCCAGCCCAGCCCAGCCCAGCCCGCACAAAGGGAUGAUCGGAUAAAAAGAAAACCCUCUUGAAGGUUUGAAGAUUUUCCAAAAUAAAAUCACAAUUACAUUCUCCAAUGGAAAAAUUUAAAGAAAAAAUUUAAUUAAAUUGAAAAGUAACAUAAAAUAAGAAACUUUUUAAAAAUGUUGAUGAAAUCUCAUUAUUUGGAAUUGACAGAAAUUAAUAUCGUUGACGAAGCAUGUACGAAAAUAAAACUAGAUGCUUCAUUAUGCACAAUGGUUUUAGUGUAUUCCUAGUUUUUUCACAACGCCUUAACAUCUGUGUAAAAGUAUCUCACCAAUAAUAAGGGCAAACGAUAAGUUCUUUAAUAUAGUAAACAAAAAGACUAAUACAUAUUUUGGACUAAUAAAAUUAAAAAAUAAAUAAUUCAUCAAGAAAGUGAACUUUUGAGAUAAGAGGGAGAAAUAAUAAAUGAGUAUUUAUUAGAGAAAUGAUGAGAAGAGACUUUCAAGGUGUUGAUCAUGUAAAAUAAUGUGUUUUUUUCUUACUAGUGGCUCUUAUAUAGAGCAUGUACUACGCUAUAGUAAUAUUUAAGGAUACACUAAAAAAAAUUCUUUAAUACACUAAGAAAAAUAAGACAUGUGGAAUGCAUAAUUAUGGCAAUUAGAAACAGUAGGGAAGGAAACAAUUUGAUUGUCACUUUAAAUUGCAAUUGAAUGGUUGAAGGCAAUUUAGCCUUUCUAGUCUAAUUAGUAAAUGGGGUGGAUUGGAUUAUAUAGGGUGGAAAUAGUGCCGCCCAAAAUUUAAAGGAGAAAUUAAAGUCACAAAUGGGAUAAUUUUUUUUUUUUCCAUAUAGAAAGAAUGUUAGCUCUUGUGCACGCUUUUUAUUCCUACGUCAUGAAUAGACCAAGAUGAUAAAGUGCAGAGGUCAUCAAUAGAUUUAGAAACAUUUCGUGAGACUUCACCAACAAUUGACUUUUAACAGUGUAUCAUGCAUUAUGGUCAAUCUGCAACUCUCGGAUACGGAAGGUGACUUUGUGCUGAUUUCACAUUCACAAUUUUGCAAUGACAAAAGAAAAAGAGUAGUCAAUGGAACAAAGGCAACAUUGAUCAUUUGGCUUAGCAAAAACAUAAAGGAAGUCUGGCUCCGGCUGAGGAAAGCUAACCCUUUUUAAGUUAAGGAGCAGAACAGAAGCAAUUACAGUCUGCUUUUUUCUAGACUAGAAAUUGAGGAAGAGAUUUCUCACCAAAAAAACAAAACGGACAAAAGGAUUAAAGGGGAUCCAUUAUACUUCCUUAGAGGUCACGCCAAAUCGUCUGUUUAUGGAGCCAGACCACUGUCAUCAUCUUAUGUUAUUAUAAUUCUAUAUAUGUCUAGAAGGAAAAAGGCAUUAAGACAAGCGUCUAGGCUGGGAUCCCGUGAUUCGUGCAAUGAUUGAAUUGCAUAAUUUGAAUUAAAAUACAGAUCUGUGAUAACAAAAGUUAGAUACAAUUCUAACUGAUUUGUGAGCCUAUUCCCUCACUUUUUGUUUUUCAAAUUUAGGCACCUGUAUGAGAAGCUUAAUUUUUACGUGAAAUUAAUCGUCAGUAUCGAUAAAACAUUUUAAAUUUAUGUGUGCGCGUAUGUGAAGUGAGUCUCUAUACAAUCGCAUAAUAUUAUAUUUUAAACUUGGUGCCCACCUUAAAAAUGACAUUAGGAAAUGAUCACAUUUUGUGUGUGUGCAUGUGUGAAUAAUCUGCAGAAAUGGAGAAUAAAUCUAGACCGCAUUCAAUGGAGCUAGAGAAAGGUUCAAUGCCUUCGAUUCAUUAGAGACGUCAUCAUCGAUCCAUUAGCAAAAAGUAGUUGAUUUAACUAUAAAAUUUUGGGCUUGGCACUUAUAAGAAAGAAAAAUUUUGCCAACAAAAAGAAGAAAAAAAAAUAAAGCUCUUUGGUCGUUACAUGGAUGUUUCUAUGAUCUUUCCAAAAGGCAUUCUAGAAGGGCCUGCAAUUGUUAAACCACAAAAUAAUGGAUCUCAACCGUGAAAACAAAGCUUUUCAAGUUUUUACGAAUUGCUAUAAUUUGCAUUAUGACAGGUAUCGAUCAAUCAACUAAUCAUAAAAUGAAAAUAGUUGCAUGGAUCGUGGUCUAUAGAACAAAUGUGAUCACAUCCAUUGAUGUUUGGGUGUUCCACGUAUAAUAUAUGUCAUAAACAAUUUUGUGAUAAAUCCGUUUAUGUGGAUCCGAGUACUGGCUAGCUAACCCAAUAAAGCCAACGUGAGUUAGGAGAGAGAAAGAGCUUCCUUAAGAAACAAAGACGAACUUGAGUUCUCUUUGCUUAUAAUAUACGCAGGUCUAUCUUCAAGUUUUUGUCCGGCCCUCUUGUGAAAGCGAAAGCAAAAGCAACAGCACUGAGGUAUGUUUGUCUAGUCAAUUCAUUUGCACAUACCCAAAUUCCACGUCAAACAGACUCCUUUGUUUAUGUGGUCACGCGCAUGCGUUUUGCAAUUUCAGGACCAGGACCUAGAAAAUACCAAGAAACUCAGGUUGAUAUCAUCAAAAAGCAAAAAGACCCUCCUUCAAGAUUAAAAAUGUUUCGAAAAUCUCAACUUUGUUGAUCUCCUUGUGGAGGAGGAACUGUACUUUCUUCGCAAUUUCCACAAAAGAAUAAGCUAAAGUCUCCCUCUUAGGACCCUUUUAGCUCAACGAAAGGUACAUGUAAUUUGCAAAGCAAAACUCAAAUUGCGUAAAAGAUUGACAUUAGCACGGACCUAAAAUUAAAGAAUAUAGAAAACUUUAAUCAAUAUCUUUCAAUUUUUUGAACCAUUAGGUGUAAUUGAAGUGCAUAGACUUCGAAGAAGGUCAGCCAAAUAAAAUUGCCCAAUCUAUUAUGUAGAGUUAAACUGAAGCUGAAAGAGUGGUUGCUCCUAUACCGGUCACGCCACACUUCUCUAUAGCUCUAUACUUAUGACGUGACAUAACACUUAGCAUUGUGUUGCCAUGUGGUCCAAUGACCUUACAAAUUAUUUAUAUGUCUUCUUGUAAUUCAUGUGUUAUUUUCUAGUGCUAUUUAUAGAAAACAUCAACAUUUAAUCAUAUUCAAAUACUAGAAAAACUGAUUAUAUCUAGAGGUAGGCUUAGGCAAAACAAUAGAUUUAAACUUAGCCGAAGUGAUUGAAUCAAACAAUGAAUAGAAUGGAUGUGUUUUAUAAGUAGUACAUACUCCAAUAAUUGUCAUCUUCCAUGGAGCAUCCACUUUUUUUUUUCCCCGGAAAUCUUGAAAAUUAAUGUUACACUUUUUUUUAACUAAAUUUGAUCGAACUUGGUCCAGCAUACUUUCUGUACAAUGGACAAUCGAACCCAUUUUCUCCCACGGAAGCUGGUGACUUCAAUUUUGCUAAAAUGCAAUUCACCUCGGAUUGUGGCUUUUGGGUGGUUGGGUCAGAUAGAUGAACUUUGCAAAAAGUGAUGAUAUUUUUGUUAUAAAAAUUCCGAUCAUUGUGAUUUUUAUGGUGUUGGAAAGCUUAUUAUUUAAUUUUUAAGAUGAAAUUAAUCGAUUGGAUAAAAUCAUAAAGUUUCCAACACCUCAUGAUCGGACAGCCAUGUUUGGAAAAACUUGACGUCUUAAGAUCAAGUUGUUCAAUUUGGGCAAAUUGGGUAUCUUGGAAAAGCUUUUGACAAGUACAACUUAAUUAUAGCCUUAACCAUUGGGAUUUGCCCUAAUGGUCACUCUUCCAACUUGGAAGAGGGAGGUGGAGGGUUCGAAUCCUCACAUUCUCAAAGGAGGUUGGGGUGGGGAUGGGUAAGUUUCACGAGUGGGUUUCGACUCCCACACACCGCAAGGAGGCAGGGCAAAAAUUUGAGAGAAUGAGUGUUAGAGUAAGAAUAAAGUAUGACCGACCGAAAAAAAAAAAAUUAUAACCUUUCAUUGAACUUUUAAUUGAACUUUUAAUGAGGUUUGCCUCUCGGUCAACUUUGCUAUGGCAUUGGAGGGUCGCUCGUGUCUUUAGUGACCUUUCGCAUGUGUUCAAUGAUGCAAUGGAGGCUCUGUCCACCAGUGAUUAUCUAUCGAGCAAUCGAGCUUCGCCAUUUCUAUUCCUUAUUUGAUGGAGUUAGCCAACAACGAGCACGGCCAUUUUAGGGUCCAAUCGUCAUAGCCGAAAUAAUAUAUUCUGGAGUUCUACUGUUCUUUUGGUCUUUACUAUAUUGGAUCCAAAUUGAAUGUGAAAGAGCUCUGACUUCUACUUCUAACAUAUUAUGAAAACUUUGGCCUUGAUGAAUUGUGUUAUGUCUGAGAAAUCUUGGCGACAGUGAGGACUUGGCUACAUAAUCUGUAUGGUACAUAUUUUCCUUGAUAUGAUGAGGAAUUGGCCACAGACAAAGAUGCCGACCUCAUCUAGCGGACUAUCCACAACCAUAUGGUACCUAAUAUGCACAAAUGAAAAAGCGCCUUUGAGCUCUCCGAGCACAUCAGCGGGGACAACAAAAGAUUAUUAAUUAUUCCUUAUUAAUUAAUCUCAUUCUUUCUUAACUACAUGGACUUUACCUUUUUUUAUAGUCGUGUCUUACUCCUAUCUUAUCUCUCACUUGGCAUAGAGCUAUGUAUCGUAGGCUCGUAACUAAGUAGGGCAUUAAAUUGGUCGAAUGUUCUUGAUCAGUCAGACCAGUGGAAUGAGCUACAUCCUCAACUAGCGUGCGCCCUUUCUCGGGUUCAAAGGGACUCCCCGUCGUCAAGAUCUAGCUAGGAACAAAGGUUCCCUGUCAUUUCGAUGCCGCAAAAACGCUUAUUUCGUUACAUGCUUGUACGGCAAAAGCAAAAGGUAAAGAGCCUACGUAAUGACCCCAUUUCAGACACGUGGAAUACAAAGGCUGAAAUUAUUUGGGACCCACAAGCGUACCUAUCCCACGUCGGGACGUGAAAGUCCAAAAUUACCGCGCACGCAGGAAAUGGGAAAUAUGAAGAGCCUUUUUUAUAUAUGUAUGGAUGAAGAGAGAACGGGGAAAAUAAGCAUUUUAGAAAUAUAAGUCCCAUGUCAACUGAUUAUAUUUGAACAUCUUGACCAAAUUGGUCUUGAUGGGUUAUCGACACUCCAUUACAUCCCACUCGUUGCGAAGGAGUAUAAAAAGAAGGGUGCUUUGGUCAUGUGAAAGCAACAGCCCAAUUUCAAGAUUCAAAACAUCACAAUUUCAGCACAGGGUUGUCUGGCCGAGUAGCAACUACAUCUAAACCCAUCUCGGUAUCAGGAAUAUAGCUAAUGAAUUAAUUACACAAUAAAAUCCAAAUGAAUUAUGAUGCUUAGCAUGAUAUAAGAAGUUAUGAUCCAUUAUGAUAUAAUAAUCUCUCUUUCGAUGGAUCUUGAAGUUAUCUAAUCAUGAAAAUUAUUUACUAGUUUCGAUGUUUCAAUUUGAAAGCAUUAAAGCGAAAAGGACGGCUUUUUAAAGUCCUAACUAAUAAUUUCUUUUUAAUAAUUGAGAAUAGAAAUUAAUAAUCCGAGAAAUUUUCCUUAAUGAAACAAACCAUCGUUUUUUCAUUUUCUUCUCUCCUCCCUUGCCCUCUUCUCCUACUCCACAGACGUCGCUUCAGUGCAAGCUUCGACAGCCUUUGGCAGCUUUCUAGCUCAAGGAAGGCGGCCAGUACAUGUGUUGAAAUCUUUAAAAAGGGAAACAUUCCAUCAAAUUUCAAUUUGUUGAGUUCUUUAACCCUGUAGUCCGUGUGCUCGUAAAACCAGAGUCCUGUAGUUUAUCAUCUCUUGAAUUGUUGAUAUGAAUGCCAAGUACCAAAAUAUGAGUCCACACUUUAUUCAAUAUCAUGACCAGGUAGAAGCCACGACAAAACUAUUGGACAUUUGCCGGAAACCAUGAAAUGAGUGGAAUCGGUAGACCAAUUCUUGCCAAUGUUAUUUUGAACAAUUUGUGUUUAGUUUUAAUGUGUAGUUUCCUCGAACCAUCCCAACAUGAUGGUCUUGUGUACUUGCAAAAACGAUUGUUAUUGAGUCUUGUUUUAAGAUUAACCAACUUGAUCAAAAAACAUUUUGUAACAGAAGAGUCCUCAUUAUAUGAAGCACCAUUGCACACAAGGACCAUGAGAAUGAUUCCUUGAAAGCAAGAUGAAUUUCAGCUCAAAACUUGAUAAAACUUAAACUCAACUUGAACUUUCUUCACGCGACUUCAUCUACCAAGCAUGAACUCCCAAAAGUUGCUGAGAGAUGGGGCAAAUAUCCUCAAGUCUCGCACGAAAGUUCCCGCGGAACAGCUAUGCUCCACCAUUUUUUCCUCACUUUUUUGACUGGGUGGAAUCCACGUGGCAAACUUAGGGUCCAUUCGUUUCACGGAAAUCCGAAAAAUAUUUUCUCAGAAGUCAUUUUUCAGGAAAAUGACAAUAUUUUCUGAUGUUCGGCUAAAAUCUGAAAAUGUUUAGGAAAAUAUUUUCCGGUGUUCGGUAAGGAAAAUAUUUUCCACUCCCCAGAUUGGUGAGCGCGAGCGUCAAGCUCGAGGCUCGCUAAAUUGACGAGCACAAGUUUGAGAUCGAUGAGCUUGAGGUUCACCUGGUCUGACGACUAGCCAAGAAAGAAUAAUAUGGGAAACAAAAAAAAAAGAGAAAGAAAAAAAAAAGAAAAUUAAAAAUAAUCCAAAUUAAAAAAAGAAAAAAGAAAAAUAAAAAAUAAUUUGAAUAAAAAAAGAAAAGAAGAAGAAGAAAUGAGAGGAGGAAGUGAGGAUUUGCAGAGGUGUGAGAUAAGAGAGAUCAAGUGAGAAAAGUGAAAAACAUUUUCCGCCAUUUUAUAAGACUUUUUUCAUUUGAUGGAAAACAUUUUCCCCAAGAAAUUCAUUUUCCGGGAAACGAACACCGGAAAAUCCAGAAAACGUUUUCCUGGAAAUUAUUUUCCACGAAAUAAACAGAGCCUUAGAGUCGUUAACUUUUCUUUUAUAAAGAAGAGUGGUCGGCCACUUGAAAAUUUUGCAAUUUGGUCUGUUGGGGGAUCCAAUUUUUUGAGGGCUUUUCUAAUAUUUGUCCAGUCAACUUUAUCUCAGAUGCUUAGGCAAUCUUUCGUAUCUUUGGUUUGAUUUACUGGGCGAUGAGAAGAGUGAGCUGAGGUAAAUCCCUCGGCGGCUUGUGAUAAUUCGAACUGAAUUGACAUCGAGCCAACCUAGUUAAUCCCUUAAUGCCACGGUCUGCAUUAGAAAGUAUAACACGUUCACAAGAAUUACAAUGAGCUAUGAUUGAAGUUGAUCAAUCAAGUGUGCAUUUAGUAAUAUUUCUAUUUAGGAUAAUAAUUUCGUUUUAGAAAUAAUUUAUUUAUAUUUUUAUUUUGUGAAAUAAUUUUUGAGUAAAAUAACACGUUUGGUAAUUAUAAAAAAAUUCUAUUCUCGAAAUAGAAAAAGAGUAGGAAUGCGUUUGGCACGACUUACGAAUAUUUUUGUAAUGUAGAAUUUCAUUUAAUUUUUAAUAUUAUUUUUAAUUUUUUCUUUGUUUUUUUCCUCUCUUCUUCUUCUUGCUCCUCCUCUAGCUGGUAGUGGCGGCGUUCGAUGAGUGGCGGCAAGCGGCGACCCGUGGCAGUGGCCGCACGAUUGGCGGCAUCUGGGGGGGGGGCCUAUGAGGAAGAAGGAGAAAAGGAAAAAAGAAGAAAGAAAAUAACUUAUUUGUAAAAAUUGUUUCUUGAAAUAAGAAGUUAUUUUUUUUUUAUUUUGUAUUUCUAUUUCAAAUCUAUUCUCUGACUACAUUUCUAUCCCGGAGAAUUAAAAAAUUAGUUGACGUUACCAAAUGGAUUUCUGUUAUUAAUUUGUUCCGGAAAACAAAAGAACAAAAGACUAGAGAAAUUGGCAAGUUACCAUGCACACCCCAAGGAACCAUAGGAGGGAAAUAGUUGCAUGGUUCAUGGUCUAUGGACCAUAUGCAAUCACAUCCAUUGAUUUUUGUAAUUUAUACAACUAAUGAUCUUAAUAGACCCGAUUUAUGGGACUUGAGUACUGGCAAGUCUAAUCUGACAAAGCCUAUUUGAGUUAGGAGAGAGAAUGAACAUCCUUAAGAAACAGAAAUGAACCUGCCUUUUCUCUUUGCUUAUGAUGUACACAAGUCAAUCUUCAAGUCUUUGUCCAACCCUCUUGUGAAGGCAAAGGAGAAAGCGCCGAAGUAUGUCUUGUCUAGUCAAUUGACUCGUUAUGCAGUGGUCUGCACAUGGUCAAAUUGCGCGUCAAGUAGGCUAGUAAUUCGUGUGUUCACACAAAUACACACAAAGAUGUCAACACUUACAAGUUCCGUUUGGAAAUUGGCAACCCACUCGCAAGACCAGCAAAGCGCGUUUUGAAAUUUCGGCCCUGGAAAGUACCAGGAAACUCAGGUUGAUAUUAUAAAAGAAAAUCAUACAGUUCACACCUCUGAGAAUAAAAUAUUUAAAAUAUCUCAACUUUGUUGGAAUCAUCGUGAAGGAGGAACCACAUUUUCUUUGCAAUUUCCAUUAGAAAAACAACGUCAAAUUAAGCAGACAUGAAUCCAAUGCCAAAUCAAGCAGUAAAUAAACAAUAGAGACGAAUCAGACAAAAUCAGCAUUUGAUUUGAAUAUCAGCAUCGGUGUACGAUUUCAAUCAGCUGAGCAAUUUCAUUUUGUCAUCGUUCAAUCUAGCAUUGAAGUGCAAUCAUAACAUGCAAUCCUAGUUUAUUUUCAGCUUCAUGUAACUUUUUGGCAAUAGCAAAUAAUAUCGAGUGUGAAUGGCUUUACGAAGGAAGGCUGCAGGUGGCUUCCAGGCAAAUGGCGCAUAGUACCAAAGAAAUAGCAAGCGGAACUCAUUUUAACUUGUCCAGAUACAUCCAACAUCUAACCGUUCAGCAACACGCAACUUAUACUUCCGACGCCACCUCCUCCCCUUCGACGACUUUCAUCAACUUAGCCUGAAUGCUUUUGUUUGCUUAUGAAGGAAGGUCGCUGGUGCAUUACAGUGCCUGUUACUCUAGACACAACUCGCCCGGUCUCUACUCUGUGAACAACCAAUUAUACUUUCGAUUGGUAUUGCAGGUAUAAGGAAGGCAGCACACGAUUGAUAAAGUUGGAUUAUGGGUGCGUUUAUUUUACGAAAAAAUGAAUAAUUUAAAAAAUAUUUUUUUAAAAAAGAUUGUUUAUAUCGCUCAAUAUAAUUAGUCGAUGAAAAAUAUUUUCAUUAUCGACAAUAAUUUAUAUCUAAAUAUUUUCGUAAAGAAUGAAAAUAUUUUUCGUUCAUUUAUUGGGAACAGAAAAGCACCCAAACGCGUUUCUGUUCCUUUUUUGUUCCCAGGAACAAAAAAACAGAAAUUUUUGUUCCUGGGAACAGAAAUAAGGUGCAGCCAUGCAGGGCCUAAGUGGUUCAAUUCAUAAGAAAUUAACAUUGUGGAUUCUAAGUUGCAAUAUGUCAGUGGAUUUCCUCUUCAUGAGAUGAUAUAAGUUCCUCUGUUUUUGUAAUGAGUUUUCAUGCAAUAAAUAUCCUUCUUGUAGAUUCUGAGUUGAAAUUUUUUUUUUUUUUUUUUUGCCUUUGAUGUUUUUUCAGUUGAAGAAACAAUUAACUACAAAUAUUCAAGAGUCCCUGGCAUGUUCAUGGUUUUAAUGAUUACUGACACUCUUUUCUGUGGCAUUUCUUUUCACUCUACUAAAAGAUUUACCUACCAAUGUUCAAAUGUAUAAAUUACGGUAGUGCGAAGCUCGAGCUCAACUCCUAUUAGACAUUAGAUGCUCGGAACUCCACUCGAACCAUGGAGUAUUCAAUUUCCAGCUUGAGCUUGACCAGAAAAAAAUGGAGAUAUCAAGCUCAAGUAGACUCGACACAAUCACGUUAUAAAAUAAAUGAGUUCAAGCUCGAGCUCAAUAUGUUCAAAUAUUAUCCUUUUCAUUUAUGUAAUUAUAUAUGUAUAUCACAACUUUUAAAUAUCUUGCCCUUCAUUUUCCAUAGCUAUCAAAUAUUUAACUGAACAAAAUAAUAGAAAGUUGAUUAAUAUGGCGAGUCUCUCAAACAGAAUAUAAUGAGCUCAAUUUUUUUUUUAUUUGGUCGUGAAUAAAAUUCUCGUUGAUAGAUUAAGAUUUGUUUGGCUUAAGGAAAGCAAAAAGGAAGUUUGCCUCCAGCAGAGAAAAACUAAUCCUUUUUAAUAUAUAUAUAUAUAUAUAUAUAUAUAUAUAUAUAUAUAUAUAUAUAAUUAGCAGAACAAAAGCAAUUGAAAUAUGCUUUUCCUAGCCUAGAAAUAAAUGAAAAAAUUCCUCAUUCCAGAAAACAAAACAGACCAAAAAGAAUAAAGGGGAUUUAUUAUGCUUCCUUUGCGGUCACGCCAAAUUUGAGUGGACCUCACAAACCAAUUGAAAUCAUCUCCUUUAUAAAUCAUACUACAUAAAUCAUCUAAUGUUAUUACAAUUUAAUGUAUGUCUAAAUGGUAAUGCACUAAGAAAAGCAUCUUGAUUGGGAUCCAAUGAUUUACACCAUGAUUGAAUUGCCUAGUUCGAAUUAGAAACAAAUCCAGGGGCUUUUGUCUUUGCUUAGAACAUACGCAAGUUCAUCGUCAAGUCUUUGUCCAACCUGCUUGUUAAGGCAAUGAAAAAGCACUAAAGUACGUUUAUCUAGUCAAUUCGCUUAGCAUGCGCUGGUAUGCACACAUCCAAAUGUCACAUCAAAUAGACUUGGCAACUCACCCACAAGACCGGCACAACGUGUUUGGCCCAGGGAAAAUACCAGGAAACGUGGGUCGAUAUCAUUAAAAAAAGAAAAGAAAAAGAAAAAGAAAAGCAUAAAGACACUCAUUCGAGAAUAAAAUGUUUCAAAAAUCUCAACUUCGUUCGGAUCAUUUUCAAGGAGGAACCAUAUUAUCUUCGCACUUUCCAUCAAGAAUCAGCUGAAGUUCAGUGAAGACUCUUUUGCUCAUUGAAAGUGAUUUAUUUUGUAAACAUAGUUUGCAAAGCAAAACUCAAAUUGCAUGAAAGAUUAAAAUGAGCAUCGACUUGAAAUUAAAGAAUACAGAAAACUUUAACAAUGUCUUCUAAAUUUUCGAAUUUAAGUCCAUUUAAAGUGUGGAAACUUCUAAGUAGGUUGGCCAACUAAAAUUGCAAAGUAAAAAAUCUAGGAAGGGCACGUUUUGGAAAUUUUUUUGGAGUCCGUUCACGGGGUCUGAAUAUUAAGUAUGAAUCAUAGUUAAUAUUUUGUGAUCUAUACUCAAAUACACCCCUUGCCUAUGGCAGUGAGGGCCAGGACCCUCACUUGUGGUUGGGAUCUUAUGAUCUAUGUCCAAAUUGUAAAACUAUAAGAUAGCAAAGCAUAUUGGCUGGUCUCUUAAAAUAUGUUUUCCAAAGCAUCCCGCUCAACAACUUCUCCAGUAUGCUGCUUAGCUCAUGGGAUUGAGAAUAUAAUGUUCUUUAAUUGUUCGCCUUCCAUAAAAUAAAAUUAAAAAAUCAAAAUCCUUGUCCUGAUAAUAAGAGUUAUCGGUUAAGACAAUUUUUCUCUUCAAGACUUAGUCAUAACCCGUGGAAUUUUUUGGAUAGUAUUUGAGAAAGUCAAUAUGAAAUGUAAGCACCACCUCACAUAGCGUUAUAUUUGUCCACCUAGCAAUAGGUUAAACUCUCUCGGCGUCCACUCCGGUAGGAUCGUGACAGUGUGCAUAUUCAAGAUAUGCUUGAUCCAAAGGUAAUGUUUCGUUCAUAAUGCAAAGGUGUGCAAUCAUCAAAUUUCAUAUCGCAAGUCAACAUUCAGAAAUUCAAUCAAUGACAUUCAAUGAAUGGCUGUCAAGUUUUUCAAACAAAGGAAUGGAGUCAGAAUUAUCUGAAAGUUGUUUCUUUGUAAUAUUUGAGAAUAAUUAUUCGAAAAUUAUCACAUAGACCCUCGGUUCACAGAUCAACGACGUUCGAGGACUCUAUUCAGACCAUUUGCCUUACAGCCAUUUGGUGCGAAUCCGAAUGGAUCUUUUUAACUUAUCAAGGAAUGCCGCAAGUAACUUCCAGACAAAUGGAACAAAAUAUCCAAGUAAUAGUCAGUGGAACAUAUAUCAAGUUGUCCAAUACGUCCAACAUUCAAAGAACAUGCAAUCAUAUAAAAUAAUUCCGAGACAACCUCCUCGUCUUCGAAGACUUACACCAAUUAUCUCCUCACACUUAGCCUCCUAUUUGGUGCUGAGUCUGAAUGAUGUUUUUUCUUCUUCUUUUUUCCUCUGAUGAAGGAUGGCCCCAGGUAACUUCCACGCAAGUAGUACAUGAUAACAAAGUAAUGGCAAGCGGAAAAUAUAUUGAGUUGUCCAAUACGUCCAACAUCAAACUGAACAAAUUAAUAGAAAUUUCUGGCCAAAAAAAUGUAAUAGAAACUUGAUUAAUAUCGCGAGUCUCUCAAACAGAUAUAAAUAAGCUCGAUUUUCUUUUUGUUCAUGAAUAAAAUUCUAAUUAAAAGAUUUGAGAUCAUGCUAACACCAAGCACAAACAAUUGGUUUUUUACCAAUACAUCACGCUAGUAGGUGGAAUAAUAGCAAGAAUCAAUUGAUCAUGCCGAUUAGCACGAAUCUAGAUUGAAAAUAAGAAGAUCUGCUUUGUUUGGCUUAGCAAAAUGGAAGUUUGGCUCAGCUUUGGCUCAGAUGAGAAAAGCUAAUCCUUUUUUAAUUUAAUUAGCGGAACAAAAGGAAUUGAAAUAUGCUUUUUCUAGCUUAGAAAUAAAGAAACAGAUUCCUCACCCCCAAAAACAAAACAGACAAAAAGAUCAAAGGGGAUCAUCAAUAAUGCUUCCUUUAUGGUCACGACAAAUUUGAGUGGACCUAAUGUGCCAAUUGAAAUAAUCUCUUUUAUGAAUCAUACUAAUUUAAUUAUCUUAUGUUAUUAUAAUCUUAGGAAUGUCUAAUUGGAAAUGCACUAGGAAAAGCAUCUCAAUUGGCAUCCCGUGAUUCACGCCAUGAUUGAAUUGCAUAGUUUGAAUUAGAAACAAUUCGUCUUUUCUUAGAACAUACGCAAGUCCAUCGUCAAGUCUUUGUCUGACCCUCUUGUGAAGGCAAAGAAAAAAGCACUAUAGUAUGUUUAUAUCGUCAAUUUGCUUAGUAUGCGUUGGUCUACAUAUAGCCCAAUUUCAGUCAUGUAGACUCUUGUGUUCGUUGACUCAUUUUCCUUAUUAAUCUAAAUGCCAAAAAAUGAGGAUAAUAUAAUAUCGGAGUAUGCUUUUCACGAAACANNNNNNNNNNNNNNNNNNNNNNNNNNNNNNNNNNNNNNNNNNNNNNNNNNNNNNNNNNNNNNNNNNNNNNNNNNNNNNNNNNNNNNNNNNNNNNNNNNNNNNNNNNNNNNNNNNNNNNNNNNNNNNNNNNNNNNNNNNNNNNNNNNNNNNNNNNNNNNNNNNNNNNNNNNNNNNNNNNNNNNNNNNNNNNNNNNNNNNNNNNNNNNNNNNNNNNNNNNNNNNNNNNNNNNNNNNNNNNNNNNNNNNNNNNNNNNNNNNNNNNNNNNNNNNNNNNNNNNNNNNNNNNNNNNNNNNNNNNNNNNNNNNNNNNNNNNNNNNNNNNNNNNNNNNNNNNNNNNNNNNNNNNNNNNNNNNNNNNNNNNNNNNNNNNNNNNNNNNNNNNNNNNNNNNNNNNNNNNNNNNNNNNNNNNNNNNNNNNNNNNNNNNNNNNNNNNNNNNNNNNNNNNNNNNNNNNNNNNNNNNNNNNNNNNNNNNNNNNNNNNNNNNNNNNNNNNNNNNNNNNNNNNNNNNNNNNNNNNNNNNNNNNNNNNNNNNNNNNNNNNNNNNNNNNNNNNNNNNNNNNNNNNNNNNNNNNNNNNNNNNNNNNNNNNNNNNNNNNNNNNNNNNNNNNNNNNNNNNNNNNNNNNNNNNNNNNNNNNNNNNNNNNNNNNNNNNNNNNNNNNNNNNNNNNNNNNNNNNNNNNNNNNNNNNNNNNNNNNNNNNNNNNNNNNNNNNNNNNNNNNNNNNNNNNNNNNNNNNNNNNNNNNNNNNNNNNNNNNNNNNNNNNNNNNNNNNNNNNNNNNNNNNNNNNNNNNNNNNNNNNNNNNNNNNNNNNNNNNNNNNNNNNNNNNNNNNNNNNNNNNNNNNNNNNNNNNNNNNNNNNNNNNNNNNNNNNNNNNNNNNNNNNNNNNNNNNNNNNNNNNNNNNNNNNNNNNNNNNNNNNNNNNNNNNNNNNNNNNNNNNNNNNNNNNNNNNNNNNNNNNNNNNNNNNNNNNNNNNNNNNNNNNNNNNNNNNNNNNNNNNNNNNNNNNNNNNNNNNNNNNNNNNNNNNNNNNNNNNNNNNNNNNNNNNNNNNNNNNNNNCAUAUAUAACGGCCAAUUAAGUGGACAUGAAUCCAAUGCGAGAUCAAUUAAUAAACAAAUGACAAAGAUGAAUCCUGACAAAAUCUACAUUUAAUUUUAGUAUCAACGUGCAAUUUUAUUUAGUAAGUGAUUUCAAUCGGCGAGGUAUUAUUUUGUCGUCAUUCAAUUUAGUAUUGUAGUGCAAUCAUAACAUACAAUCUUAGUCUAUAUUUAGUAUUGUAGUGCAAUCAUAACAUACAAUCUUAGUCUAUAUUUAGUUUCAUGUAACUUUAUGGCAAUAGUGAAUAAUUUCGAAGUUACCAUGCAAUCUCUAGUCAGCAUGUGAUUUUAUAGUAGCCCAAAAUUUUCAAGACAAGUGUUCAUAAGAUCAUUAUAGGGGAUUUUGGAAGUCUAAUUGAGGGGAGGCUUACACAACUACAACUAGUUGUACAAAAAUCCAAUCCAAUAAAUUACUUAUUUUAUGUCAAAUAACUUGAAUUAGUGUUCUGGACAUUGUAACAAAGUAAUGGCGAGAGUAGCACGUGACUUUUCCUGCCAAGACUUUCAUUAAUUAUUUCUUCAACUAGUCGGUGCGAGUCUGAAAUUUUUUUUCCCUUUUUUUUAUAUACAUGAAGGAAGGCCGCAGGUGACUUCCAGGAAAUAGAGCUUAGUAACAAUGUAAUAAUAAAAUAUAUUUCUGAGACCACGUCCAAGGACGACGACUUCCAUCAAUUCUUUCCUAUUUAGUGCGAUCCGUGUGGCCCUUCUUUUAAGCUUACGAAAGAAGGCUGCAAGUGACUUCCAGGCAAAGGAUUAUUUCCUCAACCGAGCGAUCUCACUCUGUUUGCGUGGGGGCUUUUAGGCCAAGGAGCAAACGGGAAAAGGUAAGGAAAGUUUCAUUAGAAGUUUGCGUGGGGAAGAGCUUCAUUUUUUAGUUGGACUGUUGUCUCCAAGACCAAACAGACUUGCCUAUUUGUAGGUUCGUUUCGACUGUCGUUCUUCAGUUAAUUUCUCUGAACAUUGUUUCUGCUUGUUCUUUUUGCAUGCGGAAUAUUUUAUUAGCCAUUUUUUUUAACUAUCACAAAUUAAGCUAGAGAUCGCCAACUACAACGACCAGCUAGAGACUUGAAUCUUACAGAAGUCUAGCAGUUUCUAGAAAUUUGAUCAAGACGUCCACAGCUUUAUCAAGUUGUUUCAAGGAUCAGACUCAAGACUGCCCGAGUCACCCCGCAGACUCGAUUCUGAGAUCAAUAACUCCAUCGUCCUCUCGGAAUGAACAGAAAUAGUGAGGCAGAAGAGACAGCAGCACCCGCGGCGACGGCGAUGGAGGUGGCGACAGCAGCUCUGGCAAGCGGCAGUCAUGAUGGUGGAUCAGAGAGGGGGCUGAUGGUGGUGGCGACGGCAGCUCUGACGAGCAAUAGCCAUGAUGGCAGAUUGGGGAGGACCCAUGAGGUGUUCCUGAGUUUUAGAGGGCCUGACACCCGUUUAACAAUUGCGGAUUCCCUGCACAAAGCCAUUGAACGUGCAGCAAUCCGUGUUUUCAAAGAUGACGAAGGGCUCCGAGUCGGUAAAGAGAUUGGAGGCAGUCUUAUGCAAGCAAUUAAUGAAUCUAGAAUUUACAUCCCGAUUUUCUCCAAAAACUACGCUUCAAGUAAGUGGUGCCUCCGUGAGCUUGCACACAUAAUGAAGUUAUCGAGAGACGAUACCGAGAAAGUGAUACUCCCUAUAUUCUACGACGUGGAUGCGGAUGAUGUUAAGCUUAAGACCGAAUUAUAUAGGACAGCCCUCCAAAAUCAUGAGAGUGACUCUGGGAAGGAUAUGGCAAAGCAGUGGGAGGAGGCUUUAAGAGAGGUUGCCAGAAUUAAAGGAUGGAAUCUAAAAGAUUACGGGUAUUGUUAACUUCUUCCGUUAAGUUUAUUUUCAUUUCAUCAAUUUCGAGAUUAUAUUCUAUGAUACUUUUUCCAGAGUAAUAACUUCCAGUUUGCUGUUGUCGAAUCUUAUGUGAUGUAUGGUUGGAUCGGCCGCAGUGAGGGAGGCAGAAAUUUUGCUCAGGGAGCAAGGUUUCUUGCAUAAAUUGACUUUUCACUUUUAAUCCCAAGUUUUGAUAACAAUAGUCUCAAGAUAUGUCAACUUAAUUAAUUAAUCAUUAAUGCAAAGCAAAUAUGUGUGAAAAAUAAAAAUUUAAAUCUCUUAACUUUGCAGCUCACUUUUCGGCUAGCAAAAUGCUUUUAAAAAAACUUUGGUCAUUUCUCUUGCUUUGACCUAUUCACAACCCCGGAUCGUGCUUCGGGCACCACAGGUACGGAUUUCCUUUGCCUUAUGACCAUCCUAGUUUUAAAGUUGUCAACUUUUAUAUGAAAGUACUAAUCUUAAUUUGUGUCUUACCAACUUCUUUUCGAUUAUUUUAAAAACUAAUUUUAGGUUACUAGCGUUUGUUUGAGUCAUUUACUAAGUUUAAUUGAUUGUUUGCCGAUUUACAAAUUUUAUAGAAUCUGUUAUCUCUUAUUUGAAUUGUUUACUUCACAUUUCAAAGUUACCAAUACUUGAAACAAAUUAAUAACCCUAAUACAAGUUUUGUACUAACGAAUCUCUGAUUAAGUUACUAACUAAUUUAAGUUACCCAUUCCUACGUGAACCUCUUAUCAAUAUUUAUUUUUUUGUUGAAAAUUCCACCUUUUGUAACAAACUUUUGUUAUCAACGGACCCACUUUUAUUAGCAUAGUUCACAAACAUUCUGAGGUUAGGAACUCAAUUAUCAAAUUACCAAGCAUAAUUUGAGUUACUUACCAACUUAUUCUGAUUAAAUUACCAACAAAUUUAUUGUGACUGAUGAAAUUGCUAAGUUAAACCAGUUGGUAGCUUAUUCAGAAAAAUGAUUGUUGGCAACUCAAAUGAAGGCUGAUAAAUACUCUGAAAGUGUUCCUCAUUUUCGGUUACUACCCUAUUACUCGGGUACAUUAAGAAAAACGCUUUUGAGCUUUUAUUCUCGUUUCCUAAAUUCCAGGUAACUGCCUAGUGAGAAAAUCUUUUUCUUUUAUGUCAUUCUUCAAAAUCAUCCUUAGUGGCUGAAGAGAUAAAAAAGACCGGAUUCACCGAGGAAUUCUCGUCAAAGCCCAAUUAGACCUUCGUCAUGAAAUAACCUUUUUCCUACCAUUUACCGGACCAAAGAAUCCUAACAGUAGCAGCUUUCAUUUUUCUUUUUUUAUUACUUUUUUUUGUGGCAAACGGCUCGCAGCAUGAAUGAUCACUCAUUUCAUGCUGGUUGCUUUCAAAGUCAAUUACUUUGAAUUUGAUGAUAACCUUCCAGUGACACGUUAUGCAGGCAUAGAUUCCAUAUGUGAUUUUUUUUUUUUUUAUCUGAGAUGAUUGCAUGUUAUGUAUAUGGCAGCCUAUAUAAACUUACAAACCUCGUGGUGGAAGAGGUUUCAAAUUUGCUAUGGACAAGACAGACGGACAUGUCUAAUCAUUUGGUGGGAAUUAAGGAUCGAAUGGAUCACAUUAUGAAGCUAUUAGAUGUAGGAGCUUUUGAUGUACGGUUUAUUGUGAUUCAUGGUAUGGGUGGCAUCGGAAAAACAACACUAGCCGAGGCCAUCUUCAAGCAAAUGUACCCUCAAUUUCAGGAUCAUUGUUGUUUUCUUAAAGAUGUUCGAACUCAUGAUAUAAUAGGCUUACAAAAGAAAUUGUUGUUUGAUGUUCUCAAUCUUAGUUGCACAAACCCCUUCUUCAUUGAUGAAGUGAUCAAGACAAGGUUUCUUGGCAAGAAAGUCCUCGUUGUUCUUGAUGACAUUGACAACUGGGACCAAAUCAUGAGGCUUGCAGGCGAGCCCAACUGGUUUGGUAGGGGUAGUAGAAUCAUCAUAACAACAAGAAAUAUUGAAUUCCUGGUAAAGGAAGUUGAGGAUGACAAUCUCCCAAUCUCUAAUAGUGGACAAUUUUCAUUCUACGAUAUGCCGGAGAUGAAUUCACAUGAUGCUCUUCAACUGUUUUGUGAGCGUGCCUUGGGAUGUGCCAAGCCUCCGCCUAGUUACAUGGAUAUCACAGAAAAGCUAGUCAAUGCACUAGGAGGACUUCCAUUGGCUCUCAAUGUCAUAGGUUCCACGCUCCAUGGAAAAUGCCGAAGAACAUGGGAAGACACCCUAUGUAAGUUAAAGAAGGUGAUGAAUGAGGAUGUCAGGAAGAAGUUGAUGAUAAGCUAUGAAGCAUUGGAAAAUAAUCAACAGCAAAUUUUUCUUGAUAUCGCAUGUUUCUGCUUCAACAAAGAGAAAACAACUGCAAUUAAAUAUUGGGAUUCGAUUUUUGGGUAUCCAACCGAAAUCGAGGUUAAUAUCCUUAAACGUAUGUCUCUAAUAAAAAUAUCCUACGAUAAUAAACUAUGGAUGCACGACCAACUUAGAGACCUUGGAAGGAGUAUCGUCCAUCCAGAAAGUGGUGAAAUCCAUAUGAAGGGUAGUAGAUUGUGGGCUCCCAAGGAUGCCUUCCAUGUAGUGUAGGCAGAAAUGGUAAUCUUGACCUCUAAAUGUUUUCUAGUGCAUCCAUUAGCAUCACCACCGUUUUAUCUAAUUUCAAGUCAAAGUGACAUAUGUAUUCAUUAGACGUACAGAUUUAAGCGCGAGCAAUUUAUGGGCUUGGUCAACCUUAGGUUUCUUCAAUUGGACCAUGGAAAUUUUGAAGGAGACUUUAAGAAUGUUUUCUUUAAUCUGAGAUGGCUCUCUUGGAGCAAUUGCCCUUCAAAAUUCCGAGCUAGCAACUUUGGGUUGAAGAACUUAACGAUUCUCAUGUUAUCUGGGGAUAACGUUACUGAAGAUUGGGGAGGAUGGCGUCAAAUCAAGGUAUGAUCUCAUAACAUCCUUUUGCAUUAUAUUUACUUUUCCUCUUUUCUGAAUGUCUACUCAAUUGCUUUAUAGGUAGCAGAACAAUUGAAAAUCCUACAACUCGAGGAUUGUCCAUUCCUUAUAAAGAUGCCCAAAUUCUCCACAUUCUCGCGGCUAGAGAAAUUGAUUCUUAGAUGCGUUCGACUAAGAAAGAUUGACAAGUCCAUUGGCAAUCUACAACAUCUUGAUUACCUAGAGAUAAAGAGUGAAGCUAUUGAGUCGCCACCAGAGUCCAUCAGCGGUCUCAAAUCUUUAACAGUGCUAAGAAUAGAACGAACACCCUCAAGGAAGCCUCGCUUGAUUGGCAAUUUAGCAAAGGUGAAGUCUCUAAUCUUGCCAUGCAAGGAACUUCAAAAGCUUCCCGACUCUAUCGGACAAUUGGAGUCACUACUUGAGCUAGAUGUCCAAUAUUUAAAAAUUAGUGAAUUACCUCAUUUUAUUGGAAAUCUUGAAAGGUUAAAAGUUUUACGUAUCUGGAAUUCCUAUCUAGAAAAGCUACCAGACUCAAUUGGGAGGCUCCAAUCAUUGGUCGAGUUGGAUUUGAGCCAUUCCAAAAUUGGGAGCUUACCUGAUUGUAUUGGAAAUCUCAAAAAGUUGAAGGUACUAAAUCUCAAUGAUAGUUGCAUAAGUGAACUUCCGAAAACCAUAGGAAUGUUGGAAAAUCUGGAAGAGUUAGAUGCUCGCUCUGAACAUCUAGUGGGGGAAAUUCCAAGUGAAAUCGGGGCACUAUCCUCAUUGAAAUAUCUAUCCUUAUGCAAAGGUCGCUUUAGUGGAUUGCCCACAACGAUCAAUCAGCUUACAAAUCUCCGAAUGCUUUCGUUACUGUUCUGUGAUUCUAUCCAACAGUUGCCAGAGCUUCCCAAGAGUCUAAUUUCUUUAAGCCUUCUAUCGAAUUCACUAACCACGAUCCCUAACUGCUCAAACUUAACCAGUUUAGUUGACCUUGACAUAAUUGGAUAUUCAAUUGAAGAACCCAACAUAGAGGGGAUCAUGAGACUACUUGCUCCAAAACGAAUGGCCCGCCGUGUUGGAAAAAUGGCCUUGCCUCCAACUGAUUUCAGUUCCCUCUCUCAGCUACAAAGCCUCAGCAUAAAUUAUGCUAAGCCCCAAUCUCCUAUCGGACUCCCAUCCAGCCUUCAAGAUUUGUUGUUACGUGAUGUCCAAUCACCAAUAGAUUGGUCAGUCUUUUCCAACUUGGAGAAUUUGUUGGGGCUGUCUAUUUAUAGAUAUUUGUUGAGAGAGAUUCAAUUUGAGGUGCUUGGAGAGCUACGGAAAUUCAAUAGAUUGUGGAUGUCCAACUGUCCCUUGCUUAAGACACUGCCCGUUCUACCUUGUUUGAAGGAGAUCCGGUGUUUGUCCCUGUUCCGAUUGCCUCAAUUAAUUGAGAUUCAGGGUUUGGGAGAAUUGAAAUCAUUGCAGAAUUUGUCUAUUGGGUAUUGCAAUUCAAUCAAAAUGUUAAAUGAAUCUGAUCUUUCUAAUCUACAGAAUCUGAAACGUUUGAGAUUCUAUAAAUGUGAAUCAUUAGAGAGGGUGCUGGGUGUGCCAAAAUCUUGUCAACUCGAGGUCUAUGAUUGCCCAAGGUUCAAGAGAGAUGGAUAAGAUAUGUAUCAUUUGAUUGACAAAGAUAGUUGAUGAUGGUAAGUCCAUAGAACUAGAGUUCGUUUUUUUUUUUUUUUUUUUUUUUGGUGAAAGGUAAUAGAUAUAUUGAGGAGAGGCCAAUUGUACACAAGAUCACGGCUUCAAAACUUGCACUCCAAAUGAGAAGAUCAAAAGGAGUGGAAGGAUGCCAUGAUGUAAAAGCCAUGGACACGCGGCACACACCCUACAACGCAACGCCAAAGACAAGCACGGAAUGGACAACCGGCAUUCAAAACAAAAAGCGACAGCUAGGGAGGAGAGUAGCCCAUGGCUCCAAAGCAAAGAGGCUCUGACAAGGCUACGAGUCCCCGGAGAAAAUGAUCGGAUCAAUACCCCAACUUUGUUGCAACCUUUUGUUCGUAAAAGUAUCUUCAACGUUCCUGAAUGUGAUAGCCUUGUCUUGGACCACUUUGAAAAGAUGGUUCUUCAUGGCCGGGACCGUAAGAGGCUGAUCUCUGAAGAUGAUGCUAUUCCUAUUUUUCCAAAUGAUAUGACAAAGAGCGCCGAAGGAAAAACAUCAAUGUAUUUAUAAAAAUCUUUACCCAUAAAAAAGGUAGAGGCCCAAUGUAAAUUCUCCCUCCAAGAGUUCCUUUUUUUUUGUUGUGUCUUUCCUUCAGCUAACCUUUCAUCUUGGUUCUGGAACCACCUCUUGCAUUCAUUCAUCAUGUUGUCUCUAAGGGAAAAUCCUCUUUCAUGUAUCAUAAACACGUGACACUUUGACUUGCCUACUUGACGAUGGCGAUACCUAGCUAGUUUGUGUUGCACACUAGCAUAACGUCGGGAUUGACAUGCUUCGUGGCACAUGUUUUGCUUAGAAAAAAAUCGAUAAAGUGGAGGGGAACUAUUAUAUAGUAAGCACACUAAAGAUGCUAACAAAUGCUAGGUUUUUGUUGUAAGGCUGAGUUGGUUGAGACUUGAGAAUACUGGUCUCACCUUAUGGAGUGCUUUUAAUAUCAGUAGAGAACAAUCAUGAUUUGUGAUUACUGAAAUAAAGGAAUUAAUGCUUGGGUAGUGGAAGAGUGAAUCAUUGAUACCUAUUAUGCAAUAUGAGUGAUUUAGUUAUUUCCUUCAUGAAGAAUUCGAGGUGUUUUUCUGGUUACUUCCGAACUAAAGUGGAGAAGCUUCAGGUCUUGAGUCACUGUGUGAUUUGUGAACUAUCUUUCUUCAUUCUAGUAUUUAGCCAUUUAUGUGUUAAAUUUGUGCUGCGAGACAAUUGAUAUUGGCAUAAGUUUGUCGAUAUGGUCAAGCCACUAUUUUGAUGAAGACUAGGUUUAGCUGCAUCAAGUUGUGCAUUUUGCAUUUAGUGGUGUGAGGAAAGAGCACCUUUGUGUCGUUGAAGACUAGAUUUUAUUUAUUCUUUUAGCUGACUUAUUGUAGCUUUCCUCAUCUCUCUCUCUCUCUCUCUCUCUCUCUCUCUCUCUCUCUGCUACUGUUAAGUUAUUAAAUAAACUUGUUUGAUCUUUGUAUCUAUCUAUCAUUUUUACAUUUGCUAAUAAAAUAUUUUUGCACAAGCUCCUCCGAGAUCAUAGUGAAAUGUUCUUUUACAUGGACGUCUAGGCUUUGGCAAGACAUAUUGUUGGUGCUAUAGCAAUGACUUGUUCUCUUCAAUCCAUAUCAAUAAAAGGGCGAGCUGUGGUAAAGUGAAUUGGUACUUUUGAGCAAGCUAUAAUAGGCUUCUUUUCAACUACAUGGAUGUUUAUUGAGUUCCACUGUGCAAUCUUCUAUUGAACUUUGUUAUUUCCAUACAUUUCACAAUUUUGUGCUUUCUUCUUUUGCUUUUGUAUACAUUCAAUAGAGGUCCCUUCAUCUAUGCCAACAGUUGAAAUAUGAUAACUAUCAGUAGCAAUGAGGAUCCUCUGCAGCCAAGAUGUUCUAAUUAUAUUAUUUUAAACAACAACAAUGAGGAUUCUCCCAUAAUUAAUGAAGAGGCCAAGUUAAAAUGCUUAUGGAGUUAUCUCAUGCACGAAUGAGAGAAUCCUCUAUGAAGAUUAAGAUGUAAGAUAUUUGAAGUUUUUCUCUACUAAAAAUUUGAAAUUGGUGAUCAAAUGUCUACUAGAUCAUUUGUUCUGCACAUUGACAGCAUUGAUUUUGUGAACAAACUAGAGAAGUUUUGAACAUUUGAGAGUAAUGGCAAUUAUAAAAUUAUAGGUUCGGAUAUAUUUUCAAAGGCAAUAGCUGUGGCACCUUGCCUUCUCUUUUUUCAAGAAUUUGACUCCAUUGUGCUGAAGAGAGGGCAUGAUAAUACGGGGGUCACUGACCAUGUCAUCAAUCAGUUAGUUUCUUGCAUUCAAUGGCACUUAUAAAGUGGUCAUGUGAUGGUAUGACUCACUAAUGGUAUGUUAUUCAUUGAUGCAGUUUUUUUUAUUGAAUUAGAUGGUGUUGAAGUUUUAGGCAGUGUGUUUGUGUCAGCGGGGACAAGGUAAUAAUUUCGUUUUACAUGGUAACAAAAAGUGCUCUCUUUUUAUAGCACACUAACUGUAAACUACUGUUGGAAAUUGCAUGGCCAUUAUGAAUGCUUUGCUAAAAAAUUUUCUAUGAAGCAUUUAAUAUGGAGACUAUGUAAUAACCUUCAAGGCAAACUAUUAAAUGCUAGACAUGACCUUUCCUUGAUUUGGAAUUGUUUAACUUCGGACACACAGUAUUGGAUAAACUACAUAUGUAUCAAAGAAGGUAAAAAACGGUAGCAUUGCUUGAGUUACUGUUCAGUUGUUGAAGUAGCUUAGAGGAAGUAUAUUAAACUGGUCUUGAGCCUCUUCAAUAGCAUCAACGGAUGUUGAUUGUUUCAGUUUUGUGAUAUCAAGCAUAGUGCGAUUUCUCAGUUAUAUCAUGACAUAUUUGCUGCAUGAGGUGCAAUUUUGUUUUCCUUAGGGAUCAUGGGUUCAUCUAUCUCCUAAUAAGUCUAAUUCACUUUUCUUUCUUGGGAUCCUUCCAUUUUACACUUGUCUAGUUAUGUGCUUUUAGUUCUAAUCGAGUUGCAUUUGAUGUGAAGCAAUAGACUGGACCAACUUGAUGCUGCACUUCUAAUACCUGGCAGGCUUGAAGACUUCUGCUCUGUGAAUUUUCUCCUAUACAGGACAGAUUGGAUACCUUUAAAUUUUAUGAAGGAAGGUACAAACAUACAGAAUCUAAAAACAUUGGGUUUCUAUAAGUGUGAAUCAUUAGAGAGCAUGUUGGAUGUGCCAAAAUCUUGUGAACUCACCAUACGCAAGUGCCCAAGGUUCAACAGAGAUGGAUAAGUAUUUAUCGUCUGAUUGGCAAAGAUCGUUGAUGAUAGUAGGUCUAUAGCAUCGAGCCGAUUGGAUAACAUCUUUUUGUAGCCAAUUUGCAUGCACUUGAGUCUCCAAAUACUUUGAUUGAUUAGAAGAUUUAAUUGACUGACUUGCCUUGUUCAAUUCCUGAAAUUGUCGAUACCGAAACUACUUAUGGGUUAUCAUGGAGAGAAAAGGAAAGAAUACAAUCAUUCCCUUUGAUCCAUAAAUGAUGUUUAAAUGCUGUCAGGUAUACUGACAAGGCAUACAAAAUUUGGUUUGACAAGAGGUGGUUUCCACAAUCCUCUACAUCAUCUCUCUUCAAUGUUCAUCUCCAAAAGAGAGUAAAAUUACAUUUUUCUUCUCUGUUUGUUUGCUUUUUGUUCAUUCUCUCCCAUCUUCAACUGCCAAACACAGUUAUGGAAGAUGUUGCAAUUUGCCUGACAGGGCAUUUGCAUUCUUGGAUUCUUAUUUGUUGUGUUGAUGACAUGUCCUUUUCUUUAUAUUUUUCCUUUAAUGUUUUGAGUUGAGUCUAGAAGUUUGACGACUCUGACUCAUCAAUGAAUUCAAUAAGGCAAAUGCAAUUACCUGGGUUGCUCCCUUUUGUAUCAUCUUUGUUUCUUGUAGUUCCAGAGAUUGAGCAGGAAUUACCUGAUGCUGCACAAUCAAAGAUUACAUUUUACUUACUCCUUAUUUGAUGCCCAUGGUUAUAGUUGCAAUUUUUAAGUAUUCCCAUUCUUAAAAUUGAAAUUCUGCUUCUCCAGCAAUAAUUAUAAGCUUUCUUCAUCUAUUUCUGCAGAGUCUUAAGUAUUUUUAGGAAUAACAGUUAGGAAUCUAUGUGAGCAACUUAAAGUUGCUUACUGGGCAAACUUUUUCUUGUUGAUAGUCCUAUUCUGCUUAGGCAUUCAAUGGCUUAUUGUACUAACCUUAGCUUUUAUCAACUGAAGUAGUUAUUUUCAGUACUCUUAAUUAGCUUAAUUAGAGUACAUAAUCUAUUUCAUAGAUCAUGAUUAAAUCUGUCAAGUAGUAGAUAUGUUUGGGGACUGAAACUUGAAAGAUCUGCCACUUCCUUUCAUAUUCUUGAGUGUGCUUCCCACAUACUUUAUGCUGUCUGAUUGCUUAAUUUACUUUAUCGUGCUGGAUGAGGAAUUUGUCAUUCUAUUAUUGUUUUAUGAGUGUCUUUCAUUGAGUAUCUGGACAAGCAAUACUAAUCUAUGUUGUCGGUUCACAAGUGUCUGUUUUCCAUUAAGUGCUCUACUUUUCAUGUAAAAUCAAAGUCAUCUUUUGGUGGUAAGCUGUCUAAACAUCUUUUUGUAGAUCGACAAUCCAGUGGAUGGAGCUUAUGGUUAGGCUCUACAGAAUCUCAAUGAGAGGAUCGGUUACCUGAGAUUGUGGGGUUUAACUACCUACCAUUGUUUCCCUUAUGCAAUAUUGUGAGCGAGCGAGAUUAUGCAUGGAUUUUGUUCAAGAAAGUUUAUUUAACUGCAUUAGUUUUGUCUAAGCUGUAGCGUUUGUUUAUUCUUUCUGGUGUCUUAUCACACGUUUCCUCUCUCUAUGUCUCUGUGCUUAUAAUGUGGUUAAUGUUAACUUCUAAAAUAAACUAAUUUACUUAUUUGAUCUUUGUGUCUGUUAUUCUUACAUUUGCUGAUAAAAUGUUUUUGGGCAAGCUCCUCUAAGGCCAUGGUCAAAUCUUGUUUUACAUGGACAACAGGAGCAACUUGUUCUCUUCAUUCCAUAUCUAUGAAAGGGAUGAACUGUUGAAUAAGCACAUUGGAACUUCUGAGCAACUUAUAAGAGGCUUCUUUUUAACUACACUGAUGUUGAUUGAAUUCCAUUGUGUAAUCUUACAUUAAACUUUGUUAAAUCCAGACAUUUCACAAAUUUGUGCUUUUUUUCUGUUGCUUUUGCAUGCAUUUAAUGGAGGUACCUUUUUCAACCAAAAAAAUAAAAGAAAAAUAGAGGUCCCUUCAUCUAUACUGGCAGUUAAAAUAGUUAACUAGCAACAUCAACUAGGAUCAUCCCACUGCGGCCAAGGUGUUCUUAUUAUAUCAUUUUUAACAAUAGCUACGAUGAUCCUGCCAUAACUACUGAAGUGACCAAGACAAAAAGAUCGAUGAGGGGGGCGUGCAUGUGAAUGAGAGGAUCUUCUAUGACCAUUUGAUUAAGAGAAAGAUUUCUCUUCUAGAAAUUUGAAAUUAGUGAACAAAUGUCGACUGCAUUUUCUAUUCUGCACAUUGAUGGGGUUGAUUUUGUCAGCAAACUGGAGAAAUUUAAAUAUUUGAGAGUAACGGCAACUAGAAAAUUACAAGUUCUGGAUAUCCUCGAAGGCAGCAGCUACAUCACUUGGUAAAUCUAAGUCCGUUUUGUUCUUUUUUCCACUAUAACCCUUAGUGAGGUUCGUUGUUUAGACAUAGUCGCUACCUAGCAGGCCAAGAAGGGUUUUGGUGAGGUUCAUUAUGUCACGCAACUCUUACUUCUGACUGUGUAAACUAGAUUAUGGGGGAAUCUCCUUUUCUUUUCCCAAGUUGAUGGGAAAGUGGUGGUUAUUUGCUUUUCAUAUGACAAGCUGCCCUUUCUAUGGACUCCAAUAAUAUGGUUGGGGGUACCUUGAUGGACAACCUUGUGCUGAAAGUGCGAGGUUCUUGAGAAAGUGUUGGUGCACGUCACUAAAUAGUAAGCCUUGUUUAUGCUCCCCAUGUCAGGAAAUGUUCUCAUUUAAUGGCAUGAGGAACAUGUUGAUUAGGUGUUGCAUCUUGCACGGUAUACCUUAUUCAUCGGUUUUGUCAUGGAAAAACGUUGAUAUUACCUUCCAUGUUUGGCGGUCAUGCAUUAGAUGCUUUCAAUUGGUUAUCUUAAAAUGGUUAGGACUUUUCUGCAUUUAGGCUCUAUUUAAAAAUUAAUCACUGCUGUGGAUCUUUCUCUUGUCCUUUGAGAAAAUGCAAGAGUAUAGGACGAGGUAUUGUUUUGCUUGUUAUUCUAUUUCGGAGCCUGGCUAAUAGUAUUGCAAGAAAGUAAUAAAAGAAAGGUGGAGAUGUAUCUAAUCCAGGAUUUUUUUUUUUGUGUAUUUUAAAACUGUUUCAAAAAAGUGACAAAAGAAAGGUGGAGAUGAAUCUAAUUCAGGAGUUCUUUUGUUGUCUCUUUUUUAAGAUAGUUUCAAAAAAGUGACAAAAGAAAGGUGGAGAUGUAUCUAAUUCAGGAGUUCUUUUGCUUUCUCUUUCUUAAAACUGUUUCAUAGUUGGUUGUUUUCAAUUUUUCACUGAAUACUUAAGGGAGCUCAGAGGUGCUAGUACUAUCUUUCAUGUGUCCCUUCAUUCAGAUAGGACAAUGCUUCCGUGCUGUUGUAAUAUUCUUCAGAAAGCAAUAGUUUACUUGCUAACACACCAAGUGGGAGCAAACCUUUUAAUAGAGUUAUAUAAACCAGAGUGAAUCUGACAAAGUUGAGGUAAGAAAUUAAUUGUACAAAGAGUAAACCAUAACGUCGAGAUUUGGAUUGGAUAUGACUCAAUUCCAUGGUCAACAUCUUAUCUUCAGCUCUUUGAUAGAUCCAUGUCCUGAGGAGAUUCCGUCCAACGGCAACAUAAUAGAUGGGUGACCUGAGGAUUCUCAUAGACUUUACUAUAGCUAGUAUCGAUUUGUAUGCAUCCUUCUUUUUUUCUUACUGUAUAUCGGCUACUUUUAAACACUCCCAGGGCAAUGACUUAUGUGGAAAACCUGUGGUGCCAAAUAACCAUUCGAAUAAAGUCAAUGUGGUUUUCAUCAGCCCUUGCCUUCUUUGAAUAAAGUCCUUCCCCGUCUCUUUCACUCCAGCUAACUUUUGUGCGAGAACCAAAGUUUGACAAUCUUGUUCUCGUUUGGUCACCAUUCUCUUCGCAAGUGGUAAAUUGUACAUUCCGGUACUUUUUGCCGUCAACGAAGUUUCCUGCUCACGUGCUAUUUUGUUGCAUAUCUCUGUAGUGCACAAGAAUCUGCUAGAUUUGUUCUGCACAAUUAGUCCUUAAAACACAGACAGAGCACACAAGUUGUACUAUGCCCUGCCUCCAUCUGUCUCUGCACUAAGGUUUUCUUCCUCAAAUAGGCUACAACCUUUAACUCUCUGAUAUUAUAUAAAUAAGGUGCGCUAUCUUUCUCAAUACGAAAAUCCAGGAUUUAAAUUGAUCAAUCAUUUCAAAUUGGGCCACCUUGAUGCAACCAUUACUUCACCUCACCACUCCAUUUGGCCACAAAGAUAUCCUCUUGUUUAGGGUCUAGUUUAUUUAACACUCAACUAGGAACCUGCAUACCGACUGAAGCAAACUGGCCAAUUGGAAAGAGCGCCUUAUACCAAAGUGACUCUCCCAUUUUUCGACAUUAACUUUUCCAACCUGCAAGUCUGUACUUAGAUAGCUCACUGGUUGGAUCCCAAAUUUUCUUUAAGCCCUAGAGGAAUGGUUAGAUGUGUUAUAGCAAAGUGACUUGUGAUCGAGCAUGCAUGCCAUUGUGUGUGUGCAACGGGCAUAUGUCUAUACUACUGAAAUAUUGAACCAUAGCCUCAGAUCUGGACUUUAAGAUUGAAAUUCAAGCUGAAUGCUUCUUAGUGCAUGUAUUUUAACUAAGUAUUCUUCCAAUGCAGAGUUUUUUCUCAUUUUAUCCCCUGAAGUUCUUUGUACUGUCAUUGAAACACCAAUUUUUUAGCUCACAGUUCCUCUUUUUCAUCUGGAAUGCUUGACAGUCUAUCAGUCAUCUUUCAUGUGUGAUGUGAACUAAAAUUUUUGCAUAAUCUUAUCAUGCUAGAAAUUUGCGUGUUAAAAUAUCUUCUUGCUCCUCGAUGUUCUCUUAGCUGAUCAUAUUGGUCCAUUUUUUAUCUUAACAAAGCAGGUAGAGGAUAUGGUGGUCUUAUUCUUGCCAUACUAGGAACUACUUUUGGUGCACUUGACUAAAUAUGGAAUAUUCAAUUGUCUUUUUUCCUUCGCAAAUGCACUUCCAGAAGCAAUGUUCCUAAGAAUCUAGCUAGUGCUUUAAAGAACCCAUGUUAAUCUCGAUAAUUGUGCGGUGGUUUUAGAUUUGGACACCUAAAUAUCGCCAAUAAUGUUAUGCUUUGAUGUCUGAAGGUCUAUUAGAAAGCAAUAUGGGGUGGGAUUACUGUAUUGGGCUUUAAAACCUAGGACCAUCAAAACUUCUAAGACGCAAAAGAUAAUAAUAGGUGCCAAACUGACCGGCUUUAUGGCUCUUUAUUGUGGAUGCAGGCAUUUGCUGAUUUUGAAGUCUCUGAAGGCAUUUAUUCAUGAGCUCGCAUCUAAAAUACUGAUUCGGUAUGUUUUUGGCUAAGAGCAAAUGUUAUGUUGGAGUAUUCAUGCGAAGAGGUACUUGAGUUGAAGCAAUGUCCCUUUAUCUCCAAUAAUGAUGUCAAGUAUCUUAUUUAUUGCAUUAAUUCAUGUUGCAGGCAACAACUCUUCUACAAAAGAACCUAGAAAUUGCUAAAGCAAGUUUAGAAGUUCUUGUUGCUGAUCUACAAUUCUUAAGGGACCAAGUAAUGUUUCUGACUUGCUCCUACGGAACCAAGGUCGAAAAGAUUGCAAAAAAAAAAAAAAAACAGUCAUUCACAACCACUGAUGAAGGAUUCCUCGAAAGUUAAGGAUUAGUAAUCCUUUUUAGAAAUCGAAUGGAUUCGGUCUUAUACAUACGCAAGGAAGGUAAUCAAAAAAGAAAUGAUCACACAGGUAAGUCGGAAUUUUUUGGGAACUUGAAGGUUCCUGUUUGUUUCAAGCUGUUUACUAUGUACGUUUGGGGGUAGGUCUAUUGUUGUUGAACUGCUGUUGCUGUGAUUUUUUUAACUGGUGUGAGGCUAUAUAUUGGGAAGACAUGUUAAUUUGUGACAACCAAGAGUGGAGUAAUGUCGCACUUACUUGAACUUGAAAAAUUCAAAAGUUGUUGUAGGACCGUAUUCUUUAGUUUUGCAACUCAAAUCAUGGUAGCACAAUGUGUACUUCGAGAGACUUUGUUCUCCCCAUUUUGACAAGUGAUUUUGGUUAGGUUUCGUGAGAUUUACUGCAUUAUAGCAAGCUUGCCAUGUAAAAUGAUUUUGAUUGAGAACCUCUUGGGCUUGACUUUUCACUUUUUAUGUUGUACACUAGUUUUGAGUUGAUAUAUGGUCCAUCUGUUUUGUCUCAUUUCACCUUGGUCAUGCAUGUUAGAAAGGACCAAUCUAAAUUUGAAUUUGGGGAAAAACAUGGAGAGAUGUAUUUUUUGCCCGAUAAGGCAUUUACAUUCUUGAAUUCUUAUUUGUUGUGCAGAUGAUAUGUAUUUUUCUUUUUCCUUUGCUGUUUUUAGCUGGGUCUGGGAGUUUGAUGACUGUGAUUCAUAGAUGAAUUCAAUUAGGCAAAUGCAACAACCUGGGUUGCUCCCUUUUGUAUAAUCUUUGUUUCCUGUGGUUCCAGAGAUUGAACUAGGAUUAUCUGAUGCUGCACAACCAAAGGUCACCAUAAACUAGGAUUAUGAACUAGGGAUACACAAUAUUGGAUAGACUACAUAUGUAUCAAAAAGAAGGUGACAAAAGAUGGGAUUGCAUGAAUUACUUUUUAGUUGCUGAAGUAGCUUAAAAGAAGUGUAUCAUGCUGGUAUUGAGCCUCCACAACGGCAUCAACUGAUGUUGAUCAUUUGAGUCUAGUGACAUCGAGCAUAUGCAAUUCCUUAGUCAUCAUGACAUCUUUGCUGCGUGAGGUGCUCUUUUGGUCAGUUCCCUGUCAAAGAUGAAAUGCUUUUUCUUUAUUUAAUAAUUGUCCGGUUAUGGGCUUUUAGUGCUAACUGAGUUGCAUUUGAUGUGAAGCUGUAGAACGCACUCACUUGAUGCUGCACUCCUGAGUCCUGGCUGGCUCAACAUAAAUUCUGUGAUUUUCCUUCUAUACAGGAGAGGCCAGAUAUUGUUAACAUUUAUCCAGGAAGGUAGAAACUUAGCUUACAUCCUUCUACCAAUGCCUUUUCUUUUAGCAUUUCAUCUUUGACAGGGAACUGACCAAAAAAAAAAAAAAAAUCUUUGACAGGGACUGAAACGGGUUCUAUUUGUUAAAGAACUUUAUAACUGCAAUCCUACUUUUUCAAGAAAAAUCAUCGGAAAGACUACAUAUGAAUAGAAAAAUGCUUAAAAACUAACAAAAAGAGUUAGAAACAGAGUCAAUUGAGCGGCUAAAGAUCCUGUUUAGAACUUAUGGCAUCUGAUAGAGUACAUUUGGUGAAACAUGUUAAGUUAAAAUUUAAAACCCCUUCUUCCAUGGAGUUCUCCAAAAGUCCUUCUGCUCCAAAUCAUCCUAAACAUUGUGAAGUACAAGAGAAGAUUGUAAAAGGCAUUCGUGGGUUGGAUCUGCAACCUGCUAAGGUGGGGCUCAGGCAAGUCUAAAUGUCCAAUAGUAAAUCACUUUCAACCUCGGACCUUGAGACUAGUAGAUUUAACAUAUACUGAUGUUGCUCAGAAAAGAAAAAUGAGAAAGGCCUUGACAGCUGACUCCAUGAGAUGGGACCAAGACUUUACCUUUGGUAGAUUUAAUUAUAUUAAUCCGAUUCUGUCAGAUCAGUCAGUAAAAUUGGCAACCACUGGGCAAUGCUGAAGUUUUGCUGUGUGUAUGCUCUAAUGCCCCUGUGCGGUUCCUUUGGCCAGUGAUGUGGACUUGGAUGCUAUAGCUCAUAUGACAGAAGGAUUCAGCGGAGCGGAUCUUGAAGCUUUGCUUUCGGAUGCACAGCUUCAAGCUGUUCGUGAUCUUCUCGGCAGGGGCGAGAACAAUCAGCAUGGGAAAAAGCCAAUUAUAACCGACUCUUUUGAAGUCUGUUGCUUCAAAGGCAAGGCCGUCAGUCUCAGAUGCUGAAAAGAGAGAGGCUCCGUACAAAUUCUUUUCGUUCACCAAAUUCUAUCUUCUCUCCCCAAAACUAGAACUGUGCAUCCCCUAUCAGAAUUUCAACUGUGGAUUUUGAUAGUGGCUUGUUAUGCAUCUGUUGUAGUUAAUCCUUGCAACAAUCUCAUUCUCGUAUGGGGGCGUGGCAUUUAUAGAAAAAUUCAUCAGGUGCGUUUGCAAUUUCCAGUCACAAAUUUGGAGCAGUCACGACAUUUUAGCAGCUGCCGCUAUUUCCACAGUUUCUUUGGCUUAGAGCACCGCAUUCUGAGUGAGGAGACAAAUCGUGGGCUCAAGAUUCUAUUCUGUUCACGUUAUUUGUUGUCAUUGUUUAAAAGGGUUCGAUGACCUGUGCUAUGAUAUUUCAUGGCACAAUUCAUCAGUAUAGUCAUAGCGACUUUUUUGGUGAAUAUGCUUUUUCCUUUUGCUCUUGGUUUGAAAGAAUCUCUUUGGAACUGUUGUCUAAUUGGUGUAAUUCAAAUAAAUCAUGAAUAUAUCAAGGCAGAAGAUCAUGGGUGAUCGACUAAAAAAUGAGGAAAUGUGGCAUAGAGAGACCACUCGCGAGCUCCCUUAUCGCAAAUGAAUCUUUUUACCUCAAAGAAAUGACAUUUACCAUAUAGAAGAUAUUUAUUCCAAGGAUAAGAUAUUUUUACUACAAGAAUGAGUAACCUAUAUAUCAAGUGAAAAAGUUAGACGGUUGGGAUUACAUUUCUACGUUUCUUUAUGAAUGAUGGUGAGAGAUCUAAUCUCAUGAUAAUGUGACUUCACUAGAAAAAAAACUAUCUCAAAUAUGUCAUGUGAUGUUUCGAUUGCGGGAUAUAAUAAGAUAGGAAUGGAAAAGUUAUUCCAUAAAAUUGGAAGAGAGUAGGACUAGGAAUGGAAUAGCUGAUUUGUAGUUUGGUUUGUAUAAUGGAUUCAAAAAUUCUCUGGUUUGUUUUGCCACGGUAGCAGAAAGACUAUGUUUGGAAUAGUGUACAAUACCCAAAAUACCCUUUGAUGAUAUAUAUCAAACUCUAAUUUCUUUUAUUAUCAUAUUUUCAUAGGACAUAAAUGAAAGCCUACUAUAAUUUCUAAAUAAUUGCAAUAUUUGAAUUUCUAAUGUAAGUAACCAUUAUUUUAUUAAUUGAUAUAAUUAAACCAUAAUAUUGUCACGCCCCGAUCCUCGGGCACGCACACAUCCUUCUACCUUGGUCGAUUUUAUAAUGCGAUAUCCCAGGACAAUGUAUCGCCGACCCUUUCUUUUAUUAAGUACAUGCGGAAGCAGUUAAAAUCCCCAGACAAUAAAACGAUGGGAUAGAAAAGCAAGGCCAUAUUUUUCAUAUUGAAAUUUAUAACCCAACUUUUAUACAAAACACAAACCAUAACACUUCACAACUUUUUAUUCUAAACUCUAUUCACAUCAAAAUGGAGAUAUCAAAGAAGAUAACAUCUCAGUCCACCUGGGCCGUCCUCAAGGCCCUUCUCAGGAUUAUCUUCUUCUUCCAAAAAUCCUUUUCUUCAGAUCUCACCUCCGAGUUCUCCUUCUCGGAUUCCUCCUCCUCAGCUCUUCAGCGGGGUCCUGAAAUGGUUUCCCCAAACUGGGAUGAGACUACGUCUCAGCGAGUUCUACCCCACUAAGCCCGAUUAGAAAACUAUUAUACUAAACGCUGCCUAAACACGCAUAGGGCAGAUGACUUACCUUGGCCUCUGAUCCUACCUGCAAGUCAGUACAAUUCACAAUAAACAGUCAUUUGCUUCCAACAAAUUGAACUAGUCGAUUACAUGUCAUACAAUUCAAUAUCCCCACUGUGGGAUAUUUAAAAGCUAGGCCACGUGUAUUCUCCAGGACGACCUUCCAAGUCUCCGAGUUCACGUGCCUCGAACCUUGGGCCCACGUGCAUUCUCUCAGGCGACCUUUUCGCCAAAGUGAUGCAUCAAGUCACCGAGACCACGUGCCCUUUUAGAUGCCUGUACUUAGUCACAGAGCUCCAUCAAUGCUCUCGGGCGACGAUUCGCCAAGGUGACGUACAGUGAACACUUUACUAUGCUCUCGGGCGUCUUUUUCGCCAUGGUGAUACACUGAUCACAGAGCCAACAUAAACAAUUCAAUAUGCUCUCGGGCGUCUUUUUCGCCGUGGUGAUACACUGAUCACAGAGCCAACAUAAACAAUUCAAUAUGCUCUCAGGCGAGCCAACAUACACAAUUCAAUAUGCUCUCGGGCGUCUUUUUCGCCGUGGUGAUACACUGAUCACAGAGCCAACAUACACAAUUCAAUAUGCUCUCGGGCGUCUUUUUCGCCGUGGUGAUACACUGAUCACAGAGCCAACAUAAACAAUUCAAUAUAAUCAACCACUAAACUCACGUGCAUUUUCCAGGUGAUAUUCCAAUACCCAACGAUUUCUCAAUCAAUUAAUUAAAUCAACUCAACAUAGCAUUAUCAAUGCUAGAUAACAUACUUGGCCAAUUCAAUCUCAAUCAAUUCCAAUCAAAUUAGGGUAAACCCUAAAAUAUCUCAAUUUAUUCAAUUCCAUACAACGUGGAGCUCAAAUAAAUAAACGGGCUACGCCACGACGAUCAGCAUGAGAGUUCGGUUGUCGGCCAUCAAAAUCUUAAUUUCCGAAAAAUAAAUAAUUAAUUAUUAAUUUCGAAAAUUAAUUAAUUACUAUUAAAAAUUCAAUUUAGCUCAAAAUAAAGCCCGAUUAAAUAAACGGACUUCACCACGCUCAUCAGCAUAAUUUUCCGGUUCCAUAUCAUCUCAGUUGAAUUUUCGAAAAAUAAUUAAUUAAUUAAUUAAUUUCGAAUAUUAAAUAAUUAAUAUUAAAAAUCCCAUUUAGCUCAAAUUAAAGCCCGAUUAAAUAAACGAACUUCACCACAUUCAUCAGCACAAUACUCCGGUUCCGAACCAUCUCCCUUGAAUUUUCGGAAAAUAAAUAAUUAUUAAAUUUAAUUUCGAAAAUUAAUAUUUAAAUACUAAAAAUAUCCACUUAGGCCCGAAAAGCCUAAUUGGAGCCCACUAAGGGUCGGGAAAAUUCCCGAAGCACUUCCAAUAAUUAGUAGACCACGUCUACUUGCUAAUUACACAAUCAAUUUAUCUAAAUCACAUCACAAUUGACUAAUAAUUGCUAAUUUAUUCUAAUCUAACAACCUAAACAUAAUUAAUUAAAUCUAAACCAGCUUAAAGCAUAAUUAACCACUAAUCCUGGAUUAGUGAGAUUACUCACCAAAUCGCGCGCAAAUCGGAUCAAUCCGACGGCGGCGACGCGAGGAACGAUUGUUCCCAAAGCACGGCUCGGGUUCGGAGCCGGGAAACGGUCCAAAAGCGGGCCCGAAGGUGCUGAAACCCACUCCGUGGGUCUUGCUGGUCGCGGCUGAACGGAGCAGCUCCGGCGGCUAGGGCGGCGGGGGAAGGCCGGCGGAGGGCGAGGGGGUCACCGGGGGUGGUCCGGCGGGGUUGGCGGUGGCCGGAGGUGGCCGGAGAUGGGCUGGUCGGUGCAGAACAGUAGCUGGGUCAGCUGGAUCGCGCGGAGGGAGGAGCGGCAGCGAGCGACGGACGGCGGGACGGCGACGGGCGCGCGGGCGCGGCGCGGCGGUGCGGCGGUGCGGUGGUGCGGCGAGCGGGAUGAGCGGCGAGCUGCUGUCCUUCCUCCGUUUCUGGUUUCCGCGAAGAAGAAGAAGGAAGAAAAGAGGGGUUCGGUCGCGUGGGGAAGAAAGAAGAAAGAGGAGAGAGGAGAGAGGAGAGAGAGAAGAGAGGGAUAAGGGUUGACCGGUCAAGAGAAAAAGAAAGAGAGAGAGAGUAGGCGGUGGGGGAUCGCACGAGGGGGAGGGAAGAGGAGAGAGGAGAGAGAAAGAAAAGAGAGAAAAAGAAAGAAAAGAAAGAAAAGAAAAGGGAGGGAGAGAGAGGAAAAAGAAAAGGAAAUGCAUAAUUCCUUAUUUCAAUUUUCCUUUUCUCUUUUCCUUUUCCUUCCUCUAUUCUUUUGGGCUUCAAUUUUUCUUCCGAUAAUUUCUUUAUUGAAAUUUCGGACUCGUCAAUAAAUUGACGAGCGAUGAGACAGGAUCCUAAAAAUAAGAAUUAUGACGCGCUUAAAAUUCGAUUCCCGAAAUCGAGUUCAAUUUUGUGGUUAAAAAUCGAUCAGACGUGAUUUUAGCUCAAUCCAACCAAUUAUGUAGCUUUUAGGGAUUUUACAGCUGAUACAUCCCUUAACGGCUUUACCCAAUAGGUUAGUUAACUCGUGAGUGAUCAGCUCAGAGAAAAAGGCUAUAGGCACGCCGACGAAAUGCCCAUUUCACUUUAUCGAAACGGGGUCGAAUUUCAGGACGUCACAAAUAUAAUUACUAAAAAAAUAAAUGAACUAAUUAUUAAACAAUAGUAUAAUUACUAUAUAGAUAACUAUUAUUUUUAUAUAAUAACUACCAUUCGAGUCAAGCCAAUACAAUAAGGCCAAGCUCAAGCUCAACUCAUAUUAGAUAUUUGAUGCUCGGAGUUCCACUCUAGCUAUGCAACUCAAAUUUUUAAUGAAAAAAAAAAUACAAGAAUAUUAUUAAUAAUAAACAAAGUAAUUGCAGAAAAAUAAUAAAAACACGGAUCGACUGUCCAAUGACUAUAUUUCUGAAGCACCAAAAGUCCUCAAGGCUGGGGCCAACCAGUCCAUCAAAUGUUUGUCAGGCCACAGUCAGCCAAUUAGGGCCCAUGGGCUUGAUUUGACCUACGCUCACAAUGGGGUUGGGCAACACGGCCAACAAGGCCCUAAAGUAACUAUAACUUUAGUGUUUAAUCUAGUGAUGAUCGACAUAAAAUGCUACAAUGUACAUUUUCUCCAUCAUAAAAUAAAAUAGCAUUAAAAAAAGCUCGAUGGCGCCAGUCAGCUGCCACAUUAACGCCGGCUGGCCAAUUUUGGCCAAAUGGAUUGAUCGGGAAUAAUUGUAAAAGGUUUAGGACUCAAUCAAUCAAAAAAUAAGUUUAGGACUGAAUUGGCACAAUUACAAUAGGUUUAUGACUUUUUUGGUAAUUUUUUCCUGUUAAAUGGGUUGAUGUUAGAAGGAACGACUUCACCUAGUUGAUUCAGCUGAAGAUCAUUUCCUUGAAUAAUGAAAAGAUGUCGAUGGGGUUAUCCUUACUUAUUGAAAAUUCCCUACUAUGCUUAUCCAUAAUUACUGAAUAUAUAUAUAAAUAAAAAAUAAACUUCAAAUUUUGGUUUCCACCUCAAAUUUACUUCUAUACCUUCACAUAUAUGUUUUAACAUCUUGCAUUUACACUUACAAUCGAAAGAUCUGCACCAUACUAUGCCAAGGAUGAGAGAAAAUAGGAAAUGGGGGGAAGAUGGAAUAAUUUUGUUGAGAGCAAAUAGGAGAAAUUUAUGUUUUUAUCAGCUUUAAAUUAUUAACUAACUUAUUAAGUGUUCUCUCUUCGUCAAAGAAUAAAAAAGGAAGAAGAAAACUAACCAGUCUGGCAUUGUGUAACCACCUAGUUCAUUCAUUUUAUUUGGCUGAAGUUGUAUGUAUAAUCGAACAACCUUUUGGAGGCACUUUUAUGACAUCUACUGAUGCGUUAAAGUGUCACCUUAUGUUCAUCGUCGUUUUUACAAAUGCUACAAACUGUGAUGCUUAAUGCACAAAAUAGCAAUAUUUUGCAAAGUGACUCUAAAAGUGCACCAUAAUCAAGGGUUAAGAUGAGGAAAAUUAUUCAAAAAAAUAUACAUUAUUGUAUAGCAGCAAAUUUGAAGAGUUUGAGCAAUUUAGACGAUUUUCCAAUAGAGUCCAUCCAAUCAAUUUUGAUUGAAAAUCACUAAUGUGAUAGUUCAAUGAGCACUAGCCAUCCUCCUUGACUCAGUUGAUACCAAUAUGGAGAAUAUUUACAAUUUCUUAAAAUUUUCUUUCUUUUUUCUAUGUCCCUUUCCUUUACUUUUUUUUUUCCUUUUUCCCUUCACCGGUUGUCAAUAUGCUUGUCGUUGCCAAAGGCCAUGACUCCCUAUCCUCUUCCUAAUUGAUGCCCCUGCUAGAUUUGGACUGAUGACCUCUACUGGCUAUCACUAACGCUCCGCCCUAAGAAAUAGGAAAAAAAUUAAAAAAAGGAAAAAGAAAAAGGAAAAAAAGAAAAGAUUUAUAAGUGUAAAAGAAUUAUACAAAUCAUUAUGUUAGUGUUAAUCAUACUANNNNNNNNNNNNNNNNNNNNNNNNNNNNNNNNNNNNNNNNNNNNNNNNNNNNNNNNNNNNNNNNNNNNNNNNNNNNNNNNNNNNNNNNNNNNNNNNNNNNGGAUAUUAUCCGUAUUGCCGUGGUACUCUAACAAGUGUUCUCCUUACUUGUGGUGGCACUUCGCACCAUUUAAAGGCGCUUUUCAAAGUACGUCCACUGCUCUGUUUUGUCUAGGGGAAGAAAAGGUCAUUAAAGGACCGUUUAGUUUUUUUUUUUUUUUCCAUAAAAAGUGAAAAUAUGAGGGGGACAACAGUUAAUUUUGUGAUGAAUACCAGCGCCUAAAUAACGGUACUCAUCUGCAAUGUAGGUGAAGAAACAGCAGAGAGGUUGAAUAUUCGUCAGUUGCACAAAAAAGGUAAAAUUGAGAGAGUUUUCAGUGGGGUUGGGCAUUGAACCGGACCAUCCCUAACGGGCUUGAGGCGAGCCCAACCCGGUUUCUUUUUCGAAUGUCUCCUGGGGGGGAUUGAAAAUUUUCAUUUAAAAAAAAAAAAAAAUGGAAGAAGAGUUUUUUCGAGAGGGGGGGAGGGGGGGGGGGGUGAGAGCAGGGAAUUUAAGCAAGUGCCCUUUGAUUUUGUUUUUCAUACUCCCAUUCUUAUUUUCUAAUCCCUUAUAAUGAAUUCUUGAAAAAAUUGAAUCGAUAGUUCUAAACAUGUAUCUCAAUCUAUGUCAAAUUUUAGAAGUUAAAAAAAAUAGAAUCUAACUUUAAAUGUUUUAAAAUUGUUACAAUUAAGUCCUUUAGAUGACACCUCAGUCAUUUUGGCUUAUGUGGCCAUUGGGAAUUUGGUGUGGCUUUUUUUAGCAUAUGGGGCACAGAUGUGGUGCUAAUGUAUUUUCCACAUCAAUAAAACUCAAAUUUCUAAAUACAACAAAAAGAAAUAAAGAAAACCCGUAAACCCAAAAUAAUUAUAUAAUCUGAAAAUAGAAGGCCGUAAAUUAAAAAAAUAAAAGUAAAAAAAUAAAUUAAGAGAGAGAAAGAGAUGAUGUUGGGUUAAGCAAUCCUUGCCGGCUAAAGGCAAGGGCUUGCAACUCCACCUCUAGCCACCACCGCUGGAGGAUUGCUCGACCCUGGGAGUCCUACGUGGGGGUGAGGGCUUCGCUCUCCGGCAACGUCAGCCGAUGGUAUUAAUCCCAAUCGACAGUGGAUCCCCAUCCACGCCAAACCCCUCCCUCCCUGUUCAGUUGAUUUUUUUUCUCUAGAUUUUGGCUUUUUUUUUUUGUUAUUUUUGUUACUUUUUUUUUUGUAUAGUUGACUUUUUGAAUGCGGUGCCAAUGUUAGUGCCACAUUUGCUCAAUAGUGUUACAACACGUUGAAUUCACACAUGCUGCAUUAACAAUUCUAGCUAAUUAGUCAUUGACAGGACUUGAUUGUACCAUGUCUUUAAUUUAGUCUUCAUUUCUUUUAUUAUCACUUAUAAUUUAAUUUCAUUUUCAAAAUCUUACCGAUUUUUUUUUUUUUUUUUAUGUUUUUGCAUCGUAUAUAAAAGUAAAACAAAAAGUCAAUGUGGUAUUAAUACUUAUUGCCUCAGUAAGCUGAACAAGAUUAUCUCAAUUAUGUCAAGCUUAUGUAAAUAAAAUAAAAAACUUCACCACAUACAUGACCGAUUUGAAAAUUAACAUACUAACCCCAUUGACGUGAUAUCCAUUAUCUUACCUAGCGGAGCCAAUUCCUUGGAGUUCACAACAAAAGAGAUAAUAGAUCAUUUGACCACCCAAGCCGACAUAAACAAGGAUGCCCUUGCCAUGUUUGUAGCCCCUUGUUGGAAAGAACCGUUAUCGUGUAGAGUUACGGAAGAAUGACUACAAUAAACACUUAGUAUUACAAGGACAUAUAGUCGACGCCACAUUCUUUUAUUGUUACAAGAACAAACGCUUAACACUUCUCACAGCCUCACACUUCUUUCUAAUGGUGACCUGCAAUGCGCACGCAUAUUUUCCUCUCUCCCCUCUAUUCCGCACGUCACACACGCACACCCUCCAAACCUCACUUUCUCUCUGGUGGAGCCUCCCGAUCCACGCCCAAAAAUGGAGCACUUCGGCUAAAGUUGGUGGAGGAAGCCCCCUCAUUUAUUAUGCGCCAAACUUGCCUCCUGCCAGCUUUCUAACUUGUUGGCUGCCAAGUUUGAAUAUUCUUCAUGUAGAGGGGAGAUAUCUCGAGAGAGCGGGAGAGAGAGAGAGCCGUGGUGUCUCUCCAACAUAUCGUUCCAUGAAUUGCACCAAACAAUCCAACCCAAAAAAUUUAUUUCAUUUUUAGGAAUAGCUAAGAAGAUUAUACUAGUUAUAACGUGAGCCCCAUAAUGGAAUUGAUCCAUUGUUAGGAAUAGCUACCCUCAUACCUUCAUCAUUUCAGAGAAGAUUAUGCUUGUUAUAAUGUGAGCCCCAUCCAUUUUUAGGAAUAGCUACCUCAUAAUUGAUACUAGACAUUGUAAAAAUAGGACCCAUGUGCUUUGGCAUGAUUAUAUGGACUCAUUUUAUUGCUUAUGAAAUGGAUGAACCUCAUCGCAAAAUUAAGAUGAGAAAUACGGAUUUUUGUAGCGUGAGCAUCUUCAAGGAGUACAAAUAGGCCAAGUAAUUAAAAAGUUUGUCCCAUGUAUGCAUUCUUACUGUAAAAGCCUACAUUUAUUUCCACGAAGGGUGGGAAACCCAAUUGAAAUCGAGUCCGCUUGGGCUUUUACUAUAUAAUUUCAUACUUCUAACUCGAAAGUCCCUAGAAAAAGCAUCUCAAUUGGGAUCCCGGAAUUCACCCAAUGAUUGUUUUCAUACUUUGGAUUAAACGCAACUCUCUUGUCAAAAGAGUUAAAAUACAUAUAUUGUCUGAUUUAUACAUAUACAAACCCAUAAUGUUGGAAUUCAAACUUAGUGCCCACCUUGACGAAGGCAUGAUAACACUACAAUAUUUACGUUCAGGAUAUUAUAACGUCAUAAAUUUUGUGUGUGGGUGAUGGUAGACAUGUGUUGCCCAAUUUUUCUAGAAUAUCAAAGUUUAUUUUGAAAUGAACGUUGAGAGAACAAUAUCAAAAUCUUGAGUCUAUCUAGUAAGACAGUUUAUUAAAAAAAUUCAUAGAUUUUAAUAGAGCAUCUCAUUUGAAUAUAAUACUCUCUUGAAUAUAAUUCCACUUUUACCUUGUGAUGUGGUUUGGAGUCAAAAUCAUGACUCGUUAUCAAAUAAGGCCGCAACUAAAAUUACUUGCCGAAGGAGUAGAAAUGAAAUGGAACAACAAUCGCUCUAUCAUUCCGUGGUUUUCUCAGGUAUACCUAAAAAUGAAUACCAUUCAAAGUUAGGAAUAAAAUAAAAAAAUUCGUGAUACUGGUUUUUAUAGGGUAUACCUAAUAUCGCGGGCCAUUUGAAAAAAGAUUAUGUCAAAUCUUAACAAAACGCCAGAAGACCCCAAGUAAAAAAGAGGAAAUUAUACUUCUAGACAUCCGCUGAUUACAGAGCAAACCCAGUCACAAAAACUGGAGAGAAAAAGUUGCAUCAUGGGAUUUCAACUUGAGUCAAUAAGGUCACGAACCUGAGGAGGGUGGAUGAUAGGAGUAUUCAAAACGCUCCCGUUGACACCAUCGUAAGACAUCGUAAAAGUACCUCCUGCCAUUUCAUCAAUUGAGAUGGAACCAUCAUUCAUUUGCUUUCUUUACAAGACUAUUGAUUUCUUUUUUGAUAUCAGCAAAAUUCAUCUUAUCAGCAUUUUGAAUUACGGAAACAACUAGACCUCGCGUGAAGAAAAAACGAAUUAACUUAAACAACAAUUUCUCAUUAGAGUCUAUAUGUACUAGACGAUCAAAAGACAAAUCCCUAUACCUACGCCAAGCUUAGAGAGAAAUAUCAUGGAAAGGACUGGGAAUUUAUGUAGCUAAUCAGUCAUUUUCUGGAGACGAAGGGCUACAGGUAGUGUUUUUUUGGGGUGGGGGUAGAAGGGCUGCUGAUGAUGCUAGAAAAGCGUGACAUUAUCUCAUCACUUCUCAUGUUUACUAUCCUUGGAAUGAUGGAGGCAUCCAAAAUCAAAGAACGAGAAUAGUCGCUCUAAAUCCUUGGUCUCCAUCCUGGUGAUUUUCUACAGCUUAAGAACAACGCCAAUGGAAAUCAUAAUAUGCGUAAGACAGGUUUGAACCAGGAGCUUGUGCUCCAUAUAAGUCGGUGCGAAGCAAAUUAAAGAAACCUCUUUCGUCCGGGUGAGAGCAAAGGUGAAUCACUGCUUGUCAACGUAUGAAGAUCUACGUCCUUUGGCCCAUGUAGAGAAGGAAAAAUAAAUAAAUAAAAGGUAAAAAGUCCAAAAAAAAAGUCCCAAACUUUACAUGUAUGAUACAUUUACCACAAACUUUUUUUGCGACGUCAAAAAUCCCAAACUUAUAUCUAUGUGACAUUUUUACUACCAAAUUGUUUUCUGUAACAUCAAAAUCGAUGCCAAAUUUUUAAAGGUAAAUGUGUCGAAUACAAAUUUAGGAUUUUUUGUGUUAUAAAAAUAAGUUUUGGAUACUUAACAAAAAAAAAAAGGAUAAAUGUGUCUCACUAUACAAAUUUAAGGUAAAUGUGUUACAUAAAUACAAGUUUAUGAUUCUUAGUGUCACAAAAAAAGUUUAGAGUAAAUGUAUCACAGUAAAUAUAAUUUAGGAUUUUUGAUGAUUUUUACCCUUUCUUUUUUCCUUUUUACAAAACAAGCACUUGAUAGCAAGCAAUAGUUGUAAAGUGAUUGCAAGCAUGGGAUAAAGACCCAAUGCCAGAUGCUUUUUAGUCUUGACGAUCAACCCUCCAAAAUUGACUUAUUCUAAUGGGUUUUCCUUUCAAUCUUGGAUGUCACAUGGGAAAUUUUAUACAAGGAACAAGUUGAGAUGGUCUUGAGUUUUAACUCAACUAUUGAGGUAGAAUUAAAAUGUCCUUUGGAGAUAUGGUACUGAAUAUAAAAAAUCCACAUAUUCUAAAUUGAAAAUAGAAUCCAAUUGAUAUAGAAAGUAGCAAUAUUCAAUUUUUUAAAUUUUUUUAUUUUACCUUUAUGAAAAGUUAAAUUUGACUUAAAACUUUCAUGUGUAUUUUUCAUGUUUGAUUUGACAAAUGGUUUUACUUGGUAAUUUUUUAUGCCUAAUGGAUAACGAACAGAGUGUUAUACACAAUCCAAAAUUAUUGACAUUAAUAAAAAUAAAAAUGAAAAUAAACAUAUUUGAAGUACAUUUAUUAACAUAUGUUCGCGUACAGCUUGGGCAAAGUACCUAGUUUUAGUUUUAAUCCCUUCUUAUCGCGAAGCACUCCAAACACGCGACUCUGGUAAAUCUGUUCACCUGCCGCGUGUACAUGGUGCGGUUAUCCUCCUAAAUGACUCAACUGCCCUCACUUUUUUGACGAAUUUCCUUAAAAAAAAUAUUCGGACUCUGAAAAAUCCCCUACUCUUCCCUCAGUCUCUCCACUCCGCCAAUCGGUCACCGCAAGCCUCCGCCACCUCGCCGCUGCGUCGCCGUCGCCGUCGACGUCGUAUUUCCUUCCCGUGCCAUCACCCCUCGUCGUCGGCCAAGCCACCAUCUCUCUCUCUCUCUUUCCCCGUGUUUCCUCUUCGAAGCAAUUAUUUUGUCAAUCUGAACGGCUUUUUCACUUAUGAAGGAAGGCCGCGUGUAACUUCCAGGCAAACACAGCGAAAGUGAGAGAGAUCUCUCUCCGUUGCUUUAUCAAGUUGCUACAAAGAUCAUACUGGGACUUCCCAAGCCACCGGGCAGGCCCAAUUUAGAUGUUUGUGUAUAAUUUCUCAUCGACUGAUUCUUUUGUAUCGUUAUAUCUGCUAUUGAAUUCGCUGUUCAGUUACAUUUCGUUGUUCAUUUUCUUCAUGUGAUCACNNNNNNNNNNNNNNNNNNNNNNNNNNNNNNNNNNNNNNNNNNNNNNNNNNNNNNNNNNNNNNNNNNNNNNNNNNNNNNNNNNNNNNNNNNNNNNNNNNNNNNNNNNNNNNNUUUCAAUAUAGCGUAACCAACGCAGUGUUGAAAAUUUAAGCAAUGGUUAACAUGGAGGUGGGCGUACGUGCAUGUGUGGUUAGAACUUUUCUCAAGAACUUGAAGCAUCUGAGUGGGCACUUUUUUCUUGAUUCUUAAGAGGUAUAAAGACAUGAUCAGAGAUAUUGAUACCAAAGGCUCAAUCACGAUGAAUAUUUAGUUUCAGGAAAAAGAAAUGUACUGGUUGAGACAAACAAGUAACACAACAAGAAGCUUGUCGGCUCCGAGUUCUGCCUUUCAUAGUGCAUUGUUUAUUUAGUAUCUUACAUUUUUCAUUAAUGCAAUGGGCAUGUCCUCAAUUAUGAAGGUUGCUACUCUCUCUUGCAGUUUUCUUUCUCCUUAUUUCUCUUAUCUAGUUUCUGCUUUUCUAGUUCAACUUAAACCUCUUCUCAAAUUCGAGUGAGUUUUACUUUUUCCCUAAAAAAGGAUGAGAAAUUGGCUUACUGUUGCAAUUAUUGUGAUCUAAUCUAGAAUAAAAAGUUAAAACAAAUCCAGAGGGUCAGCACCUCUUUGACAUCUCACAGUGAAUUUCUCUUUACAUUGACCUGAUAGAUCUGAGUGCACGUGGUUCGUUGUUCCCACAGAACUUGAUGACUUUGUUAGUAUUUUAUUGUUACUCUGUCAGCAUGAUACUUGUUCAUUUGCUUUUUAUUGGGUUGUUAAUUAAAUGUCUAUAUUAAAUGCCAGGCAAAAAUUCCUGAUAUUGAGAAGUGUUUAGAGAUAGUCGCCACUCUACAGGCCAAGAAGAGUUCUGGUGAGGUUUGUUGUCUCACGCAACUCAUACUUCUGACUAUGUGAGCAAGAUUUUGGGUGAAUUUCCAUUUAUUUCCACAAGUUGAUAGGAAAGUGGUGGUUAUUUUCUUUUUAACAAGAAGCUGUGGAUUUCGGUAAUUUAGUUGAUCGGUGCCCAAUUGAUUGACGACCUUGUGUUGAAAUUGCAAGGCUUUGAAUCUUGAAAUGAUUGCAGUUACUUACCUCUGAGCAAAUUAGAUCGAGAUGUUCACAUGUAAUUAGAAUGAGAAAGAGACUCUCCUUCUAAAAUGCUUGCUUGGCCCAUUUAUGAAAAUGAAGAAUGUCGAUGCACAUCACUAAAUAGUAAGCCUUGUUUAUGCUCUCCACGUUAGGAAAUUUUCUCAUUUAAAGGUACUGGGAACGUGCUGAUUAGGUGUUGCAUCUCACAUGUUAUACAUUAUAAAUCUUCCUUAUACUUUAUCACAUAAAAUGGUUUGUCAUUGAAAAACGUCGGUAUUAUUUCUCAUGUCGUGCAUUAGAGGCUUUCAAUUUAAAAAGGAAUCACUUCAGCGGAUCUUUCUCGUCCUUUGAGAAAGCACAAGAGUAUAGGAAGAGAUAUUGUUUUGCAUGUUAUUCCAGUUCAGAGCCUGGUUAAUGGUAUUGCAAAAACUGACAAAAGAAAGGUGGAAAUGUAUCCAAUUCUGGAGUUCUUUCCUUUUUUUUUUCUUUUUUUCUUUUUUAAACUGUUUCACAUUGGUUGUUCUUUUUUUGGCUGAACCCUUAAUGAAGCUCAGAGCUGGUAUUAUUGUCUUGUGUACAGAACAAAAUAAACAAUUCAUUUGUUUCAUGUGUCCCUUCAUUUAAAUAUGAGAAUGCUUUCUUGCUGAUUGAAUAUUCUUCAGAAAGCAAUAAUUGUUAGAGCAAACCUCUUAGUAGAGUUAUUUACAUGAGAGUGAAUCUAACAAACUUGGGGUAAGAAGUUAGUCUUAGAAAUUGUUAACCGCGUGUGAAGUCUAAAAAGCCAUCCUUUUCCUUAAUGCAAGAUUUAAAGGCUCUCUUAUUUCUAUCUCUUGACUAAGAAAAAGGCUAAGAUUUGGAUUGGGAUUCAAUUCCAUGGUCACCACAUCUUAUCUGCAUCUUUUCCAGCAUAUCCAUGUCCAAAGGAGAUCAAGUCUGAGGGCAACACAUUGGUGGGUGAUCUGAGGAUUCUCAUUGACUUUGCCAUAGCUAGUAUCUGUUUGUAUGCACACUUCUUCUUGUUUUUGGUUUCUUUUUGUAUGUUGGCUAUUUGGAAACCCUCCCAGGGCAAUCACACAUGUCGAAAACUUGUGAUGCCGAAUAGUUCCAUAUGGUUUUCAUCUAAGCAACUAAUACCCCCUGCCUUCUUUGGACAGAGUCCUUCCGUCUCUUUGUUACCAGCUAUAUUGUGUAAGAGAACUUAAAAUUUGGCCAUCUCAUUCUCUACUGGUUACCAGUCUCUGCAUAAAUGGUGAAUCCUACCAAUACCUUCUGCCAUCAACAAAGUUUCCUGCUCAUGUGCUAUAAUAGCCAUAUCUCUGCAGUGGACAAGAACCUGUGAGAUUUGUCCUGCACAAUUAGUCCUUAGCAUCUACUAUGGGUCGCCAGGCACUCGGCCCCUCUGCCAAGACCCAUCUCUCUCUCUCUCUCUCUCUCUCUCUCUCUCUCUCUCUCUCUCUCUCUCUCACACACACACACACACACACACACACACACACACACACACUUACACACACAAACACGGACAAACACAAGUACUACUAUGUGCUGCCUCCAUCUUUCUUUGCACUGAGGUUUACUCCAUUAAAUAGGCUAUGACUGUGCUGACAGUACAUAAACAAAGGUGUGGUAUUUCUCUCAAUACGAAAAUCCAGGAUUUGAAUUGGUCAAUGAUUUCAAAUUGGGGCACCUUGAUGCAACAAUUAGUUCACCACUCCAUUCCACCACAAUGUUAUGCUCUUGUCUCCUCUCUUAUUUAUUUGAUAUGUAUACCUGCAUAAUGACUGAAGCAAACUGGCUUAUUUGCUAUAGCAAAGUGACCUGUGAUUGAGGAUGCCAUUAUAUGCGUGCACAAUGAGCUUGAGUUUCUAUUACAGUAAGAUUGAAUCAUGGCCUCAGAACUGGAAUUUAAGUUUGAAAUUCAAGCUGAACACUUUUCGGUGCAUGUAUUUUAAUUGAGGAUACUUAAUCGGUAUCUGUCAGGCUCAUGCUGCUGACGUUGAGGCUUUUCACAAAGUAAACUUGAUGUCGCAUAACCAGAUCAUAUUUUUUCAAUCCGUAGUUUUUUCUCAUUAUAACCACCAGAGUUCUUUGUAUUGUCUUAGAAUCCACCAAUUUUUUCCUUUGCAGUUUCUGUUUUUCAUCUGGAAUCCUCGACAAUCUAUCAGUCAUCUCUUAUUUAUGAUGUCAACUAAAUUUUUCUCAUAAUCUUAAUGUGCUAAAAAAUAUUAUCUUAAAAAAAUAUUCUUGCUCCUCGAUGCUCUCUUAGCCGAUCAUAUUAACCCUUUCUAUCUUUACAAAGCAAAUGGAGGAUAGGCUAGUUUAAUUCUUGCCAUACUAGGAACUAAUUUUGGUACGGUUGACAUGAUGUGAAAUAUCUAAUUGUCGUUUCUCCUUUGCAAAUGCACUUCUGGAAGCAAUAUUCCUAAUAAUCUAGGUUAGUGCUUUGAAGAGCCCAUGCUGAUCUCAAUAAUGGGGUGGUUUUAGAUUUGAACACCUGAAUAUCACCAGUAAUAUUUAGCUAGUUGCUUUGGUGUCUGAAGGUCCAAUUAGAAACUGACUUUGGGGUGGGAUUACUGUUGGGCUUAAGACCUAAGACUAUCAAAACUUAUAUGGCGCAAAAGAUAAUAGGCACCAAGCUGACUGGUUUUUAUGACUCUUUAUUUUGUAUACAGGCACUCCUUGCUGAUUUUGAAAUCUCUGAAGGCAUAUAUUCUCGAGCUCGCAUUGAAGAUACUGAUUCAGUAUGUCUAUGGCUGGGAGCAAAUGUUAUGUUGGAGUAUUCAUGUGAAGAGGUUGUACUCGAGUUUAAGCAAUGUCCCUUUCUCUCCAAUAAUGAUGUCAAGUAUCUUAUUUAUUGCAUAAAUUUAUGUUGCAGGCCACAACCUGUCUACAAAAGAACUUAGAAAAUGCUAAAGCAAGUUUAGAAGUUCUUGUUGCUGAUCUACAAUUCUUAAGGGAGCAAGUAACAAUCACGCGGAUAAGUAAGAAUUAUUUGGAACUUGGAGGUCCUUGGUUAUUUCAAGCCGUUUACUAUGUCAGUUUUGGCUAGGUCUUUUGGGGUUGAACUACUGUUGUUCUGAAUUUUCUUUUCUUUUUUUUUUUUGGUAAAAGGUAAGAAAUAUAUUAAGGAAUGGCCAAAUGUACAAAAGAUCUCGACACCAGGAACUUGCACUCCAAAUGUAUGAACAAAAGAAGUGGAAGGGUGACGAGAUGCAACAACAACAAGGCCAAACUAAGCAUAGCUAGGUCAACCGGCGACCAAACAGAGAUAAAAGCAAGGAGGAGGCCACCGUCAGUUCAAGGACCUACGGGUCCCCAGUGAAAAUAAUUGGGUCUAGGCUCCAACUUCUCUGCAGCCUUCUGUUUCUGAAAUUGUCUUCGACGUUCCUGAAGGUGAUAGCUUGUCUCGGACCACUUUGAAGAGGUGGUUCUUCAUGGCCGGAACUGAGAGAGGCUGGUCUCUAAAGAUGAUGUUAUUCCUGUUUUUCUAAAUGAUAUGACAAAGCGCGCCAAAGCAAAAACGGGCUAUGCACUUAUAGAAAUCUUUUCCCAUCAAAUAGGUAGCUGCCCAUCGGAAGUUCUCCCCCCAAGCUCUGUUACGCCAGGGUAAAUUGCAUCUGGAAGCCCAAAAGAAAGCAACACUAGCCGUGAUACAGCAGUCAAAAAACAGGUGGUCAAGAGAGUCAGGAAUAUUCUUGCAAAACGCACAGGUAGCACUUCCAAUUAUACCAUAGGACAGAAGGAGAUCCUGGGUUGGAAGCCUACGUUUGGCCAUGAGCCAAAGAUUGAGCUGAUAUCGAGGCACUAUGGCGUUGUCCCAUAUGAAAGAGUACCAAUGGACCCGCGUCCUCUUCUUCCUGAUGAAGUUCCACGCCGAUGCCAUAGUGAACUGUCCCGAAGAGCUUUCUCGCCAACAGCAACGAUCCAGGACACUCGUCAGGAUCGAAAGAGGAUGACCCCACGUUUCAAGCACCAACCUAAGAGCUUGGCCAACAUCUGACAAGAGGUCAGCAACACAAGCUUGUCUAGAGAGCCCUGAGCUGUCGAUAAGAGAAUCUGAGAAGAUCAGGUUCAAGGGCCCUCUAGGGUGCCAAUUGUCAAACCACAGAGAGGUUGUUUGUCCAUCGCCAAUUUUCCACUAGAAGGCCAUCCUGAAAUCCCUUCUUAGGAUCAACAAGCUCUUCCAGGCCCAGGAUCUAGAUGUUGGCUUCCUAGCAACCCAAAAGUUCUUAUUUUUUAAGAAGGUGGAAUGGACCCAUCUACACCACAGCGCUUCCUUGUCAGAGAACAAGAGCCAAAUAUGCUUUAGCAUGGCAGCUUUAUUACAAUCUUGGAGCCUCCUAAUACCUAGCCCUCCUUCAUCCUUUGGAAGGCAAACUUCAUCCCAGGCUACCUUAGCACCACCCCUGCCUAGGUCCGGACCUUUCCACAGGAAUUGUCUAAAUAUUUUCUCUAUCUAUUCCAUCACAGCUAUAGGUAAAACAAAAACACUAGCCCAAUAGGCUUGUAUAGCAUGAAGAACUGACCUGAUAAGCUGAAUCCGACCAGUAAUAGAGAGGAAACGGUGGGUCCAAGACUGAACCCUUGCAGUGAUACGAUUGACUAGGGUACAACAAUCUGCUUUGUUGAUCCUCGAAGUGAUAAUGGGAACCCCCAGGUAUCGAACUGGCAAGCUUCCUUCUCGAAAGCCCAACUCCAAGAGAAUAUUAUUCCUUAAGGAGGGAUUGCCACCUGCCAAAAAAAUUUCACUCUUGCACGGGUUAGGACAAAGGCCACUCCAAGAGGAAAAGAUAUUAAGACCUUCCUUAAGGAGAGUCGCCGUAGGAAGAUUCGCCUCACAAAAAAGGAAGACAUCGUCCGCAAAAAAGAGAUGUGAAAGACCCACUGCCUUGCACCUCCAGAAGAACUUGAAAUCAGGCCUUGAAGAGUACUUAAGAAUGAUCCCUGAAAGCACUUCCAUGACCAUAGUGAAGAGGUAAGGAGAGAUGGGAUCACCUUGGCGAAGGUCUCGACCGCUCGCAAAAAACUCGUGGAGCUCUCCAUUCAAAGCAAUUGAGAAUUUAGGAGUGCGUACACAAGUCAUAAUAAGUCUAGUCACAGACUAAGGGAAGCCAAAGGCCAGCAACACACUUUCAAGGAAGUCCCAAUCCACAGUAUCAUAGGCUUUCCUGAAGUCCACCUUUAUCGCACAUUUAGGGAGAUAGAGCUCAAGGUGGAAGCUAGAGAAUAGCUCCUGAGCCAGCAAUAUAUUGUCCCUGAUCCGCCUACCUUUUACAAAAGCAGUCUGAAAGGGGCCUAUCGUGCUCUUCAAAGCUAGGGCCACCCGAUUUGCUAGCACCUUUGUAAUACACUUGUAGAUAGUGUUGCAGCAGGCGAUAGGCCUAUAAUCCUCCACAGAAGUGGCAUUGAGCACUUUAGGAACCAUUACCAAGAUGGUAUUGUUAAUCUCCCUCAAGAGUUUACCGGAGGUGAAGAAAUCCAACACUGCGGUCGUUACUAAAGGACCAACCUUGUCCCAGUUUUCUUUGAAGAACUCCGCUAUGAAGCCAUCCGGCCCAAGAGCCUUUCCCUUAGGCAAGGAGAAGAUAGUGUCCAGGAUCUCCAACUCUGUAACUGGCCGAGCAAGAAGCACAGCCUGAUCAAGUGAGAGUGGAUGGUGGAUAACCUCCCUCAAGUCCUCUAACGAAGGUCUAACAAUCUCCCCUUGCGGCGCCAAGAGGUCCUCAAAGAACUUUACAAAUCGUCGUUGCACCAGCCGUGGCUCCGUCACUAGGUUCCCCGAAGAGUCAAGGACGGAAAGGACUCUGUUCCUCAACUGUCUUUUGUUGACAUAUUGGUAUUUCGGUCUCCCUCCCUGAGCCAUCUGAUCCUAGACUUCUGCCUGAAGAAUGACUCCUCCGAGGAGCGCAACUCUGCAAAGAUACACCUUUGGUUCUUUUCCACCUCAGCAAGGUCAGCAGAAAAGGGAUUUAGCUGUAAUUCUGCUUGAGUGGCCUCCAUCAUCUUUCGCGCAUCAAGAGUUCUGGCAGAGAUAUUAGAGAAGGAAUCUCUAUUGAGCUGCUUGAGCCGACAUUUAAGAGCCUUGAGCUUAGACACAAGCCUAUACAUAGGAACACCACUCCCCGUCGCAUCCCACACUUGCGAGACAAUCUCAUUGAACUCCGGGUGCUUCAUCCAGAAGUCGAAGAACUUGAAGGGCUUCCUCUGAUGAGUCGGAUUAAGCACCUUCACCACCAUAGGCGAGUGAUCUGAGAUUCCCGGAGCAAGGAAGGAGGCUUCCGAGUAAGAGAGAUCCGAGCUCCACUUGGCGUUCACUAGAACCCUGUCAAUCUUUCUUGCUUUCCUAGAAGGCCCUGAAGACGUAGCCCAAGUGUAUCUAAAACCAACAAACCUCGAGUCUUCCAGCUCGGCUUGCUCCAAGCACUGUCCAAACUCAUCAAAGCAAGGGAGCCAAUCUUCGGAGCCACCGACACGGUCCGAUGGAUCCUUAAUAGCAUUGAAAUCCCCCAAGACAAGCUAAGGAGUGUCCCGGGAGAUGGGUGCUUUUCAGAAUGAUAUCCUCCCACAGCGGUCUCCUCAGCGAAAAAGAGUGAUCUCCAUAGAUAAAAGACAUACAGCAAGCCACCCCAGAGCCCAAGCUCUCAAGAUUCCCAUGAAUCGCCUGCUUGGUAAGUGAGAAGGCUUCAAACUUAACUCUCACGGGGUCCCAACCGACCCAAAUUCUACCCUUGGGGAAGAAAUCAUAGUUUGCAAUCCAACACCAAUCCCUCAAUAGACCUUCGGAUAUGGAGUUAAAGCAAUCUUGUGGCACCUUAGUUUCCACCAAACCAAUACAGCACAAGUGGUUCGAAAUAAUAAAAUUACAAAUCUCCGCUUGCCUAGUCGGUUCAACCAUGCCCCUAAUAUUCCAACAUCCUAUAUACAUAUCUACAAAAGAGGAAAAGAGGAAGGGUUACCUCCUUCUCGGUGGCUUGCGACGGCUCGGAGGGGGAGCCGCUCGAGCCGAUGGAGGAGGUGGGUCUGGGGAGAGCGCCAGGGGCUUGUCCUGGGUAGUCUCCUCACUUCUUCUAGUUGGAGGAGCCUUCGGCGAUAGACAUGGAGGAGCUUUCGGCGAUAGACAAGGCGAGAGAAGAUCAUCAUCUGAGCUAUCUAGGUGGUUGACAGUCUCAUUCAACUCCGCUCCACUCCCCAUGCCCGCAUCCGGAUGGCUAAUGGAGUCUUCCUCCAUUGUCGAGGUGGGGUCAUCCACCCUGAUUAGGGCUCGAAACCCACUCUGAGCCCUCCGGGUAGAGGUUGAUGGCAAGCUUUUAAGAGCUGCUGCUGUCUGCUUGAGGGAUGGUUCCUCUUCUCCGAAGCUGACUGGAUGGUCUAAGCACGUCUCCUUAGGAGGGGGGGAUUUCUUCUUCUUUCCCUUGACUUGUUUCCACCCAAAUUCAGCCUCAUUCAGAUCUACCACCAACACUGGGGAAGUCUCAGGGGGGGCGGGCCUCCACUGAGGGGGAGGAGAUAGGCUGAGCCUGCUUGUGGCCUUGCAUCGCCUUCCGACCAGCUAAAGAGGCUGCACAAUUGUGCCCAAAGGAGCCACACUUCAAGCAUUCCGCUGGCUUCCACUCAUAGUCGAUGGCAAUGGACCGAGCAACUCCAUUUAGUCUUACCUUGGCCGAGGAGAACCUUGGUUGAUUAACUUGAAGCUCCACGCAAACUCUUGCGAAAGAGAUCCUUUGAGUUUGCUCCGUGCGUUGAUCAACAAACAAAGGCUUGCCAACAGUGCUCGCAAUAACGCUAAUUGUCGGGGCUGUCCAGAGGUCAAGAGGUAGGUUCUUCAGGCGAAUCCACACCGGCACCGUGGUUUGCUUCUCCCUCUUCAACUCUAGCAGAGGCUUCCAUUGUUGCAAAACGAGCGCAACCCUUGCAACCAUUAUAGGACCGUCUUCCAAAAUCUUCCUUCGGAACUCGGGGUCAGGGAUGCGGAAGAAAAAGAAGCCCUGGUCAUCGGCGAAAACCUCAACAAGCUUCGAUCCCCAACUUGGCUUGAGCGUGUUCUCCGUGAGCUGGAACGGCAAACUCCUUCCUACAUAAUACCCAACCAGGCACUCAUGCCAUUUGGGAUCCACCACAUCUAACACUUCAUCAGGGAGAUCCACCACUGGGAUAUCAUCCUCAAACGAGGGAGGAACAAAGGUAAGGUCAUACCCUUUCGCUGCAAGUUUCGCAACAUUUGCCCACGUCCGGAUAGCCGGGGCGUCUGUUUUCCUCCCUUGCUUUUGCGAGGCCUGGGGCUGUUUGGAAGCCGACCUCACUCUGCUUCGUCCUCUCGAACGCCUAUCACGGGCUGCAUCCUUAGGAGGACCACGGUUUGAGGUCUCCGCUGAUGCAGAAACCUUGCCCGUGAGCAAGGAGGACCGGGCCUCCUUGUUUCGAUUGAGAGGGCUAGAAGCCUUCUCCGUUCCAGCUCUCAACUGGGCCGCAAUACUUGGCUCACCAACCACAGCAGAUGGAGCAGCCAUAACUACAAUAAUACCUAGCCAGCUAAACCCGAACCCUCUACACAGCAGCCAUCAAGAGAGCGAGAGACUAACCGGGCGUUCUGAACGGACUGACCAUCUCUACUAGAGGAUGAUUUUCUAAGUGGCGUGAGGCUAUAAAUUGGGAAGACAUGUUAAUUGGUGAUAAGUUGGAGUGUGGUAGGUUUGCACGAAAGUGAGGGGGGGGGGGCGCGGGAGGGGAGGGAGGGGGAUGGUUUGAAACAGCCCUUUAGAGGUGAAUUUUUAUUUGGCAGGUUACGAUUGCUCGUGUGUAUAAUUGGGAUGUUCACCAAAAGAGAAUCCAUCAAGCUGGUGUUCCUGCCAAAGACUCUUAAAGGAGUCUUUUCAACUUGGAUCAUGGUAGGAGAAUGCGUACUCCUGAAUGAGAGUAUGACUUUGAUCUCCGCAUUUUUUAUUAGGUGAAUGAAUUAUGUACCGCUUUGUGAUCGCAAUGGUUAAGACCGACUAUGGGUGAUUUUGGUUAGGUUGAGUUAGAUUUACUGCAUUACACAAAGCUUGUCAUGUAAACGAUUUCUUGAGAACCUCUUGAGCUUGAGUUUUCACUUACUGUGUGCAGUGUGCUAGUUUUGAGUUGACGUUGGAUCCAUCAAUGUUUUGUCGUUUCACCUUGACUAUGUAUGUUUAGUAAGAACCAAUUUAAAUUUGAAUUCGGGGGAGAAACAUGGGCCUGCCUGGGGUCCCCUGAGGAAUACGCGUCAGCACGAGUGUUUUUGGAUCAAGUGACUUAAUGCUGGAAUUUUGGGUGGGGCUCUUGUUGUCAGAUCUUGAAGAUUUCCAUUAUAUUAGAGCAAUUUAGGUACAGUCUGGGUAGAAAGUCCGUGCCAUGACAAUUUGUGUGUGUAUAUAUAUAUAUAUAUAUAUAUAUAUAUAUAUAUAUAUAUAUGUAUGUAUGUAUGUAUGUAUGUAUAUAUAUGUAUGUAUGUAUGUAACCAAUCUAGUUGAUUUCCAUUAUAUUAGAGCAAUGUAGGUACCGUCUGGGUAGAAAGUCCGUGCCAAGACAAUUUGUAUAUAUAUAUCACUAAAAUCAACUUUUUGCAACUUUUAAGUUUUUAAUGUAAGUACAUUACUCAGUCAAAUUUUCAAUUCGAGCCAAUACAGUAGUGCCAAGCUCUGAGUUCAACUCCUCUUAGAUAUUCGAUGCUCGAAACUCCCCUCAAAUAAUGGAGUAUUAAAAGUUUGGCUUGAGCUUCACCAAACUAGAAUCAAGAUAUUCAAGAUCAAGUCGACUCGAAACAAUCAAAUUAAAGAGUGGGCUUGAGCUUAAGCUCAUUAACUUCAAAUAUUAUCCUCUACAUUUAUGUGCUUUAAGUAUACUACAAUUUGCAAAUGUCUUCCCCUCUAUUUUUGUGAUUAUCAAUUAUUUUCUGAACAAAAUAAUAUAAAUUGGAUUGGAAUUGUGAUUCUCUCGAGGUUGAUCCUGACUCUAUGAAAUUCUUGGUGUAACUUCAGUCUAGGCUCGACUCAAAACCAGACUAGUCGAUUUCAAUUAAUUAUUAAGUCAAGCUUCAAUUAGUCUAAGCUCGACUCCAAACUAGACCAGUCGAUUUCAACUAAUUAUUAAGUCGAGCUUGAAUUAGUCCUAAGUUGGACUCAACUUCAACCCUACUGCUAGGCUUGCAAAGUCCAAUAUAUGUAUGAGGACUUUCAUGGGCCAAAUAGUAUUUCCGACGUUGAACUCCACAUUAUGUGAUGCAAGCCAUUCCUUGGUAGGAGGGUCUCGCACAUCUCCCCGAAGAGUUAUGACCUCCGAAUGAACGCGAAUUUCUAGAAAAGUUGAUGGGAAAAAGUAUAUGAUCACAAUUCAAUGGAGGCAAUUAAAAGUCCCAAAGGGACAAUAUUUCUUUUUCCAUGUGAAAGAAUGUAUAUUUAUUAUGUACAAUAAUUAUUCCUCUGAUCAUGAAUAUACCAAGAUGAUGGAAUGCAAAAGGUCAUUAGUGAAUUUGGGAAAAUUUGUUUGUUUUCUCAAACAGUCUAUUAAUGUUACAUCAUGCAUUACAAUCAAUCUACGACUCUUGAAAGCAAAAGGUGACUUGGAGCCAAAUUCAAAUUUCACAACUUUUUCAUGGCACAAGAUAAAAGAUUAGUAAGUGGAAUAAAGGCAAGUAUCAAUUGAUCAAGCAAAUUAGUGUGAAUAUGGAUUAAAUAUUAGAAGAUCUGCUUUGUUGGGCUUAGCAAAAGCAAAAUGAAACUUCGGCCUCAUGAUUUUUUGUGGUUGAAUUCCUUCUGAAUUUAAUGAGCAAAACAAAAACAAUUGUGCGUGGUUGUAUAGUAAAAGUUCCACCGUGAAAGUAAGCAAUAAUUUUGCUGCAAUGAUCUCGGGGUGAACAGUAUCUUGUCUGCCAAUACUGGAGACCUGAUAGCAUAGUGUAAAUAAGCAAUAAUUUUUUCUGUAGUGAUUGGACAGUGAAUAGUAUUAUUACACGUGUUGCUACAGCUUCCGGCGGCUAUCUUCUCUUAAUGAUUUUGUUCUUCUUCUAAUAGGUCGACCCCACGGCAAUCAUCUUCUUUUGUAUCUCCGCUACGAUGUGAUUGGUAGGAACUAGCUUUUCAUAGUUGGUGGGCUCCUUAAUUUCGGAAAUGAUUUUCUCCAUUACUGAAACAUAUUCAUGUGGUGAUUGCGCAGUAGCAAGGUAGGGCUACUGCAAGAGAUUUUCGUUGCAAGAGUGAUGCAUUUGAUGAUCCAUCUAAUGUUGUUUGUGAUCUUGUGGUGAUUUGGGCGUAACGGUUGUUUAACCAAUUAUGGACUGAUUCUUUAGAAGUUUGUAUCGUCAAAGAGCGCAUAUAGCAAAGUUUAUCCCUACUCCCGCAAUUUAUGCAUUCCUACCGUAAAAGCCUGCAUUUAUUUCUUGAGUUACACACAUUUUCUUGAUGAGUGAUGACCAAGCCUCACCUAGCCACGACAAAAAGUUGAUGGAGCAAUCUAUCCUGUAAAUAACAAAAUUCACCCAAUUUUCACUAAAAAGACAAAAUUGUUUUAAAUCAUUCAGUCUCAAUUUAAUUGAUAGCCCCAAAUUCAUGAACUUUUUUUUGUUUUUGUUUUUCUAUUUCAAUGUAGGAUUUCGUUACCAUAAUUAAGAAUUUCACAUGUCUAGUUUUUCUUUGUAAUAGGUAUUUCAAAUAUAUUUAAAACGCCAUUUCUUUUUUCACUGCUAGAUUUUUCUUCCAUAAAAAUUAGUUUUGUCUAAAAAAGAAAUUUCCAAGAAACCUAGUAUGUCAAGCAAAUUUAAGGAUGAAUCUAGAAAAAAUUAUUAUAUAAAUUUUUUUUGACACAAACACUUGUUUACAAAUUUUCAAUUUUGUUGUGCAUAUCACUAUCAAACUCCUUCUUUUAUCAUUUGACCAAAUAAAAUUCCUUCUUAUCAAUUCUCUUCUAUACAUAGAUACAUGCAUGCAUGCGUGGAAAUUUAUCUAAUCUUCUAUCUAUCUAUAUAUAUAUAUAUAUAUAUAUAUAUAUAUAUAUAUAUAAUGGGAUGAUCGGAGAAAUCAAGAAGGACUAGCAAAGAUUUUGAACUUAUUUCAAAAUAAAGAUUCAAAGUAUUAGAUCAAAAUCUUGAAUUUAUUUGACAAAUUUAGAUAGAUUAUCAAAAGGGCCUUUAAAUUUUUGUUAUCAAUCAAGAAGGACCAACAAGGAUUUUAAUAGUGCAUUACAUUUCAAUACAAUAUAUCACAUAUAAAAUUAUUGUUCAGUUUGAUCAAGGAAAAAUUGAUCAUGUCACUUAAUGCGACAUUGGAUUAAAUAUAAGGAGAUCUGCUUUUUUGGGCUUAGCAAAAGUAGAAUGGAAUUUUGGCUCCAACUGACAAAAGCUAAUCCUUUUGAAUUGAAUGAGCAAAACAAAAGCAAUUGCGCGUGAUUGUACAGUAAAAACUCUAUAGUGAAAGUAAGUAAUAAUUUUGCUGCAAUAAUCUGAUGGUGAAUAGUAUCUUGUUUGCUAGUAUCGGAGGCCCGCUGGCAUAGUGAAAGUAAGCAAUAAUUCUGCUGCAGUGAUUAGAUGGUGACCAGUAUUAUUGCACAUGCUGCAACAAUUUCUAGCGGUAUCUUCCCUUGGUGAUUUUGUUCUUCUUCUAAUAGGUGGACCCCAUUCCAGUCAUCUUCUUUUGUGUCUCCAUUACGAUGAGGAAAACAAAAGCAAUUGUGCGUUAUUGUACAGUAAAAGUUCUAUUGUCACGCCCCGAUCCUCAGGCACGCACACAUCCCUUACCUUGGUCGAUUAAUAGCGACGUCCCAGGACGCAUCGCCGAUCCUUUUAUAUAUUAAGCACAUGCGGAAGCAGUUAUAAAUCCCCAGACAAUAAAACAAUGGGAUAGGAAAGUAGGCCAUAUUUUUCAUAUUGAAAUUCAUAACCACACUUUCUUUAACAGCACAACUCAUAGUAUAUUUACAAUACUAUUUACAACAUAAAAGUCUCACACCCAUCUACAUUAAGACAUGGUGCACAAAAGGGAUGGGAUCUCAAUCCACAUCUAGGUUGUACUCAAGAUCCCUCUCUGGAUCAUCUUCUACUUCAAAAUACUUUCUCCCCUUCAGGUUCUUCCUCCUCAACUUUUCCUCAGGGUCCUGAAAUGGUUAUUCAAUAACCAAUGAGACCACGUCUCAGCGAGUCCUACCCCCUACGACUCGAUUAGUAAACUAAUACACCAUACGGUUGCCUAAGCACAACGCGAGUCAGAGGACUUACCUUAGCCUCAGUUCCAACCUGCAAUUCAAGGUUAAACAUAGAUAUCCAAACAAUUCACGAAAUCCGAUCAAGCACUGGUCAAUCGACUAAGUCGAUUACAUGUCAGUCAGACCCUUUCUAGGUCAUUCCCACUCAUACCACGAUUUCUCAAUGGUGUACUCAUUCACCAAAUCACAUGUGUUUCUCGGGCGUCGUUUUCGCCAAUGACAUACCGAUCACCGACACCGUGCGUUCUUUAAGGCGCCGUUUUCACCAGUGAUAACCUUGAUCACCGAACCACGUGUCCUUUCAAGGGCGUCGUUUUCGCCAAGGUGACAUCGGCUAUAGACAACAUCGUGCGUUCUUUAAGGCGCCGUUUUCACCAGUGAUAUUCCCAUAACCACCGAACCACGUUUGUCUAUAAGUCAUUUACGUGCGUUCUUUAAGGCGCCGUUUUCGCCAGUAAUACUUCCAAUCACCGAACCACGUAUGUCCAAUAAUAUCGUACCUGAUUGGUCUCACCAUUCUCCCUACUAUAUAGCCCAUCAACGUACUGGCGCUAUAUACUCAUGCUCGACCAUUACCAAUCAAAUACUCAAUAACAAACAAUUUGGGACAAUUCCUCAAAUUUCACAAUUUAAAUCAAUUCCAUAAAAAUUGAAGCUCAAUUAAAUAAACGGACUGCACCACGACAAUCGGCACGAAAUUCCAGUCACCGGCCAUCCCGGUUGAAUUUCCGGAAAAAUAAUUAAUUAAAUAAAUAAAUUUCGAAAAUAAAUAAAUAAACAUUGAAAAUCCAAUUUAGGCCCAUAUUGCCUUAUUGGAGCCCGAAACGGGUCGGGAAAAAUCCCGAGAUACAUUCAAUAAAUAACCAAACAUUUCUACUUGCUAAUAGCUAGGUCUAACCACCUAACAUGCAUCCUCAAGUCACUAAUUUAAUUGUUCUAACCUAAUCUAACCACCUAAGUGCAUGUAAUUAAAUCUAACCAACCCUAAGACAUAAUUAGCAAACUAAUAAAGCUUUAGUGAGUAAAACUCACUUGAUUAAAGAUUUGAUUGGAUCAAAUCGACGAGCACGCGACAAGGCUCGAUUCUCUCCAAAGCGAGUCCGCCAACCGGGGUCAAACCGGGGCCGAAAUCGGCCUACAAGCUCGCUGCUCGAGCUGGGCUGAGUCCACUGAUUCGGUGGGCCUGACUUCAAUUGAUUUGCUGGAAGUUGGGCCUCAAAACUGAGCUGUAAACAGGUUAGGCUUGCUGGGCUGAUAGUGCUGAAGAUGGGUCGAGCUCCACGCGGGCUGAACUGUUGGAUUGGGCCACUGAAAAAUCAGAGUGGGCUUGCUGUGGUUGGUCCACGAGCAAAAGAAAUGGACGCUGGCCUCACGGACUGGGCCAAAGACACGUGAGCGAAGGAAGCAGCGGCUUGCGGCGUCGAGCUGGGGAGGACCACGCGGAAACGCUGAACUGCUGCUUCGGUUGCUUCGAGCUUCACUGGCAAGGGAACUUCGUCCGAUGCUGAGUUAAUUUCGUUGCCUUCAACGCUGCUUCGGUUAACUGGGAUGUGGCAGAGACGGAGGGAGCAGCUGCUGGCCGAAGAUGGAAGACACGCGGAUUGAAGCCCGCUCGGUGGUCAACAAAACAGGAGGUCAGCAAAGUGAUGCUGGCGUAGAGAAUUUACUGGUAGAGGGGAAGCGGUGGAGGGAUUUCGGUUGGGUCUUCGAUGGAGGAACGUGGGGUAGCAAUUCGGUAGAGAGAGAUGCGAAGAAAUUGAGGGAGGCUUCGCUGGAGAACCCGCUGGUUUGACUCGGGGAAGAUGAGCUGCAGACAAGUGGUGGCUUCGGUGGGGAUGAGGCAUGCGUGAGUGCGGCCAUGGUAGAGGAGAAGAGGAAUCAUGGGGCUGCUUCUGCGGGUUUGCUUCCGUCCAAGCAAAUUAAAGAAAGCAGAAGACGUGAGGGAGAGAUAUUUGUUUCUUGGAUAAGUGCAAGCUUGGUCAAAGAUAAAAAGGUGAGGUUGAAUUUCUGCAGGGGGAAAGCUGUCGGUGGGCAGCUAAGAGAGAGAGAGAGAAAACUAAAAGAAGAACGUGCGGGUGGGGAAGAUCGCACGCGGAGAGAGAGGAAAAGAGAUCUGUGCGGCUGAGGGAGAAAUGGAGGCGUGCGUGUGAGGGGCGUGGGUUCAAGGAAAUAUAAGGAUAAAACAAAAUCACAAAUACAAUUCUUGAUCCAUUUCAAAACCACCGUGUGAAUUGGUCACUCUAGGAUCAAUUUCUCAGCCGACUUAAACAUUCGAAAUCCAAUUUAAGACGGUCCUUUAACCCCGCAAAUUUUCUUCAAAACCGACUUCCAUUUCAUUUUUCUCGGAAUCCGAUUUUCUGAACAAAUAAAUUCGAUUGAGGUCCAAUUUGAAAUCAAAAAAAGCCCGAACAACUUCCAUUCACCGAUUCACUUACACCAGAUGUCAAAAGUCUCUUCGAAUUGACCAAUCUGAAUUUCUGCUCGUUCUCCGAAUCGUCCGUCCCGAUUUCCCCGAAAAAUCCCGAACUCUCCAGAAUUUCCUCAAAAGGUGAGCCGACGUUCCUUGAAUGACUCAUGACACGACAGGACUUCCAAUUUCUGAAAUCGAAUUCAAAUUCGCGGUUAUUUUCAAUCAAACGUGUUUUUAGUGUGACCUUACCUACCGGGUAGCUUCUAGGACUUUUUGGCGCAAUUGACCCGUGGUCGAUUUUCUUCGAACCACAAUGAACCCAUCCGACCCAUUAGCAACUCUUGAUGAUCGUGAAAAUCUCAAGGUUUCAAACACGGGCAUAGGGUACCCAAAACGACAGAAAAUUGGUUUAGUGCCGAUCGAUGAGAAUUUUGCAAUCAGGUGGCAUCACCCACACUUGAUCACAUAUCUCAGUCAAAUUGACCUAUCUCCGAUCUCUGAUCGAUUUUGACAAUGCCGUAAUGACCCUUGUAGACUAGCACGGUCGAGUAGUCGAUUUCUGGUCGAAUUCUCAAGUCUAUUGCGUUUAAAAUCCCCGAAUGGCUUCACCGGAUAGGCCAGUUAUCUCGUGAGUGGCCAACUCAGAGAAAAACACUAUAGUCACGUUGACGAAAGGCCCAUCUUAUCCAAUCGAAAUCAGAACAUGAAAUUCAGGAUGUCACAUCUAUAGUGAAAGUAAGUAAUAAUUUUGCUGCAAUAAUCGAAUGGUGAAUAGUAUCUUGUCUGCUAGCACUGGAGGCUCGCUAGCAUAGUGAAAGUAAGCAAUAAUUCUGCUGCAGUGAUUUGACGGUGACCAAUAUUAUUGCACAUACUGCUACAAUUUCUAGCGGGUGUCUUCCUUUGGUGAUUUUGUUCCUCUUCUAAUAGGUGGACCCCAUUCUAGUCAUCUUCUUUUGUGUCUCCAUUACGAUGUGAUUGGUGGGAGCUAGCUUUUCACCGUUGGUGGACCCCUUAAUUUCGGAAAUGAUUUUCUUCAUUACUGCAAUAUAUUCAUGCGGUAAUUGUGCAGCAGCAAUGUGGCUUGCUGCAAGAGAUUUUUGUUGCAAGAAUGAUGCAUUUGAUGAUCUAGCUACUGUUGUUUGUGAUAUUGUGGUGAUUUGGGCGUUUCGGUUGUUUAACCAAUUCCUGACUAAUUCUUCGGAAGUUUGUAUCUUCAAAGUUCAUUUACCCUCCCGCAAUUUAUGCAUUCUUACCAUAAAGGCCUACAUUUAUUUAUUUCCCGGGUUACACACAUUUUCUUGAUGAGUGAUGAUGAUCGUGCCUCUCCCGGCUUAUGGCAAAAAGUUGAUGGAGAAAUCCAUUUCAUGUAUAACUAAAUUCACCCAAUUUUCACUAAAAAGAUCAAAGUGCGCCAAAUCAUUCAAUUGCAAUUUAAUUGGUAGUCCCAAAUUCAUUGACUUUUUUUUUUUUUUGGUUUUUCUAUUUUAAUGUAGGAUUCAAUUACCAUAAUUAAGAAUUUCACAUGUCUAUUUUUAAAAUUUUUUAUUGUAGGUAUUUCAAAUAAAUUGAAAACACCAUUUCUUUUUUCUUUGUUAGAUUUGUCUUCCAUAAAACAUAGUUUUGUUGAAAAAAGAAAUUUCCAAGAAUCCUAGUUCUUUUCAACGUUGUCAAGCAAAUCUAAGGAUAAAUUGUCAAGUAAAAUCUAAAAAUAAAUAAAUUAUCAUAUAGAUUUUUUUAAUACAAUCACUUGUUUACAAAUUUUCAAUUUUGUUGUGCAUAUCACCAUCAAAUACCUUAUCGUUUGACCAAAGAAAAUUCCUUCUUAUGGGUUCUCUUCUACCACACAUAAUUGGAUGAUCGGAUAAAGAAACCCUCUUUAGGGUUUGAAGAUUUUCCAAAAUAAGAUCACAAUUACAUUUUCCAAUGGAAAACUUUAAAGAUGAAAUUUAAUUAAAUUAAAAAUUGCACAAAAAAUAAUUUUUUUUUUAAAAUGUUGAUGACAUCUCAUUAUUUUGAAUUGAAAAAAAAAUAAUAUCAUUGACGAAGUAUGUAUGAAAAAUUAUCUUGAUGCUUCAUUAUGCACAACCGUUUUAGUAUAUUCCAAGAUAUUCCACAACGCCUAACAUCUAUGUAAAAGCAUCUCACCGAUAGUGAGGGUAAAAGAUAAGUUCUUUAAAAAGACUUGCUAUAUAUUUUAGACUAAUGAAAAUAAAAAAAUAAAUAAUUCAGCAAGAAAGUGAGCUUUUGAAAUAAGAGGGAGAAAGAAUAAAUUAGUUUUUAUUAGGGCAAUGAUGAGAAGAGACUUUCAAGGUUUUGACUAUAUCAGAUAAUUUGUGUUUUUUUUUCUUACUAGUAGCCUUUAUAUGAAGCAUGUAAUACAUUAUAGUAAUAUGUAAGGAUACACUAAAAAAAAUUCUUUAGUACACUAAGAAAAAUAAAAUGUGUGGAAUGCGUAAUUAUGGUAACUAGAAAAAGUAGGAAAAGAAACGAUGUGUUUGUCACUUUAAAUUGCAAUUGAAUGAUUGAAGGUAGUUUAGUCUUUUUAGUGUAAAUGUGGUGGAUUUGAUCUAGCUGUCCAAAAUUUAAUGGGGAAAUUAAAGUUACAAUGAGAUAAUAUUUUCUUUUCCAUAUAGAAAGAAUGUUAGCUCUUAUGCACACUAUUUAUUCCUUCAUCAUGAAUAUACCAAGAUGGUAAAGUACAGAGGUCAUCACUAGAUUUAGAAAAAUUCCGUGUGAUUUCACCAACAAUUGGCUUUUAACAGUGUAUCAUGCGUUAUGGUGGAUCUACGACUCUCGAGGGCGGAAGGCGACUCUAUGCUGAUUUUGCAUUCACAAUUUUGCAAUGACAAAAGAAAAAGAGUAGUCAAUGGAACAAAGGCAACAUGAUCAUUUGGCUUAGCAAAAGCAUAAAGGAAGUCUGGCUCGGACUGAGAAAAGCUAACCCUUUUUAAGUUAAGAAGCAGAACAAAAGCAAUUACAAUAUGCUUUUUUCUAGACUAGAAAUCGAGGAAGAGAUUUCUCACCAAAAACAAAACGGACAAAAAGGAUAAAGUGGAUCCAUUAUACUUCUUUGGAGGUCAUGCCAAAUCGUCUAUUUAUGGAGCCAGACCACUUACAUGUUACAUCAUCUUGUGUUAUUGUAAUUCUAUAUAUGUCUAGAAGGAAAAGGGCAUUAAGACAAGUGUCUAGAUUGGGAUCCCAUGAUUCGUGCAAUGACUUAAUUGCAUAAUUUGAAUUAAAAUACAAUCUAUGAUAACAAAAAUUAGAUACAAUUCUAAAUGAUUUGUGAGCCUAUUCCCUCUCACUUUUUGUUUCUCGAAUUUAGACACCUAUAUGGGAAGCUUAAUUUUUACGUGAAAUUAAUCGUCAGUAUCAAUAAAACAUUUUAAAUUUCUGUGUGUGCGUAUGUGAAGUGAGUGUCUAUACAAUCGCAUAAUAUUAGAUUCAAACUUGGUGUCCACCUUAAAAAUGACAUUAGGACAUGAUCACAUUUUGUGUAUUUGCAUGUGUGAAUAAUCUGCAGAAAUGGAGAAUAAAUCUAGACUGCAUUCAAUGGAGCUAGAGAAAUGUUCAAUGCCUUCGAUUCAUUAGAGACGUCAUCAUCGAUCCACCAGAAAAAAGUAGUUGAUUUAACCGUAAAAUUUUGGGCCUGGCACUUAUAAGAAAGAAAAAUUUGCUCACAAAAAGAAGAAAAAAGAAAUAUAGCCCUUUGGUCGUUACAUGGAUGUUUCUACGAUCUUUCCAAGAGGCAUAUGCAAUUGUUAAAUCACAAAAUAAUGGAUCUCAACUGUGAAAACAAAGCUUUUCAAGUUUUUAAAUUCAGAAAUCACACUCUCUGGCUGGAUUUUAGGUAUGAACGGUUACCUCACUACUAUUAUUCCUGUGGCCGAUUGGGCCAUUACACUGUCUCCUGCCCGUCAGUCCCUUUCGAGGAGAAUAUGAUGACAGACUCUGGGAAAACACCUUAUGGCCCCUGGUUAAAAGCAGAAGUUCAGCAAUACAGCCCUUACUGGAAAGUCUAUUAUGAACAGUCAACUAUGGAAGAGGGGUCGGAGGAAACCGUACCUGAAACGCCUCCUACCAAUGCUCACCCUAUCCCACUUCUACCACCACCCACUCCCAAAGUACCCGCUUCUUCACAGCAGGCUACUUUGAUCAUAUCAAAGGGUUGUAAUGAUAUAGCGGGCUCAACUCCUUUGACGCGUCAUAAUACCAAUACUGCUUUAAUUCCUGCGGAGGAAAAGCUUAAAGGAGUGCAAAUACAGACCUCGGUUCCUCCAGCAAAAAAGGGCAAAAAUGUUCGUUGGAGAGUUAAAAUAGGCCCUGCUAAGAAACCACGACGUUAUAAUCCAUAUGACAUACCUGGAGGGCAACUGGGAACUGAUGAUGAUUCACUCUUGUUGGACACGCCAAUUGUCGAGGCGGCAAACGAUAGUUUGUGGGCGACGGUGGCUGGCCCUAAACAGUCACCUGUUCAAAGAUGAAACUUAUUAGUUGGAACUGUCAGGGUUUGGGCAAUCCCCUGACAGUUCAAGCUUUAAAAGCCCUUUCGGCUAAAGAAAAGCUUGAUUUGUUAUUUUUUAUGGAAACGAAGAAUGGCGAUGAAGUUUUAUCUCACCUGAAUCGUACCUUGCGUUUUUUGAAUCUUAAAGUGUUCAGCCCUGUUGGCUCUACUGGUGGCUUAGCCCUUUUUUGGAAUGAGGGUUUACGGCUGAUGGACAUUACCUCCAAUCCUCAUUUUUUUGACUUUAUUUGCCACGAUAUCUCCGUUGAUAGAUCCAUGCGGAUUACCUGCCUUCACGCACCUGCAGUUUUUCACGAUCGUCAGUAUCUUUGGCAGACUUUGUGACAGUUUAGCAAUUUCAAUGUUUUACCUUGGGUUUGCCUUGGUGAUUUUAAUGAAAUUCUUAAUCGUUGGGAGAAAAUGGGAUCUCGACCUGCUGACUCUUACCGUCUAUCUUCAUUUCGAGAUGUUCUUAAUGACUAUUGCUUGCUGGAUCUCCCUUCUCAUGGCUGUGCCUUUACUUGGUCCAAUAACCGAGAAGGGGAUGCCUUAGUGAAGGAGCGUCUUGAUCGGGCUGUUUGUACUGCUAAAUGGCGUGUCACUUUCCCAAAUGCUCAAGUGCUUGCUCUCCCUACAGUAGGAUCAGAUCACAGUCCACUUGUAUUAGAUACUAAACCCUGUACGGUUCGACGAAAGAGGCAUUUUACCUUUGAAGCUUUCUGGAAUCAGGAUCCUGACUGUAACUCGGUCAUUCAAACCUCCUGGCACUCUGUUUCAAGGCAGCACUCUCCUUUCUCAGCCAAGCUUCGAGCGGUUAUUGCUGCUUUAUCCACUUCGAGUCGAAAGAAAUUCUCACAUAAUCGGCAACAGGCAAUGAAAUUAUAGCACCAGUUAGAACUUAUGACAAAUCAGCAUCCUACUUCAAAGAAUCAAUCAAGGCAACGAAUUUUAAAAACAGAACUUCAGAAAGUAUGGCAGAGGAAGAGCAAUUUUGGGCAAUGUGUUCUCGGAUUAAUUGGUUAAAGUGGGGAGACCGCAAUACCAGAUUCUUUCAUGCCACUACACUUCAAAGAAGACAACGUAAUCAAAUCACAGUAUUGCGAGAUGCACAUCAGCAAUGGGUUCGGGAUCCUGGACAGCUCCAAGAGAUGACUACAAAUUAUUUUUCUCAGCUCUAUACAACUUCAAGCCCUAUAAAUUAUGCACAGAUCUUACAACAGUUCCCUCAGGUGGUUAAUGCAGCAAUGAAUGAAACGCUUCUUGCACAGGUAACAAUGGAAGAAGUAAAAGAGGCUACAUUUCAAUUGGGAGCUUCGAAAGCCCCUGGUCUGGAUGGUUUGAAUGGAAUAUUUUAUCAAUCUCAUUGGGAUGUACUUAAAGUGGAUAUUUAUUGGGUCGUUAAGCAAUUUUUUAAUUUUGGAUCAUUACCGUUAGCUUUAAAUAGAACUGCUAUCACUUUGAUCCCCAAAACCUCAAACCCAGAAAAGCUUGGAUCAGUAUCGUCCUAUUAGCUUGUGCAACUAUGCUUAUAAGAUUUUUUCUAAAGUGCUUGCUAAUAGGCUAAAACCCCUGCUGCCUACUUUAAUUUCUGAGGAACAAAGUGCUUUCGUUGCCGGAAGACAGAUUCAAGAUAAUGUUCUCAUAGUACAGGAAGUCAUUCAUCAGCUUAAGACCAGAAGAAGGAAGCGAAAUUUUCAAGCUAUUCUAAAAUUCGAUAUGCAGAAAGCGUAUGACCGUGUAGAAUGGGAUUUUCUUCAGGACUAUUUACUUCAAUUAGGCUUUCAUUCUCAUUGGGUCCACCUGAUCAUGCAGUGCAUCUCAACAACAACGCUGUGCGUCAAAAUGAAUGGUGAGUACUUGCAAAGUUUUAUACCUACCAGAGGGCUUCGACAGGGAGAUCCUUUAUCCCCUUACUUAUUUAUUCUCAUGGCUAAUCUUUUAUCCUUUCUAAUCCGAAAUGCUGUGGAUAUGGGCUUACUCAAAGGCAUUAAGUUGAAUCAUUGGUGUCCUGCUUUAUCACAUUUAUUCUUUGCUGAUGAUAGUGUGUUCUUUCUUGAUGGUACCUUGUUGGAGUGCCAGAAUCUAUCUAACAUAUUAAACCAGUAUUGUUUGGCUACUGGACAAACUAUCAAUAGAAACAAAUCUGGAAUUUUCUUCAGUCCAUCUUCUCCUAUUUCUCUCCAGCAAAAUUUGGCUAGUGAAUUAAGGGUACCUAUUUUACAGCGAUGUGGUAAGUAUUUAGGGAUACCUACUGAUUGGGGAAGCUCUAAAAGGGAUAUGUUUUCUUGGCUCCUCAGUCGAAUUCAGUCGAAAUUAGAGGGUUGGAAGGAGAAAUUGAUAUCUAAGGGAGGAAAGGAAGUCCUGCUCAAGACUGUGAUUCAAUCAAUUCCGCAAUAUGCCAUGUCUAUUUUUAAAAUUCCCAUUUCAUUAUGCAAAGUUAUAGAACAGCGUAUGGCUAAAUUCUGGUGGAACAAUGAUACAAGCAAGUCUGGCAUUCAUUGGCAGUGUUGGAAAGGACUACAGAAUCGAAAGGAAGUAGGGGGUUUGGGCUUCAGAGAUUUGCUCAGUUUCAAUCAAGCCAUGCUUGGCAAGCAAGCAUGGCGCCUUAUUCAACAACCUUUAUCAUUAUGGGGUAAGUUUUUUAGAGGUUUAUAUUUUCAUUCCUCCACUUUUCUCAAUGCUGUCAAGGGCUCUCGCCCAUCAUGGGGCUGGCAGAGUCUCUUGAGUGGGAGGGAAGCCAUCUUAACCAACAUUCGUUGGUCAGUCGGGGAUGGAAAAUGCAUCAACAUUAGACAAGACAGAUGGCUUCCUAUGGGCAUUCUAGAUGGACCAAAGACCCAAGAAGAACCCCUUCUAGUAGCUGAUCUUAUUGAUCAGUCUACCAGCACAUGGAAGAUAGAAUUACUGCAUAAAUUUUUCGACUUGCCUAUCAUUCAACAAAUCACAGACAUUCAGAUCAGACCUUCAUUCGCCAAAGAUGCACUCAUAUGGACAGCCACUAAUCAAGGAAUAUUUACGGCCAAAUCAGCAUAUCAUCAAAUCAUGAAGACUAAAUCAGGUAUUCCACAACUGGUGCUUCUACAUCGUAUCAAAUUCCUACCUAGCUUUGGCGCAAUCUAUGGAAGAUGCCUGCAGCUCCUAGAUCCGCAUCUUUCUCUGGUCCAUAUGCAGCAACUCCUUAGCAACGAGAGAUAACCUGCAUCGAAGGCAUAUUAUAGAAAGUCCUUGUUGCUUAUUAUGCAAAAAAUAGAUUCCAGAAACUUUAGAACAUUUGUUCUUACUCUGUUCGUGGACUAAUCGGGUGUGGUCACACUCUUAGAUCGGGAUCUCUGUCAACCCCAACAAUAUACAACGUUUGGACUCAUGGAUUGUGGCUACAGUAGGGAAUGGCAAUCGAUUACCUCGACUGGCACUUAUCUCCAAUGUACUGUGGCAGAUCUGGUGAGCUCGGAAUGGUUUCCUUUUCCAGGGAACUUUUCCCAAUCCGAUCCUGGUCGCAGAAGCAGCAUUGACUCAUUCCCAGGUCGAUCGCUUGUCUUCGCCCUCCUGCACACAAAAGGAUCGCUUGGUUAACCAUAAGGAAAAUCUCUGGCGUCCACCAGAUCCUGGGGUUCUCAAGGUGAAUAUUGACGGAUCUUUUCAACAGGGUAGCAAUCACGGCAACAUAGCUUGUAUUUGUAGGGAUUACCAGGGUCGACUCACCGAUGGAUUCUCCAAAGCAUCGCUGUGUCCUUAGCUAUGCAGGUCGAGAUCCAAGCCCUUUCCUUGACGCUUCGGCAUCUUCUCGAUCAGGGUCUCCAGAGUGCAAAGCUUCUGGUGGAAUAUGAUAAUCUCACCCUGGUGGAAACGCUGAAUCGUCGGACACAACCGCCAUGGACGGAUCGCGCUCUCUUCUCUAAGGCAGCAUUCCUGUUAACCCUCUUCUCCAAUCUCUCGCUAGGGUUCUAUCGAAGGGAGGCAAACACGGCAGCCGACUGGGCCUGUAAGGCUCAUAACCGAACUCCUUUGAAUUGUAAUUGGGCUCUUCUUCCGCCCUUUCCUCUUAUGAACUUGCUAUGCGCGGACACUAUAGCAGCUGGAUGUAUGGAUUGCUCGUAUUAAUAUAUGUUUUGGAGUUUUAACGACCAAAAAAAAAAGUUUUUAAAAAUUGCUACAAUUUGCAUUAUGACAGGUAUCGAUUGAUCCUCUAAUCAUAAAAUGGAAAUAGUUGCAUGGUUCGUGGUCUGUAAAAUAAAUGUGAUUACAUCCAUUGAUGUUUGGGCGUUCCAUGUAUAAUAUAUGUCAUAAUCAAUUUUGUGAUAAACCUGUUUUAUGUGGAUCCGAGUACUGGCAAGCUAACCCAAUGAAGCCAACAUGAGUUAGGAGAGAGAAUGAACUUCCUUAAGAAAAAAAUAUGAACUUGAGUUCUCUUUGCUUAUAAUAUACGCAAGUCUAUCCCCAAGUUUUUGUCCAGCCCUCUUGUGAAAGCAAAAGCAAAAGCAAAAAAGCACUGAAGUACGUUUGUCUAGUCAAUUCAUUUGCACAUACCCAAAUUCCACGUUAAACAGACUUGUUUGUUCGUGUGGUCGCACACAUGCGUGUUUUGCAAUUUCAGGACCGAGACCUGGAAAAUACCAAGAAACUCAGAAUGAUAUCAUCAAAAAGCAUAAAGACCCUCCUUCAAGAUUAAAAAUGUUUCGAAAAUCUCAACUUUGUUGACCUCCUUGUGGAAGAGGAACUGUACUUUCUUCGCAAUUUCCACCAAAGAAUCGGCUAGGACUCUUUUAGCUCAAUGAAAGGGAUCUAUUUUGUACAUGUAAUUUGCAAGGCAAAACUCAAAUUGCGUAAAAGACUAGAAUUAGCAUGGACCUAAAAUUAAAGAAUAUAGAAAACUUUAAUCAAUAUCUUUCAAUUUUUUGAACCAUUAGGUGAAAUCCAAGUACAUAGACUUCGAAGGAGGUCAGCCAACUAAAAUUGCCCAAUCUAUUAUGUAGAGUAAAACUGAAGUUGAAAGAGUGGUUGCUCCUAUACUGGUCACGCGACACUUCUGUAUAGCUCAAUACUUAUGACAUGAUGUGAUAUGACACUUGGUAUUGUGCUGCCAUGUGGUCCAAUGACCUUACAAAUUAUUUCUAUGUCAUCUUGUAAUUCAUGUGUUAUUUUCUAGUGCUAUUUAUAGAUAACAUCAACAUUUAAUCAUCUUCAAAUACUAGAAAAAAUGAUUAUAUCUACAAGUAGGCUUAGGCAAAACAAUUGAUUUAAACUUAGCCGAAAUGAUUGAAUUAAAUAACGAAAGGAAUGGAAAUGUGUUUUAUAAGUAGUACAUACUCCAAUAAUUGUCCUCUUCCACGGAGCGUCCACUUUUUUUUUUUUUUUUGCUUCAAAAAUCUUGAAAAUUAAUGUUACACUUUUUUUUUAACAAAACUUGAUCGAACUUGGCCCAGCAUAACUUUUCUGUAUAAUGUACAAUUGAAGCCAUUUUCCCCCCACGGAAAGCCGGUGACUUCAAUUUUGCUAAAAUGCAAUUCACCUCAGAUUAUGGCAUUUGGAUGGUUGGGUCGGAUAGAUGAACUUGGCAAAAAGUGAUGGUAUUUUCGUAAUAAAAAUUCCGAUCUUUGUGAUUUUUGUGGUGUUGGAAAGCUUAUCAUUUAAUUUUAAGAUGAAAUCAAUCGAUUGGAUAAUAUCAUAAAGUUUCCAACACCUCAUGAUCAGACAGCUGUGUUAGAAAAACUUGACAUCUUAAGAUCCAGUGAUUCAAUUUGGGCAAAUUGGGUAUCUUCAAAAAGCUUUUGACAAGUACAACUCAAUUAUACCCUUUGACUGAACUUUUAACGAGGUUGGCCUCUCGGUCGACUUUGCUAUGGCAUUGGAGGGUCGCUUGUGUCUUUAGUGACCUUCCGCAUGUGUUCAAUGAUGCAAUGGAGGCUCUGUCCACCAGUGAUUAUCUAUGGAGCAAUCGAGCUUCGUCAUUUCUAUUCCUUAUUUGAUGAAGUUAGCCAACAAGGAGAAUGAUCAUUUUACAGUCCAUUCGUCAUUGCCGAAAUAAUAUUUUCUGGAGUUCUACUAUUCUUUUGGUCUUUACUAUGUUGGAUCCAAAUUGAACGUGAAAGAGCUCGGACUUCUGCUUCUAACAUAUUAAGAAAACUUUGGCCUUGAUGAAUUUUGUUAUGUCCGACAAAUCUUGGCAACGGCGAGGACUUGGCUACAUAAUCUGUAUGGUAAGUAUUUUCCUUGAUAUGAUAAGCAAUUGGCCAUAGACAAAGAUGCCAACCUCAUCUAGCAAACUAUCCACAAACAUCUAGGACCUAAUAUGCCCAAAUAAAAAAGCACCUUUGAGCUCUCAGAGCACAUCAGCGGGGCAACAAAAGAUUAUUAAUUAUUCUUUAUUAAUGAAUCUCAUUCUUUCUCAACUACAUGGACUUUACACUUUUUUUAUAGCCGUGUCUUCCUCCUAUCUUAUCUCUCGCUCGGCACAGAGCUACGUACCGUAAGCUCGUAACUAAGUAGGGGAUUAAAUUGGGUCGAAUGUUCUUGAUCAGUCAGACCAGUCAUCCUCAACUAGCGUGCACCCUUUCUCGGGUUCAAAGGGACUCCCCGUCGUCAAGAUCUAGCUAGGAACAAAGGUUCUCUCUCAUUUCGAAGCUGCAAAAACGCUCAUUUCGUUUCAUGCUUGUAUAGCCAAAGCAAAAAGUAAAGAGCCUACGUAAUGACCCCGUUUCAGACACGUGGAAUACAAAGGCUGAAAUUAUUUGGGGCCCACAAGCGUACCUAUCCCACGUCGGGACGUGAAAGUCCAAAAUUACCCCCCGCACGCAGGAAAUGGGAAAUAUUAAGAGCCUUUUUUAUAUAUUUACGGAUGAAGAGAGAAGGGGGAAAAUAAGCAUUUUAGAAAUGUGACUGCCAUGUCAACUGGUUAUAUUUGAACAUCUUGACCAAAUUGGUCUUGAUGGGUUAUCAACACUGUGAGCCUCCGUUACAUCCCACUCGAUGCGAAGGAGUAUAAGAAGAAGGGUGCUUUGGUCAUGUGCCAAUUUCAAGAUUCAAAACAUCACAAUUUCAGCAUAGGGUUGUCCGGCCGAGUAGCAACUACAUCUAAACCCUUCUCGGUAUCAGGAAUAUAGCUAAUGAAUUAAUUACACAAUAAAAUCCAAAUGAAUUAUGAUGCUUAGCAUGAUAUAAGAAAUGACCCAUUAUGAUAUGAUAAUCUCUCUUUCAAUAGAUCUUGAAGUUAUCUAAUCAUGAAAAUUAUUGACUAGUUUUCAUGUUUCAAUUUGAAAGCAUUAAAGGGAAAAGGAUGGCUUUUUAAAGUCCUACCAAAUAAUUUAUUUUUAAUAAUUGAGAAUAGAAAUCAAUAGUCCGAGAAAUUUUCCUUAAUGAAACGAACCAUUGUUUCUUCAUGUUCUUCUCUCCUCCCUUGGCCCCUUCUCCUUCUCCAUUGACGUCGCUUCAGUGCAAGCUUCGACAGCCUUUGGCAGCUUUCUAGCUCAAGGAAGGCGGCCAAUACAUGAUUCAUGAAAUCUUUAAAAAGGGAAACAUUCGAUCAAAUUUCAAUUUGUUGAGUUCUUUCACCCCAUGGUCCAUAUGCUCGUAAAACCAGAGUCCUAUAGUUUAUCAUCUCUCGAAUUGUUGAUAUGAAUGCCAAGUACCAGAAUAUGACUCCACACUUUAUUUAUAUCAUGACCAUGUAGAAGCCACAACAAAACUAUUGGACAUUUGCCGGAAACCAUGAAAUGAGUGGAAUCGGUAGACCAAUUCUGCCAAUGUUAUUUUGAACAAGUUGUCUUUAGUUUUAAGGUGUAGUUUCCUCAAACCAUCCCAACAUGAUGGUCUCGUAUACUUGCAAAAAUGAUUGUUAUUAAGUCUUGACUUAAGAUUAACCAACUUGAUCAAAAAAUACUUUGUAACAGAAGAGUCCUCAUUACAUGAAGCACCAUUGCCCACAAGGACCAUGAGAAUGAUUCCUUGAAAGCAAGAUGAAUUUCAGCUCAAAACUUGAUAAAACUUAAACUCAAUUUGAACUUAACCUUCACGCGACUUCAUCUACCAAGCAUGAACUCCCAAAAAGUUGCUGAGAGAUGGGGCAAAUAUCCUCGAGUCUCGCACCAAAGUUCCCGCGGAACAGCUAUGCACCACCCUUUUUUCCUCACUUUUUUGAAUGGGUGGAAUCCACGUGGCAAACUUAGAGUCGUUAACUUUUCUUUUAUAAAGAAGAGUAGUCGGCCACUUGAAAAUUUUGCAAUUUGGUCUGUCGGGGGAUCCAAUUUUUUGAGGGCUUUUUAAAUAUUUGUCCGGUCGACUUGAUCUCAGAUGCGUAGGCAAUCUUUCGUAUCUUUGGUUUGAUUUACUGGGCGAUGAGAAGAGUGAGCCGAGGNNNNNNNNNNNNNNNNNNNNNNNNNNNNNNNNNNNNNNNNNNNNNNNNNNNNNNNNNNNNNNNNNNNNNNNNNNNNNNNNNNNNNNNNNNNNNNNNNNNNAGAUAAGGAAAAAAAAAGAGAGAAAGGAAAAUACUUAUUUGUAAAAUUGUUUCUUCAAAUAAGAAGUUUUUUUUUUUAUUUCUUAUUUUUGUUUCAAAUCUAUCUCUGGCUACUAUUCUAUUCUGGGGAUUUAAAAAAUUAGUUGACAUUACCAAAUGGAUUUCUAUUAUUAUUUUGUUCCGGAAAACAAAAGAGUAAAAGACUAGAGAAAUUGGCAAGUUACCAUGCACACCCCCAAGGAACCAUAGAAGGGAAAUACUUGCAUGGUUCAUGGUCUAUGGACCAUAUGCAAUCACAUCCAUUGAUUUUUGUAAUUUAUACAACUAAUGAUCUUCAUAUUUGAGUUAGGAGAGAGAAUGAACUUCCUUGAGAAAUAGAAAUGAACCUGCCUUUUCUCUUUGCUUAUGAUGUACACAAGUCAAUCUUCAAGUCUUUGUCCAACCCUCUUGUGAAGGCAGGAGAAAGCACCGAAGUAUGUCUUGUCUAGUCAAUUGACUCGUUAUGCAUUGGUCUGCACAUGGUCAAAUUGCGCGUCAAAUAGGCUAGUAAUUCGUGUGUUCACACAAGUACACACAAAGAUGUCAACACUUACAAGUUCUGUUUGGAAAUUGGCAACCCACUCGCAAUACUAGCAAAGCGCGUUUUGAAAUUUCGGCCCUGGAAAGUACCAGGAAACUCAGGUUGAUAUUAUAAAAGAAAAUCAUACAGUUCACACCUCUGAGAAUAAAAUAUUUAAAAUAUCUCAACUUUGUUGGAAUCAUCGUGAAGGAGGAACCACAUUUUCUUCGCAAUUUCCAUUAGAAAAACAACGUCAAAUUAAGCGGACAUGAAUCCAAUGCCAAAUCAAGCAGUAAACAAACAAUAGAGACGAAUCAGACAAAAUCAGCAUUUGAUUUGAAUAUCAGCAUCGGUGUACAAUUUCAAUCAGCUGAGCAAUUUCAUUUUGUCAUCGUUCAAUCUAGCAUUGAAGUGCAAUCAUAACAUGCAAUCCUAGUCUAUUUUCAGCUUCAUGUAACUUUAUGGCAAUAGCAAAUAAUAUCGAGUAUGAAUGGCUUUAUGAAGGAAGGCUGCAGGUGGCUUCCAGGCAAAUGGCGCAUAGUACCAAAGUAAUAGCAAGCGGAACUCAUUUUAACUUGUCCAGAUACAUCCAACAUCUAACCGUUCAGCAACACGCAACUUAUACUUCCGACGCCACCUCCUCCCCUUCGACGACUUUCAUCAACUUAGCCUGAAUGCUUUUGUUUGCUUAUGAAGGAAGGUCGCUGGUGCAUUACAGUGCCUGUUACUCUAGACACAACUCGCCCGGUCUCUACUCUGUGAACAACCAAUUAUACUUUCGAUUGGUAUUGCAGGUAUAAGGAAGGCAGCACACGAUUGAUAAAGUUGGAUUAUGGGUGCGUUUAUUUUACGAAAAAUGAAUAAUUUAAAAAUAUUUUUUUAAAAAGAUUGUUUAUAUCGCUCAUAUAUAAUUAGUCAAUGAAAAAUAUUUCCNNNNNNNNNNNNNNNNNNNNNNNNNNNNNNNNNNNNNNNNNNNNNNNNNNNNNNNNNNNNNNNNNNNNNNNNNNNNNNNNNNNNNNNNNNNNNNNNNNNNNNNNNNNNNNNNNNNNNNNNNNNNNNNNNNNNNNNNNNNNNNNNNNNNNNNNNNNNNNNNNNNNNNNNNNNNNNNNNNNNNNNNNNNNNNNNNNNNNNNNNNNNNNNNNNNNNNNNNNNNNNNNNNNNNNNNNNNNNNNNNNNNNNNNNNNNNNNNNNNNNNNNNNNNNNNNNNNNNNNNNNNNNNNNNNNNNNNNNNNNNNNNNNNNNNCAAACCAAUUGAAAUCAUCUCUUUUAUAAAUCAUACUACAUAAAUCAUCUAAUGUUAUUACAAUUCCAUGUAUGUCUAAAUGAUAAAGUACUAAGAAAAGCAUCUUGAUUGGGAUCCAAUGAUUUACACCAUGAUCGAAUUGCCCAGUUCGAAUUAGAAACAAAUCCAGGGGCUUUUGUCUUUGCUUAGAACAUACGCAAGUUCAUCGUCAAGUCUUUGUCCAACCUGCUUGUUAAGGCAAUGAAAAAGCACUAAAGUACGUUUAUCUAGUCAAUUUGCUUAGCAUGCGCUGGUAUACACACAUCCAAAUUUCACAUCAAAUAGACUUGGCAACUCACCCACAAGACCGGCACAACGUGUUUGGCCCAGGGAAAAUACCAGGAAACAUGGGUCGAUCAUUAAAAAAAGAAAAGAAAAAGAAAAGCAUAAAGAUACUCAUUCGAGAAUAAAAUGUUUCAAAAAUCUCAACUUCGUUCGCAUCAUUGUCAAGGAGGAACCAUAUUAUCUUUGCACUUUCCAUCAAAAAUCAGCUAAAUUCAGUGAGGACUCUUUUGCUCAUUGAAAGUGAUUUAUUUUGUAAACAUAGUUUGCAAAGCAAAACUCAAAUUGCGUGAAAGAUUAAAAUGAGCAUCGACUUGAAAUUAAAGAAUAUAGAAAACUUUAACAAUGUCUUCUAAAUUUUUGAAUAAUUAAGUCCAUUUAAAGUGUGGAAACUUCUAAGUAGGUUGGCCAACUAAAAUUGCAAAGUAAAAAAUCUAGGAAGGGCACGUUUUGGAAAUUUUUUUGGAGUCCGUUCACGGGGUCUGAAUAUUAAGUAUGAAUCAUAGUUAAUAUUUUGUGAUCUAUACUCAAAUACACCCCUUGCCUAUGGCAGUGAGGGCCAGGACCCUCACUUGUGGUGGGGAUCUUAUGAUCUAUGUCCAAAUUGUAAAACUAUAAGAUAGCAAAGCAUAUUGGCUGGUCUCUUAAAAUAUGUUUUCCAAGGCAUCCCGCUCAACUACUUCUCCAGUAUGCUGCUUAGCUCAUGGGGUUGAGAAUAUAAUGUUCUNNNNNNNNNNNNNNNNNNNNNNNNNNNNNNNNNNNNNNNNNNNNNNNNNNNNNNNNNNNNNNNNNNNNNNNNNNNNNNNNNNNNNNNNNNNNNNNNNNNNNNNNNNNNNNNNNNNNNNNNNNNNNNNNNNNNNNNNNNNNNNNNNNNNNNNNNNNNNAACACCUCAUAAUGGGGUUACAUGUGUCUGCCUAGCCAUAGGCUAAACUCUCUUGGUGAUUCAUGAAAUGCUUGAUUCAAUGGUAAUAUUUUGUUCAUAAUGCAAAGAUGUGCAAUCAUCAAAUUUCAUAUCGUAAGUCAACAUUCAGAAAUUCAAUCAAUGACAUUCAAUCACUGGAUGUCGAAUUUUUCAAACAAAAAAAUGGAGUCGGUAUUAUCUAAAAGUCGUUUCUUUAUAGUAUUUGAGAGUAAUUAUUUGAAAAUUAUCACAUAGAGCCUCGGUUCACACAUCGAUGAUGUUUGAGGACUCGUCUUGGACCAUUUGCCUUAGCCGCCCAUUUGGUGCGAAUCUAGAAGGGUCUUUUUAACUCAUCGAGGAAGGCCGCCGGUAACUUCCAGACAAAUGGAACAAAAUAUCCUAGUAAUGGCUAGUGAAAUGCGUCCAAACAUUCAAAGAACAUGCAAUCAUGUAAUAUAAUUCCGAGACGACCUCUUCGUCUUCGAAGACUUACACCAAUUAUUUCCUCAAACUUAGCUUUCUAUUUGGUGCUGAGUCUGAAUGGUGUUUUUUUUUUUUUUAAUUAACUGAUGAAGGAAGGCCCCAGGAAACUUCCAGGCAAGUGGCACACGAUAACAAAGGAAUGGCAAGUGGAAAAUAUAUACUAAGUUGUCCAAUACGUCCAACAUCUAACUGAACAAAAUAAGAGAAACCUUCUGGCUAAAAAAUAAAAAUAAAAACUUGAUUAAUAUCCCGAGCCUCUUAAGCAGAGUAUAAAUGAGCUCGUUUUCUUUCUGUUCAUGAAUAAAAUUGUAAUUGAAAUAUUUAAGAUUGUGCUAACACGAAGCACAAAAAAUUGGCUUUUUACUGAUGCAUAAUGCUAGUAGGUGGAAUAAAAGCAAGAAUUAAUUGAUCAUGCCAAUUAACGCGAAUCUAGAUCGAACGUAAGAAGAUAUGCUUUGUUUGGCUUAGCAGAAUGGAAGUUUGGCUCCAGCUGAGAAAAGUUAAUCCUUUUUUAAUUUAAUUAGCAUAACAAAAGCAAUUGAAAUAUGCUUUUUCUAGCCUAGAAAUAAAGGAAGAGAUUCCUCAUUCCAAAAACAAAAUAGACAAAAAGAUCAAAGGGGAUCAUCGAUUAUGCUUCCUUUGUGGUCACGCUAAAUUUGAGUGGACCUAACGGGCCAAUUGAAAUAAUAUCUAUUAUGAAUUGUACUGCAUAAAUCAUCUUAUGUUAUUAUAAUCUUAUGAAUGUCUAACUGAAAAUGCACUAGCAAAAGCAUCUCAAUUGGCAUCCCGUGAUUCACGUCAUGAUUGAAUUGCAUAGUUCGAAUUGGAAACAAAUCUGUGGCCUUUCGUCUUUUCUUAGAACAUAAGUAGGUCCAUCAUCAAGUCUUUGUCCGACCCUCUUGUGAAGGCAAAGAAAAAGCACUAAAGUGUAUUUAUCUAGUCAAUUCACUUAGUAUGUGUUGGUCUACAUAUAGCCAAAUUCCACAUCAAGUAGACUUGUGUUGGUUGACUCGUUUUCCUUGACAAUCUAAACGCCAGAUAAAUCGGAAAAUAUAAUAUCGGAAAUAUGUUUUCCACGAAACAUAUUUGGAGAAUGGCAACCCACUAGCAAGAACAGCAAAGCGUGUUUAGAAACCAGCAAGCUUGGGUUGAUAUCAUCAAAAAAUCUUAAAAGUCACACCUUCGAGAUUAAAAUGUUUGAAAAAUUUCAACUUUAUUGGAGUCAUUGUGAAAGAGGAGCCACAUUUUCUUCGCAAUUUCCAUAUAAAACGUCCAAUUAAGCAGACAUGAAUCCAAUGCGAAAUCAAUUAAUAAACAAGCGACAGGGAUGAAUCAAAUCCCGAUAGAAUCUACAUUUGAUUGUAGUAUCAGCAUGCAAUUUUAUUUAGUGAGUAAUUUCAGUCGGCGAGGAAUUUCAUUUUGUCAUUGUUCAAUCUAGUAUCGUAGUGCAAUCAUAACGUGCAAUCUUAGUCUAUAUUCAUUUUCAUGUAACUUUAUCACAAUAGCAAAUAAUUUUGAAGUUACCAUGCAAUCGCUAGUCAGCAUAUGAUUUUAUAGCAGCCCAAAAUUUUCAAGACAAAUGUGUAUGUUCAUAGGAUCGUUAUAAGGGAUUUUGGAAGUCUUACACAACUACAACUAUUGUAUAAAAAUUCAAUCCGAUUAAUUACUUGUUUUACGUCAAGCAACUUGAAUUAGUGUCCUGGACAAAGUAACACAGUAAUGGCGAGAGUAGCACGUGAUUGUUCCUCCUAAGACUUUCAUUAAUUAUUUCUUCAACUAGUUGGUGCGAGUCUGAUUUUUUUUUUCCUUUUCUUUUUUUAUAUACAUGAAGGAAGGCCGCAGGUGACUUCCAGGCAAAUGGAGCUUAGUAACAAUGUAAUAAUAAAAUAUAUUUCUGAGAUCACGUCCGACGACGGAUGACUUCCAUCCAUUCUUUCCUCAACUUGGCCUCCUAUUUAGUGCGAUCCGUAUGGCCCUUCUUUUAAGCUUAUGAAGGAAGGCUGCAAGUGACUUCCAGGCAAAGGAUUAUUUCCUCAACCGAGCGAUCUCACUCUGUUUGCGUGGGGGCUUUUAGGCAAAGGAGCAAACUGGACAAGGUAAGGCAAGUUUCAUUAGAUGUUCGUGUUUUACAAAGGAUAGAGGGGAAGAGCUUCAUUUUUUAGUUGGUCUGUUAUACUUGUUUCCGAGACCAAACAGACUUGCCUCUUCAUAGGUUCGUUUCCACUGCCGUUCUUCAGUUAAUUUCUCUGAAUAUUAUCUCUGCUUGUUCUUUUUGCAUGCUGAACAUUAUUUUUAACUAUCGCAACUCAAGCUAGAGAACACCAACUACAACUACCAACUAGAGACUUGAAUCUUAGAGAAGUCCAGCAUUUUGUGGAGAUUUGAUCAAGACGUCCACAGCUUUAUCAAGUUGUUUCAAGGAUCAGACUCAGACUUCCGAGUCACCCAGCGGACUAGAUUAAGAGAUCAAUCACUUCAUCGUCCUCCCAGAAUGAAUAGAAAGAGUGAGGCAGAAGAGAUGGCGGUGCCUGCAGUGAUGGCGAUGGAGGCGGUGACAACAGCUCCGGCAAGUGGUAGCCAUGAUGGUGGAUCGGAGAGGGGGCUGAUGGCGGUGGCGAUGGCAGCACUGGCAAGCAGUAGCCAUGACGGCGAAUUGGGGAGAGGCUAUGAGGUAUUCUUGAGCUUUAGAGGGCCCGACACCCGCUUAACCAUCGCUGAUUUUCUCUACGAAGCCAUUAAACAUGCAGGGAUCCGCGUUUUCAAAGAUGACGAAGAGCUCCGAGUCGGUAAAGAGAUAGANNNNNNNNNNNNNNNNNNNNNNNNNNNNNNNNNNNNNNNNNNNNNNNNNNNNNNNNNNNNNNNNNNNNNNNNNNNNNNNNNNNNNNNNNNNNNNNNNNNNNNNNNNNNNNNNNNNNNNNNNNNNNNNNNNNNNNNNNNNNNNNNNNNNNNNNNNNNNNNNNNNNNNNNNNNNNNNNNNNNNNNNNNNNNNNNNNNNNNNNNNNCCUCCAAAAGCACCAGAAAGACUCCGGGAAGGAUACGGCAAAGCAGUGGGAGGAGCGAUUUAAAAGAGGUUGUCAGAAUUAAAGGAUGGAAUCUAAAAGAUUACGGGUACUGUUAGCUCUCUGUUAAGUUUAUUUCCAUUUUGUCAAUUUCGAGAUUAUUUUCUAUGGUACUUUUUUCCAGAAUAAUAACUUUCAGUUUGCUGCUGUUCAAUCUUCUUUGAUGUAUGGUUGGAUCGGACGCAGUGAGGGAGCGAGAAAUUUUGCUCUGGGAGCAAGGUUUCUUGCACAAAUUGAUUUUUCACUUUUAAUCCCAAGUUAUGGUAACAAUAAUGCACAUAUGUGUGAAAAAGAAAAUUUUAAAUCUCUUAACUUCCCAGCUUAUUUUUCGGCUAGCAAAAUAUUUCAAAAAAAUUUUGGUCGUUGCUCUUGCUUUAAACAUGGACCUAUUCACGGCCCCAAACCUUAUUUAGGGCACCACGGGGUGAAGAUUUCCUUUGCCUUGUGACCAUCCUAGUUUUAAAGUUCUCAACUUUUAUAUGAAACUACCAACCUUAAUUUGUGUCUUGCCAACUUCUUUUCGAUUAUUUUACAAACUAAUUUUGGGUUACCGGUGUUUAUUUGAGUCAUUUACUAGGUUUUAUUUGAUCGUUUGCUGACUAACAACUUUUUAUAAAACCUACCAUCUCUUAUUUGAAUUGUGUACUUCACAUUUCAAAAUUACCAAUAUUUGAAACAAAUUACUAACCCUAAUAUGAGUUUCAUACAAACUAAUCUCUAAUUAAGUUAAGAACUAAUUUAAGUUACCUACUCUUAUGUGAGCCACUUAUCAAUAUUUAAUUUUUGCUUAAAAAUUCCCAACUUUCGUAACAAAAUUUUGUUAACAACUGACCCCCUUUUAUUAGCAUAGUUCACGAACAUUCUUACAUUAGGAACUCUAUUAUCAAGUUACCAAGUAUAAUCUGAGUAACUUACCAACUUAUUCCGAUUAAAUACUAACAAAUUUAAUGUGAGUGAUGAGAUUGCUAACUUAAACUAGUUGGUAGAUUAUUCGGAAAAAUGAUGGUUGCAUGUUAUGUAUGUGGCAGCCAAUAUAAACUUACAAAGCUCAUGGUGGAAGAGGUUUCAAAUUUGCUAUGGACAAGACGAACGGACAUGUCAAAUCAUUUGGUGGGAAUUAAAGAUCGAAUGGAUGACAUUAUGAAGCUGCUAGAUCUAGGAGCUUUUGAUGUACGGUUUAUUGUGAUUCACGGUAUGGGUGGCAUCGGAAAGACAACACUAGCCGAGGCCGUCUUCAGGCAAAUCUACCCUCAAUUUUUGGGUAAUUGCUGCUUUCUUAAAGAUGUUCAAACUCAUGAUAUAAUAGGCUUACAAAAGAAAUUGAUGUUUGACGUUCUCAAUCUUAGUUGCACAAACCCCUUCUUCAUUGAUGAAGGAGCUGACAUGAUCAAGACAAGGUUUCUUGGCAAGAAAGUCCUCAUUGUUCUCGAUGACAUUGACAAUUGGGACCAAAUCAUGAGGCUUGCAGGUGAGACCAACUGGUUUGGUGGGGGUAGUAGAAUCAUCAUAACAACAAGGAAUAUUGAAUUCUUGGUAAAGGAAGGUGAGGAUGACAAUCUCCCAAUCCCUAAUAGCGGACAAUUUUCAUUCUACGAUAUGCCGGAGAUGAAUUCACAUUAUGCUCUUGAACUUUUCUGUGAGCAUGCCUUGGGAUGUGCCAAGCCUCCGCUUAGUUACAUGGAUAUCACAGAAAAGCUAAUCAAUGCACUAGGAGGACUUCCAUUGGCUCUCAAUGUCGUAGGUUCCAUGCUCCGUGGAAAAUGCCCAAGUACAUGGGAAAACGCCCUAUGUAAGUUAAAGAAGGUGAUGAAUGAGGAUGUCAAGAAGAAGUUGAUGAUAAGCUAUGAUGCAUUGGAUCAUAAUCAACAACAAAUUUAUCUUGAUAUUGCAUGUUUCUUCAUCAACGAAAAGAAAACAAUUGCAGUUAAAUAUUGGGAUGCGAUUUUUGGGUAUUCGACCGAAAUCGAGGUCAAUAUCCUCAAACGCAUGUCUUUGAUAAAAAUAUCGAACAACAAUAAACUAUGGAUGCACGACCAACUUAGAGACCUUGGAAGGAGUAUCGUCCAUCCAGAAAGUGGCGAAAUCCAUAUGAAGGGUACAAGAUUGUGGUCUCCCAAGGAUGCCUUUCAUAUAGUGCGGACAGAAACGGUAAUCUUUACCUCUAAAAUUUUUCUAGUGCAUCUAUUAGCAUCAUCACCUUUUUAAUCUAAUUUCAACUCAAACUAACAUAUGUUUUCAUUGGUUGCUACUUUUAUUUUCCAGGGAACCAAGGACGUAGUGGCGCUCAAUCUUGGUACACUUGACCCCCAUAAGACAUACAUAUUUAAGCACAAGCAAUUCAUGGGCUUGGUCAACCUUAGAUUCCUUCAAUUGAACCAUGGAAAUUUUGAAGGAGACUUUAAGAAUGUUUUCUUCGAGUUGAGAUGGCUCUCUUGGAGCAAUUGCCCUUCGAAAUUCCGAGCUACCAACUUUGGGUUGAAGAACCUAACGAUUCUCAUGCUAUCUGGGAAUAAUGUUACUGAAGAUUGGGGAGGAUGGUGUCAAAUCAUGGUAUGAUCUCACAACAUGCUUUUGCAUUACAUUUACUCUUCCUUUUGCAUUACAUUUACUCUUCCUCUUUUCUAAGUUUCAACCAAUUACUUUAUAGGUGGCGGAACAAUUGAAAAUCCUACAACUCGAGGACUGUCCAUUCCUUAGAAAGAUGCCCAAGUUCUCCACAAUCUCGCAGCUAGAGAAAUUGAUUCUUAGAUGCGUUCGACUAAGAAAGAUUGACAAGUCCAUCAGCAAUCUACAACAUCUUGAUUACCUAGAGAUAAAGAGUGAAGCUAUUGAGUUGCCAUCGGAGUCCAUCGGCGGUCUAAAAUCUUUGACAGUGCUAAGAAUAGAACGGCCACCCUCAAGGAAGCCUCACUCGAUUGGCAUUUUAGCAAAGGUGAAGUCUCUAAUCUUGCCAUGCAAGGAACUUCAAAAGCUUCCCGACUCUAUCGGACAAUUGGAGUCACUACUUGAGCUAGAUGUCCAAUAUUUAAAAAUUAGUGAAUUACCUCAUUCUAUUGGAAAUCUUGAAAGGUUAAAAGUUUUACGCAUAUGGAAUUCCUAUCUAGAAAAGCUACCAGACUCGAUUGGAAGGCUCCAAUCAUUGGUCAAGUUGGAUUUGAGCAAGUCAAGAAUUGGGAGCUUACCUGAUUGUAUUGGAAAUCUCAAAAAGUUGAAGGUACUAAAUCUCAAUGAUAGUUGCAUAAGUGAACUUCCGAAAACCAUAGGAAUGUUGGAAAAUCUGGAAAAGUUAAAUGCCCGCUCUAAACAUCUAGUGGGGGAAAUUCCAAGUGAAAUUGGGGCACUAACCUCAUUGAAAUAUCUAGACUUAUGCCAAGGUCGCUUUAGUGGAUUGCCCACAACGAUCAAUCAACUUACAAAUCUCCAACAACUUGAUUUACAGUACUGUAAUUCAAUCCAACAGCUGCCGGAGCUUCCCAAGAGUCUAAUGUUUUUAACCCUAACAUCGGAUUCACUAACCACGAUCCCCGACUGCUCAAACCUAACCAAUUUAGUUGACGUUACGAUAACUGGAUAUUCAAUUGAAGAACCCAACACAGAGGGGAUCGUGAGACUACCUGCUCUAAAAGCACUGAUCCUCCGCAUUGGAAGAAUGGCCUUGCCUCCAACUGAUUUUAGUUCCCUCUCUCAGCUACAACACCUCUCCAUAAAUUGUGCUGAGCCCCAAUCUCUUAUCGGGCUCCCAUCCAGCCUUCAAUAUUUGUUGUUAUGCAAUGUCCAGUCACCGAUAGAUUGGUCAGUCUUUUCCAACUUGGAGAAUUUGUCAAAUCUGCAUAUUGGUGGAUAUUCGCCGGGAGAGAUUCGAUUCGAGGUGCUUGGAGAGCUACGGAAAUUCAAUAAAUUGUUGAUGUCCAAUUGUCCAUUGCUCAAGACGCUGCCCCUUCUACCUGGUCUGAAGGAGAUCCAGAGUUUGACCCUAGUUCUAUUCCCUCGGCUAAUUGAGAUUCAAGGUUUGGGAGAAUUGAAAUCAUUGCAGGAUUUGCAUAUCUUGGAAUGCAAUUCCAUCAAAAGCUUAAACGAAUUUGAUCUUUCUAAUCUACAAAAUCUGAAAAGUUUGAGGUUCUGUGGAUGUAAAUCAUUGGAGAGGGUGCUUGGUGUGCCAAAAUCUUGUCAACUUGAGGUGGAUGAUUGUCCGAGGUUCAAUAAAGAUGGAUAAGAUAUGUAUCAUUUGAUUGGCAAAGAUAGUCGAUGAUGGUAAGUCCAUAGAAAUAGAGUUCAUUUUUUGUUGUGUCCUGUUUUGUGAGUUUUCCUUCAACUAACCUUUCAUCUUGGUUUUGGAACCACCUCUUGCAUUCGUUCAUCCUGUUGUCUCUGAAGGAAAAUCCUCUUUCAUGUAUCAUAAAUGUGUGAUACUUUGACUUGCCUACUUGACGAUGGUGAUACCUAGCUGGUUUAUGUUGCACACCAGCAUACGUCGGGAUUGACAUGCUUCGCGGCACCUGUUUUGUUUAGAAAAAAUGGAUAAAGUGGAAGGGAACUUUUACAUAGUAAGCACACUAAAGAUGCUGACAAAUGCUGGGUUUUGUUGUAAGGCUAAGGUGGUUGAGACUUGAGAGUACUGGUCUCAUCUUAUGGAGUGUUUUUUUUAAAUUAGUAGAGAACAAUCAUGAUUUAUGAGGACUGAAAUAAAGGAGUUAUUGCUUGGUUAGCGGAAGAGUGAAUCGUUGAUACCUAUUAUGCAAUAUGAGUGAUUUAGUUAUUUCCUUCAUGAAGAAUUGGAGGUGUUUUUCUUGUUACUUCUGAACUGAAGUGGAGAAGCUUCAAGUCUUGAGUCACGGUGUGAUUUUGUGAACUAUCUUUCUUCAUUCUAGUAUUUAGCCAUUUAUGCAUGAAAUUCGUGCUGGGAGACAAUUGAUAUUGGAGUAAACUUGUCGAUAUGGUCAAGCCACCAUUUUGUUGAAGACUAGGUUUAGCUACAUCGAGUUGUGCAUUCUGCAAUUUCUGUUGUUAGGAAAGAGGACCUUUGUGUCAUUGAAGACUAGAUUUUGUUUAUUCUUUCAGCUGACCUAUUGCACCUUUCCUCAUCUCUCUCUCUCUCUCUUUCUGCUAAUAAUGUGGUUACUGUUAACUUGUUAAAUAAACCUGUUUGAUCUUUGUGUCUAUCAUUUUUACAUUUGCUGAUAAAACAUUUUUUUACAAGCUCCUCCAGGACGAUGGUGAAAUGUUCUUUUACAUGGUAGUCUAGGCUUUGGCAAGACAUAUUGUUGGUGCUACGGUAACGACUUGUUCUCUUCAAUCCAUAUUAGUAAAAGGGUGAGCUAUGGAUAAGUACAUUGGUACUUUUAAGCAAGCUGUACAAGGCUUCUUUUCAACUAUGCGGAUGUUUAUUGAGUUCUAUUAUGCAAUCUUCUAAUGAACUUUGUUAUUUCCAUAUAUUUCACAAUUUUGUGCUUUCUCCUUUUGCUUUUGUAUCCAUUUAAUAGAGGUCCCUUCAUCUAUGCCAUCAGUUGAAAUAGGAUAACUAGUAGUAGCAAUGAGGAUCCUACCACUGCAACCAAGAUGUUCUAAUUAUAUUAUUUUAAACAAUAGCAGUGAGGAUUCUCCCAUAACCAAUAAAGAGGCCAAGUUAAAAUGGUUCUUGAGUUUUCUCACACAUGAAUGAGAGAAUCCUCUGUGAAGAUUAAAAGAAAGAUUAAGAUGUAAGAUAUUUGAAGUUUUUCUCUAAUAGAAAUUUGAAAUUUAUGAUCAAAUGUCUACUGGAUCAUCUGUUCAGCACAUUGGCAGCAUUGAUUUUGUGAACAAACUAGAGAAAUUUUGAAUAUUUGAGAGUACUAGCAAUUUUAAAAUUACAGGUUUGGAUAUAUUCUCGAAGGCAACAGCUAUAGCACCUUAACUUCUCUUUUUUCAUGAAUUUGAUUCCAUUGUGCUGAUGAGGAGGCAUGAUAAUACGAGGGUCACUGACCUUGUCAUCAAUCAGUUAGUUGCUUGCAUUCAAUGGCACUUGUAAAGUGGUCAUGUGAAAUAUAGUUGAUGGUAUGACUCACUAAUAGUAUGUUAUUCAUUGGUGCAAAUUUUUACCGAAUCAAAUGGUGUUGAAGUUUUAAGCGGUGUGUUUGUGUCAGCAGGGACAAGGCAAUAAUUUCAUCUUACAUGGUAACAAAAAGUACUCUUUUUCCAUAUCACACUAAUUGUAAACUGCCAUUGGAAAUUGCAUGGCCAUUAUGAAUGCUUUGCCAAAAAAAUUUCUAUGAAGCAUUUAAUAUGGAGACUACGUAAUAACCUUCAAGGCAGACUAUUAAAUGCUGGACAUGACUUUUCCUUGAUUUAGAAUUGUUUAACUUUGGAUACACAGUAUUAGAUAAACUACAUAUGUAUCAAAUAAGGAAACACACGGUAGGAUUGCUUGAAUUACUUUUCAGUUGCUGAAGUAGCUUACAAGAAGUGUAUUAAACUGGUCUUGAGCCUCUUCAACAACAUCAACGGAUGUUGAUCGUUUUAGUUUUGGGUGUGCCAAAAUCUUGUGAGCUCAUCAUCAUUGACUGCCUGAAGCUCAAUAGAGAUGGAUAGGGUAUAUAUCAUUUGAUUGGCAUAUAGUUGAUGAUGGUAAGUCCAUAGAACUAGAGUUCGUUUUUUUGCUACGUCCUAUUUUGUGAGUUUUCUUUCAGCUAAGCUUUCAUCUUAGUUAUGGAACCACCACUUGUAUUCGUUCAUCCUGUUAUCUAUGAGCAAAAUUCCUUUUUUGCAUGUCAUGAACAUGCGGUACUUUCACUUGCCUCCACGGUGGUGAUGCUUAACUAGUUUAUGUUGCACAUCAGCAUAAUGUUGGGGUUAACAUGCUUCGCAGCACGUAACUUGCUUAGAUAGUAAGCACACUGAAGUUGCUAACAAAUGCUAGGUUUUGUUGAGAGGCAGAGAUGGUUGAGAGUACUAGUCAUACCUCAUGUAGUGUUUUUUCAAUUUCACUGUAGAACAAUCAUGAUUUGUGAGGAAUGGAAUAAAGGAAUUAAUGCUUGGUUAGCGAAAGAGUGAAUUGUCGAUACCAUUUAUGCAGUAUGAAUGAUUAAAUUACUUCCUUCUGAAAGAAUUGAAGGUGCUUUUCUAGUUACUUCUGAACUUAUAUUAUGUUUGUCUAGUUGUUUGCUAUUUGUUCAUUCCCUCCCAUCUUAAAUUACCAAACACAAUUGCGGAAGAUGUUGCAAAUCACCCAAUAAGGCAUUUACAUUCUUGAAUUCUUAUUUGUUGUGUCGAUGACUUCUGAAUCCUUUGCUAUUUUCAAUUGGGUUUGGGAAUUUGAUAACUCUGACUCAUUGAUGAAUUAAAGAAGGCAAAUACAAUAAUCUUGGUUGAUCUCUUUUGUAUAAUUUUUGUUUCCUGCAGUUCCAUAGAUUGAAUUGGGAUUUUCCGAUGCUGCACAAUCAAAUAUCAUUGUCAGCUUUGCUCCACAUCUGAUUCCAAUGGUUAUAGUUGCAAUUUUCAAGCAUUCACAUUCUUAAAGUAGAAGUUCUGCUUCUCUGGCCAUAAUUAUUAACUUUUUUCAUCUAUUUAUGUAAAGUCCUGGAAUGCAGUCAACUGUUGUUGUUGAAAUGUCUUAGUGUGUAAUGGUGGGGAUCUAUAUGAGCAACUUAAAGUUGUUUGCUGGCCAAACUUUGUUUGGCCCAUAGUCCUAUUCCUCUUAGGCAUUCAAUGGCUUAAUGUAUUGAGCAUUAACCUUAGCUUUUGUUUGCUGAAGUAUUUUUCAAUACUCAUAAUUAGCUUAAUCAAAGUACAUAAUUUAUUUCACCCACAUCUAGAUAGUGUUUUAUGAGUGUCUUUCCUAAUUGAGUAUCUAGGCGAGCAAUACUAAUCUCUAUUGUAGGUUCCCAAGUGUCUGUUUUCCAUUGAAUGCUUUACUUUCCGUGUAACGUCAGAGUCAUCUUAUGGUGGUAAGCUAUCUAAACCUUUUUGCAAAUCAACAAUGUAGUGAAGGGAGCUUGUGGUCAAACUCUGCAAAAUUUCAGUGAGAUGAUGGUAUUACUUGAGAUUGUGGGGUUUAAUUGCCUACCAUUGUUUCCCUGAUGCAUUCUUGUGGAGUUCAGGAGUUCUUUUGUUUCAAAAAAGUGACAAAAGAAAGGUGGAAAUAUGUCUAAUUUAGGAGUUCUUUUGUUUUCUCUUUUUUUUAAACUGUUUCAUAUUGGUUGUUUUCAAUUUUUCACUGAACACUUAAGGGAGCUCAGAGCUGGUGGUACCAACUUUCGUGUGUCCCUUUAUUCGAAUAAGACAAUGCUUCCUUCCUAUUGUAAUAUUCUUUGGAAAGCAAUAGUUUAAUUGCUAACACACCAAGUGGGAGCAAACCUUUUAACAGAGUUAUUUAAACUAGAGUGAAUCUAACAAAGUCGAGGUAAGAAAUUAAUCGUACAAAGAGUAAAUCAUAAUGUGAAGUCUAAAGCCAUCUUCCCUCAAUGCAAGAUUGAAAGGCUCUCUUACUUCUAUUUCUCAACUAACAAAAAUGUCAAGAUUUUGAUUGGAUAUGACUCAAUUCUAUGGUCACCAUCUUAUCUUCAGCUCUUUAAUAGAUCCAUGUCCCGAGGAGAUUUAGUCCAAUGGCAACAUAAUAAGUGGGUGACCUAAGGAUUCUCAUUGACUUUGCUAUAGCUAGUAUCGAUUUGUAUGCAUCAUUCUUUUUUUCUUUUUGUAUAUCGGCUACUUUUAAACACUCCCAAGGCAAUCACUCGUGGAAAACCUAUGGUGCCGAAUGGUCCCAUGUGGUUUUCAUCUUGUAAGCAGCUAAGCUAAUAGCCCUUGCCUUCUUUGGAUAGUCCUUCCUUGUCUCUUUCACACCAGCUAACUUGUGUGUUCGACAAUCUUGUUCUCGUCUGGUCACCAGUCUCCAUGCAAGUGGUAAAUUGUACGUUCUAGUACUUUCUGCCAUCAACAAAGUUUCCUGCUUGCGUGCUGUUAUUUUGCAUAUCUCUGUAGUGCACAAGAAUCUGCUAGAUUUAUUCCGCACCAUUAGUCCUUCAAAAAAUCAACUAUGAGGUAGCCAAGCAUCUCAGCCUCUCUACCAAAACACAGACAAAGCGCACAAGUAGUACUAUGUCUUGCCUCCAUCUAUCUCUGCACUGAGGUUUACUACCUCAAAUAGGCUACAACCUUUAACUCUUUGAUAUUACAUAAAUAAGGUGUGCUAUCUCUCUCAAUAUGAAAAUCUAGGAUUUGAAUUGAUCAAUCAUUUCAAAUUGGGCCACCUUGAUGCAACAAUUACUUCACCUCACCACUCCAUUCAGCCACAAAAAUGUCCUCUUUUUUAGGCUCUAGUUUUUUUUUAUACUCAAUUAGGAACCUGCAUAAUGACUGAAGCAAACUGGCUGAUUGGAAAGGUGCUUUAUACCAAGGUGACCCUCCCAUAUUUCAACAUUCACUUCUCCAAUCUACAAGUCUGUACUCAGAUAGCUCACUGGUUGGAUCCGAAAUUUUCUUUGAGCCCCAGAGGAAUGGUUAGAUGUGCUAUAGCAAAGUGGCUUGUGAUGGAGCAUGUGAUUAUGUGUGUGCAAUGAGCAUGUGUCUAUACCACUGAAAGAUUGAACCAUAGCCUCAAAACUAGAAUUUAAGAUUGAAAUUCAAGAUGAAAGCUUCUCGGUGCAUGUAUUUUAACUGAGUGUUUUUCCAAUGCAGAGUUCUUUCUCAUUCUAUGUGACACCCCUCGGUGGCUCCCGAUCCGUUAGGGUCGCCACAGCCUGCCAAUCGGUUUCUCUCAAAAGAUAUCCGUUACUUGUCUUUUAUAAAAAGGGGUUUUAAAGAAGGACCGAGGUCCUUAGGCAUUUUUUUUUUUUGAAAACAGUCCCAGCGCAACUUAUUAGCGGAAGCAUAAUUGAGUCUUACCAUCUCUCCUUCCAAUAACUAUAAUGGAUUUCUCGGGUCGGUACAGCCAAAAAGAAAAGCCAAGACUUUUAACUACACCUGGCCAUAACCCAAAAGAUAUCUCGACCCCUAUAAUGAUCACGUGUCAUCCUCCAUCUAUCAGUGUCGGCUACUCUAAAAAAGAAACGUCAGCUCUCUACUCCUCACACGGCUAUCACACCCAUCCUAGCGCGUCGGGCGGUGGUGGCGGCAAAAUGCCCCGAAUCACUCCAUCUCGGCGGACGUGGACUGACAAAACUCCUGAAUGACCGGGCCCCCAGCCAAGCCCACACCGUACAUGACAGCACUCGAACUUGCACAAACGUCAGACCAGGGAUGGUAACACAAUCAAUCUCUGAACACUCGACCUCCACAUCAGAAGGAAGGUCGUAAAAGGAACCCCACAUGACCAGAGAGAGCGACAUCUUCCUAAUCUGAAAUGUUGGUCCCCGAAAGGGUGAGUACAGCCACUCAUCAGGUAAAGGAUCCAAUAAACUACUUAAUGCAUCACAUAAUACAAUCACAACAUCAUAGCAUAGUACAUAUCAUCCAUGCAUCCAAGCAUAACUUACCUUGCAGCCAUGCAUAUGUCAUCAUACCAUAUGUGCAUACAUCCUCAUGCACUCAUCACCAAGCUUUCAUACAUAUACCAUCAUGCCAUAGGUGCGCAUACAACCGUGUACUCAUUAUCAAGCAUCCACACAUAUACCAUGCCUCAUGUACGCAUACCGUCAUGCCAUAGGUAUACAUACAACCAUGCACUCAUAUACAUCAUAUCAUACAGCCAUGCAUACAUGUCACCACACCAUGCAUGAUUCAAUUUCCACUUUUUAUCUUUCAAUUUGAUCACCACAUCUUUCUUUCCCGGGAUUAGUAAUUGCAUCCCACAUUUUAUCACUCGCACCCCAACUUGGCAUCGCGAGAAAAACCUCCGGCACACACCACCGGGCAUCCGGCACCCCCACAUUCCGAGCAUCUCGUAUCCCAACUGGCAUCACGAGGCAUCCCUCGGGCACAAACCUCUGAGGCUUCCGGCACCCAAACAUUCCGGGCAUCUCGAAACUCCCAAGGACAUCCGGGCAUGUAUCACAAUACAACCGGGCAUCCGACACCCCCCAUCCCGGGCAUCCUGACACUCCCAGGGCAUUAUCGGCUCACCCCCAACAGUUUCCUCAUUAAUCAUAAUUCAUAUUCACCAAUUUAUGUCUCACAAUCAACAUGGCACAUGAUGUAAUGGCAACAAAGUCAAAUUCAGCUUUUGAUGCUAUAUGCAAUGCCGAAUAUCAUCACAUGUGCAGCAAGAUUUAAUCACUUACAACAAUACAAUUUAUGGGGCUCAUGCAAAACAGAAUAGUCAAUGCAUUACAGCCCUUGAAAUCCACACAAUCCAGCUUGCACAGUUUUAGAAAAUAUUUCCAUUAAAUACCCAAAUGACCUUUAAAAAUUAUGAAAUUCAAACAAGUGAUAGCCAAGACAUAAAGGCAGAUAUUUCAUGCGGGACACUGCACCAAAAGACCCUCAUAUCAUACGGUAUAGACCGAACAUCACAGCACCAUUAUCAUAACCACUUAACUUGCACAGUUUUCGAAACAUUUUCAGUUAAAUAGGAAAAUGAGCUUAAAAAAUUAUGAAAUUUGAAUAUGUUUCAGGGAAGACAUAAAGAAAGAUACUUUAUGAAGAACACUUUGCCGAAAGAUCUUCAUACAAAAUGAUAUGGCCCACGCAUUGAAACUGAUUAAGUCCGAACGCGUCAGAUUACACGAUUUUUGAAAUAUUUCCGAUUUGAAUACCCAACUGAUCUUCAAAAUUCAUGAAAUUAGACUAUGUUGUAUCCAGGAUCCUAAGGUAGGUUUUUCAUGAAGAAACCAAAGUCAAAUUCGUUCUAGGUGAUUUAAUAUAGACGGUUAAAGCUUCUGUUUCACUACCGAAGUUUCCAGAUCUGACUAUUUCCGAAAAACUACGAUUUCACCUAUCUAUUCUUGUUAUUUUUCUCUAAAUUUUUUAUAUGUUAAACCUCAGGUUGUCCUUUACAUAUUUUGUUAAGAAAUCAAAGUGAAAUUUCAACAAAAAGAUAGGCUUACAGACCAUGCAUUCAUCAAAGGUAGUUACCGAAAUCUCCAGAUUCAGUCUCUCCGAAAAAGUAAGGAUUUCACCCACUUAUACUUAUUCGUUUUGUCCCAAAUUUGAGUAUGUUAUAUUUCAAGAAGUCCUUAACAACUUUCAUUUAGAAGUCAUGGCCAAAAUCCAACUCAAACAACACAUACAAGGCAAUAGAACAUCCAAGGUCGAACUGUUUCCUCAAGAACAGUUUACUAGUCUCAAACAUCCCUCUUAACACUUCAACUUUUAACACCCUAAACAUCCGAAAUCUAUCACCAUUCAAGCACACAUACUAGGCACAACGUGCAAGAGCAGAUUAAGGAUCCCAACUUGCCUCUAAACCGAGCAAACAGCAAGCACAUGGCGACAAACGACGGACGCACGGCGGACGGUCGACGGACGAUCGGCUUCCUUCUUCUUCCGCACGCUCACUCUCCCUUUCUCUCUCAAUUUCUCUCUUUCUCUCGGUAACCCUCUCUCUCUCUCUCCCUUCUCGGUCGACAUCCCCCCCCCCCUCUUCAUCAUCAAACGGUUCUCUCAAGUUUUCCUCUCCUCAGUGAUGAACAAUCAUUGAUUUUGCCUUAAGGACACUUGGACUAAGGGAGAAACACUUGGCAAAAUCUUCAUGCAAAAAGAGUGGGCUUCUCAUGGGCCGGUUCUUCCUUGGUCGACGGCCCAAUGGGGCUCCAUCCAGCUAGGCUUGAGGCCAGCUUGGCCGACAGCUCCUCCUCCUCCUUUGGGCUUCGCGGCUAAGCCCAAAUGGCCGAAGGGUGGGGCUUCUUGUGGGCUGGUCUUGAGCUAGAAUUUUGGCCCACACCUCAUCCUAAUAAUCCUCCUUAAACCUUAAUUUUAUAAACACCUAAUUGGAAUUUAUAAUUCACAAAACUUUGUGACCUAAAAUUCCAAUCCAUAAUUCACACGGCCAAAAAUAGGAUUUUCCUAUCAAAUAAUUAUUCACCAAAAGCUUGGCCAAAGUCUCAAUGCAAGACAUGAAUUAGAGCACCCCUAAAGAUUGGCAAGGAAUUCUAGGAUGCCACAUUAUAUUCCCUUAAGUUCUUUUUACUGUCAUUGAAACACCAAUUUUUUACUCUACAGGUUCUCUUUUUCAUCUGGAAUCCUUGACAUUCUAUCAAUCAUCUUUCAUUUGUGAUGUGAACUUAAAUUUUCUCAUAAUCUUAUCAUGCUAGAAAAUUUGCAAGUUGAAAUGUCUUCUUGCUCGUCGAUGUUCUCUUGGCUGAUCAUAUCAGCCCUUUCUAUCUUAACAAAGCAGGUAGAGGAUUUGGUAGUCUUAUUCUUGCCAUACUAGGAACUACUUUUGGUGCACUUGACUAAAUAUGGAAUAUUCGAUCGUCUUUUUUCCUUCGCAAAUGCACUUCUGGAAGCAAUGUUCCUAAGAAUUUGAGCUAGUGCUUUGAAGAACCCAUGUGAUCACAAUAAUUGUGCGGUGGUUUUAGAUUUGGACACCUGAAUAUCACCAGUAAUAUUAUGCUUUGAUGUUUGAAGGUCCUAUUAAAAAGCAAAAUGGGGUGGGAUUACUGUAUUGGGCUAUAAUACCUAAGACCAUCAAAACUUCUAAAACGCAGAAGAUAAUAAUAGGUGCCAAACUGACCGGUUUUUAUGGCUCUUGAUUGUGGAUGCAGGCACUACUCACUGAUUUUGAAGUUUGUGAAGGCAUAUAUUCACGAGCUCACAUCGAAUAUAUACUGAUUUGGUAUGUUUAUGGCUUGGAGCAAAUGUUAUGUUGGAGUAUUCAUGCAAAGAGGUACUCGAGUUAGAGUAAUGUCACAUUAUCUCCAAUAAUGAUGUUAAGUAUCUUAUUGAUUGCAUUAAUUCAUGUUGUAGGCCAUAACUCUUCUACAAAAGAACCUAGAAAAUGCUAAAGCAAAGUUUAGAAGUUCUUGUUGCUGAUCUACAAUUCUUAAGGGACCAAGUAACGAUCACCUAGGUAAGUCGGAAUUUUUUGGGAACUUGGAGGUCCCUGCUUGUUUCAAGUUGUUUACUAUGUCAGUUUGGGGUAGGUCCAUUGUUGUUAAAUUACUGUUGCUGUGGUUUUUGUUACUGGCUUGAGGCUAUAUAUUGGGAAGACAUGUUAAUUUGUGACAGCCUGGAGGGUAGUAAUAUCGCACUUAUGUGAACUUGAAAAAAAUUGAAGGUUGUUGUAGGACAGUAUUCUUUAGUUUUGCAACUUGAAUCAAGCUAGCAAGGGUUAGAUGACAAGUGAUUUUGGUUAGGUUUAGUAUGAUUUACUGCAUUACAACAAGCUUGCCAUGUAAAACAAUUUUGAUUGAGAACUUCUUGGGUUUGAGUUUUCACUUUUAUGUUGUGCGCUAGUUUGGAGUUGAUAUAUGGUCUAUCUGUUUUGUCUCGUUUCACCUUGGUCAUGUGUGUUAGGAAGAACUAAUCUAAAUUUGAAUUCAGGGAAAAACAUGGGGAGAUUUAUUUUUUGCCCGAUAAGGCAUUUACAUUCUUGAAUUCUUAUUUGUUGUGGUGAUGAUAUGUAUUUUCUUUUUCCUUUGCUAAUUUUCGUUGGGUCUAGGAAUUUGAUGAUUCUAACUCCUAGAUGAAUUAAGUUAGGCAUAUGCAAAACUUGGGUUGCUCCCUUUUGUAUAACCUUUGUUUCCUGUAGUUCCAGAGGAUAUAACUGGAAUUAUCUGAUGCUGCACAACCAAAGAUCACUAUCAACUUUACUCCACAUCUGAUGCGAAUUGUUAUAGUUGCAAUUUUCAAGUGUUCCCAUUCUUAAAGUUGAAGUUCUAGUUCUCCAACAAUAAUUAUUAGCUUUCUUCAUCUAUUUAUAAAGAUCCCUAGAAUGCUGUUGUCACAAAGCUGAUUAGAGAACCCGCAGCAAAUAGUAAGAGAGAAAGAAGAAGAGAGAAGGAAUAGAGAAGAGGAGAAGGAGAAUGUGAAAGAAAGAAACAAAGAGGGGCCGUAGAUUUCUGUAGUAACAGAAACCCUAUACCCAUUGUAUUUAUAUUGAAUAUAAAUUGUAUAUGACAAUAAUACCCUUAUGUAAGUAAAAAAGGAAAUAAAACUCUGAUAAUAAAGGAAACUUAAUUAAAGUACCUUAACACUCCCCCUCAAACUGGAGCAUAUAGGUCACCCACGCCCAGCUUGGAACAACCAGCAACAAAAGCAGGACAAAAUAAUGCUUUGGUAAACAUAUCAGCAAACUGAUCUCUAGAGGCAACGUAAGGAGUAGCAACAAGCUUCUACUUCAUAACAUCCCGAACAAAGUGACAGUCAACUUCUAUAUACUUAGUUCACUCUUGAAAAACAGGAUUCUCAGCAAUAUAAAUAGCUGCUUGAUUAUCACACAUCAUAUUAAUAGGUUGAUUAAUCGAAAAUCCAAGCUCCUGGAGAAGAGAUUUCAACCACAACAAUUCGGCCACAGUAUGUGCCAUAGCACGAUAUUCAGCCUCUGCACUAGACCUGGCAAUGGUAGUUUGUUUCUUGCUUCUCCAAGUAACCAAAUUACCACCAAUAAAGGUGCAAUACCCAGUUAUAGACAGUCGAUUAUAUGUUGACCUAGCCCAAUCAGUAUCAGAAUAGCCAACCAGAGUGGAAGAACCAUUAGAUUAUAAAUUAAUCCCUUACCAGGAGAGCUUUUAAGAUAUCGAAGAAUGCGACAUACAGCAUCCCAAUGUAUGACAUCCUAAAAUUCGACCCCGUUUCGAUAAAAUGAAAUGGGCAAUGUCGUCAACGUGCCUAUGGUCUUUUUUCUCUGAGCUGACCACUCACGAGUUAACUAACCCAUUAGGUUAAGCCGUUAAGGGAUGUAUCUGCAGUAAAAUCCCUAAAAGCUACUAAAUUGGUUGGAUUGGACUAAAAUCGCGUCUAAUCGAUUCUAACCAUGAAAUUUAAUUUGGUCUCGGAAAUCGAAUAUUCGAGCGUGUCACAAUUCAUUUUUAGGACCGUCUCAUCGUCUGUCAAGAAAGAAAUUAUCGGAGGAAAAAUCGAAGACCAAAAGAAAUUAGAAAGGGAAAGAGAAAAGAAAAAUAAGGAAAGAGAAAAGAAAAAUAAGAAUAAUAUAAUUUUUGAAUUUCUUUUCUCUCUCUCCCUUUUUUUUUCUCUUUUUCUCUCUCUCUUCUCUCUCCUUCCCUCCCACUCGUGCGAUUCUUUUCCCCCAGCCGGAUGCCCUUCUUUCUUAUAUUUUAUUCUUGUUUUAUCUCUCAUCUCUCUCUCUCUCUCUCUCUCGUCACUCUCUCUUCUUCUUCUUCUUCGUGCAAACGAACGGAACCAGAAGCUGAAGAAGAUCGGAAGCAGCAGCCGCUACCGUCGCCGUCCGUCCCGCCGCCCGCACCGCACGCCCGCGCACCCACGCGUCCACCGUUCGCCACCCAUGCGCCGCCUGCGCCUGCCAUCCCUGCCGUGCGACCCAGCUCCUGUUCGGCCUUUGUUCAGCCACCGUGAGAGGCUGAGCAGACCGCCGGAGCCACCGUCCGGCCUCACCGGAGCUCCGCCUGCUUUCUCGACCUCUUGCUGCCCCCAACCCUCUCUCUUUCUCUCUGUUUUUCAGCCGAACCAGCAAACCCGCGAGUGGGUUUCCAGCCGCUUCGUGGUUGGUUUUAUGCCGUUUCCAGGCCCCGAACCCGAGCCGUCCUUUGGGAGGAAUCGUUCCUCGCGUCGCCCCCGUCGGAUUGAUCCGAUUUGCGCGCGAUUUGGUGAGUAAUCUCACUAAUCCUUGCUUAGUGGACUAAUUACGCUUAGUGGUUGUUUAGUUUUAAUUAAUUAGGUUGAGGUGGUUAGAUUAGUAUGAAUUAGUGUUUAUUAGUCGAUUGUGAUACAAAUUAGAUAAAUUGAAUGUGUAUUUAGCAAGUAGACGUGGUCUACUAUUUAUUGAGGGUUGCCCAGGAUUUUUCCCAACCCUAAUCGGGCUUCAAUUAGGCUUUUUGGGCCUAAAUGGAAUUUUUGGUAUUUAAAUAUCAAUUUUCGGAAUUAAAUUAAAUAAUUAUUUAUUUUUCGAAAAUUCAGCUGGGAUGGCUGAAGACCGGAAUAUUAUGCUGAUAACUAUAGUGAAGUCCGUUUAUUUAAUCGGGCUUUAUUUUCAGCUAAAUCGAAUUUUUAAUAUUAAUUAUUUAAUCUUCGAAAUUAAUUAAUUAAUUAUUUAUUUUCCGAAAAUUCAAUUGAGAUGGCUAGUGACCGGAAUAUUAUGCUGAUAAUUGUGGUGAAGUCCGUUUAUUUAAUCGGGCUUUAAUUUGAGCUAAAUUGAAUUUUUAAUAUUUAUUAAUUAAUUAUUUUUCGGAAAUUAAGAUUUAGAUGGCCGACGACUGAAAUCUCGUGCUGAUUCUCGUGGCAUAGUUCGUUUAUUUAAUUGAGCUCUACAUUGCAUGGAAUUAAAUAAAUUGUGAUAUUUUAGGGAUUUACCCUAAAUUGAUUGAAAUUGAAUUAUUGAUUAGUAGUUGGCCAAAUAUGGCUAUUUAGCAUUUUGAAUGCCUUGUUGAGCUGUAAGUGGAGAGAGUGGUGAGAACUAACUGAGAAUUCUAUUGGCUGAGACCGAUCAAGUACGAAGUAUAGACAGGUGUGGUUCGGUGAUUAAGGAUAUCAUUGUGCGAAAACGAUGCCUUAAAGAACGCACGUAGACUGUCUGUGAUCUAUGACGGGCGUGGUUCGGUGAUAAGGAAUAUCACUGUGCGAAAACGGCGCCUUAAAGAACGCACGUAGACCGUUUGUUAUUUACGUCACCUUGGUGGAAGCGCCGCCCGAGAGCAUUGAUGUGGCUCUCUGAUCGAUUUCACUAUGGGAUGUUAUAUAGUGUGGAUCGAGUGACCUAGGAAUGGUUUGACUGACAUGUAAUUGACUAGUUCGAUUGAUCAAUGAUUUAAUCCGAUUGCUGUGAUUUGAUUGAUUGUUCGUUGUGAUUUAUGAAGUGUCUGUAUAUAACCUUGAAUUGCAGGUUGAGACUGAGGCCAAGGUAAGUCCUCUGAUUCGUGCUAUGCUUAGGCAACCGAGUAGUGUAUUGGUUCCCUAAUUGAGUCUUAGUGGGGUAGAACUCGCUGAGACGUAGUCUCAUCCCGGUUUGGGAAAAACAUUUCAGGACCCCGAUGAGGAGCUGAGGAGGAAUCUGAGAAGGAGUACCCUGAGGUGAAACCUGAGGAGAAUAAUUUUUGGAAGAAGAAGAUAAUACCGAGAGGGAUCUUGAGUACGAUCCGGAUGGACUGAGAUUUCUUCUUCUUUUAAGAACUCCAUUUUAAUGUGAAUAGUUGUGAAGUGCUCUGGUUUGUGUCUUGUAUAAAAGUUUGGUUAUAAGUUUCAAUAUGAAAAAUAUAGCCUACUUUUCUAUCCCAUUGUUUUAUUAUCUGGGGAUUUAUAACUGCUUCUGCAUGUGCUUAAUAAAAGAAAAGGUCGGCGAUACAUAGUCCUGGGAUAUCGCAUUUUAAAAUCGACCAAGUAGAAGGAUGUGUGCGUGCCCGAGGAUCGGGGCGUGACACAAUGAGCCUUUUUAGGUGACUCCAUAAACUGACUCACCACACCAACAACACAAGAAAUAUCAGGACGUGUAAUAGUAAGAUAAAUUAGUUUCCCAACUAGACGUCAAUAUUGAUGUUGUCUUCAAUUUCACUUCCAUCAUCAACUCCAAACUUUUGAUUUGGAUCCAUAGGAGUAUCAACUGGCUUGGAAGCUAGUGUACCUGUCUCAGACAAAAGAUCAAGAACAUACUUUUGUUGAGACAAAUUAAUACCUUUUUUACUUCGUAAAACUUCAAUAUCCAAAAAAUACCUAAGAGUUCCCAAGUCUUUAAUCCGAAAUUGCUGCUGAAGAAAGGACUUAACCUCAUAAAUGCCAGUCAUAUCACUACCCGAAACAAUUAUAUCAUCCACAUAUACCACAAGAAUGACCACCCCCGAUUCCUUCUUGCGAACAAAAACAGAAUGAUCAUAAUAACAUUGAUGGAAACCACAUCUGGAAAUCAUUGAACUGAAUUUUUCAAACCAUGCUCUUGGAGACUGUUUCAACCCAUAAAUGGCCUUAUGUAGCCGACAUAUUUUUACUACGAUUCUCCCCCUGAGCAACAUACCCAGGAGGUUGCUCCAUAUACACUUCUUCAGACAAAUCACCAUAAAGAAAAGCAUUCUUGACAUCCAAUUGAUAUAAUCGAAAUUCACAGCAAGAGAAAUAAUAACACUACCAAAAUUGAAACGUGCCACAGGGGAAAAAGUCUCAAAAUAAUUAACUCCAUAAGUUUGAGUAAAACCUUUAGCAACGAGCUGAGCUUUAAGACGCUCGAUUGAGCCAUCUGGAUUGUACUUGAUAGCGUACACCCAACAACACUUCACCACAUCUUUCCCAAGGGGAAAAUCAACCAAUGACCAUGUUUGGCGAGACACCAGAGCUUCCAUUUCCACAUCCAUAGCUUUCUUCCACUAAAGGCGAGACAAAGCCUCAAUGGUAGAAGUAGGAAUUGUGUAAGUUUGUAAUGAUAGAGCAAAGUCAUGUAAUGGAGAAGGAAGAUGUGAAAGAGACACAUAACGCUCAAUAGGGUAAGCCAAAGAGGAUUUUUGUGUGCAAGACCGAGUACCUUUGCAAGGGGCAAUCGGAAGAUCGUCUGGACUAGGAGACAAGGAGGAAGAUUGAUUGGAGGGCAUUGAAAAGCUAGAGACUAGUGGUGCCAUAAACUGCUUUCGCCGCUGAUACACCUGCAAGGGAGGAGAUAUUGGAGAAGGACUAACGGAAUCUAGGGGGAUUUGUUGUGGGAUAGGAGGAUCAGCUACAAUGUCAGUUGAAAACUCUUUACCCUCAGUAGAAUAGUAUGGUGUGCCCUCGAAAAAAGUAACAUCAGCACUAACAUAUUGGGUAUAAGUUGUAGGAUCAUAACACCGAUAUCCCUUCUGUGUACAUGAAUACCCGAGAAGAAUACAUUUAGUAGCAUGAGGAGAUAGUUUAUCAAAACCGGAACGUAGGUUAUGAAUAAAGCAAACACACUCAAAGACACGCGGGGUAAGAGAGAAUAAUGGCUUGUUAGGAAAUACAAUACCGAUUGGUGACUGAUGAUUAAGGAUAGUGGAAGGCAUACGAUUUAUGAGGUAACAUGCGGUAAGGACAGCAGCAUCACUCCAAAAUGAUUUUGGCACAUUCACAUGAAAUAAGAGUGAACGAGCAACUUCUAGAAUGUGACGGUACUUUCUCUUGGCCACACCAUUUUGCUGAGGGGUAUAAGUACAACUUGUUUGAUGUAUAAUACCAAGACUAGAACAAAACAAAGAAAUUGAUUUUUGUGUAUAUUCUAGAGCAUUAUCUGUUCGCAAAAUUUUAAAGGAUGUAUUAAACUAAUUAGUAACCUCACGAUGAAAUAAUUGAAAAACAUGUAAAAAUUCAGAGCGGUCAUGAAGCAUAUAGAGCCAUGUUAAACGAGAAUAAUCAUCCACAAAAGUAACAAAAUACUUAAAACCAUUUCUACUAGUAAUACGAGAAGGUCCCCAUAUGUCCGAAUGAACAAGUUCAAGUAAAGUAGGUGCAGGAGAAUCAUUACGACUAGGAAAAGAACUACGAUGAUGUUUCCCAAGUUCACAAGCCUCACACUCAAGAGUAGAAAUUGAUUUACACUCGGGAAUUAUUUGUUGUAACUUAAAUAAAGAUAAAUACCCUAAACGAGAAUGCCAUAAUAGGGGAGUAAUAGAACUAGCAGCUAGACCAUUGGUGUCAGCAGUAGAGACACCAUUUAGAUAGUAGAGUCCAUCACGUUCAUGCCCUCCACCAAUCAUCUUCUUUGUCUGAAGGUCCUGAAAAACGCAAUGAGAUGGGUAAAAUGUAACUAAACAACUAAGAGCUUUAAUUAACUGACUAAUAGAUAAUAGAUUUAAAGGAAGUUGGGGAACAUGUAAAACAGAGGACAAAGAUAAGGAAGAUGUAAGUGAAACAAUCCCUGAUCCAACCACUUGAGUCGAGGAACCGUUAGCUAAAAUAACUUCGGAUCAAGGACUAGAGUUAGUGUGGGAAGAAAAUAGUUUUUGCUUACCCGUCAUAUGACUAGAAGCUCCCGAGUCAAUGACCCAAGAGGUGUUAGGAGACAAAGUAGAGAAAGAGGCCAUGUUACCUGUACGUGCAAGAGUGGCGGUGGAUGAGAAAUUGGAAGCCUCUAGUUGUUGAACACGCUUGAUGAGUUGUGCAACCGUAUCAUCUCGAGUUGUAGACUCAGAAGAACUACCCCCAAGUGGGAUAGAUGGGUUCAUGUCGCUGUAAGACACAUCUCGAGCACUCCCUUCAGACACGGCAGUAUUUGCGGUAACUAAUUGUUGAGCCCACUCAGGCUUGCCAUGCUUGGCCCAAUAAGUGUCAACAAUAUGACCGGAUUUGCCGCAGUAUAUACACUGAUGGCUAUCUUGACCAGAACUUUGUCCACUACGUCCACCACCACGACUACGACCUCCCCCGAAACCACGACCUCUAUUGGAAAAUCCACCACAACCAUGACCACCACUACCAGCCACAAAUGUUGAAUUGUCUUUAGAUGAUGUAAAAGACAGAGGGACAAUGCACUGAAUUCGACAAAAUGCUUCAUUCAUAGAAGGAACUCUCUCUCCAGCAAGAAGUUGACUCUUCAUAGGCUGUAAGUCAGCAUUCAAGCCAGAUAAAAACUUGGCCACUUGAAAUUCAGCUCGUUGUGUCUUAAGUCUCUCAAGGUCAGUAGUGAUGGGCUGAUAAAGAUUGAGUUCUUCCCAUAUACCUUUCAAAGCACCAUAAUACUCUCCAAGAGACUUGUCUCCCUGUUUAAAAUUAAAGAUCUUCUCAUAUAGUUCAUAAACUCUGGACAUAUUUUUGUCUUGUGGGUAACUCUCCAUAAGAUCAUCCCAUACUCCCUUAGCAGUUGUGUCGAACAUUACCUUAACAGCGAUGGAUGGUUCCAUGCUAUUCCAUAACCACACCAGAAGUGUAUCAUUCUCUCUUAUCCAAUUACUAUAGUCUCUAGAAUUUUCAGCAGGAGGGUCUGUGGUAAGAUAAUGAAGUUUCCCUUUGGCAUUAAUAUAGACCUUCACAGCUUGGGCCCAUAACAAGUAAUUGAAGGAUCCAUUUAAUUUAAUAGUGGUAAUUUGAACAUUGACACUAUCUAUAGGAGGCUUAGUAUCACUCAUGAUGAUAAUCUCAAUAUAAAUAUAUCUACCACUAAUCAAGAAGGUUGAAACUUUAGUGUAAGAAACAAAACAACAACACUAAUGUAUAAUCAGAUGUAAUUGGCUCCAUCAAUUAACCAAAGGGAUGCAAUAGAGUUCUGAUUCUUGAAUCCACUUAUCAGUAAGUGUUGUAAUCCAUGUUCAUAAACCGGACCUGAUGAAUCUGAUAUCUUUUGAUCUCAUAUGUAUCAAGACUUGAAGAGAAAAUAGAUAAAAAUUGCAGCUUUAGGUGGCUACGCACCAGAAAAGAAUUAGGGUUACUAGGGGACUCUCAAACCAGCAAUAGGAUCAAGUGAUCAGGUAGUUAGAUCUGCUCUGAUACCAUGUCACAAAGCUGAUUAGAGAACCAGCAGCAAAUAGUAUAAGAGAAAGAAGAAGAGAGAAGGAAUAGAGAAGAGGAGAAGAAGGAGAAUGUGAAAGAAAGAAACAAAGAGGGGUUGUAGAUUUCUGUAGUAACAUAAACCCUACACCCAUUGUAUUUAUAUUGAAUAUAAAUUGUAUACGACAAUAGUACCCUUAUGUAAGUCAAAAAAGGAAAUAAAACUCUGAUAAUAAAGGAAACUUAAUUAAAGUAACUUAACAGCUGUCAACUAUUCAUGCCGAAAUGUCUUUAGGUGUAAAGGUGGGGGAUUUAUAUGAGCAACUUAAAGUUGUUUGCUGGGCAAACUUUUUCAGGCUAAUAGUCCUAUUCUGCUUAGGCAUUCAAUGGCUUAAUGUACUGAGUAUUAACCAUAGCUUUUGUUUAUUGAAGUACUUAUUCUCUGUAUUCAUAAUUAGGUUAAUCAAAGUACAUAAUUUAUUUUAUAGACCUUGGUAAGUCAGUCAAAUAGUAGACAUUUGGGGGACCGAAACUUGGAAGGCCCGUGACUUCUUCUAUGUUCUUGAGUGUGCGUCCCACAUACUUCAUGCUAUUUGAUUGCUUAAUUCACUUUAUCUUGUUGGAUGAAGAAUUUGUUAUUUUGUUAGAAAAAGGACUUGUUCCCCAUACUCAACAUGUGCGAGGAUCCUAUUAUUGUUUUAUGAGUGUCUUUCCUGAUCGAGUAUCUGGAUGAGCAAUACUAAUCUAUGUAGUAGGUUCUCAAGUGUCUGUCUUCCAUGAAGUGCUUGACUUUCCAUGUAACGUCAAAGUCAUCUUUUGAUGAUAAGCUAUCUAAACCUUUUUUGCAAGAUUGACAAUCUAGUGAAGGGAGCUUAUGGUUAGGCUCUAUAGAAUCUUCACUAAGAUGAUGGGAUUACCUGAGAUUGUGGGGCUUAACCACUCACCAUUGUUUCCCCGAUGCAUUCUUGUGAGUGAGCUAAAUUAUGCAUGGAUUUUGUUCAAGAAAGCUUGUAUAACUGCAUUGGUUGUGUCUCAGCUAUAGCUUUUGUUUAUUCUUUCUAGUGACUCAUUACACCUUUCCUCAUCUUGCUCUCUCUUUAUCUCACUAUGCUAAAAUGUGGUCAUUGUUAACUUGUUAAAUAAACCUAUUUCAUCUCCGUUUCUAUCAUUCUUAUAUUUGCUAAUAAAAUGUUUUCAGGCAAGCUCCUGUAAGGCCAUGGUCAAAUGUUCUUUUAAGUGGACAUCUGGGCUUUGGCAAGACACACAUUGUUGGUGCUGCAGCAACAACUUGUUCUCUUCAAUCCGUGUCAGUGAAGGCUGAGCUGUUGAAUAAGUACAUUGGUACUAUUAAGCUAGCUAUAAGAGGCUUCUUUUCAACUACAUUGAUGCUGAUUGAAUUCCAUUGUGCAAUCUGGUAUUAUACUUUGUUAUUUCCAAACAUUUCACAUUUUUGUGCUUUCUUCUGUUGCUUUUGUAUGCAUUUAAUAGAGUCUCUUCAAGUAUGCUAGCAGUUGAAAUAGGAUAACUAGCGGCAACAAUGAGGAUCCUCCCAUAACCACUAAAAAGGCCAAGUUAAAGCGGUUGAUGAGUUUCUAACACAUGAAUGAGAGGAUCAUCUAUGACCAUUUGUUUAAGAGAAAGAUUAAAGAUGUAAAAUAUUUGAAGAUUUUUCUUUACUAAAAAUUUGGAAUUGGUGAUCAAAUGUCAACUGGGUUUUCUAUUUUGCAAAUUGAUGGCAUUGAUUUUGUCAACAAAAGGGAGAAAUUUUGAAUAUUUGAGAGUAAUGGCAAUUAGAAAAUACAGGUUUUGAAUAUAUCCUUGAAGGCAGUAGCUGCAGUCCUUGCCUUCUCUUUUUUGAUGAAAUUGAUUCCAUUGCUCCAAAGAGGGAUAAUAAGGGGUUCACUGAUCAUGUUAUUAAUCAAGUCAGUUUCUUGCGUUCAUAGCACUUAUAAGGCGGUCAAGUGAAUAUAUUCAAUGGUAUGACUCACUAUUGGUAUGUUAUUCAUUGGUGCAGUUUUUUACUAUAUUAGAUGGUGUUGAAGUUUUAUUCGGUGCAUUGCUGUUCGCAGAAACAAGGUAAUGAUUUCAUCUUACAUGGUAACAAAAAGUACACUCUUCCAAUAGCACACAAGCUGUGAACUAUGUGUGAACUACUAUUUGAAGUUGCACAGCCAUUAUGAAUGCUUUAACAAACAUUUUCUACCAAGCAUUUAGUGUGGAGACUAUGUAUUAACUUUUGAGGCAGACUAUAAAAUGCUAGAAUUGACUUUUCCUUAAUUUAGAACUGUUUAACUUUGGAUACACGGUAUUGGAUAAACUACACAUGUAUCAAAGAAGGUAAUAAAAGAUGGGAUUGCAUAAAUUUUCAGUUGCUGAAGUAGCGUAGAAGAAGUGUAUUAAGCUAGACUUGAGCCUCUACAACAGCAUCAAUGGAUUCUGAUAGUCUUGUGACAUCGAGCAUAGGGCGAUUUCUCAUAUCUGUUGUGACAUCUUUGUGGCAUGAAGUGAUCUUUUGUUUUCCUCAGGAGUCAUGAGUUCAUCUAUCUCUGAAUAACUCCAAUUCACUUUCCUUUCUUGAGAUCCUUUUUCUUUAUUCUAUAUUUGUCCAGUUAUGUGCUCUUAGUUCUAAUCGAGUUGCAUUUGGUGUGAAGCGGUAGACCGGGACUUACUUGAUGGUGCAUUUCUGAGACCUAGCAGGCUUGAAGACUUCUAUUCUGUGAUUUUUGUUCAAUAUAGGAGAGGCUAGAUAUCCUUAAAGUUUUAUCAAGGAAGGUAAAAACUUAGCUUCCAUCCAUCUGCCAGUGCUUGCUUUUAACGUUUCAUCUGUGACAUGCUCUGAAACUGGUCAUACAGAUGGAAAAUUUAUAUGAUUACUUGUUAGAAGAACUACAUAUCCGCAAUCUUACUUUUCAAGAAGAUGCAUCUGAAAGAUUACAUAUGAACAGAGAAUGUUGGAUCCUGUUAAGUAAGAGCGCUAGAAACAGAGUCAAUUUGAGCAGCUGAAGAUCCUGUUUAGAACUCAAGGCAUCUGACACAAUACUUUUAGAAGAAAAUGUUGUAAAAGGAUUGGAUCUACAACCCGCUUGGGUGAGGCUUAGAUAAGUUUAGAUGUCCAAUAGUAAAUCACUUUCAACCUCGGAACUUGGAACUGGUAGAUUUUACACCUAUUGAUGUUGCUUAGAAAAAAAAUGAAAAUGGCCUUUAUAGCUGAUUCCAUGAAACAGGACAUUGUCAUCUCUCUCUCUCUCUCUCUCUCUCUCUCUCUCUCUCUCUCUCUCUCUCUCUGUCUUCUUUUCUCUUGGAACUAAUUAGGAAGAUAUUGGCAAAUUCAUUUAAUUAUAUUCCUCCAAUUCAGUAUAAUGAGGCUGUUAAAAUGGCAACAAUUGGGCAUCGCUGAAGUUUUGCUGAGUGUCUGCUUUAAUUCCCUUUUGCAGCUUCCUUUGGCCAGUGAUGUGGACUUGGACGCCAUAGCUCAUGAUCUAAUCGGUCUAAUCAUAAUCAGCGGUUCUCUGAGCGCUGCUUCAGAUUCACAGCUGCAAGUGGAGAGAGAAAUCAGCAUGGGAAAUAACCAGUUAUAACAGACUCUUCUGAAGUUCGCUUCAAAGGCGAGCCAGUCAAUUUCAGAUGCUGAGAAGAGAAGACUCCAUACAAAUAUUUCUCAUUCUUUGUUUAUCAUCUCUCCCCAAAACUACAAUUGUGCAUCUCCGAUCAGAAAGUUCAACCGGGGAUUCUGGUAGUUGCUUAUUAUUGCAUCUUUGUACGUCAGUAGAUCAUUGAUUAGCAUACCUCCUCCGAAUAGUCUACCUGGUCUACUGGCUUGUAGGACUGUUAAUUUUUGUGAUCCAAUAAUGCCAGACAGCUUAAUCCUUGCAGUGACAUUCUCGUAAGGGGUAUGCGACAUGUCUAGGAUAUUCAUCUUGGCGAGUAAAUCAAUAAGAUGGCAUGCUCAGGUUGGUCUUUCAGUUUCCAGUCACAAAUUUCGAACAGUGAGCAGUUGCUGGAGCGAUCCCUUUGCAUUAGAAAAUCGAAGAAAUGGCCUUUCGGUGGCAGCUGCUAUUUGCACGGCUUCUUUGGUUUUGAGUCCCUCAUUCAAAGUGAGGAGACAAUUUAACCUCUUAGUAAAAUCGACUAAAGCAGUGGAACCCCCAACUUUAAAACCUUUCGUCUCUGAUUAUUAUUAACAUUUGCCCCUAACCAAAUGUUGUUGAUUUGAGAAACUGCAAAGCCUAACAAAUUGUGGACUCAAGAUUCAGCGUUGGAGAGGACAUGGAAAAUUCUGAGCCUGAGUAAUCCUAGCCGGGUAGAACAAUUACUUCGGCAGGUCAAUGGUGUGGUCCACCUCUAUUUUUAAGAAACUCCAUAUCAACAAAAUUCUAACGUAAUCAUCUGCAGUUCGCAUUGUUCCUUGUUGAUACGAUAUUUCAAGGCGCAAUUCAUAAGUAUUGUUGCCGUGAGUCUAUCCCUGCAUAUGCUUUUUUAUUUUUCCCUGGCUUGAAGGGGUCUUUAUGAAACUAAUGUCUAAUUGAAGUAAUUCAAAUAAGUCCUGAAUAUAUCAAGGCAUCGGAGCACCAGGUGACCGGCUUAAAAACGAGGCAUUGAGAAAUGGAGAGACCACUUUUUUACUGACGAAUUGAUCUUUUAUAAUUGGGAAAGGUAGUCCAUUUCUCUUAACUGGUCAACAUAAGUACUGUAGAUAUCAUUGGUGGUCAAUGCACUAGAAGAAAUUGAAUCGAAGGGAGUCACUUGGCCACUUAUCACUAUUUAUAUCAACCGUGGAAAGUAUGUCAACUAAAGCUGAAACCUUAAGCCCAUUAACAAACUUAGUAAAGUCCAAUAUCACACAAUGCUUACCUCGUUAUGAGCGGAUUAGAUAAAGUAAUUUUGGCCCAAACAUAAACUAUAUAUUAAUUGUUCUAUAAGACCGUCAACUUUUUGAUGUCAAACUUUACAAUUGCCUUCGUGUAUUACUUUAGAUUGGGGGAGCAAAAGCAGGAUAGGCCAAAAUAGAAAAACAAUUUAUUUGGAUGAUGCCUUACAUGAGGAAUUUUCGGAGGAGGAUGAACAAUAUAUUCAUAUUGCUCAGAGCAAAUAAUAGCUUGACUGACUUAAAAUAAUUAGUCAAUGAAAAAUAUUGUUGUUACAAUUUAUAUUCAGAUAUUUUCAUGUAUGAUAAAAAUAUAUUUCGUUCAUUCAUUUUUAUAAGUAAUUAUUUUAGGAAAAUAUUUUUCAUAUAAUUCAUUUUCUAUGAAAUAAACAGAGUCUAAUAUAUGAAUUGAUGCCCUGUAUAUCUGUAAUUUUUUUAGGACAUCAUAUAUGAUGAAAAGGGCUGUUGGAUUGGGAGUUUUAGCAAUUCAAGUCAAGCUUUGUUGAUAAUGACGUGACGUUUGCUUUUCUUUAAGACAAAAUCCUUUGGUGUAUGCUUAUAUAAAUUUUCUCAGUUUUCGCCGGACAGAGUUCCAUAAUGAAAGCAUAAAUAAAUCAAUUGAGGAUGCAUUUUUGUGAAGCUGAGCAAAGAAUUUUGUGAGAUAAUAUGAUAAUGAAGAGCCAAAGAGCAGAAGUCCAAGGCGCUUUAUUUGGCAUUUUGCCUUUUUGAAUAUUAAGCCGCCUAAAAUGUAUUAUUUUGUAAUAAGAUCAUUUUUAACUGAAUCAAGUUCAUCGCCUUUCUUUUUCUUUUAAAAAAUAACAAACCUAAAACGAAUUCUGAACCUGUGUAUAGAAAUAAACAGUUGAAAAACAUAUCUGUGUAUUUUGGCUUGAUUGUGUAGACUCAUUUUACCAUUUAUAUAGGAGAUGAGAAUAAUCACAUCACAGGAUUAAUGCAAGGGCUGUGGAUCUUUCUCCUAGGUAAAUAUUUGCAACCUUUCUAAUUUAUAGUUUUUUUACGAUAAAAGCCUACGUUUAUUUCUGCAAACGACGGGAGACCAAAUGGCAAUUGAGUUCGAUUGGGCUUUGUGUGGAGCUAACAUGCCAAAUAAAAUCAUCUCUUUUGUGAAUUUGACCGCUUAAAUCAUCUUAUUAUAUAAUUUCUCAAUAGUUGACUUCUAGCGCUGCUCGACGCAUGCUCCCUAGUGGCCUCAACAACGGGCCUAUUAUUCCCAUUGGCCCUAAGGAGUCAUCAUUUCUCCAUUUAGAAGUAAAAUAGGCUUACGAACAAAUUUAAUUGAUGCAAAUAGAAUAAUAAACUGAUGGCCUUUCGUUUUCACAUCCAGUAGUCUUCCUCUGCGCGAGCUCGCACGUUGCCUUCUAGGGAUAAUCAUUAUCCCGGGGAGUUUGGGCGUGUAGAAGGAGCAAAAUGCUAUAAGCAUCCGAUGUAUAGGGGCUUACUUCAUCUUAGCUAUUAGAUUAUGUGAGUGGUCAUAUUAUUUAAUGUGCUGAAUUUUAUCUAGGGAGGCAUUAGGAUAAGCGUCAAUAUUAGGAUCCCUUGAUUCAUGCAAUGAUUGAAUUUCAUAAUUAAAUUAAAUGCAAGUUUGUGGUCAAAAAAAUUAAAUACGAUUCAGUGGAUUCGUUUGCCUCUUCCUUCUCCCUUCUUGUUUCCCAAUUUGAGGUGCAUGUAUGAGAAGCCAAUUUUUUAUGUGAAGUUAAUCGUUAAUACUGAUAAAAUAUUUCAAAUAUGUCUGUUUUGCAUUUAUACAAUCCCAUAAUGUUAGAUCUCAAAUUCCAUGCCCACUUUGAAUGUGACAAAAUAACAUAUUCAGGACAUGAUGACAUUAUUAAUACGUUAAAUGUGGUGUCAACUUCUCCAGGAAGAAAAUAUAAGAUAAAUUACUCCUUAUUCCUUAACUAUAGAGAAUCUCAUGUUAAAAAAAAAAAAAAAAACUAUAGAGAAUCUCCGGUAAAUCUGUUCACCUGCCGUGUGCGCAUGGUGCGGUUACCCUCCUAAAUGACCCAACUGCCCUCACUUUUUUGACGAAUUUCCUUUUUAAAAAAAUCCGGACUCUGAAAANNNNNNNNNNNNNNNNNNNNNNNNNNNNNNNNNNNNNNNNNNNNNNNNNNNNNNNNNNNNNNNNNNNNNNNNNNNNNNNNNNNNNNNNNNNNNNNNNNNNCCGUGCCGUCACCCCUCGUCGUCGAGCCGCCCCCGGCCAUCGCCUGUGCCGAUCCUUGACCUCAAAUUCGGAGUCCAUCUCUGCAUCGUCCUCACAGAAUGAAGAGAAAGAGGGAGGGAGAAGAGACGGCGACAGGCAGCUGGGACAGGCAGAAGCCGUGAUGGCGGAUUAGGGAGGGGUUACGAGUUGUUCCUGAGUUUGGGACUUUUGCUUACGCUAGGCCGAAGGUGCUGGUGAAGGAUAUGUCUGUUGAAAUUUUGGAUUUUUUUUUUCUUUUGGAGUAUUAGAGUACUUGUGGUGAUUGGUGGGAUGAUGCUUGCAGGCUGCAGCAAUGUAAGCUGGGAUGGUGAUUGGAGGGAUCGCUGGCUUUCUCUAAUUCGUAUUUUUGCUGGCAAAGGUUUCCUGACUUCAUUGUUGCUACUUUGGGAUUUGUUAUUAUCGACAUCCCUAUAGAUGUUUGUGUAUAAUUUCUCAUCGACUGAUUCUUUUGUAUCGUUAUAUCUGCUAUUGAAUUCGCUGUUGAGUUACAUUUCGUUGUUCAUUUUCUUCGUGUGAUCACAAACAAAGACCCAGAUUUAAACGCAUUGUCGAAUACCAUAGACACUAUCCCUCCUGUCUGCCCUUGUGCUAGCACUAGACCUUGUUUUUUUCUCUUCUUUUUCUUUGGUUUUUUCAGUAUAGUAUGACCAACGCAGUGUUGAAAUGUUGCGCAAUGGUUAACAUGGAGGUGGGCAUACGUGAGGUUCGUUGUCUCAUGCAGCUCAUACUUCUGACUACGUGAACAAGAUUUUGGGUGAAUUUCCAUUUAUUUCCACAAGUUGAUAGGGAAGUCGUGGUUAUUUGCUUUUUAACAAUAAGCUGUGGAUUUUGGUAAUUUAGUUGAUUGGUGCCCAAUUGAUUGACGACCUUGUGUUGAAAUUGCGAGGCUUUGAAUAUUGAAACGAUUGCAGUUACUUACCUCUGAGCAAAUUAGAUCAAGAUGUUCACAUGUAAUUAGAAUGAGAAAGAGACUCUCCUUCUAAAAUGCUUGCUUGGCCCAUUUAUGGAAAUGAAGAAUGUCGAUGCACAUCACUAAAUAGUAAGCCUUGUUUAUGCCCUCCACGUCAGGAAAUUUUCUCAUUUAAAGGUACCUGGAACAUGCUGAUUACAUGUUGCAUCUUGCAUGUUAUAUAACCUUAUAAAUCUUCCUUAUACUUUAUCACUUAAAAUGGUUNNNNNNNNNNNNNNNNNNNNNNNNNNNNNNNNNNNNNNNNNNNNNNNNNNNNNNNNNNNNNNNNNNNNNNNNNNNNNNNNNNNNNNNNNNNNNNNNNNNNAUUAUUUCUCAUGUCGUACAUUAGAGGCUUUCAAUUGCUUAUCUUAAAAUGAGUAGGAAUUAUCUGCAUUUAGGUUCUAUUUAGAAAGGAAUCACUUCAGCAGAUCUUUCUCGUCCUUUGAGAAAGUGCAAGAGUAUAGGAAGAGAUAUUGUUUUGCAUGUUAUUCAAGUUCAGAGCCUGGUUAAUGGUAUUGCGAAAACUGACAAAAGAAAGGUGGAGAUGUAUCUAAUUCUGGAGUUCUUUCCAUUUUUUUCUUUUUUCUUUUUUUCUUUUAAACUGUUUCACAUUGGUUGUUCUUUUAUUGGCUGAACCCUUAAUGAAGCUCAGAGCUGGUAUUAUUGUCUUGUGUAUAGAACAAAAUAAACAAUUCAUUUGUUUCAUGUGUCCCUUCAUUUAAAUAUGAGAAUGCUUUCUUGCUGAUUGAAUAUACUUCCGAAAGCAAUAGUUAUUAGAGCAAACUUCUUAGUAGUUUUGUUUACAUGAGAGUGAAUCUAACAAACUUGGGGUAAGAAGUUAGUCUUAAAAAUUGUUAACCGCGUGUGAAGUCUAAAAAGCCAUCCUUUUCCUUAAUGCAAGAUUUUAAGGCUCUCUUAUUUCUAUCUCUUGACUAAGAAAAAGGCUAAGAUUCGGAUUGGGAUUUAAUUCCAUGGUCACCACAUCUUAUCUGCAUCUUUUCCAGCAUAUCCAUGUCCAAAGGAGAUCUAGUCUGAGGGCAACACAUUGGUGGGUGAUCUGAGGAUUCUCAUUGACUUUGCCAUAGCUAGUAUCUGUUUGUAUGCACCCUUCUUCUUGUUUUUGUUUUCUUUUUGUAUGUUGGCUAUUUAGAAACCCUCCCAGGGCAAUCACACAUGUCGAAAACUUGUGAUGCCGAAUAGUUCCAUAUGGNNNNNNNNNNNNNNNNNNNNNNNNNNNNNNNNNNNNNNNNNNNNNNNNNNNNNNNNNNNNNNNNNNNNNNNNNNNNNNNNNNNNNNNNNNNNNNNNNNNNNNNNNNNNNNNNNNNNNNNNNNNNNNNNNNNNNNNNNNNNNNNNNNNNNNNNNNNNNNNNNNNNNNNNNNNNNNNNNNNNNNNNNNNNNNNNNNNNNNNNNNNNNNNNNNNNNNNNNNNNNNNNNNNNNNNNNNNNNNNNNNNNNNNNNNNNNNNNNNNNNNAACUAUGAGUGGACAAGAACCUGUGAGAUUUGUCCUGCACAAUUAGUCCUUAGCAUCAACUAUGGUUUGCCAGGCACUCGGCCCCUCUGCCAAGACCCAUCUCUCUCUCUCUCUCUCUCUCUCUCUCUCUCUCUCACACGCGCACGCACGCAAACACGGACAAACACAAGUACUACUAUGUGCUGCCUCCAUCUUUCUUUGCACUGUGGUUUACUCCAUUAAAUAGGCUAUGACUGUGCUGACAGUACCUAAACAAAGGUGUGGUAUUUCUCUCUAUACGAAAAUCCAGGAUUUGAAUUGGUCAAUGAUUUCAAAUUGGGGCACCUUGAUGCAACAAUUAGUUCACCACUCCAUUCCACCACAAUGUUAUGCUCUUGUCUCCUCUCUUAUUUAUUUGAUAUGUAUACCUGCAUAAUGACUGAAGCAAACUGGCUUAUUUGCUAUAGCAAAGUGACCUGUGAUUGAGGAUGCCAUUAUAUGCGUGCACAAUGAGCUUGAGUUUCUAUUACAGUAAGAUUGAAUCAUGGCCUCAGAACUGGAAUUUAAGUUUGAAAUUCAAGCUGAACGCUUUUCGGUGCAUGUAUUUUAACUGAGGAUACUUAAUGGGUAUCUGUCAGACUCAUACUGCUGACGUUGAGGCUUUUCACAAAGUAAACUUGAUGUCGCGUAAGCAGAUCAUAUUUUUUUAAAUCCGGAGUUCUUUCUCAUUAUAUCCGCCGGAGUUCUUUGUAUUGUCUUAGAAUCCACCAAUUUUUUCCUUUGCAAUUUCUGUUUUUCAUCUGGAAUCCUCGACAAUCUAUCAGUCAUCUCUUAUUUAUGAUGUCAGCUAAAAUUUUCUCAUAAUCUUGUUGUGCUAAAAAGUAUUUUCUUAAAUAAAUAUUCUUGCUCCUCGAUGUUCUCUUAGCCGAUCAUAUUACCCCUUUCUAUCUUUACAAAGCAAAUGGAGGAUAGGCUAGUUUAAUUCUUCCAUACUAGGAACUAAUUUUGGUAUGGUUGACAUGAUGUGAAAUAUCCAAUUGUCAUUUCUCCUUUGCAAAUGCACUUCUGGAAGCAAUAUUCCUAAUAAUAUAGGUUAGUGCUUUGAAGAGCCCAUGCUGAUCUCAAUAAUUGGUUUUAGAUUUGAACGCCUGAAUAUCACCAGUAAUAUUUAGCUAGUUGCUUUGGUGUCUGAAGGUCCAAUUAGAAACCGACAUGGGAUGGGAUUACUGUAUUGGGCUUAAGACCUAAGACUAUCAGAACUUAUAUGGUGCAAAAGAUAAUAGGCACCAAGCUGACUGGUUUUCAUGACUCUUUUUUUUUUUAUACAGGCACUCCUUGCUGAUUUUGAAGUCUCUGAAGGCAUAUAUUCUCGAGCUCGCAUUGAAGAUACUGAUUCAGUCUGUCUAUGGCUGGGAGCAAAUGUUAUGUUGGAGUAUUCAUGUGAAGAGGUUGUACUCGAGUUUAAGCAAUGUCCCUUUCUCUCCAAUAAUGAUGUCAAGUAUCUUAUUUAUUGCAAAAAUUUAUGCUGCAGGCCACAACCCGUCUACAAAAGNNNNNNNNNNNNNNNNNNNNNNNNNNNNNNNNNNNNNNNNNNNNNNNNNNNNNNNNNNNNNNNNNNNNNNNNNNNNNNNNNNNNNNNNNNNNNNNNNNNNGUAAUGUUGGAUCCAUCAAUGUUUCGGCAUUUCACCUUGACUCUGUAUGUUAGUAAGAACCAAUUUAAAUUUGAAUUCGGGGGAGAAACAUGGGCCUGCCUGGGGUCCACUGAGGAAUACGCGUCAGCAGGAGUGUUUUUGGAUCAAGUGACUUAUUGCUGUAAUUUGGUUGGUCUCUUGUUGUCAGAUCUUGAAGAUUUCCAUUAUAUUAGAGCAAUGUAGGUACCGUCUGGGUAGAAAGUCCGUGCCAAGACAAUUUGUAUAUAUAUAUCACUAAAAUCAACUUUUUGCAACUUUUGAGUUUUUAAUGUAAGUACAUUACUAAGUCAAAUUUUCAAUUCGAGCCAAUACAGUAGUGCCAAGCCCUGAGUUCAACUCCUCUUAGAUAUUCGAUGUUGGAAACUCCCCUCAAAUCAUGGACUACUAAAAGUUUGGCUUGAGCUUCACCAAACUAGAAUCAAGAUAUUCAAGAUCAAGUUGACUUGAAACAAUCAAAUGAAAGAAUGGGCUUGAGCUCAAGCCCAUUAACUUCAAAUAUUAUACUCUACAUUUAUGUGAAUUAAGUAUACUACAAUUUGCAAAUGUCUUCCCCUCUAUUAUCGUGAUUAUCAAUUAUUUUCUGAACAAAAUAAUAGAAAUUGGAUUGGAAUUGUGAUUCUCUCAAGUUUGAUCUCGACUCGAUGAAAUUCUUGGUGUAACUCCAAUCUAAGCUCGACUCAAAACCAGACUAGUUGAUCUCAAUUAAUUAUUAAGUCAAGCUUCAAUUAGUCUAAGCUCGACUCGAAACUAGACCAAUCGAUUUCGACUAAUUAUUAAGUUGAGCUUGAAUUAGUCCUAAGUCGGACUCAACUUCAACCCUACUGCUAGGCUCGCAAGGUCCAAUACAUGUAUGAGGACUUUCAUGGGCCAAAUAGUAUUUCCGACGUUGAACUCGUCAUUAUGUAAUGCAAGCCCUUCCUUGGUAGGAGGGUCUCGCACAUCUCCCCGAAGUGUUAUGACCUCCGAAUGAACGCGAAUUUUUAGAGAAGUUGAUGGGAAAAAGUAUAUAUGAUCACAAUUCAAUGGAGGCAAUUAAAAGUCACAAUGGGACAAUUUUUUUUUUCCAUGUAGAAAGAAUGUAUAUUUAUUAUGUACACUAAUUAUUCCUCUAAUCAUGAAUAUACCAAGAUGAUGGAAUGCAAAAGGUCAUUAGUGAAUUUGGGGAAAUUUGCAGUCUAUUAAUGUUACAUCAUGCAUCACAAUCAAUCUAUGACUCUUGAAAGCAAAAGGUGACUUGGAGCCAAAUUCACAUUUCACAACUUUUUCAUGGCACAAGAUAAAAGAUUAGUAAGUGGAAUAAAGGCAAGUAUCAAUUGAUCAAGCAAAUUAGUGCGAAUAUGGAUUGAAUAUUAGAAGAUCUACUUUGUUGGGCUUAGCAAAAGCAAAAUGAAACUUCGGCUCCGGCUGAGGAAAAGCUAAUCCUCAUGAUUUUUUGUGGUUGAAUUCCUUCUGAAUUUAAUGAGCAAAACAAAAACAAUUGCGCGUGGUUUUAUAGUAAAAGUUCCACUGUGAAAGUAAGCAAUAAUUUUGCUACAAUGAUCUCAGGGUGAACAAUAUCUUGUCUGCCAGUAGUGGAAACCUGAUAGCAUAGUGUAAAUAAGCAAUAAUUUUUUAUAGUGAUUGGAUGGUGAACAGUAUUAUUGCACAUGUUGCUACAGUUUCUGGUGGCUAUCUUCUCUUGGUGAUUUUGUUCUUCUUCUAACAAGCCGACCCCACGGUAGUAAUCUUCUUUUGUAUCUCUGCUACGGUGUGAUUGGUAGGAGCUAGCUUUUCACAGUUGGUGGGCUCUUUAAUUUUGGAAAUGAUUUUCUCCUUUACUGAAACAUAUUCAUUUGGUGAUUGCGCAACAGCAAGGUAGGGCUACUGCAAGAGAUUUUUGUUGCAAGAAUGAUGCAUUUAAUGAUCCGUCUAAUGUCGUUUGUGAUCUUGUGGUGAUUUGGGCGUAACGGUUGUUUAACCAAUUAUGGACUGAUUCUUUAGAAGUUUGCAUCAUCAAAGAGUGCAUAUAGCAAAGUUUAUCCCUACUCCCGCAAUUCAUGCAUUCUUACCAUAAAAGCCUACAUUUAUUUCUCGAGUUACACACAUUUCCUUGAUGAGUGAUGACCAAGCCUCACCUGGCCACGGCAAAAAGUUGAUGGAGAAAUCUAUAUUGUAAAUAACUAAAUUCACCCAAUUUUCACUAAAAAGACAAAAUUGCUUCAAAUCAUUCAAUCGCAAUUUAAUUGAUAGCCCCAAAUUCAUAAAAUAAAUAAAUAAAUAAAUAGUUUUUCUAUUUCAAUGUAGGAUUUCGUUACCAUAAUUAAGAAUUUCACAUGUCUAGUUUUUCUUUAUAAUAGGUAUUUCAAUAUAUUUAAAACACCAUUUCUUUUUUCACUGUUAGAUUUGUCUUCCAUAAACUUUAGGAAAUUUCCAAGAAACCUAGUAUGUCAAGCAAAUUUAAGGAUGAAUCUAGAAAAAAUUAUUAUAUAAAUAAUUUUUUGACACAAACACUUGUUUACAAAUUUCAAUUUUGUUGUGCAUAUCACUAUCAAACUCCUUCUUUUAUCAUUUGACCAAAUAAAAUUCCCUCUUAUCAGUUCUCUUCUAUACAUACAUACAUACAUACAUACAUACAUACAUACAUACAUACAUACAUGCAUGCGUGGAAAUUUAUCUAAUCUUCUAUACAUACAUACAUACAUACACACACACAUAUAUAUAAUGGGAUGAUCGGAUAAAUCAAGAAGGACUAGCAAAGAUUUUGAACUUAUUUCAAAAUAAAGAUUCAAAAUGUUAGAUCAAAAUCUUGAAUUUAUCUGACAAAUUUAGAUAGAUUAUCAAAAGGGCCUUUAAAUUUUUGUUAUCAAUCAAGAAGGACCAACAAGUAUUUUAAUAGUGCAUUACAUUUCAAUACAAUACUUAUCACAUAUAAAAUUAUUGUUCAAUCUGAUCAAGGAUAAAUCCAUCAUGCCACUUAGUGUGACAUUGGAAUAAAUAUAAGGAGAUCUGCUUUUUGGGCUUAGCGAAAGUAGAAUGGAAUUCUAGCUCCAACUGACAAAAGCUAAUCCUUUUGAAUUGAAUGAGCAAAACAAAAGCAAUUGUGUGUGAUUGUACAGUAAAAGUUCUAUAGUGAAAGUAAGUAAUAAUUUUACUGCAAUAAUUUGAUGGUGAAUAGUAUCUUGUCUGCUAGUACCAGAGGCCCGCUGGCAUAGUGAAAGUAAGCAACAAUUCUAUUGUAGUGAUUGGACGGUGACCAGUAUUAUUGCACAUGCUGCUACAAUUUCUAGCGGGUAUCUUCCCUUGGUGAUUUUGUUCUUCUUCUAAUAGGUGGAUCCCAUUCCAGUCAUCUUCUUUUGCAUCUCCGUUACGAUGUGAUUGGUGGGAGCCAGCUUUUCACUGUUGGUGGACCCCUUAAUUUUAGAAAUGAUUUUCUUCAUUACUGUAACAUAUUCAUGCGAUAAUUGUGCAGCAGCAAUGUGGCUUGCUGCAAGAGAUUUUUGUUGCAAGAAUGAUGCAUUUGAUUAUCUGGCUAUUGUUGUUUGUGAUCUUGUGGUGAUUUGGGCAUUUCAGUUGUUUAACCAAUUCCUGAGUAAUUCUUCGGAAGUUUGUAUCUUCAAAGUUUAUUUCCCCUCCCGCAAUUUAUGCAUUCUUACCAUAAAGGCCUACAUUUAUUUAUUUCCCGGGUUACACACAUUUUCUUGAUGAGUCAUGAUGAUCAAGCCUCUCCUGGCUUACGGCAAAAAGUUGAUGGAGAAAUCCAUUUCAUGUAUAACUAAAUUCACCCAAUUUUCACUAAAAAGAUCAAAGUGCACAAAAUCAUUCAAUUGCAAUUUAAUUGGUAGCCCCAAAUUCAUUGACUUUUUAAAAAAAAAUUCUAUUUUAAUGUAGGAUUCAAUUACCAUAAUUAAAAAUUUCACAUGUCUAUUUUAAAAAAAUAAAUUAUUGUAGGUAUUUCAAAUAAAUUGAAAACACCAUUUCUUUUUCUCUGUUAGAUUUUUCUUCCAUAAAACAUAGUUUUGUUGCAAAAAGAAAUUUCUAAGAAUCCUAGUUCUUUUCAAUGUUGUCAAGCAAAUCUAAGGAUAAAUUGUCAGGUAGAAUCUAAAAAAAAAAUUUAUCAUAUAGAUUUUUUUAACACAAUCACUUGUUUACAAAUUUCCACUUUUGUUGUGCAUAUCACCAUCAAACACCUUAUCGUUUGACCAAAGAAAAUUCCUUCUUAUGGGUUCUCUUCCACCACACAUAAUUAGAUGAUCAGAUAAAGAAACCCUCUUUAGGGUUUGAAGAUUUUCCAAAAUAAGAUAACAAUUACAUUUUCCAAUGGAAAACUUUAAAGAUGAAAUUUAAUUAAAUUAAAAAUUUCACAAAAUAUAAUUUUUUUUUAAAGAUGUUGAUGACAUCUCAUUAUUUUGAAUUGACAAAAAUUAAUAUCAUUGACCAAGUAUGUAUGAAAAAAUAUCUUGAUGCUUCAUUAUGCACAACCGUUUUAGUAUAUUCCUAGAUAUUCCACAAUGCCUAACAUCUAUGUAAAAGCAUCUCGCUGAUAGUAAGGGUAAAAGGUAAGUUCUUUAAAGAGACUUGGUAUAUAUUUUAGACUAAUGAAAUUAAAAAAAAUAAAUAAUUCACCAAGAAAGUGAGCUUUUGAAAUAAGAGGGAGAAAGAAUAAAUUAGUUUUUAUUAGGGCAAUGAUGAGAAGAGACUUUCAAGGUUUUGACUAUAUCAAAUAAUUUGUGUUUUUUUUUUCUUACUAGUGGCCUUUAUAAGGAGCAUGUAAUACAUUAUAGUAAUAUUUUAAGGAUACACUAAAAAAAAAUUCUUUAGUACACUAAGAAGAAUAAAACGCGUGGAAUGUGUAAUUAUGGUAACUAGAAAACGUAGGAAAAGAAAUAAUGUGAUUGUCACUCUAAAUUGCAAUUGAAUGAUUGAAGGCAGUUUAGUCUUUUUAGUGUAAAUGUGGUGGAUUCGAUCUAGCGCUAUCCAGAAUUUAAUGGGGAAAUUAAAGUUACAAUGAGAUAAUACUUUCUUUUCCAUAUAGAAAGAAUGUUAGCUCUUAUGCACACUGUUUAUUCCUUCAUCAUGAAUAUACCAAGAUGGUAAAGUGCAGAGGUCAUCAGUGGAUUUAGAAAAAUUCCGUGUGAUUUCACCAACAAUUGGCUUUUAACGGUGUAUCACACGUUAUGGUGGAUCUACGACUCUCGAGGGCGGAAAGCGACUCUGUGCUGAUUUGACAUUCACAAUUUUGCAAUGACAAGAAAAAGGGUAGUCAAUGGAACAAAGGCAACAUUGAUCAUUUGGCUUAGCAAAAGCAUAAUGGAAGCUUGGCUCCGACCGAGAAAAGCUAACCCUUUUUAAGUUAUGGAGUAGAACAAAAGCAAUUACAAUAUGCCUUUUUCUAGACUAGAAAUCGAGGACGAGAUUUGUCACCAAAAACAAAACGGACAAAAGGAUUAAAGGGCAUCCAUCAUGCUUCCUCAGAGGUCACGCCAAAUCGUCUGUUUAUGGAGCCAGACCACUUCAUCAUCUUAUGUUAUUAAUAUUCUAUAUAUGUCUAGAAGGAUAAAAGCAUUAAGACAAGCGGCUAGAUUGGGAUCCCAUGAUUUGUGCAACGAUUGAAAUGCAUAAUUUAAAUUAAGAUACAAAUAUGUGAUAACAAAAAUCAGAUGCAAUUCUAAAUGAUUUGUGAGCGUAUUCCCUCACUUUUUGUUUCUCAAAUUUAGGCGCCUGUAUGAGUAGCUUAAUUUUUACGUGAAAUUAAUCGUCAAUUUUGAUAAAACAUUUUAAAUUUCGGUGUGCUCGUAUGUGAAGUGAGUCUCUAUACAAUCGCAUAAUAUUGGAUUUCAAACUUGGUGCCCACCUUAAAAAGGACAUAAUAACAUGUAGGACAUGAUCACAUUUUGUGUAUGUGCCUGUGUGAAUAAUCUGCGGAAAUAGAGAGUAAAUCUAGACCGCAUUCAAUGGAACUAGAGAAAGGUUCAACGCCUUCGAUUCAUUAGAGACGCCAUCAUCGAUUAUUAGCAAAAAGUAGUUGAUUUAACCAUGUUUAACCAUGAUUAAGUUAAAAUUUUGGGCUUGGCACUUAUAAGAAAGAAAAUUUUGCUCACAAAAAUUGAAAAAAUGAAGUAAAACCCUUUGGUCGUUACUUGGAUGUUUCUACGAUCUUUCCAAAAAGCAUUCUAGGAGGGCCUGCAAUUGUUAAAUCACAAAAUAAUGGAUCUCCACUAUGAAAACAAAGCUUUUUCAAGAUUUUACAAAUUGCUACGGUUUGCAUUAUUACGUGUAUCGAUCCAUCGACUAAUCAUAAAAUGGAAAUAGUUGCACGGAUCAUGGUUUGCAGACCAAAUGUGAUCACAUCCAUUGAUGUUUAGGUGAUCCAUGUAUAAUUUAUGUGAUAAUGAUUUUUUGAUGGACCCGAUAUAUGUGGAUCAGAGUACUGGCAAGUCUUAACCCAAUGAAGUCUAUAUGAGUUGGGAGAGAGAGUGAACUCCCUUAAGAAACAAAGAUGAACUUAAGUUCUCUUUGCUUAAAAUAAAUGCGAGUCUAUCCUCAAGUCUUUGUCAUACCCUCUUGUGAAAUCACUCUUGUGAACGCAAAAGCAAAAGCACUUAAGUAUGUUUGUCUGGUCAAUUCUUUGUCAGAUCCUCUUGUGUAAGCAAAAGCACUGAAGUAUGUCUGUCUAGUUAAUUCGUUUGCACAUAGCCAAAUUCCACAGGCUUGUUUGUUCGUGUGUUCACACACGCACAACGUGUUUUGCAAUUUGAGGACCAGGACCUGGAAAAUACCAAGAAACUCAGGUUGAUAUCAUCAAAAAGCAUAAAGACCCUCAUUCAAGAUUAAAAAUGUUUCGAAAAUCUCAACUUUGUUGAUCUCCUUGUGGAGGAGGAAUUGUAUUUUCUUCACAAUUUCCACAAAAGAAUCAGCUAAAGUCUCCCGCUUAGCUCCCUUUUAGCUUGACAAAAGGGAUCUAUUUUGUACACGUAUUUUGCAAAGUGAAACUCAAAUUGCAUAAAAGAUUAACAUUAGCAUGGACCUAAAAUUAAAGAAUAUAGAAAACUUUAACCAAUAUCUUUCAAUUUUAUGAACCAUUAGGUGAAAUCGAAGUACAUAGACUUUGAAGAAGGUCAGCCAACUAAAAUUGCCCAAUCUGUUAUGUAGAGUUAAACUGAAGCUAAGAGACCGGUCACUCCUAUAUUGUUCAUGAGACACAUCUCUAUAGCUCUGUACUUAUGACGUGACAUGACGCUUGGCAUUGUGUUGCCAUGUAGCUCAAUGACCUUACAAAUUAUUUACAUAUCAUCCUGUGCAAUGUGUUAUUUUCCAGUGCUAUUUAUAGAUAAAGUCAACAUUUAACAUCUUCAAAUACGAAAAAAAAAGAUUUUAUCUAGAGGUAGGCUUAGGCAAAACAAUUAAUUUAAACUUAGCCGAAAUAAUUGAAUUAAACAACAAAUAGUAUAGAAAUGUGUCUUAUAAAUAAGUAGUACAUAUUGCAGUAAUUGUCUUCUUCCACGGAGCAUCGACAUUUUUUCUUCGAAAAACUCGAAAAAUAAUGUUACCCAUAUUUUACCUAAAUUUGACCGAAUUUGGUCAAGCAUAACUUUUUCGUAUAAGGUACAAUUGAAUCGAUUUUUCCCCCAUGGAAAGCUGGUGACUUCAAUUUAGCUAAAACGCGGUUGACCUCAGAUUGCGGAUUUUGGGCGGUCAGGCCAGUUUGAACUUGGCAAAAAGUUCUGAUGUUUUUGUCAUAAAAAUUCCGAUCUUUGUGAUUUUGAUGGUGUUGGAAAUCAUAAAGUUUCCGACACCUCAAGAUCGUACAGCCGUGCUUAGAAAAACUUGAUAUAUUGAGAUCUGGCUGUCCGAAUUGGGCAGAUUGGGUAUCUUUAGAAAGCUUUUGACAAGCACACCUGAUUACAACCUUCGACUGAACUUUUAAUGAAGUUUGACUCUCGGUCAACUUUGCUAUGGCACUGAAAGGUCGCUUGAGUCUUUAGGGACCUUUCGAAUGUGUUCAAUGAUGACAAGUGAUUAUUUGUCGAGCAAUCCAGCUUUGCCAUUUCUGUUCCUUAUUCGAUGGAGUUAGCCAACAAAUAGGGUGACCCUUUUUUCGGUCCAUUCGUUAUUGCCGAAAUAAAAUUUUCUGGAGUUCUACAAAGACAUUCGACUUGUUCUUUUAAUCUGUACUGUGUUGGAUCCAAAAUUGAAUAUGAACGAGUUCGGAGUUCUGCUUCCGAUAUAUUAUGAAAACUUUGGCCUAGAUGAAUUGUGAGAUAUAGAACAAAUCUUGGUGAUGGUGAGGACUUAGCUACAUAAUCUAUGGAUCAAUGCAAUCACAUCCAUUGAUUUUUGUAAUUUAUAUAGCUAAUGGAUUUGAUAGACCCAAUUUAUGGGGACUUGAGAACUAGCAAGUCUAAUCUAGUGAAGCCCAUUUGAGUUAGGAGAGAAGAUGAACUUCCUUAAGAAACAAAUUUUUUUUUUUUGAUCAACUAAGAAACAAAAUUGAACCUGCCAUUUUUCUUUGCUUAUAUUGUACAGAAGUCAAUCUUGAAGUCUUUGUCCGACCCUCUAGUGUGAAGGCAAAAGAUAAAGCACAGAAGUAUGUUUUGUCUAGUUAAUUCGCUCGUUAUGCACUGGUCUACGCAUUGCCAAAUUGCACGGCAAAUAGGCUCGUAAUUCGUGUGUUCACACGAGUACACACAAAGAUGUCAAUACUUACAAGUUCCGUUUGGAGAUUGGCAACCGACUUGGAAGAUCGGCAAAGAGCAUUUUGAAAUUUUAGGCCCUGAAAAAUACCGGGAAACUGCGGUUGAUAUUAUCAAAAAAUCAUAAAAGUCAAACUUUCGAGAAUAAAAUGUUUGAAGAAUCUCAACUUUAUUGGAAUUAUUGUGAAGGAGGGACCACAUUUUCUUGGAAAUUUCCAUAAGAGAUCAACGUCCAAUUAAGCGAUAUGAGUCCAAUGCUAAAUCAACCAAAAACAAAUGAUAGAGACGAAUCAAAUCCUGACAGAAUCAACAUUUGAUUUAAAUAUCAGCGUGCAAUUUUAUUUGGUGUACAAUUUCAAUCCGCGAGCAAUUUUAUUUUGUUACCGUCCAAUCUAACAUCGAAGUGCAAUCAUAACUUGUAAUAAUGGUCAAUAUUCAGGUUCAUGUAACUUUAUUGCUAAAGUGACUAAUUACGAGUAUGAAUGGCUUUUUGGGUUUUUUUAUUUACGAAGGAAGGCUGCAGGUGGCUUCCAGGCAAACGACACGUAGUACCAAAGCAAUGGCAAGUGAAACUCAUUUUCAGUUGUCCAGCUACAUCCAACAUUCAACCAUUCAUUAACACACAACUUAUACUUCCGAGACCACCCCCUCCUCUUCGACCACUUCUAUCAAUUAUUUACUCAACUUAGCCUGAAUGCUUUUGUUUGCUUAUAGAGGAAAGCCGCAGGUGAUUUCCCAGGAAACGCAGUGGAAGUGAGCGAUUUCACUCCUUUGCUUCGUCAAGUUGUUGCAAGGAUCAGGCUCAAACUUCCCGAGUUACCGGGCGGACUCAAUUCAGGGAUCAAUCACUCCAUCGUCCUCUCAGAAUGAAGAGAAAGCGGGAGGGAGAAGGGGCGGCUCUGACAGCUUCAGCAAGUAGUAGCUGUGAUGAUGGAUCAAGGAAGGUUUAUGAGGUGUUCUUGAACUUCAGAGGACCUGACACCCGCUUAACCAUCGUUGAUUGUCUUUACAAUGACUUGAUCUGUGCGGGGAUCCGCGCUUUUAAAGACGAUGAAGAGCUCCGAUUUGGCAAAAAGAUUGAAGGCGGCCUCUUGCAAGCAAUCAAUGACUCCAGAAUUUACAUCCCGAUUUUCUCCAAAGAUUAUGCUUCAAGUAAGUGGUGCCUCCGUGAGCUGGCACUCAUAGUGGAGUUAUCGAGAGAUAAUGAUGAGAAAGUGAUCCUCCCUAUCUUCUACGAUGUGGAUGUGGACGAUGUCAAGCUUAAGACCAAUUUAUAUAAAGGAUGCCUCCCAAAAGCACAAGAAUGACUCUGGGGAAGAUUUAACAAAGCAGUGGGAGGAGGCUUUAAGAGAUGUUACCAGAAUUAGUGGAAAGAAACUAAAAGAUUACGGGUAUGGUUUGCUUCUCCAUUGACUUUAUUUUCUUAUUCACAAUUUCAAUUUCUUAUUCCUUCAUAGAAUAGUUAGAUUCAGUUUGCUGCUGUCCAAACUUAUGUAAUGUUUGGUUGGAUUUGACGCAAUGAUCUGUCAUUUUUUAAACCAAGUUUGCUCAGAGGGCAAGGUUUCUUGCACAAAUUGACUUUUCAUUUUUAAAACCAACUUUUGAUAACAAUUAAUGUUAAGGUGUAUCAACUUGAUUAAUUAAUAUAUAACGGAAAAAAAAAAAAAACCAAGAUAUCCAUAAACAUCUAAGAUGUGUUAAUAUAGUAUGACUAUAUAUGUGUGAAAAAUAAAAAUAUUUAAGUUUCUUAACUUCAAUUGCAUUUUGUACAUAAAGUUAAAGACCUGUUACAAUUUUCUUGACCUUAUGCCUAUGAUGUUUGCCUGAAAAAUUAGAUCGAGUUUAGUAUUAUAUCUUCUUUCCUUUUGUUAUACUAAUGAAAGCUGAGGAAGAAUUGGCCCAAAAUAGGAGAGCUCAGUAAGGAGCUUCUUUAUGCGUCCGAGCUAAUAAUGGUUAUAGUUAGUUCAUACUUGUUAGUGUAUGAUGUACCCGAGGGAGACGAAAAAAUGCGCAGGAAACAUAGAGGAAGUCUUUGGGAUACUUUUCUAAAACUUAACAGCGAAGAGGAAGAAAUGAUAGAGCUGACCCCCUUUGGGAUUGACCCAGUGACUCUGGGAAGGAUAUGGCAAAGUAGUGGGAGGAGGCUUUAAGAGAGUUUGAUAGAAUAAAGGACGGAAUCUAAAAGAUUACGGUAUUAUUAGCUUCUUCCAUUAAGUUUAUUUCCAUUUCAUCAAUUUCGAGAUUAUAUUUUAUGAUACUUUUUCCAAAAUAAGAACUUUCAGUUUGGCGCUGUCCAAUCUUAUGUGAUGUAUGGUUGGAUCAGCCGGAGUGAGGGAGGCAGGAAUUUUGCUCUGCGAGCAAGGUUUCUUGCACAAAUUGACUUUUCACUUUUUAUCCCAAGUUUUGGCAACAAAUAGUCUCAAGCUAUAUCAACUUAAUUAAUUAAUUAAUCAAUAAUGCAAAAAAAAUAUUUUUAUGAAAAUCUAAGAGUUGAUGAAAUAGUAACAUAUGUGUGAAAAGUAAAAAUUUAAAUCUCUUAACUUCGCAGCUCACUUUUCAGCUAGCAAAAUGCUUUUAAAAAACUUUGGUCGUUUCUCUUGCUUUGACCAAUUCACGGCCCCAAAUUGGGUACCACAGGGUGCGGAUUUCCUCAGCCUCGUGACCAUCCUAGUUUUAAAGUUGUCAAGUUUUAUAUGAAGCUACCAACCUUAAUUUGUGUCUUACCAACUACUUUUCGAUUAUUUUACAAACUAAUUUAAGGUGACCGGUGUUUAUUUGAGUCAUUUACUAAAUUUAUUUGAUAGUUUGCCGAUUUACAAAUUUUAUAAAACCUGCCCUCUCUUAUUUGAAUUGUUUACUUCACAUUUCAAGAUUACCAAUACUUGAAGCAAAUUACUAACUCAAAUAUGAGUUUCCUACUAGCUAACCUCUGAUUAAGUUAGUGACUAAUUUAAGUCACCCAUUCCUAUGUGAGCCACUUAUCAAUGUUUAUUUAUUUGUUGAAAAUUCCCGCCUUUCGUAACAAACUUUUGUUAUCAACGGACCCGCUUUGAUUAGCAUAGUUCACAAAUAUUCUGAGGUUAGGAACUCGAUUAUCAAAAUACCAAGCAUAGUUUGAGUUACCAACUUAUUCUGAUUAAAUUACCAACAAAUUUAAUGCCACUGAUGAAAUUGCUAAGUUAAACCAGUUGGUAGCUUAUUCGGAAAAAUGAUUGUUGGCAACUCAAAUGAAGGCUAAUAAAUACUCUGAAAGUGUUCCUCAUUUUCGGUUGGUACCCUAUUACUCGGGUAUAUUAAGAAAAACGCUUUUGAGCUUUUAUUCUUGUUUCCUAAAUUCCAGGUAACUGCAUGGUGAGAAAAUCUUUUUCUUUUAUGUCAAUCUUCAAACUCAUCCUUAGUGGCUGAAGAGAUAAAAAAGACCGGAUUCACCGAGGAAUUCCGGUCAAAGCCCAAUUAGACCUUCGUCAUGAAAUAAGCUUUUUCCUACCAUUUACUGGACCAAAGAAUCCUGACAGUAGCAGGUUUCAUUUUUCUUUCUUUUUUUUUUUCCCUUUUUGGGCAAACGGCUCGCAGCAUGAAUGAUCACUCAUUUCAUGCUGGUUGCUUUCAAAGUCAAUUACUUUGAAUUUGAUGAUAACCUUCUAGUGACACGUUAUGCAGGCAUAGAUUCCAUAUGUGAUUUUUUUUUUAUCUGCGAUGAUUGCAUGUUAUGUAUGUGGCAGCCUAUCUGAACUUACAAAACUCAUGGUGCAAGAGGUUUCAAAUUUGCUAUGGACAAGACGGACGGACAUGUCUAAUCAUUUGGUGGGAAUUAAGGAUCGAAUGGAUCACAUCAUGAAGCUAUUAGAUGUAGGAGCUUUUGAUGUACGGUUUAUUGUGAUUCAUGGUAUGGGUGGCAUCGGAAAAACGACACUAGCCGAGGCCGUCUUUAGGCAAAUCUACCCUCAAUUUCGGGAUUAUUGCUGUUUUCUUAAAGAUGUUCGAACUCAUGAUAUAAUAGACUUACAAAAGAAAUUGUUGUUCGAUAUUCUCAAUCUUAGUUACACAAACUCCUUCAUUGAUGAGGUGAUCAAGACAAGGUUUCUUGGCAAGAAAGUUCUCAUUGUUCUUGACGACAUCAACAAUCGAGACCAAAUCAUGAGACUUGCUGGUGAGCCCAACUGGUUUGGUGGGGGUAGUAGAAUCAUCAUAACAACUAGGAAUAUUGAAUACCUAGUAAAGGAAGGUGAGGAUGACAAUGUCCUAACCUCUAUUAGUAGACAAUUUUCAUUCUACAACAUGCCGGAGAUGAAUUUGCAUGAUGCUCUUCAACUUUUCUGUGAGCGUGCCUUGGGAUGUGCCGAGCCUCCACCUGGUUAUGUGGAUAUCACAAAAGAGCUAAUCAAUACACUUGGAGGACUUCCAUUGGCUCUCGAUGUUGUAGGUUCGACGCUCCGUGGAAAAUGCCGAAGAACAUGGGAAGAUGCCCUAUGUAAGUUAAAGAUGGUGAUGAAUGAGGAUGUCAAAAAGAAGUUGAUGAUAAGCUACGAAGCAUUGGAACCUAAUCAACAACAAAUUUAUCUUGAUAUCGCAUGUUUCUUCAUCAACGAAGAGAGAACAACUGUAGUUAAAUAUUGGGACUCGAUUUUUGGUUAUCCGACUGAAAUCGAGGUCAAUAUCCUCAAACGUAUGUCUCUAAUAAAAAUAUCCUACAAUAAUAAACUAUGGAUGCACGACCAACUUAGAGACCUUGGAAGGAGUAUCAUCCAUCCAGAAAGUGGCAAAAUCCAUAUGAAGGGUAGCAGAUUGUGGUCUCCCAAAGAUGCCUUCCGUGUAGUGCAGACAGAAAUGGUAAUCUUUACCUCUAAAUGUUUUCCAGUGCAUCCAUUAGCAUCACCACCUUUUUAUCUAAUUUCAAGUCAAAGUGACAUAUGUACUCAUUGAUUUCUACUUUUGUUUUCUAGGGAACCAAAGACAUAGUGGCACUCAAUCUUGGUACACCUAGCUUGAAUAAGACGUACAGAUUUAAGCGCAAGCAAUUUAUGGGCUUGGUCAACCUUAGGUUCCUUCAAUUGGACCAUGGAAAUUUUGAAGGAGACUUUAAGAAUGUUUUCUUCGAGUUGAGAUGGCUCUCUUGGAGCAAUUGCCCUUCAAAAUUCCGAGCUACCAAUUUUGGGUUGAAGUACCUAACCAUUCUCAUGCUAUCUGGGAAUAACGUUACUGAAGAUUGGGGAGGAUGGUGUCAAAUCAUGGUAUGAUCUCACAACAUACUUUUGCAUUACAUUUACUCUUUUACUCUUCCUCUUUUCUGAGUUUCAAACAAUUACUUUAUAGUUGGCAGAACAAUUGAAAAUCCUACAGCUCAAGGACUGUCCAUUCCUUAGAAAGAUGCCCAAGUUCUCCACAUUCUCACAGCUGGAGAAAUUGAUUCUUAGAUGCGUUGGACUAAGAAAGAUUGACAAGUCCAUCAGCAAUCUACAACAUCUUGAUUACCUAGAGAUAAAGAGUGAAGCUAUUGAGUCGCCACUAGAGUCCAUCGGCGGUCUAAAAUCUUUGACAGUGCUAAGAAUAGAACAAACACCCUCAAUGAAGUCUCUAAUCUUGCCAUGCAAGGAACUUCAAAAGCUUCCCGACUCUAUCGGACAAUUGGAGUCACUGCUUGAGCUAGAUGGCCAAUAUUUAAAAAUUAGUGAACCACCUCAUUCUAUUGGAAAUCUUGAAAGGUUGAAAGUUUUACGCGUUUGGAAUUCCUAUCUAGAAAAGCUACCAGACUCGAUUAGGAGGCUCCAAUCAUUGGUCAAGUUGGAUUUGAGCUAUUCAAGAAUCAGGAGUUUACCUGAUUGUAUUGGAAAUCUCAAAAAGUUGAAGGUACUAAAUCUCAAUGAUAGUUGCAUAAGUGAACUUCCGAAAACCAUAGGAAUGUUGGAAAAUCUAAAAGAGUUACAUGCCUGCUCUAAACAUCCGGUGGGGGAAAUUCCAAGUGAAAUCGGGGCACUAUCCUAAUUGAAAUAUCUACUCUUAGGCGACGGUUGCUUUAGUGGAUUGCCUACAACGAUCAAUCAACUUACAAAUCUCCAGCUACUUUAUUUACAGGACUGUAAUUCAAUCCAACAGCUGCCGGAGCUUCCCAAGAGUCUAACGUCUUUAACCCUUACAUCGGAUUCACUGACCAUGAUCCCCGACUGCUCAAACCUAACCAAUUUAGUUGACCUUAUGAUAAUUGGAUAUUCAAUUGAAGAACCCAACACAGAGGGGAUCGUGAGACUACCUGCUCUGAAACGAAUGGUCCUACGCGUUGGAAAAAUGGCCUUGCCUCCGACCAAUUUCAGUUCCCUCUCUCAACUACGAAGCCUCAGCAUAAAUUAUGCUAAGCACCAAUCCCUUAUCGGGCUCCCAUCCAGCCUUCCAUAUUUGUCGUUAUGCGAUGUCCUGUCACCGAUAGAUUAGUCAGUCUUUUCCAACUUGGAGAAUUUGUUGAUGCUGUAUAUUUAUGGAUAUUUGCUGAAAGAGAUUCGAUUCGAGGUGCUUGGAGAGCUACGGAAAUUCAAUAAAUUGAGGAUGUCCGACUGUCCAUUGCUCAAGACGCUGCCCGUUUUGCCUGGUCUGAAGGAGAUCCAGUGUUUGUUCCUGGUGUGAUUGCCUCUGCUAACUGAGAUUCAGGGUUUAGGAGAAUUGAAAUCAUUGCAGGAUUUGGAUAUUUCGGAAUGCAAUUCCAUCAAAAGCUUGAAUGAGUCUGAUCUUUCUAAUCUACGGAAUCUGAAAAGUUUGAGGUUUUGGCGAUGUGAAUCAUUGGAGAGGGUGCUGGGUGUGCCAAAAUCUUGUCGACUCAAGGUCGAUUGUUGCCCGAGGUUCAAUAGAGAUGGAUAAGAUAUGUAUCAUUUGAUUGACAAAGAUAGUAGAUGAUGGUAAGUCAAUAGAACUAGAGUUCGUUUUUUGUUGUCUUGUUUUGUGAGCUUUCCUUUAGCUAACCUUUCAUCUUGGUUCUAGAACCACCUCUUGCAUUCGUUCAUCCUGUUGUCUCUGAGGGAAAAUCCUCUUUCAUGUAGCAUGAACGUGUGAUACUUUGACUUGCCUACUUGACGAUGGUGAUACCUAGCUGGUUUACGUUGCGCACCAGCAUAAUGUUGGGAUUGACAUGCUUCACGGCACCUGUUUUGUUUAGAAAAUAUGGAUAAAGUGGAAGGGAACUUUUAGAUAGUAAGCACACUAAAGAUGCUGACAAAUGCUGGGUUUUGUUGUAAGGCUGAGGUGGUUGAGACUUGAGAGUACUGGUCUCAUCUUAUGGACUGUUUUUUUUUUUUAAAUUAGUAGAGAACAAUCAUGAUUUAUGAGGACUGAAAUAAAGGAAUUAUUGCUUGGUUAGCAGAAGAGUGAAUCGUUGAUACCUAUUAUGCAAUAUGAGUGAUUUAGUUAUUUCCUUCACGAAGAAUUGGAGGUGUUUUUCUGGUUACUUCUGAGCUGAAGUGGAGAAGCUUCAAGUCUUGAGUCACGGUGUGAUUUGUGAACUAUCUUUCUUCAUUCUAGUAUUUAGCCAUUUAUGCGUGAAAUUCGUGCUCCGAGACAAUUGAUAUUAGAGUAAAGUUGUCUCUAUGGUAAAACCACUAUUUCUUUCAAGACUAGGUUUAGCUGCAUCGAGUUGUGCAUUUUGCAAUUUCUGGUGUUAGGAAAGAGGACCUUCGUGUCAUUGAAGACUAGAUUUUGUUAAUUAUUUUAGCUGACUUAUUGCACCUUUCCUCAUCUCUCUCUUUUUUUGUGCUUAUAAUGUGGUUAUUGUUAACUUUUUAAAUAAACAUGUUUGAUCUAUGUGUCUAUCAUUUUUACAUUUGCUGAUAAAACGUUUUUGCGCAAGCUCCUUCGACACCAUGGUGAAAUGUUCUUUUACAUGGACAUCUAGGCUUUGGCAAGACAUAUUGUUGAUGCUACAACAACAACUUCUUCUCUUCAAUCCAUAUUAGUAAAAAGGCGAGCUGUGGAUAAGUGCAUCGGUACUUUGUAGCAAGCUGUAAGAGUCUUCUUUUCAACUAUACGAAUGUUUAUUGAGUUCCAUUAUGCAAUCUUCUAUUGAACUCUGUUAUUUCCAUACGUUUCACAAUUUUGUGCUUUCUUCUUUUGCUUUUGUCUGCACUUAAUAGAGGUCCCUUCAUCUAUGCCAGCAGUCAAAAUAGGAUAACUACUAGCAAAAAUGAGGAUCCUACCUUUACAGCCAAGAUGUUCUAAUUGUAUUAUUUUAAACAACAGCAAUGAGGAUUCUCCCAUAACCAAUGAAGAGCCAUGUUAAAAUGGUUCUUGAGUUUUCUCACGCAUGAAUGAGAGAAUCCUCUAUGAAGAUUUGAGAAAGAUUAAGAUGUAAGAUAUUUGAAGUUUUCCUCUACUAGAAAUUUGAAAUUUGUGAUCAAAUGUCUACUAGAUCAUCUGUUCUGCACAUUGACAGCAUUGAUUUUGUGAACAAACUAGAGAAUUUUUGAAUAUUUGAGAGUAAUGGCAAUUUUAAAAUUACAGGUCUAGAUAUAUUCUCAGAGGCAGCAUCUGUAGUACCUUGCUUCUCUUUUUUCAUGAAUUUGAUUCCAUUGUGCUGAAGAGGGGGCAUGAUAAUACGGGGUCACUGACCAUGCCAUCAAUCAGUUAGUUUCUUGCAUUCAAUGACACUUAUAAAGUGGUCGUGUGAAAUAUAGUUGAUGGCAUGACUCACUAAUAGUUUGUCAUUCAUUGGUGCAGUUUUUUUACUGAAUCGGAUGAUGUUGAAGGAGACUUUAAGCGCAAGCAAUUUAUGGGCUUGGUCAACCUUAGGUUCCUUCAAUUGGACCAUGGAAAUUUUGAAGGAGACUUUAAGAAUGUUUUCUUUAAUUUGAGAUGGCUCUCUUGGAGCAAUUGCCCUUCAAAAUUUCGAGCUAGCAACUUUGGGUUGAAGAACUUAACAAUUCUCAUGUUAUCUGGGAAUAACGUUACUAAAGAUUGGGGAAGAUGGUGUCAAAUCAUGGUAUGAUCUCAUUACAUCCUUUUGUAUUAUAUUUACUCUUCCUCUUUUUUGAGUGUCUACUCAAUUACUUUAUAGGUAGUAGAACAAUUGAAAAUCCUACAGCUCAAGGAUUGUCCAUUCCUUAGAAGGACGCCCAAGUUCUUUGCAAUCUCGCAAUUGGAGAAAUUGAUUCUUAGAUGCGGUCGACUAAGAAAGAUUGACAAGUCCAUUGGCAAUCUACAACAUCUUGAUUACCUAGAGAUAAAGAGUGAAGUUAUUGAGUCGCCACCGGAGUCCAUCGACGGUCUAAAAUCUUUGAUAGUGCUAAGAAUAUAACAAACACCCUCAAUGAAGCCUCACUCGAUUGGCAAUUUAGCAAAGGUGAAGUCUCUAAUCUUGCCAUGCAAGGAACUUCAAAAGCUUCCCGACUCUAUCGGACAAUUGGAGUCACUACUUAAGCUAGAUGUCCAAUAUUUAAAAAUUAGUGAAUUGCCUCAUUCUAUUGGAAAUCUUGAAAGGUUGAAAAUUUUACGCAUUUGGAAUUCCUAUCUAGAAAAUUUACUAGACUCGAUUAGGAGGCUCCAAUCAUUGGUCAAGUUGGAUUUGAGCGAUUCAAGAAUCGGGAGCUUACCUGAUUGUAUUGGAAAUCUCAAAAAGUUGAAGAUACUAAAUCUCAAUUAUAGUUGCAUAAGUGAACUUCCGAAAACCAUAGGAAUGUUGGAAAAUCUAGAAGAGUUAGAUGCCUACUCUGAACAUCUAGUGGGGGAAAUUCCAAGUGAAAUCGGGGCACUAUCCUCAUUGAAAUAUCUAUACUUAGGCAACGGUCGCUUUAGUGGAUUGCCCACAAUGAUCAAUCAACUUACAAAUCUCCAGCGACUUUAUUUAUAGGACCGUAAUUCAAUCCAACAGCUGCCAAAGCUUCCCAAGAGUCUAAUGUUUUUAACCCUUACAUCGGAUUCACUGACCACGAUCCCCGACUGCUCAAACCUAACCAAUUUAGUUGACCUUACGAUAAUUGGAUAUUCAAUUGAAGAACCCAACACAGAGGGGAUCGUGAGACUACCUGCUUUGAAACGAAUGGUCCUACGCGUUGGAAAAAUGGCCUUGCCUCCGACCAAUUUCAGUUCCCUCUCUCAACUACGAAGCCUCAGCAUAAAUUAUGUUGAGCCCCAAUCUCUUAUCGGGCUCCCAUCCAGCCUUCAAGAUUUGUGGUUAUGCGAUGUCCAGUCACCGAUAGAUUGGUCAGUCUUUUCCAACUUGGAGAAUUUGUCGACGCUGUCUAUUAAUGAAUAUUCGCUGAGAGAGAUUCGAUUCGAGGUGCUUGGAGAGCUACGGAAAUUCAAUGAAUUGUGGAUGUCCGACUGUCCAUUGCUCAAGACGCUGCCCGUUCUGCCUGGUUUGAAAGAGAUCUAGUGUUUGUCCCUGGAUCGAUUGCCUUAGCUAACAGAGAUUCAGGGUUUGGGAGAAUUGAAAUCAUUGCAGGAUUUGUGUAUUUGAAAAUGCAAUUCCAUCAAAAGCUUAAACGAGUCUGAUCUUUCUAAUCUACAAAAUCUGAAAAGUUUGAGGUUUUGGCGAUGUGAAUCAUUGGAGAGGGUGCUGGGUGUGCCAAAAUCUUGUCGACUCAAGGUCGAUUAUUGCCCGAGGUUCAAUAGAGAUGGAUAAGAUAUGUAUCAUUUGAUUGGCAAAGAUAGUCGAUGAUGGUAAGUCAAUAGAAUUAGAGUUCGUUUUUUGUUGUGUCAUGUUUUGUAAGUUUUCCUUCAGCUAACCUUUCGUCUUGGUUCUAGAACCACCUCUUGCAUUCGUUCAUCCUGUUGUCUUUGAGGAAAAAUCCUCUUUCAUGUGAACGUGUGAUACUUUGACUUGCCUACUUGACGAUGGUGAUACCUAGCUAUUUUACGUUGCACGCCAGCAUAACGUUGGGAUUGACAUGCUUCACGGCACCUGUUUUGUUUAGAAAAUAUGGAUAAAGUGGAAGGGAACUUUUAGAUAGUAAGCACACUAAAGAUGCUGACAAAUGCCGGGUUUUGUUGUAAGGCUGAGGUGGUUGAGACUUGAGAGUACUGGUCUCAUCUUAUGGAGUGUUUUUUUUAAAUUAGUAGAGAACAAUCAUGAUUUAUGAGGACUGAAAUAAAGGAAUUAUUGCUUGGUUAGCAGAAGAGUGAAUCGUUGAUACCUAUUAUGCAAUAUGAGUGAUUUAGUUAUUUCCUUCACGAAGAAUUGGAGGUGUUUUUUUGGUUACUUUUGAGCUGAAGUGGAGAAGCUUCAAGUCUUGAGUCACGGUGUGAUUUGUGAACUAUCUUUCUUCAUUCUAGUAUUUAGCCAUUUAUGCGUGAAAUUCGUGCUACGAGACAAUUGAUAUUGGAGCAAAGUUGUCUCUAUGGUAAAACCACUAUUUCUUUCAAGACUAGGUUUAGCUGCAUCGAGUUGUGCAUUUUGCAAUUUCUGGUGUUAGGAAAGAGGACCUUCGUGUCAUUGAAGACUAGAUUUUGUUAAUUUUUUUAGCUGACUCAUUGCACCUUUCCUCAUCUCUCUUUUUUUGUGCUUAUAAUGUGGUUACUGUUAACUUGUUAAAUAAACAUGUUUGAUCUAUGUGUCUAUCAUUUUUACAUUUGCUGAUAAAACGUUUUUGCGCAAGCUCCUCCAGGACCAUGGUGAAAUGUUCUUUUACAUGGACAUCUAGGCUUUGGCAAGACAUAUUGUUGGUGCUACAACAACGACUUGUUCUCUUGAAUCCAUAUUAGUAAAAGGGUGAGCUAUGGAUAAGUACAUUGGUACUUUUUAGCAACCUGUACAAGGUUUCUUUUCAACUAUGUGGAUGUUUAUUGAGUUUUAUUAUGCAAUCUUCUAAUGAACUUUGUUAUUUCCAUAUAUUUCACAAUUUUGUGCUCUCUUCUUUUGCUUUUGUAUGCAUUUAAUAGAGGUCCCUUCAUCUAUGCCAUCAGUUGAAAUAGGAUAACUAGCAGUAGCAAUGAGGAUCCUACCACUGCAGCCAAGAUGUUCUAAUUAUAUUAGUUUAAACAACAACAAUGAGGAUUCUCCCAUAACCAAUGAAGAGGCCAAGUUAAAAUGGUUCUUGAGUUUUCUCACACAUGAAUGACAGAAUCCUCUGUGAAGAUUAAAAGAAAGAUUAAGAUGUAAGAUAUUUGAAGUUUUUCUCUCCUAGAAAUUUGAAAUUUAUGAUCAAAUGUCUAUUGGAUCAUCUGUUCAACACAUUGGCAGCAUUGAUUUUGUGAACAAACUAGAGAAAUUUUGAAUAUUUGAGAGUAUUCGCAAUUUUAAAAUUAUAGGUUCAGAUAUAUUCUCGAAGGCAACGGCUAUAGCACCUUUACUCCUCUUUUUUCAUGAAUUUGAUUCCAUUGUGCUGAAGAGGGGGCAUGAUAAUACGGGGUCACUGACCAUGUCAUCAAUCAGUUAGUUCUUGCAUUCAAUGACACUUAUAAAGUGGUCGUGUGAAAUAUAGUUGAUGGCAUGACUCACUAAUAGUAUGUCAUUCAUUGGUGCAGUUUUUUUACUGAAUUGGAUGAUGUUGAAGUUUAAAGUGGUGUGUUUGUGUCAGUAGGGACAAGAUAAUAAUUUCGUCUUACAUAGUAACAAAAAGUACUCUCUUUACAUAGCAUACUAACUAUAAACUACUGUUGGAAAUUGCAUGGCCAUUAUGAAUGCUUUGCCAAAACAAUUUCUAUGAAGCAUUUAAUAUGGAGACUACGUAAUAACCUUCAAGGCAGACUAUUAAAUGCUAGACAUGACUUUUCCUUGAUUUAGAAUUGUUUAACUUUGGAUACACAGUAUUGGAUAAACUACAUAUGUAUCAAAGAAGGUAACAAACGACAGGAUUGCUCGAAUUACUUUUCAGUUGCUGAAGUAGCUUACAAGAAGUGUAUUAAAUUGGUCUUGAGCCUCUUUAACAGCAUCAAUGGAUGUUGAUCAUUUCAGUUUUGGGUGUGCCAAAAUCUUGAACUCAUCAUCAUUGACUGCCCGAAGCUCAAUAGAGAUGGAUAAGGUAUGUAUCAUUUGAUUAGCAAAGAUGGUCGAUGAUGGCAAGUCCAUAGAACUAGAGUUUGUUUUUUGCUGCGUCCUGUUUUGUGAGUUUUCUUUUAGCUAAGCUUUCAUCUUAGUUCUAGAACCACCACUUGCAUUCAUUCAUCCUCUUAUCUUUGAGCAAAAUUCCUUUUUUCGCAUGUCAUGAACAUGCGGUACUUUCACUUGCCUCCACGGUGGUGAUGCUUUGCUGGUUUAUGUUGUGCAUCAGCAUAAUGUUGGGGUUGACAUGCUUUGCAGAAUGUAACUUGCUUAGAUAGUAAGCACACUGAAGAUGCUAACAAACGCUAGGUUUUGUUGAAAGGCAGAGGCGGUUGAGAGUACUGGUCAUACCUUAUGUAGUGUUUUUUCAAUUUCACUACAGAACAAUCAUGAUUUGUGAGGAAUGAAAUAAAGGAAUUAAAGCCUCAUUAGCGAAAGAGUAAAUUGUUGAUACCUUUUAUGCUGUAUGAGUUAUUUAGUUACUUCCUUCAUGAAGAAUUGGAGGUGCUUUUGUAGUUACUUUUGAACUUACAUUUUGUUUGUCUGUCUGUUAUUCGUUCAUUCCCUCCCAUCUUAAAUUACCAAACACAGUUGAGGAAGAUGUUGAAAUUCGCCAAACAAGGCAUUUACAUUCUUGAAUUCUUAUUUGUUGUGCCGAUAACAUGUCUUUUUCUGAAUCCUUUGCUGUUUUGAGCUGGGUCCGGGAAUUUGAUGACUUCUACUCAUUGAUGAAUUCAAUGAGGCAAAUGCAAUAACCUGGGUUGCUCACUUUUUAAUCAUCUCUGUUUCCUGCAGUUUUAGAGAUUGAGCAAGGAUUAUCUGAUGUUGCACAAUCAAAGAUUAUUGUAAGCUUUACUCCACAUUUGAUGCCCAUGAUUAUAGUUGCAAUUUUCUAGUGUUCCCAUUCUUAAAGUUAAAAUUAUGCUUCCCUAGCGAUAGCUGUAAGCUUUCUUCAACUAUUUCUGCAGAGUCCUAAAAAUGCAAUAAACUAUUCAUGCUAAAAUGUCUUCAGGUGUAAUGGCUGGGGAUCUAUAUGAAGUUGCUAACUGGGCAAACUUUUUUCUAACUAAUAGUCCUAUUUUGCUUAGGCAUUCGAUGGCUUAAUGUGCUAAGUAUUAACCUUAGCUUUCGUUUACUGAAGUACUUAUUUUUAGUACUCAUGAUUAGCUUAAUCAAAGUACAUCAUUUAUUUCAUAGAUCUUGAUUAAGUCAAUCAAGUAGUAGACGUGUUUGGGAACUGAAACUUGAAAGAUCCGCAACUUCCUUUCAUAUUCUUGAGUGUGCUUCCCACAUACUUCAUGCUGUCUGAUCGCUUAAUUCACUUUAUCUUGCUGGACGAGGGAUUUGUUAUGCUGUUAAAAAAUGGAGUUGUUCCUCGUACUCAAAAUGUGCAAGGAUCUUAUUAUUUUUUUAUGAGUGUCUUUCUUGAUCAAGUAUCCGGACAAGCAAUACUUAUCUAUGUAGUCGGUUCCCAAGUGUCUGUUCUCCAUUAAGUGCUUUACUUUUCAUGUAACGUCAAAGUCAUCUCUUUAUGAUAAGCUGUCUAAACCUUCUUUUGCAGAUUGACAAUCAAGUGAAGGGAGCUGGUGGUCAUGUUCUGCAUAAUCUUCAAUAAGACGAUGGGUUUACCUGAGAUUGUGGGGCUUAACUACCUAUUAUUGUUUCCUUGAUGCAUUCUGCAUUCUUGUGAGUGAGGUAGAUUAUGCAUGAAUUUUGUUCAAGAAAGCUUGUAUAAUUGCAUUGGUUGUGUCCGAGCUAUAGCUAUUGUUUAUUAUUUAUGGUGACUCAUAACACCUUUCCUCAUCUUGCUCUCCUUCUCUCUCUAAAAUGUUGUCACGCCCCGACCCUCAGGCACGCACACAUCCCUUACUUUUGGUCGAUUUAAAAAUGCGAUAUCCCAGGACUAUGUAUCGCCGACCCUUUCUUUUAUAUAUGCACAUGCGGAAGCAGUUAUAAUUCCCCAGACAAUAAAGCAAUGGGAUAGAAAAGCAGGCCAUAUAUUUUUCUUACUGAAAAUUCACAACUACAUCUUUUUACAUGCGAACAAGGUCUGACAAGACAGGAUAGGAUUUCGAUCCUCAUCCGAGUCGUACUCGAUGUCAUACUCGGGGUCCUCCUCCACGUACUCCUCUUUGGGUUCCUCAACAGAGAUCUCCUCAUCAGAUUCAUGCUCCUCAAGCUCCUCAUCCAGGUCCUGAAAUGGUUAUUCAAUAACCACUGAGACCACGUCUCAGCAAGUUCUAGCUCCUAAGACCCAAUUAGUAAACUAAUAUACCUUAGGGUUGCCUACGCACAACAUGAGUCAGAGGACGUACCUUAGCCUCAGAUUCCACCUGCAUAUUAGUACAGUUCGAAUAGGCACACAAGCAAUCACAUCACAGAUCGAAGCAUCGAUCUAAUCGACUUAGUCGAUUUCACAUUAGGAAGACCACUCACGAUCAUCUCCCUUCAAUCAUUCAAUUCACAACAUCAAACCAAGGCAAUGAAUCGCAUCAAAUCACACUCAGAUCGAAUCAUCGAUCAAUCGACCUAGUCGAAUCAUUUCUAGGUCAUUCAUCCCACAUCAAGCAAUUCCUUGGAUUUAGUGGCUUUACGGUCCCACCCGACCCUCUCGAGAACUAGUGGCUUUACGGUCCCACCCGACCCUCUCAAGAACUAGUGGCUUUGCGGUCCCACCCGACCCUCUCGAGAACUAGUGGCUUUUCGGUCCCACCCGACCCUCUCAAGAACUAGUGGCUUUACGGUCCCACCCGACCCUCUCAAGAACUAGUGGCUUUACGGUCCCACCCGACCCUCUCGAGAACUAGUGGCUUUACGGUCCCACCCGACCCUCUCGAGAUGUCAUACUAUGUCACCGAGCCACGUGCAUUCUCCAGGAAGACAUACCGAGUCUCCGAGCCACGUGCAUUCUCUAAGGCUAUCUUUUCGCCAAGAUGACAUAUUAAAUCACCGAGCCACGUGUCUUUCCCAAGUGAUAUUCCAAUUCACUGGGCCACGUGCAUCCUCAAGGUGAUUUACCAACUCACUUUCGAUACUAACAACCGAUAUCCGACCAAUUCUCAAUCACAAGACCAAAAUUGCAUUAUUUAAUAACAUACUUAAAAAUGCACCAUUAAAUCAAUUCGACACAAAUUAAAGCUCAAAUAAAUAAACGGACUGCUCCACGACAAUCAGCACGAAAUUCCGGUCACUGGCCAUCCCAGUUGAAUUUCCGGAAAAUAAAUAAUUAAAUAAUUAAUUUCGAAAAUUAAAUAAAUAAAUACAAUAAAUUCAAUUUAACACAAUAUAAAGCUCAAUAAAUAACGNNNNNNNNNNNNNNNNNNNNNNNNNNNNNNNNNNNNNNNNNNNNNNNNNNNNNNNNNNNNNNNNNNNNNNNNNNNNNNNNNNNNNNNNNNNNNNNNNNNNCGAUCAUCAGCAUAAAAUCCCGUCACUGCCCAUCCCAGUGAUUUCCGGGAAAUAAAUAAUUAAUAAUAAUUUCGAAAAUUAAUAUUUAAUUCCUAAAAAUACCACAUAAGCCCGAUUUGCUUAAUUAACACCCGAUAAGGGACGGGAAAAAUCCCAAGAAGCAUCCAAUAAAUACUACAAGCAAUUCUCUAUCUAAUUACACUAAUCACACAACUAAUAUGCAAAGCAAUUAACUAAUAAUCACUAAUCAAAUCUAAUCUAACAACCUAAUUAUACUUAAUUAACACUAAUCAACCUUUAAGUAUAAUUAGCGCACUAAGAAGGCGUUAGUGAGUAAAACUCACUCAAAACGACGGGCUCGACGCGAGGGUCGACUUUCCUCAAAGCGGGCCAAGCAUCCGGGCUCGGGAAGGCGGCCAAAACGGGCCAAACAGUUGCUGCAAACCUAUUUUCUGCACUCACUGAUCGCUGCUGGUUGGAGGUGAAGGAGGGCGGAUUCGGGGCUGGUUGAGCUCGGGAAUGGGCGGAGGAGCUGAACAAGACCAAGGCGAGUCUUCACGGUGGCCGGAGGUGGUUGGAGGAAGCUCCGGCGGGUCUUGCACGAGCUGGACAGAGGCGGAACAGGGGUUGGACAGCAGCUCUGGAACAGCGAGCUGGGUGAGAGGGAGACCGAGCUGAGCGGAGCAGCGGCGGAGCGCACGGCGUCGCGCGGGCAGCGGUGCGGCAGCUCCGGUCCAACAACGCCAGCUGCUGCCCCAACUCCAGUGUCCUCCUAGAUCUGGAACCCCGAGCAGCGAACAGAGGGGAAGACAGAGGUGCCGACGGCGGCUGGAAUGGGUGAGGGAGAGGCGGAGAUGAACGACGGAGCAGCGGAGCGGGUGAUGCGCCGGCGAGGACGGCUUGAGGCAUGAGGCGGUGUGGAGUAACGACGGCAAGCUACUGUCUCUGUUUCUGCUUCGUUCGAACCAGAGGAGGGAGAGGGGGCGGAGAUGUGCAGACGGCAGCACGGCGUCAGGCUCGGGUGCGCGAGCAGCUCAGGUCCAGGUGGGCGUGCGACGACAACGGCGAGAGGUGAUGACUGCAGCUCAGUCUUCACUGGUCUUCAGCUCCCAUGGAGUUUUGAAGAAAAAGAAGAAGAUGGGGGAGGAGUUCGGUCGACGAAGGAGGAGAGAGGGGAGGAAGAAAAACUCAAUUUCCCUUUCUUUUCUCUCACUCUCUCUCUCUCUUAGGUCAGCCACACAUGGCCACCACCAGCUGUCUCCCACUCUUCAAUUUUUGACAAACAUGCCCCCUUCUAUAAGAUUUAGGUACGCUAAAGAGUUGGGUUUAUAGGCAUACUAAUUUUGCUAACGAUUCUUUUCUAAAUGGAACCUUAAUUCCUCUUGAAUUAAAUCAAAGUGAUCCCCGUUAAUAUAUGCAACACCUCAUCAUUGAAAUUGGUAUUUUCCAUACAAUAUAGCCCANNNNNNNNNNNNNNNNNNNNNNNNNNNNNNNNNNNNNNNNNNNNNNNNNNNNNNNNNNNNNNNNNNNNNNNNNNNNNNNNNNNNNNNNNNNNNNNNNNNNGUAUUUCUUCUUCGUGUCUAUCAUUUUUACAUUUGCUGAUGUAAAAUGUUUUUGUGCCAAGCUCCUAUAAGGAAUGGUCAAAUGUUCAUUUACAUGGAUGUCUGGGCUUUGGCAAGACACACAUUGUUGGUUCUGCAGCAGCAACUUGUUCUCUUCAAUCCAUAUAAGUGAAAGUGCUGAGACGUUCAAUAAGUACACUGGUACUUUUGAGCAAGCUGUAAGAGGCUUCUUUUCAACUUCACCAAUGUUGAUUGAAUUCCAUUGUGCAAUCUUGUAUUAAACUUUGAUAUUCCAGACAUUUCACAAUUUUGUGCUUUCUUUUGUUGCUUUUGUAUGCAUUUAACAGAGGUCCCGUCAUGUAUGCUAGCAGUGAAAAUUAGAUAAUUAGCAGCAACAAUAAGGAUGCUCCCGCUGCAACCAAGGUGUUCUAACUAAAUUAUUGUCAACAACAGCUCCCAUAACCAUUGAAGUGGCCAAAUUAAAAAGCCAAUUAUAACCGAUUCUCUUCUGAAGUCCGUUGCUUCGAAGGGAAGACUGUCAGUCUCAAAUGCCGAGAAAAGAAGACUCCGUAGAAAUUUGAAGUAGCGGCAAGGUAAAAUGUUUUUUUUUUUCAAUUAGAAUAAUUCAUACUUAUUAAACACGCUAAUUACUUCUACGAUCAUGAAUAUACCAAAACGAUCAAAUGUAGAGACCAUUAGUAGAUUUUAAAAAUUCCAUGGGUUUGUAAAAGCCAUUGGCUUUUAAUGGCACGUCACGCGUUACGUUUGACCAACGACUCUUAGGUGCGGAAGGCGGCGACCUUAUGCUGAUUUCACAUUUUCUAGUUUUGCUCUGACGAAAGAAAACGAGUGGAAAGUGGAGUAUAGGCAAAAAUCAAUUGAUCAUGGCUCAGCAAAGCAGAAUGGAAGUCUAGCCCCAAUCGAGAAAAGCUAAUCUUAGUGCAGAAUUUCUCAAGUUCUAUCCAUCACAAGGAGGUUAAUCAUUUUAGCAUGCAAAAUCUUAUUUUUUUAAGGAUACGUCACUAAUUAGUUAUUAGUAGGCUGAUUAAAAAAGUUGAUCCUUUUUAAUAUGAUGAGCAAAACAAAAGCAUUUAAUAUCCGGUAUUUCUAGCCUAAAGAUAAAGGAAGAGAUUUCUCAUUGAACAAACAAAAAGAUAAAAGGGGAUCCAUUAUGCUUUGGUCACACCGGAUGUUGGGCAAAUUCUAUGAGAUAUUGCAUUGAACUUUGAUCUAUAUGUAAAAGAACAUAGAGGAGUCGAAUGCUUUCUCUAGAAUUAUACAUGGAGAUUCUGGAUUCUCUGAAUAUAUAUAAAAGUCAUAAUGCAUGACAAAGUUUGAAAGUACCAACCAUAAAACUUUUUGUGUCAAGAAAAUGCCCAAAAAUACGAUUAUUUAUGUUUUGACAUAAUUUCCGAAUGUGACUCUAAAUAAGAUUUUCAUUACAUAUAUACAUAUCUCCUAAUUCUAGGAGGGUAGCAUAUACAUUUGAAAGCGAAAUGAACUUAGUACAUUUAAAUUUAACAAAAUAUCACCUAAAUACAUGAAAAAAGUGAAAAAGAUCAUAUUAAAAAGGAAAAGUUGCAUAUAAAUUGUGGGUGGGCCUAAUUAGAUCCAAAUAUUUUUUUGUGAUACCAAAAUCCCCAAACUUUUGUUUUGCGACACUAAAUUUUAAGGGUGAAUGUAUAGAGAAUUUUUAUAUCAUAAGAAGAAGUUUGGGAUAUAUAUACAAAUUUGGGAUUCCUGAUGCCAAAGAAAAGUGUGAGGGUAAACGGUGACCAAACUGCCCUCACUUCUUGACAAAUUUCCGUAAAAAAUAUCCGGACCGUGAAAAAUCCCGCGCCAAUUCCAUAAAAAAACACGAACUUUAGGUGUUGUCCCAAAUCUGGCCCGAGCUUUAUUUUGUCUUAAAAAAAAGCAUGAACUUUAGGGGUUGUCCCAAAUCUGGCCCGGAUUUUAUUUUGUCUAAAAAAAAAGCACGAACUUUAUGUGUUGUCCCAAAUCUGGCCCAAAUUUUAUUUGAGACAAAAUAAAGUAAUUCUAUUAUAAAUAGGCUUCCUACAAGAUAGAUGCACACGCUUUUAAUAUCUCGUUUUAAGGCAAUGUAAUCUUCUGUUUUCAAUCCAGUUUUUGACAUUGCAAACAAUUUGCCAAUUGUUAAUUGAUCUAAUGGCCCUAGCUAUGUGCCCCAUCCCCUGGAACUGAAGCUGCUGAAUUAUUUUUCCCAUGAGAAUCAUCUGUAAAGUUCACCUCAUUGGAAGACAAACUUAAAUUUAACACUUCCUCCAAACACUCGAAUACAGCAUCAUUUUGUUGUGUUGGAUAUUAUUGCUGACGUGGAAAUGCCAUGUUGGAUGACUGUGGAAUGAGGGUUAACGGAUGGCAGAUUUGAGACACAAGUGAAAAUUUAUGCCUUUUUUUAGACAAAAUAAAUUUCGGGCUAUAUUUGGGACAAUACUUAAAGUUCGUGCCUUUUUUUGAGACAAAAUAAAGUUCGUGCUUUUUUUUAGACAAAAUAAAGUUCAGGCCAGAUUUGGGAUAACAGCCUAAAGUUCGUGCUUUUUUAUGGAAUUAGCCCGAAAAAUCCCCUACUCUUCCCUUGGUCACCGCAAGCCUCCGCCACUCGCCGCCGCGUCGCCGUCGUAUCCCCUUCCCGUGCCAUCACCCCUCGUCAUCGAGCCGCCCCCGGCCAUCGCCUGCGCUGAUCGUUUCGCGUCCCGUCUCGGCCAAGCCACCAUCUCUCUCCCUAUCUCCCCGUGUUUCCUCUUCGAAGCAAUUAUUUUGUCAAUCUGAACGGCUUUUUCACUUACGAAGGAAGGCCGCCUGUAACUUCUAGGCAGACGCAGCGAAAGUGAGAGAUCUCUCUCCGUUGCUUUAUCAAGUUGCUACGAGGAUUAGGCUCGGACUUCCCAAGUCACCGGGCAGGCCCAAUUCGGAGAUCCAGAAUGAAGAGAAAGCGGGAGGGAGACGAGACGGCGACGGCAGCUGGAACAGCCUGCUGCCGCGAUGGCAGAUCGGGGAGGGGUUACGAGGUGUUCCUGUUUUUGGGCUUUUGCUUCCACUAGGCUGAAGGUGCUGCUGAAGGAGAUGUUUGUGNNNNNNNNNNNNNNNNNNNNNNNNNNNNNNNNNNNNNNNNNNNNNNNNNNNNNNNNNNNNNNNNNNNNNNNNNNNNNNNNNNNNNNNNNNNNNNNNNNNNGUCUUAAGAGUACUUGUGGCGAUUGGUGGGAUGAUGCUUGCAGGCUGCAGCAAUACAAGCCGGUCGAGAUGAAACUCCUAGCUCAACAGAGGGAUCUUCAGGUGUGUUGUUGUAUUCUGCUCUGUCAGUUUGGCGUAAUCGCUGGCUUUCUAUAAUGCGUAUUUUUGCUGGCAAAGGUUUCCUGACUUUAUCGAUGCUAGUUUGGGAUUUGUUAUUAUCGACAUCCCUUUAGAUGUUUGUGUAUAAUUUCUCAUUGACUGAUUCUUUUGUAUCGUUAUAUCUGCUAUUGAAUUCGCUGUUGAGUUACAUUUCGUUGUUCAUUUUCUUCGUGCGAUUACAAAGAAAGACCCGGAUUCAAAUGUACUGCUGAAUACCAUAGCCAUUAUCCCUCCUGUCGGCCCUUGUGCUAGCACCGGACCUUGUUUAUUUCUUUUCUUUUUCUUUGGUUUUUUUGGUAUAGUAUAACCAAUGCAGUGUUGAAAUGUUGCGCAAUGGUUAACAUGGAGGUGGGCGUACGUGCAUGUGUGGGUAAAGAACUUUGAAUCAUUUAAGUGUGCAACUUUUUUCUUGAUUCUUAGGAGGUAUAAAGACAUGAUUAGAGAUAUUGAUACCAAUUGUUAAUCACGAUGAAUAUUUAGUUUCAGGAAAAAGAAAUGUACUAGGUUGAGACAGACAAGUAACACAACAAGACUAUGCUCUCCACGUUAGGAAAUUUUCUCAUUUAAAUGUACGGGGAACAUGCUGAUUGGGGGUUGCAUCUUGCAUGUUAUACCUUAUAAAUCUUCCUUAUACUUUAUUGCAUCAAAUGGUUUGUCAUUGAAAAACGUCCGUAUUAUCUCCCAUGUUUAGCAGUCGUGCAUUAGAGGCUUUCAAUCGCUUAUCUUAAAAUGAGUAGGAAUUAUCUGCAUUUAGGUUCUAUUUAAAAACGGAAUCAAUUCGGCGGAUCUUUCUCGUCCUUUCAGAAAGCGCAAGAGUAUAGGAAGAGAUAUUGUUUUGCGUUUUAUUCUAGUUCAGAGCCUGGUUAAUGGUAUUGUGAAAACUGACAAAAGAAAGGUGGAGAUGUAUCUAAUUCUAGAGUUCUUUUCUUUUCAUUUUUUUAAAAACUGUUUCACAUUGGUUGUUAUUCUCUUUUUGCUGAACCCUUAAUGAACUCAGAGCUGGUAUUAGUGUCGUAUAUAGAACAAAAUAAACAAUUCAUUUGUUUUAUGUGUCCCUUCAUUUAAUUAGGAGAAUGCUUUCUCGCUGAUUGAACAUCCUUCAGAAAGCAAUGGUUAUCAUGCAAACAUCUUAGUAGAGUUAUUUACAUGAAUCUAACAAACUUGGGGUAAGAAGUUAGUCUUAGAAAUUGUUAACCACAUGUGAAGUCUCAAGCCGUCCUUUCCCUUAAUGCAAGAUUUAAAGGCUCUCUUAUUUCUAUCUCUUGACUAAGAAAAAGGCUAAGAUUUGGAUUGGGUAUGAUUCAAUUCCAUGGUCACCACGUCUUAUCUGCAUCUUUUCCAGCAUAUCCAUGUCCGAAGGAGAUCCAGUCUGAGGGCAACAUAUCGGUAGGUGAUCUGAGGAUUCUCAUUGACUUUGCCAUAGCUAGUAUCUGUUCGUAUGCACCCUUCUUCUUGUUUUUGUUCUUCUAAAAGGUCGACCCCAUGGCAGUCAUCUUCUUUUGUAUCUGGUGUGAUUGGUAGGAGCCUUUCACUGUUGCUGGACUCCUUAAUAUUGGAAUGAUAGUCUCCAUUACUGUAACAUAUUCAUGUGGUGAUAGUAUAGCCACAAGGUGGGCUGCUGCAAGAGAUUUUUGUUGCAAGAAUGACUCAUUUGAUGAUUUGGCUAAUUUUGUUCACGAUCUUGUGGUGAUUUGGGUGUUUUGGUUGUUUAACCAAUUCCUGACUGACUCUUCAGAAGUUUGUAUCUUCAAAGAGCACAUAUAGCAAAGUUUAUCCCCACUCCCGCAAUCUGCGCAUACCAUAAAAAGCCUGUAUUUAUUUCCCGGAAUUACGCUUAUUUUAUUGAUGAGUGAUGACCAAACCUCACCUGGUCCACGGCAAAAAGUUGAUGGAGAAAUCCAUCCCCUAUAAAAUUCACCCAGUCUUCACUAAAAAGACAGAAUUGCUCAAAUCAUUCUAUUGCAAUUUAAUUGGUAGCCCCAAAUAUAUUUCAAUGGAUGAUUUAGUUACCAUAAUUAAGAAUUUCACGUGUUCAGUUUUUCAUAAUUGUAGGUAUUAUUAAAAACACCAUUUCUUUAUUCAUUGUUAGAUUUUUCUUCCAUAAAAAUUAUUUGUGUAAAAAAGAAAUUUCCAAGAUAUCUAGUUUGUUGAGCAAAUUUAAGGAUAAAUUUUCAACUAGAAUCUAGAAAAAAAAUUAUUAUAUAAAUAAUUUUUUAACACAAUUACUUGUUUACAAAUUUUCAAUUUUGUUGUGCAUAUCAUUAUCAAAUUCCUUAUCGUUCAAUCAAAUAAAAUUCCUUCCCAUUGGUUCUCUUCUUUAUAUAUAUGGGAUGAUAAGAUAAAUCAAGAAGGACUAGCAAAGAUUUUAAACUUAUUUCAAAAUAAAGAUUCAGGUAUUAGAUCAAAAUCUUGAAUUUAUCUAACAAAUUUAGAUAAAUUAUCAAAAGGGGUCUUUAAGUUUUUGUUAUCAAUCAAGAAGGACCAGCAAAAAAUUUAAUAGUGUAUUACAUUUCAAUAUGAUACCUAUCACAAAUAUAAUUAUUCUUCUGUCUGAUCAAGGAUCAAUUGAUCAUGCCAUUUGGUGUGACAUUGGACUAAAUAUAAGGAAAUCAGCUUUGUUGGGCUUAGCAAAAGCAAAAUGGAAUUCCGGCUCUAGCUGAUAAAAGCUAAUCCUUCUAAAUUUAACGAGCAAAGCAAAAGCUAUUGUGUAUAGUAAAUGUUCCACAAUGAAAGUAUGUAAUAAUUUUGUUGAUAUUUACUAUGAAAGUAAGUAAUAAUUUUGUUGAAUGAUAUGAUGUGAACGAUAUCUUAUUUGCUAGUACCAGAUCCCACCAGCACAUCGUAAGUAAGCAAUAAUUCUGCUUGAGUAAUAACUCUGUUGCAGUGAUUGGACGGUGACCAGUCUUAUUGCUCAUGCUGCUACAGUUUCUGGCGACUAUCUUCCCUUGGUGAUUUUGUUCUUAUUCUAACAAGUUGACCCCGUGGCAGUCAUCUUCUUGUGUAUCUCCUCGACGGUGUGAUUGUUAGGGGGUAGCUUUUCACUGUUGGUGGACUCCUUAAUUUUGGAAAUGAUUUUCUUCAUUACCGCAGUAUAUUCAUAUGGUGAUUGUCCAGCCGCAAGGUGGCUUGCUGCAAGAGAUUUAUGUUGCAAGAAUAAUGCAUUUGAUGAUCCAACUAAUUGUUUGUGAUCUUGUGGUGAUUUGAGCGUUUUGGUUGUUUAACCAAUUUCUAACUGAUUCUUCAAAAGUUUGCAUCUUCAAAGUUUAUUCCCCCUCCCGUAAUUUAUGCAUUCUUACCAUAAAAGCAUGCAUUUAUUUCCUGGAUUACACACAUUUUCUUGAUGUGUGAUGACCAAGCCUCGCCCGAUGGCAAAAAGUUGAUGGAGAAAUCCAUUCCUUGUAUAACUAAAUUCACUCAAUUUUCACUUAAAAGAUAAAAUUGUACCAAAUAUUCAAUUGCAAUUUAAUUGGUAGCCCCAAAUUCAUAAACUUUUUUUUUUCCUUUUAGUUUUUCUAUUUCAAUGUAAGAUUCAGUUGCCAUAAUUAAGAAUUUCAUAUGUCUAGUUUUUCUUUAUUGUAGGCAUUUCAAAUAUAUUAAAAACACCAUUUCUUUUAUUAACUAUUAGAAUUUUUUUUUCUAUAAAGCUUAGUUUUGUUGAAAAAAGAAAUUUCCAAGAAUCCUAGUUCUUUUACAUGUUGUCAAGGAAAAUUGAGGAUAAAUUGUCGAGUAGAAUCUAGAAAAAAUUAUUAUAUAGAUUUUUUUAACACAAUCACUUGUUUGCAAAUUUUCAAUUUUGUUUUGCAUAUCAUCAUCAAACACCUUUUCAUCAUUUGACGAAAGAAAAUUCCUUCUUAUGGGUCCCCGCCCCCCUCCCCCCUCCAGCCAGCCCAGCCCAGCCCAGCCCAGCCCAACCCACACAGAAGGAUGAUCGGAUAAAAAGAAAACCCUCUUGAAGGUUUGAAGAUUUUCCAAAAUAAAAUCACAAUUACAUUCUCCAAUGGAAAACUUUAAAGAAGAAAUUUAAUUAAAUUGAAAAAUUACAUAAAAUAAGAAACUUUUAAAAAUGUUGAUGAAAUCUCAUUAUUUGGAAUUGAUAGAAAUUAAUAUCGUUGACGAAGCAUGUACGAAAAUAUAUCUAGAUGCUUCAUUAUGCACAAUGGUUUUAGUGUAUUCCUAGUUUUUCCACAACGCCUUAACAUCUGUGUAAAAGUAUCUCACAAUAAUAAGGGAAAAUGAUAAGUUCUUUAAUAUUAUAUAAAAAGACUUGAUACAUAUUUUGGACUAAUAAAAUUAAAAAAUAAAUAAUUCAUCAAGAAAGUGAACUUUUGAGAUAAGAGGGAGAAAUAAUAAAUGAGUAUUUAUUAGAGAAAUGAUGAAAAGAGACUUUCAAGGUGUUGAUCAUGUAAAAUAAUUUGUGUUUUUUUCUAACUAGUGGCUUUUAUAUAGAGCAUGUAAUACGUUAUAGUAAUAUUUAAGGAUACACUAAAAACAAUUCUUUAAUACGUUAAGAAAAAUAAAACACAUGGAAUGCAUAAUUAUGGCAAUUAGAAACAGUAGGGAAGGAAACAAUGUGAUUGUCACUUUAAAUUGCAAUUGAAUGGUUGAAGGCAAUUUAGCCUUUCUAUUCUAAAUAGUAAAUGGGGUGGAUUGGAUUAUAUAGGGUCAAAAUAGUGCCGCCCAAAAUUUAAAGGAGAAAUUAAAAUCACAAUGGGAUAAUAUUUUCUUUUCCAUAUAGAAAGAAUGUUAGCUCUUGUGCACGCUUUUUAUUCCUACGUCAUGAAUAGACCAAGAUGAUAGAGUGCAGAGGUCAUCAACAGAUUUAGAAACAUUUUGUGUGACUUCACCAACAAUUGGCUUUUAAUUGCUUUUAACAGUGUAUCAUGCAUUAUGGUCAUCUGCACUCUCGGAUACGGAAGGUGACUUUGUGCUGAUUUCACAUUCACAAUUUUGCAAUGACAAAAGAAAAAGAGUAGUCAAUGGAACAAAGGCAACAUUGAUCAUUUGGCUUAGCAAAAUCAUAAAGGAAGUCUGGCUCCGGCUGAGAAAAGCUAACCCUUUUUAAGUUAAGGAGCAGAAUAGAAGCAAUUACAGUCUGCUUUUUUCUAGACUAGAAAUUGAGGAAGAGACUUCUCACCAAAAAAACAAAACGGACAAAAGGAUUAAAGGGGAUCCAUUUAUCCUUCCUUAGAGGUCAUGCCAAAUCGUCUGUUUAUGGAGCCAGACCACUGGCAUCAUCUUAUGUUAUUAUAAUUCUAUAUAUGUCUAGAAGGAAAAAGGCAUUAAGACAAGCGUCUAGGCUGGGAUCCCGUGAUUCGUGCAAUGAUUGAAUUGCAUAAUUUGAAUUAAAAUACAAAUCUGUGAUAACAAAAAUUAGAUACAAUUCUAACUGAUUUGUGAGCCUAUUCCCUCACUUUUUGUUUCUCAAAUUUAAGCGCAUGUAUGAGAAGCUUAAUUUUUACGUGAAACUAAUCGUCAGUAUCGAUAAAACAUUUUAAAUUUCCGUGUGUGCGUAUGUGAAGUGAGUCUCUAUACAAUCGCAUAAUAUUAUAUUUUAAACUUGGUGCCCACCUUAAAAAUGACAUUAGGAAAUGAUCACAUUUUGUGUGUGUGCAUGUGUGAAUAAUCUGCAGAAAUGGAGAAUAAAUCUAGACCGCAUUCAAUGGAGCUAGAGAAAGGUUCAAUGCCUUCGGUUCAUUAGAGACGUCAUCAUCGAUCCAUUAGCAAAAAGUAGUUGAUUUAACCAUAAAAUUUUGGGCUUGGCACUUAUAAGAAAGAAAAAUUUUGCUCAUAAAAAGAAGAAAAAAGAAAUAAAGCUCUUUGGUCGUUUCAUGGAUGUUUCUAUGAUCUUUCCAAAAGGCAUUCUAGGAGGGCCUGCAAUUGUUAAACCACAAAAUAAUGGAUCUCAACUGUGAAAACAAAGCUUUUCAAGUUUUUACAAAUUGCUAUAAUUUGCAUUAUGACAGGUAUCGAUCAAUCAACUAAUCAAAAAAUGGAAAUAGUUGCAUGGAUCGUGGUCUAUAGAACAAAUGUGAUCACAUCCAUUGAUGUUUGGGUGUUCCGUGUAUAAUAUAUGUCAUAAACAAUUUUGUGAUAAAUCCGUUUAUGUGGAUCCGAGUACUGUCAAGCUAACCCAAUAAAGCCAACAUGAGUUAGGAGAGAGAAAGAGCUUCCUUAAGAAACAAAGACGAACUUGAGUUCUCUUUGCUUAUAAUAUACGCAGGUCUAUCUUCAAGUUUUUGUCCGGCCCUCUUGUGAAAGCGAAAGCAAAAGCAACAGCACUGAGGUAUGUUUGUCUAGUCAAUUCAUUUGCACAUACCCAAAUUCCACGUCAAACAGACUCGUUUGUUCAUGUGGUCACGCGCGUGCGUUUUGCAAUUUCAGGACCAGGACCUAGAAAAUACCAAGAAACUCAGGUUGAUAUCAUCAAAAAGCAUAAAGACCCUUCUUCAAGAUUAAAAAUGUUUCGAAAAUCUCAACUUUGUUGAUCUCCUUGUGGAGGAGGAACUGUACUUUCUUCGCAAUUUCCACAAAAGAAUAAGCUAAAGUCUCCCUCUUAGGACCCUUUUAGCUCAACGAAAGGUACAUGUAAUUUGCAAAGCAAAACUCAAAUUGCGUAAAAGAUUGACAUUAGCAUGGACCUAAAAUUAAAGAAUAUAGAAAACUUUAAUCAAUAUCUUUCAAUUUUUUGAACCAUUAGGUGUAAUUGAAGUGCAUAGACUUCGAAGAAGGUCAGCCAAAUAAAAUUGCCCAAUCUAUUAUGUAGAGUUAAACUGAAGCUGAAAGAGUGGUUGCUCCUAUACCGGUCACGCCACACUUCUCUAUAGCUCUAUACUUAUGACGUGACAAAACACUUAGCAUUGUGUUGCCAUGUGGUCCAAUGACCUUACAAAUUAUUUAUAUGUCUUCUUGUAAUUCAUGUGUUAUUUUCUAGUGCUAUUUAUAGAAAACAUCAACAUUUAAUCAUCUUCAAAUACUAGAAAAACUGAUUAUAUCUAGAGGUAGGCUUAGGCAAAACAAUAGAUUUAAACUUAGCCGAAGUGAUUGAAUCAAACAAUGAAUAGAAUGGAUGUGUUUUAUAAGUAAUACAUACUCCAGUAAUUGUCAUCUUCCAUGGAGCAUCCACUUUUUUUGUGAUAAAAUUCCGAUCAUUGUGAUUUUAUGGUGUUGGAAAGCUUAUUAUUUAAUUUUAGAUGAAAUUAAUCGAUUGGAUAAAAUGGACAAUCGAACCCAUUUUCUCCCACGGACGCUGGUGACUUCAAUUUUGCUAAAAUGCAAUUCACCUCGGAUUGUGGCUUUUGGGUGGUUGGGUCAGAUAGAUGAACUUUGCAAAAAGUCAAGUACACUCGAUUAUACGUAGCCACCCUUCCAACUUGAAAGGGGGAGGUGGAGGGUUCGAAUUCUCACAUUCUCAAGGAAGGGUUGGGGUGGGGAUGAGUAAGUUUUACAAGUGGGUUUUGACUCCCCCACACCUGCAAGGAGGCAGGGCAAAAAUUUGAGAGAAUGAGUGUUAGAGUAAGAAUAAAGUAUGACCGACCGAAAAAAGAAAAGAAAAUUAUAACCUUUCACUAAACUUUUAAUUGAACUUUUAAUGAGGUUUGCCUCUCGGUCAACUUUGCUAUGGCAUUGGAGGGUCGCUCGUGUCUUUAGUGACCUUUCGCAUGUGUUCAAUGAUGCAAUGGAGGCUCUGUCCACCAGUGAUUAUCUAUCGAGCAAUCGAGCUUCGCCAUUUCUAUUCCUUAUUUGAUGGAGUUAGCCAACAACGAGCACGACCAUUUUAGGGUCCAUUCGUCAUAGCCGAAAUAAUAUAUUCUGGAGUUCUACUGUUCUUUUGGUCUUUACUAUAUUGGAUCCAAAUUGAAUGUGAAAGAGCUCUGACUUCUACUUCUAACAUAUUAUGAAAACUUUGGCCUUGAUGAAUUGUAUUAUGUCUGAGAAAUCUUGGCGACAGUGAGGACUUAGCUACAUAAUCCGUAUGGUACAUAUUUUCUUUGAUAUGAUGAGGAAUUGGCCACAGACAAAGAUGCCAACCUCAUCUAGCGGACUAUCCACAACCAUAUGGUACCUAAUAUGCACAAAUGAAAAAGCGCCUUUGAGCUCUCCGUGCACAUCAGCGGGGACAACAAAAGAUUAUUAAUUAGUCCUUAUUAAUUAAUCUCAUUCUUUCUCAACUACAUGGACUUUACCUUUUUUUAUAGUCGUGUCUUCCUCCUAUCUUAUCUCUCACUUGACAUAGAGCUAUGUAUCGUAAGCUCAUAACUAAGUAGGGCAUUAAAUUGGUCGAAUGUUCUUGAUCAGUCAGACCAGUGGAAUGAGCUACAUCCUCAACUAGCGUGCGCCCUUUCUCGGGUUCAAAGGGACUCCCCGUCGUCGAGAUCUAGCUAGGAACAAAGGUUCCCUGUCAUUUCGAUGCCGCAAAAACGCUUAUUUCGUUUCAUGAUUGUACAGCAAAAGCAAAGGUAAAGAGCCUACGUAUGUGACCCCAUUUCAGACACGUGGAAUACAAAGGCUGAAAUUAUUUGGGACCCACAAGCGUACCUAUCCCACGUCGGGACGUGAAAGUCCAAAAUUACCCCGCACGCAGGAAAUGGGAAAUAUUAAGAGCCUUUUUUAUAUAUGUAUGGAUGAAGAGAGAAGGGGGAAAAUAAGCAUUUUAGAAAUAUAAGUCCCAUGUCAACUGAUUAUAUUUGAACAUCUUGACAAAAUUGGUCUUGAUGGGUUAUCAACACUGUGAGCCUCCGUUACAUCCCACUCGAUGCAAAGGAGUAUAAGAAGAAGGCUUUGGUCAUGUGAAAGCAACGAUCCAAUUUCAAGAUUCAAAACAUCACAAUUUCAGCACAGGGUUGUCCGCCUGAGUAGCAAUUACAUCUAAACCCUUCUCGGUAUCAGGAAUAUAGCCAAUGAAUUAAUUACACAAUAAAAUCCAAAUGAAUUAUGAUGCUUAACAUGAUAUAAGAAGUUAUAACCCGUUAUAAUAUGAUAAUCUCUCUUUAGAUGGAUCUUGAAGUUAUCUAAUCAUGAAAAUUAUUUACUAGUUUUGAUGUUUCAAUUUGAAAGCAUUAAAGCGAAAAGGAUGGCUUUUUAAAGUCCUACCAAAUAAUUUCUUUUUAAUAAUUGAGAAUAGAAAUCAAUAGUCCGAGAAAUUUUCCUUAAUGAAACAAACCAUCGUUUUUUCAUGUUCUUCUCUCCUCUCUUGGCCCCUUCUCCUACUCCACUGAUGUCGCUUUAGUGCAAGCUUCGACAACCUUUGGCAGCUUUCUAGCUCAAGGAAGGCAGCCAGCACAUGAUUCAUGAAAUCUUUAAAAAGGGAAACAUUCAAUCAAAUUUCAAUUUGUUGAGUUUUUUAAACCCGUGGUCCGUAUGCUCGUAAAACCAGAGUCUUAUAAUUUAUCAUCUCUCGAAUUGUUGAUAUGAAUGCCAAGUACCAGAAUAUGACUCCACACUUUAUUCAAUAUCAUGACUAGGUAGAAGCCACAACAAAACUAUUUGGACAUUUGCCGGAAACCAUUAAAUGAGUAGAAUCGGUAGACCAAUUCUUGCCAAUGUUAUUGUGAACAAGUUGUCUUUACUUUCAUCGAACCAUCCCAACAUGAUGGUCUAUACUUGCAAAAACGAUUGUUAUCAAGUCUUGAUUUAAGAUUAACCAACUUGAUCAAAAAACACUUUGUAACAGAAGAGUCCUCAUUAUAUGAAGCACCAUUGCCCACAAGGACCAUGAGAAUGAUUCCUUGAAAGCAAGAUGAAUUUCAGCUCAAAACUUGAUAAAAUUUAAACUCAACUUGAACUUAACCUUCACGCGACUUCAUCGACCAAGCAUGAACUCCCAAAAGUUGCCGAGAGAUUGGGCAAAUAUCCUCAAGUCUCGCACCAAAGUUCUCGCGGAACAGCUAUGCACCACCCUUUUUUCCUCACUUUUUUGUCUCUAGUGGCCGGCCAAACCAAGAGUGAAGAUGAAUGGGUAGAAUCCACGUGGCAAACUUAGAGUUGUUAACUUUUCUUUUAUAAAGAAGGGUGGUCGGCCCCUUGAAAAAAUUGCAAUUUGGUCUGUCGGGGGAUCCAAUUUUUUGAGGGCUUUUUUAAUUUUUGUCCGGUCAACUUGAUCUCAGAUGCGUAGGCAAUCUUUUGUAUCUUUGGUUUGAUUUACUGGGCGAUGAGAAGAGUGAGCUGACGUAAAUCCCUCGGUGGCUUGUGCUAAUUCGAGCCAAAUUGACAUUUAGCCAACCUAGUUAAUCUUUUAAUGCCACGGUCUGCAUUAGAAAGUAUAAUACGUUCACAAUAAUUACGAUGAGCUAUGAUUGAAGUUGAUCAAUCAAGUGUGCGUUUGAUAAUAUUUUUGUUUAGGAGAAUAAUUUCUUUUUAUAUAUUUCUAUUUCCUGAAAUAUUUUUUUAGUAAAAGAAUACGUUUGGUGACUAUACAAAAUUUAUAUUCUCGAAAUAGAAAAAGAACAAAAAUGCGUUUGGUACAACUUACGAUUUUUUUUUGUAACGUAGAUCUUUUUUUUUUGCCCUCUCUUCUUCUUCUUGCUCCUCCUCUAGCCGGUAGUGGUGGCAUUCAAUAAGCGGCAGCAACUGGUGACCCGUGGCGGCGGCCACACGAUUGGCGGCAGUGGCUGGCGGACAACGAGGGGGUGGUGGGCUGUGAGGAAGAAGAAGAAAAGGAAAGAAAAGAAAAGAAAUAAAAUAACUUAUUUGUAAAAAUUGUUUCCUGAAAUAAGAAGUUAUUUUUUUUCUAUUUCUUAUUUCUAUUUCAAAUCUAUUUUCUAGCUAAUUUUCUAUUAUGAGAAAUAGAAAAAUUAGUUGAUGUACCAAAUAGAUUUCUGUUAUUAUUUUGUUCCGGAAAACAAAAGAAUAAAAGACUAGAGAAAUUGGCAAGUUACCAUACACAUCCCAAGGAACCAUAGAAGGGAAAUAGUUGCAUGGUUCAUGGUCUAUGGACCAUAUGCAAUCACAUCCGUUGAUUUUUGUAAUUUAUAUAACUAAUGAUUUUAAUAGACCCGAUUUAUGUGACCUAAGUAUUGGCAAGUCUAAUCUUACGAAGCCUAUUUGAGUUAGGAGAGAGAAUGAACUUCCUUGAGAAAUAGAAAUGAACCUGCCUUUUCUCUUUGCUUAUGAUGAUGCAAGUCAAUCUUCAAGUCUUUGUCCAACCCUCUUGUGAAGGCAAAGGAGAAAGCACCGAAGUAUGUCUUGUCUAGUCAAUUGACUCGUUAUGCAUUGGUCUGCACAUAGUCAAAUCGCACGUCAAAUAGGCUACUAAUUCGUGUGUUCACACAGGUACACACAAAGAUGCCAACACUUACAAGUUCCGUUUGGAAAUUGGCAACCCACUCGCAAGACCGGCAAAGCGCGAUUUGAAAUUUUGGCCCUGGAAAGUACCAGGAAACUCAGGUUGAUGUUAUAAAAAAAAUCAUAUAGGUCACACCUUUGAGAAUAUAAUAUUUAAAUAAUCUCAACUUUGUUAGAAUCAUCGCGAAGGAGGAAUCACAUUUUCUUUGUGAUUUCCAUUAAAAAACAACGUCAAAUUAAGUGGACUUGAACCCAAUCCCAAAUCAACCAGUAAACGAACAAUAGAGACGAAUCAGACAAAAUCAGCUUUUGAUUUGAAUAUUAGCAUCGGUGUACAAUUUCAAUUGGCGAGCAAUUUCAUUUUGUCAUCGUUCAAUCUAGCAUUGAAGGGCAAUCAUAACAUGCAAUCCUAGUCUAUUUUCAGCUUCAUGUAACUUUAUGGCAAUAGCAAAUAAUAUCGAGUAUGAAUGGCUUUAUGAAGGGAGGCUGCAGAGGUGGCUUCCAGGCAAAUGGCGCAUAGUACCAAAGUAAUAGCAAGCGGAACUCAUUUUAACUUGUCCAGAUACAUCCAACAUCUAACCGUUCACGUUCGGCAACACGCAACUUAUACUUCCGACGCCACCUCCUCCCCUUCGACGACUUUCAUCAACUUAGCCUGAAUGCUUUUGUUUGCUUAUGAAGGAAGGUCGCUGGUGCAUUACAGUGCCUGUUACUCUAGACACAACUCGCCCGGUCUCUACUCUUUGAACAACCAAUUAUACUUUCGAUUGGUAUUGCAGGUAUAAGGAAGGCAGCACGCGAUUGAUAAAGUUGGAUUAUGGGUGCGUUUAUUUUACGAAAAAAUGAAUAAUUUAAAAAAUAUUUUUUUUAAAAAAGAUUGUUUAUAUCGCUCAAUAUAAUUAGUCAAUGAAAAAUAUUUCCAUUAUUGACAAUAAUUUAUAUCUAAAUAUUUUCAUAAAAAAUGAAAAUAUUUUUCAUUCAUUAAUUUUUAUAAGUGAUAUAAGUGUUCAUUUUUUAGAAAAAAAAUAUUUUUCAUAUCAUCCAUUUUUCGCGAAACAAACGGAGCUUAAGUUAAAAGUCAAUGUUCUAAGACAGUUAAGUGGUUCAAUUCAUAAGAAAUUAACAUUGUGCAUUCUAAGUUGCAAUAUGUAAGUGGUUCAAUUCAUAAGUUCCUCUGUUUCUGUAAUGAGUUUUCAUGCAAUAAUUUUCCUUCUUGUAGAUUCUGAGUUGAUUUUUUUUUUUUUUUUUUUUGCCUGUGAUGUUUUUUCAGUUGAAGAAACAAUUAACUACAAAUAUUCAAGAGUCGCUGGCAUGUUCAUGGUUUUAAUGAUUACUGACACUCUUUUCUGUGGCAUUUCUUUUCACUCUACUAAAAGAUUUACCUACCAAUGUUCAAAUGUAUAAAUUACGGUAGUGCGAACCUCGAGCUCAACUCCUAUUAGACAUUAGAUGCUCGGAACUCCACUCGAGGCAUGGAGUAUUCAAUUUCCAGCUUGAGCUUGACCAGAAAAAAAUGGAGAUAUCAAGCUCAAGUAGACUCGACACAAUCACGUUAUAAAAUGAGUUCAAGCUCUAGCUCAAUAUGUUCAAAUAUUAUCCUUUUCAUUUAUGUAAUUAUAUAUGUAUAUCACAACUUUUAAAUAUCUUGCCCUUUAUUUUCCAUAGCUAUCAAAUAUUUAACUGAACAAAAGAAUAGAAAGUUGAUUAAUAUGGCGAGUCUCUCAAACAGAAUAUAAUGAGCUUGAUUUGUUUGUUUUUUUGGUCGUGAAUAAAAUUCUCGUUGAUAGAUUAAGAUUUGUUUAGCUUAACGAAAGCAAAAUGGAAGUUUGGCUCCAGCAAAGAAAAACUAAUCCUUUUUAAAAAAUAUAUAUAUAUAAUUAGCAGAACAAAGCAAUUGAAAUAUGCUUUUUCUAGCCUAGAAAUAAAUGAAAAAAUUCCUCAUUCCAGAAAACAAAACAGACAAAAAAGAAUAAAGGGGAUUUAUUAUGCUUCCUUUGCGGUCACACCAAAUUUGAGUGGACCUCACAAACCAAUUGAAAUCAUCUCUUUUAUAAAUCAUACUACAUAAAUCAUCUAAUGUUAUUACAAUUCAAUGUAUGUCUAAAUGAUAAAGUACUAAGAAAAGCAUCUUGAUUGGGAUCCAAUGAUUUACACCAUGAUCGAAUUGCCCAGUUCGAAUUAGAAACAAAUCCAGGGGCUUUUGUCUUUGCUUAGAACAUACGCAAGUUCACCGUCAAGUCUUUGUCCAACCUGCUUGUUAAGGCAAUGAAAAAGCACUAAAGUACGUUUAUCUAGUCAAUUCGCUUAGCAUGCCCUGGUAUGCACAUAUCCAAAUUUCACAUCAAAUAGACUUGGCAACUCACCCACAAGACCGGCAAAACGUGUUUGGCCCAGGGAAAAUACCAGGAAACGUGGGUCGAUAUUCAUUAAAAAAAGAAAGAAAAAGAAAAGCAUAAAAACCCUCAUUCGAGAAUAAAAUGUUUCAAAAAUCUCAACUUCGUUCGCAUCAUUGUCAAGGAGGAACCAUAUUAUCUUCGCACUUUCCAUCAAGAAUCAGCUAAAGUUCAAUGAGGACUCUUUUGCUCAUUGAAAGUGAUUUAUUUUGUAAACAUAGUUUGCAAAGCAAAACUCAAAUUGCAUGAAAGAUUAAAAUGAGCAUCGACUUGAAAUUAAAGAAUAUAGAAAAAUUUAACAAUGUCCUCUAAAUUUUUUAAUAAUUAAGUCCAUUUAAAGUGUGGAAACUUCUAAGUAGGUUGGCCAACUAAAAUCGCAAAGUAAAAAAUCUAGGAAGGGCAUGUUUUGGAAAUUUUUUUGGAGUUCGUUCACGGGGUCUGAAUAUUAAGUAUGAAUCAUAGUUAAUAUUUUGUGAUCUAUUUCAUGCUCUAGAUACUCAAAUACACCCCUUGCCUAUGGCAGUGAGGGCCGGGACCCUCAUUUGUGGUCGGGAUCUUAUGAUCUAUGUCUAAAUUGUAAAACUAUAAGAUAGCAAAGCAUAUUGGCUGGUCUCUUAAAAUAUGUUAUCCAAAGCAUGCCGCUCAACUACUUCUCCAGCAUGCUGCUUAGCUCAUGGGGUUGAGAAUAUAAUGUUCUUUAAUUGAUCGCCUUCCAUAAAAUCAAAUUAAAAAAAUCAAAAUCCUUGUCCCGAUAAUAAGAGUUGUCGGUUAAGACAAUUUUUCUCUUCAAGACUUAGUCGUAACCCGUGGAUUUUUUUGGAUGGUGUUUGAGAAAGCCAAUGUGAAAUGUAAGCACCACCUCACAUAGGGUUAUAUUUGUCCGCCUAGCAAUAGGUUAAACUCUCUCGGCGUCCACUCCAGUAGGAUCGUGACAAUGUGCAUAUUCAAGAUAUGCUUGAUUCAAAGGUAAUGCUUCGUUCAUAAUGUAAAGAUGUGCAAUCAUCAAAUUUCAUAUCACAAGUCAACAUUCAGAAAUUCAAUCAAUGACAUUCAAUGAAUGGAUGUCAAGUUAUUCAAACAAAAGAAUGGAGUCAGAAUUAUCUGAAAGUUGUUUCUUUGUAAUAUUUGAGAAUAAUUAUUCGAAAAUUAGCACAUAGACUCUCGGUUCACAGAUCAAUGACGUUCGAGGACUCUAUUCAGACCAUUUGCCUUACAGCCAUUUGGUGCGAUAUGGAUCUUUUUAACUUAUCAAGGAAUGCCGCAAGUAACUUCCAGACAAAUGGAACAAAAUAUCCAAGUAAUAGUCGGUGGAACAUAUAUCAAGUUGUCCAAUACGUCCAACAUUCAAAGAACAUGCAAUCAUAUAAAAUAAUUCCGAGACAACCUCCUCGUCUUCGAAGACUAACACCAAUUAUCUCCUCACACUUAGCCUCCUAUUUGGUGCUGAGUCUGAAUGGUGUUUUUUUUUCCUCUGAUGAAGGAAGGCCCAGGUAACUUCCACGCAAGUAGUACAUGAUAACAAAGUAAUGGCAAGCGGAAAAUAUAUUGAGUUGUCCAAUACGUCCAACAUCAAACUGAACAAAUUAAUAGAAUUUUUCUGGCCAAGAAAUUAUAAUAGAAACUUGAUUAAUAUGGUGAGUCUCUCAAACAGAUAUAAAUGAGCUCGAUUUUCUUUUUGUUCAUGAAUAAAAUUCUAAUUAAAAGAUUUGAGAUCAUGCUAACACCAAGCACAAACAACUGGUUUUUUUUACCAAUACAGCACACUAGUAGGUGGAAUAAUAGCAAGAAUCAAUUGAUCAUGCCGAAUAGCACGAAUCUAGAUUGAAAAUAAGAAGAUCUGCUUUGUUUGGCUUAGCAGAAUGGAAGUUUGGCUCAGCUUUGGCUCAGAUGAGAAAAGCUAAUCCUUUUUUAACAAACAUGAUUAAUUAUCCCCACACAGGCAUGAUCAAAUAUCGCCACACAGGCAUGUUCUACACCACACGAACGGAUUAAUUGUCGCCACACAAACAUCAUCAAAUAUCGCCACAUAGGCAUGAUCAAUUAUCACCACAUAAGCAUGAUCAAUGUGAUAUAUAUUCAACAAUUUACGUGCAUUCUCUAAGGCAUCCUAUAUGCCAAAGCGAUGUAAUAAUCGCCGAGCCACGUCACACGGCAUUUCUUCUCAUCUUUUAUCAUACCAGAUAAAAUAUAGUGCGUGGGCACACGGUUGGCCUUAGCCAAAAUAUAAUAUUUUCCUUUCCAUAACUCCUACACUUUCUAUAGUCCACUAAAAUAUUUUUAGCAUUAUUAACCGAUGCCCGGCUAUUUUUCAACUAAUAACCAACCUUAUUCAAUUUAGGAAUAAAUCCCAAAUUCAUAGAUAAUUCAAUUCAGCACCAAAUAAAACUCAAUUAAAUAAAUGGACUGCGUUAUGACAAUCAGCAUAAAAUUCCGAUCGUCGACUAUCCUUGCCUAAUUUUUGGAAAAUAAAUAAUUAAUUAAUUAAUUUCGAAAAUUAAUAAAUUGAUACUAAAAACCCAAUUUAGGCCCGUAAUGCCUAAUCAGACGCUAGAACGGAUCGGGAAAAAUCCCAAGAUGCAUUCAAUAAAUAUGAGUAUGUCUCUACUUGUUAAUUACACAAACUGAUCGCCUAAUAUGCAUCAUUAAGUCACUAAUUAAAUCACUCUAAACUAAUCUAACCACCUAAUUACACUUAAUUAAAUCUAAUCAACCCUUAAGCAUCAUUAACCGACUAAUAAGGGAUCAGUGAGCAAAACUCACUUGAUUAACACGCAGGUCGGAUCAAACUGACGGGAACGUCAUGGGGGACAUUUUUCUCCAAAGCGGGCCUAGGGUCCGGGGCUCACAAGCACCUCAAAACGGCUUCCAAAGCUUGCUAUAAACCCACUAUUUUUCUUGCUGUUCUUGGCUGGAAUUGAAGGGAAAUCAACUCUGUUUAGGCAGGAAUUGCUCGGGAAUGUAAGAAUAGGCCAAAUCGGGCCUAAAGGAGGAUUCACAAGGGUUAAAUGAGCUCGGGACAGCCCCUGGUGAGCUGCAACAAAACCAGGACAGCAGCUGGGAGGCGAGAGGGAUGCAGCCAAGGGACGGUGUGUGCAGGCGGCGGCGCGUGAACCUGCGACGGCGAGGCGGCGAUCCGGCGUGAGGCAGCUGCAGCUUCUUCUUUGCUGCUGGUUUUGUCCAAAAUGAAGAGAGAAUGGAGUGGAUGGCAAGAAGAAGGAGAGAAGGAAAGGAGUGUGGAGGAAGCUUGGCCUUGGUGGGUCCUUUGGCCAAUUUUUUCCCACCAAGUUGUCUCCCAAAUACUUGCCCAUCGAAUGGUCCAUUUUGCUAGGCUAUGGGGGUAGUUACGAAUUUGGCACAAAUCUUUCUCAAUUGGACACCAUUCCUCACUCAAUUCAAUUCAUUGCCGUUUAAAAUUCAAUGACAUCUCAAUGCCUCCACUGAUAAUUUCCUCACCCAAUAUCCAUCUGCAUCUCAAAUUGCAACUAAAAAUAAUCAUCGGCCUUGAUUGAACAAAAACGGUCAUAAACCGACUUUUUCCUAAAAAGUCUCGGUUGUCAGAAAAAUCUUCUGAGACUGAGUCAUGGGUCUUAGAAUUUAUUGUGACAUGACAUGAUUUUCAAUUUCUAAAAUUGGACUUGAAUUGGCGGUUAAUUUCCAUCCAACGCGUUUUUAGCGUAACUUAGGCUAUCGGGUAGUUUUCAAAACUUUUUAAGGCAAAUGACCCGUGGUUGAUUUUCUUCGAACCACUAUGAACCCACUCGACACAUUGACGACUCGUGGUUGUUGUGAAAAUCUCGAUGAUUCAAAUACGGACACAAGACACCAAAAUGACAAUAAAAUCAAAUUAGUGUCGAUCGAUGAGAAUUUCCCAAUUUAACGGUAUCACCCACGAUCGGCCACACAUCUUAGUCGAAUCGACCUAUCUCUGAUCUCAAAUUGAUUUUAUAUUAUGCCGUAAUGACUUCUAAAGAUGAGCACGAUCGAGAAGCCGAUUCUUGGUUGAAUUCUCCAGUCUAUUGCCUUAAAAUUUCUUAAUGACUUCCCCAGAUAGUCUAGUUAUCUCCUGAGUGGCCAUCUUAGAGAAAGCAUUAUAGGCGCAUCAAUGAAAUGUUCGAUUUAUUCAGUAGAAAACAGGACUGAAAAUCUAGGAUGUCACAACUCUCCCCCUCUUAUAAAAAUUUCAUCCUCGAAAUUUAAACAUUUACCAAUCCCUAAACAAAAAGGUGGGGGUAUCGUCGUCUCAUCUAGUCUCACUUUCCCCGGUUGCUUCUUUAGUCUGGUGGCAUUGUCAGACCACUUUGACCAAGGGGACUAUCUUGGUUCACCGAAUCUGUUUUGAACCACAAUAUGAACUGGGCUUUUCACGUACAACACUCUGUCUUCCACGUCUAAUUCUUCAAGAUUUAGCACGUGGGUCUAGUCAGGUUCAUACGUCCUCAACCUCAAAAUGUGAAAGGCGUCAUGCACUUGUGCCUACCUCGGCGACGACGCAAGAUAAUAUGUUCGGAUCCCGAUUCUUUUCAGAAUCUCAAAGGAACCUACUUACCUCGAUUUAAGUUUUCCCCCUCAUUGUCGAAGCGCAAGGUAUCCCUCAUUAGUGACACCUUCAGAAAGAUGUAAUCACCAAUUUGGAACUCUAAGGGCCUUCAAUACUCAACGAUACAACUUUUCUGGCAGCUCUGAACGGUCUUUAAUCUGUUUUUGAUCACGGCAACUGCAAUCACUAAUUGCUGAAUUGACUCUGGGCCUGUGAUAUUUCUUUUUCUGAUCUCAUCUCAACAAACUGGAGUUCUGUACACUCUGCUAUGUCCUGCCUCAAAAGGAACUAUCUAACUGUUCUGCUGAAACUGGGAACCUCGGUUCUAGAUCUAAUAUAAGUUCGUCACUAAUACUCCAUGCAAACGAACUGUCUGACACACACACACUUUUGUACGCCUAUUCCAAUCAAGAUCCUUUCAUACGGCGAUAAAGUGAGCCGACUUCAUCAGUCUGUCGAUCACUACCUCAAUUGGAGUGAUUAUUCCUCUGACUUCUUGGUAAACCUAUCACAACAUUCCAUCGUGAUAUACUUCCCUUCCCACUCGGGACUCUCGAGUGAUUGUAAAUGCCCUCUCGGUUUGCAUUAAGGAACUUUCACUUACUAGCACAUCUGACACUCACAACCUGUUCGACGGCAAUUAUCUUCAUAUCGAUCUACCAAUCGAGCUGACGUUGAUUCUGACCUACCUCACACUGUAUGUCAAAUACUGCAACUACUACCAUGAAUUCCUAAGUCUCUUCCUUGAGUGUUACAUCAUCAGGUACACCCAAUCACUCUCAGAACCUCAGUGUUCCAUCCUUAGAAAUCUCAAAGUCAGUCUCUUUCUUAUCAGUAUUCUUCUAUAGGAUUUUUUUGACAUCUGGGUCCACCAACUGAAACGUCUUGAUCCUGAAUUAAACAUUCGGUUCAAUUCUGAGGGUGGCCAUAAAAUUCAAAAGGUGGCCUACCUCAAAUUUGAAAACCAAAUUUCGAACCCUUUUCAAGUAAGGUCAAUUCCUUAACCAGCAUACGAGCAACUGAAGAUUCUUGACUCAACACAUUUGCGAACUUAUUUGCUGUUCCGGGGUGAUACCAGAUAUCACCAUCCUAAUCUUUUAAAAGUUCCGAUUCACGACAAUGUCUCAUACUCAACUCCUUCUAAGAUAAUAAAUACCGGAGACUUUAAUAGUCGAUGAAGAUCUGGAAUUUCUCUUCAUACCAAUGAUGUCUUAAAAUCAUUAGAGCGAAAAUUAUUGCUGCGAGUCCUAAGUCAUGCAUCGGGUAGUUCAACUCAUAAGGUCUCAACUAGCGGGACGCGUAUGUAACAAUCCUAUCAUGUUACAUCAGCAUGCAACUCAGUCUUCUGUAGUAAUCUGUCCAAUCCAUCCGGCUUUUGGUCUCUAAUACUGUUGUCGGUCUUGGUCAAUUAAUCAUGGCUUCAAUCUUGCUCGGGUUCACUGAAAUUCCUUCACCUGAGAUCACAUGCCCUAAGAAAGUAACACGAGUUAGCCAAAACUCGCACUUGCUAAACUUAGUGUACAACUGAUGAACUAUCAGCUUUUGCAGCACUAAUCUCAAAAGAUUCUCAUGCUCUCCAUCACUUCUCGAAUAUACCAGAAUAUCAUCAAUGAACACGAUCACAAACUGAUCUAGGUAUUCCUUGAAUACCCUGUUCAUCAAAUCCAUGAAGGCAGUUGAAGCAUUCGUCAACCCGAACGGCAUUACUGUGAACUCGUAAUGAUCAUACCAAGUACGAAAUGCUGACUUAGGAAUAUCCUCCUUCUUAAUUCUUAGUUGGUGAUAUCCUAUCCUCAAGUCGAUCUUUGAAAAUAUUGACUCCUUGUAACUGAUCAAACAAGUCAUCAAUCCUCUGCAGUAGAUACUUGUUGUUGAUUGUUACCUGAUUGAGUUGCCGAUAGUUGAUGCCUAAGAGCAACGAACCAUCUUUCUUCUUCAAAAACAAAACUGGUGCUCCCCAAGGUGAUGCACUAGGGCGGAUAAAUUUCUUAUCCAAUAACUCUUGCACCUGCACCUUCAGUUCUUUCAACUUAGAUAACGUCAUCCGGUAAGAAGCCUUAGAGAGUGACUCUGUCCCGAGUGCUAGUUCGUUCGCAAAUUCUAUCUCUUUCUCUAACGAUGGCCUGACAAUUCUUGUGACAACACAUCUAGAAAUUCUUGGACUACUGAGAUGUCCUCAACGUUCAGUUCUUCAAUUUGUCUUAUCUAUGACAACCGCCAAGUAUCCUUGGCAAUCUCCGUCUAAUUAAUAGGUUGCCUUCGGCCAACGAGAUUAAUGAAAUCGAAGAUUCUUUUCAACUCCUAAUAACCUCGAUGCUUUCACAUGCUAAUGGACUAAAUUGGAUUUCUCCAUGACCAUAAUUCAUUACCACAAGGUGCUUCAUGAGCCCACUCUACUCAUGUGGCGUCCAAAUUAUAUUUGAACAACUAGUCAAACACGACUAUAACUAGUGUUUCCCCUUUCUUCCACUUUAUUUCAACUAACUGAAAUUCUGCAAAUUCAGUCCAAGGUUUUGCUGUUCUACUCUGAUAAAAUCUCCCCAUGAACAUUCUUCUUCUAAUUGGUGUAGGGUUGAUUCCAUUCUUGUUCCUUUCGCCAUCCUAAUGGCGUCCUAUCUCUGGUAGUGGUAUCUGUGCUCCUUUGGAUUCUCACUGGUAGUCUUUCACCUAAUGGUCGUGCAGGUCAUAAUUACAACAUGUUCUAGUCAUUCUUGAACACUGGAUUUAUCCAUGUUUCCUUCUACAAAUCUGACACCUAUCUAGUGUGUCUUCUAUCUCCUAUUAGGUGACAGCAUGCACUCUUUUUGGUACCAAAGGUCUAAUCCAAAACUCCACUGUGCGUUCUAUGGCGCACUUCAUUUGAUCUGUCCCAUCGGCCUUCUAGGACUGUCUCCGGCCAGGUAACCCUGUUGGCUAUACUUGAAACAAAUUUUUGUCCUAAGAAAACAUAAGGCCAAUCUUUGCCGCCACGCACGGGAACAACAUGUUCCAUUUUGACUCAGUGCUGACCUAACUGUCCCACCCUUCCUAUUGGGUGGAAUAGAAUACUUUUCUCUUAACAUCAGUCUUUUCCCCGACCAAUUUCCAUCUCUGCUUGAACUGGAUCUAUACCUCGACUUGGAUGCAACGGCUCAUUCCCAGAUCAUAUCUUCACACUAGAGCUCAGCAUGUGUGGCAACAACGGCGGUUGCGGCACUGACGGCAGUAGUGAUAGCAACAAUAGCGGCAGCUCAGUCCUAAGCUUGUUGGCUCAAUCAAUUCCAAGGACACUAGCACCUGAACGAUCCCAUCAAACUUAGGAUCACUUGGUGCUGCUACACUAGUACCGGCCUACAACGGUACUCUUACACUCGCGUUGGCCUGAGCCAAUGCUCUGCCACAACUGCCUCGGGCACCGAUCCUUGUUGGUGUUCCACCCCGAGUCACAGAGGUUACAAGCCUCUUACUAGGAGUCCUCAGCUCCUGAUCACUCAUGCUACAUGAUCUUUAUAGAAAUAUGUUUUCUAAUUCUAAUACCAUAUUAGAAUUUGAGUGACCCACACAAACAAGCUACCAAUAAGCUAGCAUCAACAUGCACCAGCAUGAAUUUAAAUGCUUUUCCCACUACUAUCCCAUGGUCCAACGCACCUUAUCACUCAAAUCCCUAACGACCAUGCUCUGAUACCACAUAAUGGGGAUGUCAUGCCUCGAUCCUCGGGCAUGCACCCAUCCUUGACCUUGGUCAAUUAAUAGCAACGUCCUAGGAUGAAACAUUGACCCUUUCUUUUUAAUAUGCACAUGUGGAAGUAAUUAUAAAUCCCCAGACAAUAAAACAAUGGGAUAGGAAAGUAGGGCUAUAUUUUUCUCAAAUGAAAAACCAUAACCACACUUUUAUACCAGGCAAACCUCAUAGUAUAUAUUAUAAUACUAUUAACAAGAGUCUGAUCUAUCUCAUAACACUUCACACUCAGGGUUUGCAAAAUAGGGUGGGGUCUCAAUCCUCAUCCGGGUCAUAAUACUCCGGAUCAUCCUCGGAAUCCUCCUUGGACUUCUCCUCCGGUUCCUCAUCAGGGUCCUCUUCGGUUUCUUCUUCCUCAAGUUCCUCUUGAAAUGUUUUUCCACAACCGGGCUGAGACUAUGUCUCAGUAAGUUCUACCCCCUAAGACCCGAUUAGUAAGAAAAUACGCCUUAGGGGCUACCUAAGCACAACCACACAACUUGAACAUGCAAUUGUCGAUUCGCAUACAUCCUUACCUAGUAUGCCAUAGCCUGCACGUUAUAAUUCAGCAUGAUACACGCAAUGCACAUGGCCAUUAGAUGAUGCAAUCAUCAAUCACAUGAGUCACGUCACAAGUGACCUUACCUGGCUAUUGCCACACCCUGCACGUCAUUGAUUCACAAGUGCCAUAAACGAUGUGCUUAACUCAUGCCUUUAAAUUAAUUUCAGCCACACAGGCACAAUACCCAACACACAGAAAUACAGCCUAAUAGGCUCGACAUUACACCACACAAGCACGUUCCAAGCCACACAGGCCUGAUGUUACGCCACACAUGCAUGAUCUAUUUUCGCCGCACAGGAAUGUUCUACACCACAUGAACAUGAUUAAGUAUCGCCACACAUGCGUGAUCAAAUAUUGCCACAAAAGCAUGUUCUACACCACACGAACAUGAUAAAUUAUCGCCACACAGGCAUGAUUAAUUAUCCCCACACAGGCAUGAUCAAUGUGAUAUAUAUUCAACAAUUUACGUGCAUUCUCUAAGACAUCCUAUAUGCCAAAGCGAUGUAAUAAUCGCCGAGCCACGUCACACGGCAUUUCUUCUCAUCUUUUAUCAUACCCGAUAAAAUAUCAUGCGUGGGCACACAAUUGGUCUUAGCCAAAAUAUAAUAUUUUCCUUUCCAUAACUCUUACAUUUUCUAUAGUCCACUAAAAUAAUUAUGGCAUUAUUAACCGAUGCCCAGUUAUUUUUCAACUAAUAACCAACCUUAUUCAAUUUAGGAAUAAAUCUCAAAUUCACAGAUAAUUCAAUUCAGCACCAAAUAAAGCUCAAUUAAAUAAACAGAUUGCGCCAUGACAAUCAGCAUAAGAUUCUGGUCGUUGACUAUCCCUGCCUAAUUUUCGAAAAAAUAAAUAAAUAAAUAAAUAAUUUCAAAAAUUAAUAAAUAAAUACUAAAAAUCCAAUUUAGGCUUGUAAUGCCUAAUUGGACGCCAGAAUGGAUCAAGAAAAAUCCCGAGAUGCAUUCAAUAAAUACGAGUAUGUCUCUACUUGCUAAUUACACAAAUCAAUUGCCUAAUAUGCAUCAUUAAGUCACUAAUUAAAUUACUCUAAACUAAUUUAACCACCUAAUUGGACUUAAUUAAAUCUAAUCGACCCUUAAGAAUCAUUAACCGACUAAUAAGGGAUUAGUGAGCAAAACUCACUUGAUUAACGUGCGAGUCGGAUCAAACCGACGGGAACGUUGCAGGGGACGUUUUUCUCCAAAGCGGGCCUAAAGUCCGAGGCCCGCAAGCACCUCAAAAUGGCCUCCAAAGCUUGCUGGAAACCCACUAUUUUUCUUGCUGUUCUUGGCUGGAAUUGAAGGGAAAUCAACUCGGUUUAGGUGGGAAUUGCUCGAGAAUGUAAGAAUAGGCCAAAUUGGGCCUAGAGGAGGACUCACGGGGGUUCAACGAGCUUGGGACAGCCCCGGGUGAGCUUCAACAGAAUCGGGACAGCAGCUGGGAGGUGAGAGGGUGGCGGCCAAGGGGCGGUGUGUGUGGGUGCUACGCACGGGGCGGCGGCGCGCAAACUGGCGACGAUGAGGCGGCGAUCCGGCAUGAGGCGGCUGCAGCUUCUUCUUUGCUGUUGGUUUUGUCUAAAAUGAAGAGAGAAUGGAGUGGAUGGCAAGAAGAAGGAGAGAAGGAAAGUAGUGUGGAGGAAGCUUGGCCUUGGUGGGUCCUUUGGCCAAUUUUUUUCCACCAAGUUGUCUCCCAAAUACUUGCCCAUCAAGCCAAUAAUCCAUGGCUGUCAUUGAUCCACCAAAUGGUCCAUUUUGCUAGGCCAUGGGGGGAGUUAUGAAUUUGACACAAAUCUUUCUCAAUUGGACACCGUUCCUCACUCAAUUCAAUUUCAUUUGGCCUUUAAAAAUUCAAUUGACAUCUCAAUGCCUCUAUUAUAAUUUUCCUCACCCAAUAAUCCAUCUUGCAUCUCAAAUUUGCAACUAAAAAUAAUCCUCGGCCUUGAUUGAACAAAAAGGUCAUAAACCGACUUUUUCCCAAAAAGUCUCGGUUGUUAGAAAAAUCCUCUGAGACUAAGUCGUGGGUCAUAGAAUUUAUUGUGACAUGACAGAAUCUUCAAUUUCUGAAAUCGGACUUGAAUUAGCGGUUAAUUUCCAUUCGGCACAUUUUUAGCGUGACCUAGGCUACCGGGUAGUUUUCAGAAAUUUUUAGGGCAAAUGACCCGUGGUCGAUUUUCUUCAAACCACUAUGAACCUACUCGACACAUUGGCGACUCUCAGUUGUCGUGAAAAUCUCGAAGGUUCAAAUACGAACAUAGGGCACCAAAACGACAAUAAAAUCAAAUUAGUGUCGGUCGAUGAGAAUUUCUCAAUUUAGUGGCAUCACCCACGAUCGGCCACACAUCUCAGUCGAACGGACCUAUCUUUGAUCUCAAAUCGAUUUUAUACUGUGUCGUAAUGAUCUCUAAAGAUGAGCACGGUCGAGAAGCCGAUUCUUGGUCAAAUUCUCCAAUCUAUUGCCUUAAAAUUUCUUAAUGGCUUCCCCAUAUAGUUUAGUUAUCUCAUUAGUGGCCAUCUCAGAGAAAAGCACUAUAGGCACAUCAAUGAAAUGUACGGUUUAUUUAGUAGAAAAUAGGAUUGAAAAUUUGGGAUGUCACAUGUGUUGCUGGGCUUGUUGCCGUGGAGAGAAUGCUGGUUCGGUGGAGUCUUGCUGGAGUGUGUUGACCAGGCAAAAUGGCAGAUGUGGACUUCGUCGGGGAAGCUAUCUCGACGGGAAAAUUAAGAACAAGCUGUAGGACAAUUGGGGGCAAAAGAUGGUGGAGAUGGCAGAACAUGUGCAGGGAAAAUGAAGGUGAAAGAGAAGCUAUCCAGGGGGCUGGCGGAGCGGGUGUAGGCAAGAGAGAAAAGGUGAGGGGCAGCUGGCAACGUGCGAAUAAAAGAGAGGAGGGAGAGUGGGGCUUCGGCAAGGAGACCAGAGGAUAAGUAUGACUCAAAAAGUCAAAGAAGUGGGGAAAGAUGGUGGGACACGACAUAGGAGCUGUCAGUUUGGGGGGGAAAACGUGGGAGUGAGAGAGAGAGAAAAAGGAAGGGAGAGACGUGCGGUCGAAGGGGGGGGGGGGGUGGGAAAGAAGUAAAAAAAAAAGGAAAUUCCCAUAACCAUAAUUCUUGGUCACACUUGCUCUUAUUUAAUCCAAUCUAGUCCCAAAAAAUCUCCAUGCCAAAAUACUUAAUCCUCACUUACUUUGUUGCACCAAAUUUCCCCCAAAUAACAAGUCUUGGGCAACAAAAACGGCUAUUUCCCUCAAUUCCGAAUUCUAUGUCUUUUUUUUUCCUCGGAAUCCAUUUACUGAACAAACCUCUCAGAUUGAGGUCCAAUUUCGUUGAAGAAAAAGCCUACACAACUUCCUUUCACCAAGUAGUUCACACAGAGGCCAAAUCUCUUCAAUUUGGCCAAUCCGAAUUUCCGUUCGUUUUUCGAAUCGUUCCGAAUCGACUUUUCGUAAAAAUCCUAAACUCACCGAAAAUUCCUCGAAAAAUGAGUCGAUGUUCCUAAAAUGGCUUGUGUCACGACAGAACUUUCAAUUUCUGAAAUUGGAUUCAAAUUCGCGGUUAAUUUCAAUCCGACAUGAUUUUAGCGUGACCUAGGCUACCGGGUAAUUUUCAUAAAUUUUUAAUGCAAAUGACCCUUGAUCGAUUCUCUUUGAGCCACAACGAACCUCUUUGACACUUUGGCAACUCUCAAUUGUCGUGAAAAUCUUGAUAUUUCAAUUACGGACACAGGGUACCAAAACGAUAGAAAAAUUAGUCUAGUAUCGGUCGACGAGAAUUUUGUAGUUUAGUGAAAUCACCCACGCUUAGCCACAUAUCCUAGUCGAACUGACAUAUCUCUGAUCUUUAAGCGAUUUUUAACUGUGCUGUAAUGAUCUUUGCAAAUGAGCAUGGUCGAGUAAUCGAUUUCUAUCUAUUGCAUUAAAAUUCUUUUAUGACUUCCUCAGAUAGUCUAGUUAUCUCAGGAGUGAUCAGCUCUGAAAAUAACACUAUAGAUGCGUCGAUGAAAGGCCCGAUUAAUUUAAUUGAAAGCAGAACGGAAAAAUUCAAUAUGUCACAUUUUGGAAGUCUAAUUGAGGGGAGGCUUACACAACUAAAACUAGUUGUACAAAAAUUCAAUCCAAUAAAUUACUUUUUUUAUGUCAAACAACUUGAAUUAGUGUUCUGGACAAAGAAACAAAGUAAUGGCGAGAGUAGCACGUCGAGAGUAGCACGUGACUUUUCCUGCCAAGACUUUCAUUAAUUAUUUCUUCAACUAGUUGGUGCGAGUCUGAAAUUUUUUUUUUCCCUUUUAUUUUUAUUUUUUAUUUUUUUAUAUACAUGAAGGAAGGCCGCAGGUGACUUCCAGGCAAUAGAGCUUAGUAACAAUGUAAUAAUAAUAUAUAUUUCUGAGACCACGUCCGAGGACGACGACUUCCAUCAGUUCUUUCCUAUUUAGUGCGAUCCGUGUGGCCCUUCUUUUAAGCUUAUGAAGGAAGGCUGCAAGUGACUUCCAGGCAAAGGAUUAUUUCCUCAACUGAGCGAUCUCACUCUGUUUGCGUGGGGGCUUUUAGGCCAAGGAGCAAACGGGAAAAGGUAAGGAAAGUUCCAUUAGAUGUUUGCGUGGGGAAGAGCUUCAUUUUUUAGUUGGACUGUUGUUUCCAAGACCAAACAGACUUGCCUAUUUGUAGGCUCGUUUCGACUGUCGUUCUUCAGUUAAUUUCUCUGAACAUUGUCUCUGCUUGUUCUUUUCGCAUGCUGAAUAUUUUAUUAGCCAUUAUUUUUAACUAUCACAAAUUAAGCUAGAGAUCACCAACUACAACUACCAACUAGAGACUUGAAUCUUACAGAAGUCUAGCAGUUUCUAGAAAUUUGAUCAAGACGUCCGUAGCUUUAUCAAGUUGUUUCAAGGAUCAGACUCAAGACUUCCCGAGUCACCCCGCAGACUCGAUUCUGAGAUCAAUAACUCCAUUGUCCUCUUGGAAUGAACAGAAAUAGUGAGGCAGAAGAGACGGUGGCACCCGCGGCGACAGCGAUGGAGGUGGCGACAGCAGCUCCGGCAAGCAGCAGUCAUGAUGGUGGAUCGGAGAGGGGCCUGAUGGCGGUGGCAACGGCAGCUCUAACGAGCAAUAGCCAUGAUGGCAGAUUGGGGAGGACCCAUGAGGUAUUCCUGAGUUUUAGAGGACCUGACACCCGUUUAACCAUUGUGGAUUCCCUGUACAAAGCCAUUGAACAUGCAGCAAUCAGUGUUUUCAAAGAUGACGAAGAGCUCCGAGUCGGUAAAGAGAUUGGAGGUAAUCUUAUGCAAGCAAUCAAUGAAUCCAGAAUUUACAUCCCGAUUUUCUCCAAAAACUACGCUUCAAGUAAGUGGUGCCUCCGUGAGCUCGCACACAUAAUGAAGUUAUCGAGAGACGACAUUGAGAAAGUGAUACUCCCUAUAUUCUAUGAUGUGGAUGCGGAUGAUGUUAAGCUUAAGACUGAAUUAUAUAGGACAGCCCUCCAAAUUCACGAGAGUGACUCUGGGAAGGAUAUGGCAAAGCAGUGGGAGGAGGCUUUAAGAGAGGUUGCUGGAAUUAAAGGAUGGAAUCUAAAAGAUUACGGGUAUUGUUAGCUUCUUCCAUUAAGUUUAUUUUCAUUUCGUCAAUUUCGAAAUUAUAUUCUAUGAUACUUUUUCCAGAGUAAUAACUUUCAGUUUGCUGCUGUCGAAUCUUAUAUGAUGUAUGGUUGAUCGGCCGCAGUGAGGGAGGCAGAAAUUUUGCUCAGGGAGCAAGGUUUCUUGCAUAAAUUGACUUUUCACUUUUAAUCCCAAGUUUUGAUAACAAUAGUAUCAAGAUAUGUCAACUUAAUUAAUCAAUCAUUAAUGCAAAAAGAAUAUUUAUGAAAAUCUAAGAGUUGAUGAAAUAAUAAGACAACAUAUGUGUGAAAAAUAAAAAUUUAAAUCUCUUAACUUUGCAGCUCACUUUUCGGCUAGCAAAAUGCUUUUAAAAAAACUUCGGUCAUUUCUCUUGCUUUGACCUAUUCACGGCCCCUGAUUGUACUUAGGGCACCACAGGGUACGGAUUUCCUUUGCCUUGUGACCAUCCUAGUUUUAAAGUUGUCAACUUUUAUAUGAAAGUACUUAUCUUAAUUUGUGUCUUACCAACUUCUUUUCGAUUAACUAAUUUUAGGUUACCAGCGUUUAUUUAAGUCAUUUAUUAAGUUUAAUUGAUUGUUUGCCGAUUUACAAAUUUUAUAGAAUCUACCAUCUCUUAUUUGAAUUGUUUACUUCACAUUUCAAAGUUACCAAUACUUGAAACAAAUCAAUAACCCUAAUGUGAGUUUCAUACUAACGAAUCUCUAAUUAAGUUACUAGCUAAUUUAAGUUACCCAUUCCUAUGUGAACCACUUAUCAAUAUUUAUAUUUUGUUGAAAAUUCCACCUUUUGUAACAAACUUUUGUUAUCAACGGACCCACUUUUAUUAGCAUAGUUCACAAACAUUCUGAGGUUAGGAACUCAAUUAUCAAAUUACCAAGCAUGUAAUUUGAGUUACUUACCAACUUAUUCUGAUUAAAUUACCAACAAAUUUAAUGUGACUGAUGAAAUCACUAAGUUAAACCAGUUGGUAGCUUAUUCAGAAAAAUGAUUGUUGGCAACUCAAAUGAAGGCUGAUAAAUACUCUGAAAGUGUUCCUCAUAUUUUCGGUUACUACCCUAUUACUCGGGUACAUUAAGAAAAAUGCUUUUGAGCUUUUAUUCUUGUUUUUUAAAUUCCAGGUAACUGCCUAGUGAGAAAAUCUUUUUCUUUUAUGUCAAUCUUCAAACUCAUCUUUAGUGGCUGAAGAGAUAAAAAAGACCGGGUUCACCGAGGAAUUCUAGUCAAAGCCCAAUUAGACCUUCGUCAUGAAAUAACCUUUUUCCUACCAUUAACCAGACCAAAGAGUCCUGACGGGAGCUGCUUUUUUUUUUUUUUUUGGUGGCAAACGGCUCGCAGCAUGAAUGAUCACUCAUUUCAUGUUGGUUGCUUUCAAAGUCAAUUACUUUAAAAUUUGAUGAUAACCAUCUAGUGACACGUUAUGCAGGCAUAGAUUCCAUAUGUGAUUUUUUUUAAUCUGACAUGAUUGCAUGUUAUGUAUGUGGCAGCCUAUAUAAACUUACAAACCUCAUGGUGGAAGAGGUUUCAAAUUUGCUAUGGACAAGACGAAGAGACAUGUCUAAUCAUUUGGUGGGAAUUAAAGAUCGAAUGGAUCACAUUAUGAAGCUAUUAGAUGUAGGAGCUUUUGAUGUACGAUUUAUUGUGAUUCAUGGUAUGGGUGGCAUUGGAAAAACGACACUAGCCGAGGCCGUCUUCAAGCAAAUCUACCCUCAAUUUCGGGAUCAUUGCUGUUUUCUCAAAGAUGUUCGAACUCAUGAUAUAAUAGGUUUACAAAAGAAAUUGCUGUUUGACAUUCUCAAUCUUAGUUGCACAAACCCCUUCUUCAUUGAUGAAGUGAUCAAGACAAGGUUUCUUGGCAAGAAAGUCCUCGUUGUUCUUGAUGACAUUGACAACUGGGACCAAAUCAUGAGACUUGUAGGCGAGCCCAACUGGUUUGGUGGGGGUAGUAGAAUCAUCAUAACAACAAGGAAUAUUGAAUUCCUGGUAAAGGAAGGUGAGGAUGACAAUCUCCCAAUCUCUAAUAGCGGACAAUUUUCAUUCUACGAUAUGCCGGAGAUGAAUUCACAUGAUGCUCUUCAACUUUUCUAUGCGCGUGCCUUGGGACAUGCCAAGCCUCUGCCUAGUUGCAUGGAUAUCACAAAAAAGCUAAUCAAUGCACUAGGAGGACUUCCAUUGGCUCUCAAUGUCGUAGGUUCCACGCUCCGUGGAAAAUGCCGAAGAACAUGGGAAGACACUCUAUGUAAGUUAAAGAAGGUGAUGAAUGAGGAUGUCAAGAAGAAGUUGAUGAUAAGCUACGAAGCAUUGGGAACUAAUCAACGGCAAAUUUUUCUUGAUAUCGCAUGUUUCUGCUUCAACAAAGAGAAAACAACUGCAGUUAAAUAUUGGGAUGCAAUUUUUGGGUAUCCUACCGAAAUUGAGGUCAAUAGCCUUAAACGUAUGUCUCUGAUAAAAAUAUCGAACGAUAAUAAACUAUGGAUGCACGACCAACUUAGAGACCUUGGAAGGAGUAUCAUCCAUCCAGAAAGUGGCGAAAUCCAUAUGAAGGGUAGCAGAUUGUGGUCUCCCAAGGAUGCCUUCCGUGUAGUGCAGACAAAAACGGUAAUCUUUACCUCUAAAUGUUUUCCAGUGCAUCCAUUAGCAUCACCACCUUUUUUUUUUCAUCUAAUUUCAAUUCAAAGUGACAUGUACUCAUUGGUUGGUACUUUUGUUUUAUAGGGAACCAAAGACAUAGUGGCGCUCAAUCUUGGUACACCCGACUCCAAUAAGACAUAUAGAUUUAAGCACAAGCAAUUUGUGGGCUUGGUCAACCUUAGGUUCCUUCAAUUGGACCAUGGAAACUUUGAAGGAGACUUUAAGAAUGUUUUCUUUGAUUUGAGAUGGCUCUCUUGGAGCAAUUGCCCAUCAAAAUUCCGUGCUAGCAACUUUGGGUUGAAGAAUUUAACGAUUCUCAUGCUAUCUGGGAAUAACAUUACUGAAGAUUGGGGAGGGUGGUGUCAAAUCAUGGUAUGAUCUCACGACAUCCUUUUGCAUUAUAUUUACUCUUCCUCUUUUCUAAGUGUCUACUCAAUUACUUUAUAGGUAGCAAAACAAUUGAAAAUCCUACAGCUCGAGGAUUGUCCAUUCCUUAGAAAGACACCCAAGUUCUUUGCAAUCUCGCAAUUGGAGAAAUUGAUUCUUAGAUGCCUUCGACUAAGGAAGAUUGACAAGUCCAUCGGCAAUCUAAAACAUCUUGAUUACCUAGAGAUAAAGAGUGAAGCUAUUGAGUCACUACCGGAGUCCAUCGGCGGUCUAAAAUCUUUGACAGUGCUAAGAAUAGAUUGGACACUCUCAAUGAUGCCUCACUCGAUUGGUAAUUUAGCAAAGGUGAAGUCUCUAAUCUUGUCACGUAGGGAACUUCAAAAGCUUCCCAACUCUAUCGGACAAUUGGAGUCACUACAUGAGCUAGAUGUCCAAUUUUUAAAAAUUAGUGAAUUGCCUCAUUCUAUUGGAAAUCUUGAAAGGUUGAAAGUUUUACGCAUCUCACAUUGCCCGCUAGAAAAGCUACCAGACUCAAUUGGGAGGCUCCAAUCAUUGGUCAAGUUGGAUUUGAGCAAGUCAAGAAUCAGGAUCUUAUCUGAUUGUAUUGGAUAUUUAAAAAAGUUGAAGGUACUAAAUCUUAAUGAUAGCCACAUAAGUGAAUUUCCAAAAACCAUAGGAAUGUUGGAAAAUCUAGAAGAGUUAUGUGCCUGCUCUGAACAUUUGGUGGUGGAAAUUCCAAGUGAAAUCGGGGCACUAUCCUCAUUGAAAAUUCUAGACUUAUCCCGUGGCCGCUUUAGUGGAUUGCCAACAACCAUCAAUCAGCUUACAAAUCUCCAAGAACUUAAUUUAUGGGGCUGUGAUUCGAUCCAACAGCUACCGGAGCUUCCCAAGAGCCUAAAGUCUUUAGCCCUUUCAUCGGAUUCACUGACCAUGAUCCCCAACUGUUCAAACCUAACCAAUUUAGUUGACCUUGAGAUAAACGGAAAUUCAAUGCAAGAACCCAACACAGAGGGGAUCAUGAGACUACCUGCUCUAAGACGAAUGACCCUGUUCAUUGGAAAAAUGGCCUUGCCUCCAACCGAUUUCAGUUCCCUCUCUCAACUACAACACCUCAACAUAAGUUGUGCCGAGCCCCAAUCUCUUAUCGGGCUCCCAUCCAGCCUUCGAGAGUUGAGGUUAAAGGAUGUCCAAUCACCAAUAGAUUGGUCAGUCUUUUCCAACUUGGAGAAUUUGUCAGGCUUGUCUUUUGUAUAAUUUUUGUUUCCUGCAGUUCCAUAGAUUGAAUUGGGAUUGUCUGAUGCUGCACAAUCAAAGAUCACUGUCAACUUUGCUCCACAUCUGAUGCCAAUGGUUAUAGUUGCAAUUUUCAAGCAUUCCCAUUUUUAAAGUAGAAGUUCUGCUUCUCUAUCCAUAAUUAUUAACUUUUUUCAUCUAUUUAUGUAGAGUCCUGGAAUAUAGUCAAUUAUUCCUGUUGAAAUGUCUUUGGGUGUGACGGUGAGGAUCUAUACAAGCAACUUAAAGUUGUUUGCUAGCCAAACUUUAUAAGUCCUAUUCCGCUUAGGCAUUCAAUGGCUAAAUGUAUUGAGCAUUAACCUUAGCUUUUGUUUGUUGAAAUAUUUUUCAGUAUUCAUAAUUAGCUUAAUCAAAGGACAUAAUUUAUUUCAUAGAUCUUGGUAAGUCAAUCGAGUAGUGGACAUCUUGGGGGACUAAACCUUGAAAGAUUUGCAACUUCCUCUAGUAUUCUCGAGUGUACUUCCCACAUACUUCAUGUCACGCCCCAAACCUCGGGCACGCAACAACCCCUUCCUUGGUCGAUAGAAAGUCAUGUCCUAAGACUCAUCGCCGACCCUUUCAUUUUUAAUCUUUCAUUAUGCGCAAGCGGAAAACAAACCAUCUCCCCAUCAAAAGACAAUCAAGCAAUCAAACAGGGAUAGUGAGAUGAACAGUAGAAACAUAACAUCUACUCAUAUAUAUACAUUUUUACAUUGGAUUAACCUAUGGAGGAUCGCUUCCGAUCUAUAAGUCCAUUAGAGGGGUUGAUCCAACCUCUAAGCCAUACCAAAAAGAAACUAGGCUAGGCUAAUCCAUUAUACACAAAAAUACCCCUCGGGUUCGGCCCUACAAUCACUCGGAUCCAGCGGACUCAGACUCCGUCGAUUCAAAGCUGGAGCCAUACGUGUCUGUCACUAGUGAAGCGGGGCCAGGAUUCUCCACUGCAUCGUCAAGAGGGUCUAGCUCCAUGGGAUCCCAGUCAGCGUCCUCGAGGCCCCUACCCGGUGGCCCGUCAAAACCUCUCAGAGGACUUAUCAACAAAUCGCCGUCCCUAAUGAACCACGCCAGGAACCUAUGGGGUAUCCAUUGCCCUAGUCCCUCAUCUACUCAUACAGUAGAGAGAUACUUCUCGUACAGAUGUGCCCAACCCGGGAAGCGGUGGCGCGUUAUGACAGUAUCCCAGUAGGGAUACCGAACCUCAUUGGCGGAAGUGCCAUCCUAAGGACUUGAAAGUGGUUAUCCAAUAACCAGUGAGAUAAAAUCUCAGCGAGUCCUCCCCUAAGCCCCUGAUGAGAACACUAACUCAACUUAGGGUAUCUCUCCAGAACCACCCCACAAACUUACCACGACUAACAACCAACAACCAACAAAUCACAAUAGUGACGGUCAACCACAAUCACAUAGUAAGUUCGCAUGCAACCUUACCCGGUAUGCCAUACCCUACAUGUUGAAUCUCAGCACAAUACACGCAAUACACAUGGCCAUUAAACGAUGCAGUUCAUCAAUUACAUACGAGUCGCUUCACAAGCGAUCUCACCUAGCUAUUGCCACACCCUACACGUUAUCGAUUCAUGUGUGUAUGCUAUAAAUGAUGUGCUCAACUCAUGCAUAGUCAAAACCAAUGAUGCCAUGAUUCUCAUACACUCUUGCACAUUAGUGCACCACCUAUCAUGCAUCAAUCGAUCACAUGGGUCCCAAUUAUAAGGUAAAAUUAUUAUGACCUCAUAACAAGGUCCAAUUCUCUCAACACUCACUCGUGUCCCACUUAUUAAUGACCUCAACACUCAUGCGUGCUCCAGAUAUUAAUGACCUUCCGGUCAUGGCUAACUUUCCAGUAAUCAGUCAUCCAACUCCUGCCAGGCUACCGAUAAAAAUCGAGCUUUGUCUUGGCCUGUCGGGCACGGCUACAUCGAGAACUUCCAUGCAGACGGUAUCCCAAAGAGGGACAUCGGUCUAGAAUCUAUUGCGAUCGGCUUCCAACUCCCGUUAGGUAUCGCCCCCAAACUUCCAUUGGGUGACGGUUCAAACUUAGCGAUCGUGCAAACAUACCUCCUCAAAGCCUUCUCUCAUAAAGGCAAUCCAUAUCCAAUGCCCUUGGACAAUCCAUUAUUCCCUUCUUCUUUUUUUUAUGAAAAUCCCUCAAUUCAUGCGGAUGCCCAUGCAUUUAUACACUCAAAUCACCUCAUAAGAUCAAAACGCAUGAAAUUGGACAACUUUUCAUUCUCGGGUGAACAGUGCACGUGAAUAGUGUUUUUGUGAACAACGUAUCCUGAACAGUGCUUCGUGAACAGUGUUUUGUGAACAGUGUUGUGUGAAUAGUGAAUUUCCAGAAUUAAAUAACUAAUAAAUUAAAUCUAAAAGUCAUUAAAAACACUAAUUAAAGCAAGCAAUUAAUCAAUGAUUGAUUUGCAUAAUUUAAGUCAAUGCAAAUAUGUGCCAAAAAAAUUAAAUACAAUCCCAAUGGAUUCCUUUGCCUAUUUCUUCUCCCUUCUUGUUUCCCGAUUUGAGGCGCAUGUAUGAUAAGCCAAAUUUUUAAGUGAAGUUAAUCAUCAAUACUGAUAAAAAAAAUUCACUUAUGUCUGCUUUACAUCUAUACAAUCUAAUUAUAUUAGAUUCUCAAACUCAGUGCCCACUUUGAAUAUGACAUAAUAACAUGUUCAGGACAUGAUGACAUUAUUAAAAUGUUAAAUAUGGUGUCAACUACUCUAGGAAGAGAAUUAAGAUGUAAAAUUACCCCAUUAACUAUAGAGAAUCUCAUGUUAAAAAACUUUUAGAGAAUCUCAUUUCCGUAUCUAUUCCAUCAUAUUUUAUAUUUAUUUAUUCAAAUAAUAUUGACAAUCGAAUACACCUUUUUGAAUUGUCACGCCCCGAUCCUUGAGCGUGUGCCCAUCCCUCGGUGGUCGAUUAAAAUGUGACGUCCCAAGACGCGUCACCGACCCAUUCAUUUUAAUGCACAUGCGAAGCGAAUAAAUAAAUCCCCAUACAACACAAAGAUGGGAUAGAAAAGCAGGGCCACGAUUUUAAAAACCACAACACACCUUUAUACAUAGCAGACUAGGUCAUUUAUAAUACUAGUCUAUAUUCACAAGUAUAUAAAGGCAGAAGGGCUACAAGUUCUCUAAGCGUUCGAACCCUUAGCCGAAGACUCUGGUGUCUCAUGGGGACUGGGAGGGUCAGCUGUACCCUCGCCAAAAGCGAUCUCUAACACAGACAUAGGGAUCUCAAACUCCGAUAGGGGACCUUCUCUGGGUCCAUCUCACCCGCGGUGAUACCAUGAUUUGAAUUGAUGGGGUACCCUCCGGGGUAGACUUGCAUCAACCUAGACAAUGGAUCUCAUGAGUUCAUAGACCCAGGCUCCUUGGCCACCAGGAAGAGAAAUCAGAGAGACCUGUUUGGUGACCUUCUUGGGCUAGCCAAAAUGUUCAGGAGGAACCACCAUCUAAGGACCUAAAAAUGUCAGCGCGCGAUGGGGUGAGACGAUGUUUCAGCAAGUUCACCCCCUAAAUUUCGACUAGGAAGGAAAUACGCCUAAAGGCUGCCUAUGCACACUCACAAGAUAGAAGACUUACCUCGCCUCAAUUCCAUCCUACAAGUCAGUAUAGUUCAUGAUUUCAACCAAUCCAUUCAAUUCAAAUCAAACCAUCGAUCAAUCAGUCAAUUAGCUCAAUUCAAUACCAACAAUACUAUCUAUAAGUUCAACACCAUAUAUCAAUCCUUUUGAUACCACAACUACUCAUACAAGCUGCAAUAUAUGGUUAUAGCUCACUCAAGCUGAUAUAGAUAGAUAGUAGCUCGCUCAAGCUAAUAGGUAUAUAGAUUGUGUGUGUGUGUGUGUGUGUGUAUCGUGCUCCCACAAGCUGAUUAAACCGAUCUAACCACCUCACAUGCACAAAUGAAUAUUUAAAUUGCUAAUCCGUUCUAACUUACUAUUUAAACCAUACUUAGCAUAAAAUAAUCAACCUUUAAGCAUCAUUAACUCCCUAAGCAGAGUUUAGUGAGUAAACUCACCGGUUUAGCGAUUCGGUGAGUCCACGACGACGGCAACGCGGAGACGGGCGACAAACUCCGAAGCGGCGAUACCCUACGAGGCUCGGAUGUGUCCUAAAACAGGCCUUGAAGCCCACGAAGGCUUGCUGGCCUGCGGUUAUGCUCUUGGGCCAAGAGAGAUGGCAUAGGGCUCGGCUUGGGCUGGAAACAGCCAGGCGGGCUGCUAGGCGGGUGAGCGGAGUAGGCGGAGCUGAACGGCGGUGGAUGCUAGUUCAGACGGUGGCUUAGGGCUUUGACGGUGACCUGAGGAGGCUCGGGAGGAGCGGCACGGCGACGGAAUAGGCGGGAUGACGCGGCAGUGGCGCGGGCUCACGCGGGGGUGCGACACGUGCGAGCGGAGAGUGGCAGCUGUCUGGCAAGCGUGCAAAGGCAGGAGGUGGCUGGCUCGGUUUUUCUGAAACUUUAGGAGCCCAAAAAUGGCCUAUAAUGGAGAAAGCACUCUGCUGAAGACGAAGAAGAAGAAGACAGUUGCCCAAGUGGAGGGUCCCAAGGCCAAAGUAUCAUCUAGUUUGAUCAUUAGAUGGCCCCUCACCUUGUCUGCCCCAUCCUCAGCCAAAACAUAGCCAACAAGCUUCUCUAGGAAGCCAUUAAAGUGGUCCAAAAGUCCCUCCCCCCAUGGCCUACAAAUUUGUAACAUUUUCCCCCCAGAUUGGAUUCAAUUUCUCUCCAAAUGGACUUAAACCGGUCCCAAUAAAAUCCACCAAGGUAUCCUCGACCAAAUUGACAUUUUUCCUUGCCAAUAGAACCAACUUGCAUCCCAAAAAAGCGAUAAAAAACGUUCCCCUGAAUUUUCCGGAUAAAAACGGCCCUAUUUUGAAUUUUCACCAAAAAUCUCGAUUUGUAGAAAAAUCUUCAGAGGACAAGUCGAUGUUCCUAAAAUAAAUUGUGACAUGGCAGAACUUUUAAUUUUUGAAAUCAGAUUUAAAUUCGCGAUUAAUUUCAAUCUGGUGCAACUUUAACGUGACCUAACCUACUGAGUAGCUUUUAGGAAUUUUUUGUGCAAUUGAACUGUGGUCAAUUUAUUGCAAGCCACAAUGUACAUCUUUGACACAUUGGCAACUCUCAGUUGUCGUGAAAAUCUCAGGGUUUCAAGUACGGGCACAGGGUACCAAAAUGACAGAAAAAUCGGUUUAGUGCCGAUCAACGAGAAUUUUGCAAUCAGGUGGAAUCACCCACACUUGAUCACAUAUCUCAUUCGAACCAACCUAUCUUUGAUCUCUAAUCGAUUUUUAACUGUGUCGUAAUGACUCUUGCAUACAAGCAUGGUUGAGCAGUCAGUUUCUAGUUGAAUUCUCAAAUCUAUUACGUUAAAAUCCCUUAACGGCUUCACUUGAUAAUUUAGUUAUCUCGUGAGUGAUCAGCUCAGAGAAUAGAACUAUAAGCGCGUCGAUGAAAAGCUCGAUUCAUUCAAUUGAAAAAAAAAACUUGAAAUUCAGGAUGUCACAUUAAUGGUAUCAAAGAUUCAAAGCCAUCCAUUAGAGUCAUCAUUACCUGGAUUAAGGGACAAAGUACACCCCAAGUGUCAAAACUUGGUAUGGAGGGAUAUUUAAGUGCCAAAAGUUAAGAAAGUGACACUCAAGUGCCGAAAUCGGAGCAAAAUGAAUCAUUUAAGUGUCAAUCCGGCCAAAAUGCCAAUGUGGCGAUUUUUUGACGAAGCCAAUGAAAAAUGGCGUCAUUUUGCACGUUGACGUGGCUAGAUAAUAUAAAAAUGAUAUCGUUUUGGUGCUGACGUGGUAAAAAUAAUUAAUAUAAAAAUUAAUUAAAUUAAAUUUUAAACUAAAUUUAUUUAAAAACAUUUAAAAAUAAAAUAAAAAUAUUAAAAAACUAAAAAUUAAAAAAGAAAAAAGAAAAGAGAAAAGAGAGGAAACCGGCUGAGGGCUGAGCCCUCGCUGCCGCCACCUCCCUGCUGCCGCCAAAAGGGCCGGCGGUAGAGGGGGGAGGGUCGCGGCCCUCGCCCAGCUCCGACAGGUGUCGAUGGCCCUCGCCCAGCCAGGCCAAGGGCCGCCAGUCGCUGGGGCUGCCUGCCUCUCUCUCUGUUUUUUUAUUUAAUUUUUUGUUAAUUUUUAGUUUUUUAAUAUUUUUUAUUUUUAAAAUGUUUUGAAUAAAUUUAGUUUUAAAUUAAAUUUAAUUAAUUUUUAAUUAAUUUUUUUUUACCAUGUCAGCACCAAAAUGACUUUUUUUUUGUAUUGUCUAGCUAUGUUAGCGUACAAAACGACGUCGUUUUGCAUUGGCUUCGCCGGAAAAUCGCCACGUCAGCAUUUUGCCCGAAUUUUGUCUGAAUUGGCACUUAAGUGAUUCAUUUUGCUCCGAUUUUGGCAUUUAAGAGUACUUUCCUAACUUUUGGCACUUAAGUGUCUCUUCAUGCCAAGUUUUGGCACUUGGGGUGUACUUUGUCCCAGGAUUAAGUUCUUGAUUUUGGCAAAAAAUAGUCGGUUUAACCAUGAUUGACUAAAGCUUGGCUUGGCAUUAGAAAGAAAGAAAAAUAUGCUAACAAAGAAAAGAAAGUAUAUUAAAGGAAAAAAUUAGAAACUCUUUGGUCUUACAUGGAUGCUUCUUCAAUUAUCCGACAAAUCAUUAUAAGAGGGCCAGUAACCAUUUGAUCACAAAAUAAGGGAUCUCAAUUCUUCAUUCAAAUAUUUCAAGUUGUUACAAAUUAUGACAGUUUGCAUUAGAAAUUUUAAUAAAUUUCACAUACUUACAAUGCACUACGGAUUGAAUCAAUCGAUCAAUGAAUCAUAAAAGGGAAAUACUUGCAUGUAUUAUGUCAACCCACUCAAGUCACUCAAAUGCGAUUAGUAUUUUUUUGGUUCCUAAUUAUACCCAAUAACUCACAAUAUUUAGCCCUCACAAUCUCUUGUAAAAUAAUAUAUCAAUCUCACAAAAAAAUUCACACAAGGUUGUUGGGUUUAAAACAUUUUUUGAAUGGCCUCGGAAUGUAAUUAGUCGACGAUGACCCUCUGUACAUUCAUGCCACAAGAAGUGCCACUCCCUCAAACGGCCUUUGAAGACCGAAAGAAAGCCAACAUAGAUCUUUCUAUAUAUUCAUCAAGAAACCUUGUUUUUCCCCGACUCCGACACGAAGAUGAACUUCAGCGUUUUGCAUCCUAAUUUGACCCGAGCUGUCCAAGUUAACAACGAGUCCAAUUCGGAUUUUCCUCAUUGUUGCAACAUCCAGGUCUUCGAACAUUCCAGGACCUGCAUAAUAAUGACAGGAUCGAUGCAAAUGUAGUAUCUCACUCAUAAUGCAAGGACGUGCGAUCAUCAAUUUUCAUAUCUCAAAUCAACAUUAAAAAAUUCAAUAAAUGACAUUCGCUGCAUGAAUGCCAACUAUAUUUCAAAAAAACGAAGUUGGUUUCAUCGAAAAAUAAAUUAUCAUCAAACAAAUAUAACAUCAUUGGAUAGCUUCAACAAAGCCGUGAAUGAUGCACAUUUUGCUAGAUUGGAUUGGAAUCUCAAUUUAUAGACAAAGGAUUCCGAUGAUAUAAAUGAGGAGGGUAAUACUUCAAAUGAUAAUGUAAUAUUUGAUAUGACACAUUUACGUAAUCAAAUAACUAUGAAUUUAGGAAAAAGUUAAGAAUGUUUCUAAUUUUUAAGGAUAAUGAAUUUUUUUCCUCGAAGCAUAUAUUACUAUGUUUAUUGUAAUAAAAGUAUUCUCCUCAAAAUUGAGAAAGAGAGUAUGUGAAUUUUUUUCAUUUGAUAUUUUUUAGCAAAAGAAGAAAUUUUAAUUUUAAUAAAAUUGUUUAUACAACAUCUUUAACAUUGUUGUCAAAUAUAAAUUUAAAAGGUCACAAACAUUAUUUUUUUUUUAACUUUAAACAAAUAAAAAUUGAAAAGCUUAGAUUAAUCAUCAAAUGGGCUUUUCAAAUGCGGCUUAUACCAAAUAGAAUUUCUCUCAAAGUUACUUCUCAAAGUAGAAUUUACCAAACAGUCGUUUCAUUUCCCCCAAAGCCCUUUACACUAAACUAUUUUGUAUUUCCCCAAUGACCUUUCAAAAUGCUUAAUCAAACGCACCAUAAGACUUAUCUUUGGGUAUCAUUUACCAUAACCUUUCUAAGGCAUCCUCAUCCUCUUUUUUUUUUUUUUUUUCCGUUCACUAAUUAGGAAGAUAUUGGGUGGAUUCAAUUAAUUAUAUUAAUAUGAUUCCAUAUAAUUAGUCAGUAAAAGUGGCAACCAUUAGGCAACGUUGAAGUUUUGCUGAGUGUAUGCUUUAAUUCCCUUGUGCGGCUUCCUUUGGCCAGUGAUAUGUACUUAGAUGCUAUUGCUCAUAUGAUAGAAGGAUUCACUGGAGGGGAUCUUCAAGCUCUUCUUUUAGAUGCACAGCCUCAAGCUGUUCACGAUCUUAUCGACAGUAGUGAAGGCAAUCAGCAUGGGAAAAAACCAAUUAUAACCGACUCUCUUCUAAAGUCCGUUGCUUUAAAGGCAAGGCUGUCAGUCUCAAAUGCCGAGAAGAGAAGACUUCAUAGAAAUUCUUUUCAUUCGUCGAAUUCUAUCAUCUAUCCCCACAACAAGAAUUGUGCAUCUCCAAUCAGAAUUUCAACUGCAGAUUAUGAUAGUGGCUUAUUAUGCAUCUGUUGGAGUUAAUCCCGGCAAUAAUCUCAUUCUCGUAUAGGAACACGACAUCUAUGGAACAAUUCAUUAGGUGAAUUUGCAACUUCCAAUCACAAAUUUUGAGUAGUCGCGACAUUUUGGCAGGAGCUGCUAUUUUCACAACUUUUUUGGUUUAGAGCACCUUAUUCAAAGUGAUGAGACAAAUUGUGGGCUAAAGAUUUGGCUAUGAAGGACAAUGGAAAAUUAUGAGCCUGAGUAAUUCCGAUGAAAUCGUUAGCACUAUGUUGUGUAAGAGUUUUCUUUAUGUGGGCUACAUUAAUUGAAAUUGUAAUUACCGUUUUACAGCGUUAGUCUAAUAAGGUAAGGCAUAAGGUUUUUUUAAUGGUCGAAUAUGGGCCUAGCAUUGUGUGGGCUCAGUUGGGCCCUACCCGGCCCGUGAUGAGAGGGCCCAUCCAAAACUCUAUAAAUAGCGCUAAGGUCCCUCCUCUAGCCCUCACUCUUCCAAAAUUUUCUCUCAACUCACAUAAGGUAAUCAGUGAGUGGCGGUCUCAUCAAGCCAGGAACCAAGGGUCAUAGAGGAGAAGGUCUUAAGCAUUGAAGGCUCGGAUUGUUGUCAUUUUGCUCCAAGAAUGAUGAAUUCAAAAUUAGGUACACAAAUCCUCGUCUUCAACCUUAGGAUGUUCGAUUUUCUAGCUAUGUUGAUCUUGAAAGCCGUUUAGACGGCCUACAUUUGGUAUCAGAGCCUGCAUAAACUAGAAUUCGAACAUAGGGAGCUGUUUUGAAGAAUUUAUCCGCAUGAAACUGGAUUUUGAAUGUAUAAUUGGAUUAAUCUUGUCGAGCUGAGUGUUUUUGUGGGUAGCAUGUCUCCGACGGUUGCCAAAUUUGAUGUCCAUACCCAUUUUGGACUUCACUCAAGAUCGAAGUGUUUUUGCUUGUUUUUUGUGAUUUUGGUCCGAUGAAAGUGAAUUUUUAUUACACAUAUGAAUUCUCCUCAUCAAUAUGAGCAUUUUAGUGGGUAGAACGCCUCUAGACGAUGCCGGAAACGGCCGCACGCGCCUCCACGCACUGAGAUGGAGCUCGGAAGAGGUCCCACGCGCCGCCCCAUGCGCCCGUACGCGCACGCAGGCGUGCUAACACGUGGACUGACACGCGGCUUCGUGCGCGCGGACUGCCUCAAAGGUUUCCCACCACCAACACAUGUCAGUGAUGACGCCACAUAAGCCGCCUUACAUGCGACCGCCACGUGGCAUGUGACGUCACCGAUGAGUCACCACAGACCCGACCGGUUGUUGACCGGGUCAACUCGACCUGAGUUGACCGGGUCGACCCGACCCUGGUGGACCCGGUUGACCUGACUUGGUUGACCGUUGACUGGGUUGACCCGACCCGGUUGAUCGUUGACCGGGGUUGACCCAACCCUGUUGACCGUUGACCGGUUCGACCCGUUGAGCGAUUGGACUGGUUGACCGUUGACCGAUUGACCGGUUGACCGUUGACCGUUGACCGGUUGGAUUGGUAAACCGGCUUUCGGACCGGAUCGGUACGCCAACGCGUGCCGCACACUCUAGCGGCGCCUGAGGGCGCGUGUGACCUCCAUUGGGCGCGUGGUUGAUACCAGCAUGCUCGUAUGUGAAUUUCCUAUCUUGUGGUGUACUUAUUUGUAUUUUUUUUAAUGCCUUUAAGGAUAUGAAAAUGCAUGUGAAACCUGAAGGUACGUGAUUUUGGGGUAAUUUUGGCGUAUUUUCAUAUAUUUCUCUAUGGUUUUGGAAAUACAAAUACAUGUCUAUGAUUAUAUCAUCACUUGAGGAAUAUGUGUAGUGUUGAUUUAUUAGUAGUAUGUAUCGGUGGAUGGAGCAAUGCAAUUAGCAUGACUUGUGAUUUUAGUGACAAAUAGCCCCUGUCAUCAAGUCUAAAAUCACAUGUGAAAGGUAAAUGUGAGUCAUAAAGUUAUAUCCCAAAUAUGAGAGAAUUUCGAUAAUUCAGUUGGGUUGUGACCGCCAAAGUGGCACACUUGAUUGGAUUUGAGAAACAUCGGUCUCAUAUUGUAAAGGGAUGUCUCCUAUUCUGAUGCAUGUUUAUACUCCCAAAGGAGGUAAUUGUGCGUUAGUUUAUGGAGGAGAUACAUGUACAUCAUAUGGUUGAAAAGUGACUAACUCUAGUAAUUCAUACACCCAAAGGUGGUGAAUUCGCGAAAGGUUAUAAUACUUUUUCAUAGACCGCUAUCAUGUGAAGAGUAUACAACUGCAUGUCAUGUAUUCUGCCCAAAGGUGUUUGUAUGAUGAUGUAUGUAGCUCUUGAGAUGUAUGUUUGACACUCACAGGAUGCUAAUUAUAUGUAUUGCUUGUAUAAUCAGUCACCUUCUCUAUAAAUGGCAAUUCUAUUGCAAUUGAGGUUCUCUUUGGAUCAAAAUUUAAGAAAUGGAAAGAUGAUUUUCUGUUUGGGAUGGAGUUGGCAGAUGUUCAAAUUGCUCUUGCUAAGGAUAGGCCGGCAGACCUUACUGAUGCUAGUACAAAAGUCUAGAAAGUGCGUUUUGCUGCAUGAGAAAAAAGUAAUAGAAAAAGUAAAGAAUUUGCUUGCUUAUUAUGAAAUAGUCAAUUCAUGAACAUUUGAUGAGUGGCAUGCCAACUGACUAUACUGUUAAGGAAAUGAUGAAAGCUUUGGAGGCUAGGUAUCAUGUCUCUUCCAAUGGUGAGAUAGGUACACUUAUGCACUCUUUAAUAUGAAGUAUGAUGGUUCGACUGGAGUUAGAGAUUAUGUGCUUAGGAUGGUAGAUCUUCAGACAAAACUCCGAAUUCUUCAGGUUGAUAUCCCUGAAGCUUGUAUUGUGCAUCAAGCAUUAAAUACUCUUCCUCCUGACUUUGGAAUUAUCAAGAUGAACUAUAGUUCGCAAAAUGAGACUUGAUCAAUCAAUGACCUUAUAGUUAGAGUGCUGGCAGAGGAAGAGAAACUGAAGAAAGAAAGAGGGCAUCUUACCUUGUAUGCCUCUAGUUCUGCUAGCAGGAAGGGUAAAUGGAUUGCACAUCUGAGAGGAAAUCCUAAAGUCAUAGGGACUUCUAACUAUAUAGCUCCUAAGAGGGGAAAUCUUGAAGCUGCUGGCCCCUCCACCACUAUGGCUCCUAGAAAGGCACCUUUUAAGAGGGAGGGUGUCCUUUGCUACUUUUGUAGGAAGAGGGGACACAUAAAGAAAUACUAUGAUAACUAUAAAGCUUGGCUAUCUAAAAAUGAGCAUAAAGGGAUUCACAAACAUAAGGACGCCAAAUCAGGAUGAAUCAAAGCUCACUGUGGGAAAUAACGACAAGAUCGACGUUGAGUUCGUGGGAGAUGUCAUUUUGAUUUUAGAUACUAGUUUUAAUAUGAUAUUAAGAAACACUUUCUAUGUACCUUCCUUUAGACGAAACUUAGUUUUCGUAUCAUGUUUGGACAUGUGUGGUUACUCUUUUGAAAUAAAGAACAAUAUAAUAUCUAUGUUCUUUAGUUCAAAUAAGGUUGGAUGCUGCAACAUGUUCAAUGGAUUGUACAGAUUGUGUUUAUCUCCCAAUGAUAUAUACAUCGCUAAUACAGUUGAAAGUGUCGUUCCCAAAAGACCUCUACCUAAGGAACAGUCUUAUGCGUUAUGGCAUAAACGACUAGGUCAUAUAUCCAAAGAAAGAGUAGAAAGGCUGAUAAAGAAACACAUCCUACCUACUCUUAAAGGUGACCUAGAGACUUGCGUAGACUGUUGUAGAGAAAAGAUGACUAAGAUAAAUAAGAAAACUACAGUUCGAAGUUCUGACUUACUAGAAGUCAUUCACACCGAUAUCAAUGGACCCUAUACUGCAACUUUGUGUAUAAAUUUUUAUUUCAUCACAUUUAUCGAUGAUUAUUCUCGGUAUGGUUACCUAUUCCUGAUUAAGGAAAAAUCUAAAUCUCUUGACAAAUUCAAGAUUUUUCGGAUUGAAGUUGAGAAACAAUUAGGAAAUGUAAUAAAUGUGGUUAGAUCUGAUCGAGGUGGAGAAUAUUAUGGUAGACAUGGCAAUGUUGGGCAAAUUAAAUGGCUGUUUGCUAAAUACUUAGAGGAUUCUGGGAUAAUGGCUCAGUUCACAAUGCUUGGAAGUCCUGAACAGAAUGGUGUGGCUGAAAGACGCAAUCGUACUCUCAUGGAUAUGGUAAGGUGUAUGAUGAGUAGGACUAAUUUGCCUGACUUUUUAUGGGGUGAGGCUUUAAAAAUAGCCCUUUAUAUAUUGAAUCAUGUUCCUAUCAAACCUGUUAUAUCGACUCCUUUUGAGUUAUGGACUGGACGCAAACCAAGUUUGAAUCAUUUCAAGGUCUGGGGAUGUUCUGCAAAAGUAAGAUUGAAUAAUCCAACAUUAGGUAAGUUGGAGGCUUAAACCACUCGAUGCUACUUUGUAUCUUACUCAGAAUAUUCGAAGGGAUAUCGGUUUUAUAAUCCAAGUGGAGGAACAAGGAUUGUAGAAUCACAAACGGCCAAGUUUUUGGAAUUUGAUGUAGCCGAAAAGCAUGAUUGCUCACAAAUUAGUGAACAUGACAACAUGAUGAGACCUGUUAUGUCUUUCUCCUUACCUAUGCAGAUGAUUAUGGAGCCUAUUGUGCCAUAAACUGAACCUGUUAAUAUUGAGAAUCCUAUUGAUGAAAUGGCCAUAGAUGAAGUUCUUCAAGUUCCUCAGACUCAAAAUGAAGUUACAGUGGCUCCACUUAGGAGGCCUACUAGGGAAAGGCAUUCAGCUAUACCACCGGACUAUAUAGUCUAUUUAGGAGAACAUGAUUACGAUAUACGCUGCAUUAUAGAUCCAGUGACUUAUAUAGACGCCAUUUCUUGUCCUCAAUCAAGUUUGUGGUUGGAUGCAAUAAGAGAUGAGAUGCAGUCUAUGAAAUAUAAUGGCGUGUGGGAGCUUGUUGAAUUACCGGAAGGUUGUAAACCUAUAGGUUGCAAGUGGGUUUAUAAGACUAAAAGAGAUUCAAAAGGAAAGAUUGAGAAAUUUAAAGCUAGACUUGUGACCAAGGGCUUCACUCAAAGAGAAGUGAUAGACUAUGAAGCAACUUUUUCUCCAGUUUCUUCUAAAGACGUUUUUAGAGUGAUCAUGGCGUUAAUAGCUCAUUUUGACAUGGAAUUACAUCAGAUGGACGUUAAAACUGCUUUUCUAAAUGGAGACCUUGAUGAGGAGGUUUAUAUGGUGCAACCUGAAGGUUUUGCAGCAAAUGAUUCAUGUAAGUUUGUAUGUAAACUAAAGAAGGCUAUUUACGGUCUCAAACAAGCUUCCAAACAAUGGUACUUGAAGUUUCACAAUGUUAUUACUUCUUUUGGUUUUGUUGAGAACAAAGUAGAUCAGUGCAUAUACUACAAGGUCAAUGGGAGGAAAUUUAUUUUUCUUAUACUUUAUGUGGAUGAUAUUUUGCUUGCAAGUAGCGAUGUUGGAUUGCUGCAUGAAACAAAACAAAUGUUGUUAAAGAAUUUUGACAUUAAAGACCUAGGUGAGGCAUCCUUCGUUCUUGGUAUUGAAAUCCAUAGGGAUCGUUGUCAUCGUAUGUUAGGUUUAUCUCAAAAGGCAUAUUUUGAUUGUAUUUUGGAGAGAUUCAACAUGUAGGAUUGCAAACCAGGAACUGUUCCUGUCAUUAAGGGUGACAAGUUGAGUCUCUCACAAUGUCCUCAAUUAGAUUUUGAGAAAAACCAAAUGAAGGAUGUGCCUUAUGCUAAUGCACUUGGAAGUAUCGUGUAUGCUCAAGUUUGCACCAAACCAAACAUCGCUUUUGUAACAGGGCUUUUAGGUAGAUAUUAGUCAAAUCCAAGACACGAUCACUGGGUUGCUGCCAAAAAGGUCUUGAGAUACUUGAAAAGAACAAGAGAUUAUAUGUUGAUUUAUAGAUAUGUCCAUGAUUUGCAAUUGUUGGCAUAUUCAGAUGCAGAUUUUGUUGGUUGUGAGGAUGAUAGGAAAUCGACAACAAGAUAUAUAUUCAUGUUGGCAGGAGGCGCAAUAUCAUGGAAAAGUGAGAAAUAGAAAUCUAUAUCUUCCUCUACCAUGCAAGCGGAGUUUAUAGCAUGUUUUUCAACUUCUACUCAAGCAAUUUGGCUUUGGAACCUCAUUAAGGAAUUGGUCGUAUUUGGUUUUGUGGAUAGACCCAUACAGUUAUAUUGUGAUAACAAUUUUGCUGUGUUGUUUGUCAAUAACAACAGAAGUCUCAAAGGGUCUAAGCAUAUGGAGGUCAAGUUUUUUACCAUAAAGGAAAUGGUACAUAAUGGUGAUAUUAUAGUAGAGCAUGUUCUCACAGACGAUAUGUUGGCAGAUCCGCUGACUAAAGGCCUACGCCCUUGUGUAUUUGAGCGACAUAUCAUGAACAUGGGCUUGGGAGAAUUGGUGGAUACUAUCGUUUAAUGGGAACUAUUUCAGGUUUGCCCUAAUGAAGUUUACUUCUGUAUUUUGUUACUUUUUGUAACGUUUCGAUAUAUGUCAACUCCUUCUGUAUAAAUUGUUAUUGAGUUGUGUACAUAUAUCUAAGGAAAAUCUCAAGGUACUGUGUAAAUCUUGAGUAAAGGCUAGGGGCAUCCAAUUAUUAGCCUUAUACAUAUGUCUCAGUUAUACAUAAAGAAAGGUAAAUCAUAAAGAGAAGACAUACGUGGGUUCAUUAGAACCAUAAAGACAUUCUCUAGUGCCACAUCCGGUUUUCUAUGACACUUAAAGGUAAGAGAAUAGCGACCGACAAGGGAGAUAACACAUAAGGUAAAACUCUUUAUGAAGUGUUAUCCAUUUGCCACACAACCAUAUUGAAUCCAUAUCAGUAAAGUUGAAAGCAUUCGUGACCAUGGAAGGCUCUGUAUGAAUACAUGCAGUUACCGCAAUGAUUCGUUGUUUGAGACUUUAUGGGAUAGGAUUGACUAUUAAGAAUUGCCACUAGACCAACAUAAAGGUGGGCACAUAAAGUACAGUCUCAAUUAAUAUAGCCCAAGUGGGAGAAUAUAUGAGUUUUCUUUAUGUGGGCUACAUUAAUUGAGAUUAUAAUUACCGUUUUAUGGCGUUGGUCUAAUAAGGUAAGGCAUAAGGUUUUCUUCAUGGUCAAAUAUGGGCCUGGCAUUGUGUGGGCCGAGUUGGGCCCGGCCCGUGAUGAGAAGGCCCGUCCAAAACUCUAUAAAUAGCGCUAAUGUCCCUCCUCUAGCCCUCAUUCUUUCAAAAUUCUCUCUCAACACACAUAAGGUAAUCUGUGAGUGGCAAUCUCAUCGAGCUAGGAACCGAGGGUCAUAGAGGAGAAGAUCUUCAGCAUUAAAGGCUCAGAUUGUUGUCAUUUUGCUCCAAGAAUGAUGAAUUCAAAAUCAGGUACACAAAUCCUUGUCUUCAACCUUAGGAUGUUCGAUUUUCUAGCUAUGUUGAUAUUGGAAGCUGUUUAGACGGCCUACAUGUUGUUCACGAUAUUUGUUGUCAUUUUGUCAUUGUAUAAAAGGGUUUGAUGACGGCACAAUUCAUCAGUAUAGUCAUAGUGAUUCUUGUUUGUGAAUAUGUUUUUUUCUUUUGCUCUUGGCUUGAAAGAUUCUAUUUGGAACUAUUGUCUAAUCGGUGUAAUUCAAAUAAAUCAUGAAUACAUCAAGGCACGAGAUCGUAGGUGAUCGGCCUAAAAAUGAGGAAAUAUGGCAUGGAGAGACCACUCGCGAGCUCCCUUAUCACAAAUGAAUCUUUUUACCUCUAAGAAAUGGCAUUUACCAUGUAGAAGAUAUUUGUUCCAAUCAUAAGAUCUUUUUACUACAAGAAUGAGUAACCUAUGUAUCAAGUGAAAAAAUUAGACGGUUGAGAUUGCAUUUCUACGUUUCUUCAUGUAUGAUAGUGAGAGAUCUAAUCUCAUGGGGAGGUGAGUUCACUGGAAAAAGCUAUCUCAGAUGUGUCAUCUAAUGUUUCGAUUGUAGGAUAUAAUAAGAUAGGAAUGGAAUAGUUAUUCCAUAAAAUUGGAAGAGAGUAGGACUAGGAAUGGAAUAGCUAAUUUGUAGUUUGGUCUGUAGAGUGGAUUCAAAACUAUUCUCUUGUUUGUUUUACCAUGAUAGUAGGGAGAAUAGGUCAAGAAUAGUAGAGAAUACCCAUAAUACCCUUUGAUGAUAUAUAAUCAAAGUCUAAUUUCUUUUAUUAUCAUAUUUUGAUAGGACAUAAAUUAAAACCUACUAUAAUUUCUAAAUAAUUGCAAUAUUUGAACAAAAGCUAAUCUCCAAAACAAAGGUUGUUGCGACCUUCCCUUGAUAGGCGGUUAGUGGAUUACUAAGCUCGAAAACUUAAUGCUCACUCUCCAAGACUCUAUCUAGCGCAACUUUGGAGGUUAAUUAUUUUAAUAUGCAAAAUCUUAUUUAUUCAGGAGUCACCACUUAUCAGUUAUUAGUAGGCUGAUUAGAAAAGCUAAUGUUUUUUUAAUAUGAUGAGCAAAACAGAAGCAUUUAAUAAAUGAUAUUUUCAGCCUAAAGAUAAAGGAAGAGAUUUCUCACAAAAACAAAAAACAAAACAAAAAAAAAAAGAUAAAAGGGGAUCAUUAUGCUUUGGUCACGCCAGAUGUUGGGCAAUUUUCUACGAGAUAUUGCACUGAACCUUGAUCUAUAUAUAAAAGGACAUAGAGAAAUUGAAUGCUUUUCCUAGAACUAUACGUGGAGAUUCCGGAUACUUUGAAAAUAGAAUAAUUAGAUCAAAAUGCAUGAAAAAGUUUCAAAGCACCAACGGUAAAACUUUUUGUAUCAUGAAAUGGCCCAAAGAUACGACUGUCUAUGUCUUGACAUAAUUUUAGGAUGCGACUCUAAAUAAGAUUUUCACUGCAUAUGUACACAUCUCCUAAUUCUAGGAGGGUAACAUAUAUAUCAGAAAGCGAAAUGAACCUAGUAUAUUUUAAACUAAACAGAAUAUCACCUAAAAACACAACACAAGUGAAAAGACAAGGUCAAAGAGGAAAAGUUGCAUAUAAAUAUGGAUGGCCCUAAUUAGAUCUAUAGCACUGCUGAUGGUAAAUAUAGUCGAACCGAAAAUUUCAUAUAGGCUUAGCCUUUCAGUUUCUUUUAGCACGUUAACUCUUUCUUUCAUUUUUUUUCCUUCCCUUUACAAGAGGCAUGGAAUUUGAUUCAUAUCUUCCAAUCAGAGAUGAUUAUGCUAGUUAUUACAUGAGCCCCAUAAUGGAAUUGAUCCAUUUUAAGGAAUAGCUACCUCAUAAUUCAUACGGGUCGUCAUAAAAAUAGGAUCUACGUGCUUUGAUAUGAUUAUAUACUCAUUUUGUAACUCCUGAAAAGUUAAUCGCUUUGCAAAAUUAGUAUGAAAAUUGUGGAUUUUCGUAGUGCGCGCAUCUUCAAGGAGCAAAAAUAGGCCAAGUAAUUAGGAAGUUUGUCCCAUCUGUGCACGCUCACUGCAAAAGCCUACAUUUAUUUCCACGAAGGGUGGGAAACCCAAUUGAAAUCGAGUCUGCUUGGGCUUUUACCAUGGAAUUUCAUAUUUCUAAGUGGAAACGCACUAGAAAAGCAUCUCGUUUGGAUCCCUAGCUCCACCCAAUGAUUGAAUUUCGUAAUUUGGAUUAAAUACAACUCUCUAGUCAGAAAAGUUAAAAUGCAGAUGUUGUCCGAUCUAUACCUAUACAAUCCCAUAAUGUUGGAUUUCAAACACGGUGCCCACCUUAGCAAUGACAUUGCUCAUGACAAAUAACAUCAUAAAUUUUGUGUGUCAGUGAAGAUAAAAAUGUGUGUUGCACGAAUUUAGAGUGCAAGAUCAAAAUCUUGAGUAUAUCUAGUAAAUUUAGACAGUUUAUAAAAAGAAUUCAAAAAUUUUAAUGGAGCAUUUCAUUUAAAUAUAAUACCUCUCUCGAAUUUAAUUCUUCUUAUGUCUGAUCACAAAAAUGUCCACUUCUACCAUGUAAUGUGGUUUGGAGUCAAAAGCACAGCUCAUUAUCAAAUGAAGCCCAGUCCGCAAUCACACGGUAUUGUUUACUUAUUGACGGAAUUCUCAGUUCAAUUGGCUUGAGAAUCAAGAGACAAGAUAUGAACAGAUAUACAGUGGACAUGCUCUUUCUUCUUUCAGACAGGUCAUGACAACAUCUUGCCGCAUUAUUUUUGAAGCAUCAACUCUAAAAUUAAGCUUUCAUAAGUCGUGUUGAAUACCCAAAACUAGUAUCCUCAUAAUAGGCUCGUGAAACUCGCACCGAAAGAUGAGUGUGAUUUAUUGCAACAUCCUCUCACAAUCAUGUGAUAACUACAUGUAGGGGAUGUAAUUCAGCAUAAGAAUGAAAUAGUUACUAGUCUUCGCUAGUAUAGAAUGUUAUCUGCACAUGCAUGGCUAUGUAACAAUAUGCAACUCGAUCCCUUCGAGAUAGACUUUAAGUUAACGAUCCAAUAAAAUGUCAGUUGAAUGGCAAUCUGCAAUGGCCACAACUAAAAGGACUCGCCGAUGGAGAAGAAAUGAAAUGGAACAUCAAUUGCUCUAUCAUUCCACGGUUUUCUCAAGUAUACCCGAAAAUGAAUACUAUUCUAAGUUAGGAAUAAGAUGAAUUCGUGAUACUGGUUUUAUCAGGGUAUACCUAAUAUCUUGGACUAUUAAAAAGGAAAAUUUAUGUCAGAUCUCGACAAAAUGCCAGAAGACUCCAAGUAAAAGAAAAGAGGAGAUUAUACUUCUAGAAAUGCACUGAUUACAAGCAAACCCAGUCACAAAAAUUGGAGAGAAAAAAGUUGCAUCACGGCAUUUCAACUUGAGAUAAAAAGGUCACAAACCUGAGGAGGGUGGAUGAUAGGAGAUGGAAUCAUCAUUCAUUUGCCUUCUUUACAAGACUAUUGAUUUCUUUCUUGAUAUCAGUAAAAUUCAUCUUAUCAGCAUUUCGAAUUUACUGGAACAACCAGACCCCACGUGAAAGAAAACGAAUUAACUUAAACCACAGUCUCAUUAGAGUCUAUGUAACUGAUGAUCAAAAGACAAAUCCCUAUACCUGCGUCGCUUAGAGAGAAAUAUCAUGGCAAGGAGCGGAAAAUUCUGUAGCUAUUCAGUCAUUUUCUGGAGACGAAGGGCGGAAAUAGGGCAAUCACGCCCGUCGAUCGUCAAAUAUCUCGACCAGUAGUGUUUAUGUUUAAGGGGGGAAAAAGGACUGUUGAUGCUAGAAAAUCGCGACAUUAGCUCAUCACUUUUCACAUUUAAUGUCCUUGGAAUGAUGGAGGCAUCUAAAAUCAAAGAACGAGAAUCGUCGGUCUAAAUCCUUGGUCAUCAUCCUGGUGAUUUUCUAUAGCUUAGGAAGAACGCUGGCGGAAAUCAUAAUAUGUUUAAGAAACAUUGAUUAGAGUGUGUAAGACAGGUUUGAACCAGGUGCUUGUGCUCCAUAUUAGUCAGUGCUAAGCAAAUGAAAGGAACCUCUUCCAUCUUGGUGAGAGCAAGGGUGAAUCACUACUUGUCAAAGCAUGAAGAUCUACGUUCUUUAGCCCAUGUACAUAAGAAAGAAUAAAUAAAAGGGAAAAAUCUACAAAAAUCCCAAACUUCACCCGUGUGUUGCAUUUACCCAAACUUUUUGUGUAACUCCAAAAAUCUUAUUCUUAUAUUUAUGUGACAUAUUUACCCUAAUUUUUUUUUUUUUUUGUGAUACCAAAAUCCCCAAACUUUUUUCUGUGAUACCAAAUUUUAAGGAUGAAUGUGUCAUACAAAUACAAAUUUAUAAUUUUUUUUAUAUCGUAAGAAGAAGUUUGGGAUAUUUGUCUCACUAUAUAAAUUUGGGAUAAAUGUGUCACAUAUAUACAAUUUUGGGAUUCUUAGUGUUAAAAAAAAGUUUGGGAUAUAUGUGUCAUAAUGAACAUAAUUUAUGAUUUUUGGUGGUUUUUUUUUUAAUAUAAAAAAACUAGAACUUAAUAGUGGGCAACAUAUGCAAUGUGAUUGCAAGCAUGGAAUAGAGACUCGAUGCUAGAUGCUUUUUGGUCAUAAGGAUCAACCGUCCAAAAUUGACUUACUCUAAAGGGUUUUCCUUUCAAUCUUAGAUGUCACAUAGGAAUUUUUACUGACUUAUUCUAGAGGUUUUCCUUUCAAUCUUGGAUGUCACGUAGGAAUUUUUACACUAGGAAGAGGCUGAGAUGGUCUCAAGGUUUAACUCAACCAUCGAGGUUGAAUUAAAACAUCCUUUGAAGAUAUGGUACUGGAAAAAGAAAUCCGCAUAUUCUAAAAUGAAAAGUAGAAUCCAAUUUGUAUAGGAAGUAGCAAUAUUCAAAUUUAUUUUUCACAUUUUUAUCAUGCCUUCGUAAUUUUCAUGUUUGAUUUGACAAAUGGUUUUACUUGGUAAUUUUAUACCUAAUGGAUAACAAACGGAGUAUUAUAAACAAUCCCAAAUUAAUGACAUUAAUAAAUAUAAAAAUGAAAACAAACCUAAUUAAAGUACAUUUAUCAAUAUAUGUCCACGUAAAGCUUGGGCAAAAGUAGUUUGAGUGCGAUUUAGCUGACCGAUACUCCAAUUUUGAGAGAGUGAUUAAGAAAAGAUAAAAAUUAGAAAAAGAAGAAAUUGGGUAAAAGAUGGAAAUCGGUCAAAAAAGUCAACCAGUUUCCAUCUUAGAUGUGCGGUCCUUAACUAACUGUCACUCCGUCGUUGACAAAGUGACCUUAGCUUUUCCUUUUAGUUUUAAUUCUUUCUUAUCGCAAAGCACUUCAAACGCGCGACUCCGGUAAUCUCUUUUUUCCCCCACGGUGCGGUUAGCCGUCCUAAAUGACCAAACCCGCCCUCUCUUCUCGACGAAUUUCCCUCCCUCAAAAAAAAAAAAAAUACCCGGACUCUGAAAAAUCCGGUACUCUUCCCUCGGUCUCUCCCCUCCACCAAUCGGUCAACGCAAGCCUCUGCCACCCCGCCGCUGCGUCGCCAUCGCCGACGACGUCGUAUCAAGUUGUUACAAGGAUCAAACUCAAGACUUCCCAAGUCACUGGGCAGACUCAAUUCGGGAUCCAUCUCUGCGUCGUCCUUCCAGAAUGAAGAGAAAGAGGGAGGAAAAAGAGACGGCGACGGCAGCUGGGACAGGCAGCAGCCGUGAUGGCGGACUGCGUGGAUCCGGUGAUGGNNNNNNNNNNNNNNNNNNNNNNNNNNNNNNNNNNNNNNNNNNNNNNNNNNNNNNNNNNNNNNNNNNNNNNNNNNNNNNNNNNNNNNNNNNNNNNNNNNNNCUGAGUUUAGGGCUCUAGCUUCCGCUAGGCGCGUCCGGUUGUUUCGGUGAGUAGCAUUCUCCUAAAAAAGGAUGAGGAAUUGGCUUACUGUUGCAAUUAUUGUGAUCUAAUCUACGAUAAACAUUAAAACAAAUCCAGGUGGUUAGCACCUCUUUUACUUCUCACAAUGAAUUUCUCUUUACAUUGACUUGAUAGAUCCGAGUGCACUUGGUUCUUUGUUCCCGCUAUAACCAUUGGUGAACUGGGAACUUGAUCACUUUGUUAGUAUGUUAUUGUUACUUUGCCAGCAUGAUACUUUUCCAUUUGCUUUUUACUGGGUUGUUGAUUCAAUGUCUAUAUUGAACGCCAGGUAAAAAUUCCUGAUUUUGAGAAGUGUUUAGACAUAGUCGCCACUCUACAGGCCAAGAAGGGUUCUGGUGAGGUUUUUUUGUCUCGUGCAACUUGUACUUCUGACUAUGUGAACUAGAUAUUGCGGCAAUUUCCAUUUAUCUUCCACUAGUUGAAAGGGAGGCGGUGGUUAAUUGCUUUUUAACAACAAGCUGUGGAUUUCGGUAAUUUAGUUGAGGGGUACGCAAUUGAUUGACAACCUUGUGUUGAAAUUGCAAGGCUUUGAAUCUUGAAAUGAUUGCGGUUACUUACCUCUGAGCAAAUUAGGUCAAGAUGUUCACAUGUAAUUAGAAUGAGAAAGAGAUUUUCCUUCUAAAAUGCUCCCUUGGCCCAUUUAUGGAAAUGAAAAAUGUCGAUGCUCAUCACUAAAUAGUAAGCCUUGUUUAUGCUCUCCACGUUAGGAAUAUUUCUCAUUUAAAGGUACAGUUACAUGCUGAUUAGGUGUUGCAUCUUGCUUGUUAUACCUUGUGAAUCUUCCUAAUACUUUAUCCCAUCAAAUGGUUUGUCAUUGAAAAACGUGUGUAUCAUCUCCCAUGUUUAGCGGUCAUGCAUUAGAGGCUUUCAAUUGCUUAUCAUAAAGUGAGUAAGAAUUAUCUGCAUUUAGGUUCUAUUUAGAAAAGGAAAUCACUUCAGCGGAUCUUUCUUGUCCUUUGAGAAAGCGCAAGAGUAUAGGAAGAGAUAUUGUUUUGCUUGUUAUUCUAAUUCAGAGCCUGGUUAAUGUUAUUGCCGAAAUCUGAAAAAGAAAGGUGGAGAUGUAUCUAAUUCAGGAGUUCUUUUCUUUUUUCCUUUUUUAAAAAAAAAAAUGUUUCUCAUCAGUUAUUCAUUUUGUGGUUGAACUUUUGAGGGAGCGCAGAGCUGGUAUCAGUAUCUUGUGUAUAGAAUGAAAUAAACAAUUCAUUUGUUUUAUGUGUCCCUUCAUUUAAAUAGCAGAAUGCUUUCUUGCUGAUUGAAUAUUCUUCAGAAAGCAAUAGCUUUAUCGAGCAAACCUUUUGACAGACUUAUUUACAUGAGAGUGAAUCUAACAAACUUGGGGUAAGAAGUUAGUCUUAGAAAUUGUUAACCAUAUGUGAAGUCUACAGCCAUCCUUUUCCUUAAUGCAAGAUUUAAAGGCUCUCUUAUUUCUAUCUCUAGACUAACAAAAAGGUCAAGAUUUGGAUUGGGUAUGAUUUAAUUCCAUGGUCACCAUAUCUUAUCUGCGUCUUUUCCAGCAUAUUUAUGUUCCAAGGAGAUUUAGUCCGAGGGCAACAUUUCAGUGGGUGAUCUGAGGAUUCUCAUUAACUUUGCCAUUAGCUAAUAUCUGUUUGUAUGCACCCUUCUUCUUGUUUUUGGUUUCUUUUUGUAUGUUGGCUAUUUGCAAACACUCCCCAGGGAAUCACACUUGGAAAACCUGUGAUGCCGAAUAGUCCCAUACGGUUUUCAUCUAAGCAGCUAAUACCCCCUUGCCUUCUUUGGAUAGAGUCCUUCCCUGUUUCUUUAUUACCAGCUAUCUUGUGUAAGAGAACUAAAAAUUUGGCCAUCUCAUUCUCUUCUGGUUACCAGUCUUUCGUAAAUGGUAAAUCCUAAUGACACCUUCUGCCAUUAACAAAGUUCCCUGCUCAUCUGCUGUAAUUUCCAUAUCUCUGCAGUGGACAAGAAUCUGUGAGAUUUAUUCCGCCAAGGUCUCCAGGCAUCUCAGCCCCCCUGCCAAGGUCCAUCUCUCCUUCCCUCUCUCUCUCUCUCUCUCUCUCUCUCUACACACGCAAACACACGCAAACACAAGUACUACUGUGUCCUGCCUCCAUCUUUCUUUGCACUGAGGUUUACUCCAUUAAAUAGGCUAUGACCCUUGACCCUCUGACAGUACAUAAACAAAGGUGUGAUAUUUCUCUCAAUAUAAAAAUCCAGGAUUUGAAUUGAUCAAUCAUUUCAAAUGGGGGCACCUUGAUGCAACAAUUACUUCACCACUCCAUUCCACCAAAACGAUACACUCUUGUUUCCUCUCUCGUUUUUUGAUAUGUAAACCUGCAUAAUGACUGAAGCAAAUUGGCUUAUUUGCUAUAGCAAAAUGACCUGUGAUUGAGGAUGCCAUUAUAUGUGUGCACAAUCAUGUGUUUCUAUUACAGUAAGAUUGAAUCAUGGCCUCAGAACUGGAAUUUAAAGCUGAACGCUUUUCGGUGCGUGUAUUUUAACUGAGGAUACUUAAUGGGUAUCUGUCAGACUCAUGCUGUUGACUGUUGAGGCUUUUCACAAAGUAAACUUGUUAUCACGUAACCAGAUCAUAUUUUCUCAAUCUGGAGUUCUUUGUAUUGUCUUAAAAUUGACCAAUGUUUUCCUUUGCAGUUUCUGUUUUUCAUCUGGAAUCCUCGACUGUCUAUCAUUCAAUAUGUGUGUGUGUGUGUAUGUAAACUAAUUUUUUCUCAUAAACUUGUUAUCCUAAAAAAUAUUAUCUUAAAAAAAUCUUCUUGCUCCUUGAUGCUCUUUUAGCUGAUCAUAUCACCCCUUUCUAUCUUUACAAAGCAAAUGAAGGAUAGCCUAGUUUAAUUUUUGGAGAAAUGUCACAAAUGGUCCCUAUACUAUUACUUAAUGUGCAAUUUGGUCACUGAACUUUCAAUCAGCUCAAUUUGGUUCUUGAACUAUUGAUAAAUGUCUGAUUUGGUCCCUGAAUUUUCAAUCGGCUCUAUUUGGUCCCUGAACUAUUUGAUAAAUGUCUGAUUUGGUCCCUGAACUUUCGAUCGGCUCAAUUUGGUCCCUGAAUUAUUGAUAAAUGUUCGAUUUAGUCCUUAGUUACCGUUUUUCCUUUUUUUCUUUUUUUCUUUUUAAAAUUUUUUUACAUCUUCUCUCUUCCCUCCGUCGGCUCCNNNNNNNNNNNNNNNNNNNNNNNNNNNNNNNNNNNNNNNNNNNNNNNNNNNNNNNNNNNNNNNNNNNNNNNNNNNNNNNNNNNNNNNNNNNNNNNNNNNNGCAAAUUGCGAAAAGUAGUCUCAAUCGUGCCAGGUUGUCUCUAAUCCCUGACAUAUUCCCUCAAUCUGAGCCCAACUUCCCGGCGUUGAUCAAGGGUCCACGUCCCAUUAUAGAGAUUUGGGGCUCCCUCCCCCGACGCCGGGGAGGGGCUCCCUCGCAGAUCUGGCGAGCGAGCCCCUCCCCCGACCCCGAGUUGCGAGGGAGCCCCUGUUCGGCGUCGGGCGAGGAGCACCCCUUUGUUGAUCGAGGGGCCCCCUUUCCCAACGCCGGCGAGGGGCGAGGGAUCCCGCUUCCGGGGAGGGGUGCGGGAGCCCCUCGCUCGGCUCCGGCGAGGGCCGCCCUCGCCUGCGUCCGGCGAGGGCGACCCUCGCCGGAGCUGGCUUCCCUUCGCCGGAGCUAGCGGAGGGAAGAGAGAAGAAGCAAAAAAGAUUAAAAAAAUUUAAAAAUUAAUUUAAAAAAAAAAAAAAAAAAAAAAGGAAAAACAGUAACUAAGGACUAAAUCGAAUAUUUAUGAAUAGUUCAGGGACCAAAUUGAGCCAAUCGAAAGUUCGGGGACUAAAUCAGAUAUUUAUCAAAUAGUUCAGGGACCAAAUUGAGCCGAUUGAAAGUUCAGGGACCAAAUCGGACAUUUAUCAAUAGUUCAAUGACCAAAUUGAGCCGAUUGAAAGUUCAGGGACCAAAUUACACAUUAGGUAAUAGUAUAGGGACCAUUUGUGACAUUUUCCCUUAAUUCUUUCCGUACUAGGAACUAAUUUUGGUGCGGUUGACAUGGUGUAAAAUAUCCGAUCGUCUUUUCUUCUUUGCAAAUGCACUUCUGGAAGCAAUAUUUCUAAUAACCCAGGUUAGUGCUUUGAAGAGCCCAUGCUGAUAUCAAUAAUGGUUUUAGAUUUGAACACCUGGAUAUCACCAGUAAUAUUUAGUGAGUUGCUUUGAUGUCUGAAGGUCCGAUUAGAAACCGACAUGGGGUGGGAUUACUUUAUUUGGCUUUCAGACCUAAGACUAUCAAAACUUCUAUGGGGCAAAAGACAAUAGGCACCAAGCUGACUGGUUUUUAUGACUCUUUAUUUUGUAUGCAGGCACUCCUUGCUGAUUUUGAAGUCUCUAAAGGCAUUUAUUCACGAGCUCGCAUUGAAGAUACUGAUUCAGUAUGUUUAUGGCUGGGAGCAAAUGUUAUGUUGUUGGAGUAUUCAUGUGAAGAGGUUCUUCUCGAGUUUAAGGAAUGUCCCUCUCUCCAAUAAUGAUGUCAAGUAUCUUAUUUAUUGCAUAAAUUUAUGUUGUAGGUCACAACCCUUCUACAAAAGAACUUAGAAGAUGCUAAAGCAAGUUUAGAAGUUUUUGUUGCUGAUCUACAAUUCUUAAAGGGACCAAGUAACAAUCACGCAGGUAAGUCAGAAUGAUUUGGAACUUGGAGGUCCACGUUUGUUUCAAGCCGUUUACUGUGUCGGUUUUGGGUAGGUCUAUUAGGGUCGAACUAAUGUUGCUCUGAAUUUUGUUACUGUCGUGAGGAUACAAAUUGGGAAGACAUGUUCAUUGGUGAUAAACUGGAGUGUGGUAUGUUUGCACGAAUGUGAACUUGAAAAAAUUUAAAGCUUGUUGUAGGACCAUAUCCUUUAGUUUAUCAUGGCAAAGAUGUUGGUGGCCCUGGGAAAUUUUUCUUUUUUAGGGGUUUGAAACAGCCCUUGAGAGGUGAAUUUUUAUUUGGCAGGUUACAAUUGCUCGUGGGUAUAAUUGGGAUGUUCACCAAAAGAGAAUCCGUCAAGCUGGUGCUCCUGCCAAAGACUCUUAAAGGAAUCUUUUGAGCUCGCAUCAUGGUAGCAGAACGUGUACUCCUGGAUGAGAGUACGACUUUGAUCUCCCCAUUUUCAAUUAGGUGAAUUAUGCACUGCUCUGCGAUAGCAAUGGUUAUGACCCACCACGAGUGAUUUUGGUUAGGUUUACUUAGAUUUACUGCAUUACGCAAAGAAUGUCAUGUAAACGAUUUUGAUCGAGAACCUUUUGGGCUUGAGUUUUCACUUUGUGUUCGGUGCGCUAGUGAGGGCCAGCGAGGGCAAGGCCCCACCAAAUCUGGUGAGCUCGGCCCUCGCCAAAUCCGGCAAGGCCUCGCCUAGCCAAAGCGAGGGUCAACCUCGCCAGCCACUGGCGAGGCGACCUCGCUUGCCGUCCACAAUGCAGCAGCAAUCAGAAGCCACGAGCUCGCUCGCACUCCGAAGGCGCAAUCGCAAGGCACGGAUUGAGGUGGAGAGAGAGAACGGUUCCGAGCGAGCGGCGAGGCAACCUCCUCAACUGGAGAAUCUACGAGUGACUGUCCCUUUCUCUCUCUCGUUUGAAGUGACCGAGCGGUGGUGACGUAGCGGACGACGAUAGGGCAUGUGGCGCAGUUGCAGUAAGCACGGAGUACGCUUGGCCAAUUGUGACCGAGACAUGGCGGUCGAUAGGGUUUCGGGGGAAGACAACGAUGACGACACGUCAGGCGGCAGCUUGUCACCUAUUCGUAGUGAGGAUACAGCAUGGCGGCGUUGUUGGUUGGCAAGAUGGCGUCAGUUGUUGCGAUGGCAAUAGAUAGCAGGGAUUUUUCUUCGGGACAGCGUCAGGGCUACACUGAAGCAGAUGCUAGCGGGCGACAGUGACGCGGGGGAGAUCCAAUGUAGCAAUGGCAUCGGGGGGUUCGGGCAGCGUCGAUGGCGCCUCCUUCCUGCUCGGAUCUAGCCCCCUUCUCUAGUUUCUCUUCCUCUCUCCAGUCCAUCUUCGCAGAUCUGGAACUCCCUUGCCCAGAACUCGCUUGACCGUCAUCUCGCAACUUCACACGUGGCACACUAUAGCCGAAUAUAGACAGAGAAGACAAAUUAAAUCAUCGAUACGUUAUGGUUAUACAUAUAUUGCUUAUGUAUUGACUGUAGGUGAUGAGGUGGAGACAGAUGAGCCUUCGUAUUACUUUGAGGCGAUGGCUAGUUUGAAGUCAUCAUAAUGGCUAGGGGUUAUGAGUGAAAAUAUGGAAUCACUCUAUCAAAAUUAGACAUGAGAGCUGGUCAAAGUACCCAAGAGCCAAAAGAUUGUCGAAAGUAAAUUGGUCUUCAAACGGAAAGAGGGCAUUCUCGUUGUUGAGGCAAUGAGGUAUAAGGCGAGACUUGUGGCAAAAGGGUAUACACAGCGUGAGGGCAUUGACUAUAAUGAGGUGUUCUCUCCUGUGGUAAGACAUACUUCUAUUCGUGUUUUACUUGCCUUAGUUGCUUCGCAGGAUCUCGAGUUAGAGCAACUAGAUGUGAAAACGGUUUCUUCACGGUGAGUUGGAGGAGUAGAUUUACAUGAGGCAACCAAAGAGAUUUGCUAUUCCGAGUAAAGAAGAUCAUAUUUACUUGUUAAAGAAAUCUUUGUAUUGGCUGAAAUAGUCUCCUAGGCAGUGGUAUAAACGUCUUGAUGCUUUCAUGGCUAGUGAAAACUAUUCAAAAAGUCAGUUGGAUAGCUGUGUUUACUAUAGGAGAUUGGAGAAUGGUUAUUUGAUUUAUCUACUCUUAUUUGUUGAUGAUAUGUUGAUAGCAGUUAAGAAUAUGUCUGAUAUUGAUGUGCUAAAGAGGCGGUUAAAUGUUGAUUUUUUUAGAUGAAAGAUUUUGGUGCUGUAAAGAAAAUUUUGGGUAUGGAGAUUUUGUGUGACAAGACUGCAUGAGUUUUAUGUCUAUUUCAAAAGAAAUAUAUUGAGAAGAUCAUAACACGUUUUAAUAUGCAAAUCAGCAAAAUCUAUAAGUAAACCUUUAGCGAAGCACUUUAAAAUUUCAAAUAAAUUAUCACCGCAGACUGAGGAUGAUGAGGAGCAUAUGUCUCGUGUUCCUUAUUCUAGUAAUGUUGGUAGUAUUAUGUAUGCUAUGAUGUGCACUAGGUCUGAUAUUUCACGAGCUGUGAGCAUGAUUAGCCGCUAUAUGAAGCGUUUUGGUAAAGCUCAUUGGGAAGCUGUGAAGUGGAUCUUCAAAUAUUUAAAGGAGACAACAGAUGUGGGUAUAGUAUACCGGAGGGACAACAAUGGCAAUGAGACCACUGGUUUUGUGUAUUCGGAUCACGCUGGUGACUUGGAUGAUCGCAGAUCUUUAACAGGGUACGUGUUUACGCUAGCCAAUGGUGCAGUUAGUUGGAAAGCAUCCUUACAGGAUCACAUUGCCUUGUCUUUGACUGAGGUAGAGUACAUGGCACUAACCUUUGUAGCGAAGGAGGCGAUAUGAUUACAAAGUUUGCUCUCAGACUUUGGGUUAGAAUAAAAAAGUGUGGAUAUACACUGCGAUAACCAAGGUGCGAUAUAUUUGACGUAUAAUCCAAUUUAUCAUGAGUGAAUGAAGCAUAUCAACAUCAAGUACCACUUCAUCGAAGAUGUCUUAGCUAAAGGUAAUGUUACUAUUAAAAAGAUUGUUACAGCAGAUAAACCAACAGACAUGAUGACUAAGUUUGUUCUUUUGGCAAAGUUCAAGCUUUGCUUGAGUUCUAUUGGCAUAUGUGGAGAGUGAGCGUCCGUUGGGGCGUUGGGAGAGCAGCAUGGAUGAUGAGUACUAUAACUUGGCUUUAAACAUCGAGCCAAGGUGGAGAAUUGUUAAAUUAUUACUCGAGUUUUAAUGUUUAUAAAAUGCAAUUUGCUAGAAAAGAGGAAAUAUAAAAUAAAAUAAAAGGUGAGGAAAGUUUCCUCUUUGCCGCGGAAUCCUUUACGAAAUAGAAAAGGAAAGCCGCGUGAAGCCUCUACACGCCAAGAAUUGAAAGUGGUGGGCCCAAGGUCAAAAGUUUGACCUUGGGCACACACACUCCAUGCCAAGGGAGGAAGUCUGCCACGUGAAGCCAAAAUAUGCAGGUGGCGCCCAAUUGGACACACACCUAUAAAAGGCAAAUAGUUUUGCAGGUCUUCUACCUCUACGUUUUGAUGCUGCCGAAGUCCUUUACGUAGGAACACGAACACGCUGCCGAAGCCAUACGUAAGAAGUUGCACGUCCGCUAAAGAGAAGCUAGAGAUUUUUCUUUUUGGCGUGUGACUUGAACGCAUGGUAAUUUUGUGUUAUGAGUUUAUACUCAAGUGAGUUGUUUAUUUAUAAACACUUUUGAUUUGGGAUUAAAUCUAGGUGUGGGAAACACUUGAACGUUUGAGCGAUUGUAAAUUAUGAUUCUCCGAUUAUAGUGGAUUAUUUGCUGCUGGCUCUCCCCGUGGACGUAAGUACCGAUACUCAAACCAAACUACGUAAAUUUCCGGUGUCUUUAUUUUUCUUGUUUAUUUCUCUGGCGAUUUCGUGUUGACGUAAAUUAUAAGAUCCUAUCGUUUCCGCAUAUUAUAUCCCAACAAAAGUAAUGGCAAGUUGUCCAAUACAUCCAACACUUAACCGUGCAGUAAAAAAAUAUAUUUCCAGAUGACAACCUUUUGCUCUUUGAAGACUUUCGUCAAUUAUUUCCUCAACUUAGCCUUCUAUUUGGCGCGAGUCUGAAUGCUUAAUUUUUUAUUUAUUUUUUUAACUUGUGAAGGAAGGCCGCAAGUAAUUUCCAGGCAAACGUAGUGGAAGUGAAGUCAUCUCACUCUGUUUCUUUAUCAAGUUGUUAUAAGAUGAAGAUAUGACAAGUGAUAGCUUGACUAUAUAGAAUUGUGCCUUACACAGGACAACUUGUGUUUAUGCGUGUGAUAAUUACAUAUGAGCUAUCUGUUUCCAUAUGAUGAAUUACAUGCUUCCAUAUACUCUCAAUCAUGUUGCACUUCAGCUAAAAUAAAGAUCCCCGAGACAACCUCUUCCUCUUCGAAGUCUUUGAUCAAUUAUUGCCUCAACCUCCUAUUUUGUGCGAGUCUAAAUGGUCUUUUUUACAGGCGAACGUAGCGGAAGUAAGCGAGCGAUCUCACUCUGUUGCUUUUUGUCAGGUUGUUACAAGGAUCGGACUCAAUUCAGAGAUCAAUAGCCAUUGUCCUCACGGAAUGAAGAGAAAGAGGGAGAGAAAAGAAAUGGAAAUGGCAGCUCCAACAAGCAGCAGCCGUGAUGACAGGUCAAGGAGGGGCUAUGAGGUGUUCCUCAACUUCAGAGGGCCUGACACCCGCUUAACCAUCAUUGAUUCUCUCUACAAUGACAUGAUCCGCACGGGGAUUUGCACUUUCAAAGACAAUGAAGAGCUUCGAUUUGGUGAAGAUAUUGAAGGCAGCCUCUUGCAAGCGAUCAAUGAAUCCAGAAUUUACAUCCCAAUUUUUUCCAAAAACUACGCUUCAAGUAAGUGGUGUCUCCAUGAGCUGGCACACAUAGUGGAGUUAUCGAAAGAUAAUGAUGAGAAAGUGAUUCUCCCUAUCUUCUAUGAUGUGGAUGUGGAUGAUGUCAAGCUUAAGACUAAUUUAUAUCAGAAAGCCCUCCAAAAGUACAAGAGUGACUCAGAGAAGGAUUUAGUAAAGAAGUGGAAGAAGGCUUUGAGAGCAGUUGCCAGAAUUAAAGGAAGGAAUCUAAAAGAUCAUGGGUAUUGUUUGCUUCUCCAUAACUUUAUUUUCUUAUUGACAUUUUCGAUUUUUUUUCCUCUAAAGAAUAAUUAGAUUCAGGUUGCUGCUGUCCAACCUUAUGUAAUGUAUGGUUGGAUUUGACGCAAUGGGGAGCUAGAAAUUUUGCUCAGAUGGCGAGGUUUCUUGCACAAAUUGAAUUUUCACUUUUAAUACUAAGUUUUGAUAACAAUUAGUGUUAAGGUAUAUCAACUUAAUUAAUUAAUCUAUAAUGCCAAAAAACCAAGAUAUCCAUGAAGAUCUAAGAUUCGAAAAAAUAAUAAGAUCAUAUAAGUGUGAAAAAAAUAAAUUAAGUUUCUUAACUUCAAUUGCAUUCCAUACAUAAAGUUAAGGGAUAUGUGCAUUGAAAGUCCUAAAACUUAUCACAAAAGUACAAUCGAAUCUUAAAACUUGCAAAAAAUGCAAUCAAGUUCUAAAACCCGUUGAAUUGGUUCAAUUGAAUCCUUCAGUUAAUUCCAUCCAAUUAGCUAACGGAAAAUACUAACAUGUCUUAUUUUAUUUUUUUAUUAGACACGUGCCCAUGACAUGGUGCUCACCAAGUGCCACAUUAGAAAAAAUUUAAAAAUUACAAGCAAAAUUAGAUUAAAAUAUAAAAAGCUAUAAAUUUUUAAUAAAUAAAAAAAAACUCACCCCACGGCUUGGCCAAGCCCUUGCUAGUGGCCACUGCCACAACCACUGGGAGGGGUUGGUGGAGGUCACCUAGGCCUUUGCCGGCCUUGGGCGAGGCCUUGGCGUGCCCAGACGAGGGUCCCCAAGCUUUGAGAAGGCCUAGGGCUAGGCUUAGCCACAACUUGAUUUUUAAAAUAAAAAAAAAUGUAGCUUUUUUUUUUAAUUUAAUUUUGUUUGUAUUCUUUAAAUUUUAUUCCUGAUGUGGCACUUGGUGGGUGCAACAUCAUCGCCACAUGUCUUAAGAAAAUAAUAAAAUAAGACAUGCCAGCAUUUUCAGUUAGCUUAAUUGAACGGAGAUAACGGAAUGACUCAAUUGAACUAAUUUGAUAAGUUUUAAGGCUUGAUUACGCUUUUUGCAAGUUUUAGGACUCGAUUCCCUUUUCACGAUAAGUUUUAGGACUUCUAGUAAACUUACUUGCUAAAGUUAAGGACUUUUGAUGCAAUUUUCCCAACCCUAUGCCUGCAAUGUUUUCUUGUCCUUUUGUUAUGCUAAUGAAAGCUGAAGAAGAAUCGGCCCAAAAUAAGAGUGCUCGAUAACGAGCUUCUUUAUGUGUUCCGAGCCAUUAAUGGCCGGUGUUAGUUAAUAGUUGUUAGUAUUUGAUGUGCGUUAUUUAUUUAUUUAUUUAAUUUUGGUCCAAGUGUUUGAUGACGUAAAAAUGUGCGGGAAUAAAAAGAAAUUAUAGCAUAGACUAAGUCUUUGCAAUAUCCAAAAAUCCACGAGGCCAAGAGGAAGAAACCGAUCCUUGUGGAUUCCUUUUCGGCCUUAGGGAAUUCAUAUGCCUUGCUACUGUUUUGCUCGAGGUAACCGGCUAAUUAUGGUCACACCCCUGAGUUACACAAAAAUAACAGAGCUUCUUCAUAAUGAUAGUUUUACGUGCCCAUAAGAGGAAGCUAUAGGUCAUGGUUUUCCUAUUUGGUCUGAAUAUACAGGACCGAACACUAAAAAGAUCUUUGCAUGCCAUUAUCCAAAAGGGCAAAAAGAAAAAAUGAUUUCUGCAUGUGUUAGACGUUCAAUCUUCUAGUACACAUCUUAUCGCAUCUUAAUUAGUUUGUGAAGAACUGACUUAGAUUUAGUUGUAUUAUCAAUCUUGGGCUUUUACUUUCAUCAUAGUGGGGCAGGGGUCAUUGGCGUCUCUAGUGGCCAAUUGUGCAUAGACAAAAUCUACAGCCUUAAACUGAACAUUCUUCUACGAGUGAUCUAAAGUUUGCCAAUAUUGGACCCGUUUCUGUCUAGUAAAAAGUGAAAAAAAAAAAAUUGGUUAUUGCCCUUGCUUUAACCAUGGACCUAUUCAUGGCCCCAGGUCUUAAUUAACCAAAAAUUCAAUUAAGGGACUUCUAGGUAGUUCUAGUUACGGAUAGAGAAAUCUAGGAACCUCUAGAAAAUGGAUAAGAAAUUUAAUCAUUUUAAUUACCUUGAGAUAUGUAACUACUCUCUACCCUAGUUUGUGAUAGUUUUUCUAUAAACCCUAGUCGUUAUUCUAUGCUUACUUUCAUCUUUCUUCAUUAAACCGUAUUGUUUCCGUCAUUCAUCAAACAUAGUAAAGGUGCGGUUAGUUCGGCAUUUGGAAAGUUCAUUGGGAAAAUGCAAAGCCUUUUAGCCUAAAGGACUUUGAAGGAAAUGCAAAGACUGUUUGGUAAAUUCUGCUUUGAAAAGCAACUUUGAGAUAAAUGUUAUUUGGUAGAAAACACAUUUGCAAAGCCCCUUUGGUGAUUAAUCUAAAAUUUUUAAUUUUUUUUGGUGAAAUAAAUAGUUUAAUUUUUUUUGGUGAAAUAAAUAGUUUUAUUUUAAUUUGUUUAAAAAUUAAAAAAUAAUGUUUGCGACUUUUUUAAUUUAUAUUUGACAAAAAAUGUUAAAGAUGUUGUGUAAACAAUUUUAUUAAAAUUAAAAUUCUUUUUUUUUUUGGCUAAAAAACAUCAAAUGGGAAAAAUUUAUGUACUCUCUUUCUCAAUUACAAUAAGAAUACUUUCAUUAUAAUAAAAAAAAAAUGAUGACAUAUGCUUUGAGAAAAGAAGCUCAUUAUCCUUAAAAAUUACAAAUAUCCUUAAUUACUUCCUAAAAGAUCACGUAAACAUGCCAUAUCAGAUGCUAUAUCAUCAUUUGAAGCAUUACCCUCUCAAUUGACAUCAUUAGGAUCCGUUGUAUAUAAAUUGGGAUCCAAAUCCACUCUAGCAAAAUGUGCAUCAUUCAAGGCAUUUCUUCAUUUCUUUUAAAUCAAAUAACUUUAAACAUGAUGAUAAACUUCUAGUGCCAUGAAAUGCGUGCAAAUUUUCCAUAUAUGUGGUUUUUGAAUCUGAGAUGGUUGCAUAUUUUGUGGCAGCCUAGAUGAACUUAAGAAUCUCACGAUCAAGGAGGUUUCUAAUUUGUUAUGGACAAGACGGACAGACAUGCCUGAUCAUUCGGUGGGAAUUAAGGAUCGGAUGGAUGAAAUUAUGGAGCAGUUAGAUCUAGUAGCAUUUGAUGUGAGAUUCAUCGCAAUUCAUGGAAUGGGUGGUAUUGGGAAGACAACAUUGGUCAAGGCUGUCUUUAGGCGAAUCUCCCCUCAAUUUUCGGGCAUUGGUGCUUUCUUAAAGAUGUCCGGACUCAGAUAUACUAAAGUUACAAAAAAAUUGGUGGUUGAUGUCCUCAAACUCAGUUGUAUAAACCUCUCCUUCAUUGAUGAAGGGGCUCACCUGAUCAAGACGAGGUUCCAUGGGAAGAAAGUCCUCAUUGUUCUUGAUGACAUUGACAACCGAGACCAAAUCAUGAGACUUGUUGGUAAGCCAAAUUGGUAUGGUGAGGGUAGUAGAAUCAUCAUAACAACAAGGAAUAUUGAAUUCCUAGUAAAGGAAGGUGAAGAUCACAAUGCCCCAAUCUCAGAUACUACACAUUUUUCAUUCUACACUAUGCCGGAGAUGAAUUGGGAUGAUGCUCUUAAACUUUUUUGUGAGCGUGCCUUGGGAUGUGUCAAGCCUCCAGAUGUUUACAUUGAUAUUUCAGAAAAGGUAAUCAAUGCACUUGGAAGACUUCCAUUGGCUCUCGAUGUCGUAGGUUCCACACUCCGUGGAAAAUGCCAAAGUACAUGGAAAAAUGUUCUAUCUAAGUUAAAGAAGGUGAUGAACGAGGAUGUCAAGAAGAAGUUGAUGAUAAGCUAUGAAGCAUUGGACCCUAAUCAGCAACAGAUAUAUCUUGAUAUUGCAUGUUUCUUCAUUAAUCAAGAGAAAACAACUGCAAUUAAAUAUUGGGACGCAGUUUUUGGGUAUCCCACCGAAAUCGAAGUCAAUAUCCUCACACGUAUGUCUCUAAUAAAGAUCAUAGACUACGAUGAAUUAUGGAUGCAUGACCAACUUAGAGACCUCGGGCGAGAUAUUGUCCACCGGGAAAGUUGCAACAUAUGUUUAACGGGUAGUAGACUCUGGUUACCCAAGGACGCCUUCCAUUUGGUGCAAAGAAAAAAGGUAAGUUCUAACUCUAAAAGUUUUCCUCUCUUUCCAUUAGUAUCAUUACCUUUUAAAUCUAAUGUCAACUCAAAUUGACACAUGCAUUCAUUGGUUGCUACUUUUAUCUUCUAGGGAACCAAGAACAUAGUGGCACUUAAUCUUGGUACACCUAAACCGGAUGCAACAUAUAGAUUUAAACACAAGGAAUUUGCAAGGAUGGUCAAUCUUAGAUUCCUUCAAUUGGACCAUGGAAACUUCCAAGGAGACUUUAAGGAUCAUUUUUCCGAGUUAAGAUGGCUCUCUUGGCACAAUUGCCCAUCCAAAUUCCUUGCUACCAACUUUGGGUUGGAGAACCUAGCAGUUCUUGAGCUUUCUGGGAAUAAUAUUACUAAAGAUUGGGGAGGAUGGCGUCAAAUCAUGGUAUGAUUUCAUGACAUACUUUUGCAUUACCUUUACUCUUUUUCUUUUCUAAGUUUCAGCUUAAUUGCUUUAUAGGUAGCAAAGCAGUUGAAAGUCCUAAAACUCCUGGAUUGUCCAUUACUUAGAAAGACACCAAAGUUCUCUGCAAUCUCUAGAUUAGAGAGAUUAAUCCUUAGAUGCAAGCAACUUGGAAAGAUCGACAAGUCCAUCGGCGUUUUACAACAUCUUGAUUACUUAGAAAUAUUUUCUCAAGAACUUUCAGUGUUGCCUCACUCGAUUGGUAAUCUAGUGAGUGUGAAGCAUAUAAUCUUGUCAUGUUGGGAAUUGCAAAAGCUCCCUAAUUCUAUUGGACAAUUGGAGUCACUACUUGAGUUGAAUGUCAGACAUACAAGUGUGAGAGAAUUACCUUAUUCCAUUAGGAACUUAGGAAGGUUGGAAAUUUUUAUGAUCCCAAAUGGCUAUUUAAAAAAGCUACCAGACUCAUUUGGGAGGCUUCAAUCAUUGGUCAAGUUGGAUUUGAGUCUUUCACGCAUCAGGAGCUUACCUGAUUGUAUUGGAAAUCUCAAAAGGUUGAAGGCACUAAAUCUAGAUCAUAGCCGCAUAAUUGAACUUCCGAAAACUAUAGGAACAUUGGAAAAAUUGGAAGAGUUGAGUGCCUCAUGUGAACACCUGGAGGGGGAAAUUCCAAGUGAAAUUGGGGCACUAUCCUCAUUGAAAUUUCUAGAUUUAUCAGGUGGCUGUUUUAGUGGAUUGCCGACAACUAUCAAUCGGCUUACAAAUCUCCAAAAACUUAAUUUAUGGGACUGUAGGUCAAUUCAACAAUUGCCAGAGCUUCCUAAGAGUCUAAGGUCAUUAAGCUUUUCAUUGGACUCAUUGACUACAAUCCCUGACUUCUCCAACCUAACCAAUUUAGUUCAUCUUGAUAUAAUUGGAACAAAAGUACAAGAACCCAACAUAGAGGGGCUUUUGAGAGCAAGUGCUCUAAGAAAGUUGACCUUGUGGGUUGGAAAAAUGACCUUGCCUCCUACUGAUUUGAGUUCCCUCAUUCAGUUACAAGAACUCUUUGUAAGUUAUGCCAACCCCCGAUCUCUUAUCGGGCUUCCAUCCAGCCUUCAACAGUUGACUUUAGUCGAUGUCCAAUCACCAAUAGAUUGGUCGCUCUUUUCCAACUUGGAGAAUUUGUCAAGAUUGAUUAUUGAGAGAUAUUCGUUAGGCGAGAUUCAUUUCGAUGGGUUUGGAAAGCUACAAAAUUUCAAUGAAUUGAUGAUAUUCGACUGUCCAUUGCUUAAGACUCUGCCCAUUCUGCCUUGUAUGAAAAAGAUCCAGCAUUUGUACCUACGCCAAUUCCCUCACCUAAUUGAGAUUCAGGGUUUGGGAGAAUUGAAAUCAUUGCGGACACUAUGGAUUUGGAACUGUAAUUCCAUCAAAAGCUUAAAUGAAUAUGAUCUAUCUACUUUACAUAAUCUAAAAAGAUUGGAUUUCAAUCGGUGUGAAUCACUGGAGAGCAUGUUGGGUGUGCCAAAAUCUUGCGAACUCACUGUAAGUUACUGCCCAAGGUUCAACAAAGAUGAAUGAGGUAUGUAUCAUUUGUUUACUAAGACUUUGCUUAAUUAAAAGAUUUAGGUGACUCACCUGCUUUGCUCAAUUCAUGAAAAUUAUAAAUAUGGAAACUUCUCAUAGGUUAUCAUGGUGAGAAAAGGAAUGAAUAUAGUUAGUCCCUUUGAUCCAUCAAAGUAUAUAAGUAAUGUCAAGUAUACUAGACAAAAUUAGUGUUUUUUUUGUCAGCAUACAAAAUUAGGUUUUUUUUUUUUUUUGGUCAGAAACAGGAAAUUAUAUUGGAGAGGUAAAACCAUUACAACCGGCAGCUAAAGCAUCCAUGCAAAUGAGAUCUAUCAAAUAAAACGAGGGAAAAAUGGCCCAACAUUGGACAGAGGAAGAACGAUCAUGGGCCUUUGUAGCCCAGUCAGCAGCAACAUUGGCCUCCCUUCUGCAGUGCCCUAGCGAGAGAUUAGGGAAACUCGAGAGCAAGGAGGCAGCUUCGACGAAGAGAGGCCGAUCCUCCCAUGGCGGCUUGCGGCGACGAUUCAGGAUCUCAACCACCAGGAAGUUGUCUAAUUCAAGGAGAAGCGAAGCAUUGGAGAAGCCAUGGCAUUGCAGAUGCUGAAGAGAUAAAGACAGCUUGGAUCUCGGCUUGAAAGGCAGAAGAUGCAGCAAAAUGUUUCGAAAAUCCAUCGGUAAGUCUUCCGUGAUGAUCCCUGCAUACACACGCCAUUGUGCCUUCUCUCGAGCCGAGUUGAUAAGACCCACCUACAUUAAACUUCAAGGUACCUCGAUCUAGGGGCUUCCAAAGGGUUCCCCUACUCAGUAACGAACACCCCUUAUUCAUCAGCGAUGAAGCCAUCAGAUGAGUGACAUUAGAAUCAGUCAGUGCAACCUCAGCCACCCGAGAUGGUCGAAGGCCUUCUUGUCGAAAAAUAAAACCAUUUCGAGCACGCCAAAUCUGCCAAAGAAUUGAGACCAAAGUCUCCAAACCAGGUAAGAAAGAUCUAGACUGAACUAGUUGGACUAUCCAUUCAUCUAUUCUAUGAAGCUGCAUAGGUGAAAUCUGAAUGUUGAAGCUGGGGUGCGCCCAGACCCUUUUAGUCCACGAACAUAAUAAAAACAGAUGUUCAAGAGUUUCAGGGAGAUUCUAAUCACAAAGUAGACAACACGGGUUGUUAAUAAUAUGUCGCUGAAAUAAAUUAGCCCUUGUAGCAAGAGCAUUCUAACAAAGCGACCAUAGGAAGGCUCGAAUUUUUGGGGGGGGGGGGGGGGAAUGCAUUUUCCAGAUUCUUUUCCAUAACCAACUUGGAUUCUAAUAAGAUGAGGAAGUGGUACUUAUUGUCUGGUGUGUUGCUGUUGUUGUGAAUGAAAGAUAAGCAGAUUUAAUAGUGAAAUAACCAUCUUUGGUAGCAGUCCAGAUAAUCUGAUCUCUGGUAGAAAGUGGUCGCAGAGGGAUAGUGGUGAUCUGGUCUAUAACCUGAUUGUCAAAGAAUUUGUGUAACAAGCUGGCAUUCCCAGUAUUGGUGGAUUGAUCAAUAAGAUCAGCUACCAAAAUAGGUUCUUCACGGAUUGAAGGGCCACUUAAGAUUCCAAUAGGGAGCCAAGGAUCACCAUGUAUUCUGAUUGAUUUACCAUCACCUACAGACCAACGUAUGUUGGGUAGGAUGGCAUCCCGACCAAGCAGAAGACUCUGCUAGCCCCAAGAUGGGCGAGAGCCUUUGUCAGCAUUUAGAAAAGACUUGGAAUGAAAAUACAAUCCUUUGAAAAAUUUGCUCCAAAGAGAUAAAGGCUGAUAAAGUAAACGCCAAGCCUGCUUAGCCAGCAUUGCUCUAUUAAAAUGUAGAAGAUCUCUAAAGCCUAAACCUCCAUCUGCUUUACUUUUUUUCAAAACAUCCCAACUCCACCAAUGUAUUCCUGAUUUAUUUCGAUCAUUCUGCCACCAAAAUCUGGCUACGCUUUUCUCGAUAGAUCUACAAAUAGACACAAGCAACUUGAAGGUAGACAUUGCAUAAUGAGGAAUAGCCUGGAUAACAGUUUUGAGUAGGAUCUCUUUCCCACCCUUUGAAAUCAGAUUAGCUUUCCAACUCUCCAAUUUAGAUUGAACUCGGCUCAAUAUCCAUGAAAACAUGUCUUUUUUCAAACGUCCCCAAUCAGAAGGUAUCCCUAAGUAUUUUCCACAUUUGUUCAGAAUAGGAACCCGGAGCUCCGAAGCCAAAUUCUGCUGCAAACUAACUGGGCAAUCUUUUCCAAAGUAGAUACCAAAUUUAUUACGAUUAAUUUCCUACCCUGUUGCUAGACAAUACUGCUCUAAUAUAUUCGAUAGAUUCUAGCAUUCAUUAACAGUACCAUCAAGAAAGAAUAUGGCAUCAUCCGCAAAAAAACAAAUGAGUUAAAGAAGGGCACCACCUGUUAAGUUCAAUACAUUUAAGAUGUUCCAAGUUGACAACUUUCUUAAUAAGUGUAGAAAGGAUAUUAGCCAACAUAAUAAACAGAUAAGGGGAGAGAGAAUCACCUUGUCUAAGACCUCUAGAAGGGUAGAAAUAGCUAAGAUGUUCUCCAUUCGGUUUAACACAGGAUGUUUGAGUCGAAAUACAUUGCAUAGUCCACUUCACCCAAGUAGGAUGAAAACCCAGUUUAAGGAGAUAAUCUUGGAGAAAAUCCCAUUCAACCCCGUCAUACGUUUUCCUCAUAUCCACUUUCAGAAAUGCUUGAUAAGUACAACUUCCUUUCUUGAUUCAAAGCUGGUGUAGAACUUCCUAGACAAGUAAAACAUUAUCCUGAAUUUGUCUACCCCCCACAAAAGCAGAUCGUUCCUCUGAGAUAAGGUCUGGUAAGAUGGGUUUUAGAUGAUUUGCAAUGAUUUUAGAUAUGACUUUAUAAGCAUAAUUGCACAGACUGAUAGAACGAUACUGAUCAAGGCUUUCUGGGUGAGGAAUCUUAGGAAUCAAAGCUAUUAAAGUUCUGUUUAAAGAAGAGGGCAUAACACCAGUAGUAAAGAACACAUUAACAACUUCAAAGAGAUCAUAUUUAAUAAUGUCCCAGUUCGUCUAAUAAAAUAAAUCAUUAAGACCAUCAGGGCCCGGAGCUUUGGCUGCUCCUAAUUGAAAGGUUGCCUGCUAUACCUCUUCCAGGGUAACAACAACAGUUAAACUAGUAUUCAUCUCCUGUGUUACCAAAGGAGUGCACUGAUCUAAGAUAGGAGCAUAAUUGCGACAUCCUAUUAAGGUAUAUAAGCGUGAGAAGAAAUCUGUCACCAUCUCCUUUAUUCUUGUAGGAUCCCGCACCCAAAAGUUAUCGUCAUUCUUAAGCAUAGUAAUACGAUUACGCUGACGACACUAAACAGUUGUUGCAUGAAAAAAACUAGCGUUCUUGUCUCCCCAUUUCAGCCAAUUAAGUCUGGAACGGAUAGCCCAAUAUUGUUCUUCACGACUCCACACCCUCUGCAGUUCUUCCUUCAAAGUUUUAACCUCAGUGUGAUCAUAAAAGACAUUCUGUUGAUUAGUAAGGUGCUGCAGUUGGAGCUGCAAAUCAUUAGCCCUAAGUCUUAUGAUUGAAAGAUGCAUUCAUGCUGCGAACAGAAUUCCAUGAAGUAUUAAUAAUAUCCCGACACUCCACAUCCUAAUUCCAAUAAGAUUCAUACUUAAAGUAGUGCUGUCUAGAACCAACCACUGGUGAAGUGUUAAGGAUAAGAGGACUAUGGUCAAAACCAAUAGCAGGUAAAGCAUAAACCUCAGCCUAAGGAAAAAGUAAUCUCCAAUCCAGUGAGCACAGGGCUCGAUCUAGACACUCCUUUAUUAACUCAUCCCCCUGAUGAUUGUUUAUCCACGUAAAUGCACAACCCUUAGCUUCAAUAGGCAUUAAAGAACAGUCAUUGAGAACAUAUUGAAAAGAAGCCAACCGAUUAAAAUCAACUGGUCUACCUUCGUGCUUUUUCCAGUGAAAAAGAAUCUCAUUGAAAUCACCGAUGUAGGCCCAAGGAAGAGUAUUUGCAAGGCUGAUGUUAAUGAGAUCCUGCCAAACCUCAAGUCUCAAACGAGCAACAGCAGGGGCAUGAAGACACGUGAGGCGCCAGGUAAUGCUUUCUACUUCAUCUAUACACAUCAUAUCGAAGUAAUCCAGAGUUGAACACACAAAAGAAAGAGAAACAGAAUCAUUCCAUAAAACUGCUAAACCCCUGCCAAACCAACUAGGUUGUAAACACACAGAAGCAAAAAAUGCAACCGAAUUUGCAACUGACUAAGGACAGCUUCGCAAUUUUUAGUUUCCAUAAAAAAUAAGAGAUCAGGUUUUUCCUUAACUACCAGGGCCUUUAGUGCUUGAACUGUCAGGGUAUUGCCCAAACCCUGAGAGUUCCAACUGAUCAUUUUCAUUUGUGACAAGGGGGCUAUUGAGGGCUAGCCACCCAUGCCCAACUUCCAUCUCUAGGAGCUUGCUCAAUGGGAGUGUCCAACAGUAAAGAUUCAUCCAGAUCAUCUAGUGUUGCACUGCGCAUAUCAUAUGCGUUAUACCUCUUAUGUUUCUUAACAGGGCCAACUUUUGUUAUAUGGCGAGAGCUCUUCAGCCUUUUGUCCUGAGUGACACUGCUUGUAUUAAACUGAACACCCUUCUGCUUUGCUGAUGCAGGAAUCAAAGCAAUGUGAGAAUCGCUGCCCCGAUGCGAGGACACCAGCACUAGAGGAGCUAGAGGAUGUGAUGCAGGAGGAAUAUCAAUCACUAAAGGCUGCAACAAGGGAGAGGCUUCAGAGGUAGGAAUUGGCGGCAAUAAAGGAAGGGGUUGAGCAACUGUAGGGGGAGUUUUAGGUACCACUUCUUCCACUAUGUCCUCCAUCUCUGUCGUUUCAUAAUAAAGUUUACAGUACGGACUAUGUUCCAUAAGCUUAGCGCGCAGCCAUUGUCCAUACGACAACUUGUCCUCUCCAGUUAAUACAUCAACAUCAACAGGUUUAUCGAUACAUGAGGUGGCAUAAUGCCUUAACUUCCCACAUAGAUAACGGUAAUGGGCAAGACGUUCAUACCUAAAAUCCAACCAAAUGGUCUUAUUAUUAAUGCUAAUCGAACGACCUGUCUGCAAAGGAUGCUGAAAGUCAAUUUCAACAUGCGCACGCCCUAAUCUCAUGGUAAACGUGUCUUGACCAUCGGCCCUUACUUCCAAAACUUUCCCAACUGUCAUAACUGCUUUUCUAAUAAGCUGUCAUGUGCACAAUUCCAGGGGAAGGCCAAACACUUGCACCCAAAAAGCGCAAGUUGAGAAAUCAUAGAAUGCAGCGGUGUGUUGGGAAUCCAAGCCUUAAAGACCACCAAUCGACUAGAAAAGACCCAAGGUCCCCCCACUAAAAUCCUCUAUUUAUUAGUAUAUAAUUUAAAUUUCGCCGCAUAGAGACCAUCCUCUCUCUAAGAGAUGUCCACCUGUUCUGUACGCCAAACCCUUUUCAUAGUACUCUGGGAAGCCUGGAAGUUUAUAGGAGAAUCAAUGAAUACCUUACCAAUCAGAGUUAAACGGCACUCAUUCAAUUUCGCAGGAGUAGGCACAUCGUUCUAGACCUCCAAAUCGUGAGGUGAGCACAAUCUUCCCAAGCGCUUACACAGGGUAGCCAAAUGAGGGGAAUUGGCUUCAUCUGCAUGUGCCAUAUCUACUCUGGAUAGAGUAAGGAGCAAAACCAAACAAUCGAAGAGAAAAUCAGCAACUAGGAAAGCUUGGGUAUGUGAGAAAGGCCAAAUAGAACAGUCGAUAGACCCAAAGGAGGAUUAGAAUCACACAUGCAAGCAACCUAAUGGGAGUCCGAAGAGAGAGAGAAGCAUAGUGAAGCAGAGGCGAAAGGUAGAGAAUGAGAGGCGAAGGAGCAGAGAGUUGGAGGCGGAAAGAUUACAAAGUACAGACAGGCAUCGAGAAUAACAGCUGAUAGAAAAGAGAAUCCAUCGAGGAAAACCAGAUGAAACAAGAAGAUUAGGGUUUAAGAUGCCAUUGAACCGAAGAAGGAAGCUCUGCAUGCGCAAGAGAAAAAGCUAUCCUUGACGGAUAGAGAGAAAAUUCAGUCCUCAAAUUUUUAGUUUUACAAAAUUAGGUUUGAGAAGAGGUAUUUUGAACAAUCAAUUAACUCAAUUUUCCUCUACAUCAAUUCUCUUUGAUUUUCAUCUCCAAAAGAGAGUAAAACUACAAUUUUCUUCUCUAUUUGUUUGCUAUUGGUUCAUUCUUGCUCAUCUUAAAUUACAAUCAGGGAAGAUGUUUCAAUUUGCCUGAUAAGUCAUUUACUUUCUUGAAUUCUUAUUUGUUAUGCGGAUGACAGGUCAUUUCUUUUUCCUUUGCUAUUUUAAGCUCGGUUUGGGAAUUUGAUGACUCGACUUUUUAAUGAAUUAAUUAAGGCAAAUGCAAUAACCUAGGUUUCUCCUUUUUUGUAUCACCUUUGUUUCUUGUAGUUUCGAAGAUUGAGCAAGGACACUGCCAGUUUUACUUCACUUUUGAUGUCAAUGGUUAUAAUUGCAAUUUCAAGCAUUCCCAUUAUUAAAGUUGAAAUUCUACUUCUCCAGCAAUAAUUAUUACCUUUGUUCAUCUAUUUAUGCAGAGUUCCGGAAUGCAAUCAACUAUUCAUGUUGAAUGUCUUCAAGUGUAAUGGUUGGGGAUCUAUAUGAGCAACAAUUAUUACCAGUCGAACUAUUUCUGGCUAAGAGUUGUGUCAUGCUUAGGCAUUCAAUGGCAUAAUGUACUAACCUUACCAUUUGUUUGCAGAAGUACUAUUUUCACUCAUAAUUAGCUUAAUCAAAGUACCUUAUAUAUAUAUUUUUUUUUCAUAGAUCUUGGUCAAUUAGUCAAGUUCAGGGGACCGAAAUUUGAAAGAUCCAUGACUUCCUCUCAUAUUCUUGCGUGUGCUUCUAUUGGCAUCCAAAAUUUGCUUGUUGGGCUUCGAAAAUAGAAGAGAGUAAAGUAUGCCCGACACACAAGAAUUCAUGGGUAGUGAGCCAAAACGCCAAUAGGCGACAACAAAGAUUUCGAACAAUUUGACAUUAGAACUUGCCGAGGCAAGCGAGACAACAAAGGAAGAAGUUACGAGAAUUGGUACCAGCGAAAAUAUCAACAAGGCAAAGUAGUUAUCGAUAAGGAGCCAAAGCUUCCGAAACAUCUUGAAUAUCGAAAUGAUAACCGCUAAAGAGCAUUUACCCAUAAAUUGCCACUAUAAAUGUCACGUCUCAAUCCUCAGACCACGUGCCCAUUCCUCUUGGUCGAUAUAAUUGCGACAUCCUAGGACGCAUGACUGACCCAUUCGUUUUAAUGCACAUGCGGAAACGAUUAAUAAAUCCCCAGACAACAACAAGAUGGGAUAGAAAAGUAGGGCCCAUUUUUCACAAAAUACAUUUUUAUAAAAAUACAGGUUUAUACACAGCAGCCUACAAAAAGGAAUUGAUUUUCAUCAAAAGAGAAUUGUCCUAUGACUAACUAGUCAGACAAGAUCACCGAUUCUUCGGGCUUCACCUUCUAAACUCUGGGCUUCGGGUCCUCCACCGCUAUCAACUAAGGACCUGAAAAUAUUAUCCCACAAUGGGGUGAGAUGACGUCUCAGCAGGUUCAACCUCCUAAAACCCGACUAGGAAGAAAAUAUGCCGAAAGGGCUACCUAAGCACAAUCAUGAGUCAGAGGACUUAUCUUGGCCUCUCUUCCUUGCAAGUCAAUAUAAUUCAAACAACCAUCCAAUCAUCAAUUCCCAAAUCACUUUACCCAACCAGAUCGAAUCAUCGAUUAAUCGACUCAAUUGAUUACAUGUCAUUGAGAUCAUUCCCCAAUCAUCUUAAUCAAUACUAUCUAUAAAGUCCGAUCAUAAUCUAGGACUACUUACUUUAAGCCAAUAAUAGAUAAUAUAUUAUACUGAGAUAAUAUAUUAUACAUAUGCUCGCCAGAAGCUGCCUCAAAUACUGAUAUAGUAUAUUAUAUAUUCUCGCUAGAAGUUGUCAGAUAUAUUUUCAUAGUAUACUGAUAAUAAUAAUGCUUACCAGAAGCUGCUAGAUAUACUCUCAUAGUGUGCUGAAAAUAAUCAUGCUCACCAAAAGCUGCUAGACAUACUCUCAUAGUAUGCUGAAAAUAAUCAUUUAAUCAAACCACAAUUUUUAUCCUUCCCGAUAAAAAUAUUCGUGUGUGGAUACACGGUCGGCUUUAGCCAAAAAUAUAAUAUUUUCAUCUUUGAAAAUUCCACUAAUUUUAAUGGUCCACAAACUCAUUUUUAGCGCUAUAAACCGACGCUCUGUGAUUUUCCAAUUAAUUACUGAAAUUAAAUAAUUUUAUGAAUAAAUUCCCAAAAGCACAAUUCACACACAAUCGGCACAAAAUAACAGUCGAAUAAAUAAACAAAUUACACCAUUACAGUUAGCAUAAAAUUUCGGUCACCGGUUAUUCCGAUCUAAUUUUCGAAAAAUAAUUAAUUAAUUAAUCAAUUACGGAAAAUAAUUAAUAAAUGCAAUAAAUAGUAACUUAGGCCCGUAAACCCUAAUUGGAAGCCGAGACGAGCUCGGAAAAUUUCCGAACCACUCUAGAUACCAGAGCUUGUCUAGGCCCUAAUUGCACUAAAUUAUCCACCUAAUAUGCAUUGAUAAUUAAAUAAUUUACUAAACAGUUCUAAUUAUGCACUAAAUCAAGCUUAAUCUAAACUAAUCAACCCUUAAACGUCAUUAACUUAAUAAGUGACGAUUAGUGAGUUAAACUUACCUAAUUAACGAUUCGCUUGGAUCAAAACGAUGGGGACGUGGCGAGGAACGAAAAGCUCCAAAGCGGUGACGUCAACGGGGCAUGGAUCGGGCCUGAAAAUUGGCCUGAGGAAGCCCAUGACACUACUGGACUUGGCUGAGCUUCAUGAGGGCUUACAGCUUCAAGCGGGCUGAUUUCGAUGGAAGAAAGGGCAGCAAGGAGUCAAUGCCGAAAGUUGCUACAGCUGACUUCGGUUGAACACUUGCUGGGGACGUCUCGACUGCUGGCGUGGACUGGAGAAGAAAACCAAAAUUGCAGAAGCCGGAGUGGUGAGGAGAUGGGCGGCUGGCCGAAGGAAAGAGAGGGGUCGAGGGGGGUGUGUCGGCCAAAAGAAAAGAGAGGAUAAAUAUGACCAAAAGUCAAAGAAAUGGGAAACGUGAGUGGAAAAGAUGGCAGAGGGCUGUCGGCGGUUUUGGGGGGGGGAAUUCGUGCGAGAGAGAGAGAGAGAGAGAGAAAGGAAAAAGGAAGGGGGCAUGCGGCCAAGGGGGAGAAGGAAAAAUAAAAAUUAAAUUAAAUUCCUAAAAUCAAAAUUUCUUGGUCCCACUUGCUCUUGUUUAAUUCAAUUUGGUCCCCAAAAAUCCCCAUGCUAAAGUACAUGAUCCUCACUUGCUUUCUUGUAUCAAAUUUCCUUCAAACUGAGAGUUCUAGUAUGAACACCUAGUGGGGGUGAAUAGGUGUUUAAAAUAAAUCUUGGCAAAUAUAUGCGGAAUAAAAUAAACUUCAAACAAAUGAGUUAGGGAAGAGAAUAAGAACACAGAAAUUAUAGUGGUUCGGCUUAAUCCAAGCCUACGUCCACUCUCCCACGCUAACAGCCUUCUUGGCUGGAUUCCACUAUGCAAUCAACAAGAGAUUACAAUUUCGAGUGCAAACACUUAGUAGUAGAUCACACUAUCUCACUAAGUCACUCCUUUGGUAUUUGUCUCACGAUCACAAACGUUUAAGCUCUCUAAAGACAAGUGCAUGAUCGAAGGUCGCUCAGACUUUGGAAUUAUAAAUUCUACGCUCUAUCUCUUACUUGUUCAUCGGUCCAUGAUCUCCUUAAAUACUCCUCCACUUCCAAACUACCCGUUGGACAGUAUCCCAGAGAAUCGUCUUCCAAUAUACCCAUUGGACAGCUCUGUAUCUUGAAGAUUUGGUAGCCGUUGAGUGACAAAGGUAGAAUCCCAAAUUGAUUCCGAUCGCCCAUACAAACGAAAUCUUGGUUUCCAUAAGUAAAGCCUCUUCGUAUAGAAAGUUCUUGUCUUUAAGAUCCAAUCGUCAAUCAAAUAGAUUGAGUCAAUCAAAUCAAUCUUGAUGUGGAAUCCAAACCAGAUCACUAGCCGUUAUAUGAUUGGGCUUGAAUUACGUUCUGUUGAAUCUGGAUGUAAAGUCUGAUAGCAAUAGACUUUAUAAUCUGAGUCUGAGUGCAAUAGACUUUACAAUCUGGGUCUGAACAUAUUCUACUUCUGAACAGUUUUAGCUUUAAGGUCUGAAUACCCAAUUCAGCUUCAGUAUAGAGUCUGUCUUCUGGUUCAGCUUCAACAUAGAGUCUAUCUUUUGGUUCUUCAUUCACGUUCAGUCUGGAAUUUGUCAGAAUGAGCAGACUUCUGAUGUAGAACAGACUUUGACACUAAAGUCUAGCAGUCUUCAAACUUUGACACAGAAGUCUGGAAAUCUUCAUAAUAUACUUUGGACAUAUGUUACGUUCAGUCUUCUGGCUAUCUUCUGACUUUGAUAAUAUCCUUUACAUGUUCUAUUAUCUGCAUGGUCUAUUACUUAACCAUUAAACAUGUUAGUAGCCUUUGAUUUAUUUUGUCAUCUUCAAAACAUCAUAAAAGGCCCGAAUUAUUCAAUUGAAAAUGAGAUUCAAAAUCCAAGAUGUCACAAUAAAUAGCCGAAGAGGUAUCAAUAGAAAGGACCUUUUCCCAAAUCAACAAUCGAUCAUCUACUUUCAAUUGCUUUGUUUCUUUUAUUGAACUUUUAAUUUGAAUUGUAGUUUUACUUUUCUCCUUUUUUUCCUGCAUUUAUGUUUGCUUGUAAUUUAGAUCAGUUGCUUCCUUUCCGGCAUGACACAGAACCCAUAUUAAAUAAUAAAGUCGAAACUUUGCCCCUUUGGUGAAAGAUUUUGUCGAGGGAAGUUUCCUUGACAAACAUCUUUUUGGCAUGCCUAGUGGGACCAUUGUGUUCCGUUCAUAGGAAGGGUUAAUGGCAAAAACAAGAAAUUAGGAGAGUCACUCCUCGACCAUCAAGGGUAAUUUGUCACCGCAGCACGUUGGAGAGAGAACCACCUGUUCCAAGAUUUCUGGUUAAAAUGUAGACUAUAUUAAUGGUGUCAACAUGGGCAAUCAUUCUAGAGACAUUUCAUGAGAAUUAUCUGAAGAUCAGAGAAGAGAGUUGGCCCUUAAUUCAACGGUAAUGGUCACCAUGAGAAGGAUGUUCGAAGAGCAACAAAAUGAUAUAGCCAAUCAUAUAGCAAAAUGUCUUUGGUGAUGGAGACAUAUUUAUAAUAUAUGUAAGAUAAUUAGGUCGUGGUACUUUCAAUCGUGAUUUAAAUUGUUUUUCCCUGGACAUUUCUAUUUUCUUCUUCAUUCAUUGUCUUGUUUACCAAACUUCACGAUGAUCAUUAUUACUAUUUUAUCUUCGUCGAAAUUUUAGUGGACACAAAUUUCUCAGUAAAGUUUGAUAGACAACCUAUCCGAAGUAUGGGUAAAUGCAUUAGUUAUACAGAACAAAAAAUCGAAAGUGAAUUACCCAAACAAAGCACACAAUUAAGAUAGACCAAAAGACGCCACCGUUGCAUGCACAAUAGACGACAGAGAGGAUGUCUCUUCUAUAAAUAUAUUUGGAGAUUCAAAAUCACCAAUUGUCUAGCACGAUGUAGGACGUGAUGAAAUCGCUUAAAAGAUGUGCAUUGAGGAAAAUGUUAAAGCUAGAAACAUGCGAGUCUCUUGAAGACAAAGCCAGCGAUCGAACUGUAGUAACAGGAGAUCCGGUCCGGGACUUGAAGGCCAAGCCGGCGAGUAUGCCGUUCGUGGAUUGGUGGGUCAUAUCUUGAAGUAUGGUUGUGAGGAUUCAUUCUUCUUAUGUUUCUCAAUUUCACUCUUCAAGUUUCACAUAUUAUCGGUGAACACAAAAUAUAUAGCAAAUAAAAAUAUUAUAUUUAGCCGGGUGAGUAUUGGAGUGUCUAAAUUUUAAAUAUCUUUUUUUUUUCCUUAUUGAAUUUUGAGAUGUCAUUAAUGAUGAAUUAGUUCUCAGAGAUUAACCACUUUUGGUAUAGGUUUUUUUUUUGGCUCUGUAGGCUUAAGAGGAAAAAAUAAAGGGAAGAAAUAAGAUGAUUAAUUACACGGAAAUAACUAUCACAUCUUGCUAGGUGAGUAUAAGGGUGUCUACAUAUCAAAUCAUCUUUUUGUAUCUAUAGAAUUUUGACAAGUUGUCGAUGAUAGAUGAGAUGAUUAAGUAAUUUACCUAGUUUGGCAGUUGGAAGGGUUAAAACCCCUUCUUGAAACUAGCAUACUAGAUGUGUAAGCUCUUUAAUGACUCUUCUUCAAUGAGUGGUCUCAUUGCAUUGAGCUCAACUUGAUCACUGUCUUACUCUUGAAGUUUCGCCUUAGUGUCCCAGACACCCCUAUCCAGGCUUGGGCAUGAUAUUUUUUGCUUUGGUCACAACUCACCCACGCUUACUUUAAGUGCUACAGGUCGUAUUUAGGCAAAAUGGGAUUAGAGACAUACAUAAAAGCCAACAUUCCCACUCUUAAAGUCAUGCAAGAUUUACCUACAAGCACAAUAGCCCAUAUGGAGGUAAGUGGGAACAAUUAAAUAUCGGAAACCUAACAUCGCCACCUUGGCCUAAUACACCACUAUAGGUAGCCUCAUUGGAGGGUAAACAUGAUAUUAUUUGCUCUGGUCGUUGCUAUUGAUAUUCAAAUUUUUAUCAACGUUUUAGGUAUCCAUUUAUAUUACAAAAAUCUGAAAAUUUAUAAAAAAUAAUAAUAACAAAAAAAUAAAAAAGAUAUUAAAAAAAGCGAAAUGAAGUCGUGUGGGCCGGCCCCUUAGCAAAGUUUUCAGCCUUCUAAGCCCCCUCCCCUCCCUCCAUUAGUCCAACCCAUUUCUUUUAAUUCUUUGGGCCCAUCUCUUCAUUUCCUUUUUAGCCCAUCUCCUUUUGUCUUUCCUUGGCCCAUCAUAUAACCAAACACAAAGGAAGCCCAGCCCCAUCCUCCCUCUUCCCUCACGCGCGCUUCCCCCUCAACUUCCCCAGCGAGCACAGCGUCUGUGACGCAAGGAAGAAAGACAGGCCAAGCGUGCGUGCGUCUGUGAGCGAAGGAGGCGCGACAAGCCGUGACGAGAGCUGAGCCAGCACCUUCUAGAGCCGUGCUAGCUGGCGUGCGAGAGAAAUAACACAAAGAUUCGAUCGGUGAGGCGAGGGGAGCGUGCUGAUCCGAGAGAAAAUGAUGCUCGCCUCAAGAGGAUCCUGUUCGCAUAACAGGAGGAGAAGAGACGCCGCCGGAUUUCGGAGAGGGCGGCCGUCGAAGAGGCAAGUUGCAGAGAGAUAAGCUGAAGAGAGAUUCACGGGGGAGAAAGAGAGUCAGCCGAGAGCGAGAAGGAGAGGAUGGCUGGACGCUCGCUUGAAAAAGGAUUUGGCCAUCGAAGAGCUCGGCCGAAGGGAACCAAGGAGGAUAGGAAUCGGCACUACCCCUGCCAGGUCGUUUCUAUUCCGAUCGACCGUUAGAGUCGAUUACGUGUUCAGAAUCUCCUCAUCGCUCUGCUCCAUUGUUCGGGAUCUGUGUCCGUCCACCUUCGAACCGAGAUAUAGGAGAGCGAAGCUGUCUGAAGCAGGUUCGCGAGUUUCGUUUCAGUCGAAGGGAGAAUCCUCGGGAUUUUAUUGAUCUCGAUUAGUUGAAAUUAAAAAAUUAGUCUUGCCGAGAGUCCUUCAUGACCUGUUUGAUGUUUUGUGUAGAUGUCUUCAACGUUGAUUUGUUCCUGUUACUGGUCAAUCCGUGAGCAUUUUAGUAUGAGUCUCGGAAAAGUUAUUCCAUAAAAUUGGAAGAGAGUAGGAGUAGGAAUGGAAUAGCUAAUUUGUAGUUUGGUUUGUAUAAUGGAUUCAAAAAAUUCUCUGGUUUGUUUUGCCAUGAUAUUAGGGAGAAUAUGUUUGGAAUAGUGUAUACCCAAAAUACCCUUUGAUGAUAUAUAUCAAACUCUAAUUUCUUUUAUUAUCAUAUUUACAUAGGACAUAAACGAAAGCCUACUAUAAUUUCUAAAUAAUUGCAAUAUUUGAAUUUCUAAUGAAAGUAACCCUUAUUUUAUUAAUUGAUAUAAUUAAACCAUAAUAUAAUUACUAAAAAAAUAAAUGAACUAAUUAUUAAACAAUAGUAUAAUUACUAAAUAGAUAACUAUUAUUUUUAUAACUACCUUUCGAGUCAAGCCAAUACAAUAAGGCCAAGCUCAAGCUCAACUCCUAUUAGAUAUCCGAUGCUCGGAGUUCUGCUUGAGCUUUGCAACUCAAAUUUUUAAAGAAAAAAGUACCAAAAUAUUAUUAAUAAUAAACAAAGUAAUUGCAGAAAAAUAAUAAAACACGGAUCGACUGUCCAAUGAUAUAUUUCUGAAGCACCAAAAGUCCUCAAGGCUGGGGCCAACCAGUCCAUCAAAUGUUUGUCGGGCCACAGUCGGCCAAUUAGGCCCAUGGGCUUGAUUGGACCUACGCUCACAAUGGGGUUGGGCAACACGGCCAACAAGGCCCUAAAGUAAUUAUAACUUGAGUGUUUAAUCUAGCGUUAAUCAACAUAAAAUGCUACAAUGUACAUUUUCUCCAUCAAAGUAAAUUAGUGUGACAUGUAUCCAUAUCGUACUAAUAAAAAAGUCUAAGUUUAAGUUGUUUCUUUCCUUUCAUAUUCGGAAAUUGCUUUCCUUAAUUAUUAAAAGUCAAUAUCUAAGGGCCACAGUUCUAGAAUUUCAAACUUUACGUUCAUUAUUCAUUCCCUUUGAAUUAGACCACGCUUUUAUUUGACUUUCCGUGAUGGUGGCCAAAGAUAUCUCCUCGUCUUCUAAUUUAAUGUAGUUGGAGCACGCUCAUGACAACAACAUCACACCACAUUCCUGGAAAGUUAAAAUUCAAUGUAACAAUAAUGUCACUCGAAAUCGUCUAAUUAACCCCGUGUUCUAAGGAUGUUCGGAUCUUGAUUUGGCUAAUUAAUUGCAAUCUUAAGUAAUUUAAUAAGGAUUCCACCUAAUUUUGAUCCGAGUAAUGCGGGGAAUUGACCAUAAAUGAUGGGACAUUUGAACAAACAUAUGAAUAUGAUCCAAUCCAGAAAAAUAUCAGCUUUUUCCCGACGUCCAUCCCUAUCAGGAAAAUUUACUUAUGGUGGACAUAGAAAUGGUUCCUCGUAUUUUAUUUACGAAUUAAAGUUUUUGGAUGGUGGAUAUAAAGUAAGUAAUUUAGGCUAGAUUUCGUGUUGUGUACAGGCAAGAUAUUGACUUUCUACAGAAUACCCACCGCACAUUUGGAUGGAAUAUAGAUAUUAGAGCAUGCUUAUAUUUGACUUUGCGUGAUGGUGGCCAAAUAUAUCCUCAUCAAUCUAAUUUAAUAUAAUUGGAGCGCGUUCAUGACAACAUUACACUACAUUACUGGGAAAAUUAAAAUUCACUGUAAAACAAUAAUGUCACUUGAAAAUGUCAAAUUGACCCCAUGCUAUAAGGAUAUUCGGAUCUUAAUUUGGCUAGCAACUUGCAAUCUUAAGGAAUUUAAUAACGAUUCCACCUGAUUUUGAUCCGUGUAAUGCGGUGAAUUGAUGAUAGAUGAUGGGACAUUGGAACAAAAUAUGAAUAUGAUCCGAUCAACAAAAAGAUCAACUCCUUCCCAUUCCAUUGCAUUUGCCUUCUUUACAAGACUGUUGAUUUCUUUCUCAAUAUCAGCAAACUUCAUCUCAUCAGCAUUUCGAAUUUACUGGAACAACCAGACCCCACGUGAAAGAAAACGAAUUAAUUUAAACCACAAUCUCAUUAGAGUCUACGUACCUGAUAAUCAAAAGACAAAUCCCUAUACCUGCCUUGCUUAGAGAAAAAUAUCAUGGCAAGGAUCGCAAAUUUCUAUAGCUAUUCAGUCAUUUUCUGGAGACAAAGGAUGGAAAUAGUUUCUUACCUUUACCAAAAAAAAAAAAGAGAGAGAUGGAAAUAGCAUAAUCUCGCCCCUCGAUCAUCAAAUAUCUCGAUCAGUAGUGUUUUAGGGGGGAAAAGGGUUGUUGAUGCUAGAAAAUCGCGACAUUAGCUUAUCACUUCUCACAUUUAAUGUCCUUGGAAUGAUGGAGGCAUCCAAAAUCAAAGAAUGAGAAUCGUCGCUCUAAAUCCUUGGUCUCCAUCUUGGUGAUUUUCUACAGCUUAGGAAGACCGCUGGUGGAAAUCAUAAUAUGUUUAAGAAACAUUGAUGAGAGUGUAAGACAAGUUUAAACCAGGAGCUUGUGCUCCAUAUUAGUCGUUGCUAAGCAAAUGAAAGGAAACCUCUUCGUCAUGGUGAGAGCAAGGGUGAAUCACUACUUGUCAAAGCAUGAAGAUCUACGUUCUUUAGCCCAUAUAGAGAAGAAAGAAUAAAUAAAAGGGAAAAAUCCUCAAAAAUCCCAAACUUCACCCAUGUGAUAUAUUUAUCCAAUUCUUUUUUUUUUUUGGUGACUCCAAAAAUCUUAAACUUAUAUUUCUAUGACAUAUUUACCUCAAACCUUUUUUUUUGUGAUACCAAAAUCCCCAAACUUUUUUUUUGUGACACCAAAUUUUAAGGAUAAAUGUGGCAUAUGAAUACAAAAUUAUGAUUUUUUAUAUCAUAAGAAGAAGUUUGGGAUAGAUAUGUCCCACUAUAUAAAUUUGGGGAUAAAUAUGUUACAUAAAUACAAAUUUGGGAUUCUUAUUGUAAAAAAAAAAGUUUGGUGUUAAUAUGUCACAGUGAACAUAAUUUAAGAUUUUUGGUGAUUUUUUUUUUCUUUUAAUAAAACAAGCACUUAAUAGUGGGCAACAUACGCAAUGUGAUUGCAAGCAUGGGAUAGAGACUCGAUGCUGGAUGUUUUUUGGUCAUACGGAUCAACCGUCCAAAAUCGACUUAUUAUUCUAAAGGGUUUUCCUUCAUCUUGGACGUCACAUAGGAAUUUUUACACUAGGAAGAAGCUGAGAUGGUCUAAAGGUUUAAUUCAACCAUUGAGGUUUAAUUAAACCAUCCUUUGAAGAUAUGAUACUGGAAAAAAAAAAUCCGCAUAUCAUAAAAUGAAAAGUACCCGGACUCUAUAAAAAAAACACCCGGACUCUCAAAAAACCAGUACUCUUCCCUCAGUCUCUCGCCCUCGCCAAUCGGUCACCCCAAGCCUCCGCCACCUCGCCGCUACAUCACAGUCGACAUCGUAUCCCCUUCCCGUGCCGUCACCCCUCGCCGUCAACGUCGUAUCCCUUCUCGUGCCAUCACCUGUCGCCGUCGAGCCCCCCGGCCAUCGCCUGCGCCGAUCGUUUCGCAUCCCGUCUCGGCCAAGCCACCAUCUCUGUCCCCGACUCUCUCUCCUCGAGGCAGCCUCGCUCGCGCGGCCGUGGGCAACACCAGAUUUGAAGGUGAAAAGUGAUGCACAGCUCUCUCUCUCUCUCUCUCUCUCUCUCUCUCUCUCUCUCUCUGUCUCUCUCUCUCUCUCUCUCCUUCCGUGUUUCCUCUUCGAAGCAAUUAUUUUGUCGAUCUGAGAAGGAAGGCUGCAGGUAACUUCCAGGCGAACGCAGCGAAAGUGAGAGAUCUCUCUCCGUUGCGUCAUCAAGUUGCUACGUGGAUCAGACUCGGACUUCUCAAGUCACCGGGCAGACCCAAUUCGGAGAUCCAUUUCUGCAUCGUCCUCACAGAAUGAAGAGAAAGAGGGAGGAAAAAGAGACGGCAACAGCAGCUUCAACAAGCAGUAGCCGUGAUGAUGGAUCGGGGAGUGGCUACGAGGUGUUCCUGAAUUUCAGAGGUCCCGACACCCGUUUAACCAUGGCUGAUUGUCUCUACAAUGGCCUGAUUGGUGCAGGGAUCCGUGCUUUCAAAGACAAUGAAGAGCUCCGAUUUGGCGAAGAGAUCGAAGGUGGCCUCUUACAAGCGAUCAAUGACUCUAGAAUUUACAUCCCGAUAUUCUCCAAGGACUACGCUUCAAGUAAGUGGUGCCUUCGUGAAGUGGCACGCAUAGUGGAGCUAGUGAGAGCUAACAAUGAGAAAGUGAUCCUCCCUAUAUUUUACGACGUGGAUGUGGAUGAUGUCAAGCUUAAGACUAAGUUAUAUCGGAAAGCCCUUCGGAAACACAAGAGCAACUACGGGAAGGAUUUAGUAAAGAAGUGGAAGAAGGCGUUAAGAGAGGUUGCUAGUCAUAGAGGAAGGAAGCUAAAAGAUCACGGGUAUUAUUUGCUUCUCCAUUGACUUUAUUUUCUUUGUUGAAAUUUUCGAUUUCUCGUUCCUUUAAAGAAUAGUUCGUCGAUUGCUACUGUCCAACCUUGUGCAACAUAUGUUUCCAUUUGACGCAAUGAGGGAGCUAGAAAUUUUGCUCAGAGGGCGAGGCUUCUUGCACAAAUUGACUUUUCACUUUUUUAAUAUCAAAUUUUUAUAACAAUUAAAGUUAAGGCAUAGAAACUUAAUUAAUUAAUAUAUAAUGCAAAAAAAAACCAAGAUAUCCGUGAAGAUCUAAGAUGUGAUAAAAUAGUAAGACCAUAUAUUUGUGAAAAAUAAAAAAUCUAAGUUUCUUAACUUCAAUUGCAUUGCGUAUAUGAAUUUAAGGACUUUUGGUGUAAAUUCCUUGACCUAUGCCUAUAAUGUUUUCCUGAAAAAUUAGAUUGAGUUUGAUGUUAGAUCUUUUUGUUUUUGUUACAUUAAGUAAGCAUAGAGAAAUUAUAGCAUAGACUUAGUCUAUCGCAGUCCAUACGAUAUCCAAAAACUUACGGCCAAGAGGAAAAAACUGAUCCUUGUGGUUUUGGUUUCAGCCCUAGGGAAUUCAUAUGCUUUGCUGUUGUUUUCCUUGAAAUAACCGGCUAAUUACGGUCGCACCACCGAGUCACACAAAAAUAAUGGAGAUUUUUAUGAUGAUAGUUUCAUAACCCCAUAAGAGGAUACUAUAGGUCAUGGUUUUCUUAUUUGGUUUGAGUAUACAAGACCGAACAUUGCAAAGAUCUUUGUAUGCCAUUAUCCAAAAGAACCCAAAAAAAAAGGAUCUCUGUAAGUGUUAGAGGUUCAAUCUUCCUGUAUUUCUUAUUAGAGUAAUUCUUGAUUAAUUUGCAAAGGAUUCACUUAGGUUCAGGUGUGUUAUCAAUCUUGGGCUUUUGUUUUCAUUGUGGUGGGGCAGGUAUCAUAGGCUCCUCUAGUGGCCAGUUGUACAUAGACAAGAUCUGCAACCUUAAACUGAAUAUUCUUCUAUAGUGAUUUAUAGUAGAAUGCUAAAACAUAAAAAUUGGUUCUUGCUGUUGCUUUAAACAUGGACCUAUUCAUGGCCUCAUGUCUUGAUUAACCAAAAAUUCACCUAAGGGACUUCCAAGUAGUUGUAGUUAUGGUUGGAGAAAUCUAAAAGCCUCUAGAAAAUGGAUAAGUACUUAAACAAUUGUAAGUUACCUUGAGAUAUGGAGCUACCCUCUAUCCUAGUUUGCAAUAGUUUUUCUAUAAACCCUAGCCGUUACUCUCUGCUUACUUACAUCCUUCUUCAUUAAACCUUACCGAUUCUAUCUUUCAUUAAACGCAUUAAUAGUUUCAAUCCUCAAGAACGGGAAGGGCUAUCCUAUUACUGCCAUGCCCAACAGGCUAUCCUAUUACUGCCCAUGCCCAACUUAUGUCGUGCAACAUUCUCAAGGAAGCAAUUGUUUUGAGAAAAAUUUUCCUAAAAAAAAUUGCCUCAUCCAAGGUAGGCCACUGUAGGGCGCAGAUUUCCCAUGUUCCAUGCCCAUCCAUAAUUUUAAAGUUAUCGGUUUUUAUAUGAAAUUAUCAACUUUAAUUCGUGUCUAAACAACUUCUUUUUCCAUUGUUUUACAAACAAGUUUUAGCUUACCGGCUUUUAUGUGAAUCAUUUACUAAGUUUAUUAGAUUGUUUGCCAAUUUACAACUUCUGUAAAACUCACCAUAUUGUUUACUCCACAUUUCAAAAUUACCAAAUUUUGUACCGAAUUACUAACUCUAAUAUGAUUGUCAUAUUAACUAAUCUCUAAUUAAGUUAAUAACUAGUUUAAUUCUACCCAUUCUUAUUUGAGCUACUUAUCAGUAGUUAUUAUUUGUUUCAAAACUACCAACCUUCAUAAAACUUUCGUUAAUAACGCACAACCUUUUAUUUGCACUGGUUAUGAACAUCAUUAGGGAACGAAAUCUGUUUUUGAAUUACCAAUCCUAAGUUGAGUUACUCACCAGUUUAUUCUGAUUAAAGUACCAACUAGUUUGCCCUUACCAAAAUUAUUCGGAGAAAUGUUUGUUGGUAACUCGAAUCAAGGUUGAUAUAUAUUCCAGAAAAUCUUCCUCAUUUUCGGUUAGUAUUCUACUCUAUCGGUACAUUAAGAAAAAUGCUUUUGAGAUAGUAUUCUUGUUUCUGAUUUUCAAGGCAACUGCGAGUGAGAUUUUUUCUUUUCCGUUAACCUUCAAACUCAUCCCUAUUGCUUGAAGAGAUUAACAAGACCGAGUUUACCGAGGACUUGAUAUUUAGCCAAACUUCUAGAGGUCUCGUUAUUAGCUGUGUGUGACAAGAAGAAACCAACCGGUGUGAAAAAGUAUAAAAUGAAGUGGAGGCAUCACUAUCAAAUUAGUCCUAAAUUUAUUAUGCAUGACAUUUGAGUACUAGACAUUUUAAUUUUGUCAAUGUGGUCAUAGGUAUUUGCAUGAAAUUUUAAUGUUAUCUUUCUAUCCAAUUGCCAUGAGAAAUUACUAACAUGACGUCCAUUCAUUGCCGUUGUCCUAUGUGGCAAGCUGACAUGGACAAUUUUACUUGAAAUGACAUCUUGUAGAUUGCCACUUUAGCAAUUUUCGAUGGACAUUGACUGGAAGGACUACAUUGAAAUUUUGUAUAAAGGUUUAAGACAAAAUUAUUGAAAUUGAAAAGUUUAUGACUGAAUUAACAUUUGUACAAUAAAUUUAAGACUCAUUUCAUAAUUUUCCCAUAAAAUGGAACAAAGGUCCACAACCAAUUCCAACACAAUGACUCACGGCACUAGUUAGUCACAAUUUGCCAAAGUAACUUCUAAUUGAAGCCCAAUUAGACCCUUGUCACGAAAUAACCUUUUCACAUCAUUGACUAAACCAAAGAACCUUGAUAGCAUUAGCUUCAACCACGAAUAAAGUCCCUCCUCCUCCUCCUCUCUUGAAAACAUCUAUUUUUUUUUUCAAAUGGCUCACAGCUUGAGAGAUCGCUUUUUUGUGUCUUCUGUUUAAGCAAUUAUUUUGAACUUGAUGAUAACCUUCUAGUGCCACGUAAUGUGUGCACAAUUUCCAUAUAUAUGGUUUUUCAAUCUGAGAUGAUUGCAUGUUAUGCAUGUGGCAGCCUAUAUGAACUAAUGAAUCUCACAGUCAAAGAGGUUUCUAGUUUGUUAUGGACAAGAAGGACAGGUGUGCCUGAUCAUUUGGUGGGAAUUAAAGAUCGAGCGGAAGAAAUCUUGAAGCGGUUAGAUCUAGAAGCUUUUGAUGUACGGUUUAUCGUGAUUUAUGGUAUGGGUGGCAUUGGAAAAACGACACUAGCUGAGGCUGUCUUCAGACAAAUCUCCCCUCAGUUUCAGAGACAUUGUGUCUUUCUUAAGGAUGUUUGGACUCAUGAUAUAAUAAACUUACAAAAGAAAUUGUUGUCCGACAUUUUCCAUUUGAGUUGCACAAACUUAUCCUUCAUUGAUGAAGGCGCUGACAUGAUCAAGACGAGAUUUCAUGACAAGAAAGUUCUCAUUGUUCUUGAUGACAUAGACAAUCGAGACCAAAUCAUGAGACUUGCCGGUGAGCCUAACUGGUUUGGUGGGGGUAGUAGAAUCAUCAUAACAACAAGAAAUAUUGAAUUCCUGGUAAAGGAAGGUGAGGAUGACAAUCUCCCAAUCUCUAAUAGCAGACAAUUUUCAUUCUAUGAUAUGCCGGAGAUGAAUUCACAUGAUGCUCUUCAACUUUUCUGUGAGCGUGCCCUGGGACGUGCCAAGCCUCCGCCUAGUUACAUGGAUAUCACAAAAAAGCUAGUCAAUGCAUUAGGAGGACUUCCAUUGGCUCUCAAUGUCAUAGGUUCCACACUCCAGGGAAAAUGCCAAAGAACAUGGGAAGACACCUUAUGUAAGUUAAAGAAGGUGAUGAAUGCGCAUGUCAAGAAGAAGUUGAUGAUAAGCUACGAAGCAUUGGAAAUUAAUCAACGGCAAAUUUUUCUUGAUAUCGCAUGUUUCUGCUUCAACAAAGAGAAAACAACCGCAGUUAAAUAUUGGGACGCAAUUUUUGGGUAUCCGACUGAAAUCGAGGUUAAUAUCCUCAAACAUAUGUCUCUAAUAAAAAUAUCCUAUGAUAAUAAACUAUGGAUGCACGACCAACUUAGAGACCUUGGAAGGAGUAUCGUCCAUCCAGAAAGUGGCGAAAUCCAUAUGAAGGGUAGCAGAUUGUGGUCUCCCAACGAUGCCUUUCAUGUAGUGCAGACAGAAACGGUAAUCUUGACCUCUAAAUGUUUUCCAGUAAAUGCAUUAGCAUCACCACCUUUUUAUCUAAUUUCAAGUCAAGGUGACAUAUGUACUCAUUGGUUGCUACUUUUUUUUUCCAGGGAACCAAAGACACAGUGGCCCUCAAUCUCGGUACACCAAGCCCAAAUAAGACGUACAGAUUUAAGCGUGAGCAAUUUAUGGGCUUGGUCAACCUUAGGUUCCUUCAAUUGGACCAUGGAAAUUUUGAAGGAGACUUUAAGAAUGUUUUCUUUAAUCUGAGAUGGCUCUCUUGGAGCAAUUGCCCUUCAAAAUUCCGAGCUAGCAACUUUGGGUUGAAGAACUUAACGAUUCUCACGUUAUCUGGGAAUAACGUUACUGAAGAUUGGGGAGGAUGGUGUCAAAUCAUGGUAUGAUCUCACAACAUCCUUUUGCAUUAUAUUCACUCUUCCUAUUUUAUGAGUGUCUACUCAAUUACUUUAUAGGUAGCAGAACAAUUGAAAAUCCUACAGCUCGAGGACUGUCCAUUCCUUAGAAAGAUGCCCAAGUUCUCCACAAUCUCAAAGCUGGAGAGAUUGAUUCUUAGAUGCGUUCGACUAAGAAAGAUUGACAAGUCCAUCAGCAAUCUACAAAAUCUUGAUUACCUAGAGAUAAAGAGUGAAGCUAUUGAGUCGCCACCAGAGUCCAUCGGCGGUCUAAAAUCUUUGACGGUGCUAAGAAUAGAGCAGACACCCUCAAGGAAGCCUCACUCGAUUGGCAAUUUAGCAAAGGUGAAGUCUCUAAUCUUGCCACACCAAGAACAUCAAAAGCUUCCCGACUCUAUCGGACAAUUGGAGUCACUACUUGAGCUAAAUGUCCAAUAUUUAAAAAUUAGUGAAUUACCUCAUUCUAUUGGAAAUCUUGAAAGGUCAAAAGUUUUACGCAUCUGGAAUUCCUAUCUAGAAAAGCUACCAAACUCGAUUAGGAGGCUCCAAUCAUUGGUCAAGUUGGAUUUGAGAGAUUCAAGAAUCGAGAGCUUACCUGAUUGUAUUGGAAAUCUCAAAAAGUUGAAGGUACUAAAUCUCCAUGAUAGUUGCAUAAGUGAACUUCCAAAAACCAUAGGAAUGUUGGAAAAUCUAGAAGAGUUAGAUGCCUCCUCUGAACACCUGGUGGGGGAAAUUCCAAAUGAAAUCGGGGCACUAUCCUCAUUGAAAUAUCUAGACUUAUGCAACGGUCGCUUUAGUGGAUUGCCCACAACGAUCAAUCAGCUUACAAAUCUCCAACGACUUAAUUUAUGGCACUGUAAUUCAAUCCAACAGCUGCCGGAGCUUCCCAAGAGUCUAAAGUUUUUAACCCUUACAUCGAAUUCGCUGACCACGAUCCCCGACUGCUUAAACCUAACCAAUUUAGUUGACCUUAUGAUAAUUGGAUAUUCAAUUGAAGAACCCAACAUAGAGGGGAUCGUGAGACUACCUGCUCUGGAAAAAAUGGUCCUCCGCGUUGGAAAAAUGGCCUUGCCUCCAAUUGAUUUUAGUUCCCUCUCUCAACUACAAUGCCUCACCAUAAAUUAUGAUGAGCCCCAAUCUCUUAUUGGGCUCCCAUCCGGCCUUCAAUAUUUGUGGUUAUGCGAUGUCGAGUCACCGAUAGAUUGGUCAAUCUUUUCCAACUUGGAGAAUUUGUCGAACUUGUAUAUUGUUCGAUAUUCGCUGAGAGAGAUUCGAUUCGAGGUGCUUGGAGAGCUACGGAAAUUCAAACAAUUGCAGAUGCUUGAUUGUCCAUUGCUCAAGACGCUGCCCGUUCUUCCUUGUUUGAAGGAGAUCCAGUUUUUUUCCCUGUGCCAAUUGCCUCAACUAAUUGAGAUUCAGGGUUUGGGAGAAUUGAAAUCUUUACAGGAUUUGUCUAUCUGGUUUUGCAAUUCAAUCAAAAGGUUAAACGAAUCUGAUCUUUCUAAUCUACAAAAUCUGAAAUAUUUGUGGUUCUGGGGAUGUGAAUCAUUGGAGAGGGUGCUGGGUGUGCCAAAAUCUUGUCAACUCAUUGUCGAUGAUUGCCCGAGGUUCAAUGGAGAUGGAUAAGAUAUGUAUCAUUUGAUUGGCAAAGAUAGUCGAUGAUGGUAAGUCCAUAAAACUAGCGUUUGUUUUUUGUUGUGUCCUAUUUUGUGAGUUUUCCUUCAACUAAACUUUCAUCUUGGUUUUGGAAACACCUCUUGCAUUCGUUCAUCCUGUUGUCUCUCAAGGAAAAUCCUCUUCCAUGUAUCAUGAACGUGUGAUACUUUGACUUGCCUCGACUUGAUGAUGGUGAUACUUAGCUGGUUUACGUUGUGCACUAGUAGAACGUCGGAAUUGACAUGCUUUGCGGCACCUAUUUUGCUUAGAAAAAAAUGGAUAAAGUGGAAGGGAACUUUUAGAUAGUAAGCACACUAAAGAUGCUGAUGAAUGCUAGGUUUUGUUGUAAGGCUGAGGUGGUUGAGACUUGAGAGUACUGGUCUCACCUUAUGGAGUGUUUUUAAUAUAAGUAAAGAACAAUCAUGAUUUGUGAGGACUAAAAUAAAGGAAUUAAUGCUUGGUUAGUGGAAGAGUGAAUCGUUGAUACCUAUUAUGCAAUAUGAGUGAUUUAGUUAUUUCCUUCAUGAAGAAUUGGAGGUGUUUUUCUGGUUACUUAUGAACUGAAGUGGAGAAGCUUCAAGUCUUGAGUCAUGGUGUGAUUUGUGAACUAUCUUUCUUCAUUCUAGUAUUUAGCCAUUUAUGCGUGAAAUUCGUGCUGUGAGACAAUUGAUAUUGGAGUAAACUUGUCGAUAUGGUCAAACCACCAUUUCUUUGAAGACUAGGUUUAGUUGCAUCGAGUUGUGCAUUAUGCAAUUUCUGGUGUUAGGAAAGAGCACAUUUGUGUUGUUGAAGACUAGGGUUUGUUUAUUCUUUAAGUUGACUUAUUGCACCUUUCCUCAUCUCUCUCUCCCUCUUUUUAUGCUUAUAAUGUGGUUACUGUUAACUUGUUAAAUAAACUUGUUUGUUCUUUGUGUCUAUCAUUUUUACAUUUACUGAUAAAACAUUUUUGCACAAGCUCCUCCAAGACUAUGGUGAAAUGUUCUUUUACAUGGAUGUCUAGGCUUUGGCAAGACAUAUUGUCGAUGCUACAGCAACGACUUGUUCUCUUCAAUCCAUAUCAGAAAAAGGGCGAGCUGUGGCUAAGUACACUAGUACAUUUUAGCUAUCUGUAAGAGGCUUCUUUUCAACUACAUUGAUGUUUAUUAAGUUCCCUUAUGCAAUCUUCUAUUGAACUCUGUUAUUUCCAUACAUUUCACAAUUUUGUGCUUUCUUCUUUUGCUUUGGAUGCAUUUAAUAGAGGUCCCUUCAUCUAUGCCAAUAGUCGAUAUAUGAAACUAGCAGCAGCAAUGAGGAUCCUACCACCGCAGCCAAGAUGUUCUAAUUAUAUUAUUUUAAACAAUAGCAAUGAGGAUUCUCCCAUAAUGAAGAGGCCAAGUUAAAAUGGUUCUUGAGUUUUCUCAUGCAUGAAUGAGAGAAUCCUCUAUGAAGAUGAAAAGAAAGAUUAAGAUGUAAGACAUUUGAAGUUUUUCUCUACUAGAAAUUUGAAAUUUGUGAUCAAAUGUCUAUUGGAUCAUCUGUUAUGUAAAUUGACAGCAUUGAUUUUGUGAGCAAACUAGAGGAAUUUUGAAUAUUUGAGAGUAAUGGCAAAUUUAAAAUUACAGGUUUGGAUAUAUUCGCGAAGGUAACGGCUGUAGCACCUUGCCUUCACUUUUUUCAUGAAUUUGAUUACAUUGUACUGAAGAGGGAGCAUGAUAGUACGGGGGUCACUGACCAUGUCAUCAAUCAGUUAGUUUCUUGCGUUCAAUGGCACUUAUAAAGUGGUCAUGUGAAAUAUAGUUGAUGGUAUGACUCACUAAUGAUAUGUUAUUCAUUGGUGCAAUUUUUUACUGAAUCAAAUGGUGUUGAAGUUUUAAGCGGUGUGUUUGUGUCGAUAGGGACAAGGUAAUAAUUUCUUCUUACAUGGUAACAAAAAGUACUCUCUUCCAUAGCACACUAACCGUAAAUUGUUGUUGGAAAUUGCAUGGUCAUUAUGAAUGCUUUGCCAAAAAAUUUCUAUGAAGCAUUUAAUAUGGAGACUAUGUAAUAACCUUCAAGAAAGACUAUAAAAUGAUAGACAUGACUUUUCCUUGAUUUAGAGUUGUUUAACUUUGGAUACACAAUAUUUGAUAAACUACAUAUGUACCAAAGAAGGUGACAAAUGGCUAGAUUAAUUGAAUUACUUUUCAGUUGCUAAAGUAGCUUACAAGAAGUGUAUUAAACUGGUCUUGAACCUCUUCAACAGCUUCAACAGAUGUCGAUCAUUUCAGUUUUGAGUGUGCCAAAAUCUUGUGAACUCAUCAUCAUUGACUGCCCAAAGCUCAAUAGAGAUGGAUAAGGUAUGUAUCAUUUGAUUGACAAAGAUAGUUGAUGAUGGUAAGUGUCACGCCCCGAUCCUUUUGGGCACGCACACAUCCUUCUACUUGGUCGAUUUUUAUAAUGCGAUAUCCCAGGACUAAUUAUCGCCGACCCUUUCGUUUAUUAAGCACAUGCGGAAGCCAUUUUAAAUCCCCAGACAAUAAAACAAUGGGAUAGAAAAGUAAGGCAAUAUUUCUCAUAUUGAAAUCCUUGACCAAACCUUUAUACAUGGCAUAACUCAAAGUCUAUUCACUAAACAUGAUUAAGAAAAGAGGAUAGGAUCUUAGUUCUCAUCCAGGUCGUACUCGGACCAUCAUCGAGGUUCUCCUCCAGACACUCCUCUUCGGUUUCUUUCUCCUCAGGCUCCUCAUCAGGGUCCUGAAAUGUUGUCCCACAACCGGGAUGAGACUAUGUCUCAGCAAGUUCUACCCCACUAAGACUCGAUUAGGAAACCAAUAUGCUAACCGGGCUGCCUAUACACGCACGGGUCAGAGGACUUACCUUGGCCUCAUAUUCCACCUGCAUAUUAGCACAAUUCAAUAGGCACCAAAGCAAUUACAUCACAGAUCAAUAUCUCGAUCCAUCGACCUAGUCGAUUUCAUGUCAAUUCGACUAUUCCCCAGUCGUUUCCCUUAUUCAGUCUCAAAUCAUACCCAUGACUUCACGAGCAUAGUCUACCAAAUUUCUUGGCAACAAAUUACAGUCCCAAAGAACACGACCUAUCUUUAGGUAGCAUAUUACGGCCUUAUCAGGCGCGACCUUUAAUGGUGGCAAAUUAUGGCCUUAUCAGGCGCGACCUUUAAUGGUGGCAGAUUACGGCCUUAUCAGGCGCGACCCAUAUCGGGUGGCAGAUUACGGCCUUAUCAGGCGCGACCCAUAUUAGGUGGCAGAUUACGGCCCAACGGGCGCGACCCAUAUUAGGUGGCAAUUUACGGCCCAACGGGUGCGACCGAUUCCAAAUUCAGUGGCAGAACUCGGCCAUACUCACAACCUUUCACAGUCAAAUUCUAAUUGAAUACCGACACUGAUCGAUUUUGGGAUAAUUCCUCAAAUUGCACAAUUAAUUCAAUUUAGCACAAUGUAGAGCUCAAAUAAAUAAACGGACUGCACCAUGACAAUCAGCACCAAAUUUCGAUCGUCGGCUAUCAUCGCCUAAUUUCCGAAAAAUAAAUAAUUAAAUAAUUAAUUUCGAAAUUAAUAAUUAAAUACUAAAUAUCCAAUUUAGGCCCGUAAUGCCUAACUGAAGCCCAAUAAGGGUCGGGAAAAAUCCCGAGAUGCAUUCAAUAAAUAAUAGUACGUCUCUACUUGCUAAUGACUAAGUCUAACCACCUAACAUGCAUCACUAAGUCACUAAUUUAUUUUUUCUAAACUAAUCUAACCACCUAAUUGCACUUAAUUAAAUCUAAUCAACCCUUAAGCAUCAUUAAUUUACUAAGCGAGGAUUAGUGAGAUUACUCACUUGAUUAAAAGCGGAGACCGGGACACCGCGACGGUUACGCGACGGCGGCCGAAAUCGGACUUUCGACAACACCGGCGGGCUUGGACCGGGCCUUAAACUUGGCCCAACAAAUCUCAGCCCAACUAAGAUUUGUUCUCGUACUGGACUGGGCUCGCUCUUGGACUUGGGCUUGGCUGCGAUUGGGCCUGAUCUGGGCUUCAAGAUGGGCUGGCUUUGCGGGCUUCAAAACCACGCUGGACUCCUUGGGGCUGAAAUAAAACUGAACUGGGCCUGUCUUUGCUGGGCCCAAAAGAAAUUCACUGAGCUUGGAGACUGCUGGACUUGCAUUGGGCCAUUGAUGCGGCUGAUCGAGGCCUAGGAUUGAUGGGCUUCGAAGACUAAAUCCCUAUGGGCUCAAAAUGCGAACUGCGAGGGAAAUGGACGCAGGCUUCUUCGGUCCUCGUGGCAGCUCGACGGAUGAUGCUUCGUUUGCUUGAUUCGCUGACUCGGUGAAUUCCACACGGUUAGAUGAAGGCCGCGAGCUGGGUAGACCGAAGCUGAGAAAGACGCAUGGAUGCUUGGACGGCAGAGCUGGCGUGCGGUCAACGACGAAGGAGUUCGCUGGUGUCAAGCUGCGGGCUCUGCUGCUGCUUCGGUUGACUGCUUGGACGCGUGGGCGAGGGCAUCAAGCGGUCAACCAAGAGCUUCAAUUGAAGCUGUUGUUGACCGAACCAGGCGUACACACUGCCAAGUGGCAGCAAGCUCGGCAGAAGAUGGAGCUGGUGUCGUUGCUUGCGGAGAAGACCGUUCGGUGGAUGGGCAGAUGUUGAUGGAGAUGAUGAUGCUGUGCGACUUCGGUGAGUGGGGGGCUUCGUGGAGUCAACACCUGGGGCAGCUUGACGAAUUUUAUUGAAGAUUGACCAAGGAAAAUUUAUGGAGCAGCAGGUGGUGGAAGAAACCAGCGAAAAUGGAGUGGCAGGUUCGGUCUUCGGCAGAGACGGAAGGAGCUGACUGCUAAGGAAAUAAAAGAACGGCCGCAGGGAAAUUUGUAAGUGCUGAUUUCGUCCAGAGAAGAGGAGACCGACGUGCGAAUGAAGAUGGGAUCCGUUUAGCGUAUGGAAGAAGCCGAAGAAAAGGGGAUUGAAAGUCAAACAAUAAAUAUCUAUUUCAUGAUUACUAAACCACAAAAGUCCUCAGCCCAACCAAUGGAGAAUUAGCUCCCAAUUAAUCUACUUCAAGUUAUUUUGGUGUGGAUAAUUAUGUCCAUCUUCAGAGAACAUUUACAAUGGGUCACCCAAGAGCCCAAUUUUUCACAAUUCCACACCAAAUGAAGCCAAAUUGAGGGCCAAACUGUAACACCCCGUCACCCCUACGAAUUUAUACCACCUCUUCACCAUUCCCUUCAAUUUGGUAACCAAUUUUCCUUUAAUAAUGCCCGUCCGAAUUUGCAACUCUUUUCCGAAUUAUCCGUAACGAUUUUUAGUAAAAAUCUCGGAAUCUCCGAAAAAUCUUCUGAUUCCUAAAAUAGCUCGUGACACCACAGAACUUUCAAUUUCUGAAAUCGGGUUCGAAUUCACGGUUAAUUUCCAUUCGACGCGUUUUUAGCGUGACCUAGACUGCCGGGUAGUCUUCAGAACUUUUUAGUGCAAAUGACCCGUGGUCGAUUUUCUUCGAGCCACAAUGAACCCACUUGACACAUUGGCAACUCUCGAUUGUCAUAGAAAUCUCGAGAAUUCAAAUACGGACACAAGGUACCAAAACGAUAGAGAAUUCAGUCUAGUGUCGGCCGACGAGAAUUUUCCAAUUUAGUGGCGUCACUCAUGAUUAGGCACACAUCUCUGUCGAACCGACCUAUAUCUGAUCUCUGAUCAAUUUACGUCUGUGCUGUAAUGAUCUCAGCAGAUGAACACGGUCGAGCAGCCGAUUCAUGGUCGAAUUCUCAAGUCUAUUUGCCUUAAAAUUCUUAAUAGUUUCCCCAGAUAGUCUAGUUAUCUCUAGAAUGAUCAGUUCUGAGAACAGCCCUAUAGACGCGUCAAUGAAAUGCCCGAUUUAUUCAAUAGAAAACAAAACUGAAAAUCUAGGAUGUCAUAGUAAGUCCAUAGAACUAGAGUUCAUUUUUUGCUACAUCCUGUUUUGUGAGUUUUCUUUAAACUAAGCUUUCAUCUUAGUUCAGGAACCAUCGCUUGUAUUCGUUCAUCCUGUUAUCUUUGAGCAAAAUUCCAUUUCCGCAUGUCAUGAACAUGUGGUACUUUCACUUGCCUCCACGAUGGUGAUGCUUAGCUGGUUUAUGUUGCACAUUAGCAUAAUGUUGGGGUUGACAUGCUUCGCAGCACGUAACUUGGCUAAAUAGUAAUCACACUAAAGAUGCUAACAAAUGCUAGGUUUUGUUGAAAGGUAGAGGUGGUUGAGAGUAUUGGGCAUACCUUAUGUAGUGUUUUUUCAAUUUUACUACAAAACAAUCAUGAUUUGUGAGAAAUGAAAUAAAGGAAUUAACACCUAGUUAGCAAAAGAGUGAAUUGUUGAUGCCUUUUAUGCUGUAUGAGUGACUUAGUUACUUCUUUCAUGAAGAAUUGAAGGUGCUUUUCUAGUUACUUUUGAACUUACAUUUUGUUUGUCUGUUUGUUUGCUAUUUGUUCAUUCCCUCCCAUCUUAAAUUACCAAACACAGUUGGGGAAGAUGUUGCAAUUCCCCUGAUAAGGCAUUUAGGUUCUUGAACUAUCAUUUUUUGUGCAAAUGACAUUUCUUUUUCUAAAUCCUUUGCUGUUUUGAGCUGGGUCUGGAAAUUUGAUAACUCUGACUCAUUAAGGAAUUAAAUAAGGCAAAUGCAAUAACCUCAGUUGCUCCCUUUUGCAUGAUUUUUGUUUCCAGCAGUUCUAGAGAUUGAACUGGGAUUAUUUGAUUGUGCACAAUCAAAGAUCACUGUUAGCUUUACUCCACAUCUAAUGCUGAUGGUUAUAGUUGCAAUUUUCAAGUACUCCCAUUCUUAAAGUAGAAGUUCUGCUUCUCUAGCCAUAAUUAUUAGCUUUUUUUCAUCCUAUUUAUGCAGAGUCUUGGAAUGUAGUCAACUAUUCCUAUUGAAAUGUCUUCAGAUGUAAUAGUGGGGAUCUACAUGAGCAACUUAAAGUUGUUUGCCGACCAAACUUUGUAUGGUUAAUAGUUUUAUUCUGCUUAGGCAUUCAAUGGCUUAAUGCAAUGACCAUUAACCUUAGCUUUUGUUUGCUGAAGUACUGAUUUUUCAAUACUCAUAUUUACCUUAAUCAAAGUACAUAAUUUAUUUCAUAGACCUUGGUAAGUCAAUCAAGUAGUGGGCAUGUUGGGGGACUAAAACUUGAAAGAUCUACGACUUCCUUUCAUAUUCUCAAGUGUGCUUCCCACAUACUUCACGUUGUUUGAUCGUUUAAUUCACUUUUUCUUGGUGGAUGAGGAAUUCAUUAUUUUAUUGGAAAAAGGAGUAGCUCCUUGUACUCAACACGUGCGAGGAUCCUACUAUUGUUUUAUGAGUGUCUUCCCUGAUUGAGUAUCUAGACGAGCAAUACUAAUAUUUGUCAUAUAUUUCUAAGUGUCUGUUUCCCAUUGAGUGCUUUACUUUUCGUGUAACACCAAAGUCAUCUUAUGGUGGUUAGUUGUCUAAUCCUCUUUUUGCUGAUCAACAAUGUAGUGAAGGGAGCUUAUGGUUAGACUCUGCAGAAUUUCAAUGAGAAGAUGGGAUUACCUGAGAUUGUGGGGUUUAACUACCUAACAUUGUUUCCCUAAUGCACUCUCUCUCUCUCUAUGCUAAUAAUGUGGUUAAUGUUAACUUCUUAAAUAAAAUUAUUUGAUCUUCAUAUCUAUCAUUCUUACAUUUGCUGAUGAAGUGUUUUUGCGCAAGCUCCUCUAAGGCCAUGGUCAAAUGUUCUUUUACAUGGAUGUAUGGCAUUUGGCAAGACAUGCAUUGUUGGUGCAACAAUAGCAGCUUGUUCUCUUCAAUCCAUAUCAGUGAAAGGGCUGAGCUAUUGGAUAAGUAACAUUUGAACUUCUGAGCAAGUUGUAAGAGGCUUCUUUUCAACUACGGCGAUGUUGAUUGAAUUCCAUUGUGCAAUCUCACAUCUAAAGUUGUUAUUAACUCCAUGUCUAUAUCAAAUGCCAGGCAACAAUAACUGAUUUUGAGAAGUGGUUAGACAUAGUCGUUACUCUGUAGGCCAAGAAGAUUUCUGAUGAGGUUUGUUGUCGCGCGCAACUCUUUCUUCUGACUGUGCAAACUAGUCAAGAUUUGGAUUGGGUAUUGUUCAAUUCCAUGGUCACCAUCUUAUUUGUGGCUCUUUGACAGAUCCAUGUCCUGAGGAGAUUUAGUCCAAUGGCAACAUAAUAGAUGGUUCUCAUUGACUUUGCUAUAGCUAGUAUUGAUUAGUCUGCAUCCUUCCUCUUUUUUUUUCUUUUCUUUUUUUUUUUUUUUUGUAUAUCAGCUAUUUUAAAUCACUCCUAAGGCAAUCACUAGCGGUGCCAUAUGGUUCCAUGUGGUUUUCAUCUUGUAAGCAGCUAAUAUCCCUUGCCUUCUUUGGAUAGAGUCCUUCCCCGUCUCUUUCAUACCAGCUAACUAGCGUGCAAGAACUAUAGUUUGAAAAUCUUGUUCUUAUCUGGUCACCAGUCUCUGUGCAAGUGGUGAAUUGUACAUCCCAAUACUUUCUGCCAUCAACAAAGUUUCUUGCUCGUGUGCUGUUAUUUGCAUAUCUCUAUAGUGAACAAGAAUCUGCUAGAUUUAUCCCGCACCAGUCCUUCAAAAAACCAACUACGAGGUAACCAGGCAUCUCAGCCUCUCUGUCAAAACACAGAGCGUGCAAGUAGUACUAUGUCCUGCCUCCAUCUGUCUCUCCAUUGAGGUUUUCUCCCUCAAAUUGGCUACAACCUUUAUCCCCCCCCCCUAGGCGAUGUUGCAUAAAUAAGGUGUGCUAUCUCUCUCAAUGCAAAAAUCCAGGAUUUAAAUUGAUCGAUCAUUUCAAAUUGGGGCACCUUGAUGCAACAAUUACUUAACCUCACCCCUCCAGUUGACCACAAAGAUAUCCUCUUUUUUAGGCUCUAGCUUAUUUGAUACUGAACUAGGAACCUGCAUAAUGACUAAAGCAAAUUGGCUGAUUCGAAAGCUCCCAUUUUUCAACAUUCACCUUUCCAACCUGCAAGUUUGCACUUGGAUAGCUCAAUUGCUGGAUCCCAAUUUUUUUUUUUACCCAAGAGGAAUGUUUAGAUGUGCUAUAGCAAAGUGACCUCUGAUCGAGCAUGCCAUUAUAUGUGUGCAACGAGCAUGUGUCUAUAUUACUGAAAGAUUGAACCGUAGCCUCAGAACUGGAAUUUAAGAUUGAAAUUCAAGUUGAAUGCUUCUCGGUGCAUGUAUUGUAACUGAUUAUACUUAUACUCAUGCUGUUGACUGUUGAGGCUUUUUACGAAGUAAACUUGUUACUCAUAAACAUAUCAUAUUUAUCCAAUAGAGUUCUUUCUCAUUUUAUCGCCUGAAGUUCUUUAUGCUGUCGUUAAACCACCAAUUUUUCACUUGACAGUUUCACUUUUUUAAUCUGGAAUCCUUGAGAUAUGUGAUGUGAACUAAAAUAUUCUCAUAUCUUGUGCUAGAAAAUUUGCAUGUUCAAAUAUCUUCUUGCUCCUCAAUGAUCUUUUAGCUGAUCAUCCUUUUUAUCUUAACAAAGUAGGUUGAGGAUACGGUAGUCUUAUUCUUGCCAUACUAGGAACUACUUUUGGUGCACUUGACUAAAUAUGGAAUAUUUGAUUGUCUUUUUUCCCUCACAAAUGCACUUCUGGAAGCAAUGUUCCUAAGAAUCUCGAUUAGUGCUUUGAAGAAUCCAUGUUAAUCUCAAUAAUUGUGCGGUGGUUUUAGAUUUGGACACCUGAAUAUCACCAGUAAUAUUAUGCUUUCAUGUCUGAAGGUCCUAUUAGAAAGCCAAAUGGGGUGGGAUUACUGUAUUGGGCUUUAAAACCUAAGACCAUCAAAACUUCUAAGACGCAAAAUAUAAUAAUAGGUGCCAAACUAACUGGUUUUUAUGGCUCUUUAUCAUGGAUGCAGGCAGAACUUCCUGAUUUUGAAGUCUCUGAAGGCAUAUAUUCUUGAGCUCGCAUCGAACAUGCUGAUUCAGGAUGUUUAUGGCGGGGAGCAAAUGUUAUGUUGGAGUAUUCAUGCGAAGAGGUACUCAAGUUGAAGCAAUGUCCCUUUAUCUCCAAUAAUGAUGUCGAGUAUCUUAUUUAUUGCAUCCAUUCAUGUUGCAGGCCACAACUCUUCUACAAAAGAACCUAGAAAACGCUAAAGCAAGUUUAGAAGUUCUUGUUGCUGAUCUACAAUUCUUACUAGACCAAGUAACAAUCACGCAGGUAAGUCAGAAUUUUUUGGAACUUGGAGGUCCAUUUUAGUUUCAAGCUAUUUAUUAUGUCAGUUUUGGGUAUGUUUGUUGUUGUUGAAUUACUGAAGUCAUGAUUUUUGUAACUGGUGUGAGGCUAUAAAUUGCAAAGACAUGCUGAUUUGUGACAACCUGGAGUGUGGUGAUAUUGCACUUAAGUGAAAUUGAAAAAUUUCGAAACUUGUUGUAGGACCAUACUCUUUAGUUUAUAUCACGGCAAUUAUGUUGGUGGUCCCUGGAAAUUUUCUUUUCUUUUUGGGGGUGAAACAGCCCUUGAGAGGUGAAUCUUUAUUUGGCAGGUUACGAUCGCUCGUGUGUAUAAUUGGGAUGUUCACCAAAAGAGAAUCCGUCAAGCCGGUGCUCCAGCUAAAUACUCUUAAAGAGAUCUUUUCAAGUCGAAUCAUGGUAGCAGAAUGUGUACUCCUGGAUGAGAGUACGACUUUGAUCUCCCCAUUUUCAAUCAGGUGAAUGAAUUAUGUAUCGCUCUGUUAUCGCAGUGGUUAAGACACUGACAACGAGUGAUUUUGGUUAGGUUUAUUGUAUUACACAGAGCUUGUCAUGUAAACGGUUUUGAUUGAGAACCUCUUGGGCUUGAUUAUUCAAUUUCUGUGUGCGGUGCGCUAGUGUUGAAUUAAUGUUGGGUCCAUCCAUUUUAUGUCGUUUUCACCUUGGAUUAUGUAUGUUUAGUAAGAACCAAUUUAAAUUUGAAUUCAGGGAAAAACAUGGCUUGCUUGAGGUUUACUGUGGAAUACAUGUCGGUGUUUUUGGGUCAAGUGUAGUGUUGUAAUUUGGUGGGUCUCUUGUUGUCAGAUCUUGGAGAUUUCUAUUAUGUUAGAGCAAUGCAGGUAUAGUUUGGUUAUAAAGUCCGUGGCACAGUAUGUAUAAUUAUUUCCAAAAUUAACUUUUUUCAAGAAUUUAAUGUAAGUACAUUAUUAAGUCAAAUUUUCUUUAAAAUUAAAUUAUUAUCAAAGGAUAUAGAUAAUUACACUUUCCUCUUUCUUUUGUUAAAUUUCCCUUCUUUGUACAUAGCAUUAUGUCAUCAACACAAUCGAAAGGUAUUCUAUGAAAUUGCAUCCAUGAUUCUUUUUUAAAGAUUUUCAUUGAAUUUAAUUGAAUUAUCUAAAUGUUUUAUUAUAAGGCAUAGAUGUAGAAUAUGAUGAACAUGAGUUAACCGACACAUAUGGAAAAAAUGGUUCUUCACUUAUUUCUCUAUCCUCUGAUGAGUCAGUGAAACACAAACCUUAACACAAGUGGUCUUUUAAACUUGGCUAUAGGUGCUGUCACACCCCGAUUCUCAAGUAUGCACACAUCCCUUACCUUGGUCGAUUUUAGAAUACGAUAUCCCAGGAUUAUGUAUCACCGACCUUUUCAUUUUCGAUAGCACGUGCGGAAGCAGUUGUAAAUCCCCAGACAAUAAAACAAUGGGAUAGAAAAGUAGGGCUAUAUUUUUCAUACUGAAAAUUCACAACCACACUUUUAUACAAGCACCUCAUAGUAUUUAAUACACUACUAUUCAUAGAGGUCUGAUUUAACACUUAUCCACAAAAAACCAGGUCUGACAAGACAGGAUGGGAUCUCAGUCCUCAUUCGAGUUGUACUCGGGAUCAUCCUGAUCCUCCUCUAAUUCUUCUUCACUAAGUUCGUUUCCUUCAAGCUCUUCAUCUUUUUCUGGCUCAUCGUCCUCUUUUGGUUCCUCCUCCUUAGGCUCAUCUACAAGCCUGAAAUGGUUAUACAAUAACCAUUAAGAUCACGUCUCAGUAAGUUCUACCCCCCUAAGACUCGAUUUGUAAACCAAUACGCUAACUAGGCUGCCUAUACACGCACGGGUCAAAAGACUUACCUUGGCCUUAGAUUCUACUUGCAUAUUAGCACAGUUCAAUAGGCACCCAAGCAAUAAUAUCAUAGAUCGAUAUCUUGAUCAAUCGACCUAGUUGAUUACAUGUCAAUUGGACCAUUCAUCGGUCAUUUCAAUUCAAUUAAUCAAUUCACGACAUCAGAUCAAAGCAAUGAUUAAUCGACCUAGUCGAUUACAUGUCAUCUCGAACCUUUCUUGGUCGACUCAUAUCAUAUUAUCUAUAAGUCCGUUCAUAUCAGAACUGCUCACUACUAAGCUGAUAAAUAGAUAGCAUAGCUCGCUUCUGAAAUGAUUGGGUAUAUUGUUCUCUGCUAAGCUGCAAUAUUGCCCUUAGGUUGAUAUAGAUGUAUAUCGACAGUGCUCAAUCUAAGCUGAUAAGGUAUACUGCUCUUUGCUAAGCUGCCAUAUCGCCUGUAAGCUGAUAUAGUAUACCGAUAUAUUCCAUCAAAACUAAUAAAGUAUACUACUCUCUACUAAGCUGACAUAUCGCUCGUAGGCUAAUAUAGUAUAGUAGUAUACUGCUCUCUGCUAAGCUGACAUAUCGCCCGUAGAAAGAUAUAGUAUACCAUCCCAAUCAUACAAUCAAUUCCAUCUUUUUAUCAUUCUCGAUAAAGUAGCCGUGUAUGGGGACACGGUCAGCCUUAGCCAAAAUAUAAUAUUUUCCUUUUCAUAAUUCUCACAUUUUCUAUAGUCCACUAAAAUAUUUUUGGCAUUAUCAACCGAUACCCAGUUAUUUUUGAAUUAAUAACCAACGAUUAUCCAAUUAAAUAAUAAUUCUCACUUUCACAAAAAAUUCAAUUCAGUACGAAAUAAAUCUUAAUUAAAUAAACGGACUGUGCCACGACAAUCAAUAUAAACUUCCGGUCAUUGGCCAUCCCAGUUGAAUUUUCGGCAAUCCCAGUUGAAUUUUAGGAAAAUAAAUAAAUAAAUAAUUAAUUAAUUUCGAAAAUUAAUAAUUAAAUACUAAAAAUUCAAUUUAGGCCCGUAUUGCCUGAUUGGACGGUAGAAUAGAUCAGGAAAAAUCCUAAGAUACAUUCAAUAAAUAUUAGAAGCUCUCUACUUGCUAAUAACUAAGUUUAACCACCUAACAUGCAUCAUUAAGUCACUAAUUUAAUUGUUCUAAACUAAUAUAACCACCUAAUUGCACUUAAUUAAAUCUAAUCAACCCUUAAGCAUAAUUAGCAAAACUAAGAAAGCAUUUGUGAGCAAAACUCACUUGUGCAAAGCGAAGACUGGAACACCGCAACGGCAGCACGACGGCGGCCGAAAUCCGAAUUUUCGGUGGUGUUGGCAGACUUGGACUGGGCCUGAAGUGGGCUGACCUCGCGGGCUUGGCUCGGAAUUGGGCUUCUAAUGGGCUGGGGUUCAUGGGCUGCAGCAGCUGAAGAGAACACACGGACUGAAUUUGCUGGGCUGGACUUUGGCUUCAAAUGGCGUGGGCUGAUGCUGAAGUUUUGGGCCGGUCAAAGAAGCAGCAAAGGCCGCUGGGCUGGGCUGGGCUGCUAAUUCAGUGGGAUGGGCUGCACGAAAUUGGAAGCAAGCUGGCGGAGAAGUCGGACUGCAGGCGGUGGAAUUGGCUGAGCUAAUUCGGUGGGGGUGUGGGCUUGCGGAUGAAGGAGAGAGGCCACGUGAAGCUGCAGGAAUUUCACUCGGUCUCCGUUGUUAAUGGUUGACCGGCAGAGGAGAUGGACGAACAAAGCUGCAGUUGCUUCGGUCGAAUUGAUGCUGGACGAGGGAGCAACAAAGGAGAGGAGCUCGGUGGACGCGUGGAUGAGGCAGGCGUUGAAGACGCUGAAACUGAGCGUUGACUGGGUUUUGCUUCGGUCGGUUGAUGCUGAACACAGAAGCAGUGAAGACGGCUGAACUGGAGAAGUAGCUGCGGGUGAGCUGCUGCACGGAAGGAAAUCUCGUUCGGUGGAGGCUUGGGGUCAACUAAGUCUACUGGAGUUGACUGGCGUCGGAGGAAGACACGGACAGCUGCUGGGUGAAGAAAUCGGGGAAGAUGUGGACGCUGGAUUGGUCGAUCGAAGGCUGACGGUGGGGAUUUCUUCGGUGGAGGAGCACACGGUCGGGGCGUUGAAGACGCGUGGACACGGAGUCAACAAACCAAUUUUUGUUGGACUCUUUCGUUGACUGCGCUUGGGGAUUCGGCCAUCGGUGGGCAGAGAACGUGGGCCGAAGGUGGUGAUGGCUUGCGGCGGAACAGAAGGCGAAGAAGGGGAGGGCACGCGGCAGUUAAAUCAUGAGGUGUUUCGGUGAGGUCUUCGAAGGGAGAAGAACGAAAGAAAAGCAGAUGCAGUCCGGUUUCGAUGGAAGAUUCACACGAAGGAGAAGACAACCAAGAGGGAAGCAGCUGGCCAAUCUCGCAAGAGAAGCCAAGGAUGGGGCAUAAAGUCAAGCAACAUUAGCCAAUGCAUUAAACACUUGUCCCCUCAUACUUUCCAAUCAAAUUUCCACCAAUUAAACCAAAUUUUAAUGCAAAAAUUGCACCCCUCAUCAUAUAUUCCGAAUUUCAUCCAUUUGAGCUUUGAUUUCUCCAGCAAAUUCCCAAUUCUACGUCCAAAUUUCGCCAAGGAAAAUGCCCACAACAUUUCUACAAGUCCCCACCAUUAAAUAGCUCAGCUUGGAAGUCCAAAUUUCCUUCAAUUGAGCCCAUCCGAAUUUCUGCUAAUUUUCUGCGACGCUUGAAACGAUUUUCCGUAAAAAUUUCGGAAUUUCUGAAAAAUCUUCUAAGACUGAGUCGACGUUCCUAGAAUUUAUUGUGACAUGACAGAAUUUUCAAUUUCCGAAAUUGAACUGAAAUUCACGGUUAAUUUUCAUUCGACGUAUUUUUAGCGUGACCUAGGCUACUGGGUAACUUUCAUAAGCUUUUAGUGCAAAUAACCGUGGUUGAUUUUCUUCGAGCCACAAUGAACCUAGUCGACCCAUUAGUGACUCUCGGUUGUCAUGAAAAUCUUGAUGAUUCAAAUAUGGACACAGGGUACAAAACAAUAAAAAAAUCAAUCUAAUGUCGGCCGACGAGAAUUUUCCAAUUUAGUAGUGUCACCCACGGUUAGCCAUACAUCUCAGUCGAAUUGACUUAUCUUUGAUCUUGAAUCGAUUUAUAUCUAUGUCUUAAUGACCUCGGCAGAUGAGCACGGUCGAAUAGUCGAUUCCUAGUCGAAUUCUCAAGUCUAUUUGCCUUAAAAUUCUUAAUGGCUUUUCAAGAUAGUCUAGUUAUCUCGAGAGUGAUCAGCUCUAAGAAUAGCCCUAUAGACACGUCAAUGAAAUGCCCGAUUUAUUCAAUAGAAAAUAUGGUCGAAAGUUUGGGAUGUCACAGGCGCGGGUGCUUAUUUUGCUCUCACAAAGAGGAUGGAAUUGAUAAUUUUACGCUGAAAGAUUGAGCUCAUCGGUGAUCUUUUCCAAUGUCAUGUAAUGGGGAGAAUUUGUGCAGUUGUCAAUAUUAAAAAAUAUGAUCUUACUGCGCAAAAUGUCUUUGGUGAUUGAGACAUAUUUAUAAUAUAUGUAAGAUAAUUAGGUCGUGGUACUUUCAAUCGUGAUUUAAAUUGUUUUUCCCUGGACAUUUCUAUUUUCUUCUUCAUUCAUUGUCUUGUUUACCAAACUUCACGAUGAUCAUUAUUACUAUUUUAUCUUCGUCGAAAUUUUAGUGGACACAAAUUUCUCAGUAAAGUUUGAUAGACUACCCAUGCGAAGUAUGGGUAAAUGAUUUAGUUAUACAGAACAAAAAAUCGAAAGUGAAUUACCCAAACAAAGAACACAAUUAAGAUAGACCAAAAGACGCCGCCUUUGCAUGCACAAUAGACGACGGAGAGGAUGUCUCUUCUAUAAAUAUCUUCAGAGAUUCAAAAUCACCAAUUGUCUAGCACGAUGUAGGAUGUGAUGAAAUUGCUUAAAAGAUGUGCAUUGAGGAAAAUGUUAGAGCUAGAAACAUGCGAAUCUCUUGAAGACAAAGCUGGCGAUCGAAUUGUAGUAACAGGAGAUCCAGUCCGGGACUUGAAGGCCAAGCCAGCGGGUAUGUCGUGCGCGGAUUGGUGGGUCAUAUCUUGAAGUAUGGUUGUGAGGAUUCAUUCUUCUUAUGUUUCUCAAUUUCACUCUUCAAGUUUCACAUAUUAUCGGUGAAUGUAAAAUAUGUAGCAAAUGAAAAUAUUAUAUUUAGUCGGGUGAGUAUUGGAGUGUCUAAAUUUCAAAUAUCUUUUUUUUUCCUUAUUGAAUUUUGAGAUGUCAUUAAUGAUGAAUCAAUUCUAAGAGAUUAACCACUUUUGGAAUUAGCUUGUUUGGCUCUGUAAGCUUAAGAGGAAAAAAUCAAGGGAAGAAAUAAGAUGAUUAAUUACACGGAAAUAACUAUCACAUCUUGCUAGGUGAGUAUAAGGGUGUCUACAUAUCAAAUCAUCUUUUUGUAUCUAUAGAAUUUUGACAAGCUGUCGACGAUGGAUGAGAUGAUUAAGUAGUUUACCAAGUUCGGCAGUUGGAAGGGUUAAAACCCCUCCUUGAAACUAGCAUACUAGACAUGUAAGCUCUCUGAUGACUCUUUUUCAAUGAGCAGUCUCAUUGCAUUGAGCUCAACUUGACCCCUGUCUUACUCUUGAAGUUUUGCCUUAGUGUCGCAGACAUCCCUAUCCAAGCUUGAGCACAGUAUCGUAUGCUUUGGUCAUAGCUCACCCACGCUUACUUUAAGUGCUAAUAUUUAAGAAAUAUGGGAUCAGAGACAUAAAUAAAAGCCAACAUUCCCACUCUUAAAGUCAUGCAAGAUCAACAGCCCAUAUAUAGGCAAGUCAGAACAGUUAAAUAUUUGAAACCCAAUAUUGCUACCUUGGCCUCUGACACCACUAUAGAUAGCCUCCACGAUAUUAUUAGCUUUGGUCGUUGCUAUUGAUGCUCAAAUUUUUAUCAACAUUUUAGGUAUCCAUUUAUUUUACAAAAAUCUGAAAAUUUAUUAAAAAAUAUAAUAAGAAAAAAAUGAUAUUUAAAAAAAGAAAAAAGAAGAAGCGAAAUGAAGUCGUGUGGGCCGGCCCUUAGCAAAGUUUUCAGCCUUCUAAGCCCCCUCCCCUCCAUUAGUCCAGCCCAUUCCUUUUAAUUCUUUGGGCCCAUCUCUUUAUUUCCUUUUUAGCCCAUCUCCUUUUGUCUUUCCUUGGCCCAUCAUAGAACCAAACAAAAAGAAAGCCCAGCCCCAGCCUCUCUCUUUCCUCACACGCGCUUCCCCCUCAACUCCCCCGGCGAGCACAGCGUCCGUGACGCAAGGAAGAAAGACAGGCCAAGCGCGCGCGCGUCUGUGAGCGAAGGAGGCGCGACAAGCCGUGACGAGAGCUGAGCCAGCACCUUCUAGAGCCGUGCUAGCUGGCGUGCGAGAGAAAUAACAGAAAGAUUCGAUCGGUGAGGCGAGGGGAGCGUGCUGAUCCGAGAGGAAAAGAUGAGAUAGGAGCUGCUCGCCGAGGAACAUCUUCGCCGGAAAGGAUGCUCGCCUCAAGAGGAUCCUGUUCGCAUAACAGGAGGAGGAGAGACGCCGCCGGUUUUCGGAGAGGCCGGCCGUCGAAGAGGCAAGCUGCAGAGAGAUAGGCUGAAGAGAGAUUCACGGGGGAGAAAGAGUCAGCCGAGAGCGAGAAAGAGAGGAUGCUGGACGCUCGCUUGAAAAAGGAUUUGGCCAUUGAAGAGCUCGGCUGAAGGGAACGAAGGAGGAUAGGAAUCGGCACUACCCCUGCCAGGUCGUUUCUAUUCCGAUCAACCUUUAGAGUCGAUUAGGUGUUCAGAAUCUCUCCUCAUCGCUCUGCUCCAUUGUUCGGGAUCUGUGUCCAUCCACCUUCGAACCCAGAUAUAGGAGAGCGAAGCUGUCUGAAGCGGGUUCGUGAGUUUCGUUUCAGUCGAAGGGAGAAUCGUCAGGAUUUUAUUGAUCUGGAUUAGUUGAAGUUAAAAAAAUCAGUCUCGCCGAGAGUCCUUCGUGACCUGUUUGAUGUUUUGUGUAGAUGUCUUCAACGUUGAUUUGUUCCUGUUACUGGUCAAUCCGUGAGCAUUUUAGUAUGAGUCUCGG
rnacentral:lncRNA from 1 species